rnacentral:lncRNA from 1 species
UUGUACAUGCACCAUCUUUGAUUAGCAAAACAGAUAGAGAAAGGGGCAGCAGAUUGUACUGCUGCACACAGAGAUCAACAAAGUCCUCAGAUUAUCCAUCAUACAAUUCAUAAAUUUUAUUGUACCAAUACAUAUCACAACAAUAUUGUCCUCAACAUGAAGGGGAACUCAAAAUCUAACCACACAACCCAUACUGCUAACUCUAUCCAGGUAAUGACACCUGAGGCGGCAACAAAGAAGAUAACAUAAGGUGAGAAAAAGGGAGACAACAUAUUAAACAACAUUUGCACAUAAAAUCCCUUGUUAGAACCUGUGAAGAGCCAUGGGUGACUUAUUUCAAGGAUGAUCUUUAUCCUCCCAUCUUCUUCGUAACUUGUUCACCUUCGCCAUUGUCACUAGAUAUAUCAUAACAAAGAACCUAUCAACCGUCAGAAAAUACGUAGCCCUCCAAGACCUUGCAAAAAACAGUAUGUUCCAGACGAUUAAAAGCCCGAAAGCAAAUCCCACUUCCACAGUGAUGUAUGUCAUCGCAGGCAUUGCAGAUACAGUAUCGGUGCCAUCAUUUCCAGUUCCUUCAAGUGGAUUCUCUCCAGAGCAGGGGCCAUUCCGAAGAAGGCAUAGUACAACAUUGCCCACAAAACUCUCAUUUGUGAAUGUGGAAAAUUGCCCCCCUAUUGGGAUAUCUCCACUGAGAUUGUUGUAUGACACAUCAAACUUGGAGAGGAAAUUCAGCUUCGAUAGAGAUGAUGGUAUGCUCCCGUUUAAAUCAUUGUGGGCAAAAUUCAGCACUUCCAGACUCGACAUGUUUGACAACUCGUCAGGAAUGUGCCCUGAGAAGUUGUUCCAGCGUAAGUCAAGUAAAUGGAGCUGCACAAGAUGCCCAAGGCCAGGCAAGACUGGCCCACAAAGCAAGUUACUAGAGAGGAUCAGCGCCGGAGGGAAACUGCUCACAUGGUUGUACUGCAAACCUUUUUCGGCUGAACUCUUCUUCAAGAAUAAUGGGAGGUCCUCUAUAGAUGCAUGCUCACUUGAAUAAGUACUUGAAAUUAAACUCUUUAUCUGUGUAAAGCUCUUGGGAAGUUCCCCACUAAACGAGUUGUUUGAUAGGUCGACAUAGAAGAGAUUAUUCAGAUUGCCUAACCAUGACGGGAGCUUUCCAUUCAACUUGUUCCAUGAAAUGUCCAGCACUCUGAGGCACUCCAAGUUCUGUAGCCAAGGCUGGAUCAUGCCUGAGAGUGCACAAUUUGCAAGGACAAGCACCUGCAAGCUCUUGAAACCACUGAUGCCAUCCAUUGGAAUUGUCUCACCGCCAUUGAAGUUCCUCAUAAGCACUAAACUCGUCAGUUUGGGCAGGUGCUGCAAGACCCUCAAUGCUGAUGACAGCACUACUGGAAUUCUAGGCUACGACGAGUGCCACGGACACCCGGCAAAGGGCCGAAAACCGCAGGCAAAGCCUUUGCCGAGUGUAACCCUCUCAAAAGCCACCCGGUGUACACCUCUUUGGCAAACAGGAGUUUGCCGAGAGCCAGAACACGGGCACUCGGCAAAGACUUUGCCGAGAGUCAAACAAUACCACUUGGCAAAACAAAGUAGCUAACGGAUAGCAGACGGUGACGGCGGUUCCUGACACGUGGGACCAGGGGAGCAGGCCGAGGGCCUACUUUGCCGAGUGCACCUCUCGGCAAAGAGAGCCAGUAGGUGGCUGACAUGUGUCAGCUCGUGACAUGUGGGGCCAGGCGAACAGGCCGAGGUCCAACUUUGCCGAGCACCACGCUCGGCAAAGAGAGCCAAUAGCUGGCUGACACGUGUCAGCUCCUGACAUGUGGGGCCAGGCGAAUAGGCCGAGGGCCAACUUUGCCGAGUGCCACGCUCGGCAAAGAGAGCCAGUAGGUGGCUGACACGUGUUAGCUCCUGACAUGUGGGGCCAGGUGAACAGGCCGAGGGCCAACUUUGCCGAGUGCCACGCUCGACAAAGAGAGCCAAUAGGUGGCUGACACAUGUCAGCUCCUGACAUGUGGGGCCAGGCGAACAGGCUGAGGGCCAACUUUGCCGAGCGCCACUCUCGACAAACUCUAUCUUUGCCGAGUGUGACUCCCGGCAAACUCAGCCAAUAGGGGAGGGCCACGUCACUUCUCCUAAAAGCCGUGAAAAUAGUUUGCCGAGAGUCACCGUCGGCAAUUCUUUUUCCUUUACCGAGAGGCCUCUCGGUAAAGUUGCCAAGAGGGCUACAGGUUAUUAUCCUUUACUGAGAGGCCUCUCGGUAAAGGUGUCAGGUUAUUGUACUUUAUCGAGAGGCCUCUCAGUAAAGGGUGCAUUCUGGUCCAGUUUCACAGUCAUUGCCGAGAGACGCCCUCGGCAAUGGUGUGCCCAGGAGCCUUUUUUUCCCUGUUUCUAUUUCUUUCCUGCAGCGAAACAUAUACAGCAACAACAUAUAGUUCAUCACACAUAGAACAUGUCACAUAUAGGCAUGAUUGAACAAAAGAAGCAAUGAUUGAUUCCGAAAAACAUUCCACAUAAAAGCAAUAGUGCAUAAAAGCAAUAGACCACAAGUUUACAAGUCUUAAGAUACAAGAGUUCUCAACAUACAAGGAACAAUUUCAAACAUAACAUAACAUGAAGUUCACGCGAUUUUGGAGAUCGGAGUGAUAACAUCAACAUUAGAAGGCAUCAUUCUGUUUGUUGCCCCAACUCCAUCAACCGGAGUGACAACAUCAACUUUAGAAGGCAUCAUUCCCUUUGCUGCCCCAACUCCACCAACUUGAGGUGGAACUACCGAAACAUUGUUCGACCCUUGUGAUGGGACGAGCUGUGAUGGAUUGACCCAAUAGUGAGAUGAAUGCAUAUGGUAAUGCUGAAAAUGGUGAUAGAAAUAGUUUGAACGAAACUCACAAUGUUCCACUCUGGCGUCGGUGGCAUCUCUGGCACUGGUUGGCUUUGCAUGGAAUAAAGAUUGGCCACCAUAUGUUGUAAAGACUUCACUAGAUCAUCUUGUGCCUUUAGCUUGGCCCGAUUUUCAUCUCAUUCUUUCUCGGUGUCAAUCAGUCGAGUCUACAAUAUGGCAAUGCAAAUGUCAUUCAUGUUGAAAUGCAAAUAUCCUCAAUAAUGAAGAAGGAUCAAUGAAGAAGGACCAUGAAAGAUCAAUGAAGAAGCACUGACCUGAAUAUCCUCAAUUAUGCUCACGGAAUGUGGUACAUGACGCUCUACGGUAGGAGUAGAGCCAGUACUCAUAGCAUGGCGCGUGUUGACUCUCAGAAGGGAGGAGGUUAUGAUAGAAUCAAGGUGAACCGCCAUCCGUCCAUUCGGUCUACCGCCUGCCGCGGCAAUGGCCACAAGAGGGUCAAACGGUAGCACGGGAGGAUCAGCAUCAGGCCCAUACGUCUCCUUCAAUUUUUUUGUGUAGUUCUCUCCAUCUGACCGGACUUUAGAGCUGAUCCAGUCCAUCUCCGGGUGGAGAGGGUCCUUGUCCUUAUCGUCUUUGGUACGUUUGAUGGUCCAUGCCUCGAAGUAAGUGAUAUCCUUGCCAGUGUCUUCUUUCUACAAAAGAAAGUGAUCCAAACAAUCAAGGGAAUGCUCACAAAUGAAAGAGAACGUGAUGAAAAGAAAAGGAUGUGGUUGCCUACAUGUUUUGAGACGACACCUGGGAUGGUGAGGUUGCCUUGACGGUGUCCUCGACCCCUCAUCAACUUACGCCGUUCAGAUAUUACUUUGUGUUAAGCCUGCCACCCUGGAUCUGUCCACUGUUCGACGAUCUUCUCCCAACACGGACGUUUGUCAGCGCACCAUCGAGGAAUCACCUGUAAAUUAAACAAAUACAUCUUAGUAAGGAUUCUAAUUUUGCCGUAGUGUAGGGAAUAGCAAGCAUCCAUCGUCACUUCCCUUGAAGUAAUUGUCCCGUGAAAGAUGCGUCCCUCGAGCCUCCUAUUUGGAAAUCCUAUGGUUGAGAUAGUCCGUGUGAUACUUGACCGCUAACCGGACGCGCUCCUCAUAGUGCAUGUCGUGGACUAGUUUCUUGGCAACAUUCUCAACCACCACAUUUGCACGAUCCUUCUGACCCUCAACACAUGUAUAGAAAUCCUACAAACAUGCAUACAUGUGAGAAGGGUUAAAUCAUGACUAUGGCAAAUUUAAACCUUUUGGUAUUGACAUUUAGGUGUUUGAAAGGACUUACCCAGAAAUCGUUGACCACUCGCAUGGCUCUAUUAUCAAAAACCCUCUGACGCAUAUCCAGGAAAUCCGGUGCAAGUUUGUAGUGAUCCCAUGACCAAGCUAGCUCAAUGAUAGCGUUCGGCAAAGUGACCAGUCGAGGAUAAUUUAACCUACAAAGACCCCCAAUGAUGCCACUCGGCGACCGUGGCAGACGCCUCUCCCCACCUUUUACUAAGCUUUUGCAUUUUGAAGAGUGAAGUCAUAUUAUAUGUGAGGAAAUGACAAAAGGUAUAAUUUAUAUGGGACGAGUCGAGAUAACCACUUACUUCUCUCCCAUUGGUUUAAUCAACACGUCUCUAUGCACAUAUGGAUGUCUUGGAAGCUGAAGGACCAUGCAGCCACACUUUCCCUCUAGAAGUAGUGCUGAUAGUCGAACCGCUUGGUUGCGAACCGCUCACCUCGUGGUGCUCUGUCACCCGUGAGGGUCCAUCCCCACCCUCAGAAACCUGACAAACAACCAGCCUCCUCUCGGCGGCGUCGUUCUCCACCACCUCCUCCUCCUCCUCAUCCUCCACCACCUCCUCCACAAAAUCCUCCUCGUCCUCCUCCUCACAUGCCUCAUCCCCAUCCUCUGUUUCCUCCUCCUGAGCACAAUGAAGCACUGCAUCAGAGGGUCGAGGAGAAGAAAGAGGUGCUCUACUCCGGGCUGCUUUACAUAUUCCUCGUCCGCCUCCUCCUCCUGCCUCACCUACUCCCCCUCCUCGUCCGCCUCCUCGUCCACCUCCUCCUCCUGCCUCACCUACUCCCCCUCCUCGUCCGCCUCCUCGUCCGCCUCCUCCUCCUGCCUCACCUACUCCCCCUCCUCGUCCACCUCCUACUCCUCCCCCGCGUGGUACUCGACCUUGUUUCGCACGUUUUGCCGGAGGGGUGUCUAGACCCACCAAUCCUUUGGCCUUCUUGGCGGUUGUGGCAACCGAUGAAGGAGCGGCCACCGCUUUCACCAGUCGAGCAGGUUGAUCAUUGUACAGAUCAUUCACUUUUUAAAACUUUCCUUUGGAAUCUUCUUGCUACUUGUCAUGUUUCAAUCACCUGAUACGAAGAAGAACAAACCAGUUAGUACAGAUGAUACAACUUGAUGUAAAUACAAUAAAUAUAUCACAUAUGAAGAAUAAAUGGAAUUGUCACAAUAAUACAUAUAGUUGUUACACACACAAAUACAUAGAGUUGUUGCACACACGAAUAAAUAGAGUUGUUACACAGACGAAUAUAGACUUGUGACACACAUACAUAGAGUUCUCACACGAUUACAUGGAGUUGUUAGAAAUAAGGGUCAAUAUUAGGUGCAACAUUUGGAUCAGGGCUUUCAUCAUCGCUAUCACGCCCGUUCAUACAUUCAUCCUCGAAGUCUUCAGGGGGGCCCUCAUCCUCAUCUAGCCCCAUGUGCCAUCGCAUAAGUAAUGCCAAAUCUCGAGGGUCAGGAACAUCCUCGUAUUCGUCCUCUGCAUUAUCUACUUCCAUGACAUCCAUGGCCUCAUGUUCCAUAGCAUCAUGUUCGUGAUGCACGCCAUCAUCUUCCUUUGCAUCAUCUUCGUCUUCGUCAGUUUCUGCUUCUUGAAAGAACUCUCCCUCAUAUGUGUUAGGGUUUAUAUGGUAAUCGUCCUUGUUUGGGGUAGGUACCUUGAUACGCGGGGCUACCUUGUACACGACAUCCCACUUCAAGAGAUUGAUAUAUUCCGUAGAUGUGCACGCGUAUGGGAGAAAAAACACUUGUGUAGCUUGUUGAGCCAUAAUAUAGACAUCAUUUCCUGCAUAUUUCGAUGCUCGUUCAACUUCGACAAAGCCAAUACUAGGGGUUCAUCUCACUUUCUCAGGAUUGAGCCAGCUGCAUCUGAAUACGAUGGGCUUCACUCCUUGUAAACCACAACACUGCAACUCAUAAAUUUCUUCAAUGGUUCCAUAGUAGUGACGUCCAUCUGUCCCUAGACAAUAGACCACAUUAUUUAUUGACCUUCGGUUGGGCCUCUCACGCGUGUGUUUAUCAGUGUGGAAGCGAUAUCCAUUCAUGCCGUAAGCCUUAAAUGACUUGGCCUCGUAUUCAAAACCUUUGGCUACUUCUCUCACUUUGGCGUCCAUAUCAACCUCCUGAUAUGCCUACAAGAUUAAUAGGAAAUUGUUUGGUUCAUUAGUGGAAGCAUUACAGGCAAGUAAGAUCAACUUGAAGUAACAUAAAGUUAGAAAAGUUACUUUUCUUGAGAACCAAGAAAUGAAACCGCCAUCAGCAUCGGUAUCUUCAAGAUGGCCUGCUGAUUCUUCGUCGCUAGGAGGCCGUGGUAGCUUCCAGAAUUCGUUCUGGAAUUCCCUAGCAAUAGGAAGAAUUCGAGUUAGAACUCAAGACUAGUGAGUAGUUGUCAAUAAAGGUGUUCUACACUUACUUUAUGUACGGUUGCACUUCUUCCAUGUUGGUCAAGACAUAUAUCAUAAUAGUCGACCACCCAGUAGGUGAAAAGUUCUUGGGCUUCGGUCCACUUGCUUUGACAUCUUGGCCUUCAAAGAGGCUAAGGUCGGAAACAUUACUGGUGGGUUCUUCAUUGUAACGAGGAGCUGGAUUUAACCUAUUCUGAAUACUGUCAUGAUAGUACUUUGUCGUGGUCGUGGCCACCUCCUCGUUCAGGUAUGCCUCGGCUAUGGAGGCUUCAAUGCGGGCUUUAUUCUUACAUUUCCCACGAAGAUGCUUGAACUCCCGUUCAGGUGCAUACUGCCAUCGGAACUGCAUAGGUCCUCCCAUUCUAGCCUCAUACGUGAGAUGUAAGAUCAUAUGUUGCAUCGGAUUGAAGAAACCUGGCGGAAAUAUCAUCUCUAACUUUCAUAGCAAAUCAGGUGCUUGUUCCUCCAACUUUGCAACCACUUCAUAAUCUAGUUCUUUGGUGCAAAGCUGACGGAAGAAGUAGCUCAACUCCGCCAGCACUCGCCAAAUAUCCUCUCUGACAUACCCUCGAAUCAUCAAAAGGCAUUAUCCGCUCAAGCCAUACAUGGUAGUCAUUCCUACGUCUUGAGCUUGCGUUGGAUUUCCUUGAAGAGGAAAGGGUGAUGCAGCAAUAGUAGCGUAAGUAUUUCCCUCAGUUUUUGAGAACCAAGGUAUCAAUCCAUUAGGAGGCUCCUCAAAAGUCCCACACACCUACACAAACAAACAAAGAACUCGCAACCAACGCAAUAAAGGGGUUGUCAAUCCCUUCACGGCCACUUGCGAAAGUGAGAUCUGAUAGAGAUAGUAUGAUAAGAUAAAUAUAUUUUUGGUAUUUUAUAAUAUAGAUGCAAAGAGUAAAGAUGCAAAUAAAAGUAAACUGGAAGCAAAUAUGAUAAGAGAUAGACCCGGGGGCCAUAGGUUUCACUAGAGGCUUCUCUCAAGAUAGCAUAAGUAUUACGGUGGGUGAACAAAUUACUGUCGAGCAAUUGAUAGAAAAGCGAAUAAUUAUGAGAUUAUCUAGGCAUGAUCAUGUAUAUAGGCAUCACGUCCGCAAAAAGUAGACAGACUCCUGCCUACAUCUACUACUAUUACUCCACACAUCGACCGACUCCUGCCUGCAUCUAGAGUAUUAAGUUCAUCAGAACAGAGUAACGCAUUAAGAAAGAUGACAUGAUGUAGAGGGAUAAACUCAAGCAAUAUGAUAUAAACCCCAGCUUGUUAUCCUCAAUGGCAACAAUACAAUACGUGCCUUGCAACCCUUUCUGUCACUGGAUAAGGACACCGCAAGAUUGAACCCAAAGCUAAGAACUUCUCCCAUGGCAAGAAAGAUCAAUCUAUUACGCCAAACCAAACUGAUAAUUCGAAGAGACUUGUAAAGAUAACUCAAUCAUACAUAAAAGAAUUCAGAGGAGAUUCAAAUUACAAGUGGGUAAUAUAAAUGGGUAAUAUAAUAGCAUGGAACAAUCAAAAAUUAUAGAUACGUUGGAGACGUAUCAAGCAUCCCCAAGCUUAAUUCCUGCUCGUCCUCGAGUAGGUAAAUGAUAAAAAGAGAACUUUUGAUGUGGAAUGCUACCUAGCAUAAUUCUAAAUGUAAUUUUCUUUAUUGUGGCAUGAAUGUUCAGAUCCAAAUGAUUUGAAAUAAAUGUUCAUAUUGAUAAAAUAAAUAGUAACCCUUCAAGCAUACUAAUCAAAGUAAUCAUGUCUUCUCAAAAUAUCAUGGCAAAAGAAAGUUUAUCCCUACGAAAUCAUAUAGUUAGGCUAUGCUUCAUUUUCGUCACACAAAGAUGUUCCCAACUUCUAUACCCCCGAUGACAAGUCAAGCAAUUGUUUCAUACUUAAAUAAUCUCAAACUUUUUCAACCUUCACGCAAUACAUGAGCGUGAGCCAUGGAUAUAGCACUAUGGGUGGAAUAGAAUAUGAUGAUGGGGAUUGUGUGGAGAAGACAAAAAGGAGAAAGUCUCACAUUGACGAGGAUAAUCAACGGGCUAUGGAGAUGCCCAUCAAUUGAUGUCAACAUGAGGAGUAGGGAUUUCCAUGCAACGGAUGCACUAGAGCUAUAAAUGAAUGCUCAACAAAAGAAACUAAUGGGUGUGCAUCCAACUUGCUUGCUCACGAAGACCUAGGGCAUUUGAGGAAGCCCAUCGUAGGAAUAUACAAGCCAAGUUCUAUAAUGAAAAAUUCCCACUAGUAUGAAAAAGACAACCUAUGAGACUCACCAUAUGAAAAACAGGGUGCUACUUUGAAGCAGAAUAUAUGAGACUCACUACAUGAAGAACAAGGUGCUACUUUGAAGCACAAGUGUGGAAAAAGAGAUAGUAACAUUGCCCUUUUUAUUUUUUUUUAUUUUUUUUAUUUUUUUUCUUUUUCUUUUUUUUGGGCCCUUCUUUUUUUUCUUUUGGCCUUUUUUUUCUUCUUUUGGGCAAUGUUCUAAUAAUGAUGAUCAUCACACUUUCAUUGAUUAUAACAUAUGAAUUACAACUCGAAACUAGAACAAGAUAUGACUCUAUAUGAAUGCCUGCGGUGGUGUACCGGGAUGGUGCAAUGAAUCAAGAGUGACAUGUAUGAAAAAUAAUGCAUGGUGGCUUUGCCACAAAUAUGAUGUCAACUACAUGAUCAUGCAAUGGCAAUAUGACAAAAGUAAUGUAAGUCAUGAUGAUGAAAAACGGAACGUUGGAGAGUUGCAUGGCAAUAUAUCUCGGAAUGGCUAUGGAAAUGCCAUAAUAGGUAGGUAUGGUGGCUGUUUUGAGGAAGAUAUAAGGAGGUUUAUAUGUGAUAGAGCGUAUCGUAUCACGGGGUUUGGAUGCACCGGCGAAGUUUGCACCAACUCUCAAGGUGAGAAAGGGCAAUGCACGGUACCGAAGAGGCUAGCAAUGGCGGAAAGGUAAAAGUGCGUAUAAUCCAUGGACUCAACAUUAGUCAAAAAAACUCAUAUACAUAUUGCAAAAAUUUAGAAGUCAUAAAAAUCAAGCACUACGCACAUGCUCCUAGGGGGAUAGAUUGGUAGGAAAAGACCAUCGCUCGUCCCCGACCGCCACUCAUAAGGAUGCACAAGCCAGGUACACUUCAUGUUUCAAAUUUGUUACACAACUCUAACCAUAGGUGCAUGCUACAGGAUUUGCUAACUUCAACACAAGAAUUCUUUAAAUUCAUAAUCACCCAACUAGCAUGACUUUAAUAUCACUACCUCCAUAUCUCAAAACAGUUAUCAAGUAUCAAAUUGAUCAUAGCAUCCAAUUCGCUUCCUAUGAUAGUUUUUAUUAUACCCAACUUGGAUGCCUACCAUUCUAGGACAAAUUUUGUAACCAUAGAAAAUACCAUGCUGUUCUAAAAGACUCUCAAGAAGAUAUAAGUGAAGAAUGAGAGACUAGCAGCUUCUAUAAAAUCAAGCCACCGUCGUUCUCUAAAAGAUACAAGUGAAGCACUAGAGCAAAAACUAUCAAGCUCAAAAAGAUAUAAGUGAAGCACAUAGAGUAUUCUAGCAAAAUUAUAAUCAAAUAGGCUUCUCACAAAAGGUGUGUACAGCAAGGAUGAUUGUGGUAAACUAAAAAGCAAAGACUAAUAUAAUACACGACGCUCCAAGCAAAACACAUAUCAUGUGGCGAAUAAAAAUAUAGCUCCAAGUAAAGUUACCAAUGAACAAAGACGAAAGAGGGGAUGCCUUCCCGGGGCAUCCCCAAGCUUAGGAUUUUGUAUAUUCUUGAAUAUCUUGGGGUGCCUUGGGCAUCCCCAAGCUUAGGCUCUUUCCAAUCCUUAUUCCAUAGUCCAUAAAAGCUUUACCCAAAACUUGAAAACUUCACAACACAAAACUCAACGGGAAAUCUUAUAAGCUCCGUUAGUGAAAGAAAAAAAACCCAACACAUAAGGUACUAUAAUGAACUCAUUAUUUAUUUAUUUUGGUGUUAAACCUACUGUAUUCCAACUUCUCUAUGGUUUAUAAACUAUUUUAGCAGCCAUAGAUGCAUCAAAAUAAGCAAACAACACACGAAAAACAGAAUCUGUCAAAAACAGAACAGUCUGUAGCAAUCUGUAACUAAAGCAAACUUCUUGAACUCUAAAACUCCUACCAAAAUAGGGUGUACUGGAAAAUUUGUUUAUUGAUCAGCAGCAAAAAGAAUCAAUGCAAAAGCACGUUUCUGUGAUUUAUUGAAUUUUUUCUCGUGAGCGCAAAGUUUCUGUUUUUCAGCAGAAUCAAAUCAACUAUCAUCAUAGUUUAUCCUAUAGGUUCUACUUGGCACAAACACUAAUUAAAAGAUAAGAAAGCAUCUAAACAGAAGGAAGAUGCAAAAUUUAUUACUAAACAGGAGCAAAAACAAAAAACACAAAGAAAAUUGGGUUGCGUCCCAACUAGCGCUAUCAUUUAACGCCCUAGCUAGGCAUAAAAGCGAAGAUAGAUCUAAGUAGUGCCAUCUUUGGCACUAAAUUCAUAAGUAGCCCGCAUGAUAUAUUCAUAAAGUAAUUUGACUUUCUUUCUUGGAAAGUUCUCCAUGCCUUUCUUUAAUGGAAAUUGGAAUCUAAUAUUCCGUUCCUUCAUAUCAAUAAUCGCCCCAAUCGUUCUAAGGAAAGGUCUACCAAGAAUAAUAGGGCAAGAAAGAUUGCAAUCUAUAUCAAGAACAAUAACAUCUACGGGCACCAAAUUUCUAUUUGCAACAAUGAGAACAUCAUUAAUCCUCCCCGUUGGCUUUUUAAUGGUGGAAUCCGCAAGGUGAAAAUUUAAAGAGCAAUCAUUAAGAUCAUGGAAACCUAGAAUAUCACAUAAAGUUUUCGGAAUCGUGGAAACACUAGCAGCCAAAUCACACAAAGCAAAACACUCAUGAUCUUUAAUUCUAAUCUUUAUAGUAGGUUCCCACUCAUCAUUAAGUUUUAUAGGUAUAGAAACUUCUAAAUUAAGUUUUUCAUCAUAAGAUUGCAACAAGGCAUCAACGAUAUGUUUGGUAAAAGCUUUAUUUUGACUAUAAGCAUGUGGAGAAUUAACAACGGAUUGCAACAAGGAAAUACAACAUUCUAAAUAACAAUUAUCAUAAUCAAAUUCCUUGAAAUCCGAGAUAGUGGGUUCAAUACUAUUUAAAGUUGUGACCUCUCCAAUCCCACUUUUACCAAAUUUAGCAUCAAGAUCUAAAAACUCCGAAUUUUUGGGACGCCUUCUAGGUAAAGUUGACUCAUCACCAGUGCCAUAAUUAUCAAGAUUCAUAUUGCAAAACAUAGAUCUAAUAGGAGAUGCAUCAAUAACUUUAAGAUCCUCAUCAUUAUUUUCAUGAAAACUAGAAGAACAUGCUUUUAUAAAGCUAUCUUUUUUAGCACGCAAUCUAGCGGUUCUUUCUUUGCACUCAUCAAUGGAAAUUCUCAUUGCUUUGAGUGACUCAUUGAUAUCAUGCUUAGGAUAAGAAGAUCUAAUUUUAAGAGAAUCAACAUCAAGCGAAAGUCUAUCAACGUUCCUAGCCAAAUCAUCAACUUUGAGCAAUUUUUCUUCAAGCAAAGCAUUAAAAUUCUUUUGAAAAAUCAUAAAUUCUUUCACACUAUUCUCAAAAUCAAAGGGAAUCUUAUUAAAAUUACCAUAAGAAUUUUUGUAAGAAUUUCCAUAAUUAUUAGAGGAAUUACUAGGGAACGGUCUAGCAUUGAAGUUUCCUCUAUAAGCAUUGUUUCCAAAACUAUUCCUACCAACAAAAUUCACAUCCAUAGAUUCAUUAUUACUCUCAAUCAAAGUAGACAAAGGCAUAUCAUUGGGAUCAAGAGGUGUAUUUUUAGUAGCAAACAACUUCUAAGUUCAUCCAUCUUUCCACUCAAAACAUUGAUUUCUUCUAUAGCAUGCACUUUUUUACUAGAAGAGCUUUCGGUGUGCCAUUGAGAAUAAUUAGCCAUAAUAUUAUCAAGAAGUUUUGUAGCAUCUCCUAACGUGAUUUCCAUAAACAUGCCUCCCGCGGCCGAAUCUAAGCGAUUUCUAGAAGCAAAGUUCAAACCGGCAUAAAAAUUUUGUAUGAUCAUCCAUAAAUUCAAACCACGAGUAUGGCAAUUGCGAAGCAUCAAUUUCAUUCUUUCCCAAGAUUGGGCAACAUGCUCAUGAUCAAGUUGUUUAAAAAUCAUGAUAUCGUUCCUAAGAGUGAUAAUCUUAGUGGGAGGAAAAUACUUAGAGAUAAAAGCAUCUUUGCACUUGUCUUCGCUAUAAAGCUAUCUUUUUUAGCACGCAAUCUAGCGGUUCUUUCUUUGCACUCAUCAAUGGAGAUUCUCAUUGCUUUGAGAGACUCAUUGAUAUCAUGCUUAGGAGAAGACGAUCUAAUUUUAAGAGAAUCAACAUCAAGCGAGAGUCUAUCAACGUUCCUAGCCAAAUCAUCAACUUUGAGCAAUUUUUCUUCAAGCAAAGCAUUAAAAUUAUUUUGAGAAAUCAUAAAUUCUUUCACACUAUUCUCAAAAUCAGAGGGCAUCUUAUUAAAAUUACCAUAAGAAUUAUUGUAGGAAUUUCCAUAAUUAUUAGAGGAAUUACUAGGGAACGGUCUAGCAUUAAAGUUUCCUCUAUAAUUGUUUCCAAAACUAUUCCUACCAACAAAAUUCACAUCCAUAGAUUCAUUAUUACUCUCAAUCAAAGUAGACAAAGGCAUAUCAUUGGGAUCAAGAGGUGUAUUUUUAGUAGCAAACAACUUCAUAAGUUCAUCCAUCUUUCCACUCAAAACAUUGAUUUCUUCUAUAGCAUGCACUUUUUUACUAGAAGAUCUUUCGGUGUGCCAUUGAGAAUAAUUAGCCAUAAUAUUAUCAAGAAGUUUUGUAGCAUAUCCUAACGUGAUUUCCAUAAAUGUGCCUCCCGCGGCCGAAUCUAAGAGAUUUCUAGAAGCGAAGUUCAAACCGGCAUAAAAUUUUUGUAUGAUCAUCCAUAAAUUCAAACCACGAGUAUGGCAAUUGCGAAGCAUCAAUUUCAUUCUUUCCCAAGAUUGGGCAACAUGCUCAUGAUCAAGUUGUUUAAAAUUCAUGAUAUCGUUCCUAAGAGUGAUAAUCUUAGCGGGAGGAAAAUACUUAGAGAUAAAAGCAUCUUUGCACUUGUUCCAAGAAUCAAUACUAUUUUUAGGCAAAGACGAGAACCAAACUUUAGCACGAUCUCUAAGUGAAAACAUAAAUAACUUGAAUUUGACAAUAUUGUUAUCCGUAUCUUUCUUCUUUUGCAUAUCACACAAAUCAACAAAGUUUUUUAGAUAAGUAGCGGCAUCUUCACUAGGAAGGCCCGCGAAUUGAUCUUUCAUAACAAGAUUUAGCAAAGCAGCAUUGAUUUCACAAGACUCAACAUCAUUAAGAGGAGCAAUUGGAGUACUAAGGAAAUCAUUAUUAUUGGUAUUCCAUAAGUCACACAAUUUGGUAUUCUCUUGCGCCAUGGCAACAAGUAAUCCAACACACAAGCAAACAGAAAAAGGCAAGCGAAAAGAGAGGAGGAGAUUGGGAAAAAGAGGGCGAAUAAAACGACCAGGGUGAAGUGAGGGAGAGGAAAACGAGAGGCAAAUGACAAAUAAUGUAAAUGCGAGGGAGAUGAGUUUAUGAUGGGUACUUGGUAUGUCUUGACUUGAGCGAAGACUUCCCUGGCAACAGCGCCAGAAAUCCUUCUUGCUACGUCUUGAGCUUGCGUUGGUUUUCCUUGAAGAGGAAAGGGUGAUGCAGCAAUAGUAGCGUAAGUAUUUCCCUCAGUUUUUGAGAACCAAGGUAUCAAUCCAGUAGGAGGCUCCUCAAAAGUCCCACACACCUACACAAACAAACAAAGAACUCGCAACCAACGCAAUAAAGGGGUUGUUAAUCCCUUCACGGCCACUUGCGAAAGUGAGAUCUGAUAGAGAUAGUAUGAUAAGAUAAAUAUAUUUUUGGUAUUUUAUAAUAUAGAUGCAAAAAGUAAAGAUGCAAAUAAAAGUAAAUUGGAAGCGAAUGUGAUAAGAGAUAGACCCGGGGGCCAUCACUACAAAAAAAUACACUUCCGUGAUGAUACGUGUUUGUCAUAGUAGGUCGCGUUUUUUGUCAUGCAUGUACAUCCAUGACAAAUUUAUGACAGAAUCAAGAUAGUCAUACCUGUGCUGUCUUAGAAGCGCUCGAUGACAUUACCAAAAUUAUCAUCAUGGAAGUGUCCACUUCCAUGACGAUAAAUCACGCGUCAUAGAACUGCUUUCAUCAAGGGUGAUCGACACGUGGCAUCCACCGUAAUGGAACACCGUUAAGCUAUUGGGUCGGGUUUUGGAUCCGAUAACCCAUUAACAACCCCGACCAAUGGGGAUUUUCCACGUGUAAAAUCAUCAUUGGCUGGAGGAAACACGUGUCGGCUCACCGUUGGGACAGAUGUCAUCCACUCAUUGGACAGAAGGCGCCUAUGAUACGUCGACAUGUGGCACGGCCCAAUAGAGGCCCAUUCCUGUGAAAAGGCCGGCCCGUUUGACUUGGUCAAAAGGUGGCGGGCCGGCCCAAGGAAAGCCUGUUAACGGCCUGUUCGCAUAUAGCCCAUUUACAGCCCGCUAACCCAAGGCCCGUUACGCCCUAUCCGAAUUAGGCCCAGUAGCGUCAUCUGGGCCAUCCAAUAUGAUUCCAGCCCAUUUUCACUUCUGGCCCAUGUAUGGCCCAUGACGUCUUUCGGCCCAUAUGAGGCCCUAUGUAACUCUUGGCCUAUUAACGGCCCAUGGUGAAUCUAGCCCGCAAUGAACAGUGUAUCACUUUACACCCACUAACGGCCCAUGGUGAAACUGGCCCGUAACGAACAGUAUAUCACUUUAUACCCAUUAAGGUCCCAUUAUUCAGUUGGGCCGUUUCUAGCAAAUGUUAUCUUUCGGCCUUCUCAGAGCCCAUUUAUUCUUGGGCUCAUUUCUAGCAUUCGUUUACUUACGGCCCGUUACUGUCAUUUUCUGCUUGUGGGCCAAAUUCAGCCCGUGGUUACAUCGACCCGUUUGUGGUUCAUUAAUACGUUGGGCCAUUUUCAUAGCGUCAUCAAAUACGGCCUAUUAACGAUGGCCCGUUAUGGUCACACGGCCCAUAUAAGGCCCAUUGAUGAUACGUCCCGUAGAAGUCCCAAUUGUUUCUAUGGCCCGUAGAAGGCCCAUUGUUUCUACGGCCCGUAGGAGGCCCAUUGUUUCUACGGCCCGUAGAAGGCCCAUUGUUUCUACGGCCCGUAGAAGGCCUACUGUUUCUACGGCCCGUAGAAGGCCCACUAUUUCUACGACCCGUAGGAGGCCCAGUGUCACUACAAUAAAUAUUAGCCCAUGGUUAUUGUGGCCUAGUUUUAAAAAGAACUGCACUGACUACAAGCAAACAAAUAAGCAAGCAACUUAUGCGAGGCUAUCACGGCUGUUACACAUAUUACAUCCACUGGGCAUCAAAGUUCGCCACCAGUGCAAAUAUAGGGAACAAAGCAGCAUACCAUAUACACUGGUUGUCAAAGUUGGCGACCAGCGCAAAUAAACGCCGCAGCAAAACAAAUCCAGAACUGAAACCACUUCAGAAGAUCUCAAGAAACAAUAUCCUGGGUACCCAUAAUGCUGGCAAGAUGCUUAGCAAGCUUAUUAACUUUCUCUUGUUUGGCGCUUAAAUCCUCCAGCGCUUGCUGUUGCACCAGAAAAUAUGCAUCUGAAUUCUGCAGGGACUUCCUCAGUCCUUCAGCUUCCUAUCGCAGCACAUCCGAUCGAUGUCUUUCAACUUGAAGUUGAGACUCAAGAAGACGAACUGAUUCAGGCAGCGAGUUCGAAGAGCUUGUGCCAGCAGUAGUGGCCAGUAACUCGAACACUACAUCAAGACAAGACUUUUGGGUUCCCUCACUGUCGUCAAGAUAGUUUUUAUCAGCUUUCUUGGAGACCAACAGGGAUGCCUCACUAUCUUGAACCUUAUCUACAUUACUUCCUUUACCAUUGGAUAACGCGGUACUAUUCUCCAAUAUUUUGUCCGCAUUCUAAAAGAGAAACAAGCAGACACAUCACAUGUUUACCAUGUUGUAUAUGAAACUCAUUUUGGUAAAUGAGUUCAUUAGUAAAGUGGACAGGAUAACAUCAUGAAAAAAACAUAUAUCUAUGUGCCAUGGUCACUUUAUGGUCCAUAUCAUUCUAGUUUUUGUUGCCAAAUCAAGAUAGAGACACAGUUCAAAUAAUAUUUGUUCAAGACAAAGCAGAAUAGACAGAAUAUAAGUGUGGGUAACUAUAGAGCAAUAACAACACUUGUAAUGUGCAUGACAUGAGAACAUAACUAUUUAUUCAAUUGAAACUGAAAUCAACAUAGAGCAGGUUACAACAGCAAACCAGUUAAAGAAACAGGUUUAAAACAUACCUGCUGCGCCAUUGGAGUUUCAAUUCCAUCCUUCAAAUUUGAAAAUAGUUGGUAUGUGUAAAUACAGUAAUGCAAGAGCAAAGGAGUAUGAACCAUAGCUACAGUACCUGACCUGAGAACAAAUCUUCUUCUCCUUUAAGCGUUGAGUUGGGAUCCGGAGUGGUGGUCCUCAUGCUUUGGGCACUGCAGUUCCCUUACUAACCGCUCGUGUUUGGGUGCUUUGUGGUGGAGAUGGUGCUGUGUCAACUGGAAUUGGGUUACUAUCUGCCGGGGUUGGGGUUAAAAGGGGUGUAGCUGGUUCUCUGUCCAACUGGGUAGGGGUACAAUCUGCGAGAGUCUGGGUUAUGUGUGGUGGAUCUGGUCCUUGGGCAAGUACAACUGUGGUUCUAUCUGCAUCAACUGGUAACACUAUCUUUUCUGAAGACCGUGUUGUUACUCCCUUAGAUACUGCCAUCACGCUCUCCAAUUCAAAUGGCUGAUAAACAAGAAAAGUAAUUGAAAGUAUAGACAUUGUAUGAUAGACAGGUGCAAUGGAUAGUGGGGAAUAAAAGAGGGCAUGAAAUAAUUCAUAUUUAUGUUGUCUAACCAAACAGGAUAGCAUGGCACAAUUUCACAUAUAUGAUGGCUAACUAAACAGGAUAGCAUGACACAAUUUUACAUUAUGAUGGCUAACUAAAAAAGAUGGAAAGACAUAGUUCAAAAUAUGAGACUAUGUAAACAGGAUGACAUGACAUAACUAUAUAAUGUGUUUAUUAAAUAGGUUGGCAUGCCAUAAUUCACAUACAUUCAUGGAUAGAAUGCCAUAAUUCUAAAUAUGAUGACUGUAAACACUAAACAGGAUGAGAUGAUAUAACUAUAUGAUGUCUUUAUUAAAUGGGUUGCCAUGCCAUAAUUCAGAUAGAUGAUGUGCAUGUACUAUGUAAACAUGAUGGAAUGAUAUAAUUCAAAUAUAUGAUUUAUAUAGUAAGCAAGUAAGCAGAUGGCAAUCUAUAUAUGAUGUAAAAACUAAGCAAUGCAAGACAACAUGCAUGACAUGGGUAAUAUAACUCUGCCAAGUUUGAGCAUAGACCUCAGGGGGAAAUAGGACUGGUCAUCAGUCUCUGAAUCCUCCUCUGAGGAGCUCUCUGUAGCCAGCAAGAUGUCUGCUUCAGCAGGUAGCAUUGUCUACUCUGAAUACCUUGUUUUCACUCCAGAUACUCCCAUCACCGCUUCAAAUGGCUGAUGCACAGGAAGAGUAGUUGAAUAUACAAACGUUGUCGACAAAUGGAACACGUAAUACAAAAAAAUGAUAGCAUGAUAUAAUUCACAUACAUGAUGAUUGGCUAAACAGCAUGGCAUUGCAUAAUUCACAUAUAUAAUGCCUUUGCAACAAGAUAGCAUUGUAUAAUUCACAUAUAUAAUGUCUUGCAACAAGAUGGCAAUGCUAAUUCACAUAUAUGGUAAUUAGACACUGAACAGGUGUCAUUCACACAAAGCAUGUCUAAACUAAUCAAAUGGCAUAGCAAUGCGAGACACCAUACGCACGAUAUGAGCAACAUAACCCUGCCAAGUUAGAGCAUACACCUUUGGGGGGGGGGAAUAGGACUGGUCAUCUGUCUCUGAAUCCUCCUCUGAGGAGCUAUCCGUAACCAGCGAGAUAUGCGCUUCGUCAGAUAGCAUAGUCUGCUCAGGAGACCUUGUUUUCACUCCAGAAUUUGCCAUCACCGUGUCAAAUGGCUGAUGCACAUGAAGAGCAGUUGAAUGUACUAACAUUUUUGACGAAUGUAAUAUGUAACGAAAAAAAAGAUGGCCUGAUAUAAUUUACAUAUAAGAUGACUGGCUAAGAAGGAUGGCAUUGCAAAAUUCACAUAUAUGAUGCCUGGCUAAACAAGGUGGCGUUGCAUAAUUCACAUAAACGAUGAAUAAACUAAACAGAUGGCAUUCGCACAAAGGAUGUCUAAACUAAGCAGAUGACAUAUUUGAUGUAUAAAGUAAGCAAUGCAAGACACCAUAUGCCCUAUAUAACCAACAUCAGCAUGCCAAGUUAGAGCGAAGACCUCAGGGGGUAAAUAGGAGUUAUCUUCUCCUUCUGAAUCCCCCUCAGAACAGAUAUCUUCCUCUCGAUUACAAUCUGAAAUGCGUGGAGGGGGGGCUGCCUUUGCGCCUACCAUGGAGUGACGUCUACAUGAAAUUAUAUUGCCACGCAAGGCUCGUCUCUUUUGCUCUACAUGUUCAGUUCCAUUAUUUACAAUAACUGUCAUGCAUAGGAAUAAAACAUAGUGAGAUUAUGUAAGGAGUGCAUGCAGAAAUCCAGAGUGAUGGUAGCAACCUGUGGAUAGACCCAAAACCAAUAAUAGCAGGCAGAUAAUGGCUUUAGUUAAUAAAUACAGAUAAUGGCUUCUUUACUGUUUGUUUCCCACCCAACAUGAAACUCAUAGUAGACACCGGAGAUUAACCAGAUAGUAGAUAGAUACUAUUGAUAGCGGCCCCGAUAUGUACCCCACAACCAUUUAAAAACUCAAGUUUGACCAUUAGUUUGGAGCUGACUCAGAGUCUAAUCGGUGAACAGGACGAUAAAGUAGCAUGUAAUAUUAAGCGAUGCAUAACGUAAGCAGACACGAAAGAGUGCGACCUCUCUUGCGGACCCGUGUAGUCCUCGAGGUCAUCUGCUCGGUUGAUAAUGGUAAUGCAGUUUUCAUGGCUGCCAGCGGCGGGGAAGAAGAUCUGAGGCGGCGAAAGACAGUUUGGAGGCCGGAUCCCUGCUCUGCUGGACCCUUCUAUCGUUGGAGCAGCUGAGCUGGGGUGGACGACGGUGCAGCAGGACCGGGACAAACCACACAAGGUAUUCUUUGACAACUAUCUGUAAGAGAAGUAAUUCUGUAAGGGCUCGUUUGAAUUGGAGGAUUCCAACAAUGCAGGGAUAGGAAAUAGACAGGAAUAGGAUAGGAAUGCACGUGCAAAAUAGAGAAUUUAAAAACAUAGGAUUUCUGCCAAUCUGGGUGUUUGAUUCACAACAAUUGGAAGAUCACAGGAUGCAAAGAAGCAUGGUGAGGUUAAGUCAAACAACAAGAAAAUGUACGGUUAUAAUGCUAUUAUGCUACUAUCUCUUAGUCUUGUGCUUCAUGAAUAGGAAUUUGAAAAGGAGGACAAGUGAAAAUUAAAAUUCCUACAUUUUUUCUUUCAAGGAGACACUAAAGGAACAAAUCCGUGUGCUCAGUGGACAAUAUAUAUAACAUGUAGAGUAAAAAGAGAUGCAACAAGUGUACAACCUCUUUGGCGAAGCCAUGUCGAUCUCAGCGUGAUUGGGUUGGACGGUGAGGAUGCUCCGGCUGACUUUGCUGUCGGAGGAGGGGAAGAAGAUCUUAGGCGUCUGGAGAUGCAGCCCGAGGUACUGCUCCGCUGUGAUGGAGGGUUUCGUCAUUGGAGCUGCUCCGAUGAGUUGUACGACGCCGAGGAUGAAGUAGGACAAGAGAGACAAUGAACAACGUUAACCUGAGUGGAAUUCUAAUAGCAUCUCCAAUACAUGACGAAAAAUACAUAACCACAAAGUGCUAGAUGUAAAAUACAUCAGCCGCUCAUCUCUGAACUUAACUGUCGAAACUGAACUUAACUGUCGAAACUGAACCUAACUAUCCAAACUGAAUUUUGCUGUCAAAACUGAAUUUUGCUAUCGAAACUGAACACACUAGCAAGGUGAGGCUACACGCGGGUCGACUGACAUUUUCAUCUCUGGUCACUCAAUUUUGCAGCCGUUGGAUACGAAAUCAAGUGCCUGCGGUUCAUCUUCAACCUCCACCCCCCUGAGCCGCCAGCCACCACUGGCCAAAUAGCAGCCCCAGGCCGCCCGUGGCCGGCGGUGCGCCGCCCCGCCCGCCCCGAAAACACUCCCCACCACCGGUACGCCGCCGCCCCAGCCAUCCCUCUAGGCCUUCCCGUGCCGAGCUUUUUCUCCGGCGAUCCCCACGCCACCACCCCACCAACGCCGUGCCACCGCCGGCGACCACCGCCCCCAUCCUGAACCCUAAGAUAGAUAGUGGGGUACCUCUCCGGUGAGCCCCCUCCCCACUGCGGCUGGUUCUUCCUUCACCCCGGUGAGCCCACCCCUUGGAAAUCGACUGACCCAAAAGUUGAUUCAGUCGACUAAAGUGUAGCCAAAUCGGAGCAGCAUCGCAAGCAAGAGCAAGAGCGAGAGCAGCAGCGCGAGCAAGAGCAAUAACAAGAGCAGACCAGGCAGGGGACCGAGAGCAAGAGCAGAGCAGCAGCGCGAGCGAGAGCUAAAGCAGCAGCAGCUCCUACUGAUGUGGACGUCACUGCCGAGGGAGCGACGCCGUGGUGGAAGUGGGCGGUGAUGUCGCCGUGGAUGGAGCCGAGCCGUGUCAGCUCGGGACCGAGCGCCGGCAGCACCAUGAGAUCGAAUCAAGAAGAAAAUGCGGCGAUUAGUGUACAACCUCUUUGGUGGCACCGAUUAGCUAGGCCACAGCUUCAUCCGAGGAAACGGUGAUGAUGAUGCUCUUCCGGUGGUGCAGGUGAAGACGGCGGUGUGGGAAUGGAGGUGGCGCGAAAGACGAGGGGAACGUCGGGGCAGCUCCUUGGAGGUGGAGGACAUGGCUGAACCGGCGGGACGAUGAGAUCGACGACGGAUCCUCAUCCGUUACGGUGGAUGAGGGACGUCGAGGUGUUGCUGUGGACGACAUCGUCGGGGAAGAAGCUCCAGCUGGGUGGUGGACGGAGCAGGGUAUGGGGUUUUGUCGCGGGUUUUCGCGGCCUCGGUGUACGAAUGGGUGGGCGGAUGGGAUGGCAGUGGGGAACCAUGGCUUAGAGACGCGCUUGUCUGAAAUGUGGGGUAAGUUACGAAAGUACCCCCACCGAUUUGAGGCGGUUCUUUCGGUUCAGGGGUACCACGGGCAUUUCGCGUGUCAGGAUUUCACAGGAGGUGGGAGUUUUCGCGCGCGUUGUAAUUUCGGAAUAGCAAGGCGUGGGUUGAGAUGGAGGGAGUUGUCGGAGCACAACGAGACAAAGAUAUAUCUUAAAUAUUCCGGGCUAACAAGGCGCGGGUUGAAAUUUUUGGACAAGCCUAACGUGUACUGUACCAAAUCAAUGCGCACUAGUCAUUCAAAACUUUGAAUUCAUGUUAUGUUCAAUUAAAAUAUUUUGCUACGUGUAUAAUGCAUGCAACCUACUACUCAAAUGAACGUUUUAGUGCAUUCCAAACAUAUGUACUACCGCUUCAAUAUGAACUAAAUUUGAAUAAGAUCUACAGUAAUGAUUGUUGUGAAGUCAAAGCAUUUGAAUCCGUUUCUCUGUUUUAAUAAGAUCUACAGUCAUCAUUAUUGUCAAGUUAAACCGUCAUUUGUGUAUUAUCUUCACAGCACACCACAUGAUCAGUAUCGAGUUACAUAUGAACUAUGUGUACUAUAUGAACUCGAACUAGAUUUUUUGAAUCCACUUUAUUUUGAUUUCAAAUCACAUUACAUUUCUAGCUCUAGCUAGAUCUUCAUAAUCUAAACCAGGUCUCAUAUGUAUAAUGUGUUCAUCACAUUAUGUAUGGUGCCCCACCCCCUACGCCUACAAGUAUUUAGAUGUGAGUUACAAACACCACACAUUACCACAAAUUCAAAUAAAAUGUGAGAAUGUUCGAUAUAUAGUAUUGUUUAGGUUGCUCGAUAUUUAGUUGUAAGCUGCAAACGCCGCACAUUAUCACAAAUUCAAAUAAAAUGUGAGAUUGUUUGAUGUAUAGUAUGGUUUAGAUUGUUCAGCAUUUAGCUGCGAGUUGCAAACGCCAUGCAUUAUCACAUUAUGGUAUAACAUGUGCACAACACGUGUAUCACCGCUAUAUUCAUGCAUGCAAUAUUUAAAACACUAUGAUCUCCGAUUCAAAUAUAUGAAUCUGCUUUCAUAUCAAAUUAUGAUCUUUGUUAGUCUCUUACACCCACACAGUCCUCUAACCUUUGUAGCUACCACUAACUUUCUCUCGUGCAUGCACACGCCCUCCUCGCCCUCCCCCUCCCUCACAUUCUAUCCACCGGGCACAUUCAUUUUUUCCUUUAGGUCGUUCUCCCAGAGUCUCCACAACUCCUUUCCGACACACACCGAUCGAUAAACCUCUCCAGCGAUGCCUGCCUACAGCAUACACACACAGCUUCAAUCUCCUCCUUUAUGUGUCCUUGCCUCGCGUCUCUCAUAUGGUCAGACACACGUGUAAACUCUCAACCCUCUUUUAAUCGAUCUCACAACCGCACACUCCUCCCCCUAUCCAGCUAGUAGUUGGGCCUCUCGCACCACCUCCUAGAUCCAUUCUCUCUGUCUAUCCAUCUUGCUAGGCCUUAUUUGCCUCUAACAAAUGGACGUAUACCGACCGAUCUCCCGCUAUACAUAUAGCCAGCUAGGUCCUUAUAACUCGUUUUUACCCACACAUCGAUCGAUCUACCUCAUUAAUUGUGUCUCUCCCUUCCUCCGACAAACAACAAUUGAUCUACCGAUCUAGUUAGGUUUGCUUACCAAACAUAUGGUUCCCCUUCAUCAUCCAUGGAUGCAUCCCGACAGAUCUAUCACGCACAGGCACACACAGAAACACAUCCCCACUCUUAUUGAUAACAUUGCAGUUCCACCCUCAGUUUGUCUAGUAGGCCUCUCCCAACAUCUCCGAGAAGCAACUCCAUCACCCAUCCAGCACUCUACCCCUCUCCCUCCCUCUCCCUCCCUCUCCCUCCCUCUCUCUCCUCUCUCUCUCUCAGUCCCAUCAUAUUUCCCGUCCUUCAGUUAUGUAUGGAUGUCGACCGAUCUCCCUCAUGACAUAGCUAGGUCUCUCCUUCUCAACACAUAUACGAGUCAUUCUACCUCUAUAGUUAGGCCUCUGCCUACCCCUCCCCCCCCACACACACCGAUACAUCAAGCGCUCUAGUCAUGUCUCCCCGCCAUACACAAACUUGACAUGUGCCCUCUAACACUCCGGUAGGCCAGUCGCCCUAUAUCUUUGACUUGCACACACACACACACACAAUUUCGAUGGCUAUCUUCAUCGAUCUUGCACCCACCCGUACUUGAUCCUCUCUUCGACUCUAUCGAUAGCUAUGACCCCUCCCUCUCUUCUCGUGGAUUGCCCGACCCUCUAUGUAUGAUAUGGAUAGGCCUCCAUUUCACACACAUUGCAUGCAAAAUUUUGUUUGAGAUGUCAUCGACACAUAUUCCCACAAAUAAUUCAUGAAAUCAACCCCCACCCCACCCCCACCCCCACCACAAAACAAAAAACACUCACGAACACGGUUUGUAUCUCUCACACAAACCCACGUAGGUGGGGGACGUGCACGAAGAGAAGAGGUGCAUGCACGGCGCACGUACUCCCGUCUCUUUCCCAACCACACCCACGCGGGUACACGGUGGAGCUCAUUUCUGUACGAAAAAGGCAGCCCACGUGGUAAUUUGGCACGUGUACUGGUUGUCCACUUGGUGGAGGGAGGAUCGUCUACCAUAGGUGAACAAACAAAUUGUGACUUGACGCGUUAUGUUAAAUUAAAAAAAGAGGCAAACUAUGUAGGGCCUACCUUAGAGGCAAGACUCUAUACACUGGAGUACUUUUGAUGUGUCCCGUCAACUCGUAGAACGAGGAGAAGCUUGCUUAGUACGUCGUCUCCCCCGCCUACGGGCGCGGUGGCUCACAGGAUGAGGUGAAGCUUGCUCCUCCCUCGCCCAUGCGUGCGGUGUCUCACAGGACGAGGAGAAAAAUUUACUACUCCCUCCGUUUACUACUCGUCCCUACUACCUUGGUUAUAGAGAUUAUAUCAUAUUGUUUGGAAUAUAUAUGUCCUUAGUAGAUUUUAAUAUGAACUACUAGUACAUACUCCAAACACUGAUGUAUAUAGACGUAUUUUAGAGUGCACAUUCACUCAUUUUGCUCCGUAUGUAGUAGCACUCUCCCUCGCCCCUCGACCCUCGCCCACGUGGUGGACGUGCAGCAAUUCAUUCGGUCUCAUAUAGCCAGAACGAUAUAUACUGCACUACCAUUAUUGCUCGACUUCCCGAAGAGGCGAAGAGCCAAUCACAAGGUUAAUAUUUUGGAGAUGCCAAGCACAAGGUUAUAGGAGAACGAGUAGUAGGUGCCACGUCAUUUAUAAACAAUUUUUUUUCUUCAGCGGCACGUAUGCAAUAUGAUAGGUUCAUAUGGAGAGAAAAGGAAACCGCUCCACUAUAUACAUAGUCAGGACGGGCCAGCCUACACGGUUGCUUGCUGGGGUUGCUCUCUUCACACUCUCUCGCACAAAAUGACUGUGGCCACAUCUCUAACAUCCCGGCUGAUCACGUCCGCUUGGGGAAGGGGUGGAUGCUUAGUGUAGAUGCGGUGUCCAUCGCCGACGGCGAAAACCCAUUGUUGGCACGUCCCGGUCAGGGGUCCCCGCCGUUCUCUCUCACAAAGCCGGUGAGGUUGCCUUCGUCCCUUGCUCACUGCUGCGACGUGGGAAGUUGCCGCCUCCCGCCGCCCUCCUCAAGGUCGAGCUACGUCCCUCAGGUACAACUCCCUUUACAGCCGGCUUGCACCACUACUCCAGCUGCCCACAUCACUCCCUGUGGAUAUUUCUCUACUUCUUUGCCCUGCACAUACCUGAUACCUCUAAUGGCUUCUACGUACUGUAUUUGUGAUGAGUUUAUGUCUCAUCAACUAGUCCUAGUAAUCUUAUUCUAAUCAUGCUUCUUUAAUUUCUUUGCCACAUGGAUGCUCAUCUCGAUUUUGGUGAAACUGCACAAAAUGAUCCGAUGGUCAAAAGGUUGCAAACUUCAUUUAUUAUGAAGCUCGAACGUUGCCAGCAAAUUGAAGCCCCACCCCCUACGCCUACAAGUAUUUAGAUGUGAGUUACAAACACCACACAUUACCACAAAUUCAAAUAAAAUGUGAGAAUGUUCGAUAUAUAGUAUUGUUUAGGUUGCUCGAUAUUUAGUUGUAAGCUGCAAACGCUGCACAUUAUCACAAAUUCAAAUAAAAUGUGAGAUUGUUUGAUGUAUAGUAUGGUUUAGAUUGUUCAGCAUUUAGCUGCGAGUUGCAAACGCCAUGCAUUAUCACAUUAUGGUAUAACAUGUGCACAACACGUGUAUCACCGCUAUAUUCAUGCAUGCAAUAUUUAAAACACUAUGAUCUCCGAUUCAAAUAUAUGAAUCUGCUUUCAUAUCAAAUUAUGAUCUUUGUUAGUCUCUUACACCCACACAGUCCUCUAACCUUUGUAGCUACCACUAACUUUCUCUCGUGCAUGCACACGCCCUCCUCGCCCUCCCCCUCCCUCGACAUUCUAUCCACCGGGCACAUUCAUUUUUUCCUUUAGGUCGUUCUCCCAGAGUCUCCACAACUCCUUUCCGACACACACCGAUCGAUAAACCUCUCCAGCGAUGCCUGCCUACAUCAUACACACACAGCUUCAAUCUCCUCCUUUAUGUGUCCUUGCCUCGCGUCUCUCAUAUGGUCAGACACACGUGUAAACUCUCACCCCUCUUUUAAUCGAUCUCACAACCGCACACUCCUCCCCCUAUCCAGCUAGUAGUUGGGCCUCUUGCACCACCUCCUAGAUCCAUUCUCUCUGUCUAUCCAUCUUGCUAGGCCUUAUUUGCCUCUAACAAAUGGACGUAUACCGACCGAUCUCCCGCUAUACAUAUAGCCAGCUAGGUCCUUAUAACUCGUUUUUACCCACACAUCGAUCGAUCUACCUCAUUAAUUGUGUCUCUCCCUUCCUCCGACAAACAACAAUUGAUCUACCGAUCUAGUUAGGUUUGCUUACCAAACAUAUGGUUCCCCUUCAUCAUCCAUGGAUGCAUCCCGACAGAUCUAUCACGCACAGGCACACACAGAAACACAUCCCCACUCUUAUUGAUAACAUUGCAGUUCCACCCUCAGUUUGUCUAGUAAGCCUCUCCCAACAUCUCCGAGAAGCAACUCCAUCACCCAUCCAGCACUCUACCCCUCUCCCUCCCUCUCCCUCCCUCUCCCUCCCUCUCUCUCUCCUCUCUCUCUCUCAGUCCCAUCAUAUUUCCCGUCCUUCAGUUAUGUAUGGAUGUCGACCGAUCUCCCUCAUGACAUAGCUAGGUCUCUCCUUCUCAACACAUAUACGAGUCAUUCUACCUCUAUAGUUAGGCCUCUGCCUACCCCUCCCCCCACCCCCUCCCCCCCCACACACACCGAUANNNNNNNNNNNNNNNNNNNNNNNNNNNNNNNNNNNNNNNNNNNNNNNNNNNNNNNNNNNNNNNNNNNNNNNNNNNNNNNNNNNNNNNNNNNNNNNNNNNNNNNNNNNNNNNNNNNNNNNNNNNNNNNNNNNNNNNNNNNNNNNNNNNNNNNNNNNNNNNNNNNNNNNNNNNNNNNNNNNNNNNNNNNNNNNNNNNNNNNNNNNNNNNNNNNNNNNNNNNNNNNNNNNNNNNNNNNNNNNNNNNNNNNNNNNNNNNNNNNNNNNUACUUGAUCCUCUCUUCGACUCUAUCGAUAGCUAUGACCCCUCCCUCUCUUCUCGUGGAUUGCCCGACCCUCUAUGUAUGAUAUGGAUAGGCCUCCAUUUCACACACAUUGCAUGCAAAAUUUUGUUUGAGAUGUCAUCGACACAUAUUCCCACAAAUAAUUCAUGAAAUCAACCCCCACCCCCCCCCCACCCCCACCACAAAACAAAAAACACUCACGAACACGGUUUGUAUCUCUCACACAAACCCACGUAGGUGGGGGACGUGCACGAAGAGAAGAGGUGCAUGCACGGUGCACGUACUCCCGUCUCUUUCCCAACCACACCCACGCGGGUACACGGUGGAGCUCAUUUCUGUACGAAAAAGGCAUCCCACGUGGUAAUUUGGCACGUGUACUGGUUGUCCACUUGGUGGAGGGAGGAUCGUCUACCAUAGGUGAACAAACAAAUUGUGACUUGACGCGUUAUGUUAAAUUAAAAAAAGAGGCAAACCAUGUAGGGCCUACCUUAGAGGCAAGACUCUAUACACUGGAGUACUUCUGAUGUGUCCCGUCAACUCGUAGAACGAGGAGAAGCUUGCUUAGUACGUCGUCUCCCCCGCCCACGGGCGCGGUGGCUCACAGGAUGAGGUGAAGCUUGCUCCUCCCUCGCCCAUGCGUGCGGUGGCUCACAGGACGAGGAGAAAAAUUUACUACUCCCUCCGUUUACUACUCGUCCCUACUACCUUGGUUAUAGAGAUUAUAUCAUAUUGUUUGGAAUAUAUAUGUCCUUAGUAGAUUUUAAUAUGAACUACUAGUACAUACUCCAAACACUGAUGUAUAUAGACGUAUUUUAGAGUGCACAUUCACUCAUUUUGCUCCGUAUGUAGUAGCACUCUCCCUCGCCCCUCGACCCUCGCCCACGUGGUGGACGUGCAGCAAUUCAUUCGGUCUCAUAUAGCCAGAACGAUAUAUACUGCACUACCAUUAUUGCUCGACUUCCCGAAGAGGCGAAGAGCCAAUCACAAGGUUAAUAUUUUGGAGAUGCCAAGCACAAGGUUAUAGGAGAACGAGUAGUAGGUGCCACGUCAUUUAUAAACAAUUUUUUUUCUUCAGCGGCACGUAUGCAAUAUGAUAGGUUCAUAUGGAGAGAAAAGGAAACCGCUCCACUAUAUACAUAGUCAGGACGGGCCAGCCUACACGGUUGCUUGCUGGGGUUGCUCUCUUCACACUCUCUCGCACAAAACGACUGUGGCCACAUCUCUAACAUCCCGGCUGAUCACGUCCGCUUGGGGAAGGGGUGGAUGCUUAGUGUAGAUGCGGUGUCCAUCGCCGACGGCGAAAACCCAUUGUCGGCACGUCCCGAUCAGGGGUCCCCGCCGUUCUCUCUCACAAAGCCGGUGAGGUUGCCUUCGUCCCUUGCUCACUGCUGCGACGUGGGAAGUUGCCGCCUCCCGCCGCCCUCCUCAAGGUCGAGCUACGUCCCUUAGGUACAACUCCCUUUACAGCCGGCUUGCACCACUACUCCAGCUGCCCACAUCACUCCCUGUGGAUAUUUCUCUACUUCUUUGCCCUGCACAUACCUGAUACCUCUAAUGGCUUCUACGUACUGUAUUUGUGAUGAGUUUAUGUCUCAUCAACUAGUCCUAGUAAUCUUAUUCUAAUCAUGCUUCUUUAAUUUCUUUGCCACAUGGAUGCUCAUCUCGAUUUUGGUGAAACUGCACAAAAUGAUCCGAUGGUCAAAAGGUUGCAAACUUCAUUUAUUAUGAAGCUCGAACGUUGCGAGCAAAUUGAAGCCCAGUCAGGGUUCAUGGUUCAAGGGCUAGGGACUGCAUGGAUCAUUUUUUUCUUUAGCUGCCUCUAUUCCAAAAUAAGUGUCAACUUUAGUAGUAGUACAACUUUGUACUAAAGUUUGCACAAAGUUGAGACACUUAUUUUGGAACGGAGGGAGUACAUAUUUUCUAUGAUCUGUCAAUCAUUGAGAUGCCAUAGCAUGCAUGUUAGUCUCCUUUGUAUUUGAUGAAAUGUUGCAACGGGCAACCAUGGAUGCAAGAUACAUGUAAUAGGAGCUGGAAGCUUCAUAGCAUUGUACAAAUUUAUCUCCCUGAUAAAUUAUAGUACGUACUAGUACUAUACUAGUACUUCCUCCGUUCCUAAAUAUAAGUCUUUGUAGAGAUUUCACCAUUAACCACAUGCGGAUGUAUAUAGAUGUAUUUUAGGUGUAGAUUCAUUCAUUUUGUUCCGUAUGUAGUUCACCUAGUGGAAUCUCUACAAAGACUUAUCUACUAGUAAUAGCUAGCGCCCACUACUAGGAAUUCUCUAUCCUCUCCUUGAGCCACAUCAUCAAAAUUGACGUAGCCGUUAGAUGAAGUAAAUCAGUCAUAAUAGCCGUCUGAUCUAGACGUUGAGAGGCUCAGCACUAAGCCACAUGCAAGCAUGCAGAAAUACCAUGGCACAUGCAUGUGAGUGGGUUUUAAAUCACAUCAACAUGUCUGCAUGCAAGCAUGCACCGGUAGCAUGCAUGUAAGUGAGCUUUUAAGUGCCAUUAACAUGUCAAAAGGAAAAAUAUAAUCCCAUUAUGCAGUAGGAGUUGGCUGAUCUUUUUUCCUUAUGUGGGAUGAUCUAAAUGAUGAUGGGAGUUUAUUUAGUUUGGCUACCACAUUUGUCAUGCGGUUAUAGAUUCUUUUUUAGUUCUAUGAAAUCGAUAAUUUUGCACAGAGAGAUAUACCGCUGUUCCGCGGCAACGAGCGGGGACUCAUCUAGUAAUAUUUAGGAACGGAGGGAGUACUAUGUAAAGAGUUAGGUGUCGCACGGUGAUAGUGUGAAGUGGGCCAUGUAAUCAUUGAGCCUGCGUGUUUUCACUGCUCUUGCACUCCUCCGCUGUAAGAAUGGAGAAAAUUGUAAUCUACUACCUCCUUUCGCUGAAAGCGUGGGACAUCCAGCAGUCCUACCACCUCAGUAAUAAAGACAAAUGAGCCGUCAAAUCACAUAGACCCAGCAGUAAGUUGGACGGACGAAGCAACCAUCACUCUUGCGCCAGUGAGAGGUCGCGUCCGCUCUGCCCAGGCAUGAAUGCGGCACCGAUUCUUUGGAGCGGAGCAGGAAGCGCGCGUGGGCGGUGGAGGGGCUUUGGGUGGGCCAGGCUAGUCAGGAGCGGGCAUGGAAGCUGUCGGCAUGUCCCUACCGGACACACCCAGAAACGAGAGGAUGCACUGACUCUCGCGGCUAAAAUCAUACAAUACACACCAUAUCUCUGUAGGAGUAGGUCGAUCUGUCGCACUCUCUAACACACACAUGCUGUUAAACACACACACGCACACGCACGCACCUUGGUCCCGUUGCACCUUCUAACAUGACUUAUUACACCUAGACGGAGGGAGUAGUAAGUAUACGAGAUACGGUGGCACACUGACUUAAGUCGAAUACAAGUGCCCCAAAUUUGUGUGCAUGUUAUAAUAAGGAUUCACUUAAAAUAGAAUGUGAGUGAAUAUAGGGAUCAAUUGGAUAGUGUUCCCUAGCAGUAGCGAGAUGUGUGAGGUAGUAAGAUACACCGCUGGCGCUUUUAAUUUUUCUUAUUAAUUUGUUUGUUUCACCAUCUGACUGGUGGGACCCAACGUACUACGUGGAGAGAGUUAAGGUGACUAAGGCUGCAUUAUUUUUGCACCACUGUGGAUAGUCUUACCACCAAAGCCACAUGACACGAUUAUGAUUGAAAUCCUAAUGACUCCCCCCCCACACAAAAAAAACACGGCAUGCCUGUCACACGAAUGCAGGAAUGUAUAAAAGGUUAUUUUCCUCUCGUUGAACAUAACGGGAGGGUUGUGUAGCUGGUUAGCCUGUUCGCUCAUCAAACUUGAGGUCUCGGGUUCGAUAACUACACUUGAGCAUAAAUUUUGCCAGGAGGAUUAUUUGACUGGUCAAAAUGUUUUCUAGGGUUUGCACGCUUCACACUCUCUCUCCAAUAUAUAUAUACACGCCGGAGCCUCAAUGCUUGUAGUUGCUCUCUUCACUCUCUCUCACCCUCUCCCGCUGGAUCCUGAGCGCUUGUAGUUGCUCUCUUCACACUCUCUCGCCCUCUCCAGAUCUAAACAAGACUUCGUUGGCCUCUCUCUCCCCUCACUGCUGCUCAAAGAGCCGACAUGAUCCGUCCGCCGGGAAGGGAAGGAGGCUUAACGCUGUCGCCGUCGGCGAGGGAGGGAAUCCACUACCGGCGCUGCUAUUCACUUUCCACCCAGCGGCGGCGCGAGAGGGCCUCCGACCCUUCUUCUUUGCCGCCGUCCCGUCGCCCACCGAACCACGCCCCAAGAACCUUAAGGUAUAUUUUACUUACUCCACAUGCAUUGCUCUAGCUGCAUGUAUACCAUGAAUCUAGGACGUGGUUCAAAGAGGAAAGGAGUGGGGGAAAGUAGUGGGAAAAGUUGUAUAUAUCAUGAAUCUAGGACGUGGUUCGAAGAGGAAAUGAAGGGGGAAAGUUGUAUAGCAUGAAUCUAGGACGUGGUUCAAAGAUGAAAGGAAUGGGGGAAAGUAGUGGGGAAAGUUGUAUCGCAUAAAUCUAGGACGUGGUUCAAAGAGGAAAGGAAGGGGCGAAAGUACUAGUUCAAAAAGGAAAGGAAGGGAUAAGGUUGUAGAGUUUGAGCAGGACUAGAUUUGCUGCGCUCACAUAGGGAAAGGUGUCUAAAGAUAACAAAACUGGGACCAACACAAAUAUGGUCCUUGGUUGUUUGUUCUCUAUUGCAACAGACUGUGCAUAACCAUAGUACAUCAGUAGAUGCACAUGGUGCUGGUGCCGUUUGAGAAAUGCUACUGUCUUGCUUUCUUUCCCAUUUCGAUAAGGUAGAUGCUUCUUUUUGUUGGCUUCUGUGUCAUCCACCGUUAUUGACCACUAAUUGUUUCCUUUGCACCUCUCUGUAAACAGGGUUAUCUACUUCACCUCGUUGCCAUUGUGACCUUUUGUUGCACUGCACAAAACACUUUUUUUAAGAGUGUUUUGUGUAGUUCAACCAAAAUGUCACACCGACAACGUUGCUUGAUUGCUUGAUCUUAGUGGAACUACACAAGAGGAGAUCUUACUUCCUAUCCGUUAAGGCAAAUUUGGUUCAGAUCUUCUUCUUGUGAGUUGUUUGAAUUCCGCAUCAUGAGAGGUCAGUACUAGCCUUCUUUCACAUGAUUCUACAGUGUGCUUUCAUAUGUUGUGCUACUUGUACGAUAAUGUUGCUUGAUUUUAGUGAACUGCACAAAUGGAGACAAGACUUCCAAUCUGUAUGUGCACCGUAAUAUCCCAUUGAGGUAAGAUAAGGAUAUUUCACAACUGCUGGCCUGUAUUUUGUCACUUUCAUCAGAAAAUGAAGUUUAGUACUAUACUUGUGCUCCCUAAUUGACAUGCCAAAUCUUACAUUGAAGGCGAAGCUUGUCUGUUAUUGAACCAAAUGAUGAAGGGGAAGAAUAAGCGGAAGAAAAACAAAAUUCAACUCACGGUGUUGUAAUGAAGCACUGGAACUGUAAUGACACAAGUAAUGAUAUAGUUAUGCAUCUUAAUUUAUUACUAUGGCUGGAACGAGCAAUUGUUUUGCCACUGAUUUGAUGCCAUACGUAAUUAUCUCUACUUGUGCAAACAGAGAUCUUCUUUGAAGAUACCAUAUAUUUUAGUGGAGCUGCACAAAAAGAUGUUGGAAACAUUAAACUAAUCGAGGAGUAUAUAGUAAGCAUGGCCACCAUAGUAGAGAGCAACAGAUGGUUCCGGAGAAGUGCUUCAUCUGUAUGCUCUACACAAUCAGCCUCCUGACAAAGGUUGGUACUCGCCCACUAAUUCAUCCAUAUGAUUGAGCUUUGUCAUCUCUAUUAGUGUUGUGCUACUGUUUAGAUACUGUCAUGAAAAAGUGGUAUUGUCCUUGAGAAGUGCUUCAUCUGUGCUGUUUUAAAUAUUUCCUUUUCCUUUUUUUCGAGCAAAUAGGGAUGCUAGCAUUUAGUUGUCCUCUUGUCUUUGCACAAUAGGAUCAUGUUCCUCUGAAGAAGAAUAUGGAGUACGUGAAGUGACUAGUUCCGAUUAUGCCAGGAUGAAGAAGCACUGUCUAUCUUCUCAUCAGAAGGAGCAGUUGAAGGAUGGUUACAUUACUCCCCACAAGGCCAAACUAACUUCAGCUCAGAAGGACUGACAAAUCUCCAUUUUUUUGCUGUGAUGCGCGAGUACAAUGUUGUUCUAGGAUUCUUAUCAGAAGGAGCAGUUGAAGGAUGGUUGCAUUACUCCCCACAAGACCAAACUAACUUCAUCUCAGAAGGACUGACAAAUCUCCAUUUUUUUGCUGUGAUGCGCGAGUACAAUGUUGUUCUAGGAUUCUUUCUAGUGAGUUCCAUUUUUCUUAAAGUGUGCUCUACAUGGACCAUGUAUGUGCCUGUUGAAACUGUUAAUUCAUAGUACAAUUUGCUUUAUACUAAUCACUUUUUUGUAUUUGUGCAAACAGGGGUGCUCAGCUUGAUUUCAAUAGAAACUGCACAAAAUGUUAAUGAAUACAUCGAAUCAUUCAUUUCCACCACAAGAAAGGAGGUUCCCAUAAGUUCAAGGCGUUGCAACAUAUAAGGGCGAAAUCAUACAAGCUACACGCGAAUUUGGUUGAUUUUGGUGGAACUGCACAAAGAGAACAGCUGCUUUAUUUAGCACGAGUUGCCAUGUCAAUGUCCGAACUGAUGGCAAACCCUGCCCAUUCCACAAUCGUAGGCAUUUGAUAUUUUGGAAUGGGACAACCUUGUCAAAUUUUGCUCAUUGAUUUUAGCAAGAUAUGCGUUUGAUAUUUCGAAUGGGACGCCCUUUGCUGUCAGCAGCGGCGAUCAAUUUUUUCUUUAUUCUUUAGUUGUGCAGUAAAUAUUGCCUCUCACAUGUCAGUCGCUGAGAUGCAUAAUCAUCGAUUGUUUUGAAUGUUCUCUAUGAAUUGCCAGGCCUGUGUGUUUGAUUGCAAUGUAUAGAAACGCUAAAAAGCUGCCUAAACUCUUUGCACUCCUUCUGUUCCUUUUUACUUCGCACAUUGUGGAAGUGCAUACUUUUUUGUAUAAGAUUGGUCAAAGUUGAGAUACUUUGACUGCAGACAAAACUUGUAUGCAGACUAGAAAGGAUCGGAGGGAGUACAUGUGAAACUGCUGCAAAUGUGGUGAUCACCCUGGGAAUAAUGCUAGUACAUAUUGUUUUGCAUGUUCAUCCAAUGCCAGUGAUACAGGAAUUCAAACUAAUCGAAAUAAAUUCAUUCAUACACGGUCGGAUUUCAUAUAAACAUGCCGGAUUUCAUUACAUUUCAUACAUUCUUCAACUAAAAAUGGGUGUUUGUGGCCGCAUGCAUCUCCCAGAUGCGGAGCCGGUGAUGCCUCUGUCUUGUUGCCGGCGGGCGGCGCCUCAGCGGAGUGGUGGAAAUCCUCCCCCACGUUACCGGCACGGUGGGGCCUCGGCUAAGCCGGCGAUGUCCUCUGCCUCGUUGUUGGCGGGGCGGGGCCUUAGCGGAGCCGGCGGUGUCCUCUGCCUCGUUGUUGGCACCGCGGGGCCUCGACGGAGCCGGUGGUGUCCUCUGCCUCGUUGCUGGCGCCGCGGGGCGUCGUCGACGCCAGCAGAGCGGGGACUCGUCGGAGCCGGCAUUGUCCUCUGCCUCGUCCUCGGUCUCGCCAAACAGCGCCUCGCCCGCUUCAUCGCCCUCUUUGCUAGCCUCUUUGUAGGCGGUCGCAGCCUCCGCCACCCGCAUGCGGUACCGCCAGCGCUCGAGGUGGCCCUUGCGGGCGAAGCGGUAUGAGUCGAGCAGGGCCUCCUGCUCCGCCCGCUCCGUGGCGAUCUGCUCCUCUGCCUGCAGGUGCUCCUGGAGGAGAUGGUGGUUGUAGGCGGCGUCGGCCUGCGCCUCCCGGAACUGCUCCUCACGCAUCUGCCUCACCCUGUCCAUAUAUUGGGCACGGGCCUCGCCGAUGGUCAUGGUGCAAUGCACCAGCGAGGAUGGCGCGGAGGAGGGGGUUGGCGCCGGAUCAUCGAAUACCAUGUUCUCCAUUGGGACGUUGUCGUCCUCCGGCUGCCUACCGGCCAGCCGGUCGGCAGCAAUGGCUGCUAUCUCCUAGUGGUCCGUCGUCCGCCCAUCCCGAAGAGCGCUGUAGCGCGAGGAAGCCAUGGUGGGAAGUAGUGGUGUGGACAGGAGAAAGGCAAAGGAUGCAGAUGACUGCGGCUAUGGCCGGCGCAGCAGUUUAUAUAGCAAUGGUGGGCGGGCGGAGGGACGGACGUGUGAUGCCGGAGUAGCCGCCUCGGCAACCGCGUAUCAUUAAUGUGUGCGGGAUAUGGAAGGACAGAUGGCACUUGUGUCGUUUCAAGGCGGAGCAAUCGCCUGCACCGGGAAGUGGGUCGGCUGGCCCUGACUGUUUUGGGCGGAAAGUGCGCGCGGGCGAGGAGAUCACUUUACUAGGAUAGGAUGACAAUGGGGACCCACCAAGUCCAUAGCCUCACGUACGCAAGUGCCUCCUUAUUAUAUAUAUAUAUAUAUAUAUAAAACUAUAAUUUAUUUUGCUUCCUCCUGGUUUCCUGACAUCACGGUCCCACACCAUUGUCUACCUAUGUACUCCCUCCUUUCCGGUUUAUAGGGCUUAUGUCAAAAUUUUAGUUUUUCCAUUUUAUAAGGCUCAAUUUGGUUGUUUUCCAUCACAUGUUCAGAUUCCAAGAUGCAUUAAAUCAUUGCAUGCAAGUAUUAAGAGAAAAUUGACCAAUGCAUGUACUUUAUGCAUGCAUGCAUUGCAAUUAAUGCAUUGAUAAACAUAAUUUUUUGAGGAUAACAAGAGCAUUAAUUAGGUGCUUUUGCAAAACUAGAAAAAGUAUUCCACCACUCGCCAUCUACCUUGAUUGGUGAGAUUUUUGAAUUGAGCAUUAUAAAUCGGAAAGGAGGGAGUAGUCAAUAAACGAGAGAAUUGCACAAGAAGCGGCCGAUAGCUGGGACCAAGCAGCUCGAGCAGUAUUUGUGUUUUUGACGUGUGAGCACUGCAGAGUUUUUUGAUGUUUACCCCAGAUAUUGAUUUUUCUCCUCUGAACAACAACGAAAACAUCGCUGCAGGUAUUAACUGGGCGGCUGUGGACCGUCUAGCCCAGGCCAGAUAUCCAGCCCAGAUAUUAAUUUUUUUCAAGCUGAAAAUGGCUAGCCCAGCUAUACUUUUUUUAGGAAUACCCAGGCAAGGUCAAGUUGUUAUUCUCCACCCCGCUGGGCUGCAAAUCUUUCCUAGGAGGGAUGCAUUAGUCUUAACAAGAAAAUGGGCUUUAAGAAAUAAUAAAUGGGAUGUAAUUAUAAAAACUGGGUAGUAACUAUAAAAAAUGCACCAAACAGUGAUUACUUUAUAAAAUAUUAUUUUUGGAAUAUUGAAAAUUUUAAUUUCAUUAAUUGUUGGAUUUUAAUUUCAUUAAUUGAGCGGAAUGUUUCGUUGGAUUUUUACGCAAUAUAAAUUUAUAUUGAAAUUGUAUUUAAUCUGACUAAAAUUUCGGGAUAAAAAUAUUCGGAUCCCAUCAAAAUGUGGGAAAUUUUAUUGAAUUCUGUUUUGAACGGUUGGUUGAAAUGGGCUGUACUUUUAACAAACUGUAAAUGGGCUGUAGUAAAUUCCAUUAGAAUUCAAAAAUGGGCUACACAAUCUUACAAAUCUCAAAUGGGCUAUAAGUUCUCUGCCACACACUUCUGGCCUUACUAAGUUGACGCAUCCCCUAAAAAAACAGAGUUGACGGGUAUGCAAGGCUUUGUUAACUUAUAGUCAACACACGGUUCUAGCAGCAGUGGCCGUUGGAUGUCCAUCCAACGGAUGCCGUGCUUCUUCUUCAAUCUCGGAUAUUCUAGCUUCACCCGCCCAAAAAAUGAUUCAUCCCCCUGACAUCUGGGGCGCACCGUUUCGGAAGCUGACCUGUGGGCCUACUAAGUUGACGUACCAAGGGCUUUGUCAAUUUAGUCAAUAUAAACGAUUCUAGCUGCAGUGACCAUACGAUGUCCAUCCAAUGGCCGUCGUGCUUCUUCAACCUCUGGUCUUCUUGCUCCAGCCGCCCAAAGCAGCGCCGGUCGUGCCGCCUGCUCCUGCCUCCCGUGGCCGGCUGUGCUGCCACGGAGGCCUCACCGCCCCCUACUACUCCCACCGCUGGCCAGGCCAUCCCUCCACUCACCCACUGACCCACACCCCCUGUUAUUCUACGGUGACGGCAGCACAGCCAAACCAAUGAACCCUCGUACUCCUCUCCGUGUGUGCAUCCACUACCGCGUCUUCCCCGGCUCCGCGUCGUCCCCUUCCUAGGCCUCGCCGUCAUCCACCGCCGUGGUCAACGUAGUCAAGGAACGACUUCCAUCAGACAUGGACUGUACAUGGAGAGGCUGAUAGCUGUGUCCACAGCAGCCGCAAGGAAGUGCCUCCUUAUUACGUGCAAAAUAAUUAUUCCUCCACCUGGCAGCGGGGACCCACCGGACGGGCUACCGUAUUUCGUGAAAAAAAUGAUUCGCCCCCUGGCUGCUGGGACCCACGAGCUACAUCUUCGCAUGCAAGGAAGUGCGUUCGGGAAAAAAACGAUUCGCCCCCCUGACUGUUGGGACCCAGCAGCUACAUCUUCGCACGCAAGGAAGUGCAUCCAAAAAAACGAUUCACCCCCCGACUGCUGGGACCCACCAGCUACACCUUCGCACACAAGGAAGUGUGCCCGGGCAAAAAAAAACGAUUCGCUCCCCCUGACUGCUGGGACCCAGCAGCUACACCUUGGCACGCAAGGAAGUGCGUCCGGGCAAAAAAAAACCCGAUUCGCCCCCUGACUACUGGGACCCACCAGCUACAUCUUCGUAGGCAAGGAAGUGCCUGACAGUCGGGACCCACCUGGUCGAAGCGUACGUAGCGUUGUCAUACUGGUCGCAAACGUGUACGUACAUACUGGUCGAUGUAGAGGCACGAACGUGUCGUAGUAGAGGCGCGCACGUGUCAUAGUAGAGGCGCGCACGUAGCAUGUACACGAACGUACAACGGCUAGGGUGCAAGAAAGAAAAUACGGUCACAUAUGUGUACAUACGGGCGGGGUCUCGAACGCCUAGUCGCGCAUACUGCAAAACGGAGGAAAUUGACAUCCUACGGUCGAAACAGGGGUCCUGUUGAUCGGGAGGGGUGUGGCGUACCACAAAACGGAGGAAACGGACCUCCUACGGUCGAAACGGGGGUCCUGUUGAUCGGGAGGGGUGUGGUGUAUCGCAAAACGGAGGAAACGGACCUCCUACAGUCGAAACGGGGGUCCUGUUGAUCGGGAGGUGUGUGGCGUACCACAAAACGGAUGAAAUGGACUUGUGUUGGAGCGCUACGGUCGAAACGGGGGUCCUGUUCAUCGGGAUGGGUGUGGCGUACCACAAAACGGACUUGUGUUGGAGCGCUACGGUCGAAAGGGGGGGGGGAGGGGUGUGGCGUACCGCAAAACGCGACUCCAAGGGAUACUGUUCAUCUUCAUCGUUGACCUCCUCCAGCCUCCACGGGCUACCGAUGACCUCCUCCAGCCUCCACGGAAGCCUGUUCAUCCCAGAGGCAGCAUCGAUCGGCUUCAGUUAGCAGUAGUAGAGAAGGAAUUGCUCCAUCGGGUUCAGUUAACAGCCAUCGAUCGAUCGCUCGGGUUCAGUAACGCGUAGCCUGCAGUGCAAUCGCUCGAGUUCAGUUAGAGCCCAACGCCUCGCUCGGCUUCAGUUAGAGCCAACGCCUCGCACACACACGCGCAUACGUACGAGAGAAACGCGCAUCACUCCGCCCCGACCUCCCACCGUAACCGGCAACUCCCCGAAAUUUUCCUCCCCCUCGCUUCUACCACGGUUUUUUCCGUCAUGGACGGCCCAAAGAAUGUCAUGUAGCUGCGUCUCCGGCCCGCACAGGACGAAAAGCCCAUUUUCUGUCAUGAUUUUUUGUCAUAGAAGUAGGAUCCCACCACAUCUAUGAUGAUACCGGGUUUUGUCACAAUUAUCGUCAUAGAAGUGUCAAAUGUAUGACAGAAAAAAAUUUCGUUCGGACCAAAAUGUCACGGAAGUGUCUUUUUUUGUAGUGCAUAGGUUUCACUAGAGGCUUCUCUCAACAUAGCAUAAGUAUUACGGUGGGUGAACAAAUUACUGUCGAGCAAUUGAUAGAAAAGCGAAUAAUUAUGAGAUUAUCUAGGCAUGAUCAUGUAUAUAGGCAUCACGUCCGCAACAAGUAGACCGACUCCUGUCUGCAUCUACUACUAUUACUCCACACAUCGACCGACUCCUGCCUGCAUCUAGAGUAUUAAGUUCAUAAGAACAGAGUAACGCAUUAAGCAAGAUGACAUGAUGUAGAGGGAUAAACUCAAGCAAUAUGAUAUAAACCCCAUCUUGUUAUCCUCGGUGGCAACAAUACAAUACGUGCCUUGCAACCCUUUCUGUCACUGGGUAAGGACACCGCAAGAUUGAACCCAAAGCUAUGCACUUCUCCCAUGGCAAGAAAGAUCAAUCUAGUAGGCCAAACCAAACUGAUAAUUCGAAGAGACUUGCAAAGAUAACUCAAUCAUACAUAAAAGAAUUCAGAGGAGAUUCAAAUAUUAUUCAUAGUUAAACUUGAGCCUAAACCCACAAUUCAUCGGAUCUCGACAAACACACCGCAAAAAGAGUUUACAUCAAAUAGAUCUCCACAAGAGAGGGGGAGAACAUUGUAUUGAGAUCCAAAAAGAGAGAAGAAGCCAUCUAGCUAAUAACUAUGGACCUGUAGGUCUGUGGUAAACUACUCACAACUCAUCGGAGGGGCAAGGAUGUUGAUGUAGAAGCCCUCCGUGGUGGAUUCCCCCUCCGGCGGAGCGCCGACGAAGGCUCCAAGAUGAGAUCUCGCGGAUACAGAAGGUUACGGCGGUGGAAAUUGUGUUUCGGGCGCUCCCCGGAUGUUUUCGGGGUACGUAGGCUUAUAUAAGAGGAAGAAGUACGUCAGUGCCUACCCGAGGGGCCCACGAGACAGGGGCGCACCCUAUAGGGAGGGGGGCGCCCUCCUAUCUUGUGGAGGCCUUUGCUGCUUCUUGACUUGCACUUCAAGUCCUCUGGAUCUCGUUCGUUCCAAAAAUCACGCUCCCGAAGGUUUCAUUCCGUUUGGAUUCCGUUUGAUAUUCCUUUUCUUCGAAAUACUGAAAUAGGCAAAAAAACAGCAAUACGGGUUGGGCCUCCGGUUAGUAGGUUAGUCCCAAAAAUGAUAUAAAUGUGUAAAAUAAAUCCCAUAAAAAUCCAAAAGGGGUAAUAUAAUAGCAUGGAACAAUCAAAAAUUAUAGAUACGUUGGAGCCGUAUCAAUCAUGACUCUUGAGGCCUCCUAUUCGCUUUGUAGCCAUAUUCACUCCCCUUAUGAUAUUAGCUGCAUAUCCAUCAGGGAAGUACAAGUUGUUCACAAUCCAUUGGAGAAUUUCCAUCCUUUGGGGCAUUAAAGGGGUGAAAGGGGCUGGUGGCUUCUUCCAAGAAUUACCUUUUGCACGAGGCACCAAAUUUAAUUUUGGCCUGUUGCAUAGUUUGGCUUGAUCGAUCCAAGCCUAAAUGUUAUCCUUUGACUUCUCGGUGUCGAGGAGCGUGCUGAGUAAGGCCUCCGCAAUAUUCUUUUCAGUGUGCAUUACAUCAAUGUUGUGUGGAAGUAGAAGAUCUUUGAAGUAAGGGAGCCUCCAUAAGCUUGGAAUGUGUGUCUGAUACGUCUCCAACGUAUCUAUAAUUUUUGAUUGUUCCAUGCUAUUAUAUUACCCCUUUUGGAUGUUUAUGGGCUUUAUUUUACACAUUUAUAUCAUUUUUGUGACUAACCUACUAACCGGAGGCCCAGCCCGUAUUGCUGUUUUUUUGCCUAUUUCAGUAUUUCGAAGAAAAGGAAUAUCAAACAGAGUCCAAACGGAAUGAAACCUUCGGGAGCGUGAUUUUUGGAACGAACGAGAUCCAGAGGACUUGAAGUGCAAGUCAAGAAGUAGCCGAGGCUCCCACGAGAUAGGAGGGCACCCCACCCCCCUGUAGGGCGUGCCCCUUGUCUCGUGGGCCCCUCGGGCGUCCACCGACGUACUUCUUCCUCCUAUAUAUACCUACAUACACCAAAAAUAUCCAGGGAGCAGAUGAAACACAAUUUCCACCACCGUAACCUUCUGUAUCCACGAGAUCCCAUCUUGGAGCCUUCGCCGGCAUUCUGCCGGAGGGGGAAUCAAACACGGAGGGCCUCUACAUCAACAUCGUUGCCGCUCCGAUGAGUUGUGAGUAGUUUACCAUAGACUUAUGGGUCCAUAUUUAUUAGCUAGAUGGCUUCUUCUCUCUUUUUGGAUCUCAAUACAAUGUUCGCCCCCUCUCUUGUGGAGAUCUAUUCGAUGUAAUCUCUUUUUGCGGUGUGUUUGUCGAGAUCCGAUGAAUUGUGGGUUUAUGAUCAAGUUUAUCUAUGGAUAACAAUUGAAUCUUCUCUGAAUUCUUUUAUGUGAUUGAGUUAUCUUUGCAAGUCUCUUCGAAUUAUCGGUUUGGUUUGGCCUACAAGAUUGAUCUUUCUUGCCAUGGGAGAAGUGCUUAGCUUUGGGUUCAAUCUUGCGGUGUUCUUACCCAGUGACAGAAAGGGUUGCAAGACACGUAUUGUAUUGUUGCCAUCGAGGAUAAAAAGAUGGGGUUUAUAUCAUAUUGCAUGAGUUUAUCCCUCUACAUCAUGUCAUCUUGCUUAAGGCGUUACUCUGUUCUUAUGAACUUAAUACUCUAGAUGCAAGCAGGAGUCGGUCGAUGUGUGGAGUAAUAGUAGUAGAUGCUGGCAGGAGUCGGUCUACUUGUUGCUGACGUGAUGCCUAUAUACAUGAUCAUGCCUAGAUAAUCUCAUAAUUAUUCAUUUUUCUAUCAAUUGCUCGACAGUAAUUUGUUCACCCAAUGUAAUACUUAUGCUAUCUCGAGAGAAGCCUCUAGUGAAACCUAUGGCCCCCGGUUCUAUCUCUUAUCAUAUUUGCUUUCAAUCUACUUCUAUUUUCAUCUUUACUUUUUGCAUCUAUAUUAUAAAAGACCAAAAGUAUAUUUAUCUUAUCAUACUAUCUCUAUUAGAUCUCAUUUUCGCAAGUGGCCGUGAAGGGAUUGACAACCCCUUUAUCGCGUUGGUUGCGAGUUCUCAGUUUGUUUGUGUAGGUGCGUGGGACUGUUGAGGAGCCUCCUACUGGAUUGAUACCUUGGUUCUCAAAAACUGAGGGAAAUACUUACGCUACUAUUACUGCAUCACCCUCUCCUCUUCGAGCAAAACCAACGCAAGCUCAAGACGUAGCAAGAAGGAUUUCUGGCGCCGUUGCUGGGGAGGUCUUCGCUCAAGUCAAGAAAUACCAAGUACCCAUCACAAACCCAUGUCCCUCGCAUUUAUGUUAUUUGCCAUUUGCCUCUCGUUUUCCUCUCCCCCACUUCACCCUUGCCGUUUUAUUCGCCCUCUUUUUCCCAAUCUCCUCCUCUCUUUCGCUUGCCUUUUUCUGUUUGCUCGUGUGUUGGAUUACUUGUUGCCAUGGUGCAAGAUAAUACCAAAUUGUGUGAUUUCUCGAACACCAAUAAUAAUGAUUUCCUUAGUAAUCCGAUUGCUCCUCUUAAUGAUGUCGAGUCUUGUGAAAUCAAUACUGCUUCGCUGAAUCUUAUUAUGAAAGAUCAAUUCGCCGGGCUUCCUAGUGAAUAUGCCGCUACUCAUCUAAACAACUUUGUUGAUUUGUGUGAUAUGCAAAAGAAGAAAGAUACAGAUAACAAUAUUGUCAAAUUGAAGUUAUUUCCGUUUUCUCUUAGAGAUCGUGCUAAAGUUUGGUUUUCGUCUUUUCCUAAAAAUAGUAUUGAUUCUUGGAAGAAGUGCAAAGAUGCUUUUAUCUCUAAGAAUUUUCCUCCCGCUAAGAUUAUCACUCUUAGGCACGAUAUUAUGAAUUUUAAACAACUUGAUCAUGAGCAUGUUGCCCAAUCUUGGGAAAGAAUGAAAUUGAUGCUUUGUAAUUGCCCUACUCAUGGUUUGAAUUUAUGGAUGACUAUACAAACUUUUUAUGCCGGGUUGAACUUUGCUUCUAGAAAUCUCUUAGAUUCGGCCGCGGGAGGCACGUUUAUGGAAAUCACGCUAGGAGAUGCUACAAAACUUCUUGAUAAUAUUAUGGCUAAUUAUUCUCAAUGGCACACCAAAAGUAAAAAAGUGCAUGCUAUAGAAGAAAUCAAUGUUUUGAGUGGAAAGAUGGAUGAACUUAUGAAAUUGUUUGCUACUAAAAAUACUACUCUUGAUCCCAUUGAUAUGCCUUUGUCUUAUUUGAUUGAGAAUAAUAAUGAAUCUAUGGAUGUGAAUUUUGUUGGUAGGAAUAGUUUUGGAAACAAUGCUUAUAGAGGAAACUUUAAAGCUAGACCAUUCCCUAGUAAUUCCUCUAAUAAUUAUGGAAAUUCCUACAAUAAUUCUUAUGGUAAUAAGAUGCCCUCUGAUUUUGAGAAUAGUGUGAAAGAAUUUAUGAUUUCUCAAAAGAAUUUUAAUGCUUUGCUUGAAGAAAAAUUGCUCAAAGUUGAUGAUUUGGCUAGGAACGUUGAUAGACUUUCGCUUGAUGUUGAUUUUCUUAAAAUUAGAUAUUCUUCUCCUAAGCAUGAUAUCAAUGAGUCUCUCAAAGUAAUGAGAAUUUUCAUUGAUGAGUUUGAAGAAAUAACCGCUAGAUUGCGUGCUAAUUAAGAUAGCUUUAUAAAAGCAUGUUCUUCUACUUUCCAUGAAAAUAGUGAUGAAGAUUUUAAAGUUAUCGAUGCGUCUCCUAUUAGAUUUAUGUUUUGCAAUAUGAAUUUUGAUGAUUAUGGGACUGAUGAUGAAUCAACUUUUCCUAGAAGGCGUCCCAAGAAUUCAGAGUCUUUAGAUCUUGAUGCUAAAUUUGGUAAAAGUGAGAUUGGAGAGGUCACAACUUCAAAUAACAUUGAACCUACUAUCUCGGAUUUCAAGGAAUUUGAUUAUGAUAAUUGUUCUUUAAAAGGGUGUAUUUCCUUGUUGCAAUCCGUUGUUAAUUCUCCUCAUGCUUAUAGUCAAAAUAAAGCUUUUACCAAACAUAUCGUUGAUGCCUUGUUGCAAUCUUAUGAUGAAAAACUUAAUUUGGAAGUUUCUAUACCUAGAAAACUUAAUGAUGAGUGGGAACCUACUAUAGAGAUUAGAAUUAAAGAUCAUGAGUGUUUUGCUUUAUGUGAUUUGGGUGCUACUGUUUCCACGAUUCCGAAAACUUUAUAUGAUAUUCUAGGUUUCCAUGAUCUUGAUGAUUGCUCUUUAAAUUUGCACCUUGCGGAUUCCACCAUUAAAAAGCCAAUGAGAAGGACCAAUGACGUUCUCAUUGUUGCUAAUAGGAAUUUGGUGCCCGUAGAUUUUAUUGUUCUUGAUAUAGAUUGCAAUCUUUCUUGCCCUAUUAUUCUUGGUAGACCUUUCCUUAGAACGAUGGGUGCGAUUAUUGAUAUGAAGGAAGGAAAUAUUAGAUUCCAAUUUCCAUUAAAGAAAGUCAUGGAACACUUUCCAAGAAAGAAAGUCAAAUUACCUUAUGAAUCUAUCAUGCGAGCUACUUAUGAAUCAAGUGCCAAAGAUGGCACUACUUAGAUCUAUCUUCGCUUUUGUGCCUAGCUAGGGGCAUUAAUUGAUAGAGCUAGUUGGGAGGCAACCCAAUUUUCUUUGUGUUUUUUUAUUUUUGUUCCUAUUUAAUAAUAAAUCUUGCAUCUACUCUCUGUUUAGAUGUGUUUUUAUCUUUUAAUUAGUGUUUGUGCCAAGUAGAACCUAUAGGAUAACCUUUGAUGAUAGUUGAUUUGAUUCUGCUGAAAAACAGAAACUUUGCGCGCACCAAUUUAAUUGUGUUAAAUCACAGAAACGUGAUUUUGCGUUGAUUCUUUUUGCUUCUGAUCAAUAAACAAAUUGUCCAGUACACCCUAUUUUUUAGGAGUUUUAGAGUUCAAGAAGUUUGCUUUAGUUACAGAUUGCUACAGACUGUUCUGUUUUUGACAGAUUCUGUUUUUCGUGUGUUGUUUGCUUAUUUUGAUGCAUCUAUGGCUAGUAAAAUAGUUUAUAAACCAUAGAGAAGUUGGAAUACAGUAGGUUUAACACCAAAAUAAAUAAAGAAUGAGUUCAUUACAGUACCUUAUGUGUUGGUUUUGUUUUCUUUCACUAACGGAACUUAUAAGAUUUCCUGUUGAGUUUUGUGUUGUGAAGUUUUCAAGUUUUGGGUAAAGCUUUUAUGGACUAUGUAAUAAGGAGUGGCAAGAGCCUAAGCUUGGGGAUGCCCAAGGCACCCCAAGAUAUUCAAGGAUAGCCAAAAGCCUAAGCUUGGGGAUGCCCCGGGAAGGCAUCCCCUCUUUCGUCUUUGUUCAUUGGUAACUUUACUUGGAGCUAUAUUUUUAUUCGCCACAUGAUAUGUGUUUUGCUUGGAGCGUCGUGUAUUAUAUUAGUAUUUGCUUUUUAGUUUACCACAAUCAUCCUUGCUGUACACACCUUUUGGGAGAAGCCUAUUUGAUUAGAAUUUCCUAGAAUACUCUAUGUGCUUCACUUAUAUCUUUUGAGCUUGAUAGUUUUUGCUCUAGUGCUUCACUUAUAUCUUUUAGAGCAUGGUGGUUUCUUAAUUUUGAAGAAAUUUCUAGUCUCUCAUGCUUCACUUAUAUCUUUUUGAGAGUCUUUUAGAACAGCAUGGUAUUUGCUAUGGUUGCAAAGUUGGUCUUAGAAUGAUGAGCAUCCAAGUUGGGUAUAAUAAAAACUAUCAUAGAAAAAGAAUUGGAUGCUAUGAUCAACUUGAUGCUUGAUAAUUGUUUUGAGAUAUAAAGGUAGUAAUGUUAGGGUCAUGCUAGUGGGUAAUUAUGAAAUUGAGAAAUACUUUUGUUGAAGUUGGCAAGUCCCGUAGCAUGCACGUAUGGUAAAAGUUGUGUGACAAAUUUGUUGCAUGAGGUGCUCUUUUCAUUGUCUUCCUUAUGAGUGGCAGUCGGGGACGAGCGAUGGUCUUUUCCUACCAAUCUAUCCCUCUUGGGGCAUGCGUAGUAGUACUUUGCUUCGGGGGCGAAGUAGACUUUUGUAGUAAGUAUAUGAGUUCUUUUUUUUGACUAAUGUGAGUCCAUGGAUAUACGCACAUUCAUCCUUCUAGCCUUUAUUAUUACCGCACAACUUUCGCUGGUAUCAUAAACCCUUUAUUUACCUUCCUCAAAACAGCCACCAUACCUACCUGUUAUGGCAUUUCCAUAGCCAUUCCGAGAUAUAUUGCCAUGCAAGUUUUCACCGUUCCGUUUAUUAUGACACGUUCUAUCAUUGUCAUAUUGCUCUUUUGCAUGAUCAUGUAGUUGACAUCGUAUUUGUGGCAAGGCCACCUUCAUAAUUUUCAUACAUGUCGCUCUUGAUUCAUUGCACAUCCUGGUACACUGCCGGAGGCAUUCAUAUAGAGUCAUAUCUUGUUCUAGCUUUGAGUUGUAAUUCUUGAGUUGUAAAUCCAUAAAAGUGUGAUGAUCUUCAUUAUUAGAGCAUUGUACUAGUGAGGAAAGGAUGAUGAAGGCUAUGAUUCCCCCACAAGUCGGGAUGAGAAUUCGGACUUUACAAAAAGAAAAAAAGAGAAAGGCCAAAAAGAAAAAAAGAAAGGCCAAAGAAAAAGAAAAAAAGGAAAAAAAAGAAAAGAAAAAAAUGAAAUGAGAGAAAAAGAGAGAAGGGAGAAUGCUACUAUCCCUUUUUCCACACUUGUGCUUCAAAGUAGCAGCAUGAUCUUCAUUGUAGAGAGUCUACUAUGUUGUCACUUUCAUAUACUAGUGGGAAUUUUCAUUAUAUAACUUGGCUUGUAUAUUCCAAUGAUGGUCUUCCUCAAAAUGCCGUAGGUCUUCGUGAGCAAGCAAAUUGGAUGCACACCCACUUAGUUUCUUUUGUUGAGCUUUCAUAUAUUUAUAGCUCUAGUGCAUCCGUUGCAUGGCAAUCCCUACUCACUCACAUUGAUAUCUAUUAAUGGGCAUCUCCAUUUAGCCCAAUAAUACGCGUAGUUGAUGUGAGACUAUCUUCUCCAUUUUUGUCCUCACAACCACCACCAUAUACCACCAUAGUGCUAUGUCCAUGGCUUACGCUCAUGUAUUGCGUAAGAGUUGAAAAAGCUGAAGCACGUUAAAAAGUAUGAAACGAUUGCUCGGCUCGUCAUCGGGUUUGUGCAUGAUGGGAGUAUUUUGUGUAAUGAAAAUGAAGCAUGGCCUAACUAUAUGAUUCUGUAGGGAUAAGCUUUGUUUGGCUAUGCUAUUUUGAUAGGACAUGAUUAUUUGUUAGUAUGCUUUGAAGCAUUAUUAUUUUUAUGUUUUAUAAGAUUUUAUUUUGAAUCAUUUGGAUCUGAACAUUCAUACCACAAUAAAGGAAAUUACAUUGAGAAUUAUGCUAGGUCGCAUUCCACAUCAAAAUUUUCUUUUUUAUCAUUUACCUAUUCGAGGACGAGCAGGAAUUAAGCUUGGGGAUGCUUGCUACGUCUCCAAUGUAUCUAUAAUUUUUGAUUGUUCCAUGCUAUUAUAUUACCCCUUUUGGAUGUUUAUGGGAUUUAUUUUACACAUUUAUAUAAUUUUUGGGACUAACCUACUAACCGGAGGCCCAGCCCAUAUUGCUGUUUUUUUGCCCAUUUCAGUAUUUCGAAGAAAAGGAAUAUCAAACGGAGUCCAAACAGAAUGAAACCUUCGGGAGCGUGAUUUUUGGAACGAACGUGAUCUAUAGGACUUGGAUUGCAAGUCAAGAAGCAGCCUAGGCUCCCACGAGAUAGGAGGGCGCGCCCCCCUGUAGGGCACGCCCCCUAUCUCGUGGGCCCCUCGGGCGUCCACCGACGUACUUCUUCCUCCUAUAUAUACCUACAUACCCCGAAAACAUCCAGGGAGCAGACGAAACACAAUUUCCACCACCGUAACCUUCUGUAUCCGCGAGAUCCCAUCUUGGAGCCUUCGCCGGCAUUCAGCCGGAGGGGGAAUCAACCAUGGAGGGCCUCUACAUCAACAUCCUUGCCCCUCCGAUGAGUUGUGAGUAGUUUACCAAAGACCUAUGGGUCCAUAGUUAUUAGCUAGAUGGCUUCUUCUCUCUUUUUGGAUCUCAAUACAAUGUUCUCCCCCUCUCUUGUGGAGAUCUAUUCGAUGUAAUCUCUUUUUGCGGUGUGUUUGUCGAGAUCCGAUGAAUUGUGGGUUUAUGAUCAAGUUUAUCUAUGGAUAAUAAUUGAAUCUUCUCUGAAUUCUUUUAUGUGAUUUAGUUAUCUUUGCAAGUCUCUUCGAAUUAUAGGUUUGGUUUGGCCUACUAGAUUGAUCUUUCUUGCCAUGGGAGAAGUGAUUAGCUUUGGGUUCAAUCUUGCGGUGUUCUUACCCAGUGAAAGAAAGGGUUGCAAGACACGUAUUGUAUUGUUGCCAUCGAGGAUAAAAAUAUGGGGUUUAUAUCAUAUUGCAUGAGUUUAUCCCUCUACAUCAUGUCAUCUUGCUUAAGGCGUUACUCUGUUCUUAUGAACUUAAUACUCUAGAUGCAGGCAGGAGUCGGCGAUGUUUGGACUAAUAGUAGUAGAUGCAGGCAGGAGUCGGUCUACUUGUUGCAGACGUGAUGCCUAUACACAUGAUCAUGCCUAGAUAAUCUCAUAAUUAUUCGCUUUUCUAUCAAUUGCUCGACAGUAAUUUGUUCACCCACCGUAAUACUUAUGCUAUCUCGAGAGAAACCUCUAGUGAAACCUAUGGCCCCCAGGUCUAUCUCUUAUCAUAUUUGCUUUCAAUCUACUUCUAUUUGCAUCUUUACUUUUUGCAUCUAUAUUAUAAAAUACCAAAAAUAUAUUUAUCUUAUCAUACUAUCUCUAUUAGAUGUCACUUCCGCAAGUGGCCGUGAAGCGAUUGACAACCCCUUUAUCGUGUUGGUUGCGAGUUCUCAGUUUGUUUGUGUAGGUGCGUGGGACUUUUGAGGAGCCUCCUACUGGAUUGAUACCUUGGUUCUCAAAAACUAAGGGAAAUACUUACGCUACUAUUGCUGCAUCACCCUGUCCUCUUUGAGGAAAACCAACGCAAGCUCAAGACGUAGCAGAGUCCACUGGUGUGUCUCUGCAUAUCCCACAAAACCUUUCCCAUCCAGCUUUUCCUCGAGAGCAUCUAACUCAUCCUUAAGCUAGGCACCAGUCAUAAUAGGUGGUGUCGGGUCAUCAACAAUAACACCUUUUUGGAAGUGCAUAGCGUAUUGCCUGUAUGGGUGAUCAAGACGAAGGAACUGCUGAUGUUGGUCAAAGCAUACAUACUUUUGACCCUUAGGCAGCCAAAUGAAAGUCACACGCUGUCAACACACUGGGCAAGGCCACUUCCCCUUUACACACCAACAAAAAGAUAUCGCACGUGCCGGUAGGUUAUUUAGCGAUGUGUGGUACCAGAUAUGCAUAUUUAAGUGCUUCUUUGAAACGGCAUCGUAUGUCCGGACCCCGUUGUUCCAAGCAACAAGUAAGUCAUCCACCAAUGGCUCCAUAUACACACUCAUAUGCUUCCCGGGAUAGUUAGGACCUGGAAUUAUCAACGUCAGGAACAUGUGAUGUCGUUGCAUGCAAACGCCAGGGGGCAGAUUUAGGGGGAUAACAUAUGCUGGCCAACAACUGUAUACGGCAGCCAUCAAACCAUAUGGAUUGAACCCGUCGUUUGUUAUCCCAACAGCUACACUCUACCGGUCAUCUAUUUUCUUAUGACUUUGAACAAAUUUCUUCCAUGCUUCACCAUCCCGUGGAUGUUGCAUCUUUUUUGUAUUGUACAUCUUCCCUUCGGCGGCCCAUCUCAUAUAUUGGGCAGUUUCCUCGGUCAUACAAAGCUUCUGGAUCCUUUCUGUGAAUGAAAGAUAUCGAAGGAUAUUGACGGCAAUUGUGAGCUGCCUCUUGCUACCAUCAUCAUCUAUUACCUCAAUAUACCUAGAGGAUUUGCACUUGACACAAUAAUUCAUAUCUUUAUGUUCAUUUCUAAAUAACAUGCAUCCAUUUGGACAAGCAUGUAUUUGCUCAUAUGACAUCUUAAGUGAACCGAGGAUUUUGUUCGACUCGUACAUGUUCUUUGGCAAUAUAUUUUCUUUAGGCAACAUGCUAGCAAUAACUGACAAUAACUCAUUGAAGAAAAUUAUGCUCAUGUUAUGGUUUGCCUUCAGGGCCAAUAGGCGUGCAAUGCCAUCUAGUUGAGUAACCUCUGUAUGGGCGUGAAGGGUUUUUUGUGCCGCAAACAAAGCUGCAUGAUACUCUUCUGGGCUUUCCGGCGGCUCCUCGGAGUUCGAGUCCUCCGCGGAUCCACACGGCGGAUGUCAUCUAACAGGUUUUCAAUCCGAGUAUCAUAUUCACCGGUGCAUUGUCGCACCACCUCCGCCUUGCACUGUUCUGUCUCACCGUGAAAGAUCCACCGGUAAUAGCCUGGUGUAAACCGAUAUUGGCCUAAGUGUUUACUCAUAGUAAUCUUAUCUCUUUCAGUCUGGUUAUCACACUCCGUGCAUGGGCACCAAAUUCCACGAACUGGCGUUUCUCCAGCAAAUACUAAUUCUAGGAAAUCAUUGGUCUUCGACCUCCACUCAGGGGUCAUACCCUCCAUGCUGUGAUGUCCGGUGUACAUCCCCUCACGUUAUUCCAUCCUCUGAUAUAAAGUGAAACACACACAUAAUUUUUUUAUAUAACAAGUGGUUCCAUCAAGUUUUACGAAAUGCAUUGAGCUAUGUAAUAGGUAAAGAUAGGUCCUAAUCCCACCCGAGAAUGUGUAGGCUGGGUCCGCUUUGAUGACGUACUCCGACCCGAGACAAAAUUUCGGCAGCACCUCCCCGCUAUUCUCCAAAUACACAUCUCAGCAAUAAGCCAAGAGGAUGUGUAUCUAGAGAACAACAACGAGACACUGUCGAAAUUCUGUCUCGGAUCUAAGUACAUUAUGAAAAUGACCGGCCUACACAUCCUCGGGUUGUCCAUGGAAAACAUGGACAAUUCUAAAGAGUUGAGGUUAUAUAUAUGCAAAGACUUGCAUAUUUAUAGAUACAACACUUCCGAAUGGGAGACACCUAGGUUACGCGACUAUUUAGGUGAUCUACAAAUAAUGAAAACCUACACAUGAACGGGAAGAGAUUACCCUUGAAGCGUGCAACGGAAUUCACUCUCUCUUGUCAAAAUAGAUGCAUGUCCUGCAUGAAAGAAUGAAGUUGUGUCAAUCAUAUGUCAAACACACAACAUCAAUAACACUCACUCACACACCCCCCGCACACAAACACACUCACAUAUCCAUACACACACAUGACACACUCACUCACACAUGCACACACACACACACACAUCAAUAGCACCCCUUUCCCACACACACACUCACAUACACCAUUCAUUAUAUAUGCACAUAUAUACACACCUAAAUAUAAAAAAACCGUUCAUUAUAUAUGCACACAUACACCAACAUCACUCACUGACACACACACAUACAAAGCACACACUCACACACAUUAUUCACUAUAUAUGCAUAUAUAUACACCUUUUGUUGUAAUGGAGAGGGGGGAAACCCCUUUNNNNNNNNNNNNNNNNNNNNNNNNNNNNNNNNNNNNNNNNNNNNNNNNNNNNNNNNNNNNNNNNNNNNNNNNNNNNNNNNNNNNNNNNNNNNNNNNNNNNNNNNNNNNNNNNNNNNNNNNNNNNNNNNNNNNNNNNNNNNNNNNNNNNNNNNNNNNNNNNNNNNNNNNNNNNNNNNNNNNNNNNGGGGGAGGUGGAUGCCGGACGAGGUAGAGCUCAGUGGAGGGGAUGCCGCACCGGUGGUGCUCGGUGAAGCUUGGCCGAGACGGUGGCGGUGGACGAGCUCGGUGGAGGUGGCGGUGGGGGGCUCGGUGGAGGUGGAGGGACGGGGGAGGAACUCCCGGUGGAGGCGGCGGCAGAGCUCGCUGGAUGGGCCGGUGGCACUAAGGGGCGGCAACGGACAAAGGGGGCGGGGGCGAGAGAAACAGAGAGAGAAGAGAGGAGUGAGCGCGCGCGAGGGGGAAAUUUUGCAUAAGUCCCCGCGGGAAACAUUUCCGAGAGACAACUUUUAGCGACACUCGGUAAAAGUCUUAACCUAGAUCUCGGGGGCUUUUCCGAGAGCCGCACCAACAGUAGUUACCGAGGGCCGUCCAGCAGUACUCGGCAAUGGCCGCAUUUUCCGAGAGCAACUCUCGGUAAAUCAUCCUUCUUGUGCAUUAUCCAUAAUAUGUAUUAUACUUUUUUGUUGUUAUUUUCUUCCAUGCUUGGCAAACAACCUUAGCACAUCAUAAUUACCGUCUUGUGUUUUUUUUCAAAUGAUGGGCCUCGCCCGGUUCUAGAGACUGGCACCCCUCCGAUGGCCCCGACAGUCUAGGGCGUUGAUCGGCACCGAGAGGGUGUAGUCCAUGGUGAAUAACUGCUUCUCCGUGUUAGUGCAUGUCAUAGCGAGAUGGCAUACCACGUCUAGGCCAAAGCUACAGCAAGAUCCCAUCCGUGUAGACCCGACGCGUCCGUUUCCCCCCUCCAGGUGCCGGCCGUGAGGGGGGCCACACCCCGGAGAGGUGUGCUGCCUCUUCGGUCAUGUCACCACACCGUACGACAUGUAUGAGGGCCCGAUGCGAUGCUCCGGUGGCAUUGCUACCCCCAGGGCCCCCGUCCCGCCUAACCCUGUAGCGUUUGACCACAGGAUCUAGCCCUUUGACUUUGCACGGAUGGGCUUUGGACAGUGGAACUCUCCACCCGGUUGUGUUAGGUCAGCUCAUAGGAACACUUUGGAGCAACAUCCGGGCCAAAGCCACAGCAAGACCCCAUCCGUGUAGACCCGACGCGUCUGUUUCCCCCCUCCAGGUGCCAGCGGUGGCACCGCCCGAGAGGAGGGGCACACCCCGGAGACGCGGGCCGGGCGUUUGCAACUGCCACAACACUUCUAGACUUGUGAGAGGACGCCUACGCAAGAUUUAGCGGCAUGUGCUAGCCCCCGGAGGCCGCCGGCCAGAGUCGUAGACACGCGAAGAGCAAUCCGCGGAGAGGGAAGUGUUCAGAUACUUCUUCAUCACCAAAAACUAUGAAAAUUAACAUCAGUCCUAUAGCACAUGUGCCCACGUCGUGUAAAAAACUCAUGAUUUUAUCGCGCUCUGAGUAUUUAAUAAUAUUCACGCCGCAUGGUUACCGUAGAACAUCUACUACUGUGUCAUUGCCGUUCGUGAGGGGGGCCACACCUCGGAGACGCGUGCCGCCUCUUCGGACAUGCCACCACACCGUACGGCAUGUAUGAGGGCCCAAUGCGAUGCUCCAGUGGCAUUGCUACCCCCCAGGGCCCCCAUCCCGCCUAACCCUAUAGCGUUUGACCACGGGAUCUAGCCCUUUUACUUUGCACGGACGGGCUUUGACCAGUGGAACUCUGCACCCGGUUGUGUUAGGUCAGCCCAUAGGAACACUUUGGAGCAACAUCCGGGCCAAAGCCACAGCAAGACCCCAUCCGUGUAGACCCGACGCGUCCGUUUCCCCCCUCUAGGUGCUGGCGGCGGCGCCGUCCAUGAGGGGGGCACACCCCGAAGACGCGUGCUGGGCGUGUGCAACCGCCACAACACUUCCAGACUUGUGAGAGGCUGCCAACGCAAGAUUUGGCGGCUGUGCUAGCCCCCGGAGGCCGCCGGCCAUAGUCGUAGACACGCGAAGAGCAAUCCGUGGAGAGGGAAGUGUUCAGAUACUUCUUUAAAGUUCUCUCUUGGUGUCGGUCUAGAAAGUUGACCGGCACCGAGAGAGGGGGUAGGUCGCGGUCAACAAUUUCUUCUUCUCAUGUUUUUUUACUUUACACACUCUUUAAAGUUGAUUUUUGAAAAAAAUCAUCAAAAGUCAUGGAAUUUAUAAAAUUUGGUCGCAAAAGCAUAUGAAAUAUGAGAUACAAAAAAGAUAGUGCAAAACAAAGACAAAAAGAGAAGGGAAAAAAUUAGAGCAGUGGUUACCGAGGGUCGAUUCUCGGCUCCCGGUAAUAGAAACCUUUUCCGAGGGCUGCUCUCGGUAAAGCAUCCAACCUAGAUCUGUUUCCUUCUUGUGCAUUCUCGAUAAUAUGUAUUAUACUUUUUGUUGUUGUUUUCUUUCAUGCUGGGCAAACAACCUUAGCACAUCAUAAUUACCAUCUUGUGUUUUCUUCUUCGGAUGGGCCUCAUCCGGUUCUAGAGACCGGCACCCCUCUGGUGGCCCCGGCGGUCUAGGGUGUUGUUCGACUCCUAGAGGGGGUAGGCCACAGGGAAUAACUGCAUCUUCGUGUUAGUGCAUGUCAUCGCGAGAUGACAGACCAAGUCUAGGCCCGUUCUGUGACGGGAUCGCCCACCGAAGACUCUGUCUCGGGGACGAACGCAGCCGGUCCUCGACGUUCCCACCCGUGUGUGUGGUUUGUGAGGCACGUGCCACAUCAAGGACGUGCGUUGCUUAUUCAAAUAGCACACCACUCUUGCGUGCAUAUGCAUGGGCCACAAGCAUGUACGGGUGCCCUCCCACCCCCCUCGGGCGGUCUCCAUAUCGAGCACCCAUCCGGUGGCCCCGGCGGUCUAGGGCGUUAUUCGGCACCGAGAGGGUGUAAUCCAUGGNNNNNNNNNNNNNNNNNNNNNNNNNNNNNNNNNNNNNNNNNNNNNNNNNNNNNNNNNNNNNNNNNNNNNNNNNNNNNNNNNNNNNNNNNNNNNNNNNNNNNNNNNNNNNNNNNNNNNNNNNNNNNNNNNNNNNNNNNNNNNNNNNNNNNNNNNNNNNNNNNNNNNNNNNNNNNNNNNNNNNNNNNNNNNNGAUAGACCAAGUCUAGGCUCAUUCUGUCACGGGAUCACACAGCGAAGAUUCUGCCUCGGGGAUGGAUGCAGCCGGUCCUCGAUGUUCCUGCCCGUGUGUGUGGUUUGUGAGGCACAUGUCAUGUCAAGGACGUGCGUUGCUUAUUCAAAUAGCACACCACCCCUGCAUGCAUAUGCAUGCAUGGCCCACGCGCAUGUAGGGGUGCCCUCCCGCCCUCGGGCAAUCUCUAUAUCGAGCACCCAUCCAGUGGCCCUGGCGGUCUAGGGCAUUAUUCGGCACCGAGAGGGUGUAGUCCACGAUGAAUAACUACUUCUCUGUGUUAGUGCAUGUCAUCGCGAGAUGACAGACCAAGUCUAGGCUCGUUUUGUCAUGGGAUCACCCACCGAAGACUCUGUCUCGGGGACGAACGCAGACGGUCCUAAUAAGUCUACAACGUAUCUACUUUUCCAAACACUUUUGCCCUUGUUUUGGACUCUAACUUGCAUGAUUUGAAUGAAACUAACCCGGACUGACGCUGUUUUCAGCAGAACUACCAUGAUGUUGUUUUAUGUGUAGAAAAGAAAAGUUCUUUGAAUGACCUGCAAAUCCACGGAAGGACUUUUCAGAAUUAAUAAGAAUUUUUGGCGAAAGAAUCAGGGCCAGGGGGCCCAAGGCCGAUCCACGAGACAGGGGGCGCGCCCCCCCAAGGGCGCGCCCCCCUAUCUCGUGGCCCCCCCCCCCGGACCUCCUCGGACCUCAACUCCAACUCCAUAUAUACCGUCUCGGGGAGAAAAAAAUCAGAGAGAAAGUUUCAUUGCGUUUUACGAUACAGAGCCGCCGCCAAGCCCUAAUCUCUCUCGGGAGGGCUGAUCUGGAGUCCGUUCGGGGCUCCGGAGAGGGGGAUUCGUCGUUGUCGUCAUCAUCAUCAACCAUCCUCCAUCACCAAUUUCAUGAUGCUCACCGCCGUGUGUGAGUAAUUCCAUCGUAGGCUUGCUGGACGGUGAUGGGUUGGAUGAGAUUUACCAGGUAAUCAAGUUAGUUUUGUUAGGGUUUGAUCCCUAGUAUCCACUAUGUUCUGAGAUUGAUGUUGCUAUGACUUUGCUAUGCUUAAUGCUUGUCACUAGGGCCCAAGUGCCAUGAUUUCAGAUCUGAACCUAUUAUGUUUUAAUCAAUAUAUAUGUGAUGUUGAUCCUAUCUUGCAAGUGUAUAGUUACCUAUUAUGUGUUAUGAUCCGUCAACCCCAAAGUGACAAUAAUCGGGACACUUCUCGGUGAUGACCAUAGUUUGAGGAGUUCAUGUAUUCACCUUGUGUUAAUGCUUUGGUCCAGUUCUCUAUUAAAAGGAGGCCUUAAUAUCCCUUAGUUUCCACUAGGACCCCGCUGCCACGGGAGGGUAGGACAAAAGAUGUCAUGCAAGUUCUUUUCCAUAAGCACGUAUGACUAUUUACGGAAUACAUGCCUACAUUACAUUGAUGAACUGGAGCUAGUUCUAUAUCACCCUAUGUUAUAACUAUUGCAUGAGGAAUCGCAUCCGACAUAAUUAUCCAUCACUGAUCCAUUGCCUACGAGCUUUUCAUAUAUUGUUCUUCACUUAUUUACUUUUCCGUUGCUACUGUUACAACUACUACAAAAACCCAAAAACAUUUACCUUUACUGUUGCUACUGUUACCAUUACUAUCAUACCACUUUUGCUACUAAACACUUUGCUGCAGAUACUAAGUUAUCCAGGUGUGGUUGAAUUGACAACUUAACUGCUAAUACUCAAGAAUAUUCUUUGGCUCCCCUUGUGUCGAAUCAAUAAAUUUGGGUUGAAUACUCUACCCUCGAAAGAUGUUGCGAUCCCCUAUACUUGUGGGUUAUCAAGACUAAUUUCUGGCGUCGUUGCCAGGGAGCAUAGCUCUAUUCUCUGAGUCACUUGGGAUUUAUAUCUAUUGAUCACUAUGAAGAACCUGAAAGACGCUAAGACCAAGAUUUUGCCCUCAACUACGAGGGGAGGUAAGGAACUGCCAUCUAGCUCUGCACUAGAUUCUCCUUCCUUUAUUAGUAGGCUUGCGACACCUAAACCUGCUACUGCUAUGAAUUCUGAUAUGUUGCAUGUUAUUGAUGAUGCCACUUCUGCUAUGCAUGAUGAAACUACUUCUGUGCGUGAUACUACUUUGCCAUUACGUUAAUUUCUUGAUGAACAACUUGCUAGAGUUAGGGGGAAUGAAAAUGUUGAAGAACCUAUUAUUGAUGAUAGUGAUGAUGAACGUUCCCCCAAUGAUUAUGUAUUACCUAUUGUUCCUAAGGGUUAUGUUAUGAACAAAGAAGCUGCUGAAGCUAUUCUUGCUUGCAAUGAUAGAAAUGAUCUUAAGAAAUUAUUAGCUAAAUGGAAGCAACAGUCUCUUAAUGCUAGAAUAAAACCGAUCCUGCUUUUGCCACUUCACCAAUCUGUGUUACUGAUAAGGAUUAUGAAUUCUCCGUUGAUCCUAAUAUUAUUACUUUAGUUGAAUCUGAUCCUUUUUAUGGCCUUGAAUCUGAAAUUGUUGUGGCACAUCUUACCAAGUUGAAUGACAUAGCGACCCUAUUUACUCAUGAUGAGAAGUCUCGCUAUUUAUAUAUCCUUAAGAUUUUCCCGUUCUCAUUAAAGGGUGAUGCUAAGACUUGGUAUAAUUCUCUUGCUCCUGGUUGUGUGCGUAGUCCCCAGGAUAUGAUUUAUUACUUCUCUGCUAAAUAUUUCCCUGCUCAUAAGAAACAAGCUGCCUUGUGGGAAAUAUAUAAUUUUGUGCAAACCAAAGAAGAGACUCUCCCACAAGCUUGGGGGAGGCUUCUCCGGUUGCUUUAUGCUUUGCCUGAUCAUCAUCUUAAGAAAAAAUGAAAUACUUGAUAUCUUUUAUAAUGGACUAACUGAUGCUUCCAAGGACCACUUGGAUAGUUGUGCUGGUUGUGUUUUCAGGGAAAGAACAGUUGACGAAGCUGAAAUAUUAUGGAAUAAUAUGUUGACUAAUGAAAAUAAUUGGACUCCUCCUAAGCCAGUUCCUGAAGUAAUUCCUGAACCAAUUGAGCCAACUCCUAAGCCUAUUCCUGAACCCACUCCGAAGAAGAGAGGUGUUUUAUUCCUCAGUCUUGAAGAUAUGCAAGAGGCAAAGAAAUCAAUGAAAGAAAAAGGUAUUAAAGCUGAAGAUGUUAAGAAUUUACCACCUAAUGAAAAAAUACAUGGUCUGAAUAUACCGCCUGAAGAACCACAUUGUCUUGAUAACCCGACAUAAGUAGUAAAGGUAAAUUCUCUCUAUAGAUAUGAUAAAGUUGAAAUACCCUCUACUAAAUUUCAUAGCCCAUGCUUAGAUGAAUUUGAUGACUUUAUGGCUAGACAAGAAAGUUUUAAUGCUUAUGUUGGUAGAGAGUUAAAGAAUAAUGCUUUCGAGAUAGGACGCGUAGGUGAUAAUCUGGCUAGAGUUAAAGAUGAACUUCACCGCGUUAGCAAAUAUGCUUCUAUGGUUGCUACUCAAGCCGAGCAAGUGCUCAAGGCUCAAAAUGAUUUGCUUGAUGAAUUGAAUAAUAAAAAUGACUUUGCCAUUAGAGUGGCUACUAGAACUGGUAGAAUGACCCAGGAACCUUUGUAUCCUGAAGGCCACCCUAAAAGAAUUGAACAAGAUUCUCAGUAUAAUAAUCUAGAUGUUCCUAGUUCUUCUAAGAAGAAGAAAAAGAAAAAUGAUAGGACUGUGCAAACUUCUAGUGAACCUAAUAUAGAAACACUUGAGAAUCCCAAUGACACUUCUAUCUCUGAUGCUGAAACGCAAUCAGGUGAUGAACAUGAACCUGAUGAUAAUGCUAACAAUGAUGUUCAUGUGGAUGCUCAACCUAGUAAUAACAAUGAUGUAGAGAUUGAACCUGCUGUUGAUCUUGAUAAACCACAAUCAAGAAACCAACGUUAUGAUAAGAGAGAUUUUGUUGCUAGGAAGCACGGUAAAGAAAGAGAACCAUGGGUUCAAAAACCCAUGCCCUUUCCUCCUAAACCAUCCAAGUCAAAGGAUGAUGAGGAUUUUGAGCACUUUGCUGAAAUGAUUAGACCUAUUUUCUUACGUGUGCGCUUAACUGAUAUGCUUAAAGUAAAUCCUUAUGCUAAAUACAUGAAGGAUAUCAUCACAAAUAAAAGAAAGAUACCGGAAGCUGAAAUUUCCACCAUGCUUGCUAAUUACACUUUCAAGGGUGGAAUACCAAAGAAACUUGGAGAUCCGGGUGUUCCAACUAUACCAUGCUCCAUUAAAAUAAAUUAUGUUAGAACUGCUUUAUGUGAUCUUGGAGCCGGUGUUAGUGUUAUGCCUCUCUCUUUAUACUGUAGACUUGAAUUGAAUAAGUUGACACCUACUGAAAUAUCUUUGCAAAUGGACGAUAAAUCAACUGCUAUACCUGUCGGUAUUUGCGAGGAUGUGCCUGUUGUGGUUGCAAAUGUCACUAUUUUAACGAACUUUGUUAUUCUUGAUAUUCCCAAAGACAAUAGUAUGUCUAUUAUCCUUGGUAGACCUUUUUUUAAUACUGCAGGGGCUGUUAUUGAUUGCAACAAAGGCAAUGUCACUUUUCAUGUUAAUGGCAAUAAGCAUACGAUACACUUUCCGAGGAAACAAUCUCAAGUUCAUAGCAUCAAUUCUAUUGAAAAAGUUCCAACUAUCAUUUUUGGAGGUUUUGAAUUUCCUCUCCCUACUGUCAAGAAAAAGUAUGAUAUUCUUAUUGUUGGGGAUUUUCAUAUCCCCGUUGAGGUAACUUAGUGUUAUUCGAAAUUUCUCCGGUUCCGUGUUAUUCGGAAUGAGUUUGUUAACAAGACUUGAUCAACCUUGUUAGCGGGUUCAUUUUGAUGACCAUGAGAUGGACGAAACUAGAAAGCACAACCUUCUAUACCCUCUUUUUACUUUAUGUCAUUUAGAAUAAAUAAAGCAAAAAUAGUAUUAUCCGUCUGUUUUCUGAAUUAUCCGUGCAAUAAAAAAUAGUCUAAAAAUAAAAAUGCUCCAAAUGCCCUGCAAAUUUAGUAUGAUUUUUUCUGGAAUAUUUGGGGAUUUUAGGCACUGAAAACACUGCAAAAGGGGCAAGCACCAGGACACGAGAGAGGAGGGCGCGCGCCCCUGUCUUGUGGGUCCCUGGUGUCUCCCCUCCACUUAUGCCAGCACCCACACACUCCAUCUUCUACCCAAAAAAAUCCCCAUCCAGCUGAAGCACGAGUUCUAGCUCGUUUUGCUGCGAUUUUCGAAAUCGUAGCUCAAAGCUCCUUUCACAAAAACUGCUUUGGGAGAUUGUUGCUUGGUAUGUGACUCCUCCAUUGGUCCAAUUAGUUUUUGUUCUAGUGUUUUAUUCAUUGCAAAUCCUUGCUGUCUUGGUGACCCUGUUCUUGAGCUUGCAUGUUAAAUUUUUGAGGUUCCAAGUAAUUCUAAUGCAUGAUAUGAGAUCUAGGCACUUGUAGGAGUAGUUACUAUCAAUCUUGUUUAGUUUUAUGCACUUUUAUUUUGAAGUUACUAAAAUUUCAGAAAUUUUCAGAAAAAGAAAUAUGCUUAGGAGAUUGUAUCAAGGCGGUUCCUCGGCAAAGAAAGGGCCAAGGAUUGCUAUACGUGAGCAAGAUGUUGAAUUGCCGAGGAAUGCAUGUGUACGAGCCUGUGAGUGGCCAUCCGAUGAUUUUAUGAUUGAAGCAGGCUUCAAGGAGGAAUUUGACGCGUAUGUGCGUAAUGCUGAGCUGGAGGAGUUCUUACAAGAUAAGUGUCCUUAGUACUCUCAAUUGACUAAUUCCUUUGUGCGGAGGUUUAAAUAUAACUCUACACGUAAUUCUCCUAGUGUCCUAUUUGAUAUUUAUGAUACAUCUUACACCUUGGACUUAGAGGAUUUUAUAACUGCUUGCAAACUCCCACAGUGGGGUAAUAUUAAUGAUCCUCCCAAAUCUGAAUUUAGAGAUUUCCUUGCGAAUAUUACUGUGGGAGAAUCUAGGGACAUAGCACAAGCUACCAUAGGGAGCAUUCAUUUUCCUACUUUACAUUACUUUGCUCUCUUCAUUGGUAGAUGCAUUAACGGUAAGGACGAAGUAUCUCACAUGUGUGCACCUUAUCUCUGUGUCCUCAAGAGUGCUGUGUUAGGUUAUAAAGGUUAUAACUUGGGGGCAAUUGUUGCACGUAGGUGGCCGAAUAAUAGUAAAAAGGGAAAUUUCUUUGGAGGACUUUAUGCAACCCGUGUGGCUAAUUUUCUUGGUAUAGCCCCACGGGAAGGAGAUAUGAUAAUGCCCCCUGUUUAUUUGGAUAAAGAAGAUAUGUUUAGUCAUCAUUUUCUUGAGAGGAAUGUACAAUUCCUCCAUUAUCAACUAAUCUAUGACAGACGCAACGUCGUCCCUGUCACUCUUCCUGCUCCCUACCUUUUUGAUUAUCAGGCAAGAGGAAGAUAUGUUGUCACCAGGGAAGAAGCCACUGAAUAUGAGAGGGGAAUGGAGGCAGCUCGCCAACACGUUGCUGCCCAGGAGGCUAUUGCCUCUGCAUCUCAGUACAAUCCCAGUUUUACUUAUGGAUAUCAGCCAGGCGGUCCUUGGUAUUAAACCAACUUAGGCAAAAAGCCUAAGCUUGGGGGAGUACGUAUUUCUCACCGACUUUACAUUCAUGUUCACACACUAUUCGUCAGUGCUCAUACUCUUUCAUUGUAUUAUCCAUGCUAGUUUAAAAUUCCUUUUUCUAGUCUUCUUCUUGUGUGUUUGAUAAACCUCGAGAAAAAAACCAAAACAAUUAGUUAGUUUAAUUUCCUUGCCUGUAGUAGGAAUUAAAAUGAAAAACCAAAAAGAUUUCUAGUUCUUCUUUUUACUUGCUGGGAGCUUUCCCGUGUAAAUAGUUUUAUUUUAUUUUCUUUCCUUUGGGGGUCGAGAAGACCUUAUUAAAAAUGCUUAGUGGCUCUUAUAUGCAUGAUUGAUUAUUUAUAUUUAGAUCCCAUAUUACUUGUCUUCUCUCUUGAGUUGAAUGCUUGCAGAUUCCAGCUUAGUCCAAUGCACGUACACUCUUAUUAUUAUACACAUCGUUCGGUCGUGCGAGUGAAAAGCAAUAAUGACGAUAUAUGAUGGACUUAUUGGGAUGAGAAAAGCUGGUAUGAACUCGACCUCUCUUGUUUUUUGUAAAUAUGAUGAUUCAUCGUUCCUGAGUCAACUAUUAUGAAGUAAACAUAUUUGCAAUGACAUUUAGAGAUUAUAGUUACUUGUGCCAUGCUUGAUUAGCUAUGAGUUAUAAUGGUUUACCUUGCAUGCCAACAUGCUAUUAGAAUGAUUAUGAUGUGGUAUGAUGGGAUGGUAUCCUCCAUUGAAUGAAUUGAGUGACUCGACUUGGCACAUGUUCACGCAUGUAGUUGAAUCAAAUCAACAUAGCCUUCACGAUACUUAUGUUCAUGGUGGAUUAUAUCCUACUCAUGCUUGUACUCGGUGUGAAUUAAUUUUAAUGCAUGCUUACGACUAUUGUCGCUCUCUCAUUUGGUCGCUUCCUAGUCUUUUGCUAGCCUUCACCUGUACUAAGCGGGAAUACUACUUGUGCACCCAAAAGUUGUUCCAUAUGAGUCCACUAUACCUACCUAUAUGAUGUAUUUACCUGCCGUUCCAAGUAAAUUUGUAUGUGCCAAACUCCAAACAUUCAAAUGAAAUUCUGUUUUGUAUGCUCGAGGAGCUCAUGUAACAACUAGGGCUGCCUAUAUGUUCCAUGCUAGGUGUGUUAUUCUCAUAGGAGUGGACUCUGCUCCUCAUUCAUGAGAAAGGGCCGGUAUCCGGGAUGCCCAGUCCCAUGAUCCAAAAAGAUCAAAGCAAAUCAAAAUAAUUAAACAAAACUCCCCUAGGGCUGUUGUAUGUUGGAGGCACUCGUUGUUUUGAGCAAGCCAUGGAUUGAUGCUUGUUGGUGGUUGGGGGAGUAUAAACCUUUACCAUUCUGUUUGGGAACUGCCUAUAAUGCAUUUAGUGUGGAAGAUACAGCCAUCCCAUAGGUGUUGCGUUGACAACAAAAGUAUGCCGCUCAAAAUGUUAUUCAAUCUCUAUUUUAAAAUUGAGCUGUGGCACCUCUACAAAUCCCUGCUUCCCUCGGUGAAGGGCCUAUCUAUUUACUUUUAUGUUGAGUCAUCACCCUUCUUAUUAAAAGCACCCGCUGGAGAGCGCACUGUCAUUUGCAUUCAUUAUUAUUGGUUUAUAUUGGGUAUGACUUGAUUGGAUCACUUUUACCAUGAAUUACAAUUUUUAGUCAGUCAUUGAUCUUUAAAGGUGCUCUGCAUUUAUGUUUUGCGGUCUCAGAAAGGGCUAGCGAGAUUCCAUUUUGUUAUAUCAUGUUAUGAUUAUUUUGAGAAACUGUUGUCAUCCGAGUUUUAUUAUUAUGACUCGCUAGCUGAUUAUGUUAUUGAUAUAAGUAACUGUGAGACCUAUGUGUUAUUGUGAGUAUGGUUAGUUCGUAAUAUUUGCUGAAACUUGAAUGCUGGCUUUUCAUGUUUACAACAACAAGAGCAAACACAGUUUGUAAAAGUUUUCUUUUUCACUUUCAGUUUAUCAACUGAAUUGCUUGAGGACAAGCAAAGGUUUUAGCUUGGGGGAGUUGAUGCGUCUCCACCGUAUCUACUUUUCCAAACACUUUUGCCCUUGUUUUGGACUCUAACUUGCAUGAUUUGAAUGAAACUAACCCGGACUGACGCUGUUUUCAGCAGAACUACCAUGAUGUUGUUUUAUGUGUACAAAAGAAAAGUUCUCGGAAUAACCUGCAAAUCCACGGAGGAACUUUUCAGAAUUAAUAAGAAUUUUUGGCGAAAGAAUCAGGGCCAGGGGGCCCAAGGCCUGUCCACGAGAUGGGGGGGGCGCCCCCCCUAGGGCGCGCCCCCCUAUCUCGUGGGCCCCCCGGACCUCCUUCGACCUCAACUCCAACUCCAUAUAUACCGUCUCGGGGAGAAAAAAAACAAAGAGAAAGUUUCAUCGCGUUUUAUGAUACGGAGCCGCCGCCAAGCCCUAAUCUCUCUCGGGAGGGCUGAUCUGGAGUCCGUUCGGGGCUCCGGAGAGGGGGAUUCGUCGCCGUCGUCAUCAUCAAGCAUCCUCCAUCACCAAUUUCAUGAUGCUCACCGUCGUGUGUGAGUAAUUCCAUCGUAGGCUUGCUGGACGGUGAUGGGUUGGAUGAGAUUUACCAUGUAAUCAAGUUAGUUUUGUUAGGGUUUGAUCCCUCGUAUCCACUAUGUUCUGAGAUUGAUGUUGCUAUGACUUCGCUAUGCUUAAUGCUUGUCACUAGGGCCCGAGUGCACUACUAGGAAAAGGGCUAUAGAUAGGAUUGCUACUAAUGGCGCACCAGGUAAGUAGUGCGCCACUACUAUAUAAUAAUGGCGCACCGGUCGGUGAUGCGCCAUUAGUGUGGAAGACACUAAUGGCGCACCGGACACACGGUGCGCCACUAGUAUUAUUUUUUUUCCAUUUUUCCAUACAUACUAAUGGUGCAUGAGGUCGAAGUGCGCCAUUACUAGUUCUAACUAGUAAUGGCGCACCGUGCAGACAGUGUGCCAUUAGUAUUUUUUUUACUUUUUUGCAAAACUACUAAUGGCGCACUGUGUCAAAGUGCGCCAUUACUAGUUUAAACUACUAAUGGUGCACUUUUCCACAGUGCGCCAUUAGUAUAUAUAUAUAUAUAUUUAUACUUUUCUGCAAAACUACUAAUGGCGCACCGCCUGCAGGUGUGCCAUUAGUAACCAGGGUUACUAAUGGCGCAUUUGCUGGUGGUGCGCCAUUAGUAACCUGGGACCAACAAGAUAUUUUGGACAGCCCACCUACCCACUCACUUUCCCCACUUCAUUCUCUCCACCUCCUCCUCCAAGCUUGUCUCGGCUGCCUCUUACUCCUCACCUCAUUUGCACCAUAGAUUUAUCAAAAUUAAGUGGUGAAAUUACCUUUUUUUGAUAGGUAAGUAAGGGGAAAGCUAUCUUCAUGAUGUAGAUCUACUUUUUUUCUCCCUAUCUCGCUCCAACAACGUGCACAUGCACUUUUUGUGUCCUAGCUAGAUCUAUGUAUGUUUGUGGUGUUGCAUGUGUUUGUGGUGUUGCAUAUAUGUUUGUGUUUGCAGGUACCGGUAUUUGAAAUGCGAUAGUUGCCAAUAUUUUGCCGAAAUGUUGAUUCAUUUCCGUUUCGGCGAGAAUUUUGGCACUAUGCAUUCUUUUUGGUCCUAUUUUUAGGGAAGGUCAUGCCAAAUUUUUUCUUGGUUCUAAAAUAUCGUUUUGCUCUACCCCGCAGGCCACCAUGGUCCGCACGAUGACCGAAGGCAUCGUGAAUAGGUUUUUGAGCUCCGUGAAGGCCGAGAUGCUUCAAAAGAACGAGACGGAGAUAAGAUGUCCGUGUCGAAGAUGCAAGCUGAAGAGCCUUAUUGCGGACCCGGAUUCCGGGCAGGUGCGGGACCACCUGCUCUUGCGUGGUUUCAUGGAUGGCUAUCGGUGGCAAGGUGAUGAAGAUGACUAUGAAGUCGUCCAUGGGGGCCGGGCAAGAAAUGAGGAAGGGCAACAAGACAAGUACCACCGAGGUGAGGGAGGGCGAGAAGCCGAAGAAUCUCCAGGACAUGAUCACGACGGUGAUGCUGUACACAGUCAUCAUGUAGAAGAUGUCGUACAUGAUGAUGAGGAAGAUCAAGACGAAGGGCAUGAUCAUGAAGAUGAAGAUGCCAGAGCAGACGACAAUGGAGGCUAGGUGCAGGACCCUCAUAUUCAAGAGCUGCUUCUCAAGCAGACGGAUAACGCAAGAGCUGCCGCCCAAGAGAAAGCCAAGCUGGAUCAACUGGAGAUAGACGCGGUUACUCCAUUGUAUGAAGGAUGUAGGCCCGAGGAUACCCGCCUGAAAGUAACGCUCAUGGCUCUGGAGAUGAAGGUAAAACACAAAAUCACCGACGCAUGCUUCGAUGAGAACAUGUCAUUCUGGCAUGAACGUCUUCCCAAGGGGAACAAGUGCCCGACCAGUUUCGAGGAGGCGAAGAAAAUCGUGUGUCCUUUGGAUUUACCGCACAUGAAAUACCAUGUGUGCAUGAACAAUUGCAUCAUUUAUCGGGACGAGCACGCGGAGUCUACCAUAUGUCCGGUGUGCGGCGUCACUCGAUACAAGAAGAGGAAGAAAGCUCCUCGAAAAUCGGUGUGGUACUUUCCGAUCACUCCUCGUCUGUAGCAGUAUUUCGUGGACCCUAAGGUAGCAAAGCUCCUGCGUUGGCACGAGGAUAGGGAGGAGAAGAAGCGGGAAGAUGACGGAAAUGAUCCGGAGAUAAAUAAAAAAGACAAGAUGCUGAGUCACCCUAAGGAUGCGAGCCAGUGGCAAGCGUUGAACUUCGAAUACCCAGAAUUUGGGAAGGAUCCAAGGAACAUCGUGCUGGGCGCGAGCACCGAUGGAGUCAAACCGUGUGGCAGCCACAGAAGCACACAUAGCACCUGGCCUGUGUUUGUGUGGAUGUACAACCUUCCCCCCUGGUUGUGCAUGAAGAGGAAGUACAUUCACAUGAGUAUGCUAAUUGAAGGGCCGAAACAACCAGGGAACAACAUCAAUCUGUAUCUGGGGCUGCUGAAGGAGGAGCUAGACACACUGUGGAAAACGCCAGCCAAUACGUGGGACACCGCAGAGAAAGAAUAUUUCCCUAUGAGAGCCGCACUGCUCACGACGGUGCACGACUAUCUCGGUUACGGAUAUCUCGCGGGGCAGGUAGUCCACGGAUUUUCUGGAUGCGUAAGGUGCAUGGAUGACACAACGUAUCGUCAGCUAGAUAGAGAUCCCGGGUCUUUAAAAAACGCGACGAUGACCCGUGGAGGAAACGCAAGGAUCUGUUCGAUGGUGAAACCGAACCCCGAAAACGCCCGUGUACGAGGAGCGGCGAGGAAAUAGACGAGCUGUUGAAAAAUUGGAAAGACUGCCCACUGCCGAGAAAGAAGCAAAAGGCACCAGAGCAGGGAAAGAAGCGAAAGGCGCCAGAGCCGCUGCUGAAGGUACGGAAAACAAGGUCUGUUUUCUGGGACUUGCCGUAUUGGAAGAUCCACCGUGUGCCUCACAGCCUUGAUGUCAUGCAUAUCACGAAGAACGUGUGCGACAGUCUGCUUGGUACCCUACUCAACAUGCCAGAGAGGACCAAAGAUGGGCCGAAAGCAAGGGCAGACUUGAAAUCAAUGGGCAUCAGGCAGGAGCUUCACGCGAAUGAUGAUGAUGAUGAGGCAAAGCAGGACACAGAAAGUCGUCGCAAAGGCAAAAAGGCCAAGAAGACCGGAAAUGACUACCCUCCCGCGUGCUUCACUCUAAGUCAGGAGGAGAUCGAGCAGUUUUUCACCUGCCUCCUAGGAGUAAAACUUCCUUACGGUUACGCGGGGAAGAUAAGCAGAUACGUAGACCCAGCGAAGCAGAAGUUCAGCGGGAUCAAGUCUCACGACUGUCACGUGCUGAUGACACAGAUACUUCCAGUUGCAAUGCAUGGGGUCAUGGACGCGCACGUCCAUGAAACGCUAUUUGGCCUAUGCAACUUUUCCGACGUCAUCUCUCGGAAGUCCAUUGGCGCGAGGCAACUCAGAAGGCUAUAGGAAGAGAUCGUGGUGAUACUAUGCGAGCUUGAGAUGUACUUCCCGCCCGCAUUCUUCGACGUUAUGGUGCAUCUGCUGGUCCAUAUCGUGGAGGGUAUCAACCAACUCAGGCCGACGUUCCUGCACAACAUGAUGCCGUUCGAAAGGAUGAAUGGUGUCAUCAAAGGAUACGUUCGAAACAUGUCACGUCCAGAGGGAAGUAUAGCAAGGGGCUUUCUGACCGAAGAGUGCAUCUCCUACUGCAUGAAUUAUCUAGGCAUCGAGAACCCCGUUGGUCUGCCCGUCAAUAAGCACCUCGGCAGGCUUGCUGGAUGGGGUCACCAUGAGGGUUUCUGCGAAAUGCAUGUCGACUUCGAGGGUCGACUCGCCGAUUUGAAAGAGCAAACCUAGUCGCGCUACAACACAUAGACGUGGUCGAUCCUUGGGUGGUAGAGCACAAAACCUUUAUUGAGAAGACAUACAAUGACCGAGGCCAACAGAGGACGGGCGGAGAUAUAAUCAAAGAGCACAACUCAUGUUUCACGCGUUGGUUCAAGCAGAAGCUUCUGUCGUACCCGCUUCGAGAAAUACAGCGGUGACAAGCAGACCAGCAACUUUGUCAGGGCCCGGUACAAGGAGGACCCGAUAACAAAGGAGCUUACCAUGGAUCCGAAGACCAGGGCGCUUGAGCUUGUUCUGGUAAGGAAUACACCCCCGCGUAAUUAGCUCCAUAUGGUUGCACUCUAAUUAAUCCCCAAUAUUUCUAAAUGGUUCACGUUCCUUCCGCAGGAAACUGAAAGCAGUAGCGCGGGGUCAUCUCAGAGCUCCCCUUUCGACACCCCUUUAAAUAGGGCGUUGAACGUAAUGAAAAAUAAGGAUAAGCUCACUAAGCCGACGUCAGCCGAUCGUGUGGCCGGCAAAGGCUUGUCCACAAAAUGGGGGUCAUACUAUACCGCUGAUGUGCGAAAGGAGAAAAAGACCAGCUCGGAAAGCCAGACGCGCGAGGUUGAAGCACUCAAGGCACAAGUGGCGCAGAUUCCGGAGCUUGUCCAAGAGCAAGUGGAACAACAACUGGGAACGAAGCUCAAUGCCAUGGUGCCUACGCUGAUUCAUGGGCUGACGACAUGGAUUGCGGGCGGCCAACAGGGGCCUCCCCCGGUUCCCAGCUUCACGGCCAGCAACUCGCACAACACGCAGGCGGCGCCAUUGGUGUCUCCGGCGGCGCCAUUGGUGUCUCAGGCGGUGCCAUUGGUGUCUCCGACGGUGGCGCCAUUGGUGUCUCCGGCGGAGGCGGUAUUCGUGUCUCCGGCGCCGGCACGGGCAUUGGAGCUUAAUGCACCCGGGUGUACGCCGGCCGGCACCUCGCCGGCAAGCGCCCCCUCCGUUAGUUGCACGCCUGCCGUUGGCGGUGCCUCGACAUUAGCCGAGCUCGACGGCAUCAUAGUAACUAAGCCUCUCGGCCGAUGACUUCAUCUCCUUGCCUUUGACUGGGCAUCCCUGACGCCCUACAUGUUUUCGCAGGGCGCCGCUGAUGUUCCUUGCACUCUUCUGCACUUCGUGAGCGGCAAGUUGGUCGAUGUCGCCAAGGGCAGAAUCGUUCAAACGGGCAACCACAUGUUCCACGGUAAUCCGAUGGCACCCACAGUGUAUAGGGUUGAAGUGGUUCGGGUGCUGCCAGGCUGCGACGAGCUGUUACCUCUGAUUCGACCCGCUGGGGACGACGAAGACGAUGAGAUGACCCUCAGCGCCUACGUAAACUGGCCCCUGCUUUGGCCGAAGAGCCAGAUUCGUUGGGGAGCGGGGGACACCACCCCACAGACAAGACCGCCAGUCGUGCUGGCGCCAAGCCAUGGCAAGAACGCCGCAACGCUAGCGGACCUGCCGGACAUCCCUAUGGCACAGGAUACGGACAUCCCUAUGGCACAGGAUCCGGACGACGACGACAACGACGACGGUACAUUUACCAAAGUCGAUAAGUACUUUGCCGAACAUGGGUACACUGACGAGUUCUGCGGGCCUCUUUCUCAAGAACCCAACCAAGAUGACCGCAAUCUAGCUGAUACGGCGGAGAAAUCCAAUUGCAACAGGCGUCGUCUGGCGUUCAGUUCUUAGGAGACGCCUCCAGCUCCCGCCUUCACCGAGCCUCAGAUAGCUGAGGUGCGAAAUAUUAUCAGCCCCAACACGCUCAAGAAGGCAGUCUGUGAGCAGAACUCGGUCCCAUUACAGGAGAUCAAGAAGAAGGGACGGAAACGAAAGACUAACAAGGGCGCCGCUGCGAGCCAGCCGGCACCGAGUUCGAUCCGUGCUCAGGACGGGCCACCUUCACCUAAGGAUAUCUCGAGGAGGGUGCAUGUGGCGGGUAGGGCGAUGCUACCGCCAAAUAUGCUCAAUGCUGCAACCGGCGCUAUGCGGAUUCUGCACGACAGUGUUCUUUCUUUGGAGAAGCGGCGUCUCAGAGAGAAUGAUGUGGCAUACCCGAUUUUCGUGGCCAAGGUGCCAGAGGGCAAGGGCUUUGUGGAUGGUGACAUCGGGGGUACGAUCGUCCUGCGGUUUGAUGACAUCUUUGCUAUGUUUAACCUUCAUCCGAUGCACUACACCUUUGUUCGGCUGUUUUCGCUGAGUAUGGAGAUGCCGAUCAUUAGAGACAAGACCCCAGACAUCGUGAUAGUCGACCCCUUCUACAUGCGUGCCAAGCACUUGAGCAGCGCUGGGGACCGCCAAGUUGCGAGUUCACACCUCGAAGGCGUCAUUCUGGCAAACCCAGAUAAGGAUAACUUCCUUGUGGCUUACUUUCCCGAGUAAGUCAUCCCUUAACCACGCCGUAACAUAUGAUUUCUUAGAUUUCGAUCGUUCUUUUUUUUUCUAACAUUCCGUGUUCUGUGCAGUGACACACAUUGUACACUCAUCCUCUUAAGCCCGAAAUAUUCCAUGGCCACGUAUUUCAACCCGAACCGUAACUCCAAGAUAGACUACGCAAAUGUCAAGAAAGUUCUUGAUGAUGUUCUCCCCGGCUACGCCAAAUCUGGAGGCACCUUCACUAGGGCAGUUCGUAAGUACGGCAAGCACACCUUCUCACACAAUACGAAUUUCUGCUACGUCAAGCAGCCGCCUGGUGGUCAGAAGGAUGCCUACUAUGCCCUCCAUCACAUGCGGGCGAUCGUAAGGGACCAUCAUCACCUUCUCCUACCAGAUAGUCUCAAAGAUUGGGCCGCGAGGUUGUCGCAACCCAGGACGCGGACCUCAGACAAGAAUUCUUUCGCAUCCAGUCGGAGUUUGCAGACAUCAUCCAUCAAGAUGUCCUUCAUACCUCGGGGCAGUUCUACCUCAGAUAUCAACCGUCCAACAAUGAGAUAGAUGGAACGCUACAAAUGCAGGGUGACAACGACCGCGAUUUCAUGACCACCACGACAGACGAUGGCUUCAUCCAUGCUCCUGUCCGAUGAGUCGAGUCGAAAGUAGUGAUGUGUAGUUCUGAAACAUUGGUUGGCUCAUGUUGUAAUUAAACAUUAAUGAAUUCGUAUGUCUCUUUGGUUUGGACAGUCGUUCAAUUUAGAUGUAAUCGAUGCUAUUUAUUAGUAGGACCAUGAAUCGUGCUAUUAAUGUCUUGCUUUUCUCUUCCAAUCCUUUUGUUGCAUACUUACAUAUUGCUUAUGUAUUGUCUGUUGUUUGGCUUGUGCAUAGAGAUGCCAUCGUAUGUCGUGUACAAGGGUAAGGUUCCCGGAGUCUAUGAUGACUGGGAGGAGUGUCGGAGACAGGUUCACCGUUUCAGCGGUAACAGUUACAAAGGGUACACCACUAGGGCGGAGGCCGAAUCUAGAUACGCCCGCUAUCUAGCGGGAGAGAGGAGGGAGCAUUGGAAGAACCGGAUGAAGACCAGUUUGAUCGUGAUGAUGCUCAUCGUGAUGACCGCAGCUCUCUUUUAUGUGAUGGUAGUUUAGAUGAUCGAUAUCGACUUGUAAUGUGAAGACAAACUCGAUACUCGCGGUCUUGAGACUUGUAAUGUUUUAUCUUUGUUCGGUCUUUUGAAUUCCGAGACUAAUAUGAUGAAUUGUAUUCGGAGACUAAUCUUCUAUUGUAUUCGAUGAAUCUGCUGUUGCUGUGUGUUGCUGUCUAUAUUCUGUCGAAUAAUAUAUUUUGUAACCUGUGCAAAAAUCAGAAAAGCAAAAAAAACCAAAUAUUCAUACUAAUGGCGCAUCACCAUAAGGUGCGCCAUUAGUAUGCCAAAGGAUACUAAUGGCGCAUCAAGGCAGAGUGGGCCAUUAGUAUGACAAAGCACAUGGUUACAUAAGGCCCCCGGGAGGCAUACUAAUGGUGCAUGGUCUUACAUACUAAUGGCGCACUGCCUGGUGCGCCAUUAGUACACCAGAUACUAAUGGCGCACCAGUGGUGCGCCAUUAGUAAAAAAUACUAGUGGCAUGCUACUAAUGGCGCACCGGUAGUGCGCCAUUAGUAGGCAAAAUCGGUGCGCCAUUAGUAGGCCUUUUCCUAGUAGUGGUGCCAUGAUUUCAGAUCUGAACCUAUUAUGUUUUCAUCAAUAUAUGUGUGUUCUUGAUCCUAUCUUGCAAGUCUAUCGUCACCUAUUAUGUGUUAUGAUCCGACAACCCCGAAGUGACAAUAAUCGGGACACUUCUCGGUGAUGACCGUAGUUUGAGGAGUUCAUGUAUUCACCAUGUGUUAAUGCUUUGGUCAAGUUCUCUAUUAAAAGGAGGCCUUAAUAUCCCUUAGUUUCCACUAGGACCCCGCUGCCACGGGAGGGUAGGACAAAAGAUGUCAUGCAAGUUCUUUUCCAUAUGCACGUAUGAGUAUUUACAGAAUACAUGCCUACAUUACAUUGAUGAACUGGAGCUAGUUCUAUAUCACCCUAUGUUAUAACUAUUGCAUGAGGAAUCGCAUACGACAUAAUCAUCCAUCACUGAUCCAUUGCCUACGAGCUUAUCAUAUAUUGUUCUUCGCUUAUUUACUUUUCCGUUGCUACUAUUACAACUACUACAAAAACCCCAAAACAUUGAUCUUUACUGUUGCUACUGUUACCAUUACUAUCAUACCACUUUUGCUACUAAACACUUUGCUGCAGAUACUAAGUUAUCCAGGUGUGGUUGAAUUGACAACUCAACUGCUAAUACUCAAGAAUAUUCUUUGGCUCCCCUUGUGUCGAAUCAAUAAAUUUGGGUUGAAUACUCUACCCUCGAAAGCUGUUGUGAUCCCCUAUACUUGUGGGUUAUCAGUCCUCGACGUUCCCGCCCAUGUGUGUGGUUUGUGAGGCAUGUGCCACGUCAAGGACGUGCGUUGCUUAUUCAAAUAGCACACCACCCCUGCAUGCAUACGCAUGGGCCACGCACAUGUAGAGGUGUCCUCCCCCCCACGGGCGGUCUCCAUAUCGAGCACCCAUCCGAUGGCCUCGGCGGUCUAGGCCUUUAUUCGACACCGAGAGGGUGUAGUCGAUGGUGAAUAACUGCUUCUCCGUGUUAGUGCAUGUCAUCGCGAGAUGAGAGACCAAGUCUAGGCCCGUUCUUCAAGAUAGUCUAUGGGUAUCAAGAGGGAAUGUGUCCGGUUUGAGCAGGAAGUGCGGGUUGUGUUGCUCCGUUGGCCUCGAAACUUCCUGUGCUCUCAAAGGAGGCCAUCACAUGUAUAUGCAUGGGCUAUCUGGUGGCCCCGGUGGUCUAGGAAGUUGACCGGCACUGAGAGAGGGGGUAGGCCAUGGUCAACAACUGCUUCUUCUCGUGUUUUUUACUUUACACUCUUUAAAGUUGAGUUUUGAAAAAAAAUCAUCAAAACUCAUGGAAUUUAUAAACUUUGGUCAUAAAAGAAUAUGAAAUAUGAGAUACAAAAAAGAUAGUGCAAAAGAAAAGACAAAAAGAGAAGGGAAAAAAUUAUAGCAGUGGUUACCGAGGGUCGAUUCUCGGCUCUCGGUAAUUGCCACCUUUUUCGAGAGCAGCUCUCGGUAAAGCAUCCACCUAGAUCUCUUUCCUUCUUGUGCAUUCUCGAUAAUAUGUAUUAUACUUUUUUGGUUGUUUUCUUCAUGCUUGGCAAACAACCUUAGCACAUCACAAUUACCGUCUUGUGUUUUUUCUUCGGAUGAGCCUCGUCCGAUUCUAGAGACCGGCACCCCUCCGGUGGCCCUGGCGGUCUAGGGCAUUGUUCGGCACCUAGAGGGGGUAGGCCACGGGGAAUAACUGCUUCUUCGUGUUAGUGCAUGCCAUCGCGAGAUAACAGACCAAGUCUAGGCCCGUUCUGUCACGGGAUCGCCCACCGAAGACUCUGUCUCGGGGACGAACGCAGCCGGUCCUCGACGUUCUCGCCCGUGUGUGUGGUUUGUGAGGCACGUGCCACGUCAAGGACGUGCCUUGCUUAUUCAAAUGGCACACCACACCUGCAUGCAUAUGCAUGGGCCACGCGCAUGUAUGGGUGCCCUCCCCCCUCGUGCGGUCUCCAUAUCGAGCACCCAUCCAGUGGCCCCGGCGGUCUAGGGCGUUAUUCGACACCGACAGGGUGUAGUCCACGGUGAAUAACUGCUUCUCCGUGUUAGUGCAUGUCAUCACGAGAUGACAGACCAAGUCUAGGCUCGUUCUGUCACGGGAUCACCCNNNNNNNNNNNNNNNNNNNNNNNNNNNNNNNNNNNNNNNNNNNNNNNNNNNNNNNNNNNNNNNNNNNNNNNNNNNNNNNNNNNNNNNNNNNNNNNNNNNNNNNNNNNNNNNNNNNNNNNNNNNNNNNNNNNNNNNNNNNNNNNNNNNNNNNNNNNNNNNNNNNNNNNNNNNNNNNNNNNNNNNNNNNNNNNNNNNNNNNNNNNNNNNNNNNNNNNNNNNNNNNNNNNNNNNNNNNNNNNNNNNNNNNNNNNNNNNNNNNNNNNNNNNNNNNNNNNNNNNNNNNNNNNNNNNNNNNNNNNNGAUUCUGUCUCGAGAACGGACGCAGCCGGUCCUCGACGUUCCUGCCCAUGUGUGUGGUUUGUGAGGCACGUGUCACGUCAAGGACGUGCGUUGCUUAUUCGAAUAGCACACCACCCCUGCAUGCAUAUGCAUGGGCCACACGCAUGUAGGGGUGCCCUCCCCCCUCAGGCGGUCUCUAUAUCGAGCACCCAUCCGGUGGCCCCGGCGGUCUAGGGCAUUAUUCGGCACUGAGAGGGUGUAGUCCACGGUGAAUAACUACUUCUCUGUGUUAGCGCAUGUCAUCGCGAGAUGACUGACCAAGUCUAGGCCCGUUCUGUCACGGGAUCACCCACCGAAGAUUCUGUCUCAGGGACGGACGCAGCCGGUCCUCGACGUUCCCGCCCGUGUGUGUAGCUUGUGAGGCACUUGUCACGUCAAGGACGUGUGUUGCUUAUUCAAAUAGCACACGGGCAUGGCCUAUGCGAUGGCCCCUGCGGUCUAGGAAGUUGACUAACAUCGAGAGAGGGGUAGGCCAUGGUCAACAACCGCUUCUUCUCAUGUUUUUUUACUUUACACUCUUUAAAGUUCUCUCUCGGGGCCGGUCUACAAAGUUGACCGGCACCAAGAGAGGGGGUAGGCCACGAUCAACAACUGAUUCUUCUCAUGUUUAUUACUUUACAGUCUUUAAAGUUCUCUCUCGGUGCCAAUCUAGAAAGUUGACCGGCACCGAGAGAGGGGGUAUGCCACGGUCAACAACUGCCUCUUCUCAUAUUUCUUACUUUACACUCAUUAAAGUUCCCUCUCGGUGCCGGUCUAGGAAGUUGACCGGCACCGAGAGAGGGGGUAGGCCACGGUCAAAAAUUGCUUCUUCUCAGGUUUUUUUACUUUACACUGUUUAAAGUUGAGUUUUGAACAAAUGAAUUUCGAACUUUGCUCAUAAAAAAAUAUGAAAAUGAGAUACAAAAAAGAUAGUGCCAAACAAAAACACAAAGAGAAGGGAAAAAAUUAGAGUCGGCCCUCGGGAAUGUCUACUUUUUCCAAGGGUGACUCGCAGUGAAGCAUCUAACCUAGAUCUAGGGGGAUUUAUUUUUCGAGAGCUGCUCUCGGUAAAUCAUCUAACCUAGAUCUAGAGUUGAUUUCUAUUCCGAGGGCCGCACCGACAAGCACUCGGUAAAUGUGACGUCGACUACUUAAGCAUAUUUCCCCCUGUUGUUUCUUCACUCAGCUCCCCACCGACCGGCGCCCCUCCUCCUCUGCUCCCCACCGACCGGCACCCCUCCACCGACCGGUGCCCCCUGCACUGCCGCCCCCCACACCACACCGAGCUCCUCCCUCAGGUGAGCCCCCCUCCUCCUCUCCAUGUGUGUAUAGAUAGAUGGAUUGAUAGAUGGAUGCAUAGAUAGAUGGAUGGAUUGAUAGAUGGAUGCAUAGAUAGAUGGAUGGAUUGAUAGAUGGAUGCAUAGAUAGAUGUAUGGAUUGAUAGAUGGGUGCAUAGAUAGAUGGAUGGAUUUAUAGAUGGAUGGAUGCCAUGUAGAUACAUUUUUUAAAAGAAAAAAUGUAGAUAAUUGUUGCUAAUGUUGUCUGCAUGGAUGCUAUGUGCGGAUGUGACCGAUGAGAUAUGUGAGAUAGUGUCGAUGAGAGUUGUUCUUGGAGGAAGAAAAAUCAACUUUUGAGCGAUGACGGUUGAUUUGGGUGAUCUCCUCAUGUUAUAUCUUGAUAACGCGCGAGGGGCUCACCCAGCUCAACCAUCAUCGAAAGUUGAAAUACCCGUGACAGAGUGUCCACCAUAUAUACCACCACCAGCGAGAGUUGUUCUUGGAGGAAGAAAAUCGACUUUUGAUGAUGGCGGUCGAUCUACGUGAGCUGUUCAUGUUAUAUCUUUCAUGUUUGAUUCUUAUGUUAUUUUCCAUUGUGUGAUGAAAGGUGUUAGCAUCGAUCAAUUUUUUGUCUAUGGCCUCCAACGGCGAAGCUUCCAUUAGGGUCGACUCCACGGACACGGAGAAGAGCUCCGAGUACCGCUUGGAGGAACUCCUUGAGAAGAACCCACAGCUGAUCCUAAUGAAGUUUUUUGUGGAUCUGACCAAGAAUAAUCCCCCAGCUAAGGAGGGCAAGGCUCCACCACGCAAGGAGCCAUUGAGUCCACCGACCAUCAUUCCUGACGAUGCUUGGUCCUCCACUGUGGGGGAUGCCCCCACGUGCUCUGACUCGACGAUCACUGGUUUCACCGACUACACCUCGGAGUAGUCACCUAGAUAGUUUGACAUUGAUUUAGUCGUAUAGUUAUGUACUUGUUGAUAUGGACUUGGAUGGCCACUUGCGAUGCUUUUGAUUUUAUUAGUGAUGAAUGCUUAUGUUGAUUAUGUCUGAUGUGUCUUAUUUCUUUUUCUUUUGUAGAUGAAGUGGUAUGUGGUGUAUAGAGGACGGUGUCCAUGAGUCUACAAUUCAUGGUCGGAAUGCAAUGAACAAAUACUUAAUUAUGAAGGCAACUCCUUCGCCUCAUUCAACAACAGAGAGACGACAGAGUAUCAUCACAAUCAGUAUUUGCUUAAGCAAAAGAGAAAAACAGAAUUACGCAAUGGUGCAAGCCAGACACGGCUUAGCUGGUUCAGCGGGUUGAAGAACUUCAUAAUUCUCUUUCAGUUUGUCAUAAUUGUGGUGUUGCUUUUUAUCAUAUGGUCAUGCAUGCAGACCACUUUGUUGUUUAAUUAGUAAGUAGGCACUUGUACUAAAGAACUACUUUGUGAUUUGAAAUGAAGCUUGUGUGCACUGUUUAUGGAUUAAUGCUUAUGUGAGUUUGUUGUUAACUUGUGUGACUUGAAAUGCAAGUUUGAGUAUUGUAUAAAUGUUUUUGCUGCACCAACUCGAGCAAAAAAUAGUAUGAACAGAACUGGGAACAAAAUUUUACUGAGGGCAGUAUUCGGCAAAGAGGCGUGCGCUGGAAGCUGGAGGCACUUGGCUGUUGCAGUUAUGCCAGGAGGACUCUCGGUAAAGCAGUGGUUACCGAGGGUCGAUUCCAAGCUCUCGGUAAAUGAGCAGGUGCCGAGAGUCGCUCUCGGUAAUGAUUAGGGCACCAUCAAAGUUUAGUCCCACCUUGCCUAGAGAUAAGCAACAAAACCUAUUUAAAUAGUGGGAUAGUCCAGAUGCAGUAAGCUUCGGUAUUCAUUACACUCUUGUUAAGGAGAUGGACUAUCACCUUGAAUGUUCACCUGUCUUGAGAAGAUAACAUUCAAAGUGAUAGGCCUUCUUCUUAGUGGUGGAUGCCGGUGUUUUUCUUUAAUAAUGGUGUCGGAACGUGUCCGUUUUGUGCAGGAAGUGCUGGUCAUGUUGCUCCGGUGGCCCCGGAGGUCUAGGGCGUUGUUCCGCACCUAGAGGGGGUAGGCCAUGGGAAGUAACUGCUUCUUUGUGUUAGUGCAUGCCAUUGCGACAUGAUAGACCAAGUCUAGGCCCGUUCAGUUUUGUGAGGCACGUGCCACGUCAAGGACGUGCUUUGCUUAUUCAAAUGGGACACCACCCCUGCAUGCAUAUGCAUGGGCCACGCGCAUGUAGGGGUGCCCUCCCCCCUCGGGCGGUCUCUAUAUCGAGCACCCAUCCGGUGGCCUCGGCGGUCUGGGGCAUUAUUCGGCACCGAGAGGGUGUAGUCCAUGGUGAAUAACUGCUUCUCCGUGUUAGUUCAUGUCAUCACGAGAUGACAGACCAAGUCUAGGCCCGUUCUGUCACAGGAUCGCCCACCGAAGACUCUGUCUCGGGGACAAACGCAGCCGGUCCUCGACGAUCCCGCCCGUGUGUGUGGUUUGUGAGGCACGUGCCACGUCAAGGAUGUGCGUUGCUUAUUCAAAUAGCACACCACCCCUGCAUGCAUAUGCAUGGGCCACACGCAUGUAUGGGUGCCCUUCCCCCCCUCGGGCGGUCUCCAUAUCGAGCACCCAUCCGGUGGCCCUGGCAGUCUAUGGCGUUAUUCGGCACCGAGAGGGUGUAGUCCACGGUAAAUAACUGCUUCUCCGUGUUAGUGCAUGUCAUCGCGAGAUGACAGACCAAGUCUAGGCCCGUUCUUCGAGAUAGUCUAUGGGUAUCAAGAGGGAAUGUGUCCGGUUUGUGCAGGAAGUGCGGGUCAUGUUGCUCCGUUGGCCUCGAAACUUCUUCUUCACUCAAAGGAGGACAUUGCAUGUAUAUGAAUGGGCUAUCCGGUGGCCCCGGUGGUCUAUGAAGUUGACCGGCACCGAGAGAGGGGGUAGGCCACGGUCAACAACUGCUUCUUCUCAUGUUUUUUACUUUACACUCUUUAAAGUUGAGUUUUGAAAAAAAUCAUCAAAAGUCAUGGAAUUUAUAAACUUUGGGCGUAAAAGCAUAUGAAAUAUGAGAUACCAAAAAUAUAGUGCAAAAAAAGACAAAAAGAGAAGGGAAAAAAUUAGAGCAGUGGUUACCGAGGGUCGAUUCCCGGCUCUUGGUAAUUUCCACCUUUUCCGAGAGCAGCUCUCGGUAAAGCAUCCACCAAGAUUUCUUUCCUUCUUAUGCAUUCUCGAUAAUAUGUAUUAUACUUUUUUUGUUUUUUCUUUCAUGCUUGGCAAACAACCUUAGCACAUCAUAAUUACCGUCUUGUGUUUUCUUCUUUGGAUGAGCCUCGCCCGGUUCUAGAGACCGGCACCCCUCCGGUGGCCCCGGCAGUCUAGGGUGUUGUUCGGCACCUAGAGGGGGUAGGCCAUGGGGAAUAACUGCUUCUUCAUGUUAGUGCAUGUCAUCGCGAGAGGACAAACCAAGUCUAGGCCCAUUCUGUCACGGGAUCGCCCAUCGAAAACUCUGUCUCGGGGACGAACGCAGCCGGUCCUCGAUGUUCCCGCCUGUGUGUGUGGUUUGUGAGGCACGUGCCACGUCAAGGACGUGCAUUGCUUAUUCAAAUAGCACACCACCCCUACAUGCAUAUGCAUGGGCCACGCACAUGUAGGAUUGCCUUCCCCCCACCUCGGGCGGUCUACAUAUCGAGCACCCAUCCGGUGGCCCCGGCAGUCUAGGGCAUUAUUCCACACCGAGAGGGUGUAGUCCACGGUGAAUAACGGCUUCUCCGAUUUAGUGCAUGUUAUCGUGAGAUGAGAGACCAAGUCUAGGCUCGUUCUAUCACGGGAUCACCCACCGAAGAUUCUGUGUCGGGAACGGACGUAGCCGGUCCUCGACGUUCCCGCCCGUGUGUGUGGUUUGUGAGGCACGUGUCAUGUCAAGGACAUGCGUUGCUUAUUCAAAUAGCACACCACCCCUGCAUGCAUAUGCAUGGGCCACGCGCAUGUAGGGCUGCCCUCUUCCCCUUCGGGCGGUAUCUAUAUCAGCACCCAUCCGGUGGCCCCGGCGGUCUAGGGCAUUAGUCGGCACCGAGAGGGUGUGGUCCCCGGUGAAUAACUGCUUCUCCGUGUUAGUGCAUGUCAUCGCGAUAUGACAGACCAAGUCUAGGCCCGUUCUUCGAGAUAGUCUAUGGGUAUCGAGAGGGAAUGUGUCCGGUUUGUGCAAGAAGUACGGGUCUUGUUGCUCCACUGGCCUCGAAACUUCUUGUGCUCUCAAAGGAGGCCAUCGCAUGUAUAUGCAUGGGCUAUCCGGUGGCCCUGGUAGUCUAGGAAGUUGACCGGCACUGAGAGAGGGGGUAGGCCACGGUCAACAACUGCUUCUUCUCAUGUUUUUUAGUUUACACUCUUUAAAGUUGAGUUUUGAAAAAAAUCAUCAAAAUUCAUGGAAUUUAUAAACUUUGGUUGUAAAAGCAUAUGAAAUAUGAGAUACAAAAAAGAUAGUGAAAAAAAAAGACAAAAAGAGAAGGGAAAAAAUUAGAGAAGUCGUUAUCGAGGGUCGACUAUCGGCUCUCGGUAAUUGCCACCUUUUCCGAGAGGAGCUCUCGGUAAAGCAUCCACCUAGAUCUCUUUCCUUCUUGUGCAUUCUCGAUAAUAUGUACUAUAAUUUUGUUGUUGUUUUCUUUCAUGCUUGGCAAACAACCUUAACACAUCAUAAUUACCGUCUUGUGUUUUCUUCUUUGGAUGGGCCUCGUCCGGUUCUAGAGACCGGCACCCCUUCGGUGGCCCUGGCGGUCUAGGGCAUUAUUCAAAUAGCACACCGCCCUGCAUGCAUAUGCAUGGGCCACGCGCAUGUAGAGGUGCACUCCUCCCCCCUCGGGCGGUCUCUCUAUCGAGCAACCAUCCGGUGGCCCCGGUGGUCUAGGGCAUUAUUCGGCACCGAGAGGGUGUAGUCCAUGGUGAAUAACCGAUUCUCCAUGUUUGUGCAUGUCAUUGCGAGAUGACAGACCAAGUCUAGGCCCGUUCUGUCACAGGAUCGCCCACUGAAGACUCUGUCUCGGGGACGAAAGCAGCCGGUCCUCGAUGUUCCCGCCCGUGUGUGUGGUUUGUGAGGCACGUGCCACGUCAAAUACAUGCGUUGCUUAUUCAACUAGCACACCACCUCUGCAUGCAUAUGCAUGGGCCACACGCAUGUAGGGGUGCCCUGCCCCCCUCCGGCGGCCUCCAUAUCGAGAACCCAUCCGGUGGCCCCGGUGGUCUAUGGUGUUAUACGGCACCGAGAGGGUGUAGUCCAUGGUGAAUAACUGCUUCUCCUUGUUAGUGCAUGUCAUCGCGAGAUGGUAGACCAAGUCUAGGCUCGUUCUGUCACGGGAUCACCCACCGAAGAUUCUGUCUCGAGAAUGGACGCAGCCGGUCCUCGCUGUGUCCCGCCCGUGUGUGUGGUUUGUGAGGCAUGUGUCACGUCAAGGACGUGCGUUGCUUAUUUAAAAAGCACACCACCCCUGCAUGCAUAUGCAUGGGCCACACGCAUGUAGGGGUGCCCUCCCCCCCUCGGGCGGUCUCUAUAUCGAGCACCCAUCCGGUGGCCCCGGCGGUCUAGGGCAUUAUUUGACACCGAGAGGGUGUAGUCCAUGGUGAAUAACUGCUUCUCCGUGUUAGUGCAUGUCAUCAUGAGAUGACAGACCAAGUCUAGGCCUGUUCUUCGAGAUAGUCUAUGGGUAUUGAGAGGGAAUGUGUCUGGUUUGGGCAGGAAAUGCGGGUCCUGUUGCUCCGUUGGCCUCGAAACUUCUUGUGCUCUCAAAGGAGGCCAUCACAUGUAUAUGCAUGGGCUAUCCGGUGGCCCCGGUAGUCUAGGAAGUUGACCGACACCGAGAGAGGGGGUAGGCCACGGUCAACAACUGCUUCUUCUCAUGUUUUUUAGUUUGCACUCUUUAAAGUUGAGUUUUGAAAAAAAUCAUCAAAAGUCAUGGAGUUUAUGAACUUUGGUCGUAAAAGCAUAUGAAAUAUGAGAUACAAAAAAGAUAGUGAAAAAAAGACAAAAAGAGAAGGGAAUUUUUUUUAGAGAAGUCGUUCCCGAGGGUCGACUAUCGGCUCUCAGUAAUUGCCACCUUUUCCGAGAGGAGCUCUCGGUAAACCAUCCACCUAGAUCUCUUUCCUUCUUGUGCAUUCUCAAUAAUAUGUAUUAUACUUUUUUUGUUGUUUUCUUUCAUGCUUGGCAAACAACCUUAGCACAUCAUAAUUACCGUCUUGUGUUUUCUUCUUCGGAUGGGCCUCGUCCGGUUCUAGAGACCGACUCCCCUUCGGUGGCCCUAGCGGUCUAGGGCAUUAUUCAAAUAGCACACCAUCCUGCAUGCAUAUGCAUGGGCCACGCGCAUGUAGGGAUGCCCUCCUUGUUGGAAAUAUGCCCUAGAGGCAAUAAUAAAUUGAUUAUUAUUAUAUUUCCUUGUUCAUGAUAAUCAUUUAUUAUCCAUGCUAGAAUUGUAUUGAUAGGAAACUCAGAUACAUGGGUGGAUACAUAGACAACACCAUGUCCCUAGUAAGCCUCUAGUUGACUAGCUCGUUAAUCAAUAGAUGGUUACGGUUUCCUGACCAUGGACAUUGGAUGUCGUUGAUAAUGGGAUCACAUCAUUAGGAGAAUGAUGUGAUGGACAAGACCCAAUCCUAAGCCUAGCACAAGAUCAUGUAGUUCGUAUGCUAAAGCUUUUCUAAUGUCAAGUAUCAUUUCCUUAGACCAUGAGAUUGUGCAACUCCCGGAUACCGUAGGAGUGCUUUGGGUGUGCCAAACGUCACAACGUAACUGGGUGGCUAUAAAGGUACACUACGGGUAUCUCUGAAAGUGUCUGUUGGGUUGGCACGAAUCGAGAUUGGGAUUUUGUCACUCCGUGUAAACGGAGAGGUAUCUCUGGGCCCACUCGGUAGGAGAUCAUCAUAAUGUGCACAAUGUGACCAAGGGGUUGAUCACGGGAUGAUGUGUUACGGAACGAGUAAAGAGACUUGCCGGUAACGAGAUUGAACAAGGUAUCGGUAUACCGACGAUCGAAUCUUGGGCAAGUACCAUACCGCUAGACAAAGGGAAUUGUAUACGGGAUUGAUUGAGUCCUUGACAUCGUGGUUCAUCCGAUGAGAUCAUCGUGGAACAUGUGGGAGCCAACAUGGGUAUCCAGAUCCCGCUGUUGGUUAUUGACCGGAGAACAUCUCGGUCAUGACUACAUGUCUCCCGAACCCGUAGGGUCUACACACUUAAGGUUCGAUGACGCUAGGGUUAUAAAGGAAGCUUGUAUGUGGUUACCGAAUGUUUUUCGGAGUCCCGGAUGAGAUCCCGGACGUCACGAGGAGUUCCGGAAUGGUCCGGAGGUAAAGAUUUAUAUAUAGGAAGUCCUGUUUCGGCCAUCGGGACAAGUUUCGGGGUCAUCGGUAUUGUACCGGGACCACCGGAAGGGUCCCGGGGGCCCACCGGGUGGGGCCACCUGCCCCGGGGGGCCACAUGGGCUGUAGGGGGUGCGCCUUGGCCUACAUGGGCCAAGGGCACCAGCCCCUAGAGGCCCAUGCGCCAAGAUAUAGGAAAAAGGGGAGAGUCCUAAAGGGGGAAGGCACCUCCGAGGUGCCUUGGGGAGGAUGGACUCCUCCCCCCCUCUUAGCCGCACCCCUUCCUUGGAGGAAGGGGCAAGGCUGCGCCUCCCCCCUCUCCCCUGCCCCUAUAUAUAGUGGAGGGGAGGGAGGGCAUCCAGACCUGAGCCCUUGGUGCCUCCCUCCCUCCCGUGACACCUCCUCCUCUCCCGUAGGUGCUUGGCGAAGCCCUGCAGGAUUGCCACGCUCCUCCAUCACCACCACGCCGUUUUGCUGCUGCUGGAUGGAGUCUUCCUCAACCUCUCCCUCUCUCCUUGCUGGAUCAAGGCGUGGGAGACAUCGUCGAGCUGUACGUGUGUUGAACGCGGAGGUGCCGUCCGUUCGGCACUAGGAUCAUCGGUGAUCUGAAUCACGACGAGUACGACUCCAUCAACCCCGUUCACUUGAACGCUUCCGCUUAGCGAUCUACAAGGGUAUGUAGAUGCACUCUCUUUCUACUCGUUGCUGGUCUCUCCAUAGAUAGAUCUUGGUGAUUCGUAGGAAAAUUUUUGAAUUUCUGCUACGUUCCCCAACAGUGGCAUCAUGAGCUAGGUCUAUUGCGUAGAUUCUUUGCACGAGUAGAACACAAAGUAGUUGUGGGCGUCGAUAUUGUUCAAUAUGCUUGCCGUUACUAGUCUUAUCUUGAUUCGGCGGCAUCGUGGGAUGAAGCGGCCCGGACCAACCUUACACGUACGCUUACGUGAGACCGGUUCCACCGACAAACAUGCACUAGUUGCAUAAGGUGGCUGGUGGGUGUCUGUCUCUCCCACUUUAGUCGGAUCGGAUUCGAUGAAAAGGGUCCUUAUGAAGGGUAAAUAGCAAUUGGCAUAUCACGUUGUGGUUCAUGCGUAGGUAAGAAACGUUCUUGCUAGAAACCCAUAGCAGCCACGUAAAACAUGCAAACAACAAUUAGAGGACGUCUAACUUGUUUUUGCAGGGUAUGCUAUGUGAUGUGAUAUGGCCAAAAAGGAUGUGAUGAAUGAUAUAUGUGAUGUAUGAGAUUGAUCAUGUUCUUGUAAUAGGAAUCACGACUUGCAUGUCGAUGAGUAUGACAACCGGCAGGAGCCAUAGGAGUUGUCUUUAUUUAUUUGUGACCUGCGUGUCAACUUAAACGUCAUGUAAUUACUUUACUUUAUUGCUAACCGUUAGCCAUAGUAGUAGAAGUAAUAGUUGGCGAGGCAACUUCAUGAAGACACGAUGAUGGAGAUCAUGAUGAUGGAGAUUAUGGUGUCAUGCCGGUGACGAUGAUGAUCAUGGAGCCCCGAAGAUGGAGAUCAAAAGGAGCAAAGUGAUGAUGGCCAUAUCAUGUCACUAUUUGAUUGCAUGUGAUGUUUAUCAUGUUUAUACAUCUUAUUUGCUUAGAACGACGGUAGUAAAUAAGAUGAUCCCUUACAACAAUUUCAAGAAGUGUUCUCCCCUAACUGUGCACCGUUGCGACAGUUCGCUGUUUCAAAACAUCACGUGAUGAUCGGGUGUUUUAUUCAGACGUUCAAAUACAACGGGUGUUGACAAGCCUAGCAUGUACAGACAUGGCCUCGGAACACAUGCAAAACACUUAGGGUUAACUUGACGAGCCUAGCAUGUACAGACAUGGCCUCGGAACACGGAGACCGAAAGGUCGAACAUGAGUCGUAUAGAAGAUACGAUCAACAUGAAGAUGUUCACCGAUGAUGACUAGUCUGUCUCACGUGAUGAUCGGGCACGGCCUAGUUUGACUCGGAUCAUGUAAUCACUUAGAUGACUAGAGGGAUGUCUAUCUGAGUGGGAGUUCAUAAGAUGAACUUAAUUAUCCUGAACAUAGUCAAAAGGAUUUUGCAAAUUAUGUCGUAGCUCACGCUAUAGUUCUACUGUUUAGAUAUGUUCCUAGAGAAAAAUUAGUUGAAAGUUGAUAGUAGCAAUUAUGCGGACUAGGUCCGUAAACUGAGGAUUGUCCUCAUUGCUUCAUAGAAGGCUUAUGUCCUUAAUGCACCGCUCAGUGUGCUGAACCUCGAACGUUGUCUGUGGUUGUUGCGAACAUCUGACAUACACGUUUUGAUAACUACGUGAUAGUUCAGUUAAACAGUUUAGAGUUGAGGCACCAAAGACGUUUUUGAAACAUCGCGAAACAUAUGAGAUGUUUUGAGGACUGAAAUUGGGAUUUCAGGCUCGUGCCCAUGUCAAGAGGUAUAAGACCUCCGAUGACUUUCUUAACCUGCAAACUAAGGAGAAAAGCUCAAUUGUUGAGCUUGUGCUCAGAUUGUCUGAGUACAACAAUCGCUUGAAUCGAGUGGGAGUUUAUCUUCCAGAUGAAAUAGUGAUGGUUCUCCGAAGUCAUUGCCACCAAGCUGUUAGAGCUUCGUGAUGAACUAUAACAUAUCAGGGAUAGAUAUGAUGAUCCUUGAGGUAUUCGCGAUGUUUGACACCGCGAAAGUAGAAAUCAAGAAGGAGCAUCAAUUGUUGAUGGUUGGUGGAACCACUAGUUUCAAGAAGGGCAAGGGCAAGAAGGGAUACUUCAUGAAAUGGCAAAUCAGCUGCUGCUCUAGUGAAGAAACCCAAGGUAAAACCCAAACCCGAGACUAAGUGCUUCUGUAAUAAGGGGAACAACCACUAGAGCAGAAUUACCCUAGAUACUUGGUAGAUAAGAAGGCUGGCAAGGUCGAUAGAAGUAUAUUGGAUAUACAUUGUGUUAAUGUGUACUUUGCUAGUACUCCUAGUAGCACCAGGGUAUUAGAUACCGGUUCGGUUGCUAAGUGUUAGUAACUCGAAACAAAAGGCUACGGAAUAAACGGAGACUAGCUAAAGGUGAGCUGACGAUAUGUGUUGGAAAUUUUUCCAAGCUUGAUAUGAUCAAGCAUCGCACGCUCCCUCUACCAUCAAGAUUAGUAUUGAACCUGUAUGGUUUAUUGAAUCUCGAUCGUAGUGAUACACAUUUUCAUGCCAAAAGAUAGUAAUGAUAGUACCACUUACUGGUGGCACUACCAUGUAAGUCAUAUUGGUUUAAAACGCAUGAAGAAGCUCCAUGUUGAUGGAUCUUUGGACUCACUCAUUUUUGAGAAGUUUGAGACAUGCGAACCAUGUCUAUUGGUGUAUAUGCAUGAAGAAACUCCAUGCAAAUGGACCGUUUUGACUCACUUGAUUUUGAAUCACUUGGGACAUGCAAAUCAUACCACAUGGGCAAGAUGACUGAAAAGCCUCGUUUUCAGUAAGAUGGAACAAGAUAGCAACUUGUUGGAAGUAAUACAUUUUGAUGUGUACAGUCCAAUGAGUGCUGAGGCAUGCAGUGAAUAUCGUUAUGUUCUUACUUCACAGAUGAUUCGAGUAGAUGUUGAGAAUAUUUACUUGAUGAAACACAAGUCUGAAUUAUUGAAUGGUUCAAGUAAUUUCAGAGUGAAGUAGAAGAUCAUUGUGACAAGAGGAUAUAAUGUCUAUGAUAUGAUCAUAGAGAUGAAUAUCUGAGUUACGAGUUUUGGCACACAAUUAAGACAUUGUGGGAAUUGUUUCACAAUUAAUACCGCCUGGAACACCAUAGUGUGAUGGUGUGUCCGAACAUCAUAGUUGCACCCUAUUGGAUAUGAUGCAUACCAUGAUGUCUCUUAUCGAACUGCCACGAUAGUUUAUGGGUUAGGCAUUAAAGACAACCACAUUCACUUUAAAUAGGGCACCACGUAAUUCCGAUGAGAUGACACCGUAUGAAUUAUGGUUUAGAGAAACCUAAGUUGUCGUUUCUUAAAGGUUUGGGGCUGCAACGCUUAUGUGAAAAAGUUUCAGGAUUAAGCUCGAACCCAAAGCGGAUAAAGUACAUCUUCAUAGGACACCCAAAACAGUUGGGUAUACCUCCUAAUUCAGACCCGAAAGCAAUAUGAAUUGUUUCUAGAAUUGGGUCCUUUCUCGAGGAAAGGUUUCUCUCGAAAAGUUGAGUGGGAGGAUGGUGGAGACUUGAUGAGGUUAUUGAACCGUCACUUCAACAAGUGUGUAGCAGGGCACAGGAAGUUGUUCCUGUGGCACCUACACAAAUUGAAGUGGAAGCUUAUGAUAGUGAUCAUGAAGUUUCGGAUCAAGUCACUACCGAACCUCGUAGGGUGACAAGGAUACGUACUACUUCAGAGUGGUACAGUAAUCCUGUCUUGGAAGUCAUGUUGCUAGACAACAAUGAACCUACGAGCUAUGGAGAAGCGAUGGUGGGCCCGGAUUCCGAUAAAUGGCUCAAGGCCAUAAAACCCGAGAGAGGAUCCAUGUAUGAAAACAAAGUGUAGACUUUGGAAGAACUACUUGAUAGUCAUAAGGCUGUUAGGUACAUAUGGAUUUUGAAAGGAAGACAGACAAUGAUGGUAAGUGUCACCAUUGAGAAAGCUCGACUUGUCGUUAAGAUGUUUUUCGACAAGUUCAAGGAGUUGACUACGAUGAGACUUUCUCACUCGUAGCGAUGCUAAGAGUCUGUUGGAAUUAUAUUAGCAAUUACUGCAUUAUUUAUGAUAUCUUGCAGAUAGGAUGUCAAAACAUUGUUUCCUCGACGAUUCUUGAGGAAAGGUUGUAUGUGAUACAACCGGAAGGUUUUGUCUAUCCUGAAAUAUGCUAAUAAGUAUGCAAAGCUCCAGCAAUCCUUCUGAGGACUGGAGUGAGCAUCUCGGAGUUGGAAUGUAUGCUUUGAUGAUGAUCAAAGAUUUUGGGUGUAUACAAAGUUUAUGAGAAACUUGUAUUUCCAAAGAAGUGAGUGGGAGCACUAUAGAAUUUCUGAUGAGUAUAUCUUGUUGACAUAUUGAUGAUCAGAGAUGAUGUAGAAUUUCUAGAAAGCAUAUAGGGUUAUUUGAAAGGUGUUUUUCAAUAGAAAACCUGGAUUAAGCUACUUGAACAUUGAGCAUCAAGGAUAGAUCAAAAUGCUUAAUGGUACUUUCAAAUGAGCACAUACCUUGACAUGAUCUUGAAGGUGUUCAAGAUGGAUCAGUCAAAGAAGGAGUUCUUGCCUAAGUUGUAAGGUAUGAAGUUAAGACUUAAAGCUCGACCACGGCAGAAUAGAGAGAAAGGACGAAGGUCGUCCCCUAUGCUUAAGACGUAGGCUCUACAGUAUGCUAUGCUGUGUACCGCACCUGAAGUGUGCCUUGCCAUGAGUCAGUCAAGGGGUACAAGAGUGAUCCAAGAAUGGAUCACAGGACAGCGGUCAAAGUUAUCCUUAGUAACUAGUGGACUAAGGAAUUUUGUCAAUUAUGGAGGUGGUAAAAGAGUUCGUCGUAAAGGGUUACGUCGAUGCAAGCUUAACACCUAUCCGGAUAGCUCUGAGUAGAGAUACCGGAUACGUAUAAUGGAGCAAAAAUUUAGAAUAGCUCCAAGUAGAACAGUUAUUUGGAAUAGCUCCAAAUAGAACGUGGUAGCUACAUCUAGGAGAUGACAUAGAGAUUUGUAAAGCACACACGGAUCUGAAAGGUUCAGACCCGUUGACUAUAACCUCUCUCACAAGCAUAACAUGAUCAAACCCAGAACUCAUCGAGUGUUAAUCACAUGGUAAAUGUGAACUAGAUUAUUGACUCUAGUAAACUCUUUGGGUGUUAGUCACAUGGGGAUGUGACCUUGAGUGUUAAUCACAUAUCGAUGUGAACUAGAUUAUUGACUCUAGUGCAAGUGGGAGACUGUUGGAAAUAUGCCCUAGAGGCAAUAAUAAAUUGAUUAUUAUUAUAUUUCCUUGUUCAUGAUAAUCGUUUAUUAUCCAUGCUAGAAUUGUAUUGAUAGGAAACUCAGAUACAUGUGUGGAUACAUAGACAACACCAUGUCCCUAGUAAGCCUCUAGUUGACUAGCUCGUUAAUCAAUAGAUGGUUACGGUUUCCUGACCAUGGACAUUGGAUGUCGUUGAUAACGGGAUCACAACAUUAGGAGAAUGAUGUGAUGGACAAGACCCAAUCCUAAGCCUAGCACAAGAUCAUGUAGUUCGUAUGCUAAAGCUUUUCUAAUGUCAAGUAUCAUUUCCUUAGACCAUGAGAUUGUGCAACUCCCGGAUACCGUAGGAGUGCUUUGGGUGUGCCAAACGUCACAACGUAACUGGGUGGCUAUAAAGGUACACUACGGGUAUCUCUGAAAGUGUCUGUUGGGUUGGCACGAAUCGAGAUUGGGAUUUUGUCACUCUGUGUAAACGGAGAGGUAUCUCUGGGCCCACUCGGUAGGACAUCAUCAUAAUGUGCACAAUGUGACCAAGGGGUUGAUCACGGGAUGAUGUGUUACGGAACGAGUAAAGAGACUUGCCGGUAACGAGAUUGAACAAGGUAUCGGUAUACCGACGAUCGAAUCUCGGGCAAGUACCAUACCGCUAGACAAAGGGAAUUGUAUACGGGAUUGAUUGAGUCCUUGACAUCGUGGUUCAUCCGAUGAGAUCAUCGUGGAACAUGUGGGAGCCAACAUGGGUAUCCAGAUCCCGCUGUUGGUUAUUGACCGGAGAACAUCUCGGUCAUGACUACAUGUCUCCCGAACCCGUAGGGUCUACACACUUAAGGUUCGAUGACGCUAGGGUUAUAAAGGAAGCUUGUAUGUGGUUACCGAAUGUUGUUUGGAGUCCCGGAUGAGAUCCCGGACGUCACGAGGAGUUCCGGAAUGGUCCGGAGGUAAAGAUUUAUAUAUAGGAAGUCCUGUUUCGGCCAUCGGGACAAGUUUCGGGGUCAUCGGUAUUGUACCGGGACCACCGGAAGGGUCCCGGGGGCCCACCGGGUGGGGCCACCUGCCCCGGGGGGCCACAUGGGCUGUAGGGGGUGCGCCUUGGUCUACAUGGGCCAAGGUCACCAGCCCCUAGAGGCCCAUGCGCCAAGAUAUAGGAAAAAGGGGAGAGUCCUAAAGGGGGAAGGCACCUCCGAGGUGCCUUGGGGAGGAUGGACUCCUCCCCCCCUCUUAGCCGCACCCCUUCCUUGGAGGAAGGGGCAAGGCUGCGCCUCCCCCCUCUCCCCUGCCCCUAUAUAUAGUGGAGGGGAGGGAGGGCAUCCAGACCUGAGCCCUUGGCGCCUCCCUCCCUCCCGUGACACCUCCUCCUCUCCCGUAGGUGCUUGGCGAAGCCCUGCAGGAUUGCCACGCUCCUCCAUCACCACCACGCCGUUUUGCUGCUGCUGGAUGGAGUCUUCAUCAACCUCUCCCUCUCUCCUUGCUGGAUCAAGGCGUGGGAGACAUCGUCGAGCUGUACGUGUGUUGAACGCGGAGGUGCCGUCCGUUCGGCACUAGGAUCAUCGGUGAUCUGAAUCACGACGAGUACGACUCCAUCAACCCCGUUCACUUGAACGCUUCCGCUUAGCGAUCUACAAGGGUAUGUAGAUGCACUCUCUUUCUACUCGUUGUUGGUCUCUCCAUAGAUAGAUCUUGGUGAUUCGUAGGAAAAUUUUUGAAUUUCUGCUACGUUCCCCAACACUCCUCCCCCCCCGGGCGGUCUCUAUAUCGAGCAACCAUCCGGUGGCCCCGGCAGUCUAGGGCAUUAUUCGGCACCGAGAGGGUGUAGUCCAUGGUGAAUAACUGAUUCUCCGUGUUAGUGCAUGUCAUUGCGAGAUGACAGACCAAGUCUAGACCCGUUCUGUCACGGGAUCGCCCACCGAAGACUUUGUCUCGGGGACGAACGCAGCCGGUCCUCGAUGUUCCCGCCCGUGUGUGUGGUUUGUGAGGCACGUGCCACGUCAAAGACAUGCGUUGCUUAUUCAAAUAGCACACCACCCCUGCAUGCAUAUGCAUGGGCCACGCGCAUGUAGGGGUGCCCUGCCCCCCUCAGGCGGCCUCCAUGUCGAGCACCCAUCCGGUGGCCCCGGUGGUCUAUGGCAUUAUAUGGCACCGAGAGGGUGUAGUCCAUGGUGAAUAACUGCUUCUUCGUGUUAGUGCAUGUCAUCGCGAGAUGAUAGACCAAGUCUAGGCUCGUUCUGUCACGGGAUCACCCACCGAAGAUUCUGUCUCGGGAAUGGACGCAGCCGGUCCUCGAUGUUCCUGCCCAUGUGUGUGGUUUGUGAGGCACGUGUCACGUCAAGGACGUGUGUUGCUUAUUUAAAAAGCACACCACCCCUGCAUGCAUAUGCAUGGGCCACACGCAUGUAGGGGUGCCCUCCCCACCCCUCGGGCGGUCUCUAUAUUGAGCACCCAUCUGGUGGCCCCGGCGGUCUAGGGCAUUAUUUGACACAGAGAGGGUGUAGUCCAUGGUGAAUAACUGCUUCUCCGUGUUAGUGCAUGUCAUCAUGAGAUGACAGACCAAGUCUAGGCAUGUUCUUCGAGAUAGUCUAUGGGUAUUGAGAGGGAAUGUGUCUGGUUUGUGCAGGAAAUGCGGGUCCUGUUGCUCCGUUGGCCUCGAAACUUCUUGUGCUCUCAAAGGAGGCCAUCACAUCUAUAUGCAUGGGCUAUCCGGUGGCCCCGGUGGUCUAGGAAGUUAACCGGCACCGAGAGAGGGGGUAGGCCACGGUCAACAACUGCUUCUUCUCAUGUUUUUUACUUUACACUCUUUAAAGUCGACUUUUGAAAAAAAUCAUCAAAAGUCAUGGAAUUUAUAAACUUUGGUCGUAAAAGCAUAUGAAAUAUGAGAUACAAAAAAGAUAGUGCAAAAAAAAGACAAAAAGAGAAAGAAAAUAAUUAGAGCAGUGGUUACCGAGGGUUGACUCUCGGCUCUCGGUAAUUGCCACCUUUUCCGAGAGGCGCUAUCGGUAAAGCAUCCACCUAGAUCUCUUUCCUUCUUGUGUAUUCUCGAUAAUAUGUAUUAUACUUUUUUUCUUGUUUUCUUUCAUGCUUGGCAAACAACCUUAGCACAUCAUAAUUACCGUCUUGUGUUUUUUUCUUCUUCGGAUGGGCCUCGCUCGGUUCUAGAGACCGGCACCCCUUCGGUGUCCCCGGCGGUAUAGGGCAUUAUUCAAAUAGCACACCACCCCUGCAUGCUUAUGCAUGGGCCACCCACAUGUAGGGGUGCCCUCCCCCCCCCCUCGGGCGGUCUCCAUAUCGAGCACCCAUCCGGUGGCCCCGGCAGUCUAGGGCAUUAUUUGGCACCGACAUGGUGUAGUCCAUGGUGAAUAACUACAUCUCCGUGUUAGUGCAUGUCAUCGCGAAAUGACGGACCAAGUCUAGGCCCGUUCUGUCAAGGGAUCGCCCACCGAAGACUCUGUCUCGAGGACGAACGCAGCCGAUCCUUGAUGUUCCCGCCCGUGUGUGUGGUUUGUCAGGCACGUGCCAUGUCAAAGACAUGCAUUGCUUAUUCAAAUAGCACACCACCCCUCCAUGCAUAUGCAUGGGCCACGUGCAUGUAGGUGUGCCAUGCCCCCCUCAGGCGGCCUCCAUAUCGAGCACCCAUCCGGUGGCCCCGGUGGUCUAUGGCGUUAUACGGCACCGAGAGGGCGUAGUCCAUGGUGAAUAACUGCUUCUCCGUGUUAGUGUUAUACGGCACCGAGAGGUCGUAGUCCAUGGUGAAUAACUGCUUCUCCGUGUUAGUGCUUGUCAUCGCGAGAUGAUAGACCAAGUCUGGGCUCGUUCUGUCACGGGAUCACCCACCGAAGAUUCUGUCUUGGGAAUGGACGCAGCCGGUCCUUGAUGUUCCUGCCCGUGUGUGUGGUUUGUGAGGCACGUGUCACGUCAAGGACGUGUGUUGCUUAUUUAAAAAGCACACCACCCAUGCAUGCAUAUAGGGGUGCCCUCCCCCCCCCCUCGGGCGGUCUCUAUAUCGAGCACCCAUCUGGUGGCCCCGGCGGUCUAGGGCAUUAUUCGACACCGAGAGGGUGUAGUCCAUGGUGAAUAACUACUUCUCCGUGUUAGUGCAUGUCAUCAUGAGAUGACAUACCAAGUCUAGGCAUGUUCUUCAAGAUAGUCUAUGGGUAUUGAGAGGGAAUAUGUCUGGUUUGUGCAGGAAAUGCGGGUCCAGUUGCUCCGUUGGCCUCGAAACUUCUUGUGCUCUCAAAGGAGGCCAUCACAUCUAUAUGCAUGGGCUAUCCAGUGGCCCCGGCGGCCUAGGAAGUUAACCGGCACCGAGAGAGGGGGGUAGGCCACGGUCAACAACUGCUUCUUCUCAUGUUUUUUACUUUACACUCUUUAAAGUUGACUUUUGAAAAAAAUCAUCAAAAGUCAUGGAAUUUAUAAACUUUGGUCGUAAAAGCAUAUGAAAUAUGAGAUACAAAAAAGAUAGUGCAAAAAAAAGACAAAAAGAGAAGGGAAAAAAAUUAUAGCAGUGGUUACCGAGGGUCGACUCUCGGCUCUCGGUAAUUGCCACCUUUUCCGAGAGGCGCUAUCGGUAAAGCAUCCAGAUAGAUCUCUUUCCUUCUUGUGCAUUCUCGAUAAUAUGUAUUAUACUUUUUUUUGUUGUUUUCUUUCAUGCUUGGCAAACAACCUUAGCACAUCAUAAUUACCGUCUUGUGUUUUUUUCUUCUUCGGAUGGGCCUCGCCCGGUUCUAGAGACGGGCACCCCUUCGGUGUCCCCGAUGGUAUAGGGCAUUAUUCAAAUAGCACACCACCCAUGCAUGCAUAUGCAUGGGCCACCCGCAUGUAGGGGUGCCCCCACCCUCUGGCGGUCUCAUAUCGAGCAUCCAUCCGGUGGCCCCGGCAGUCUAGGGCAUUAUUUGGCACCGAGAUGGUGUAGUCCAUGGUGAAUAACUACUUCUCCGUGUUAGUGCAUGUCAUCGCGAGAUGACAGACCAAGUCUAGGCCCGUUCUGUCACGGGAUCGACCACCGAAGACUCUGUCUCGGGGACGAACGCAGCCGGUCCUCGACGUCCCCGCCCGUGUGUGUGGUUUGUGAGGCACGUGUCACGUCAAGGACGUGCGUUGCUUAUUCAAAUAGCACGCCACCCCUGCAUGCAUAUGCAUGGGCCACGCGCAUGUACGGGUGCCCUCCCCCCCCAUCGGGUGGUCCCCAUAUCGAGCACCCAUCCGAUGGCCCCGGCGGUCCAGGGCGUUAUUCGGCACCGAGAGGGUGUAGUCCACGGUGAAUAACUGCUUCUCCAUGUUAGUGCAUGUCAUCGCGAGAUGACAGACCAAGUCUAGGCCCAUUCUUCGAGAUAGUCUAUGGGUAUCGAGAGGGAAUGUGUCCGGUUUGUGCAGGAAGUGAGGGUCCUGUUGCUCCGUUGGCCUUGAAACUUCUUGUACUCUCAAAGGAGGCCAUCACAUGUAUUUGCAUGGGCAAUCCCGUGGCCCCGGUGGUCUAGGAAGUUUACCGGCACUGAGAGAGCAGGUAGGCCACGCUCAACAACUGCUUCUUCUCAUGUUUUUUACUUUACACUCUUUAAAAUUGAGUUCUGAAAAAAAUCAUCAAAAGUCAUGGAAUUUAUAAACUUUGUUCGUAGAAGCAUAUGAAAUAUGAGAUACAAAAAAGAUAUCGCAAAAAAGGGCAAAAGGAUAAGGGAAAAAGAUUAGAGCGGUGGUUACCGAGGUUCGAUUCUCGGCUCUCGGUAAUGGGCACCUUUUCCGAGUGUGGCUCUCGGUAAAGCAUCUAACCUAGAUCUUAACCUCUCCCCUUUCAUUUCUAUCUUCAUUCCCCUCCUCUCUUCCCUGCGCCACCGCUGCCGCCGCCACCGACUUUGGCCGCUACCAACUGCGUCCGCCACCCCUCCUCCACCGCCCCCAACCGCCGCCACUGACGCCGAAAUCGCCACCGCCGCCGCCACCACCAACUGCGGUCGCCACCAACUGCGGUCGCCACCAACUGCGGCCGCCACCAACUGCGGCCCCCACCCCUCCUCCACAGCCCCAACUUCUUCUACCGCCCCCAACUGUCGCCGCCAUGGUGCUUCAUGGCCGACGGCCAGCGCGGCGGCUCUUCGAUGCAACCCAACGACGGCCGCCGCAGCGGAGCUCCUCCGGUAGCGCAACAGCUGGAGAUACCCUCAGGUGUGUACACCCAUCCCACUGGACAUAUGCAAAUAUUAUUGAAGAAGAUGAGAAUUUGGAAAAUUCAGUUCAUAGGUGCUCCACUAGGGGCUAGUAAUUCGGUUCAUAGGGUAUUUUUAGGUGCAUCACUAGGUCCAUGCUGAUCUAGUUCUAGGUAUUUUUAGGUGCUCCACUAGGAUGUUUGAGUUGCACAACAUGUUUAUGCUGCUGUAUACUACUGUAAUGUACAGUUUAUGGUGCUGAGGAAUUUAAUACCAUGGCAAAACCGGCUACAAAACAACCAAACCUGAAAUUGUGGGUCAAGUUCAUCAUAAUAUGAUGCUGUAUACUACUGCAAUGUACAUUUUUCAGCCUAUUUUUCAUGUUUUUGAGGAGUUGAAAUUGUCCAGUGCAUGAUAAUGUGCUCAUGUUGCUUAUGUAUAUUUUUCAGCUAUUGUAAUGUAUAGUUUUCCUCCUAUUUUUUCAUAUAUUUGAACAUUUCAUAUUGUCCAGUGCAUGAUAAUAUGCUCCUGUUGCCUCUGUACUCUUUUCAGUCAAUUUUUCAUGUAUUUUGGACAAGUGGUAUGGUUAAUAUUCACCAUAUAUUUUGUUUUUCAGAUUCUGAUGGGAGCACUCGUAGUAAGUACCGGAGAGUCCCAAUUGGUAGGACCGAGUCAUCCGCCUCCCAUCAGGCCACAACCGAGGCAUCGUCAUCAUCGGAUGGCAAUGUCGGAGUGGACUUAGAUACACAAGAUCCGCUCGCCACUGAGUCGGGAGACAUGGAGGCCUCGGACGGCUCGGGGUCUACCUCGAGCAAAAUUUCCAAGAGGAAUAAAUCCGGGCGUGGUCCGGGGAAGGUCCCGGAACCAACUGCUGCUAGCAACCGUCCUGUCAUUUGCCCGGCAGGAGAGGGGUAAGCAAGCAUUUCAUUUGCAUCAUAUUUUGGAUGCCACAACUUUCACACUCACAUAUGCUUGUCUUUUAUAUCAUGCAGUCAGUGGGAAUUUAUCCCGACACAACCUAAGGGGGCACGCCCGCCGAACCACAUCAUCGUCUCUCUCUUGAGGAAGCACUUCCCUGGACUGUCCAAGCCGGGUGAUGACGAUCCGCCGUCGCCAGGUUUAACCUGGGAGCAUUACCUACACAACAAGGAUGAUCACGAUGUCACCAUGGCCACUCAGGUCAUCAAUGCUUUUUUGGUAAGUAUCUUCGCUCCGACCACUGCAUUUUUUCAUAUCCAAAUCCUUGCUUGCGUGGAUGGUGAGAAGAUGCCUUAUGCUUUCUUGUAGGAAACAUUUGCUUGCGUGGAUGGUGAGAAGCAGAAGGCGAUCAAAGGCAUCGUGAAAUCUGCUCGAAAGAUACUCUCUGACCUGAAGCACACGCUUUGGUACAAAGCCGUGAUGCAGUGUCGGCCGCUCAAUGAGAAGGGAGAGAAGAUGACAAGGAAGACUGCUUGCCAGACCAACAUGUCGCGAGAAGAAUACCUGUCAGUGGUAAGUGACUACAUCGUUUGCUAGUACUUUGAUUCAUCCCUCUUGUUCCUCAAUUAUUCGAUUUUGUCUGACUAGGUGAAGGAAUCCUGGAUGAAGGACGAUUGUUGGGAGGCCCUGGUUGACAUGUGGCGUGACCUAGCAUGGUAGGCGCAACAUGUGGAGAAGGGAAACGAUCGAGCCAAAAUGACAGGCCUGGCUCAUGUCCAGGGGAGCCGGAACCUAACCGCUCUCAAGCAACACAUGGUAUGUGGAUUAAGAUGUUAAUUUUUCGCACGGUGCAUCUUGGUUCAUUAUACUUGAUGGUUAAUUUUGCGGGAGGCGAAGGAGGGUCGCCCGGUCCACAUCCUGGAAGCCUGGAGAGAAGGCCACAAGGGGAAGGAUGGCGCCGAGUUCUGCAGCGAGUCGGCGGAGGAGAAGUGUGGGACCUUCAAAGAGGUCUUCCAGGAGGUGCACGGCCAGGAAGCCGAACCUACGUCCAAGCCCCUUGACCCUGAGCUUCUCAUCAUUGCUGGCGAGGGGAAGGGCCAUGGCCGCCAUCUCCUUUGCAACAGGGCGGCCGCCACCUCCGGGCAUCGCAAGCUACACGAGAUACGCGCGUCGAGCACCAGCUCAACUCCGUCCAUACGGAGUCGCCCAACCGCCGCAUCACGUGAGAUAGCGCGUCUCAAGGUUAGCAUCCUAACCUUUUAUUUAUGACCAUGCCUCGAAAUAGCACCGUUCCAACCUAUAUGAGCCUAAUGCCAUGUUACGGGAUUUAAUGGUGCAGCAGGCCGUUGAAGAGGAGCAAAGGCGGCAGGCUGAGGACUCCAGAGAAAAGGAAUGGGAAGACACGAACAAGAGGUUGAAGGUGCUUGAGUAUCAACUACAGGUAGAACAUUAUCUAAACUAGAGUAGAAGAUUCAUUACAUAGGGACGAACCACCCUCACGUGACUCUACUCUUAUAGGUUCUUAUGCAAUCUCGAAGCAGUGCAAGUGAUGCCCCUCCUCCUCCUCCAGAAUGUUAACCCGAUGGCCUCUCCUCCUCAAGAUGAUCUAUAUAUGAACAAGUGUACUUCUAUUGUGACGUGCACGUGUUUUGCAAGUAGUUACAAUAUGUAUGAAUUUGCGACUUGUGUGUGACGUCUACUAGCAUAAUACAUUCGACUUGUGUGUGACAAUAUGUGGACUAUCCCUAAUUAUGCAUAUAUAUAUAUGUGGACUAGAUCAAAUUAUGCCUAUAUAUGUGUGGACUAGAUCAAAUUAUGCCUAUAUAUGAUCAAAUUACACUGUAGUUGUUUUUACCUGCAGGGAUCAAAAAAGAAAGAGCUUGACAGCAGAAUGGAUGGGAAAGAUUUCCGAGAGCAACACACAGAAAACGAUAGACUAGCGAGAGCACCUCUCGGAAAUACGGUCGUCUGGGACACUACUGUUGUGCCACAACUUUUCCGAGAGCUGCUCUCGAAAAAGAAAGAGAGCAUUGCCGAGACUAGCUCUCGGCAAAGCUAUGUAAACUCUCAUCUCCCAUGUGGGCCACGCUGUCCUCACUCUCGUCUUUUUUUUUCAAAAAUAUUUAGCAAGUUAUAUAAAAAAUUACUGAUAAAUGUGACCAGUGGGACCACAUGGCAGUUAGAAAGAACACACACAAAGAAAAUAGGGAUAAUUGUUUUCAUGUCCCUAGUUGUGUCUCAGUCGAUAGUUUUGCACUUAGAUUUCAAAAACCCUCAAUUUUGCCCAAGUAUGUUCGCUCCUCUUAUGGUUUUGCCCUUCCGUCACGUUUCCAUCUAGUUAGUGCCGUUUGACCAUGUGUUGACCGUCUAUGGACUUUUCGCUGGACCAUUUUGCCCCUCUUUCUUACUCUCUUAACAGACACUUUCAAGAGGCACCCAUCACCGAAAAAGCCAUCCCAGAUCCUCUCUUCCUUCGCUCCUGUCAGUCAAACCCUAGCCCUAGAUCCCAUCCCCUCUCUCAAAUCUUAGCCCCCACACUCCACCCUCAGUGGUACGCCGCCGUGGUUUGGCGCAAGGCCACAUCGCAACCAGCCACGCUGAUGUUCCCGUCGGUGUCCAUGCCGGUGCCCCCAUGUGGGCCAAUCCAGCCAAACCCAUCAGCAGCCAACCUCGUCGGAGUAACCACGCAGGUGUGGUGAGCUCCUCCCCCCGAACACAUCUCCUUUUUCUCCUCUGCUCUCCCUCUCUCUCUCUCUCUGUCUCUCUGUCUCUCUGUCUCUCUGUCUCUCUCUCUCUAUCUCUCUCUCUCUCUCUAACCCCACCCCGUUCUCUUUUCUCUGCCGCGAGGAACUGAUGACCGCUACCGUUCUUCACCACCACCGGAAGGACACCGCAUGCUCCAAGGUUGCCACCGCCGCUCAUGGACUCCGCCCUCUACAUCUAGCAUGUCCCUGAUCACUAGUAGAAAACAAGGCUACCGUUCGGCCCUGGCUAGCCCAUUAGUCCCGGUUCUUCAAGAACCGGGACCAAUGGGGGGUAUUAGACCCGGUUUGUGAGCCCAGGGGGCCGGCCAGGGCCUCGUGGGCAUUGGUCCCGGUUCGCGUGGAACCAUUUGUCCCGGUUCGAGGCUCGAACCGGGACCAAUGAUCCUCGCUGCUGGCCCACAACCAUUGGUCUCGGUUCAUGGCUUGAACCGGGAUAGAAGGGGUGGCUUUAGUCCUGGUUCAUGCCACGAACCGGGACAAAUAACUUGCCUAUAUAUACCCCAUCGCCGCGGCAGAGCACUCCAUAGUGCUCUGUUUUGUUAAGCCGGCGAGGGGAGGGCAUUUGGGUGCUCUAGUUCACCUCCUAUGCACAUGAGGUGUUCGAUGAAAUGCCCGAGCCACACUAGUUAAGCUUUCUCCUCUCGAAACUCGACCUCCGAGCUCCAUUUUCAACGAGAUUUGUCUAGAUUUAGCGGUCUGUCACGCCUCGUCCCCGCCCUGUCUUCACCGCCGUCGAUCGCCCGCGCCGAUCUCGUCGCCGGCACCACCGUGGUGAGCCUCUUGUUCUUAUCUUCUUUCUGAAAGAAAAAACUUCUGACUUUAGAUAGAUACUUGUCUAAUUUUCUUACUUUUAUUAUUCCUUGUUAUUAUAUAGUGCGAUGGUUUUGGUAUCUGCCCCCGUCGGCCCUCGUCCUGUCUAUGAUUCAGAUGUGGUAUAUAUUAUCUUUUCAUAACUAUUUGGUUCAUUUAUUGUUUAUGACAAUUAUGUCGACCAAUGUGACAUAGAUUUUAUUUAUCUAGGAGGUUGUUGAACUGGAAAAUUCCGACCGACCCUAUUGUCGAGAGGUUAAAUUUAGUUGAAGAAGAAAACAAUUACUUGAAGGAAAAAAUAAGAAAAAUUGAGGAGGAGGAGAUGAUACUGGAGUUGCAUGUUGCGGAUGUCGUCGAUGAUCACAAGAUCAAGAUGGAUGCAAUGCGGUUGAAGAUUAAAAAGAUUAGAAAAUAUGCCAUUCAUACCGAGGCUUGGUAUCAUUAUGCAGUUGGAUCAGUUGUUACCUUGGUUGUGGUUAUGAUCGCAUUUGUUUUUGCAUUGAUAUGUUUUACAUAAUUUCAAUGUAUGGUUUAAUUAGAUGCUCUGGAGAGCUAUAUGUUGUUCAAUGAGAACUAUGUAUGUACUUUGGUUUUAAUGCUCUGGAGAAUGGUGCAUUUUGAACACAGAAAAACAAGGGAGUUCAAGUAAGUUCAAAAAAAUUGAAAUCCCUUUGUAAGAGACGAGUUUCCGUAUGAAACCCUGAUACUUCGAAAGAGAUGGUCCGUUUUGUACAUGAAGUGCAUCCAGUUUUUGCCGUAAGCCUCUCUACUUUCUUGCACAUGCUAUGUGGGUGAAAUGAUGAUACCAUGCCAACUUGGAACCUUUUCAGAGUUCAUUUCAAAUGCUUUUCAAUUUCAUGGUCUUAUAGCUCAAAAUAAUCAGUAAAUGCAUGAAAAAUAAAAAAUGAAGUCAGAAAGGGUUGUAAAUUGAUGAUGUGGCUUUGAAUGGUGCAUUUUGAACAUAGAAAAACAAGGGGGUUCAAAUAAGUUCAAAAGAAAUGAAAUCCGUUUGUAACAGACGAGUUUCCGUAUGAAACCCUGAUACUUUGAAGGAGAUUGUCUAUUUUGUACACGAAGUGCAUCCAGUUUUUGCCGUAAGCCUCUCUACUAUCUUGCACAUGCUAUGUGGGUGAAAUGAUGAUACCAUGCCAACUUGGAACCUUUUCAGAGUUCAUUUCAAAUGCUUUUCAAUUUCAUGGUCUUAUAGCUCAAAAUAAUUAGUAAAUGCAUGAAAAGUAACAAAUGAAGUCAGAAAAAAAACAAAAUAAAAUAAAUAAGUAAUUUGAAACAAAAUAAUAUAAACUUUAAUAGAAUAGAUAAGUAGAAACAAAAAAAACUUUAAUAACAUAAUUAAAAUUUAUGAAACUAAAAUUAUCAAAGUAUUUUCUGUUCAAAAUAUUAUAAGCAACUUCUAUUAUUAUUGAAACUAAAAUUAUAUAAAAUUGAUGCAACUAAAAUUAUCAAAGUAUNNNNNNNNNNNNNNNNNNNNNNNNNNNNNNNNNNNNNNNNNNNNNNNNNNNNNNNNNNNNNNNNNNNNNNNNNNNNNNNNNNNNNNNNNNNNNNNNNNNNNNNNNNNNNNNNNNNNNNNNNNNNNNNNNNNNNNNNNNNNNNNNNNNNNNNNNNNNNNNNNNNNNNNNNNNNNNNNNNNNNNNNNNNNNNNNNNNNNNNNNNNNNNNNNNNNNNNNNNNNNNNNNNNNNNNNNNNNNNNNNNNNNNNNNNNNNNNNNNNNNNNNNNNNNNNNNNNNNNNNNNNNNNNNNNNNNNNNNNNNNNNNNNNNNNNNNNNNNNNNNNNNNNNNNNNNNNNNNNNNNNNNNNNNNNNNNNNNNNNNNNNNNNNNNNNNNNNNNNNAUCAUAAAAUAAAAUUAAUAAGUAAUUAUAAACAAAAUAAAAUAAAAUAAAUAAGUAUUUUGUUUUAAGUAGAAACAAAACAAAAUAAAUAAAGCAAAAAAGAAAACAAAAAAACUGGGAAAAAUUAAAAAAAUUGCCACCAACUUGGCCACCACGGCCUGAAUACGACUAGAAACCCAUCCAUGGGCGAGGAUUCAGGCCCGCAGUAGGCCUAGAAGGCCCAUCAGGAAAAGCAGUAGCAAGUAGGCCCGUAAGCCUGCAGUGGAGAGGAGAUCGAGAGGGGUGCGGCAGUGGGGCUUAUAAACCACUGCGCGCCCCUCUCAACUAGCGAGGUGGUACUAAACUUUGGCCGCGAUGCGGGCAGCACAGGGGCCUUUGGUCUCAGUUGGUGGCACCAACCGGGACUAAAGGGUGGGCAUUGGUACCGGUUGGUGCCACGAACCGGUACCAAUGCACCGGUUGAUGCCACGAACCGGUACCAAUGUCUUGGGUAUAUAAUUAGCACUUGUGAAAAAUUUAUUUCAGUUCGCCUUCCCUGCCCGACGCCCCAUCACUGCUCCUUGUCGCCGUCGCCUUCGUCGCCCUUGCCCCGCGCUCGAGCCUCUGCCCGCGGACCACCCCCGCGCGCCGGCGCCCUCGCCGCCCCUGCCGUCCGACGCCGUCGCCGCGCCGUGCCUACCUCCGACACCGUCGCCGCACCGCCCCUGCCCUCAACCACGUCGUCGCCGGCNNNNNNNNNNNNNNNNNNNNNNNNNNNNNNNNNNNNNNNNNNNNNNNNNNNNNNNNNNNNNNNNNNNNNNNNNNNNNNNNNNNNNNNNNNNNNNNNNNNNNNNNNNNNNNNNNNNNNNNNNNNNNNNNNNNNNNNNNNNNNNNNNNNNNNNNNNNNNNNNNNNNNNNNNNNNNNNNNNNNNNNNNNNNNNNNNNNNNNNNNNNNNNNNNNNNNNUCGCCGGCGCCGCGCCGCACCGGUCCCUGCCCCAUGCCCGAGCCCCUGCCCGCGGCCCGCCCUCGCCGCCCCCGCCGUCGCUGUCGCUAGCCGCCCCCGCGUCGAUGUCCAGCGCCGCCCCCGCGCGCCGUCAUUGUCAGCACCGCCCUGGUUAAUUUUUAUUUUGUUAAUUAUGUUUUCUUUAAUUUUUAUUAGAUUUUUUACAUGUUUUUAGAUUUUCAUAUAUGUAUGUAUGUAUUUCUUAAAUAUAUGUAUUUUUUACAUGUUUUUUGUAUGUAUGCAUGUAUUUUUUCAUUUGUAAUUAAUGAUGUUUUAAAGUAUACAUAUAUGCAAGUUAGAUUUAGUACAUUUUAGGUUAGUUUCAUUUUUAAAUAUCUAGCUAGGAAAGGAAGAAGAUUUAGUAGAUUAAAGGUAUAAGAGUUUUAUCUAGCUAGGAAAGGAAGAAGAAGAAAAAGAAUGAGAGGAGAAAAAGGAAAAUAAGAAGAGGAAUAAAGGAGAAGAAGGGGAGAGGAAGAAGAGGAGAAAUAAAUAAGAAGAGGAAAAAAGAAGAAAAAGAAGAGGCGAAGAAGAAAGGAAUAGAGGAGAAAGAAGAAAAAAAAUGGAAUUUCUAUUCUUUUUCUUUGUUCUCCUCUAUUUCUUUCUUCUUCUCCUUUUUUUUCUUCUUCUUUUUCUUCGAUUGCUUAUCUUCUAUUCCUUUCUUCUUCUCCUCUUUUUAUUUCUUCUUUUGUCUUCUUAUUUUUUAUCAGGUAUGUCGUUGUCGAUAUACCCCCUCCCGUGAACUUCAACACGAGGGGGGGGUGCCAUAUACCCCCUCCCCGAUAACAUUAUUUUCCCAUGUAUAUGUAUGUCACGUCGUUGUCGAUAUAACCCCCGCCUGGAUAACUUAGACAUGAGGGGAGGUCGAUAUAUAUACCCCUCUCGACCAUGAUAACUUAUACCACGAGAGCACCCCCCUCGGCCCUCUCGCUCGACCAAAACUCUCGAGGACACCCAAACCCUAGAAAAAAAUGAUGUUGGUCUCGUACCCCCUCCCGCCGCGCCCCUACCCGACAAACUCUCUUGAGGCCACCCAAAUUUACCAAGUUAAAAGAGCGUUGUCGUCGAGGCCACCCCAAACCCUUGAAGCAUUGUGUCGAGGCCACCCCAAACCCUUGAAGCGUUGUCUAGGCCACCCCAAACCCUAGAGAAGCAACGUCGAGGCCACUAACAUGAUUCCUUAUUGUGAUUAGCUAGCUAGUUCUAUGUUUGCCACUAAUAUAUAUCCAUCUGUACCAUGUUUGAAUAAUAAUUGGCAUGUUGUAAAUAUUUGCAGAAACUAUGGAGCACUCCCGAGACGAAGCAACAGAAGCGAUGUUGGGGGAGAUAAUCGCGCAAGGAAGUGAUGUCGUUGCGUCAUUUCUCAACGACACCGAUGGUCAAGAAGGACUGGGUGAAGAAGAGGGCUAUGUUCAUGAUGGCACUGGUGACCCAUUAAUGCCGGUACAAGAAGAGGGCUAUGUUCAUGAUGGCUCCGGUGACCCAAUGGAGGUACAAGAAGGAGACCGUGCUGACUGCUCUGGUGACGGAACCGAGUCCGGCCAGGUAUAUAUAUAUUAGUUAAGCCCAUGCUGACUAGUUAAUUGAUGCAUUCAUUGUUUUGAUAUGUGCACAUAUUAAUUAACUCUCGUCUUUCUUCUUUUUUCUCUAGCCCUCUGGAUCGAGCUCAACUUCGGUAAAGAAACGAGGCCCGAAGAAAAAGUUGCGCUCGGAUGAAAGGUUUGAGAUCACAGCAAUCGCGUGCGAUGGCAAGCCGAUUGAACCCAUACGGACAAGGGAUGCAUUUCGUGCUCAGUGCGAGGUUCUUGUUAGGGACAAGAUCCCAAUCAGUAUCUAGCAAUGGUUAAAGCCAAAGAAGGAAGACCCUGAGGUGCCAACGUCUUAUGUCUCCGAUAUGCAGAAAGAAGAUCUUUGGACAACGCUUAAGGCAAAUUUCACCCUACCGCCAGAGGAGGAUCUAGAUAAGCCAGUUAAAGAUGAAUUGAUCAAGUCUGAUGCUCUUAAGAAGAUGGAGAACUAUUCAGGAGGUGGAAGAAUGAGCUGAAAAUGUUUGUCGACAAAGAAGAGACACCAGAAUUCACCGGCCAGUUUGAGAAGAUCAAAGAUCAAUGGCCCGCAUUUGUGGCCCACAAGACAUCGGAAAAGAGUAAGAAGAUGUCAGCGACAAACAAGAUCAAUGGCCAGAAGAAGAAGCAUCACCAUCGCACGGGGUCAGGUGGUUACCUCAAAGCCCGACCUUUGUGGGACAAGGCUGAGAAUGACCUGAUUGCUAAAGGGGUCGAUCCAGAGACAUUGAGAUGGCCAGAACAUUGCCGGACUUGGUUCUUCGGGGUUGGCGGAACCUUGGACCCUGUAUCAGGGAAGUGCAUUUGGACGGAAGAGAAACUGUGAAUACCCUUCAGGAAGCUUCGGGAGUAUAUCGAGAAAGCGCGGGAAGGGACGUUCAUUCCAAACAGAGAGAACGAUGAGCUCAUAAUGGCCCUCGGGAAUCCUGAGCACCCUGGACGGACACGAGGCACGCCAGGCUCCUUUCCGUGGAAGGCUGGGUUUCCGGACGCACGGUGUUACAAAACCCAGGAGAGGAGGAAGAAAGUGGAGCAUAGACAACUACAGGCGCUGCACGAAAGGGUACAAGGGCCAGAGGAACGAGAAGCAGAUCGCAGCAAACGACCUGCCGAAGCUUCCCCUGAAGCUACCCCGCCAUCUCAGUGGAGAAGCAGCAUGACUUCCACUAAGUAGACUCAGUAGCUAGAGCCUGUCUUCACGGGCUACCCCGUGGAUGCUAUCACAGAGUCUCAACAUUGCCACCUUAUGACGCAAUGGAUGACAUUGAAAGUCAAGGCGGCUGUUGGCUCUGUUAUACCUAAUGAACCUGGCUCAACCUACCACGGCCAGCCAAUUCUAGAAGGAUAUGCUAGGGUGAUGGUGGAUCUAAUAACGGACGGAUUUGAGGAACUUGAGCUUGACCACCCUACGGGUUAAGGGGAGAUUCGGCUGGGUUCUUCUCUGAAGACUCCAUGCCUAUGGCGGAAGGAGCUCAUCAACCUUCCAAACUGGACGCCUCCGCCUCCUCCUCCUCCUCUGGCGAGUCAGGGCACUCCGCCUCCUCCUCCGCUUCCUCCGGUGAGUGAUCAGGGCACUCAGCCUCCAUCUCCGGCGCGUGGCGGCACUCCGCCUCCUUCUCCGCCUACGCCGGGGCGCCCGAGCAGCCAGCUGCCUCCUCCUUCUCCGCCUUGCCAGCAAGGGCAGAAGAGACCCGCGACCGCCCCGGCUGCUCUGGCGUGUCGUAGUCCUUCUCCUCCGCCUCGUAAGCAAGCACGAAAGAAGAUAGCCGCAGCCGCUCCGUCUGCUCCGGCGUCUAGCAAUACAGCCAGAUGCAGGAGGCAAUACAGAUACGGUCCAUCUCUCAAGCCUCUAGAGAAGUUACCGUACGAGAGGACCGGGGAGGAAAACGCGAAGAUCGUGCUGACCGAAGUGAAAGACUUUGAUACGUCUCCAACGUAUCUAUAAUUUAUGAAGCAUUCAUGCUAUAUUAUUAUCUGUUUUGAAUGAUUAUGUGCUUUAUUAUACACUUUUAUAUUACUUUUGGGACUAACCUAUUAACCGGAGGCCCAGCCCAUAUUGUUGUUUUAUUGCCUCUUUCAGUAAUUCGAAGAAAAGGAAUAUCAAACGGAGCCCAAACGGAAUGAAACCUUCGACAGCGUUAUUUCUGGGGACAAUAUGAUCUUGGAGACUUGGAGUUCACGUCAGAAGAUCACCCAGGACUCCACGAGAUAGGAGCCCCCCCUACUGGGCGCGCCCCCUAUCUCGUGGGCCCCUCGAGCACCUCCCGACCAACUUCUUUCGCCUAUAUAAGCCUACGUACCCUAAAACCAUUGAAUAUCAAGAUAGCUCAGGAGUCUGCUCCGGCGUCUAGCAAUACAGCCACCAAAAACCUCUCAGGAGCCCAUUCCGGCACCCUGCUGGAGGGGUAAUCCAUCAGUAGUGGCCAUCUUCAUCAUCCCGGCGCUCUCCAUGACAAGGAGGGAGUAGUUCACCCUCGGGGCUGAGGGUAUGUACGAGUAGCUAUGUGUUUGAUCUCUCUCUCUCUCUCUCUCUCUCUCUCUCUCUCUCUCUCUCGAGUUCUCUCUCGUGUUCCCUCUAUGGCACGAUCUUGAUGUAUCCCGAGCUUUGCUAUAGUUGGAUCUUAUGAUGUUUCUCCCCUUCUACUCUCUUGUGAUGAAUUGAGUUUCCCUCUUGAAGUUAUGUUAUCGGAUUGAGUCUUUUGUUUGAUAACACUUGAUGUAUGUCUUGCCGUGUUUAUCUGUGGUGACAAUGAGAUAUCACGUGCCACUUGAUGUAUGUUUUGGUGACCAACUUGCGGGUUCCGCCCAUGAACCUAUGCAUAGGGGUUGGCACACGUUUUCUUGACUCUCCGGUAGAAACUUUGGGGCACUCUUUGAAGUACUUUGUGUUGGUUGGAUGAAUCUGAGAUUGUGUGAUGCAUAUCGUAUAAUCAUGCCCACGGAUACUUGAGGUGACAAUGGAGUAUCUAGGUGAGAUUAGGUUUUUGGUUGAUUUGUGCCUUAAGGUGUUAUUCUAGUACGAACUCUUUAAUAGAUCGAUCCGAAAGAAUAACUUUGAGGUGGUUUCAUACCCUACCAUAAUCUCUACGUUUGUUCUCUGCUAUUAGUGGCUUUGGAGUGACUCUUUGUUGCAUGUUGAGGGCUUAUUAUAUGAUCUAUCUAUGUUAUUAUUGUUGAGAGAACUAGCAGUAGUGAAAGUAUGAACCCUAGGCCUUGUUUCCUAUCAUUGCAAUACCGUUUACGCUCACUUUUAUCGCUCGCUACCUUGUUGUUCUUAUAAUUUCAGAUUACAAAUACCUUUAUCUACUAUCUAUAUUGCACUUGUAUCACCAUCUCUUUGCCGAACUAGUGCACCUAUACAAUCUACCAUUGUUUUGGGCGUGUUGGGGACACAAGAGACUCUUUGUUAUUUGGUUGCAGGGUCCAUGCUACAAUCGUUGAUCAAAAAUCAAAACAAAAAUUUAAUACUCUUUCCUUACAACUUCGAGUUAGUGUUUCUGUCGUGUGCAUAUUCGGUUUCCCUUAUUACUCGAGCGAGGUUAUAGUAAUGUAAUUGAUGAGUUAUGCAUGUGUGCGAAGCUUCCACUAUGUUCUUCUGGAGAUUAAGCUUGAGCGGGGACUAGUAACCGUCUUAGACUCGAGACGAAAAGACGCCGAAACCUAUGCGGACAUGACUAAAAUGCUCAACAAGUAAGUUCACUUGAUCAUUAUCGCACCAUAUCGGCAACUUUUUGUUCAUUUCCUGUUGUCUCAAGUAAUAAUAAUUAUUUUCUUUGUCUUGCAGGGUUUGGAAACAGUUCACCGCAGAAGCUCCGGGACUACCGAAGGAGCUGCGAUAUACAUACCCGAAAAUAAGUACUACUAGCUAGCUAGUUGCGCGCAUCUCCCGUUGAUUGUAUAGCUAUACUUUCAUCAAUGUCAUUUAUAAUGCUUCAUUAUCAGUUUGAUUGACCUCUAUUUCUCGUAAAGUGCUUGUGGCAGGAACAAGGGAAUGAUUUCUGUGGAUACUACGUGUGCGAGUUCAUAUACAACGCGACUUUGAAAAAUAAGCGGGGCUACUCUAAAAGACAAUAUGAAGUGCGUAAGCAAUAAUAUUCACAAUUUCAUUUUAUUACACCAUCAUUUCUGUUGAGUUUCAUUCAUAUAUAUGUAUUAACCCCCUUCUUCAAAUUAGAUGUGGCAGAUGCGGAAUGAACUCCUACCACGAGAUCGCAUAAAAGCAAUUCAAAAGGAAUUGGUGGGAUUUUUUCUUGACCACGUCAUCAAUAAAGCUGGAGAAUACCAUGUGGAAGUUGAUUUCAAAUGCUAGGGGAUUGUAAGAGAUCUUACAUAUCUAUAAUACAUAAAUAGUUCAUCCCCCUAACCUAUUUCUCUUGACAUGCAGCAUGUCCACAUCAGCAAUCAACAUGCAGCCAUCCACCUCAGCUAAUCUGCCAAAUCAUAAGUUUCUUCUUUUAUUUUUCUAUUCUCUGAGUCAUGCCAGAGGAAGAGGAUUACACACCGCACCGUUUUGUUGGGAAAGUAUUUCCCCCCGAGAGGUUCCCCGUCCCACGCUUCCUCUUCCCCACGCCCGCGACCUCACGCAGCGCCGCCUCUUCUUCCCAAUCGCGACCUCCUACCUUCUCCAUAGAACUUCUCCCCCACUUCAUCUUCUCCAAAGUCCAUUAAAACACAGAAGUGGAAAGGAUGCAUCUCUAUAUUUCAACAGGGACCCAUCAAUCGAUCACAUCAUAGCCAAGGAGAUGAGACGGCGAGGUCGAGCUUCAGGUCAAGAUUCAGACUGGUGGCGAGGCGGAGCGACGGCUCGCCGGAGCAGCGGCCUUCUCGCUGGUCGCGUUGGAUCCAUUGGCGUCGAUCACAUCAGAGCCAAGAAGAUGAGACGGCGAGGUCGAGCUCCAGGUCAAGGUUCAGACUGGUGCGAGGCGGAGCGACGGCUCACCGCCGGCCUUCUCGGUGAUUGUGUUCGAGCCGUUGGCGUCGCUGCUCGCAGCCGUCGUCGCCUCCUCCUCCCACUGGCCGCUUGACAGCGUCUGGACACAUCCCCCCGCCACUGUUGUUGCUUUUGAUGCGUGCCUACAGUAACAUCUUCUCUGAACAUUAAUACUCUAUCCCUCCUCGCUCACCCAUGCCACUUGAUCUGUCUCUUCUUUUCCUUCGAUGCAGAGCUUGGCGGCCACCUAUCCCACGCACUAGCAUCACCAUCCACCUAACCGACUAGGCUGCACUGCAGCAAGUAGUAGCAGCGGCCAACGGAAGUGUUGGCAUGGUCAGGAGGAGGAGAGCUGUUGCUUCAAACAAUUUUUCAAAACAACUACAUAUGAUCUGCUGUGAUGAGAAGACACCAACAGCCAAGACUAAAGAGCAUAUGUAGGUACACCCGAGAUACCAAAUACUACUUUCAAGCUGCAUAUUUGCUCCAGCAGGUUGAAUCACUAAUGUUACUGAAUUUCUUUGUGACUAUCCACUAAAGGUAACUCUUGCUGCGCCAUUUUGUUGGUAUGAUUGCAUAAAUUUGCACAUACUGUAUUGCCCUUGCUAAAGAAGACCUCUGAAGAAGUCUUACAAAAUGCACAAAUAUCUUUUGAUGGUAUGAUGUCCAUAAUCUUCUUUGUUGUUCAAUACAUCUUCUAUUUUUAAUUACUGAUGUGGUUUGAACAUAUUUCAGAAUAGUCAAAAUAUCUUGAUGUUUGCAGGUUACGUUGGUCUAGAUUAUGGGGUAAAGAAAGCUUUUGUUUGGAUUAGUUCUCUUCCAAUCAUUCUCAUGUUUUAAUGGUGUGAGUUACUUCCGCAUAUAUGUGAACCCGAGAGUGUUGACAAGUAUAGGUCUGAGCAGUUGAUGGAAGAUGAUGCAAAAAUAGUCGAAGGACGAUCAACUUAUUUUUCCUUUCAAUUCUUAUUAGUCUUGCAUGGACCUAAAAAUAGUACUAUGGUGUGGGCAACUAAGAAGAAUCAUUACCACCUCUGAAGAAAAUCUUCAUUCAAUUCUAUAGAAGUAAGAACAUGCCCUCCUUUAUUUAUCCUUGCAGAUUGUUAUUCUUUGACUCCUAUAGAACAACUUCAGUUCAACAACUUUAAUCUAAUUAUGUUCAACUUUGCGGAAUCAAUAAGAUUUAUUUCACCAUUCUCUGUUCAUUGUCAUAUUUGUUCGGUUUCAUACAUGCCUUUGUUCCGGAACAGGUUAUCCUGACUUCCCAAACCAUGAAUAUUAUAGACCUGCAAUAUUAACUAGAAUGCAUAAUAUGCUUAUGAAUUGUCAUGUUCAAUUAUUGACCAAAAGUUCAUCACCGUGAUAACUUUAAAAGCUUUCUCCCUUGACUGGUCUUGCCUUAUUAAGUCAAUUAUUGACCAAAAGUUCAUCACUAUUUUAUUUUAUCAUGAAACUUUGUUUCACACUAAUUGUUGUAUAAUAUUGCCUUCACUAAAUGUAGCAGGGGUUCGGUUUUUAUGUGUAGAAAUAUGGGACAAACUGAAUUGGCAAUUUAUGUUCUCACUAUCAUAAACUCUUACACACUAUUAGUUUUUCACUUUUCAAGUGCCAGCGCUCUGUACCUGUUAAUGGAGGCGAUUGUUUGUUAUCUUCGCCAUGAAUAUAAGCAGUGAGCUAUGAUGUGGGCAACUAAGAAGAAUCAUGACCAGCUCUGAAGCAAAUCUCAAAUGCCUAUCUGAUUUGUGGUAUAUUUAUUUAGUCUUUGUGGGUGAAAUGUUUUCGACGCACAAAUGUUUGGCAGGCCCAUGAUAUUUUGCCAGUGGGAAGAAACCACUAAUGUAAAUAUUUUUUGAAAGGAAAUGUUAUGUAUUUUCUACCCAGUUCUGCAUUGUUCAAUCUCAUAAAAUGAUUUUAUCUUAGCCAAGAAGCAAUAUGGCUAAAAGUAUAUCCAAAUUAUAUCUAUUUCAUUUGUCUAACAUAUCCCAUUUUCUUGCAACAGUUCCCGCAACAACGUGCGGGGUGUCAUCUAGUUGUAUAUAUGUAUGUAGCCAGUAGCGUUGGAUAGAUAAUACGAAAACUUGUUGUUCGACCAAUCUCUUGGAGAAGUAGAGGUCGAUCGAUCACUUCUUUCGGUAUGCAUGACGAAUUUCUGUACUUAAUGGUUUCCUUCAUUUUCUUACUAGAUAGCGUGUCGAGGGCCUCUCUACGUACAGUACGUAGCAUCGACCAAGCACGGACAUAAGAGAUGACACUUCUCUCUAUUAAUUAGCUAGCUAACACAAUAUGUGAAACACCUAAAUUAACCCCCCACCCCUUUCAAAAAAAAACCCAGCCCCUGAAAUGCUGACGCGUGGAUGCCUUUUGGUCUCGGUUGGUGCCACCAACCGGGACCAAAGGCCCUCCUGUCUGGGCUCGCCGCACCGGACACGUGGAGGCCCAUCUGUCUUGGUUUAUGCAAGAACCGGGACUAAAGGUAUAGGGUAUUAGUACCGACACUUUAGUCCCGGUUCAAAAACCGGGACUAUAGGUCCUUUUUCUACUAGUGGAUGGGAUCCACCCGCCGUUGCCUCGCCGGAGAUCCCCGACGUCUGCUACUUCCAGCGCCACCCCCUGCAUCGAACUCCAGAUCCAGCCAGUCCCCAAUGUGAUCCGACCGCCGUCGCCGCACCGGAGAUCCCGGACGUCCUCUACUUCCAGCGCCAUCCCCUGCAUCGAGCUGCUGCUAGAGCUCAUCCUCCUUUCUUCUGACGAGGAGGAUUUCAUGAGCUCCGUCGAGCUCAUCGUCCUACAGAGGGCGGCCAAUAAUCGUUGACCCGAUGUGUUGACCCAAUGUAAUUACCUAGUAUAUGUAGUUAGCAACUAUGGACUAAUGCUCAGUUAUAUUCGAGAUGGGACAGACCUUAAGUACUGAUUUGUGUAAAUUACUACUGUUUUAAUUAGUUUAUGGUGUGUUAAUUAUUGCAUCAAAAAAUUAUGCAAAAAUGAUGUGCUGUUUACUUAGUGACGGGUCUCACUUGGCAGUGUCUCCCAAGAGAGUGAUGAUGCAGAGGCAAAAAGGUCCAGCGAAAAGUCUACAGACGGUCAACACACAGUCAAACACUACUAACUGGACGGAAGUUUGAUAUAAGGGUAAAAUCUUAAGAGGAGCAAACAGGUUUGGGCAAAACCGAUGGUUUUAGGAAACUAGGGGCAAAACUGUCGAGUGAGACACAAUUAAGGGCAUAAAAUCGAUUAUCCCAAAAAAUAUAGGAUGUUAUGCUUUGCCGAGAGUGACACUCGGCAAAGUACGCAGUAACUGACGGAGCCGUCUGUUGCGGACAGGCAUGCCACGUGGAUACUCUUUGCCGUGAGCGGCUCUCGGCGUCUGCAGGGUUUGCCGCGCGGUGCCUCUUUGCCGUGAGGCAGUGACAGCAAAGAUGGCAGUUUGCCGUGAAGGUGGGUUUGCCGAGAAUGACACAAGUGUCCGUGUUUUAGCACUCGGCGAAGAGCAUUACCCCCGGCGUAGCCUAGAAUUCGAGUAGUGCAGCUUGGUGAAGCCAUUUUGAGCAAGCGAGAGGUGUGACAGGGAUAGCAAAUGCUUAAAGCUCUCUGGUAUCUCCCCCUCGAGCUUGUUCCUUCCAAAGUUCAGCGUCUUCAACUCGGUGCACCACAUGAGACUGGGAGGUAUAGCACCACUCAGCAUGUUACUCCCUGCAUCCAGAACAUUCAGCCUUGGAAGUAAGUUGAAGUCUAGGGCAAUUUCACCCCGACAGCGAGUUGUUCCUUAGAUUGAUAACCCUCAGCAUAGGGCAGCUCAAUAGGGAGGCAGACAAUGUGCCACUGAACGAAUUUGAGGCCAAGUUUAAGAACUCCAGCCUCCUCAAACCCCCAAACACAUAAGGGAUGACGCCAGUGAACAUGUUAUAUGACAGGUCGAUAUGAAUAAGCUGAGAGAAGUUACCCAGGUACUCGCUGAGGCCACCAGAGAGCUGAUUUUCCCGUAAGCUUAGCCUCCUCAACUCUGAUAAUGUAUACAGGUCGCCAAGGAUACUCCCAGUUAUGCCACUGCCAUCAAUAAAGAGCUCCGUGAGCAUCCUGCAUCUGCCAAAGCCGGUGAGGACCUCACCGUUGAACUCAUUCCCGGAAAAUCGCAGGGCCUUGACCGGCGCAACACAGAGGGCCCUGGUGUUGAAGCCACCAGAGAAGCAAUUACUGGAGAUAUCAAGAACUGCCAGGUUCAUCGCGCCAGGGAACGUAGGGUAUGGUCCAGUGAAUUUGUUGAAGGAGAUGUUCACCACCUCAAUAGCUAGAAAGCCAUCUUCCCUCACAGGGAACGGCCCGGAGAACAUGUUCACGCUGAGGUCGAGCACCUGCAGCCUCGCUAGCCGGGCAAGCCCCUCCGGUGGCUGGCCAUGGAGCGAGUUGCAGGAGAGGUUUAAUGUCACGAGGCCAUCGAGGGAGGUAAUCAAGGAGGAGAUGCCACCAUGGAGGCUCUUGUUGAAGAGAUCCAACCCGACAACCCUCCCAAGAUCACAGAAGAUGCCGGUCCAGAAACAGCAUGCAGUGUCGUUGGGAUGCCAUCCGAUGAGCUUGGCACCCUUCCUGUCCCAGCCAUUGGAAAAAGCAAGAAGUGCCUCCAGGUCAGUGGGGUGGCAUGUAUGGUUCAGAGAAUGGCUGGCAUGUCCCUGGAGCAGAACAUAGACGAGCAAGAAUUGGAACAAGGAGUAAUAGCCUCCCCUCUUCCGCGAGAGGAGGCGGCGAAAGUAGAAAACCUUGCUGGAGGGCAUGAACAGGUCGGAAGGACUUGGGACAGAGAAACUAACGGAAGCAAAUAAUAACUCGCCUUUAUUCCUUGGAAUAGUUAAUGUCCCCUCCUGGGCCCAGUGCUGCAGCCGUGGCUCCCUCCUAAACUGCUGAACUGCUGCAGCUGUGUCCCUCCUCCUGAGCCCACAAGGCCACAUGACAGUUCCUAACUGGCAGCAAAUUCCUUAAACUUUUACUCUCUCCGUAAAGAAAUAUAAGAGCGUUUAGAUCAGCAAAUUACGAAACUGUAGUAAGAGAGCAAUGAUAGAUCAAAAUUGUUACCCCCGGCCAAGAUUGUCUGACGUAACGUCACCUGACUUUGGGCCACUAAUAGGUGGGCCAGCUUGUUUGCGGCCCCACAUGUCAGUGGCCCUAAGUCAGGGAAUCUCAACCGUAACCCCAUCAUAAGAAGUCACUAAAUUUAGAACAUCACAUUAUUUAGCUGUCUUAACUCUUGAUAAGGGAAUGUAAAAUCAUAUGUAUUGAGUUCAGAAACCAAACAAAAUUAAUUAAUGAGUCAAAGUCUGAGGGGGUGGUGGCUAGCUCUGUCUAAGAGCAUCUCCGGCCGCGGCCCCAGAAAGGCCUCCCCAGGUGAUUUUUUCGCGCCGGCGCCGAAAAACGGCCCAGUCGCGUCCCUAGGAUCACGUUUUUCGCCGGCCUGGGCGGAAAUCAGCACCGGCGGACCCAGGCCGAACCCGGCGCGCUGGGGGUGCCCGGGGGCGUCGGGCGAAUCGUUUUUGGCGCGAAAUAGCCGCGGGCCCUCCUUGCCAGUGACUCGUCUCUCUUCUCGCCGCUUCGUCGUCCUCAUCGCCUCGUUUCUCACGGCAAAUCAAUGCUAAAGCUAUCGCGCCGGUCAGCAUCCUCCAUUGAUGCCUCACGGGCGGCGCAGUGAAGACCGGACGACGCACGUCCCUUGCCCGCCACGCGUACACACGGCGGCCAUGCGUACGCGCAGCGCCCCCGCCUAUAUAAGCCGACCCCCAGCGCGCCGGUGACGCACAGCCUCUCCACCGCCGACGCGCCGUUUCUCCCCCAUUCCUCCCUCUCCUCUCGCCGUCUCCAGUUCAACCAUGGCCGAGCGCUUCCCAGGCGACGGCGCGGCGGCGAACGGCUUCGGCCGCCGCCAUCUUCACGAUGACGAAGCUCGGCUCCUCUAUGAGGCUGAGUAACCGGUCCCGCCGGACAUGCGGGUGCCCGGGUCGUGGAGGAUCAGCGCUAGCGGGGUCCCGGUGCCACCACCGCCCACGAGGGUCGGGCAGCGUGCGGAGAUCGCGCGUAUCCGCGCCUCUCUGCCGCGGGCCGCGAGGGAAGGUCCACAAUGUGUCCCCGACAGCCCGCUGUGGGAGCCCUACUUCCGCCGUCGCCACGCCGAGCAGCUCGAGGCCACCAACGGCGUCGAGCCCUCUCGAAGGCUCAACUCCGAAGGCCGGCGCCAAUGGUGGGGCGUGCCCGGCCGCACGCUGGAGGUCGUCCUCAAGUACAUCGAGGGGGGCAACACGCCGAGGCUGGAGUACCCCGCUCCCCCGUUCUUCUCCCGCCGGCGUGGGAGCUCGUGGACGCCGAGGCACAUGGACCCGGGGGCGUCCUCCUCCUCGUCCGACCGCUCGUCUGGCUCUUCCUGCCUCCGCCCCGUCAAGCCGGAGCCCCAGGACACGCCUGUCAGCACGCGCACCUGCAGCUUCGGCGUCCGCAUCGACGACUCCGCCCCCACCUCUGGCUGCCUCAUCCUCGUCAGGACGAAGCCGGAGCCCGACCUCCCCGCGGAGUACGAGGAGAUAGCCCGGCGCGGCUUCACCGACGAGGACGCCCUACGGUGGGUGCGGGAUGCCUACCUCCGCGACGAGAUGGUCCGGCAGCGCCGGGCUCUGGAGGAGAUAGCCGCCCGCAAGCGUGGGCGCGAGGACGAGCACGGCGUGGUGAUCCUCGACAGCGACGAGGAUGAGGACACCCGCGGACCGUCCAACCCGCCGCGCCAACCUGGGGAGGGCUGCAGCAGGGACGGUGGCCGCGGGGGAGGAGGCGACGAUGACGACGACGACGGCGGCGACUACACGCGGUUCUACAGUCUCCUCGGCAUGUAGAGCUGCAAGGGCGACGGGCGGCGAGGAGCGUCGAGGGAGACGGCGGGCCUAGUAGCUUUUUUUUCUUUUUUGUAAAAUAUUUUAAAUAUGUAUGAACUCGCCGAAAUUUGAUUGAAUUGGCGCCGUGUUUCUGGCGGAAUUUAAUUUUCGCAAAAAACGUGGGAGCGGCGACUGGGGACCAACUCGCCCCCAGGCCCUUUUUUUGCGCCAGCUCANNNNNNNNNNNNNNNNNNNNNNNNNNNNNNNNNNNNNNNNNNNNNNNNNNNNNNNNNNNNNNNNNNNNNNNNNNNNNNNNNNNNNNNNNNNNNNNNNNNNNNNNNNNNNNNNNNNNNNNNNNNNNNNNNNNNNNNNNNNNNNNNNNNNNNNNNNNNNNNNNNNNNNNNNNNNNNNNNNNNNNNNNNNNNNNNNNNNNNNNNNNNNNNNNUCUAAAUGCCAUGAUUUGAGAGGGAGGAAUAUUUGGACCUCGGACAGCUUCAUGAUUGGGAAGGGCUUGACUGGGACAGGUAACUCUGAUUCAUACAGCCAUUCCCUUUAAGCUGAGCGAUUUUUUUCUUCUGUUAGAACAAUUCCAAUAUAAUCUCUGGGAUAGCUUACACUGUAUUCUUUUGUAUUCAUCAGUGCGUGUCUUUCCUAGAAUCAACCAGCACACCUGAAAAAUAAUUCAUGUGUAAACUCAAGAAGCCCUUGUCAAAGUAAUCUACUCAAGAAGCAACAUCAUUUUCUUUGAAACACUAAAAAAGGGCGACACGGGGCAUUAGGUAUCUCUGCUCUAUAAAAUUAUAGCUCAAAAUUCUGCUGGUGAUCAGAUGGAAUUCUUUAUCUCAAUCCAGCUCAGCCCAGGUUCUUUCUCAACCAUCAUCCCUCUGAUCUUUUUCCUAAUUUCAGCUACAACGUCCCAUUUUCCUGCAGCAGCAUAAAGGUUUGAAAGCAAUACAUGUGCUGACAUAUCAUCUGGGUCUUGCGCUAGUGCCUGUUCAGCGGCAUGAACACCAACGGACAAAUCAUUUAAUGCUACACAGGAGCUUAGCAGAAUUCUCCAUAGUUCAGGACAUUUCCUGUCAAAUGGGGAUUUCUGCAGUAAAUCAACUGCUUCCUCCAAUAAACCUGCCCUACCUAACAAACUCACCAUGCUAGUAUAGUGCUUGAACCCUGGCAUAAUACCAUCCGUCAUCAUACAAAACCAGUAGAACUUUCUUUUCUCAACUAGUCCACAGUGUGCGUUAGGCGAAAGCGUCUUAUCUCAUCGUGAGGGGACGCGGUGCAUGUUUAUAGGCAGGGGCCUCCCUGGAUAGCGCAUAUAGUUGGGAGAUUACAGCUUGAGGGAGAAGAAAGAUAGAGAUAAGAAUAUAUGGUUACAUAGUUGAGUUAUCCCAUCUAACUACCUAACCAUGCCGCACAAGAUUAUAACCUCUCUAGGCUGUCACGCUACAAGACAUUGUGUUUAACACUCCCCUUAAUCACAACUUCAUCAAGUUAAGAUUAUGCUUGAAAUGUUCAAAAAAAAUUGUGGGUAAUGCCUUAGUGAAUCCAUCUGCAACCUGAUCCCGGGAAUGCACAAACUGAAUCUCAAGUUGCUUUUGAGCCACUUGCUCUCUCACAAAGUGGAAACCAAUUUCAAUGUGUUUUGUUCUGGCAUGAAAACUGGAUUAGCAGAUAAAUAAGUGGCACCCAAAUUAUCACACCAAAGACAGGGGACUUGAGCACUUUUUAUACCCAGCUCCUUUAGAAUAGACUGCACCCAUAUGAUUGCAGCAGUAGAAUUUGCCAAUGCUUUUUACUCAGCCUCUAUACUAGAUCGAGAAACAAUAGCCUGCUUCCUCGCACACCAUGAAAUCAGAUUAGGACCAAAGAACACUGCAAAGCCACCAGUGGACCUCCUGUCAUCUAGGCAACCUACCCAAUCCGAAUCUGAGAAGGCACUGACUAGUGUGGAUGAUGACUUGUUGAAAUUAAGACCAAUGCUGAAGGUGUUCUUGAUGUAUCUGACUAUGCGUUUAGCAGCUGUCUAGUGAACAGUGGUGGGUGCAUGAAGGAACUGACAGACCUUGUUAACAGCAAAGGAAAUAUCAGGUCUUGUAAGUGUAAGAUAUUGAAGUGCACCUACAAGACUCCUGUAUUUUGUGUUGUCUUCUUGACUCAAGGCUUGCCCUUCUGUGAGAGACAGUUUUUCUGAGCUGGAUAAUGGAGUAGGUGAAGGUUUGCACCCUUGUAAGCUAGCUUUCUUUACUAGAUCCACGACAUAUUUUUCCUGAGAUAAGAGAAGUCCAUCCUCAUGUUUCUUCACCUCUAUUCCUAGGAAAUAGUGCAAGUCUCCAAGAUCCUUUAGAGCAAACUCUGUGCUGAGAUCCUUCAAAAGUCCUGUGAUGCCUUCAUCAGAGGAACUUGUAACAAUGAUAUCAUCAACGUAGAUGAGAACAAAUAUACAUGUGUUGCACUUGUUGUAAAUAAACAAUGAAGUGUCGGACUUAGAAGGAACAAAGCCAAGUGUUUGCAUUUUAUGACUGAGUCGUGAGUACCAUGCUCGUGGAGCUUGCUUCAACCCAUAUAGUGCCUUAUCAAGCUUGCACACACAAGAGGGUGCAUGUUGGUUUUCAAACCCAGGAGGUUGUUUCAUGUACACUUCAUCUUCCAGUACACCAUGAAGGAAGGCAUUCUGUAUGUCUAGCUGUCUGAGACUCCAUCCCCUGGACACAUCAAUGGACAAAACAAGAUGAAUGGUAGCAGCUUUUACAACGGGACUAGAUGUGUCCUCGUAGUCUAUACCAUACCGUUGUUUGAAGCCCUUUGCCACAAGCCUUGCCUUGUAGCGAUCAAUGGUGCCAACAUACUUUCUCUUAAUCCUGAACACCCACUUGCAAUCUAUGAGAUUUUUACCUUGCUGUGGAGGGACCAAAUGCCAUGUUUUGUUUCUCUUCAAUGCCAUAUACUUCUCUUGCAUGGCCUUCUUCCAAUUUUCAUUCGGAAGUGCUUCAUCAAGUGUAUAUGGUUCACCUGUGGAACAGACAAGUCCAUAUUUCGUGACAUGUUUAUACUUCACUGGUUGUAUUACCCCUUGUCGGUGUCAAAACCAGCGGAUCUCGGGUAGGGGGUCCCGAACUGUGCAUCUAGGCGGAUGGUAACAGGAGACAAGGGACACGAUGUUUUACCCAGGUUCGGGCCCUCUUGAUGGAGGUAAAACCCUACGUCCUGCUUGAUUAAUAUUGAUGAUGUCUGUUACAAGAGUGGAUCUACCACGAGAUCAAGGAGGCUAAACCCUAGAAGCUAGCCGAUGGUAUGAUUGUUGUUCGUCCUACGGACUAAAGCCAUCCGGUUUAUAUAGACACCGGAGAGGGCUAGGGUUACACAGAGUCGGUUAGAAUGGUAGAAGAUCUACAUAUCUGUAUCGCCAAGCUUGUCUUCCACGCCAAGGAAAGUCCCAUCCGGACACGGGAUGAAGUCUUCAAUCUUGUAUCUUCAUAGUCUUGGAGUCCGGCCGAUGAUGAUAGUUCGGCUAUCCGGACACCCCCUAGUCCAGGACUCCCUCAGUAGCCCCUGAACCAGGCUUCAAUGACGACGAGUCCGGCCCGCAUAUUGUCUUCGACAUUGCAAGGCGGGUUCCUCCUCCGAAUAAUUUAUAGAAGAUUGUGAACACCUGUAUAGUGUCCGGCUCUGCAAAAUAAAUUCCACGUACCACGGUAGAGAGAAUAAUAUUUACACAAGUUCAAUCUGCUGACGUAUCUGGUGGCGUGACGUCACACCACUACCAAGCCUUUUCUUGAAUCGUUUUUAUUGUGCCACCUCAGCGUGUUUAGCGAAGCGGUUUCCUUGGCACGUCUUGUCAAGGCAGAGAUCGUGUUCCCCUUAUUCCGGGAUUCUCAUAAAUGCGGACGUGGGUAACCCAACCGCGCCCGUUGCCACGCCCCCUCCAUCGAAGGCGGGUUCCAAACGGUCACGGGGACGACUCUUGGUAUUCUUCCUCUUUAUAAUGAGAUCAAGGCCCGUUCUUUUUCUUCAAUCCUCAAUCGAAUCUGCCCCUCGCCCCGAGUUCCAACACCCAGGGCUCCAGAUUCGGGUACCUUCGACCUUUGACAAUGUCCGGCUCUGACCUACGAGGCCGGUGGAUGCCCUCUUCCGUCACGGAAGAAGACGUACUAAAGCUGAGAGACGCCAGGUACUUGACCUACGAGAUUUCACAUAGGUUGCCUGCCCAAGGGCAAGUUAUUCCUACUCCCGAGCCCGGCGAGAGCGUCGUGUUCGUGUCUCACCUCCGUCGGGGUUUAGGCUUCCCGAUGGAUCCCUUCGUGAGGGGGCUCAUGUUUUACUAUGGGCUGGAAUUCCAUGACUUGGCUCCGGAGUCCAUCCUCCACAUCUCAUCAUUCAUUGUUGUCUGCGAAGCCUUCCUCCGCACUACCCCUCACUUCGGCUUGUGGCUUAAGACCUUCAACGUGGAGCCGAAGAUGAUUGAGGGGCGUCAGGUAGAGUGCGGCGGGGCGGUUAUAAGCAAGAGGGCCGAUGCUCCAUGGCCCGAGGGCUCUUUUCAAGAGGAGCUCGGCUUGUGGCAACAGGAGUGGUUCUAUAUCACCGCUCCCAGGGGCAGCAGGCAGAAGCCGCCGCCCGUCUUCCGCUCGAGCCCUCCACAACGGCUGACGUCAUGGGUCAACAAGGGGCUUAACUGGGGGCCGUCCAAAGACGUACCCCUGUUGCAGGACCGGAUUCGAGGCCUCCAAGGAAGGGAUAUCAAUAUGGUCGUAGUUGCACAGGUUAUGAUGAUCCGGCGCCUUCUGCCCUAUAAACGUCGCCCCCUCCGCCUGUGGGAAUUUAAUCCGGAGGGGCCACGAGCUCUCCAACACUUCAUGGGUUUGACACACGCGGAGAUGUACAAACUAUUCUUUGGAUCGCAAGAGAUGCGUCCGGGCUUGACCGAGGACGCUGGCCUAAGCUGCAAUCGCCCGGAUACUCAAGUAAGUAGCCCUGUGUCCGGACAUAUUGUCCAUUUAUUUAUCAUAGGUUUCCCUUUUAACCAGCUAUCCCUUGGACAUGAGUGGAUAGCGCAAGCAAAACUGAUACGGUAUCCGGCCCCCCUCCCUGAGACCACGCCGGAUCCUGUGUUAGUCAAAAUGUCGGAGGUUGCGCCUUCGGAGGAGAGCGAAGGGGGCACAGGGAAACUACCACCUCUGCCAAGGAGGCCUUCAAUAAGGGGGGAAUCGAGAAUCCCUCCUUCCAGGGGGAGAAGAGGACCGCUUCCGAAGACCCGGAGGCCAAGGCCUCAAAGCGGGGAAGGAAAUCUACGCCGAAAGGACCUGCGCCGGGAAGAGCCCCGGCCACACAGUCUCCCCAUAAGAAUCAGCCCUCCAGCGAGCCGUAAGUAAAAAAGGGGGAAUUUAGUAAUAGGGAACGCCCCUGUAUUAUUUCCAAAGGUAACCGAAGUUUUCACCUUGUAGUUCGGAUCUCAGCCCAUCUCAGCAGAGCUCAUCUUCGGGGGACCUUCGUCCAGAGAUGAUGGAGAGCGAGACGCCUCCAUCUGCCGCCCCGUCGGGCAGGGCGGAUGACCCUGAGGUGUCGUCACGGAGGGUCUCCCCGAGUCCGGCGGGGCCGGAGAGUCCGGCACCCAUUGGAGUACGGCCGGUGGAGCUGCAGGAUUUGCUCAAGAGGGCGUCUAUCUAAGAAGAUCACUGCACAUUAAUGAGUACGGUGAUUGAAAGGAUCUCAUCCGCCGACAUCGGGUUGUAUGAGGCCGUCGGAAGCUUGCUGACGGGGUUUGAGGUACGCAAAAAAUGGCAUACCUUUUGACAGUUUUGCACAUGAAGUGCGCCCUGUAUAGAUAGUAGCCCCUGAGACUUGGUAUGCUAUCGAAAGCGAUAGCGUGCCAAGGAUCAUAAUCUCAGUUAUAGAAUGUCGCCUUUCCUAUGCAGGUGGCGGAACGUUCGGUGGCCAGCCGGACUGAUGGAGUUGCCGAACUGAAGAGGCAACUCGAUGUUGCGGAUGCGGACAUCGCGCUGGUCAAUAAACGACUUAACGAGUCGCAAGGUAGGUGGUUGCUCCGCGGUUGCCUAGUAAGGGAGCUGAUGCCCGUUCCUUACAAUUUGUAUGCUUGAUGCAGAUGGCGCCGCUGCUGUGGAAGACCUUCGAGCAGAGCUUGCUCGAGCCAAGGAGCAAGCCAGGAUAAGUGGUGGGGCUGCCUCGAAGGCAGCAGAAGAGCUAAAAGCCGAAAAGGCUGCUCACUGCCGAAGUAGGGAACAGUUGGCCGAAACGGCCUUGAAAUUAAAAGAUGCUACCGACCGUUGUGAGGUUCUUGAACGAGAACACCGAGUGGAGCAAGAGGGCCUAAAGAAGGCCGCCGCCGAAGUCAAGGAUGCCCGGAGUGAGAUGCGGGCUAUGAAGGAGGAACUGCGUCAAGCCGGAGACAUUGCGGCUAGAAAGCCCUUCCUUCUGCGUAGGAAGUUCACGGAUCCGAAGUAUGCUCAGCUAGGCCAGUUGUGUGGUGCGGAGGAUCCUUAUCUGGAUUUGGCGGCGAGUGCGGCGGACAUAGUCGUGCACUUCCGAAGCCAGAAGGAUCAUGAAAUGGAAGAGCUUUACUGGUCUCAAUUCCAUAGUCCGGAGCGUCCAUUUCCGUUGACUGAUCGGCUGGCUGAGUGGGCUGAGCUGAAUAGAUUGUCCGAACUUGCCAUGACGGAUGUGGUCGCUCAUCUGUGGCCGGAAAGGCCCAAGCCGAAGAGUUAUUUUGGCUUGUUGCAGCAAUUCCUUGGGGCGGUGUUGCAUAUCAAGGUGAUGAAGCGGUCGGCAUGCAUAGAAGGUGCAUGGAUGCCACCGCUAUUGCAUCCCGGGGUUCGGACAAGAGCCGAUUACCCGCCGAGCACUAUUUUCAGGAGGUCCUGCAGGGCGCUCGUUUAAUAGAGUCGUAGUGCUCGAAAGAUGUCAUGUUCAAAUGACGUGUAUGAUUUAUGUUUAUAAUGCAAUAGCUUUUUAUACUUGUGCGUUCAAGUAUUGAACUAUCUCCUGUGCGGCCGUAUAUGUAUGAAUAACCUGAAAGUUGCAGUCUUUGGCUUCAACCCCCACACACAUGGUGCGGGGGCGUUUGCAAAAAAGAAAAACGUUUUUUCACACUUAAUCCAACGUCUUGGUCCUUUGAAGGAGGUGAUAGCAUAGCAAACUAGGCAACCGGACUAUAAUGCUUUAUCACUUUCACUUAGCCAUAGGAGCUCGAUGGUGGGGCUACUAUAUAGCCCCUAGAGGCACCGCGCUCUCCGAACUCGGGCUGCGUAUGUGCCUGACCGGGAAGCGGUCCUUCGUCAAAGCGGGGGAAUUCUAAACAUUCCAAUAGUCGAUCGAGUGGUUGACCAAUCUCUCGCUAUAUCAUGACAGUCAGUUUUCGGCUUUCUCUACUGAGGUGCUCGCCCGGACGAACCGGGGCACAAUCGCAGUAGUUCUCCUAGUGCCGCGUUAGUCGAUGGAGCGGAACAUAAGGCAGCAAAACACAGGAGCCGGGCAAACCCAACAUUUGACCAAAGACAUGAUUCGGAGCUGAUGCAUAUAAGGCCUAACUCGAGACACCGAACACUCCCUGAGGUGUUCGGUCUUUAUGAUACCGGGCAGAACAAUGCCCUAAGCCCCUAGUGUCCAGGUACAGGCGGGAACUUCUGACGCCAGCCUCCUCCUCGGUUAUGGUAGAAAAUCGGGGGAUGUGUAUCAACAAGAGACAGUAAGAAAGGUUUACGCAGGGUCUUAAUCUGAAAAGAAUCCUUGCAAUGGGUCCCUGCUGCAUGUCUGCGCCUGUGUCUCCGUUGUGCUGUAUCCUGGACGGGUGUAGCACGUGCUUCAUCUAUAAAAGAGAAGGACUUAGUUUGGAAGAAAUAUCGUGCAAAGGAUGUAUUGAAAAUAAAGUAUAAUUUGGAAGAUGAAUAAAAUUGAGCUUUAUUGGCUCUCAUCAUUUAUACGCGCAGCCCCUUGUAAAGGGGUAUGCGGCUGGAAAGCCCCUUGUUUAUUUGCGUCGGACUCGUCUAACCGUGUCCGAGGUCUGAAUGACCUGUUUUUAGGGGCUUUGACCUGCAAGGUCGGAUUAGUGUGUGGCUGUCAAAGCAGUCUCACGUUCUCCGUGAUCGAGGAACACUCGGACUUACUCUUUAAUGAGAUUAUGCCGCGUGGACCAGGCAUUUUAAGCGUAAGAGACGCGUAAUGUAGUAUUGCAUUAAAGCGGGUGAGAGCUUCGCGUCCCAAUAGUGCUUUAGGGCCACUGUUAAAUGGGGCGAUAUGGAGAGUGAGCUUUUCACGGCGGAGGUUGUCAGAUGAACCAAACACAACCUCUAGUGGUACAGAGUCUGUACAAUUGGCUUAAAGGCCUGGCGUCACUCCUUUUUCCGAGGAUCUUUAUGCCGAUUGUGUGCCGGCUUGUGUGCGGCGCCCCUUGCUGCUCUUAGCCUGUCAUCUGGUCGUCUAUCCGGCCAGGCGGCCUCUUUAUUUUUUGACUGCGGGGGCUCUAAGGCCUCCUCGUCGAAUUCGGGCAACAACUUGCGCUUCGGGUUGCUCUUUGCCUGGCGACUAGCGCCAUAUUUAUCUGCGGUAAUGAGUACUUUGCUCCAUCUCAUUCUGAGUGCGUCCUCCGCUGUUUUGAGCUUCCGCGUUUGCUUCUUCAAACUUCUUGCAGUAGCGACGAGCCUUUUAUGAAGGUUCUUAUGCUCUGGUGAUGUGUUCGGCGUGAGGUCGUCUAGGCUUUUGUUUUCACCGGGGAUGGGUUGCUUGUCCAGUUCAUCAUGUUCGGAUGGUUGCUUGGUGGCAUGUUCGCCGUCCACUGCUUUGCCCUGCUCUAGGGCCGGGUCCGUAUGGGUGCCGUUUUUAUCGAGGCGGGACUUCGGGCGGCGUUUGCGUCGCCGUUUUGGUUGCUUAUUGGGGGAGUUGUCCUUCGCCACGUCCCGUUGUUCUUCAUUAUCGCUUCCUUUUGGUGUAUCCACCAUACAUAUGUCGUGAGUUGGGGUGGCUUUCCAGUGCCUGAUAGGCGCUGGUUCUUGGUCGUCUCCGGCAUCGUCGUCCAUACCGUCGAUGUCUUCGGAGUCGAAGUCUAGCUUGUCGGUUAGAUCGUCGACAGUGGCUACUAAGUGGGUGGUGGGUGGGUGUUGAAUUUCUUUAUCGUCCGCAUCCCAACCGUCUUGACCGCAGUCCGGCCAGGGCUCUCCUGAUAACGAGAGAUACUUUAGCGAACUCAAGAUGUCGCCGAAAGGUGAGUGUUGAAAGAUGUCCGCGGCGGUGAACUCCAUGAUCGACGCCCAACCGAAUUCGAUUGGAUGGGGCGCUGGAGGCUCGGAGUCCGGCGAGGAGUCCGGCACCUCGAAGUCACGGGCUUCAUGAGGGACAAGAUCAGUGUUCGGCUCUAUCGCCGUAGAGGUUGCAGCCCCCGAGGCGGUGUCUAGCCAUCCGUCCUCGAUCUGCGCAGCCGGCUCCGAAUUGAAGAUCGGAGCGGGCUCGAGUGCGGCCUCCAGGGUACUGUCCGGCUGCAGAGCUAAAUCAUGCCCGUCAUGACAGUGCGGCGCGCUUGGCUGUGGCUCGAAUCCAUCGAAGGUCAGGUCCCCGCGGAUGUCAGCCGUGAAGUUAAAACUUCCAAAUCUGACCUGACGGCCAGGGGCGUAGCUUUCAAUCUGCUCCAGAUGGCCAAGCGAAUUGGCCCGCAGUGCAAAGCCGCCAAAUAUGAAGAUCUGUCCGGGGAGGAAGGUCUCACCCUGGACUGCGUCGUUGAUGAUGAACGAAGAAGCCAUCGAGCCUAUUGGUGACGACACAGAGGAACUCUCAAUGAAAGCACCAAUGUCGGUGUCAAAACCGGUGGAUCUCGGGUAGGGGGUCCCGAACUGUGCGCCUAGGCGGAUGGUAACAGGAGACAAGGGACACGAUGUUUUACCCAGGUUCGGGCCCUCUUGAUGGAGGUAAACCCUACGUCCUGCUUGAUUAAUAUUGAUGAUGUGUGUUACAAGAGUGGAUCUACCACGAGAUCAAGGAGGCUAAACCCUAGAAGCUAGCAUAUGGUAUGAUUGUUGUUCUUCCUACGGACUAAAGCCAUCCGGUUUAUAUAUACACCGGAGAGGGCUAGGGUUACACAGAGUCGGUUACAAUGGUAGGAGAUCUACAUAUCCAUAUCGCCAAGCUUGUCUUCCACGCCAAGGAAAGUCCCAUUCGGACACGGGACGAAGUCUUCAAUCUUGUAUCUUCAUAGUCUUGGAGUCCGGCCGAUGAUGAUAGUUCGGCUAUCCGUACACCCCCUAGUCCAGGACUCCCUCACCCCUUGUUGCAAACGUGUGCGAUGUGUUGUUGAAGGAUCUUGGACGCGUGCCACAGAAAAUCCUGAGCUAGCAACAGGAGUUCCAGGCGCUGCAGAACCCGAUCCCAAGGCAGAUCCCGAGCCAUCGACCUCCGUGUCAGGGGCUGGAUCCGCAGCUGGAUCAUCUGUGGGCGUGGGUGACGGCGUGCAACGCGGUGCUGGCGGAGAAGAUCCCGCGCGAUAGGCCUCAUCAUGAGACCCCGCGUCCACCGAGCCAUAGGUGGGCCCAGCGCCUAUCGACCGGCGUCGCUAGCGCCGCGUGUAGCAUAGCGGUUGGUCCGGGAACCGGACGCUCGCCGGUCCACUAUGAGGCCGACAGGUGGCGUGCGCCGACUCGCUUGCAGGGGCGCAGUCGGCCGCGCCGGGCGCAGCUGAGGGCGCGGAGCCCCGAGCCGAUUCUGCUGCAUUGGCAGGCGCCGAUCCCGAUGCAGAUCCGGCUGGUAGGCCUACCGCUGCAGAUCCCGAGGCAGAUUUGCUCCCCGGGGCAGGACACAUGAAAUAUGGCCUAUUUAGGCUAUUUUCUUCACCAAUUUCUGCUCCAUUUUCUCUUGCAUCAUCACACAACUCAUGCACGGUGGUUUGAGUGUUAGUGACCAUAUGAUCACCAUGGUUAUGUUCCCCUUCAUCAAAACUAGUGAGAGAUGGUGGAAGGAGGAGAAUUUCUUUGUGGAGUAGGGAAGCGGCAUUAGGGUGGAGAUCGGCAAAGGGGAACUUGGUCUCAUCGAAGACAACAUCUCGUGAGAUAUAGACUCAUCCAGUAGAGACAUCUAGACACUUCACCCCCUUGUGUUGAGCACUAUAGCCUAGAAACACACACUGCUUUGAGCGAAAUAUGAGUUUGCAGCAGUUGUAUGGACGGAGAUUAGGCCAACACGCACAACCAAAAACACGUAGAGAAAUGUAAUUAGGUUUGACGUUAAGGAGUCUCUCGGUGGGUGUUUCAUUGUUUAUGACCCGACUUGGGAGCAUAUUGAUGUUGUGACGCCAAUCUAAUUGAACCGCCAUGAUCUUGCGGUUGAACUUGCGUUCAAUGAGUGCUUGGAAAUUUUUAAAGACUUGGAGAACAUCGGACCUCUUCUUGAGAAGGUAUAUCCAAGAAAAUUUACUAAAGUCAUCAAUGAAACUGACGUAGUAUGUGUGUCUACCAACAGAACUAGGGGCAGGACCCGAGACAUCAGAAAAUAUUAAUUGCAAUGGAACAGUAGAAACACUUGUGGAAAUAGGAUAGGGUAACUGAUGACUUUUUGCUCAUUGGCAAGAAUCACAAAUGGUCUCAAUAUUACGCUCACCAAUAAAUGGGAGCUUAUUUUUCUUAAGAAAACGUUCAACAAGUGAAAAGGAAGCAUGCCCUAAAUGAUCAUGCCAACGUGGUGAAGAGAGUUUGGUAACACCGUAGGCUUCUUUAUUGAAUCUUCUAGGCUCCGGAAUCAACAGGUAAAGACCUCGAACGCAUCUACCUCGAUAUAGUACCUUCCUCGUGGCCUGAUCCUUGAUCAAAAAGAAAAAAAGAUGAAACUCAAUGAACACAGGAUUGUCAAUGGUGAUGCGAUCAACUGAGAGAAGAUUUUUGUUGCACUAGAGACAAGCAGAAUUUUGCAAAGACGAAUUUUACGAGAAAGAGUACGUAUAACCGAAAGACCAACGUGACGUAUACUCAUACUUGCACCACUGGCGGUGUGAAUCUGGUCCUUCCCGUGAUACUUCUCACGUAGGGUUACCUUCUCGAGCUCCCCUGUGAGGUGAUUGGUCACGCCACUGUCAAGGUACCAGCUGGUGUCGACGCCGUAUGACCCCUCGGCGGCGGCAGCGACCUUGUCAUCAUCUUUAGAAGAAGGUUCGUCCUUGUCGAACCUGUACCAGUAGUCCCUGGCCGUGUGACCAGGUUUCCCGCAGAUUUGGCAGCGGACCGAAUCGGGACGAAAUUUGCUUGAGCCGCCGCCGCGGCGACCCCUGUUGUUGGUGGAGGAGGGGCGGCCACCGCGAGAACCGGAGUUGCCGCCGCCAUGCUUUCCCUUGGAACGAGGAGGACCCCCAUAGCGAGAAGAGGAGCCGCCGCGCCCACGGGUUGCCGCAGUCACCGACGACUUGAAGCCGCCGCUGGUGCUGUGGAACUGAGUGACACGCUGAUCAAAAUUGCUCAGCAUGGCGUACAGCUCAUCGAGGGAGACCGGCGUGACACGGGCGUCGAGUGCGGAGACGAGGGGCUGGUCGUCCAUGUCUAGCCCGUGCAGCAAGCAGGAGAUCAGCUCGUCGUCUUGGAUGGGCUUCCCGACCGCGGCGAGCUCGUCGGCAAGGCCCCGCAUGGAGGCAAAGUACGUGACCACGGACUGGGUGCCCUUCUGUGCAUUGAUCAAGGUAGUGCAGAUGUUGUUGACGUGGCUCAAGGAUUGCGAGGAGAACAUACCUGCCAGCAUCGUCCAGAGAGCAUGGGCAGUGGUGACCGCGGUCACCGUGAUCAGCACCUCUUUGGAGAGGUUGCUGAGCAGGUAGCCCAGCACCUGCUGGUCCUCCCUGACCUAGAUGGGGUGGAGAGGGUUGGGCUCAGAAGUUUCCUUCCCAUCCUUGUCCUUGGAGAUGAGGAGGCGCGUCGGUUCUGGCAUGGUGCCAUCGACGUAGCCGAAGAGCCCGACUCCCCUUAGCUGCAGCGUGAUCUGGGUUCGCCACAGGACGUAAUUCAUCCGGGAGAGCUUCUCCGUGACCUGACCACUUAGGUUCGAUUGGACGGCACUGGAGGAAGACAUGGCUAGCACUAAUGGAGAUCGAAAGCUAGGGUUUAGGAAGAGGAGGCUCUGAUUACCAUGUGCGUUAGGCGAAAGCGUCUUACCUCAUCGCGAGGGGACGCGGUGCAUGUUUAUAGGCAGGGGCGCACCUCCCUGGAUAGCGCAUAUAGUUGGGAGAUUACAACUUGAGGGAGAAGAAAGAUAGAGAUAAGAAUAUAUGGUUACAUAGUUGAGUUAUCCCAUCUAACUACCUAACCAUGCCGGACAAGAUUAUCACCUCUCCUAGGCUGUCACGCUACAAGAUAUUAUGUUUAACACACAGUGGCUGCAUACUGAAAGGAGGGAGAUGUAAUGUAAGUUACACGGUCAGGUUGCAGCUCAUCAAGAAUCAUCUCAUCAAAUUACUUAAAUGCCAUUUCUGAAUUGCCGUAAUUGCCAUAUCCCCCUAUCAUGGAAUUCCAACACUUCAAAUCUCGCUUUGGUAUGGUGUAGAACACCAAAUGGGCACCUUGGAGAGCAACAUUUUUAGCAUACGUAUCAAGCAGGCUUCCGGAGGCACAGAUAUUCCCUUCAUAACCACUUUUUACAACUUGAGAGCAUGGAACAUCUCUCCUUUAAAAAAUAGUUAUUUCAUUCGUCUGUAUAUUUAUGCACACAAAUAUUCAAAUUUUAUUUUUGUACUGAGAUUAUAAUUUACAUUUUGUUUUGAGGGAAGAGAUUAUAUUUACAUAAUUUCUACAAAUAAAAUAGAAAGAAAAGGAACUGGUGUAAAAUAGGUCGCAGUAUCUUCAGCCCAAAUUUCACAUGUUUUGUGUUUAAAUACAUGUAACUAUGUUAUCCAUUGUGUACCUAGGAACGUGAAUGGUGGAGUGGUUUAGCCGGCUUCUGCAUGAAAUCUUAAAAGUGGGCACGCGCUCGUUGGAGAGAACAAGCGGACGCUCUGCCACAUGCAUGUGUAUCUUUUUCUUGUCUGCUAGUGCAUGAGGUCAUCCGCAUUAAAUGUGAAUCAGACUGGUCAUAUCUAAAGGAAAAACAUAUCCAUGGUCACUUAUUUUGGGUUUUCCAAUUUUUAAAAAGUCAUAUCUUUCAAACUGCGUGUCGAAAUUCAAAUCCGUCUUCAUUGUUGGAUUCUUCGCGACGAGAUCUUUGAAACUAGAUCCCACAUGAGUAUGUUUCGAUAAAAAAAAUUAUGCCAACUUUGGUGCUAUAUGGUGCAACUUUAGUACUACAUUGUGCAACUUUGAUAUUGAAUGAUGCAACUUUUUUCAAAACUAAUUUUUAGAGCUGCAUGAUCCAACUUUCUAUGAGCGAGGUUGCAACCUAACAACCAUGGCAACCUAUUGUGCAAUUAGUCUAGUGCAUGGGCCAACUACCUAGUAGUCGAUGUGCAAAACCUCAUCCCUACCAGUGGAUAUGUAGUUUUUCAAUCUCCGCACACCCUUCCCCAGUUCCCCUACUAGCGGUAUGUGCAACUUAGUUUGUUGUUCGCGCCAACUGCCUAUUAGUCGAUGUGCAACUCCUUCCCCUCCCUACUUGUGGAUACGUAUUAGUUUUAGUUGGCGGGGGCAACAGACGGAGUUGCACAUAGUCUACUAGGCAGUUGGCCGGGGCAACAUACGAAGUUGCACAUCUCACAUGCCAGGAUAGAUGGAUGGUGAAAACUCCACAUUCACAAGGGGAGUGAAAAGUUGCAUAUAGACAGGGUGCUAGCUGGGAAACUACACGUCCACGAGGGAUACAAGAGAGAGUUGCACAUCACUGUUAGAUAGUUGGCCAUCGCAGCAUAUGAAGUAGCACAUCUACUGCUAGGCAGUUGGCCGAUGCAGUAAAUAGUGAAAGCACAUCCACGGGUAGGAGGAAAGUUGCACAUCAACUGCUAAACAGUUGGCCUCAGUGUCGGUGUCAAAAUCGGCGGAUCUCGGGUAGGGGGUCCCGAACUGUGCGUCUAAGGCUAAUGGUAACAGAAGGCGGGGGACACAAUGUUUACCCAGGUUCGGGCCCUCUCGAUGGAGGUAAUACCCUACUUCCUGCUUGAUUGAUCUUGAUGAUAUGAGUAUUACAAGAGUUGAUCUACCACGAGAUCGUAGAGGCUAAACCCUAGAAGCUAGCCUAUGAUUAUGAUUGUUGUUGUCCUAUGGACUAAAACCUCCGGUUUAUAUAGACACCGGAGGGGGCUAGGGUUACACAGAGUCGGUUACAGACAAGGAGAUCUACAUAUCUGAAUUGCCAAGCUUGCCUUCCACGCAAAGGAGAGUCCCACCCGGACACGGGACGAAGUCUUCAAUCUUGUAUCUUCAUAGUCCAACAGUCCGGCCAAAGUAUAUAGUCCGGCUGUCUGAGGACUCCCUAAUCCAGGACUCCCUCAGUAGCCCCUGAACCAGGCUUCAAUGAUGAUGAGUCCGGCGCGCAGAUUGUCUUCGGCAUUGCAAGGUGGGUUCUUCUCCAAAUCCAGACUACCUGUUGUAACGAGUAGUGUCCGGCUUCCCAUUAAUGUUGCACUCCUCAGCUUCUAUGCUUUAAUAAUGGCUACCUCCACGUGUCGAGCGAAUGCGAGAAGUCGGGGCAUUUUUACAUUUUCCACCCUGACCAUGUAAGUAAAUCAUCUAUUUAAAGAGACGGGGAUCCUUAGAUCCAAAUCACACCAUCCUCCCACAGCGAGUAUCCAUUAGAGCACGCCCGGAAAAAACCAUCCCAUCAUGGGCGGCCAUCGCAGCUCCUCCUCUCGCUCCCGUAGCACUAAGGCAGGCGAUUGGGAGAAGUGUUCCCUCCCCCACAGCCGAUUGGUAGAGUUGCAGACCCAGGGGUUUCUCCCUCCUGCGUAUAUGAUCCCCGUCUGAGCCGGACUAGCCACUUACAACGGCGGGGAGCAAGCGGAGAGUUCCAAUCCAUCCGUUCCUCCGCGGGCUCCUGGAGUUCUAUGGCCUCCAGCUGCAUAACUUCACUCAUGCCUCCAUAUUACACAUCGCCGGCUACGUUGCCUUUUGCGAGCUGUUUCUGGGCUGCGAAGCUCAUUUCGAGCUAUGAAAGAAGUUAUUCUGCCUCGUACCCCAUACUCGGGAGGGGUCAAUAUAUCAAGUGGGCGGAGCCGAAAUAUGGCGCAUCGCCCGGACCAGAUACCUGUCCGGUACUGCGAAGAAGACAUCCAAAGACUGGCCUUCGGAGUGAUUUUAUAUGGAGGACGUCCCGCUUCCGGACCCUAUUCGGAUGGGCCUUCCUGAGUUUGCUAAUGCCCCGUUGAAGAAACGCCACAGCUGGCGCCCUCGGAGCCCCCAGGAGGAAGUUAACAGAGAGGUCCUUUACCUGACGGGCAGGAUAAAAAUGCUGGCCAGAUCAGGACUGACAAUAGUCGAGGUUAUAUCAAUAUGUAUAAUGAGGGGGGUGCAGCCACUUCAAUAUCGGGGGAAACCCAUGUGGCACUUCAAUGAAGAAGACGAUGCCACCCGCUGCGAUCGUAAAGGUUCGGACUCCGCCGCCGCUCUAGCGAAAAUACUGUCCGAUUUGUACAAAGGAGAAGAAGAGGAGUUCAUCUGUAUUAAGCCACGGGAUGGAUCCUCCAUGUACAACCCCCUAAACUGGGUGAGCUACUAUCUUUUACUCCAGUCCUUCCCGCAUUCUUCAUCACAAAUAUUUACCUUGCUAAUCCAUAACAGGAACUGCGAAAAGCUAUGAGGGAGGUCCACAACCCGUCUCUACAGCCAGAGGACCCUGACCGGGCCCUCGACCCGGACUCGAAGAAGAUCCAGACAUAUUUGUGGAGCUCGUCGAUAGGACGUUCUAUCAGUUAAGCUGCGACGAUGCCUUGGUGGCCAUCAUAGCCGAUUAUCCUGGCCUACUCCCUGCAUCGCAUGUAAGUAAAACUAGAGUCCCAACUUCCGAGAAGGAUCCCUUCUUUGCACUUUACCCACCACACACGUAUUGCGUCUUACAGGGAAGGCCAUCGGGGCGCCGUGCCGAACCCGUGGUGACUCAUCAACAAGGGGCACCGAAGCCGGGUAGGCUCAAAAGGAAGGCGGUUAGGACCGAGACGCCACUACUAGAAAAAGGCCUACUAAUGGCGCACCGGUUUUGCCUACUAAUGGCGCACUACCGGUGCGCCAUUACUAGCACGCCACUAGUAUUUUUUACUAAUGGCGCACCACUGGUGCGCCAUUAGUAUCUGUUAUACUAAUGGCGCACCAUGUAGUGCGCCAUUAGUAUAGCCCACGGUGCGCCAUUAGUAUCUGGUAUACUAAUGGCGCACCAUAGAGAAGUGCGCCAUUAGUAACAUUUUUUCAAUUUUUUUUAAAAUUAUUAUCAGAAUUUUUUUUAAAUUUUUUUUUAAUUUUUUUUUCGUUUUUUCUUAGUCUCUUAACUUCAGAGUUCUAUCCAACCCCAGCAACAGCUCACUUCACAGGCACUUGUUGAUAUAUCUAGCAUAUCAAUCCUGUUAUACCUUGUUGAUGUCUAGGACUUUGUUCAUGUUCAUGACUAUGAUGAAAUUUUGAAAAAUAUUUCAAACUUCCCAGUCAUAUUACGUAUCAUUUUUUGAAAAAAAAUUCAAAAGAAAAUUCAAAACCAAUUUUUUCUGUUACUAGUGGCGCACCACAUCCACGGUGCGCCACUAGUAAGUUUGAAAUUUUUUGAAUUUUUUGCCUCUAGAUCUUGAAAGCCCCGUAACUUUUUUUCUGUUAGGUUUUUGGAUGUAACUUUUCGAGUAGAUGAUUUUUCAUAUAAAAAACUUUUUCAUCCGAGUUCGUAUGCAAAAGUUAUGCCCAUUUUACAAAUUUCCAGAGAGAUUUUUCAAAUAAAGUCGAAAUUCAUAUUUGUAAAUUUUCCCAAUAACUAGAGCACAUAUCACAUGGGAAACAUAUUUUCUUUUAUUUUUUUGACAUUUCCAUCAUUUUCUUUUAUUUUUUUAAAACUGAAAAGGCGAUCCACAAGGGGGGUGCAUUCGGUGUUGGGGCAAGUUAGUAAUGGUGCACCGUGGGGUAGUGUGCCAUUACUAGUUUAACUAGUAAUGGCGCACCACACCCACGGUGCGUCAUUACUAGUUUUGAAAAAAAUUUGAUAUUUUUAUUGAUUUUUUUAAAAAACUUAGUAAUGGCGCACCAGUGGACAGUGCGCCAUUACUAGUUAAAACUAGUAAUGGCGCACCGAGACAUGGUGCGCCAUUAGUAACUAUUUUUUAAUUUUUUUUAAUUUUUUUCAAAACUACUAAUGGCGCACGACGGAUGUGGUGUGCCAUUACUAUGUCAAUUAGUAAUGGCGCACUAUACAACGGUGCGCCAUUAGUAACAAAAUUUUUUUUAUGUUUUUUUUCAAAAUUACUAAUGGCGCACCACACACCAGGUGCGCCAUUAGUAAUAUAUUACUAAUAGCGCACCGAGACAUGGUGCGCCAUUAGAAUAUAGUAAUGGCGCACCACAUCACAGGUGCGUCAUUAGUGGCCAUUCCAUCUAUAGCCCUUUUUGUAGUAGUGCGCCGUCCCAGAGGUAUGAAAAAAUCCUGCUCCGUGGUUAUCGUCUUUAAAAUAUAAUAAUGUCCAUGGUUCCUGGCAGAAAAAACGCUCGCCGGACCGUGUCCGGAGAGCCUGACGGCCACGCCCCCACCAGCCGGACUCCAGAGCCGGACUUAGGGGCAGAUGCUAACGCGGGGACAAUGUCGGAUGGUCCUCCUACAGAGGACGCGGAAAGACUAUCUGCUACGAAUUCAGAAGUGGAGAGCGCCAUGAAUCACAGGCGUCGUCGGGCCGUAUUCCGCGACCCUAGUUUCUCCGAAGAGGCGUUCGAUGCCUUCAACUCAGGAGACGCAUACAUCCGAGCUGCUCAAGAUGGCCUUGCCAAAGCCACGGACCAGUAUGUAUAGGAUAUAUGGGUAAGAAAAUCUGAUGAUUAUGUAUAUCAGUAGCCCCUGAGAUUUGAAACAGUUGGCACAACUGAUUUAAGGAUCAUUGUAUGCAUAGGUUCUUACGGAGAAGAAUACCCAGUUGUCUCAAGAGCUGGAGGAGUGCAAAGCCCAGCUACGGGCCGCAGUUGCCGGAAUGCAGGAGUCCAAGAAGGCCCCAUCUGGUAAUACUUGUCUUGAUUGAAAAGAAUAUAAUGACAUGUACCAGUUAGUAUUCGGCAUGCAUGCAAAUCUAACAAUAGAUUCUGCAGAAAAUCCCGGAGGUAAUCCGGAGAUCAUACCGGGGGAUGAGCAACAUGCUCAACGAUAACUAGAGGCUGACGAGCGCGUGCUUACACGAGUUAUUUGAGAGAAAAAUGAUCUCCAGGAUGCCCAUACCCGGCUGGCCGUUGAACUAAAAGAUGUUCGAGCCCAACUUGCUGACUCCCUGAAGGAGAAUAAGAGGUUUCGACAUGGCAUUUUUAGUAAGUUCUCGAACGAACCUUUAUAGAGUUCGACGAAGAAACGGGCUAACAGAGUUAUGUCUGUAGGUAUGCUGACAUGUCGUCCCGAAGAGGAGAUGCCCGGAUCUGGAGGCGAUCUUCUGCAAGAGCUCUCACAACUUCACAAACAAGUUCGGCAGGUGAUGCAGGGCAUUGCCUUGUGGCCAUCUGCCUCCCUGCUGGGAGGCAUGGGGGAGCUUGUAGAGAUGCUCAAGGGAGCGCGGCGGCGCUUCCAAUUAUGGAAGAUAUCGGCCUGCCGACAAGGUGCAAGGGAAGCCUGGGCCAUGAUGAAGACGCGACACACCAAGGCUGACCCGAACUACAUGGCCGAUGUCGGACCUGUAGGGUCGGAUGGGAAAGAGAUCCCCGUUAGUCUAGUAUAUGACCAGGUAGGUUUAGGCGCAAAGUAUUCCCAACAGGAUUGUAGGCUAGACAGCCUAUUGGAUGGUAUAGAAGAAGAAUUUAGUCAGUCUAAGUGACUGUGUACUUCAAGUGACAUAUUUUGUCCCUAGCCGGAUUGUAAAUCAUUUGUCAUGGCGGACCUUUUCGCUUCAACCUCCGGACCCGACAGUCCGGAGUGUAUCCGAAUACCCGCUCAGUUAUGUAAAAACUGGGGUACGCGUGGAAACCAGGCGUAGGGGUGAUAAGUGCUUGAACAGACAAGUACCCAACUAGCUAUGUUAUAUUACAUGGAUAGUAAGAAACAUCUUCCAAGGAGAAUAGUUCUGUUAAGGGUUCCUUUCCCUGGGUACGCAUGCAUUAAUGUGCAUGUCCAAACUGCAAAAAGAGACGCAGGAUAUAAACAUCUGGGGGCAUGUACUGCAAUAGGAAAUAAACCUCUUUUGUUCACCGACCGAAUAUUCCCUUAAGAACGCUAGCUUUCGGCUUCACCCAGUCUGAGGUACACAUCCGGCUGACCCGGCAGUAACAAUAGCAGAGGUGGUCCCCUUAUGCCCUAGCCGAACUAACGGGAACGUAGGGCAUAAACACAGGAGCCAGGCAACCCUGCUUGGCCAAAAUUUAAGUCAUAUCGAUGCAUAUAAUGGCGAAAAAAGGUACAUAUGGAGAAGCGAUGCAUAUGUAGUGGGCAUAAAGCCCGGGAGAUAAUUAUAUAAAGCUUCUGUAUAAGAAGCCCCCAGGUAUAAUGCGCGCAUGGAGCUUCAAGAUUGCGUAGUCAAGACACACUUUAAGCUUUUAAGGACGUAAAGAAAAAGGAAGAAAGAAAGAAAGAAAGAAAGCGGAUAUAUAAAAAAACGGAGGUAAGGAGACGAACACAGAGUCCGGCACUAGGUGUAGAAUCUUCGGAGUCUGGCCGCGUUCCAUGGGUUGGGCUCGAGUCUAUUGUCAAAUGCGUCACGCAGACCGUAUGCUCCACCGGUGAGAACUUUAUCGAUGAUGAAGGGACCCUCCCGCUUGGGCUUGAGCUUGUCCUUUUUCUUCUCCGGUAGGCGUAGAACGAGUUCGCCAACGUUAUAAGUUUUGACCCGUACUUCUCUGCUCUGAUACCUUUGAGCCUGUUGCUGAUAGAAUGCGGAGCGGGCUUUUGCGAUGUCACGUCCUCGUCCAGGGCAUCUAAAUUGUCCUACCGAUCAAGCUCGGCUUCUUUCUCUUCGUGCAAGCGCACUCGAGGUGAGUCAUGAAUGAUGUCGCAGGGCAAUACCGCCUCUGUGCCGUACACCAUAAAAACGGUGUGUAUCCAGUAGUGCGAUUCGGCGUGGUCCGCAGCCCCCAUGUACGGAGUCGAGCUCCUCAACCCAGUGCAUAUCUGAUUCCUUCAAGGAUCGCACUAGUCUGGGUUUGAUGCCGCUCAUAAUAAGACCAUUUGCUCGUUCGACUUGUCCGUUUGUUUGGGGGUGAUAGACAGAGGCAUAAUCGAGCUUAAUGCCCAUGUUGCCGCACCAAGUUUUUACCUCGUCAGCUGUGAAGUUCGAGCUAUUAUCGGUGAUGAUGCUGUGAGGGACGCUGUAACGGUGUACGACCCCGGACAUGAAGUCUAUCAUUGGUCCAGACUCAGCUGUUUUAACUGGUUUGGCUUCUAUCCAUUUGGUGAAUUUAUCCACCAUGACCAACAAGUAUUUUUCUUAUGGCUUCCUCCUUUAAGGGGUCCAACCAUAUCAAGCCCCCAGACCACAAAGGGCCAAGUUAUGGGGAUUGUUUGAAGAGCGGUAGGUGGCAUAUGGCUUUGAUUUGCAAAAAGCUGGCAACCGACACAAUGUUGGACGAGGUCCUGUGCGUCUGCUUGGGUUGUUGGCCAGUAGAAACCUGUAUGGAAGUCCUUGCUUACAAGAGCCCGAGCUACGGCAUGGUGGCCGCCGAGUCUAACAUGAAUUUCUACCAACAGUUGCCGUCCUUCCUCUUCGGAGAUGCACCUUUGAAGUAUUCUAGUAGCGCUUUUCUUAUAAAGCUCUCCCUCGUGGACCUUGUAGGCUUUAGACCGCCGCACAAUGCAACGUGCCCCAUUUUGAUCCUUAGGGAGUUCUUGCCUAUUUAGGUAGGCCAAGAAGGGUUCUGUCCACAGGGCGAUGACAGCCAUAAUCACGUGGGCCGAAGGUGUUAUUUCGGUGGCGGAGCCUCCGAUUAUGUCAGAGUGUUCGGGAUCUGGUGUUGUGGUCGGAUGCAGGCUGUUAUUGCCGGUCUCCCCUUUCCACACCACAGAUGGCUUGAACAACCUUUCCAAGAAGAUAUUAGGUGGGACAGGGUCGCGCUUAGUGCCGAUGCGGGCGAGGAUAUCCGUCGCCUGAUUAUUUUCUCGGACCACAUGGUGGAAUUCGAGCCCCUCAAACUGAGAUGACAUUUUGAGGACGGCAUUGCGGUAAGCCGCCAUUUUUGGAUCCUUGGUGUCAAAGUCUCCAUUUAUUUGAGAUAUUGCGAGGUUCGAAUCCCCACGCACCUCUAGGCAUUGAAUGCCCAUGGAGACUGCCAUCUGAAUACCAUGCAACAGAGCCUCAUAUUCGGCUGCAUUGUUGGAGUCUGUGUAUAAUAUUUGGAGUAUGUAUUGGACUGUAUCUCUGGUGGGGGAUGUCAGGACGACGCCUGCCCCCAGACCAACCAGCAUCUUAGACCCGUCAAAGUGCAUGAUCCAAUUGGAGUACGCGUCGUACUCUUUUGGGAGUUCGGCUUCUGUCCAUUCGGUGACGAAGUCAGCCAGUACUUGCGACUUAAUGGCUCGAUGUGGUUUGUAUGUUAUAUCAAAUGGGAGGAGCUCGAUAGCCUAUUUAGCAAUCUGGCCCGUGGCAUCGCGGUUAUUUAUUAUGUCGUUGAGUGGUACUUCAGAGGCCACCAUGAUUGAACACUCUUGAAAGUAGUGUCGUAGUUUCCAAGAUGCCAUGAAGACCGCGUAUGCUAUCUUUUGAUAAUGUGGGUACCGUGAUUUGCAUGGAGUGAGGAUAGUGGAUACGAGUAUACUGGCUUUUGAAGCGGGAACUUAUCUCCGUCCAUCUCUCGUUCGACGACGAGCACUGCGCUUACAACCUGGUGUGUUGCCGCUAUAUAUAACAACAUUGGUUUACCGAUAUUUGGCACGACCAAGAUUGGGUUGCUGGCCGAGAAGGCCUUUAUUUCUUCCAAUCUGGUCAUGGUCACGUCCGUCCACUCGAAGUGUUCGGUGCAUUGAAGAAGGCGAUAAAGAGGUAGUGCCUUUUCUCCCAAUCGGGAGAUAAAUCGGCUUAAGGCAGCCACACAUCCAAUUAAUUCUGGAUUUGCUUGAGGUCUGUUAGGGUAGCCAACUGUGACAGAGCUCGGAUUUUAGCCGGAUUUUCUUCAAUUCCUCUAUUGGAAACGAUGAAGCCCAAGAGCUUUCCGGUAGGCACGCCAAAAACGCAUUUUUUCGGAUUGAGCUUGAUGUCAUAUGUUUGGAGAUUGUCGAACGUAAGCCUCAGGUCAUCUAUUAAAGAUUUGACGUGUCUGGUUUUGAUGACCACAUCGUCUACGUAUGCCUCCACUAUUUUGCUAAUUUGUGUUUCCAGGCAUGUCUGAAUCAUGCGUUGAUAGGUUGCACCGGAGUUUUUGAGCCCGAAAGGCAUGGUGUUAAAACAGAAGGGGCCGUAUGGAGUGAUGAAUGCUGUUGCGGCUUGAUCAGACUCCGCCAUCUUGAUUUGAUGGUAUCCGGAGAUUGCCUCGAGGAAACACAAUGAGUCAUGUCCUGCGGUAGCAUUGAUAAUUUGAUCGAUGCGGGGGAGGGGGAAGGGAUCCUUGGGGCAAGCCUUAUUAAGGUCCUUGAAAUCGACACAUAGGCGCCAGGAUUUGUCCUUCUUUGGUACCAUCACCAGGUUUGCUAGCCAGUCCGGAUAUUUUAUUUCUCUAAUGAAUCCGGCCUCGAGUAACUUGGCUAGCUCCUCUCCCAUGGCUUGUCGCUUAUGUUUUGAAAAACGCCGAAGAGUCUGCUUGACUGGCUUGUAUCCCUUUAAUAUGUUUAGGCUAUGCUCGGCCAGCCUGCGUGGGAUUCCUGGCAUGUCUGAAGGAUGCCAGGCGAAGAUGUCCCAAUUCUCGCGCAAGAACUCCUGCAGUGCGGCGUCUAUUGUGGGGUUCAGUUGUGCCCCGAUGGAUGCUAUUUUGUAGGGUCCAUUGGGUGGACCUGGAAUUUGACUAUUUCGUCCACUGGUUUGAAAGAGGUGGACUUGGGUCGUUUGUCGAGUAUCACGUCGUCCCUGUCCACUGUGGAGCACAGCGCAGUUAGUUCUUCGGCCGCGAGGGCUUUGGAUAAUGCCUCGAGGGCUAGUGUGGCGGUUUUAUUUUCGGCACGGAGUGCUACAUCCGAAUCACUAGCUAGAGUGAUGAUUCCAUUGGGCCCUGGCAUCUUGAGCUUCAUGUACCCGUAAUGGGGUAUAGCUUGGAAGCUCGUGAAUGCAUCCUGCCCUAAAAGGGUGUGGUAUUCGCUACUGAAUGGGGCCACUUGGAAUGUGAUUUCUUCGGACCUAUAAUUCUCCGAUGUGCCGAAUACCACAUCUAGUGUGAUUUUUCCGCACAUCGUGCCUCCCAACUAGGGAUGAUUCCUCUGAAGGUCAUGAUGCUUUGCUCAAUGUAGCUCUUGUUUAUUUCCAUUUGGCUAAGAGUCUCCUCGUAGAUGAGGUUUAAUCCACUGCCACCGUCCAUGAGCACUUUAGUAAGCCGGAAGCCGUCCACAAUUGUACUAAGAACCAAAGCGGCUAGUGCUCGGACUAUUCGGAAUUGAGGUUCGUCACUGGCAUUGAAGGUUAUGGCCGUAUCGUUACAUUGAGUUAUUGCUGUGCGAGGCUGCGGAGUGCUCGCUUGCGCCUAUUAUUUGAGGCGAAAGUCUCGAAGACUGUCAAUAUUGUAUUGUUAUUUUCCGCGGGAUGGUGCUCUGCGAUAUUGUUGAUGAGGAGAUCUUCGCCGCUCUUGGCCACCUGCCGGAGUAUCCAACAUGAUUUAAGGUUGUGUGUUGGUUUGGUAUCCGGUGUACUGUGAAUUUUGCAUGGCCCAUUGAGCCAUCCCUCCAAUACGGUUCACGCCCUGUAGUGGGCUUUGGUUUCUUUGUAAUUGUAUCGGGUGACUUGCGAGAGUUCACCCUUUUAGUUCGGACGGGGGGUUUAGUGAGAGCCGGAGGAUCCCAGAAUUUUUUUUCAGUUUUCCAGGCCCUUACCAUCGCAUAGUACUUCUGUACUAUGGCCACCAAGUCAGCGAAGUGUGCUAUGUCACGGUGACUUAUGGCGUUGAGGAUUCCCCUGUCCGUGCAAUUUUUGCAAAAGAAUGAAAUUGCGUCUUCCUCGCGACAGUCCUUGACCUUGCUCAUUACAAGGAGGAAUCUGGCCCAAAAGUGAUGUACUGUCUCUUGGGGCUCUUGUCUAAUGUGGGAAAGAUCACUUGUGGGUGGGUGGGUGGGUAGAUUUAGGUCCAAACCCUGACCCGAUCUGAGACCCAGGGGCAUAGGAGUUUCCGAGCUUGGCAGUUCGGGCUCCGGGAUGUUGCCCAAUUUUUCUGGCCCGCUGUCCGAUUCUAGGUUUGGAGCUUGGGCCAUGUCCUCACGUAGGCGGGUAUCCGUCUCGGAGAGCCCGGGAAUCUGGACAUAGUUCGUCCUCAAAAUAGAGGAAGAAUCGCUGCAUUGUUCCUCCACCACUGCUAUCUGAUGGGUGACUGGCGGAGAGUUGAUCUCCCUUUGGUCGGGUUUAAGCCCGAUCUGAUCAUAGUACGUAGCGACUGCCAGUGCGGCGAUGCGAUCCAAGAGCUCGUUCAAGGAGGAGAGCUCCAUUGGAUCCAUCUGCUCGGUGAAUUCCAAGUUGACGUGGAGGUUGUUUUUGAUGACCCGAGAAGUCAUCGUCGGCGCGACGGCCGAACGGGCAGUCAUGACGAAGCCGCCUAGUCGGAGAGUUUGGCCUACAGCCACGGCUCCCCCAGAGGUGAUGUUGUCCUUGACAACAAGGUGAGCCAUCAAGCCUUACCGUGACGGCACAGUGGAACUCCCAAUGAAAGCACCAAUGUCGGUGUCAAAACCGGCGGAUCUCGGGUAGGGGGUCCCGAACUGUGCGUCUAAGGCUAAGGGUAACAUGAGGCGGGGGACACAAUGUUUACCCAGGUUUGGGCCCUCUCGAUGGAGGUAAUACCCUACUUCCUGCUUGAUUGAUCUUGAUGAUAUGAGUAUUACAAGAGUUGAUCUACCACGAGAUCGUAGAGGCUAAACCCUAGAAGCUAGCCUAUGAUUAUGAUUGUUGUUGUCCUACGGACUAAACCCUCCGGUUUAUAUGGACACGGAGGGGGCUAGGGUUACACAGACUCAAUUACAGAGAAGGAGUUCUAUAUAUCCGAGUUGCCAAGCUUGCCUUCCACGCAAAGGAGAGUCUCACCCGGACACGGGACGAAGUCUUCAAUCUUGUAUCUUCAUAGUCCAAUAGUCCGGGCAAAGUAUAUAGUCCGGCUGUCCGAGGACCCCCUAAUCCAGGACUCCCUCACCCGGUAAGAGACGAAGUUGCACAUCUCACUCAAGUGGGUAGUUGUGGGGUGGAGGUGCCAUCCGUAAAAACUGCACGUCCACAGGAUAGGUGCAAAGUUGCGCAUCCACUGCAGUUAGUUGCACAUACACUACUAGAUGGUUACACAAAACAGGUAUUGAAAUUGCACAAUUUUCUUUAUCGAAACAUACACAUGCGGGAUCUAGUUUCGAAGAGCACGUCACAAGGAUUUCAAUGGUGGAAACGGACCUUAAUUCGGAUUCGUGGUUUAAAAGUUAUGGCUUUUCAAAAUUCAUAAAUCAUGAAUUAAAUGCUAGAUAGUCAUCCACGCCAUGCAUGAAAAAAGCCACAACCGAAUGCAUGCGGAUAAUUUAAUGCACUACUCCUGAUGAGUUGUUUCCAUUUAGCCAAUUGGGUACAUAAAAAUAUUUACUAAUCAGAUGGGGUAGACAAAUGCUUUUCAAAAAGGUCCGGCUGCUGGGGAGCACUAGCAAUUUCAGUAUGCCACAAUUUCUAGCACCAAAGUGACCGUUUGCGCCAAGUUCUAUCACCAUCAAUGUAAUUGACUCUUAUGUCUAACUACGAGCACCUCAAGGGCUCAUGGGUGCGUGGAUGCCUUGACGGUGGCGACAUGUGUUGUGAGCCUUGCAGAUGUAAUAUGCCGCCAAAUGAGUGCUCUGUGCUUCGAGAUGGUCGGUUAUUUUAAUUCAAAACUUUUUAGGUUUCCGAAAAUCUCACAAAAAAGGGGAAGGCGCUUGUCAAGGAAUGACCCUGGCGCCUAGCAGAUUUCUUAAUCGAACAUUUUCCUUGAAACGUGGCCACAUAUGUUGGAGCAUGGCAACAAGUUUUUGUGGCAUCCAAAUCGAUUCAACAGCGCAACCUAUGUAUUUAGUGUUGUCCUUGCUUGAUUGGAUGGAGUGGAACAAAACAUAGCAUUGUUAGUUGGUCAAUUACAAGCUUAUAUGUAUGCCAACAAUUAUAUCCACGAAGGGAAAAUAGUGGCUGAACCCCGGUGCACAAAAACCUAUCAAAACAUUUUGAAAAAAUCUGAAACUUUGUGGGAAUGAUUAUGAACAAAUGUUAUAGAUGCUUGCAAAGAUUGGUGGUCAAAUGACAUCCAGGAGCUCUAUAAUUUUUUUUUACUCAAACACUGCACAUAUAUUGUGAGUAAUUUUAUUUUUUUACCGAGCUCCUCGAACAUCAUUUGACCACCAAACUUUGCAAGCACCUCUAACAUUUGUUCAUAAUCUUUCCCACAAAGUUUCAGAUUUUUUUCGAAAUGUUUUGCUAUACUUUCGUGCGGGGGUGCACCAAAACUACUCUCAUCGGCAAAAACAAAAUGCUAACCAGAAGUAUGCAAUGAUGAUGAUGCAUAGACCCCUUACUUGAUACUCCCUCUGAUUUAUAUUAAUUGUCACUGAUUUAGUACAACUCGUCAAAAAAUAUGGUUCGGAGGCAGUAGUUAUGUUUCAGUUUCCUUACUGGUAGUAGAUAAUGUAGCUUUAGAUUAUAUAUGUUUUGUUUCAGAUUUAUUAAGAACUGCACGGGAAUUGUUGGAUGCCAUAAAACAUACACGUCUACUGUAGUGUUAAAUGAGGUCUGUAAUACAUGUAGUUAAAUGGUAUACAUGAACCCGUAAGUUAGUCCCUAGCCACAUAAAUCACAUUGUUUUGUCAUGUUCUAAAACAAAAUAGAACAAGAGUUACAUUACAUGAGUUUGAAACAAAAUUAGAUUGGCACUCCUCGUCGCUUCCUCCCUGGCAAAGAACUACCUUCAUGUGUGUCCUGAACACAACUUGUAACAAAACGAGCAAAUGAGUUAUGAGGUGGUAUCCUUGAUUCCCAUGAAAUUAGAAUAAAAUCUUUUUUGGGUAUAACACUAGGAUCUGCUAGAAGUUCCCCCAGUGUCACACUUGGUGAUUCUUCCUUGAUAGAAACACUAGCAGUAUAACUUGUCAUGGUAAGUGGAUGUGAAGCAAAAUCUGUUAUGUCCACUGGAUGGCCUUGUUCUAUAAGCGUGCUUGGGUGCGCACCAUACAUGGAGAGGUUUCUUCUAACGUGUCUUAGCCCCUUGUCCAGUAUGCAACGCCAAAAGUGAACAUCGAGGUUCCUUCUCAACACAUCGGCAAACAUAUUUGCUGCAAGGAGUGAACUAUGUGUAUUGUGCAACUCCUUGGCAAACUCAUCAGCUAGCUGUACUAGCCGUGGAUGUUCAGUGGGGUAUACACUCCCGAAUGCCAGUGUUUUGAAAAGGUAGCUCAACUCGUCAUAGGACAGAGCACUUAGGAAAAUAGGCUGCACCGAUCCAAGCCGGGCUAAUCUUUUAAGUUUACUUAUGAUUAUGAUCUUGCUUCCUCUGCUGAUUCUUAUGAGAAAUGAAUGAAACUUUUUCCAAUCAUCAUCACCUACAUCAGAAGUUAACUCAAUAACUACCAACAUCGUCCCAAACAUGUUCCUUCCAUGGUUAAGUAUGGUCAAGAGGUUGUCUCCAUUUAAGUUCAAAAUAGAGGAGAAGCGUGAGCGAACCCUUUCUUCGCCACAUACAUGAGCAACCAAUGUUUUCUUUCCAACUCCAACACCACCUAUGACCGGAAGAACUGCUAGUGCAUGAUCACCAGGAGGGCUGUUCUUCUCCAACAAGAAGCUCAAGAGCUUUUGCUUUUCAGCAUGUCGGCCAAACAUGAAGUUGCUAGUGUAAAGAUAAACAUCAUAUACCCUAUGAGACAGGCGCUCGCAUCCAGCCAGAAGCACAACAAAUUCUGCCAUGUUAGCAACAACAAUUUCUAAGCCUUCCAAGGCACCAUCUGACUCGAGGCGCAUGGCCCUGUCAUCCUUCUUACUUCUUGUUCGAGAACGCUUGAAAGGAAUGGCUAGAUACGAGCUGCUACUAGAUGAGUCGUUGAUGCUAACCUCAUCAAAGCCUGCACUGUCUUGGAGUGUUUGGUACCUCAAGGUGUCCAGCACGUGGUAUCCUUUGUACAUGGCCUCCGAGAGCAUCUUUAGCUGCAACAACAUCCCAGAAUUUGUUAUGUACUGCGCAUCUGCCUCCUCGAUGACGAUGCUGACUCGCAUCAGGAGGUGUUGCAAUCUCCCCACCAGCUUUUCCUCUGAUUGUGCAUCGCUCAAGGGUGAGUAGUACUUGUUCAUCAGGAAGGAGAUGAAACGGCUCACUAGUUCACCCGUGACUACAGAUAUGGCAACCUCCAUGGCAAGCAAGAAGAGAAACCGAUGAGGGGAGCUACUGGUCUAUCUCUGUGGAGUCUGGACAAAUUAACUGGCAUCUGUCUAGUCUUUCAUAGUUUCGCACACAAUAGAAAACUCCCUAAACUAAUAAUUGCGACGAGUUCAAGGGUGGGUGGCAAACGGCUGCUAACAUGUACCCUUAAACUACCCCAUGUAAUACACAAGUUGGGCUCCUAGUAAAAACAUGUGAGAAUGACAAGCCUACUGCCCAAGUGACAUCGAAACAUUGACUUGUAUUUUUAAUAUUCACAGUAGGUAGGUCCAAAUUAAUAUUGUGCCAUACUAACCUGUUUUUGCAAUUGGAUAUCACGACAUCAUUAUUUCUUUAAUCAUAUUCCUCGAAGAAGUUUGAAUCCAGGUUGAGAAGACAGAGUCUAUCAUUGUGUACAAUAUUCUUAUACAAUCAAUAUACAUAUCACUGAUUUUACACAACAGCAAAAUACUUGAAGUUACUUCUUGAGUAAUCAAUCUUUGAGAAGAUAUGCUACCAAUUUGUUGGAUAAAUUCCCUCCUUUUGGUUCUGCAGAACCCAAUCCGUAUGUCUGCAUGUGGUUUAGGCCCUGUUUGGUUCAUAAGUCCUAGGACUUUUUCUAGUCCCAACUUAUAAGUCACAAGUCCCUAAAAAGUCUCUACCUGUUUGGUUUCUGGGACUUAUAAGUCCCUAUAAGACCAUAUUACAACUAUAAGUCCCUAUAAGACUCUCCUUGAGAGUCUUAUUUCAUAAGUUACAAAUGCCCACUUUAAGUCCCUAUAAGUCCCUCCUGUUUGGUUUAGAUGAGACUUAUCGGGACUUUUUUAAGUCCCUAAACCAAUAAGUCCCUGGAAACAAACACCCUCUUACUUCUUGAGUAAUCAAAUCUUUUACUUCAUGGCUUGAAACUGCUGAACCAUCGGCGUUCUUCAUGGCGCGAUCCGGCAUCUAUUGAUGGACAAACCUGAUGUCGCUCUCCACAAUGGUAAACCUGUUGUGGUUCUGAAUAACUAAUAAUUUACUAAAUGUGUUCGAACUACAACAUGGAUUUCUUUCCUGUUCAAAAGUAGGACUUACCUUUCUAACCGAAAUUGCUUUGUAACUGUUGUAUAUCUGCUCCAAUAACAAAUUUGAACAAGUCAGAUGAUGAUUCGUAGACCUUUUCUUGUUAAUUUAAUUUAUAUUUCAUUAGUUAGCCACCUUAAUAAUACUAGCUAGACCUAUUGACUAUUAGUACCAACUACCAACUACCACUUUAGAUGAUGUUAUCUAUGGCCAUGCGAACAUACCUGUUGCUCAUGUAUCAGCAAAUACAACAAGAGUUUGUACUACACGAGUUCCCAAACAAUAUUAGAUUGGCACUCACUGGUAGAAAAAACGACCUCACGUUCACCUCGUUAGUCCCGGUUCGAUUACGGCCCGGUACUAAUGUGACCAUUAGUCCCGGUUUCAACGGCUAGGCAUUAGUCCCGGUUCGUGGUGUACCUAUAGUCCUGAUCUGUGUCACAAACCGGGACUAAAGGGGUGGUGGCAGGCUGGCGUCAGGCCGGGGCCCCAUGAGCCCCUUUAGUCCCGGUUUGUGACACAAACUGGGACUAUAGAUUAGACCUUUAGUCCCGGUUGUUGGCUACAACCGGGACUAAAUGGGUCUAACCUUUUAGUCCCGGUUGGUGGCUCCAACCCGGACUAAAGGGGUUCUGCAAUUUUCAAACUCUACCCCCCCUAUUGCCUUUUCAGUUUUGAAAAAACAACAAAAGAAAAUGAUAAACUUUAAAAAUUAAAAUCAUUCGAGAUGUAGUUAUGUUACUACCUCUACUAGUUAGGGACAUUUAAAAACAUAAAUUUCAACAUGUUUUGCAAAAAGUGUUAUGAAAAAAUAAAACGACUACAACUUUUGCAUACGAUGUCGGAAAAAAACGUAUAAUAUAUCAAAAUGUUCAGCACGAAAAGCCGGUUCUGAUUUCGAUGGCCGUAGGCCAUUUUGAAAAUUUGAAGAAUCCUCAAAUUCUGAAAGGAAAAAAAGCUAUGCUUAAAUUUCAAUUUUUUUUGAAUUUCGGUCAAAUCUGGUCAAACUACUUAUUCAAGAAAUAUUACUGUUACUAAAUAAUUAUUUCAGUUUUUUGAAUUUUGGUCAAAUCCGGUCAAACUGUGGUCAAACUACUUAUUCAAGAAAUAUUAGUGUUACUAAAUAAUUAUUGUUUUUUAGAAUAAUAGUUUCAAACUCAAACAGUGAAACAUGUGAAUUCAUGCUCAAGCCAAACUCCUAAGGGUUAAUAGGAUUGACAGAUUACUAUUGUCAGGAAAACAACAAGCGCAGACUUGAAAACUAGGGGAAUAUAACUCAGAAGUUAAGCGUGCUCUGGCUGUAGUAGUGACAGGAUGGGUGAUCGGCCGGGAAGUUAGACGAUUUAGAAUGAGUGCUCCACACUUGAGCAGUGAUGAUGGGUGAUUAGAGAUUAAAUCGUCAAAUGAUUCAGAAAUUUGAAAAUUAAAAAAAACAUUUUUUUUUGAAAAUAUCAAAAAAAAUUCAAAAAGAUUCCUUUAGUGCCGGUUGGUGUUACCAACCGAGACUAAAGGCCCCCCAGCCCCCGGGCGGGCUCGUGCCAUGUGGUGGGCCUUUGGUCCCGGGCCAUGUUGAACCGAGACUAAAGGAGGCGACCUUUAGUCCCCAACCUGUAAUGUCGGUUGCAGAACUAGGAGUAAAGGUCCUCACGAACCGAGACUAAACCCCGGUUCUGCACUAGUGACUCACCACCGCUUCCUCCCUGGCAUGUGGCCUUUUCCUCCUUCGAUGCUUUCAAUAUUGGGACGGUGACAAGUUCAGAGGGUUUUUUCGCAGGUCGGUAAAAUUUAUUUUGCAAAAAUCAUCUUUUGUUAAUAUAUCCACUUGCGCAUAUUACAAGUGUGAGUAUUUAUUUCAGGAAUCAAUCGAUGAUUCAAGAGAACGAAUGGUAUCUUCAAUUAUUUUUUCAUCCAAGAACAAGCUAACAGAUGUGAUGAACAAAGUUAUUCGUCUUAAGGAAAAGAAGAAGAAAUAAGUAUCGCACGCCCUAUGUGUGCUUGAAGAUUGUGUACGCACUUUUUAUUUACCAUUUACGUACGGAUUUAAAAUAAUUCGCAUCGGACUUUUGUACUAUUAAAAUGCAUAAGGUACUUAUUUUCAAUUUCAUAUGGAUAGUGAAUUAUUUGUUCCAAAUAUUCUUAUUUUUAUUGAGUCUUUUUGUUCAAAAUAUUCUGUAUUAAAAUGCAUUCAGUCGCCUAAAAUAAUAUAAAAAAACCAUAUUAGGGCCGGCGCGCCGCACGUCACCCCGACCCUAUUACCCGGGUAGUCGAGCCCACAUGACUAGUGGGCCGGCCCGUGGUGGCCGCCUCGACCGCCAGCUCGUGGCGCAAGACGCAUAAGUGUUUAGUCCCACCUCGCCGAGCGGCGACAAGCGGUUUAUAAACCCGGAUGCCCUGACUGCAUCGAACUCCCGUUAACACUGCCGUCGCUUGCUCGCUCGACCGCCCUGUGAGGCCCGGUUGCCGCCGGUCGGAGACCUGAAACAAUGUCACGGUCGCCUUAACUGGCUCGAUAGGGACGGACUUACUAAGGCUAGGCCGGCGGCCUGGGCGGGCAUCUUUUUUCUUUUUUUAAACUUACAGCGGGCACUUUUUCUAAAAAAAAUUCAACUUAUAAUAGCACACAAUAACCAACUUAUAACAGCGUAAAUACUUUUUUUUAUUUACUCUUUUUGUUCCAAAUAUUAUGUAUUAAAAUGCAUAAAGUCGCUUCCCUAAAAAAAAUGCAUACACACUCGCUUCCCUAAAAACAUUGCAUACACAGUCGCCCAUAAUUAAAAAAAAACAUAUUAUGGGCUGGCGCGCCGCGCGUCGCCCCGACCCUAUUACCCGCCCUGCAGUCGAGCCCACAGCACUAGUGGGCCGGCCCGUUGCGGCCGCCUCGACCUCCAGCUCGCGGCGCACGACGCCCAAGUGUUUAGUCCCACCGUGCUGAGCGAUGGAGGCGACGACCGGUUUAUAAACUCAGAUGCCCUGACUGCAUCGAACUCCCGUUAACACUGUUGUCGCUUGCUCACUCGACCGCACUGUGGGGCCCGGUUGCCGCCGCCCAUAUUGAAACGAUGUCACGGUCGCCGUAACUGGCUCGACAGUGACGGUCUUACUAAGUCUCGGCCGGCGGCCUGGGCGGGCAAUUUUUUUAACUUUUUUAAACUUAUAGCGGGCACCUUUUUAACUUAUUUUUUAAACUUACAAUAGCACACAAUAACCGACUUAUAACAGCGUAAAUGACAGAAGCUAUGGUGCCAUCAAUAUUACACCCAAAACACAUAUUAAAAUAAGUCUCCAGUACCAAUUUCUGACAAGAACAUAAAUAAAGUUGUACCAAUAUCUGACAUCAACAAAAACAAGAUAAUUCACUGUGACUCCAGUAUCAAUUUAUGAGAAGAACAGAAAUAAAGUUCUAGCUAUUCGUGACAUCAAUAGAAACAAAACAAUUCACUCCGAACCAUCCUUAAAGUUCAUGCAUUGUCCGUGCUUUCGUCGUCAUGCCAUGUUCCUGCAUACAAAGACAUAAUACAUAUUAACCGUUCUUAAACGCUUAAGUGUAUAAUUGUUUUCAGGAACGAAAUUAAAUAAACGAUAACACAUACUUAGGAUUUUGAGGACAAUUGUUCCUCAAAUGACCUUUUGUCCUUCAUAGACGGCAUAAGCGUUCAGUUCUCUCGUAGAAAGCUUUUGGUCUACCGUUCUUACUGACGUCUGGCCCAUCCUUACCCCGGGCUCUACUAUUCUGCUUGGGUGCACCUUUGGUAGAAACUUUCAAUGGAUCACCAACCAACACAUGAUCUCCAUUGGGCUCAAAUGCAUCAUCAGCACUAACCCUAUUCUGACUCACAUAAUCAUUCUCGUCGGCGUCCUUGUUCGCUAUUACAUCCUCUAGAGCAGCCUUCAACUUGUCAAAUAAAAAUAGUUUAUUACUGGCGACAUAAGAUGCUUCUGCAAAUAGGAUAUUCAACUCACUGUACUUAUUUCUCUGCACAGUACCUGCCCAACCCCAGGCAAAAUGAUCACUAGUGCGCUUCAUGGGCAGUCCAUGUUGGGAAACGUUGCAUAGAAAACAAAAAAAUUCUACGCACACGCAGUGAUCUAUCUCUGGAGAUGCAUAGCAACGAGGGGGAGAGUGUGUCUACCUACCCUCGUAGACAGUAAGCGGAAGCGUUUCACAACGCGGUUGAUGUAGUCGAACUUCUUCGCGCUUCAACCGAUCAAGAACGAAUUCACGGCACCUCCACGUUCUGCACAUGUUCCGCUCGGUGACGUUCCUCGCCUCCAUGAUCCAGCAAGACGUCGAGGUAAUAGAUGAGUUCCGUCAACACGACGGCGUGGUGAUGGUGAUGGUGAAAUGAUCUCCGCAGGGCUUCGCCUAAGCACUACGAAAAUAUGACCAGGGGUGUAAACGGUGGAGGGGGGCGCCGCACACGGCUAGGCAAUUGUCUGGUGUGUGCUAGGCGCCCCCCUCCCACAUAUAUAUAGGUGGGAGGGAGGGAGGAGCAGCCAUAGGUGGCGCCCAAGUAGGACGAAUCCUACUUGGAUUCCCUCCCAAGCCGUGUGCCCCCCCCCCCUGCCAUAUAUAAUCGAGGGGGAAGGAAAGAGGGGGAGGGAAGGAAGUGGGAAUCCUAAUCCACACUUUCCUUUCCCUUCUCCCCUUUCCUUCUCCUCCUUAGGCCGGCCCAUAUGGCGGGUGCACCAGCCCCUUGUGGCUAGUGUGUUUCCCCUCUUGGCCCAUAAGGCCCGUAUCUUUUGCCGGGGGUGCCCGGAACCCCUUCCGGUGACCCCACAAGUACUCGGUACCCCCCGAAACAAUUCUGGUGUCCGAAUACCAUCGUCCUAUAUAUCAAUCUUUACCUCUCGACCAUUUCGAGACUCCUCUUCAUGUUCGUGAUCUCAUCCGGGACUCAGAACAACAUUCGGUCACCAAAUUACAUAACUCAUAUAAUACUAUAUUGUUACCAAACGUUAAGCUGCGGAGCCUACGGGUUCGAGAACUAUGUAGACAUGACCGAGACACCUCUCCGGUCAAUAACCAAUAGCGGAACCUGGAUGCCCAUAUUGGCUCCUACAUAUUCUACGAAGAUCUUUAUCGGUCGAACCGUUAUGACAACAUACGUAAUUCCCUUUCUCCAUCAGUAUGUUACUUGCCCGAGAUUCGAUCGUCGGUACCUUCACCUAGUUCAAUCUCAUUACCACCAAGUCUCUUUACUCGUUACAUAAUACAUCAUCUCAUGACUAACUCCUUAGUCGUUUGCUUGCAAGCUUACUGAGGGAGUCCCGGACUAGGGGGUGUCCGGAUAGCCGAACUAUCAUCAUCGGCCGGACUCCAAGACUGUGAAGAUACAAGAUUGAAGACUUCGUCUCAUUUCCGGAUGGGACUUUCCUUGGCGUGGAAGGCAAGCUUGGCGAUACUGAUAUGUAGAUCUCCUACCAUUGUAACCGACUCUGUGUAACCCUAGCCCUCUCCGGUGUCUAUAUAAACCGGAUGGCUUUAGUCCAUAGGACGAACAACAAUCAUACCAUAGGCUAGCUUCUAGGGUUUAGCCUCCUUGAUCUCGUGGUAGAUCUACUCUUGUAACCCACAUCAUCAAUAUUAAUCAAGCAGGACGUAGGGUUUUACCUCCAUCAAGAGGGCCCGAACCUGGGUAAAAACAUCGUGUCCCUCGUCUCCUGUUACCAUCCGUCUAGACGCACAGUUCGGACCCCCUACCCGAGAUCCGCCGGUUUUGACACCGACAUUGGUGCUUUCAUUGAGAGUUCCUCUGUGUCGUCACCGAUAGGCUCGAUGGCUUCUUCGAUCAUCAACGAUGAUGCAGUCCAGGGUGAGACCUUCCUCCCCGGAUAGAUCUUCGUAUUCGGCGGCUUCGCACUGCGGGCCAAUUCGCUUGGCCAGCUGGAGCAGAUCGAAGGCUACGCCCCUGGCCGUCAGGUCAGGUUUGGAAGUUUGAACUUCACGGCUGACAUCCGUGGGGACUUGAUCCUCGACGGAUUCGAGCCACAGCCGAGCGUGUCGUACUGUCAUGAUGGGCAUGAUUUAGCUCUGCAGCCGGACAGUACCCUGGAGGCCGCACUCGAACCCGCUCCGAUCUUCGACUCGGAGCCGGCCGCGCAGACCAAGGAUGGAUGGCUAGACACCGCCUCGGGGGCUGCAACCUCUACGGCGAUAGAGCCGAACACCGAUCUUGUCCCCCAUGAAGCUCGUGACUCCGAGGUGCCGGACUCCUUGCCGGACUCUGGACCUCCCGUGCCCCCUCCAGUCGAAUCCGAUUGGGCGCCGAUCAUGGAGUUCACCGCGGCGGACAUCUUUCAACACUCACCUUUUGGCGACAUCUUGAGUUCGCUAAAGUACCUCUCAUUAUCAGGAGAGGCCUGGCCGGACUGCGGCCAGGACGGUUGGGAUGCGGACGACGAAGAAAUUCAGAGCCCACCCACCACCCACUUGAUAGCCACUGUCGACGAUCUAACCGACAUGCUAGAUUACGACUCUGAGGACAUCGACGGUAUCGACGAUGAUGCCGGAGACGACCAAGAACCAGCGGCCACCGGGCACUGGAAAGCCACCUCUUCAUACGACAUAUACAUGGUGGAUAUCCCAAAGGAUGGGAACGGCGAAGGAAUAGCGGAGGAUGACCCCUCCAAGAAACAGCCCAAGCGCCGGCGUCAGCGGCGCCGAUCUAAAUCCCGCCAUAGCAAGAAUGAGGAUUCCGGCACCGGAGACAAUAAUACACCGGAUAGCGCCAAAGACAACCCACUCCAGCAAGAUCCAGCACAGGAGGAGGGGGACGCCAGCCCUCAUGAGAGAGCGGCCGAAGAAGAGGUAGAGGACUAUAUGCCUCCCUCUGGAGACGAGGCAAGCCUCGACGACGACGAAUUCGUCGUACCUGAGGAUCCCGUCGAACAGGAGCGUUUCAAACGCAGGCUUAUGGCCACGACAAACAGCCUCAAGAAAAAGCAGCAGCAGCUUAGAGCUGAUCAAGAUCUGCUAGCCGACAGAUGGACCGAAGUCCUCGCGGCCGAAGAGCAUGAACUCAAACGGCUCUCCAAAAGCUACCCCAAACGUAAGCUGCUCCCCCGAUUAGAGGUGGAGGCAUAUGAUCCCGCUUCACCAGGAGACAAUACGGCUGAUCGACCACCCCGUGGUCGCGACAGAGAGGCCUCAAGGCCCUUCACUAGACCCGUACCCCGGCAUCGCUCGAAAAGCACAAGGCCACAGGGGAACACUCCAGACCUGCAAGACAUAUUGGAGGAUAAGGCAAGACAAUCAAGAUCGAUCUAUGGAUCACGUGGGCGCUGUCGUGGUUCUAAGUCUGACAGUAAGAGAGGGGUAGGAGAACGGAGCAUGAUCUAUCGAGAUGCAUAUGGGUGACACGGUGGUUUUAGCGAGUUCGGGCCUCUCUCGGUGGAGAUAACAACCCUACGUCUCGUGCUCCGGAGAGGCUUUGUUUUAUCUGAGUAUAUAUCCGGAGAUCACAAUAUGUGUGUGAGAGAGAGGAACGGAUCCCCAUGCCUGAGCUGAGUCCUGAGACUAAUGGUGAAAAGAGAGAGAGGUGGAAGAAGCCCCCCACGUCUAGUGGUGGGGGGUGGCUUAUAUAGAGUGCGCCACCCCCUCACCUCCUAUGUUACAAAGUGGGGUAUGAAUGCCAUAAUGCCAGCCCGCUAUUAAGCCCUCACUAUUAGAAAGAUGCCGACUGCCUUGCUGCCUGCUGGUCUUCGUAUAUCCGAGUGAGUCGUACGGUCGAGUGGUAAACCGUCAUCCGAGUGGAUGGUAUGUUGCUUGGUCGAGUGGAUAGUAUGCUGCUUGUCCGAGUGGAUAGUGUGUCUGUAUGAAAUUGAUCUGGACCCACAUGUUGUGUGGGCCCCAUGCUUCAUGAUAUUUCGACCCUUCGUGGGCCUACCUGUUAUGUAUAUCCCCAACAUUAGCCCCCGAAUCGAUUGCGAUUUUGCAGAACGAGUUGGUGUAAGACACAGUUUGGUCCGAGUGAUUACAGAAAUACUCGGUACAUGUCGCCGCGCUUUCAGACAACCAAGGUUUGAACAAAAUCUCAAUGGAUUCCGGCACCAUGCUUCCCGACUAAUCGAGGUAAGCGUCUGUGAGGAGCAACUUGGUGACAUUCGUUCAUCUCUCGGGAGAGGUUUAACCCGUGAUCUGAGUAUGGGCGUGUCAUUAAAUCCGUGCAACCAGAUUGACACAUGGACUGCUCUUUUUAGAGAGAUGCUAUUCUUAUCCCGGAGGAACGCCAAUAUGAGUCGGUUUCAGAUUGACACAUGGAUUACUCGGAAUUUCUUCACGCCUGGAAUGUGUCUUUCUUGUUGUUUGGCCGUCACUCGGGUUGGGCGGACCGUUCCGAGUGGAUACCAUUCCAGUGGGGGCACGCUGAGUGCACCCACUGGGUGUAGUCCCCGAGACUGUUGUCGACUGCGGGCAGUCGGCGGGAGUCUUAGAGCCUGUCUUUUUUUUGUUGUUUGGCCGUCACUCGGGUUGGGCGGACCGUUUCGAGUGGAUACCAUUCCAGUGGGGGCACGCUGAGUGCACCCACUGGGUGUAGUCCCCGAGACUGCGGUCGACUGCGGGCAGUCGACGGGAGUCUUAGAGCCUGUCUUUUUGUUGUUGUUUGGCCGUCACUCGGGUUGGGCGGACCGUUUCGAGUGGAUACCAUUCCAGUGGGGGCACGCUAAGUGCACCCACUGGGUGUAGUCCCCGAGAGUGUUGUCGACUGCGGGCAGUCGGCGGGAGUAUGAGAGAACUAAAACUCUUCUUAGCUGGUACUGAUCGAACUUGUUCUUCUCUGACUCGGAGGUCGAGUAAUACUGGAGAUGGGUUUGCAUCGAGCAAAAUGUUUCUUUCUGAGUCCUCUUCCAGUGGGGGCACGCUGAGUGCACCCACUGGGUGUAGUCCCCGAGCCUCUGUCGGACUAGAUGAGUCUGGCAGAGGGUUUAAGUCUCUCGGUAAACCUCCAUGCAGUUGGCAUGGCAAAUAUCUUUGUCUGGAAUUGAAUCAAUCGGAUGGAUGCGUAACGAGGUGGUUGUACGAACGAUGAGUAAGGUCGCCUGUACGAUUCAGCGAUGGCGCUUCAUUUUUACCCUUUUGCAUGAAAAGGGGUAUUUAUCCAAGUGGACGUGCUUCACUUAUAGAUCUUCGGCGAACCGAGCAUGUAUGGUCAGAAGAAUAUCUUGAUGUGAUCAACAGGUUGACCAAAUAGGCGCAACCCCUGAGGGUGACAUGGCCAACUGCCGCGCGUAGCCCCCGAGUGAUGCUCGAAGGAGGUAAGCUUGCUACAGAGUGUGAUAUGAGGUUUGACCAUAUGAGUAACUUAGCCGUUCCCGUGCUGGGGGUGUAGAGGUAAAGACAUGUCCAACUGAUGGUGACGCGCGGGGCGGCCGAGGGGCGAGGACGUGUAUAACCGAGUGGCGACGCGCGGGGCGGCCGAGUGGUGAAGACGUGCAAAACCGAGUGGCGCCGCGCGGGGCGGGCGAGUGGUGAAGACGUGCAGAACCAAGUGGCGAUGCGCGGGGCGGCCGAGUGGUGAAGACGCACACAACCGAGUGGAGACGCGCGGGGCGGACGAGUGAUGAAGACGUGCGCAACCGAGUGGCGACGCGCGGGGCGGCCGAGUGGUGAAGACGUGCAAAACCGAGUGGCGCCGCGCGGGGCGGCCGAGUGGUGAAGACGCGCACAACCGAGUGGCGACGCGCGGGGCGGCCGAGUGGUGAAGACGCGCACAACCGAGUGGCGACGCGCGGGGCGGCCGAGUGAAGGACUAAGUGUCCAGCUGAGUGGCAAAAAUGGUCCUUGAAGGAGUUAGCCAGAUGCUUUUGAAGCUGAUGUAGCGACAAGGUCGGUGUAGUGUGGCUGUGGCGCAACAAGACCGGUGCGACGACUGAAUUUGAGUAGGAACGAAGAUGGCACGCAGAGUGUCUGGGUGAUUAUGAAAUUUGUCAAAGUGACGGAUCGAAUGUACUUGUUGAAGUGAAGGGUCUGAUUGGUGAUGAAGUACUCGACCACUUAGGAGAGUGUCAUUCCAAAUGAGAUGCAGCCCCCGAGUGCGGCGUAGCCCCCGAGCAUACUACAGGCUUCGACAACGGACAUGUCGGAAUAUGAGAAAUAUAGUUUUGAAUGGAUGAUUUGUAAUUCAUCGAGUCGGAUUUGGGUAAAGAUGAGGAGAAGCUUCCGAGUGAUGCUCGGAAGAAGCAAACUCGCAAAAGAGUGAAGUGUGAAGUUUAAUUAUGAAAGGGACUUAUCUGUCUCAUGCCCAACGAGGUCUAUAUCAUUAAUACGAUGAAGAGAAUUCCAUAGAGGGGUUGGCCGGACGUGUUUGAAAUCAACAGGGCGACAAAGUCAGUGUUGUGGUGCGUUAGGACCAGUAUGGAGACCGAGUCCGAGCAGCGAUGAAGUUGGCGCGUAGGGCCGUCGAGUGAUCGCGGUAACUUGUGUAAAAAAUGGCACAAGUCAACACAAUAAUUUCUUGAGGAAAUUUGAUGUGUGCUGAAAUGAUUUGUGUGAAUAACACCCAUAGACACCCGCUGGGAGUGCAAGGGACUUGUUGGUUGACCAGCAAAAGUUUAAAAGAGCGAAGGAUUCGUUCGCACUUGUCGAAGCGAGAAAUCCUACUGAACUUGUUGGAAUACUGGCUAAAAUAAAACGGAGGUGUAGUGUUUUGACUGAGUUGCAGCCCCGGAGGACCGAUGGAAACUCGAAAUGAAGAACGACACAUGGUGUUCGUGAAUGAUAUAUGCGAAAAAAAAGGAAGUUGGACUUCGGAGUCACAUAACCAGUACUAAGCAAGUAUGUGAAAAUAAGCAGUCGAGCGUAGAGGUACACUCGGUGGUGUGGCCUCCGAGUGAACCUGAUGUGUGAAUUAUGGAAUACUCGGGAAGACGAAAAUAACAGAAUGUAAAAUGACUUAGCUGUCUGAAGGCGCGCAGGGCGGUCGAAUGGUGAUGAGGUGACCAACCGAUUGGCNNNNNNNNNNNNNNNNNNNNNNNNNNNNNNNNNNNNNNNNNNNNNNNNNNNNNNNNNNNNNNNNNNNNNNNNNNNNNNNNNNNNNNNNNNNNNNNNNNNNNNNNNNNNNNNNNNNNNNNNNNNNNNNNNNNNNNNNNNNNNNNNNNNNNNNNNNNNNNNNNNNNNNNNNNNNNNNNNNNNNNNNNNNNNNNNNNNNNNNNNNNNNNNNNNNNNNNNNNNNNNNNNNNNNNNNNNNNNNNNNNNNNNNNNNNNNNNNNNNNNNNNNNNNNNNNNNNNNNNNNNNNNNNNNNNNNNNNNNNNNNNNNNNNNNNNNNNNNNNNNNNNNNNNNNNNNNNNNNNNNNNNNNNNNNNNNNNNNNNNNNNNNNNNNNNNNNNNNNNNNNNNNNNNNNNNNNNNNNNNNNNNNNNNNNNNNNNNNNNNNNNNNNNNNNNNNNNNNNNNNNNNNNNNNNNNNNNNNNNNNNNNNNNNNNNNNNNNNNNNNNNNNNNNNNNNNNNNNNNNNNNNNNNNNNNNNNNNNNNNNNNNNNNNNNNNNNNNNNNNNNNNNNNNNNNNNNNNNNNNNNNNNNNNNNNNNNNNNNNNNNNNNNNNNNNNNNNNNNNNNNNNNNNNNNNNNNNNNNNNNNNNNNNNNNNNNNNNNNNNNNNNNNNNNNNNNNNNNNNNNNNNNNNNNNNNNNNNNNNNNNNNNNNNNNNNNNNNNNNNNNNNNNNNNNNNNNNNNNNNNNNNNNNNNNNNNNNNNNNNNNNNNNNNNNNNNNNNNNNNNNNNNNNNNNNNNNNNNNNNNNNNNNNNNNNNNNNNNNNNNNNNNNNNNNNNNNNNNNNNNNNNNNNNNNNNNNNNNNNNNNNNNNNNNNNNNNNNNNNNNNNNNNNNNNNNNNNNNNNNNNNNNNNNNNNNNNNNNNNNNNNNNNNNNNNNNNNNNNNNNNNNNNNNNNNNNNNNNNNNNNNNNNNNNNNNNNNNNNNNNNNNNNNNNNNNNNNNNNNNNNNNNNNNNNNNNNNNNNNNNNNNNNNNNNNNNNNNNNNNNNNNNNNNNNNNNNNNNNNNNNNNNNNNNNNNNNNNNNNNNNNNNNNNNNNNNNNNNNNNNNNNNNNNNNNNNNNNNNNNNNNNNNNNNNNNNNNNNNNNNNNNNNNNNNNNNNNNNNNNNNNNNNNNNNNNNNNNNNNNNNNNNNNNNNNNNNNNNNNNNNNNNNNNNNNNNNNNNNNNNNNNNNNNNNNNNNNNNNNNNNNNNNNNNNNNNNNNNNNNNNNNNNNNNNNNNNNNNNNNNNNNNNNNNNNNNNNNNNNNNNNNNNNNNNNNNNNNNNNNNNNNNNNNNNNNNNNNNNNNNNNNNNNNNNNNNNNNNNNNNNNNNNNNNNNNNNNNNNNNNNNNNNNNNNNNNNNNNNNNNNNNNNNNNNNNNNNNNNNNNNNNNNNNNNNNNNNNNNNNNNNNNNNNNNNNNNNNNNNNNNNNNNNNNNNNNNNNNNNNNNNNNNNNNNNNNNNNNNNNNNNNNNNNNNNNNNNNNNNNNNNNNNNNNNNNNNNNNNNNNNNNNNNNNNNNNNNNNNNNNNNNNNNNNNNNNNNNNNNNNNNNNNNNNNNNNNNNNNNNNNNNNNNNNNNNNNNNNNNNNNNNNNNNNNNNNNNNNNNNNNNNNNNNNNNNNNNNNNNNNNNNNNNNNNNNNNNNNNNNNNNNNNNNNNNNNNNNNNNNNNNNNNNNNNNNNNNNNNNNNNNNNNNNNNNNNNNNNNNNNNNNNNNNNNNNNNNNNNNNNNNNNNNNNNNNNNNNNNNNNNNNNNNNNNNNNNNNNNNNNNNNNNNNNNNNNNNNNNNNNNNNNNNNNNNNNNNNNNNNNNNNNNNNNNNNNNNNNNNNNNNNNNNNNNNNNNNNNNNNNNNNNNNNNNNNNNNNNNNNNNNNNNNNNNNNNNNNNNNNNNNNNNNNNNNNNNNNNNNNNNNNNNNNNNNNNNNNNNNNNNNNNNNNNNNNNNNNNNNNNNNNNNNNNNNNNNNNNNNNNNNNNNNNNNNNNNNNNNNNNNNNNNNNNNNNNNNNNNNNNNNNNNNNNNNNNNNNNNNNNNNNNNNNNNNNNNNNNNNNNNNNNNNNNNNNNNNNNNNNNNNNNNNNNNNNNNNNNNNNNNNNNNNNNNNNNNNNNNNNNNNNNNNNNNNNNNNNNNNNNNNNNNNNNNNNNNNNNNNNNNNNNNNNNNNNNNNNNNNNNNNNNNNNNNNNNNNNNNNNNNNNNNNNNNNNNNNNNNNNNNNNNNNNNNNNNNNNNNNNNNNNNNNNNNNNNNNNNNNNNNNNNNNNNNNNNNNUUGCCGCGGAGUGACGAUGCGCGGGGCGUCCAAGUGAUGUAGACACGUCCCGCGGCAUGGCGACGCACGGGGCGGCCAAGUGAUGAAGAUGCUUGCCGCGGAAUGACGAUGCGCGGGGCGUCCGAGUGAUGUAGACACGUCCCGCAGAGUGGCGACACCCGGAGCGUCCAAGUGAAGUAGACCCGUCCCGCGGAGUAGCGAUGCGCGGUGUGGUCGAGUGAAGUAGACCCGUCCCGCGGAGUAGCGAUGCGCGGGGUGGUCGAGUGAAGUAGACCCGUCCCGCGGAGUAGUGGUGCGCGGGGUGUUGGACUGAAAUAGAUGCGUCCCGCGAAGUGACGAUACGCGAGGCGUCCGACUGAUGAAGACGUGUCCGAUCGGGUGACGAGUGACGAGGAUGUAUCCAGUCGAGUGACAAUGCAUGGGUGGCCGAGUCUCAAGGACGUGUCUAACCGAUUGUCUGAGCGUACCAGAGUACCGACUGGGAGUAGCGGAGCGGCUGGGCCAGCUUGAAGGAAGCUGCGUUUGCGCUGGAGGCUACGGAAAAAAUGGAUCAACGCACCUUGUUUGAACGGCUAGUUAAUGAGGCAGUCAUUAAUCCAGCGUUGAAGAUUCCUUCACCACGUCCUUCCGUUUCCACUUUUCCCUUGUUUGAACGGCUAAUUAAUGAGGCAGCCAUUAAUCCGGCGUUGAAGAUUCCUUCACCAGGUCCUUCCGUUUCCACUUUUCCCUGCAUGCAGUUAAUUAAGUGAGGAAACGGCCCAGGUUAUGCAUGCACUUACGAGGCAUUGAUUCCUUCAAUCCUAAACGGCCAUCGGUUGCGGGACGAGGCUGUUUCGUAGGUUGCCGUUCCAGCGCACUCCGCCACGGAGACCAUCGCCGGCGACCGGCGCCGGAGGGAGGAGCGCUGCGCGCCUACGCCGCGUCGGGCCUGCGCCUCUGCUGCGGAGGUCGGCGCCGAGCAGCCGAGAAGACGAGGCCGAAGUCGACGACGAGGCGAACGACGACGGCGAUCGUGCGUGACGAUGAUGCCGGCGGUCAUGCGUGACGAUGAUGAAGCAGACAGCACCAGAGGCCGCGCACGGGGCUCAACGACGACGUCGCAGACGAAGCCCACUCGGCUGGGCCGAGGUCGGAGACGACGAUGAGGCGGACCGCGCUGGUGGUCGUGCGUGAUGAUGAUGAAGCGGAUAGCGCCGGUGGUCGAGUGUAGAGGCAUAGUCGGCUGCCCCGAGGUCCGAGACGGCGACGGGGCGGAUGAUGCCGGUGGCCCUGCGAGGAGGCGCAGUUGGCUUCCUGCUUUCACGUCAUCGUUCCUGAAGGUCGAUGAUUCUCCUUGUAUGUUCUUGUAUGGAUGCCUGCUUUCCUUCUGUCUUCUGUUUGCAAUGCUUUGCUCGUCGUGAAGACGAACAGUACAAAUAACGUGUUAAAACGUGAAGAUGAAAUCGAAUAGAGGGCACCGGCGGGAAUUGAUCCACCGCCGGUGGUUGAAGAAAUGACCAUCUGCAUCAUGGUUCGAUAGACGCCAUGCCCCAUGGUGGGCGCCAACUGUCGUGGUUCUAAGUCUGACAGUAAGAGAGGGGUAGGAGAACGGAGCAUGAUCUAUCGAGAUGCAUAUGGGUGACACGGUGGUUUUAGCGAGUUCGGGCCUCUCUCGGUGGAGAUAACAACCCUACGUCUCGUGCUCCGGAGAGGCUUUGUUUUAUCUGAGUAUAUAUCCGGAGAUCACAAUAUGUGUGUGAGAGAGAGGAACGGAUCCCCAUGCCUGAGCUGAGUCCUGAGACUAAUGGUGAAAAGAGAGAGAGGUGGAAGAAGCCCCCCACGUCUAGUGGUGGGGGGUGGCUUAUAUAGAGUGCGCCACCCCCUCACCUCCUAUGUUACAAAGUGGGGUAUGAAUGCCAUAAUGCCAGCCCGCUAUUAAGCCCUCACUAUUAGAAAGAUGCCGACUGCCUUGCUGCCUGCUGGUCUUCGUAUAUCCGAGUGAGUCGUACGGUCGAGUGGUGAACCGUCAUCCGAGUGGAUGGUAUGUUGCUUGGUCGAGUGGAUAGUAUGCUGCUUGUCCGAGUGGAUAGUGUGUCUGUAUGAAAUUGAUCUGGACCCACAUGUUGUGUGGGCCCCAUGCUUCAUGAUAUUUCGACCCUUCGUGGGCCUACCUGUUAUGUAUAUCCCCAACAGGCGCCCCAUGAUACGUGACGAUCACCGUCACCCCAGACACAGUAAGUCCGGCCGGGCCGAACACAACAGACAAAGCUCUUUUGAGCUCCGUCGCGAUAUCGCCAGUACAGAGGCGCCGCACACCCACUGUGCUUCACAAAUGAGGUAAUGGAUCAUCAAAUCCGAGAAGGGUUUAAACCCGUCAAUAUUGAAUCUUAUGAUGGCACAACAGACCCCGCGGUCUGGAUCGAGGACUAUCUCCUCCACAUCCACAUGGCCCACGGAGACGAUCUCCACGCCAUCAAAUAUCUCCCACUCAAACUCAAAGGACCGGCCCGGCACUGGCUUAACAGCUUGCCAACAGAGUCAAUCGGGAGUUGGGAGGACCUGGAAGCUGCAUUCCUCGAUAACUUCCAAGGCACGUACGUGCGACCACCAGAUGCAGAUGACCUAAGCCACAUCAUUCAGCAGCCAGACGAAUCGGCCAAACAAUUCUGGACACGGUUCUUAACCAAGAAAAACCAAAUCGUCGACUGUCCGGAUGCCGAGGCCCUCGCGGCCUUCAAGCAUAACAUCCGCGACGAGUGGCUUGCCCGGCACCUGGGACAGGAAAAGCCGAAAUCCAUGGCAACCCUUACAUCACUCAUGACCCGCUUCUGUGCGGGUGAGGACAGCUGGCUAGCACACAGCAACAACCUCAACAAAAAUUCUGGCAGUCCGGAUAUCAAGGACCGUAGUGGCAGGUCGCGUCGCAACAAAAACAAAUGCCGCAUUAACGGCGAUAUCAGUGAGGAUACGGCAGUCAAUGCCGGAUUCAGAGGCUCUAAACCCGGUCAACAGAAAAAGCCAUUCAAAAUAACAACUCAGGGUCCGUCCAAUUUGGACCGAAUUCUCGACCGCUUGUGCCAGAUACAUGGCAACCCUGAAAACCAGCUAACCACACCAAUAAGGACUAUUGGGUGUUCAAGCAGGCAGGCAAGUUAAUUGCCGAAAACAGCGACAAGGGGCUACAUAGCGACGACGAGGAAGAGACCCGACUGCCGAACAAUAGAGGACAGAAGGGUUUCCCCCCACGGGUGCGGACGGUGAACAUGAUAUAUGCCACACACAUACCCAAAAGGGAGCGGAAGCGUGCACUCAGGGAUGUAUACACGAUGGAGCCAGUUGCCCCGAAGUUCAAUCCAUGGUCCUCUUGCCCGGUCACCUUUGACCGAAGGGACCACCCCACCAGCAUUCGCCAUGGUGGGUUCGCUGCAUUGGUUCUAGACCCAAUCAUCGAUGGAUUUCAUCUCACCAGAGUCCUGAUGGACGCGGUAGCAGCCUAAACCUGCUUUAUCAGGACAUGGUGCACAAAAUGGGCAUAGACCCCUCAAGGAUUAAACCUACCAAGACGACCUUUAAAGGCGUCAUACCAGGUGUAGAAGCCAAUUGUACAGGCUCAGUUACACUGGAAGUGGUCUUCGGAUCCCCGGAUAACUUCCGAAGCGAGGAGUUAAUCUUUGACAUAGUCCCGUUCCGUAGCGGCUAUCAUGCCUUGCUCGGAUGUACCGCGUUUGCAAAGUUCAACGCGGUACCGCACUACGCAUACCUCAAGAUCAAGAUGCCAGGCCCUAGAGGAGUCAUCACGGUCAACGGAAACGCUAAACGCUCCCUCCGAACGGAGGAACAUACAGCGGCUCUCGCGGCAGAAGUACAAAGCAGCCUGUUAAGGCAAUUCUCGAGUCCGGCCAUUAAACGGCCGGACACAGCUAAGCGCGCCCGGAGUAACCUAUAACAAGACCACCUGGCACGUCCCGAGCAUGCGUAGCAGUGCGGCCCCCACCCCAGCCCCUGCAAAACGUCAAAGCAAGUCCUUCGCGUACACCAUCACGCUCUGAAGAUACCAUGGGCAUGGGGAGAGGGGAACGACCACGAUAAGCCCAGACUACGGCUUAACCGCACCAGGGGCUCUCAAGUGUGUCAUUCUUUUUUUUACCUUUUAUUUUUUACCCACAGGACUCCGUUUGUCAGAAGGACCUGUCCGGCAGAAGAUCUACCAAACUCACGAUGCAACAGCCAGGGAAGGAUAAAAGCUACAACGAAAAUACAGGUGGUCUCCAUUACGAGCAUUUUUAUACACCAUUUCGCAGCCUACCCCUGGAGGGGGACAUGUUUAACAGUCCCAUCCCUUGCUUAUCGCACUAUUUGUAUCGUUCUGCAUUCGUAGAAGCACUUAUUGAAUAAAACAAUGCAGCACCUUUUUGCUUUUAAUUGCAUUUUCUUUUUAUACAUAUGUUCAUCUAUGACAUGUUGCAUCCGUAUUGGUACGGCUAAAUACACCAGGGGCUUAUGUUUCCCGCAUUAUGGUGUGAUGAGUCCGAGCACUUUCACAAGUGCGGCACCCCGAACUUAUAGCACUAUAUGCAUCGGCUCCGAAUCAUGUCUUGGGUCAAUAGUUGGGUUUGCCCGGCUCCCAUGUUUUGGUACCUUACGUUCCGUUAUAUCGGCUAAGGUAGCACUGGGAGAACCACUGCGAUUCUGCCCCAGUUGAGCUAGGUUAACGCCUCAGUGGAGAAAGCUAAAACUGACCGUCAUGAUGAGGCGAGAGCCGGUCGCUGUUCGGAGAGGUUUUUUGCGAGUCCUUAAAGACUUAUGCCGCUUAGAGCGAGGAGCCGGAUCCUGUCCGGCCAAGGCGUGGAUAGCGCCCCAAAUUCGGCCUUCCGAAGAGUAGGGGCUUCGCCGAAAUUUAAAAUUAUAGAAUUCUAUGGCUAAGUGAGAGUGUUCAAGCAUUAUUAGUCCGGUUGCCUUGUUCGCUGUGUCGAGCGCCUCCCUAGAUGGACCCAAAAAUGGGAACAAGAGCGCUCGAGUUUAUCCCGAACACCCCAGCAUUCGUGGCAUGGGGGCUGAAGCCGACGACUUGCCAUCUCUCAGAUUUGAUAAACAGCCGCACAGAAGGUAAUAUUUUAAAUUAACAAGCGUUGCUUAGCGCAUAUGAACUAAGUUUUCAGCGCACAGGAUAACAAAAUGCGAGUCUACUCAAAUAUUACAUCUUUGGAGCACUCACCCGCAAUAGUGCGGGCACCCUUCAGCACACUCUUAUAGUACAUCUCGGGCGUACGAUACUCCUUGCCCUCUGGUGGUGGGUCCGUCACAAGCUUCUGGGCAUCCAUCUUGCCCCAGUGCACCUUUGCGCGGGCAAGGGCCCGACGGGCACCUUCAAUACAGGUGGAGUGCUUGAUGACUUCAACCCACGGGCACGCAUCCACCAGCCGCCGCACCAGGCCGAAGUAGCUCCCAGGCAUGGCCUCCUUAGGCCACAGCCGAACUAUGAGGCCCUUCAUGGCCUGUUCAGCCGCCUUGUGGAGCUCGACCAGCUGCUUCAGCUGGUCGCUAAGGGGCACCAGAUGUUCGGCCUCAGCAUACUGAGACCAGAAGACCAUCUUCGUCGAGCUCCCCUCCUCGGCCCGGUAGAAUGCGGCAGCAUCGGACACGCUGCGAGGAAGAUCUGUGAACGCUCCUGGAGAGCUCCGAAUCCGGGUAAGCGACAGGUAAUGAACACUCACAUGCUUACUUUGCAUGAAAAAUGCCUUACCCGCUGCUAUUUUCUUCACUGCCUCUAUCUCCUGGAGGGCCUUGUAGGCUUCGGCCUUAGCGGCUUUGGCACUCUCAAGAGCCAUUGCAAGCUUAGACUCUCGAGUCUUCGAGUCACGCUCCAGGCUCUCGUGUUUCUUCACGAGAUCCUGGAGCUCUUGCUGUACCUCCGCCACCCGCGCCUCCUAUUUCUCUCGCUCGGUGCGCUCCGCAGCCGCAUUACGCUCGGCCGCGGCCACCGCCUCUUUCAGGGUUGCCACCUCGUUCAUGGCCCCUGCAAUACCCCAGUUAUCCUUGUCAUUUUUCUUGCAACCAAAUCCUUUUAUGUAAGGUACAAUUUUCAUAAGGUAUUACUCACCUUCUUUUUCCUCCAGCUGCUUCUUGGCAUGGCCGAGCUCGUUCUCGGACCGCUCAAGGUUUUCCUUCAAAGUAUUAACCUCCGCAGUCAGUGCGGUAGAGGUCAGCAGCGCAGCCUGCAAUCCCAUAUUGACAUAUUUUCAUGACUCCUGCGUUUAUCUUUCUAAAGAUCCUCAGUCCGGCUUUUCUUUCCGAACACCGAACCGAGCAUCAGGGGCUACGGUUUAUGCGGUACCAUUUUACAUAUAUUGAAAUUCUUACCUCAAAGCCUGUUAGAAGGCUGCUGCAGGCUUCGGUCAGCCCACUCUUGGCGAGCUGAACCUUCUGAAUCACCGCACCCAUGAAAGUGCGGUGUUCCUCUUCGAUGGAGGCUCCGUUGAGCGCCUCCAGCAAAUUAUCCGGCACCUCCGGUUGGAUGGAGGCAGCCGGCGUCGCGGUCUUGCCCUUCUUACGAAGGGGUCGCCCGCCGGACUCCGGAGCCACUAUGGUUCUGGGGCUGAGUCCGGUGCCAAGUCCGGGAGGUUGUCCUGCGACACCUCCGGGGCCCUCUCCUCCUGGUGGGUCCCUUCCUGGGAUCCCACCUCGGCAUCGUCCGCAUCACGGGGGGUGGAGGCAGUCGGAAGAGAAUCCAUAUCCGACGCCCCUAAGGACCCGCUCGACGAAGUGGGGAGAUCAUCCUUAGGCGGACUACAGGGUUGUAUGCGGCAUUAGAAAGACAUAAUGUGGCGGAAAACAAAAACCUUGAAGUUAUUAGGGAGUCCGGAUACUUACGAUCUCACCAGAGGCUUGGCCCCUGGAGGCCAGUCCUCGUCGUCAUCACUGGCGUUGGCGGAACAGUCCGGGGGAAGAGUUUUUCCCCUCUUGGACCCUUCGGCCUCCCUUGUUGGGGAGGCCUUCCUUUUCUUCCCUCCCCCCGCUGGGGGAGAGGCUUUCUUCUUCUCCUCCUCGCCUUGGUGGGAGGAGUCGGCCUCGGAUUCAUCGUUCGAUAGCACCUGAAAACGGGAACUCUUCCGAGUCCCCGUGGCCUUCUUCUUGGCCUUCUUCUCCGGCACCACGUGGGGUACCGGAGCCAGCAGCCCCGUUAGGUGGGCGUCAGCUGGAUCCUCUGGCAAUGGGGCUGGACAGAUAGCCUGUGCGGCCUUCUUCAGCCAGUCCUGUCAAAGGAAAGGGAGUUUAGAUCCCGCAUAGAGUCAAACUAUGAAUAACAAGCGUCCCGUAAAAGACAAUAUCACUUACCUCGUCAGCUGGACGCUGCGAGCUGAAUCCGCGAUCUUCGGUAGUGGAUGCGGGAGCCUCGGCACCCUUGAACAACACCUUCCAGACCUCUUCGUACGUAGUGUCGAAAGAGCCCAUUCAAAGUCUGGUGCUGCGCCGGAUCGAACUCCCACAUAUUCAAGCCCCGUCGUUGGCACGGGAGAAUCUGGCGGAAGAGCAUGACCUGGACUACGUUGACAAGCUUGAGCUUCUUGUCCACCAGCUUUUGGACGCAGGCUUGGAGUCCGGCCAGCUCCUCCGAAUCGCCCCAAAUCCGGCCGUUCUCUUUCCAGGAGGUGAGCUGUGUGGGGAUGCCGGAUCUGAAUUCGGGGGCCGCUGCCCAUUCGGGAUCACGCGGCUCGGUGAUGUAGAACCACCACGAUUGCCACCCCUUGAUGGUUUCCACAAAGGUGCCCUCCAGCCACGUAACGUGGGACAUCCUGCCCACCAUGGCGCCUCCGCACUCCGCUUGGCUGCCCUUCACAACCUUCGGCUUGACACUGAAGGUCUUGAGCCACAGGCCGAAGUGGGGCUGGAUGCAGAGGAAGGCCUCGCACACGAUGAUAAACGCCGAGAUGUUGAGAAUAAAAUUCGGGGCCAGAUCAUGGAAAUCUAGGCCGUAGUAGAACAUGAGCCCCCGAACAAAGGGAUGAAGUGGGAAGCCCAGUCCACGGAGGAAAUGGGGAAGGAAUACUACCCUCUCAUGGGGCCUCGGGGUGGGGAUGAGCUCUCCCUCGUCGGGGAGCCGAUGCGCGAUGUCGCUGGACAAGUAUCCAGUGUUGCACAUCUUCUGGAUAUGCCCCUCCGUGACGGAGGAGGCCAUCCACUUGCCUCCCGCUCCGGACAUAUUUGGAGAAGGUUGAGGUGAGAUGUGCGGGCAUGGGCGCUAGAGCUCGAGUUCACAGAGAUGGAUAAGCCAAGGAGGAAGAAGGCGCAGGUAAAAAGGUUGGAUCUUUAUCCCCUUAUAUGGGCGAACAGAAACACGCGUCCCCACUGGCCUGGUAAAACUCGCUUAUCUCCCAAGCGUCACAAUCAAUGGCGCGGUUGGGUUACCCACGUCCGUAUUGAUGGGAAUCCCGGAAUAAGGGGAACACGAUCUCUGCUUCGACAAGACGUGCCAAGGAAACCGCCUCGCUAAACGCGCUGAGGCGGAACAAUAAAACAAUUCAAGUAAAGGCUUGGAAGUGGUGUGAUGUUACGCCACAGAAUACGUCAGCAGAUUGAUUUUGUGUAAUAUUAUGCUCUCUACGUUGGUAUGUGGAAUUUAUUUUUGCAGAGCUGGACACUAUCCUAGUGUUCACAAUCUUCUAUAAAUUAUUCGGAGGAGGAACCCGUCUUGCAAUGCCGAAGACAAUAUGCGCGCCGGACUCAUCGUCAUUGAAGCCUGGUUCAGGGGCUACUGAGGGAGUCCUGGACUAGGGGGUGUCCGGAUAGCCGAACUAUCAUCAUCGGCCGGACUCCAAGACCGUGAAGAUACAAGAUUGAAGAGUUCGUCCCGUGUCCAGAUGGGACUUUCCUUGGCGUGGAAGGCAAGCUUGGCGAUACGGAUAUGUAGAUCUCUUACCAUUGUAACCGACUCUGUGUAACCCUAGCCCUCUCCGGUGUCUAUAUAAACCGGAUGGCUUUAGUCCAUAGGACGAACAACAAUCAUACCAUAGGCUAGCUUCUAGGGUUUAGCCUCCUUGAUCUCGUGGUAGAUCUACUCUUGUAACCCACAUCAUCAAUAUUAAUCAAGCAGGAUGUAGGGUUUUACCUCCAUCAAGAGGGCCCGAACCUGGGUAAAAACAUCGUGUCCCUCGUAUCCUGUUACCAUCCGCCUAGACGCACAGUUCGGGACCCCCUACCCGAGAUCCGCCGGUUUUUACACCGACACUUAUCAUGUGUAUUACUGAGAUGGCCCAAAGAUACCCCUCCGAUACUUGGAGUGACAAAUCCUAAUCUCGAUCUAUGCUAACUCAACAAACACCUUCGGAGAUACAUGUAGAGCAUAUUUAUAAUCACCUAGUUACAUUGUGACGUUUGAUAGCACACAAGGUAUUCCUCCAGUAUCCGGGAGUUGCAUAAUCUCAUAGUCGAAGGAAUAUGUAUUUGACAUGAAGAAAGCGAUAGCAAUAAAACUGAACGAUCAUUAUGCUAAGCUAGCGGAUGGGUCUUGUCCAUCACAUCAUUCUCCUAAUGAUGUGAUCCCAUUAUCAAAUGACAACACAUGUCUAUGGUUAGGAAACCUUAACCAUCUUUGAUCAACGAGCUAGUCUAGUAGAGGCAUACUAGGGAAACGGUAUUUGUUUAUGUAUUCACACAUGUAUUUAAGUUUUCAAUCAAUACAAUUCUAGCAUGAAUAAUAAACCUUUAUCAUGAAUAAGGAAAUAUAAAAUAGCAACUUUAUUAUUGCCUCUAGGGCAUAUUUCCUUUAGUCUCCCACUUGCACUAUAGUCAAUAAUCUAGAUCACAUUGUAAUGAUUCUAACACCCAUGGAGUCUUGGUGCUGAUCAUGUUUUGCGCGCGGAAGAGGCUUAGUCAAUGGGUCUGCUACAUUCAAAUCCGUAUGUAUCUUGCAAAUUUCUAUGUCUCCAUCCUUGACUUGUUCACGAAUGGAGUUGAAGUGUCUCUUGAUGUGUUUGGUUCUCUUGUGAAACAUGGAUUCCUUUACCAAGGCAAUUGCUCUAGUGUUGUCACAAAAGAUUUUCAUUGGACCCGAUGCACUAGGUAUUACGCCCAGAUCGGAUAUGAACUCCUUCAUCCAGACUCCUUCAUUUGAUGCUUCCGAAGCAGCUAUGUACUCCGCUUCACACAUAGAUCCCGCCACAACGCUCUGCUUGGAACUGCACCAACUGAUAGCUCCACCAUUCAAUAUAAAUACAUAUCUGGUUUGUGACUUAGAGUCAUCCGGAUCAUUGUCAAAUCUAGCAUCGACGUAAGCAUUUACGACGAGCUAUUUAUCAGCUCCAUAAAUGAGAAACAUAUCCUUGGUCCUUUACGGGUACUUUAGGAUGUACUUAACCGCUGUCCAGUGAUCUACUCCUAGAUUACUUUGGUACCUCCCUACCAAACUUAUGGCAGGACACACAUCAAGUCUGGUACACAACAUAGCAUACAUGAUAUAACCUAUGAUUAAGGCAUAGGGAAUGACUUUCAUUUUCUUUGUAUCUUCUGCAGUGGUCGGUCAUUGAGUCUGACUCAACUUCACACCUUGUAACAUAGGCAAGAACCCUUUCUUUGAGUGAUCCAUUUUGAACUUCUUCAAAACUUUAUCAAGGUAUAUGCUUUGUGAAGUCCUAUUAAGUGUCUCGAUCUAUCCCUAUAGAUCUUGAUGCCCAAUAUAUAAGUAGCUUCGCUGAGGUCUUUCAUUGAAAAAUUCUUAUUCAAGUAUCCUUUUAUGCUAUACAGACAUUCUAUAUCAUUUGCAAUCAACAAUAUGUCAUCCACAUAUAAUAUUAGAAAUGCUACAGAGCUCAACUCACUUUCUUGUAAAUACAGACUUCACCGUAAGUCUGUAUAAAACCAUAUGCUUUCAUCACCUCAUCAAAGCGUAUAUUCCAACUCUGAGAUGCUUGCACCAGUCCAUAGAUGGAUCGCUGGAGCUUGCACACUUUAUCAUCACCUUUAGGAUCAACAAAACCUUAUGGUUGCAUCAUAUACAACUCUUAUUUAAGAAAUCCAUUAAGGAAUGCAGUUUUGAUGUCCAUUUGCCAGAUUUCAUCAUCAUAAAAUGUGGCAAUUGCUAACAUGAUUCGGACAGACUUAAGCAUCGCUACGGGUGAGAAAGUCUCAUCGUACUCAACCCCUUGAACUUAUCGAAAACCUUUUGUGACAAGUCGAGCUUUGUAGACAGUAACAUUACCAUCAGCGUUAGUCUUCUUCUUGAAGAUCCAUUUAUUCUCUAUGGCUUGCCGAUCAUCGGGCAAAUCCACCAAAGUCCAUACUUUGUGCUCAUACAUGGAUCCUAUCUCAGAUUUCAUGGCCUCAAGCCAUCUGUUGGAAUCUGGGCUCAUCAUAGCUUCUUCAUAGUUUGUAGGUUCACCAUGGUCUAGUAACAUGACUUCCAAGACAGGAUUAUCGUACCACUCUGGUGCGGAUCGUGCUUUGGUUGACAUACGAAGUUUCAUGAUCAUUAUCAUUUGCUUCCUCUCUAGUUGGUGUAGGCAUCACGGGAACGAUUUUCUGUGAUAUGCUAAUUUCCAAUUUGAGAGAAGGUACAAUUACCUCAUCAAGUUCUACCUUCCUCCCACUCACUUAUUUCAAGAGAAACUCCUUCUCUAGAAAGGACCCACUCUUAGCAACAAAGAUCUUGCCUUCGGAUCUGUGGUAGAAGGUGUACCCAAUAGUUUCCUUAGGGCAUUCUAUGAAGACGCACUUCUCCAAUUUGGGUUCGAACUUAUCAGGCUGAAGCCUUUUGACAUAAGUGUCGCAACCCCAAACUUGGUUUCUUGCAAAACCAUAGUUCAUACGUUGUCGUGUCAACGGAUUUAGACGGUGCCCUAUUGCUACCUCUUGAGCAUGCGUUGGUUUUCCCUUGAAGAGGAAAGGGUGAUGCAGCAAAGUAGCAUAAGUAUUUCCCUCAGUUUUUGAGAACCAAGGUAUCAAUCCAGUAGGAGGCCACGCUCAAGUCCCUCGCACCUACACAAACAAAUAAGAACCUUGCAACCAACGAGAUAAAGCGGUUGUCAAUCCCUUCACGACCACUUGCAAAAGUGAGAUCUGAUAGAGAUGAUAAGAUAAUAUUUUUGGUAUUUUUAUGAUAAAGAUUAAAAGUAAAGAUUGCAAAGUAAAAAAAGAUAGAAAUAGCUUGUUGAUGGAAGAUUAAUAUUAUGGAAAAUAGACCCAAGGGCUAUAGGUUUCACUAGUGGCUUCUCUCAGAUAGCAUAAGUAUUACGGUGGGUAAACAAAUUACUGUCGAACAAUUGAUAGAAUUGAGCAUAGUUAUGAGAAUAUCUAGGUAUGAUUAUGCAUAUAGGCAUCACACCCUUGACAAGUAAACCGACUCCUGCCUGCAUCUACUACUAUUACUCCACACAUCGACCACUAUCCAGCAUGCAUCUAGAGUAUUCAGUUCAUAAGAACGGAGUAACCCUUUAAGCAAGAUGACAUGAUGUAGAGGGAUAAAUUCAUGCAGUAUGAUCUAAACCCCACCUUUUUAUCCUCGAUGGCAACAAUACAAUACGUAUCGUUUCCCCUACUGUCACUGGGAUCGAGCACCACAAGAUUGAACCCAAAGCUAAGCACUUCUCCCAUUGCAAGAAAGAUCAAUCUAGUAGGCCAAACCAAACUGAUAAUGCGAAGAGACUUGCAAAGAUAACCAAUCAUACAUAAAAGAAUUCAGAGAAGAUUCAAAUAUUGUUCAUAGAUAAUCUUGAUCAUAAACCCACAAUUGAUCGGAUCUCGACAAACACACCGCAAAAGAAGAUUACAUCGAAUAGAUCUCCAACAGAAUCGAGGAGAACUUUGUAUUGAGAUCCAAAGAGAGAUAAAAAGCCAUCUAGCUAAUACUAUGGACCCGAAGGUCUGAGGUAAACUACUCACACAUCAUCAGAGAGGCUAUGGUGUUGAUGUAGAAGCCCUCCAUGAUCAAUGCCCCUCCGGCGGAGCGCCGGAAAAGGCCCAAGAUGGGAUCUCACGAGUACAGAAGGUUGCGGCAGUGGAAUUAGGUUUUCGUGGUGCUCUUUGAUGGUUUGUGGGUGCGUAGGUAUAUAUAGGAGGAAGAAGUAGGUCGGUGGAGCCACGAGGGGCUCACGGGGGUGGAGGGCACGCCCAGGGGGGUAGGCGCGCCCCCUGCCUCGUGGCCUCCUUUUUGGUUGCUUGAUGUCCGCUCCAAGUCCUCCGGAUCAUGUUUGUUCCAAAAAUCAUGCUCCCGAAGGUUUCAUUCUGUUUGGACUCCGUUUGAUAUUCUUUUUCUGCGAAACACUAAAAUAGGCAAAAAACAACAAUUUGGGUUGGGCCUCCGGUUAAUAGGUUAGUCCCAAAAAUAAUAUAAAAGUGUAUAAAUAAACCCAUUAAACAGCCAAAAUAGAAUAUAUAAUAGCAUGGAACAAUAAAAAAUUAUAGAUAUGUUGGAGACGUAUCUAGCAUCCCCAAGCUUAAUUCCUACUCGUCCUCGAGUAGGUAAAUGAUAAAAAUAGAAUUUUUGAUGUGGAAUGCUUCUUUAACAUAAUUUUCAAUGUAAUUCUUUUUAUUGCGGCAUGAAUAUUUACAUCCAAAAGAUUCAAGAUAAAAGUUCAAUGUGACAUAAAAACAAUAAUACUUCAAGCAUGCUAACCAAGCAAUUAUGACUUAUCAAAAUAACAAAGCCAAAGAAAGCUUAUCCCUACAAAAUCAUAUAGUUAGGCCAUGUUUCAAUAUCGUCACACAAAUGUUCUCAUCAUGCAUAACCCCGAUGACAAGCCGAGCAAUUGGUUCAUACUUUUUAACGUGCUUCAUCCUUUUCAACCCUUACGCAAUACAUGAGCACAAGCCAUGGAUAUAGCACUAUGGGUGGAGUAAAGUAUAAUGAUGGGGGUUAUGAGAGAAGACAAAAAGGUAGAAGGUCUCACAUUGACGCGGCCAAUUAAUAGGCUAUGGAGAUGCCCAUCAAUUGAUGUCAAUGAGAGGAGUAGGGAUUGCCAUGCAAUUGAUGCACUAGGGCUGUAAAUGUAUGAAAGAUCAACAAAAGAAACUAAGUGGGUGUGCAUCCAACUCGCUUGCUCACGAAGACCUAUGGCAUUUUGAGGAAGCCCAUCAUUGCAAUAUACAAGCCAAGUUCUAUAAUGAAAAAUUCCCACUAGUAUAUGAAAGUGACAACAUAGAAGACUCUCUAUCAUGAAGAUCAUGGUGCUACUUUGAAGCGCAAGUGUGGAAAAGGAUAGUAACAUUGUCCCUUCUCUCUUUUUCUCUCAUUUUUUUUCUUUUUUUUCUUUUCUCUUUUUUUGGGCCUUCUCUUUUUUUUGGCCUCCCCUUUUCUUGGUCUGGAAUCUCAUCCCGAUUUGUAGGGGAAUCAUAGUCUCCAUCAUCCUUUCCUCACAUGGGACAAUGCUCUAAUAAUGAUGAUCAUCACACUUUUAUUACUUACAACUCAAGAAUUACAACUCAAUACUUAGAACAAAAUAUGACUCUAUGUGAAUGCCUCCGGCGGUGUACCGGGAUAUGCAAUGAGUCAAGAGUGACAUGUAUGAAAAAAUUAUAAAUAGUGGCUUUGCCAAAAAUACGAUGUCAACUACAUGAUCGUGCAAAGAAAUAUGACAAUGAUGGAGCGUGUUAUAAUAAACAGAACGGUAGAAAGUUGCAUGGAAAUAUAUCUCGGAAUGGCUAUGGAAAUGCCAUGAUAGGUAGGUAUGGUGGCUGUUUUGAGGAAGAUAUAAGGAGGUUUAUGUGUGAUAGAGCGUAUCAUAUCACGGGGUUUGGAUGCACCGGCGGAUUUUGCACCAACUCUCAAGGUGAGAAAGGGCAAUGCACGGUACCGAAGAGGCUAGAAAAUUGUGGAAGGUUGAGAGUGUGUAUAAUCCAUGGACUCACAUUAGUCAUAAAGAACUCAUAUACUUAUUGCAAAAGUUUAUUAGCCCUCGAAGCAAAGUACUACUACGCAUGCCCCUAGAGGGAUAGAUUGGUAGGAAAAGACCAUCGCUCGUCCCUGACCGCCACUCAUAAGGAAAGCAAUAAAAGAAUACCUUACGUGUGAAAAUUGACACACAACUUUUACCAUACGUGCAUGCUACGGGACUUGCCAACCUUAACACAAGUAUUUCUCAAUUUCACAAUUACUCAACUAGCACACUCUAAUAUUACCACCUUUAUAUUUCAAAACACUUAUCAAGAAUCAAACUUCACAUGAUAUUUAAUGAACUCAAUAUGGAAGUUUUUAUUAUGUUCAUCUUGGAUGCCUAUCGCAUUCGGAUUAAUUUCACAAUUAAAGAAAAUUACCAUGUUGUUUAAGACUCUCAAAAUAAUAUAAGUGAAGCAUGAGAGAUCAAUGAUUUCUAUAAAAUAAAACCACCAUCGUGCUCUAAAAGAUAUAAGUGAAGCACAUAGAGUAUCCUAACAAAUUCCGAAUCAUGUGUGUCUCUCUCAAAAGGUGUGUACAGCGAGGAUGAUUGUGACAAACUAAAAAGACUCAAAUUAUACAAGACGCUCCAAGCAAAACACAUAUUAUGUGUUGAAUAAAAAUAUAGCUCCAAGUAAAGUUACCGAUAGACGAAGACAAAAGAGGGGAUGACUUCCGGGGCAUCCCCAAGCUUAGGCUUUUGGUUGUCCUCGGAUUUUACCUUGGGGUUCCAUGGGCAUCCCCAAGCUCAGGCUCUUGCCAAUCCUUGUUCCAUAAUUCAUCAAAUAUUUACCCAAAACUUGAAAACUUCACAACACAAAACUUAACAGAAAAUCUCGUGAGCUCCGUUAGCGAAAGAAAACAAAACACCACUUCAAGGUACUGUAAUGAACUCAUUAUUUAUUUAUAUUGGUGUUAAAACUACUGUAUUCCAACCUUACUAUGGUUCAUAAACUCUGUUACUAGCCAUAGAUUCAUUAAAAUAAGCAAACAACACGAGAAAAACAGAAUCUGUCAAAAACAGAACAGUCUGUAGUAAUAUGUAAGUAACGCAAACUUCAAGAACUCUAAAAACUCUACCAAAAUAGGAAGACCUAGAUAAGUUGUUUAUUGAUCUGCUGCAAUUGGAAUCAGUAUUAUAUCACGUUCUGGUGAUUUUUAACAAUUUUUUUCGUGAACAGAAAGUUUCUGGAAUUUUCAGCAAGUCAAAUAACUAUCAUCCAAUAAGAUCCUAUAGGUUUAACUUGGCACAAACACUAAUUAAAACACAAAACCACAUCUAAACAGAAGCUAGAUGGAUUAUUUAUUCCUAAACAGAACCAAAAAGCAAAAAAACUAAAAUAAAAUUGGGUUGCCUCCCAACAAGCGCUAUCGUUUAACGCCCCUAGAUAGGCAUAAAAGUGAGGAUAGGUCUAGGUAUUGACACCUUUGGUAGGCAAUCCAUAGGUGGCUCUCAUAAUAGAUUCAUAUCGUAAUUUAAUUUUCUUUCUAGGGAAGUAUUCCAUGCCUUUCCUUAACGGAAAUUGGAAUCUAAUAUUUCCUUUCUUCAUAUAAAUGAUUGCACUAAUCGUUCUAAGGAAAGGUCUUCCAAGAAUAAUAGGACAUGAAGGAUUGCAAUCUAUAUCAAGAACAAUGAAAUAUACGGGCACAUAAUUCCUAUUUGCAACAAUAAGAACAUCAUUAAUUCUUCCCAUAGGUUUCUUAAUGGUGGAAUCUGCAAGGUGCAAGUUUAAAGAACAAUCAUCAAAUUCACGGAAACCUAGCAAAUCACACAAAGUUUUUGGGGUCGUGGAAACACUAACACCCAAAUCACACAAAGCAUAGUAUUCAUGAUCUUUAAUUUUAAUUUUAAUUGUAAGUUCCUAUUCAUCAUAAAGUUUUCUAGGGAUAGACUUCCAACUCAAGUUUUUCUUCAUAAGAUUGCAUCAAAGCAUCAACAAUAUGUUUAGUAAAAGCUUUAUUUUGACUAUAAGCAUGAGGAGAAUUUAGCACGGAUUACAACAAGGAAAUACAAUCUAUCAAAGAGCAAUUAUCAUAAUUAAAUUCCUUGAAAUCCAAGAUAGUGGGUUCAUUGCUAUCUAAGGUUUUAACCUCUUCAAUCCCACUUUUACUAAUUUUAGCGUCAAGAUCUAAAAACUCCGAAUUUUUGGGACGCCUUCUAACUAAAGUCGACUCAUCUCCAGUCCCAUCAUUAUCAAGAUUCAUAUUGCAAAACAAGGAUUUAAUAGGGGACACAUCAAUUACUUUUAGAUCUUCAUCCUUAUUAUCAUGAAAACUAGAAGAACACGCCUUCACAAAGCAAUCUUUCUUAGCACGCAUCCUAGCGGUUCUUUCCUUGCAUUCAUCAAUGGAAAUUCUCAUGAGUUUGAGAGACUCAUUGAUAUCAUGCUUAGGUGGAAUACAUCUAAGUUUCUAAGAAUCAACAUCAAGAGAAAUUCUAUCCACGUUCCGAGCCAAUUCAUCAAUCUUAUGCAAUUUUUCUUCAAGCAAAGCAUUGAAAUUCUUUUGAGAAAUCAUAAAUUCUUUAACACUAGUCUCAAAAUCAGAGGGCAUCUUAUUUAAAUUUCCAUAAGAGUUGUUGUAGGAAUUACCAUAAUUAUUAGAGGAAUUACUAGGGUAUGGCCUAGGAUUAAAGUUUCCUCUAUACGCAUUAUUACCAAAAUUAUUCCUACCAACAAAAUUCACAUCCAUAGAUUCAUUAUUAUUCUUAAUCAAAGUAGACAAAGGCAUAUCAUUAGGAUCAGAAGGAACACUCUUAUUAGCAAACAAUUUCAUAAGUUCAUCCAUCUUUCCACUCAAAACAUUAAUUUCUUCAAUCGCAUGAACCUUUUUACUAGUAGAUCUUUCAGUGUGCCAUUGAGAAUAAUUAACCAUAAUAUUAUCUAGGAGUUUAGUAGCUUCUCCUAAAGUGAUUUCCAUAAAAGUGCCUCCCGUGGCCGAAUCUAGCUAAAAGAUUCCUAGAAGCAAAAUUCAAUCCGGCAUAAAAAAUUUGUAUAAUCAUCCAUAAAAAACCAUGAGUAGGGCAAUUAUGUAUCAUUAAUUUCAUUCUCCCCCAAGCUUGUGCACACAUGUUCAUGAUCAAGUUGCUUAAAAUUCAUAAUAUCGUUUCUAAGAAAGAUGAUCGUAGUGGGAGGAAAAUACUUAGAGAUAAAAGCAUCUUUGCACUUAUCCCAAGAAUCAAUACUGUUUUUAGGCAAAGAUGAAAACCAAGUUUUAGCGAGAUCUCGAAGAGAAAAUAGAAAUAGCUUCAAUUUAACAAUAUCAUUAUCCAUAUCUUUCUUCUAUUGCAUAUCACACAAAUCAACAAAGCUAUUUAGAUGGGUAGCGGUAUCUUCACCAGGAAGGCCGGCGAAUUGAUCUUUCAUGACUAGAUUCAACAAAGCAACAUUAAUUUCACAAGAUUCAGCUUCGGUAAGAGGAGCAAUUGGAGUGCUAAGAAAAUCAUUGUUGUUGGUAUUGGCAAAGUCACACAAUUUAGUAUUAUCUAGAGCCAUCAUGACGAGCAAGUAAUCCAACACACAAGCAAACAAGAAGCAAGCGAAAAAGAGGCGAAUGCAAAGAGAAGGCGAAUAAAACGGCAAGGGUGAAGUGGAGGUGAGGAAAACGAGAGGCAAAUGGCAAAUAAUGUAAUGCGAGGGAUAAGAGUUUAUGAUGGGUACUUGGUAUGUCUUGACUUGUGCGUGGACUCCCCGGCAACGGCGCCAGAAAUCGCUCGUUGACGGGAGAUCAAAUCUUGACUUGACUUGGUGUAAGCCUCCCCGGCAACGGCACUAGAAAUCCUUCUUGCUACCUCUUAAGCAUGCAUUGGCUUUUCCCUUGAAGAGGAAAGGGUGAUGCAGCAAAGUAGCGUAAGUAUUUCCCUCAGUUUUUGAGAACCAAGGUAUCAAUCCAGUAGGAGGCCAUGCUCAAGUCCCUCGUACCUAUACAAACAAAUAAGAACCUUGCAACCAACACGAUAAAAGGGGUUGGCAAUCCCUUCACGGCCACUUGCAAAAGUGAGAUCUGAUAGAGAUGAUAAGAUAAUAUUUUUGGUAUUUUUAUGAUAAAGAUUAAAAGUAAAGAUUGCAAAGUAAACAAUGAUAGAAAUAGCUUGUUGAUGGAAGAUUAAUAUGAUGGAAAAUAGUCCCGGGGGCCAUAGGUUUCACUAGUGGCUUCUCUCAAGAUAGCAUAAGUAUUACGGUGGGUAAACAAAUUACUGCCAAACAAUUGAUAGAAUUGAGCAUAGUUAUGAGAAUAUCUAGGUAUGAUCAUGUAUAUAGGCAUCACGUCCGUGACAAGUAAACCGACUCCUGCCUGCAUCUACUACUAUUACUCCACACAUCGACCGCUAUCCAUCAUGCAUCUAGAGUAUUAAGUUCAUAAGAACGGAGUAACGUUUUAAGCAAGAUGACAUGAUGUAGAGGGAUAAACUCAUGCAAUAGGAUAAACCCCAUCUUUUUAUCAUCGAUGGCAACAAUACAAUACGUGCCGUUUCCCCUACUUUCACUGGGAUCGAGUGCCGCAAGAUUGAACCCAAAGCUAAGCACUUCUCCCAUUGCAAGAAAGAUCAAUCUAGUAGGCCAAACCAAACUGAUAAUUCGAAGAGACUUGCAAAGAUAACCAAUCAUACAUAAAACAAUUCAGAGAAGAUUCAAAUAUUGUUCAUAGAUAAUCUUGAUCAUAAACCCACAAUUCAUUGUAUCUCGACAAACACACCGCAAAAUAAGAUUACAUCUAAUAGAUCUCCAAGAGAAUCAAGGAGAACUUUGUAUUGAGAUCCAAAGAGAGAGAAGAAGCCAUCUAGCUAAUAACUAUGGACCCGAAGGUCUGAGGUAAACUACUCACACAUCAUCGGAGAGGCUAUGGUGUUGAUGUAGAAGCCCUCCGUGAUCAAUGCCCCCUCUGGCGGAGCACCAGAAAAGGCCCCAAGAUGGGAUCUCAUGGGUACAGAAGGUCGCGGCGGUGGAAUUAGGUUUUUGUGGUGCUCUUCGAUGGUUUGGGGGUACGUAGGUAUAUAUGGAAGGACGAAAUAGGUCGGUGGAGCCACGAGGGGCCCACGAGGGUGGAGGGUGCGCCCCCCUGCCUCGUGGCCUCCUCGUUGGUUGCUUGACAUCCAGUCCAAGUCCUUUGGAUCACGUUUGUUCCAAAAAUCACGCUCCCGAAGGUUUCAUUCCGUUUGGACUCCAUUUGAUAUAUUUUUUUGCGAAACACUGAAAUAGGAAAAAAACAGCAAUUUGGGCUGGGCAUGCGGUUAAUAGGUUAGUCCCAAAAAUAAUAUAAAAGUGUAUAAGUAAGCCGAUUGAACAUCCAAAACAGAAUAUAUAAUAGCAUGGAACAAUCAAAAAUUAUAGAUACGUUGGAGACGUAUCACCAAUUUAAUGUGAAUGCGGCUGUCUCUAAUGCAUAAUCCCAAAAUGAUAGUGGUAAAUCAGCAAGAGACAUCAUAGAACGCACCAUAUCGUACGGUUAUAACGUUCGGACACACCAUUAUGCCGUGGUGUUCUAGGUGGCGUGAGUUGUGAAACUAUUCCGCAUUGUUUUAAAUGAAGGCCAAACUCGUAACUCAAAUAUUGGCCUCUGCGAUCAGAUCGUAACUUUAUUUUCUUGUUACGGUGAUUCUCCACUUCACUCUGAAAUUCUUUGAUCUUUUCAAAUGUUUUAGACUUGGGUUUCAUUAAGUAGAUAUACACAUAUCUGCUCAAAUCAUCUGUGAAGGUCAGAAAAUAACGAUACCCGUUGCGUGCCUCAACACUAAUCGGACCGCAUACAUCAAUAUGUAUUAUAUCAAAUAAGUCAUCAGCUCGCUUCAUUGUUCCGGAGAACGGAGUUUUAGUCAUCUUGCCCAUGAGGCAUGGUUCGCAAUUAUCAAAUGAUUCAUAAUCAAGUGAUUCCGCAAGUCCAUCUGCAUGGUGUUUCUUUAUGCGCUUUACACCAAUAUGACCAAAACGACAGUGCCACAAGUAUGUUGCACUAUCAUUAUCAACUUUGCAUCUUUUGGCAUCAAUAUUAUGAAUAUGUGUAUUACUAAGAUCCAGAUUCAAUAAACCAUUUACAUUGGGUGUAUGACCAUAUAAGGUUUUAUUCAUGUAAAGAGAACAAAAAUUAUUCUCCGAUUAAAUGAAUAACCGUAUUGCAAUAAACAUGAUUCAAUCAAAUUCAUGCUCAACGCAAACACCAAAUAACAUUUAUUUAAGUUCAACACUAAUCCCGAAGGUUGAGGUAGUAUGGGAUGGUGAUCUUAUCAACCUUGGAAUCACUUCCAACACACAUCGUCACCUCGCCCUUAACUACUCUCUGUUCAUUUUGCAACUCCUAUUUCGAGUUACUAAUCUUAGCAACUGAACCGGUAUCAAAUACCCAUGGGCUACUAUGAACACUAGUAAAGUACACAUCAAUAACAUGUAUAUCAAAUAUACCUUUGUUCACUUUGCCAUCCUUCUUAUCUGCCAAGUAUUUGGGGCAGUUCCACUUUCAGUGACCAUUCCCUUUGCAGUAGAAGCACUCAGUUUCAGGCUUAGUUCCAGCUUUGAGCUUCUUCACGGGAGUGGCAACUUGCUUGCCAUUCUUCUUGAAGUUCCCUUUCUUCCCUUGCCCUUUUUCUUGAAACUAGUGGUCUUGUUAACCAUCAACACUUGAUCCUCUUUCUUGAUUUCUACCUUCACUAAUUUCAGCAUCGCGAAGAGCUCGGGAAUCAUUUUUGUCAUCCCUUGCAUAUUAUAGUUCAUCACGAAGUUCUAGUAGUUUGGUGAUAGUGACUAGAGAAUUCUGUCAAUCACUAUCUUAUCUGAAAGAUUAACUCUCACUUGAUUCAAGCAAUUGUAGUACUGAUAACCCACAAGUAUAGGGGAUUGCAACAGUUUUCGAGGGUAGAGUAUUCAACCCAAAUUUAUAGAUUUGACACAAAGGGAGCCAAAGAAUAUUUGUAAGUAUUAGCAGCUGAGUUUUCAAUUCAACCACACCUGGAGACUAAUUAUCUAUAGCAAAGUGAUCAGUAGAAAAGUAGUAUGAUAGUUUUGAUAGUAGUGAUAGCAGCAAUAGUAACAGUAACAGUGAUAGCAGUAUUUUUUGUAGCAAGUGCAAUAGUAAUGAUAGCAGUAGUAACUUAGCAAGAACAAUGUAGGAUAAAUUCGUAGGCAUUGGAUCGGUAAUUUCUUGGAUGAUAUACAUCAUGUGACAAUCAUAACCUAGGGCAAUUCGGCACUAGCUCUAGUUCAUAAAUAUAAUGUAGGCAUGUAUUUCGUAAAUAGUCAUACGUGCUUUUGGAAAGAACUUACAUGACAUCUUUUGUCCUACCCUCCGGUGGCAGCAGGGUCCAAUUGGAAACUAAGGAAUAUUAAGGCCUCCUUUUAAUAGAGAACUAGAACAAAGCAUUAACACACGAUGAAUACAUGAACUCCUCAAACUACGAUCAUCACCGGGAGUGGUCCCGACUAUUAUCACUCCGAGGUUGCCGGAUCAUAACACGUAGUAGGUGACUAUAACUUGCAAGAUCGGAUCUAGAACAUGGAUAUAAUGGUGAGAACUUAAAUGGUUCAGAUCUGAAAUCAUGGUACCCGGGCCCAAAGUGACAAGCAUUAAGCAUGGCAAAGUCAUAGCAAGAUCAAUCUCAGAACAUAGUGGAUACUAGGGAUCAAGUCCUAACAAAACUAACUCGAUUACAUAAUGAAUCUCAUCCAACUCCUCACCGACCAGCAAGCCUGCGAAGGAAUAACUCACUCCCGGUUGCGAGCAUCAUGAAAUUGGCGAUGGAGAAGGGUUGGUGAUGACGAACAACGAAGAUCCCCCUCUCUGGAGCCCCAAACAGACUCCAGACCUGGCCUCCCUGUGAAGAACAGGAGGUGACAACGGCUCCAUCUCGUGGAUCACGAUAAUUCUUUCUCGCUGUUUUUUCUGGAAAUAUAGGAUUUUAUAGCGUCGGUUUCAGGGUCUGCAGGGCCACCAGGUGGGGACAACCCACCUGGGCGCGCCUUGGGGGGGCUAGCGCGCCCUGGUGGGUUGUGCCCACCCAGGUGCCCCCCUCAGGUGUCUCCUGGCUCCAGAAAUUCUGAUUUAUUGAAUAAAAAAUCCUCACAAAGUUUUGUUCCAUUUUGAGAACUUUUAUUUCUGCACAAAAACAACACCAUGGUAGUUCUGCUGAAAACAACGUUAGUCCGGGGUUAGUUUCAUUCAAAUCAUGCAAAUUAGAGUCCAAAACAAGAGGAAAAUCAUUAGGAAAAGUAGAUAUGUUGGAGACGUAUCAACUCCCCCAAGCUUAAACCUUUGCUUGUCCUCAACAAUUCAGUUGGUAAACUGAAAGUGAGAAAGAAAAACUUUUAUGAACUCUUUUGCUCUUGUUUGCAUAAACAAGCUUAAACAGCAGUCGGGUUUUCAACCAACAUUAUAAGUAACCAUGCCGACAAUAACUCUUAAAAAAUUUAUUAACUCAUAUCAAUGACAUAAUCAGCUAGCAAGCAAUAAUAAGACAUCUCAAAUAGCAACACGUUGUCAAAACAAUCAUGAUAUAAUAUGACAAUAGUGGUAUCUCGCUAGCCCUUUCUGAGACCGUAAAACAUAAAUGCAGAGCACCUCCAAAGUCCGAGUAGCGACUAAACAUUGUAAUUCAUGGUAGAAAAGAUCCAGUCAUGAUGCAUCCAACAUUAGCUACACACAAUGCAUCAGCAUGACAGCAGUGCUCUCAGGUUCUAGCGCUUAUUUUAGAUGGUGAUGACACAACAUAAAAGUAAAUAGAUAGUCCCUUCGCAGAGAGAAGCAGUGAUUUGCAGAGAUUCCAGAGCUCAAGUUUUUAAAAUAGAGGUAAAUGAUAUUUUGAGACAUGCACCAUUCUUGUUUACUUCACGACCAUCAGUUAUCAAUUCCUUCCAUGCUAAGUACCCUAGUGGCGGUUCCCAAGCGAUAAAAGUAAAGGUUUACUCCCCCUCCACCAAGAAUCACACUCCACGGCUUGUCCGAAACAACGGGUGCCGUCCAUACCAACAACAGUCUCAUGGGAUUUUUGUUUAAUUAUUUGCAUUUUGAGUUCGGGACUGGGAAUCCCUAUUACCACCCUUUUCUCGUGCGAUGGCGAGUGAAUAAACACUCGACCUGAGAAUAACCCGCUUAGCAAGGAAGAUACUGACUACCUCAUGUCGUUCCAUGAACGAUCCAGGAACACAAAAAGGAUGUUUAUUUGAUGUUUUUAGAGGUGGCACAUGCAAAUUUACUUAGGAUGGCAGGGUAAUACCGCAUAUAGGUUGGUAUGGUGGACAUUAUGCGUAAGUAACAUUGGACACUAGCAUGAGUAGGAUAUGAAUACCAUGAACAUAAAUAUCAUAGAGGCUAUGUUGGUUUUGAUUCAACCACAUGCAUGAACAUGUGCCAAGUCAAGCCACUUCAACAUUCAGAGGAGGAUACCAUAUCAUCAUACUACAUCCCAAUCAUUUUAACGCAAUGUUGAUAUCCAAGAUAUAUCAUUAUCCACUCCUGGCUACUUAUGCAUGGCAUGAGAAGCUAUAAUCUCUAAUUGUCAUUGCAAACAUGUUUAAUCAUAAUGGCUGAAUCAUGGAUACUAGGUUAAACAUAUUUACACAAACACAACAAGUCGAGUACAUACCCGUUUCUCUCUGCCAUGGCCAAUUCAUCGAAUAUCAUCAUUAUUGCCUUUUACUUGCAUGAUCGAACGAUGUGAAAAUAAUAAUAGUGCAAGAGUGUCAUGGACUAAGCUGGAAUCUGCAAACAUUUUAUUCAACAGGAGAAGACAAGGUAAUAUGGGUUUAUUUAUUAUUAUUAGAUCAACAAUUAUUCAUAUGAGAACCACUCAACAUUUUCAUCGUGGUCUUCUCCUCGGUAAGACUCGAAUAAAAAGAAAAGAAGUUCAGAGAAACAUAGUGAAAUAUUUUUUGAGUUUUUGGUUUUCUUGAACAAGCAAAUAAAAGUGAAAAGCAAAUACAAGAAAAAUUAUUUACAUGGGAAAGCUCCCAACAAGCAGAAGAAGAACAAGGAAAUCUUUUUGAGUUUUCUUUUUAGUACAACAACUAAGCAUCCAUAGAAAGUAAACUAACUACAACUAUUUUUUUUGUUUUUCUAAGGUUUUUCAAACACACGAGAAAAAAGCGAGAAAAUAAAACUAAGCAUGGAUGAUACAAUGAAAAAGUGUGAACACCGACAAUUGGAAUGAGAUGUGUAAACAUGAAUGUAAUGUCGGUGAGAAACACGUAGUCCCCCAAGCUUAGGCUUUUGGCCUAACUUGGCAAGCAGUCAUUAGCCUGGAUAGUCGUCGGGGUGCUGAGGAGCGGGCAUCCACACAUCCCACUGCUGAGGUUCCUCCUUUGCUGCAGCCUGGUCGUUCCGGUAAGCGAUGAUGUCCGCAGGCAUAAUCCUAUAUCCGCCCCUGGCAACAGGAUCAAACAAUGCUGGAGAAGACAAUGGAAUAAUAUCACGAGUUUUCACACUAAAAACCAGGUUAUAUGGAGUAGGGAUGUUAGGAGAAUCAAUAUCAGUAAACUGGUGGUGAUCCAUGGCAGCACGGUCUAAAUAGACCUUGGUCAGAGGGUAAUCAUGAAGGCGUAUUUCAACAUUAAAGUGAGUCGUCAAACGAGUAGCGUAAAUACCAACAUGUAUUUUUCCCUUGGACUUAUUAAGGUGAAGGCGAUGAGCCAUGAUAUCUCCUAGGCUAUAAGUGUUGUCGCCGUGAAGUGCGCAACGUAAGGCAGCAAAGUCUUGUGCGCUGAGCGCACCUACUUUUUCUCUAGCAAGCAAACACUUAGCGAUGAAUAAAGCAAAAUAAUACAAGGCAUGAAAAUGUAUGCUAGUGGCAGUGACAUCAGACACCCCUCUCUCAACUCCCACUGUAAGAGUGCAGUAAAAGGCAUCAAACUCCGCAGGUCUAGGCUCAACCAAACUCCCGUCAAAAGGGAUCAUGCAUAUGGUACAAAAUUCAAUAAAUGGUAUCUGGCGGGUUUCAGCAUAUAAAUUAAACCGCACCUCGGGAGGAUUAUUCCUAGGAAGGAAGUUAAAACUUUGAACAAAGGUGUUUGUGAGAAGAUGAUAUUGUUCACAUUCAGCUGCGAUGAAGUCGGUGAGGCCGGCAUUAGCAACAUAUUGUGUAAACUCCUGAAGGACUCCAACCUCUUCCAUGAACGGGGUAUGCGGCCAUUCGCACGGUCGUACUUCCGCCAACCUCCGGGGGUGGAGAUCACUGUCAGACAACUCCCCAAUAACUCCCUUGGAGUUCUUCUUAGAGGCAAACUUCCUAAAGAUAUUCAUCCUUUUCCUGUGAACAAAAAUUCUGAAAUUUUUAGUCCACAAUUUUUUCCGAACAAAACUUCACAGAAUUGAUAGCAACUACUCGUGGGGAUACAUAGAAGCCAUAGCAAGCAUUCAAACUACUUAGAACUCUAANNNNNNNNNNAGAAAAGGAGCUUCGAGCAAAGAGAUCGAAAUACGUGGGUUUGAGAGCAACAACACGAGAGAUAGAUAGAUAGAUAGAUAGAUAGAUAGAUAGAUAGAUAGAUAGAUAGAUAGAGAGAGAGAGAGAGAGAGCGAGCGAGAGAGAGAGAGAGAGAGAGAGACAGAGACAGAGACAGAGACAGAGACAGAGACAGAGAGACAGAGACAGAGAGAGAGAGAGAGCGCAAUAGGGAAUUUUUUCUGGAAGUAGGUGAUGAUGUGGUGUGGAGAGAUAAGUGAGGGGAUCCAUGUGGGGAACACAACCCACCAGGGCACGCCUAGGGGUCCUGGGGCGCCCAGGUGGGUUGUGUCCACGUGGUGCACCUCCCUUUGAUAUAAUUUGCACCAAAAAUUCUUAAAUAUUCAGAAAAAAUCGUAUUAAAUUUUCAGAGCAUUCUGAUAACUUUUAUUUUUGGUCAUUUUUUAUUGCACAGGAAAUUUAGAAAACAAACAAAGCAUGGCAUUUUAUUUUAUUUAACUAAUAAAAACAGAAAACAAAAAGUAGGACAGAAGGUAGUGCUUACUACAUUCAUCAACUUCAUACCUCUCAAAAAUGAUCCAUUAAUAAGGUUGAUCAAGUCUUAUUAACAACCACUUUCGAUUAGUAUGAAAUCGAAGAACUUUCGUAAAUCACAAAGUUACCUCAACGGGGAUAUGAAUGUCCCCAACAAUAAGCAUCUCAUAUUUCUUUUUAACAGUAGGUAGAGGUAUUUGAAAACUUCCAAUAGUGAUUGUCGGAGAUUUUUCAAUAACAUUAAUACCAUUCACUUGGAACUGUUUCUUUGGAAAGUGCACCGUAUGCUUACCAUUGAUAUGAAAAGUGACCUCGCUUUUAUUGCAAUCAAUAACAGCCCCUGCAGUAUUCAAGAAGGGUCUACCAAGGAAAAUCAACAUGUUGUCGUCCUCAGGCAUCUCAAGUAUAACAAAGUCAGUUAAAAUAGUAACAUUAGCAACAACAACGAGCACAUCCUCACAAAUACCGAUAGGUAUGGCAGUUGAUUUAUCAUCCAUUUGCAAAGAUAUUUUAGUAGGUAUGAGUUUAUUCAAAUCAAGUCUUUUAUAUAAAGAGAAAGGUAUACCACUAACUCCAGCUACCAAAUCACAUAAAGCAGUUUCCACAUAAUUCUUUUUGAUGGAACAAGGUAUAGUUGGUAUUCCCGGAUCUCUAAGUUUUUUAGAUACACCAUCUUUAAAAGUAUAAUUAGCAAGCAUGGUGGAGAGUUCAGCUUUCGGUAUUUUUCUCUUAUUGGUGAUGAUGUCUUUCAUGUAGUUAGCAUAAGGAGACAUUUUAAAGAUGUCAGUCAAGCGAGUAGAAAAAAGACUGGCCUCAGCAUUUCAGCAAAGCGUUCAAAUUCUUCAUCAUCUUUCUUUUAGUUGACUUGGGUGGAAAGGGCAUAGGCUUUUGAACCCACGGUUCUCUUUCUUUACCAUUUUUUCUUAUAACAAAGUCCCUUUUAUCGUAUCGUGUAUUCUUAGGUUGUGGGUUAUCAAGAUCAACUGGUGGUUCUAUCUCAACAUAAUUAUCUGGUUCCUUUUCAUUUGUUUGAGUGUUUUCAUGAACCUCAUCAUUAUCUUUUUGAUUAUCGGAAGGUGAGUGUUCACUACCAGAUUGAGUUUCAGCAACAGAGAUAGAAGUUUCAUUAUGAUUAUCAGAAGGUUUUUCUAUUUCAGGUUCACUUGAGGCAUGCAAAGUCCUAUCAUUUUUCUUCUUCUUUUUUUAGUAGGACUAUGUGCAUCUGCGUUAGCUCUUUGAGAGUCUUGUUCAAUUCUUUUUGGGUGUCCCUCGGGAUAAAGUGGUUCCUAAGUCAUUUUACCUCCUCUAGUUACUACUCUAACAGCAAAGUCAUGUAUGUUAUUAUUCAUUUCAUCAAGAAACUCUCUUUGAGAUUUAGCAACUUGUUCUAACUGAUUUUGGAGCAUAGAAGCAUGCUUUCCCACACCUCUAACAUCAUUUGAGAUUCUAAAUAACAAGUCACUCAAGCGAGCAAUCAUAUCAGAAUUGUAUUUCAAUUGUUUCAUAACAUUUGCAUUGAAGUGAUCUUGCUUUCUAAUAUAAUUCUCAAACUCAUAAAGACAUUGACUAGGAUGCAUAUUGUGAGGGUUAUCAUUAUCAUUGAAUUUCAUUAGAGAAUUUAAUCUACCACCUUAGGCAGUGGCGGUGUAUUCAACCUAUUUAUUUCUUCAAUAGGAGGUAAAUUUUUAACAUCUUCCUUCAUAGAUUUCUUUGCCUCUUGCAUAUCUUCAGGACUGAGAUAUAAUAUACCCUUCUUCUUCGGAGUGGGUUUAGGCGGUGGUUCAGGAAGAGUCCAAUCAUCAUAAUUUUUUAAUAUGUUAUUCAAUAAUUCUUCAGCUUGCCCAACAGUUUGUUCCCUGAAAACACAACCAGCGUAACUAUCUAGGAAGUCCCUAGAAGCAUCAGUUAGUCCAUUAUAGAAGAUAUCGAGUAUUUCAUUUUUCUUAACAGGAUGAUCAGGCAAAGCACUAAGUAAUUGGCAAAGCCUCCUCCAAGCUUGUCACCUCUCCUAGGCUGUCACGCUACAAGAUAUUGUGUUUAACACAUAGUGGCUGCAUGCUGAAAGGAGGGAGAUGUAAUUAAGUUACAUGGUCAGGUUGCAGAUCAUCAGGAAUCAUCUCACCAAAUAACUUAAAUGCCAUUUUUGAAUUGCCGUAAUUGCCAUAUCACCCUAUCAUGGAAUUCCAACACUUCAAAUCUCGCUUUGGUAUGGUGCAGAACACCAAAUGGGCACCAUGGAGAGCACCAUUUUAGCAUACCUAUCAAGCAGGCUUCCAGAGGCACAAAUAUUCCCUUCAUAACCACUUUUUACCACCACUACUGGAAUCUGGCACUUUGCCAUCUACCAUGGCAGAUGGCAAAGGCUUUGCCAUCCGCCAGCAGAUGGCAAACAGUUUGUCUGAAACCCUGCCGGCAAAGGCUUCUUUGCCGUCUACUGGCUGAUGGCAAAGAGCCUGUGCCUUUGCCAUCAGGUGGCUGAUGGCAAAGCCUCUUAACGGGGUUAGCCCCAUUAGAAGGCUAACAGCAUACUUUGCCGUCUGCCAGCAGAUGGCAAAGGUUGCAGGCUCUUUGCCGUCUGCCAGCAGAUGGCAAAGGCUACAUGCUUUGCCGUCUGCCAGCAGAUGGCAAAGAGCUUUGCCAUCUGCUGGCAGAUGGCAAAGAGCCCAAAUAGGCCAGCCCAAAUUUUACAUGUAGAUGACAUGUUAGUUGUGAAACAAUUUCCACAAUGUCUCAAUUGUGUACCAAACUCGCAACUCAGAUAUUCAUCUCUAUGAUCAUAUCAUAGACAUUUUAUCCUCUUGUCACGAAGAUCUUCAACUUCACUCUGAAAUUACUUGAACCUUUCAAUAAUUCAGACUUGUGUUUCAUCAAGUAAAUAUACUCAGCAUCUACUCAAAUCAUCUAUGAAGUAAGAACAUAACGAUAUCCACUUCGUGCCUCAGCACUCAUUGGUCUGCACACAUCAAAAUGUGUUACUUCCAACAAGUUACUUUCUUGUUCCAUCUUAUUGAAAACGAGGCUUUUCAGUCAUCUUGCCCAUGUGGUGUGAUUUGCAAGUCUCAAAUGAUUCAAAAUCAAGUGAGUCCAAACGAUCCAUAUGCAUGGAGUUUCUUCAUGCAUACAUACUAAUAGACAAGGUUCGCACGUCUCAAACUUUUCAAAAACGAGUGAGUCCAAAAAUCCAUCAACAUGGAGCUUCUUCAUGCAUUUUAUACCAAUAUGACUCAAAUGGAGUGCCACAAGUAUGUGGUAUUAUCAUUACUAUCUUAUAUCUUUUGGCAUGAACAUGUGUAUCACUACGAUCGUGAUUCAAUAAACCACUCAUUUUAGGUGCAAGACCAUUGAAAGUAUUAUUCAAAUAAACAGAGUAACCAUUAUUCUCCUUAAAUGAAUAACCAUAUUGCGAUAGACAUAAUCUAAUCAUGUAUAUGCUCAACGCAAAAACAAAAUAACAAUUAUUUAGGUUUAACACCAAUCUCGAUGGUAGAGGGAGUAUGCGAUGCUUGAUCACAUCAAGCUUGGAAACACUUCCAACACAUAUCGUCAUCUCACCUUUAGCUAGUCUCCAUUUAUUCCGUAGCUCUUUUAUUUCGAGUUACUAACACUUAGCAACCAAACCGGUAUCUUAAUACCCUGGUGCUACUAGGAGUACUAGUAAAGUACACAUUUAAUAAAAUGUAUAUCCAAUAUAAUUCUAUCAACUUCGCCAGCCUUCUCAUCUACCAAGUAUCUAGGAUAGUUUUGCUUCAGUGACCGUUCCCUCAUUACAGAAGCACUUAGUCUUGGGUUUGGGUUCAACUCCGGGUUUCUUCACUGGAGCAGCAACUGAUUUGCCGUUUCAUGAAGUACCCCUUCUUGCCCUUGCCCUUCUUGAAACUAGUGGUUUCACUAACCAUCAACAAUUGAUGCUCCUUCUUGAUUUCUAGUUUCGCGGUGUCAAACAUCGCGAAUAUUUAAAGGAUCAUCAUAUCUAUCCCUAAUAUGUUAUAGUUCAUCACGAAGCUCUAGUAGCUUGGUGGCAAUGACUUUGGAGAAACAUCACUAUCUCAUCUGGAAGAUUAACUCCCACUCGAUUCAAGCGAUUGUAGUACUCAGACAAUCUGAGCACAUGCUCAACGAUUGAGCUUUUCUCCCUUAGUUUACAGGCUUAGAAACUUGCCAGAGGUCUUACACCUCUUGACGUGGGCACGAGCCUGAAAUCCCAAUUUCAGCUCUUGGAACAUCUCAUAUGUUCUGCGACGUUUUAAAAAUGUCUUCGGUGCCUCAAUUCUAAACUGUUUAACAUUACGCACUGAACUAUCACGUAGUCAUCAAAAUGUGUAUGUCAGAUGUUCGCAACACCCUCAAACGAUGCUCGAGGUUCAGCACACCGAGCGGUGCAUUAAGGACAUAAGCCUUCUGUGCAGCAAUGAGGACAAUCCUCAGUUUACGGACCCAGUCCGCAUAAUUGCGACUAUCAACUUUCAACUAAAUUUUCUCUAGGAACAUAUCUAAAACAGUAGAACUAAAACGCGAGCUACGACAUAAUUUGCAAAGACCUUUUGACUAUGUUUAGGAUAAUUAAGUUCAUCUAAUGAACUCCCACUCAGAUAGACAUCCCUCUAGUCAUCUUAAGUGAUACAUGAUCCGAGUCAACUAGGCCGUGUCCGAUCAUCACGUGAGACGGACUAGUCAUCAUCGGUGAACAUCUUCAUGUUGAUCGUAUCUACUAUACGAUUCAUGCUCGACCUUUCGGUCUCUUGUGUUCCGAGGCCAUGUCUGUACAUGCUAGGCUCGUCAAGUCAACCUAAGUGUUUUGCGUGUGUAAAUCUGGCUUACACCCGUUGUAUGUGAACGUUAGAAUCUAUCACACCCGAUCAUCACGUGGUGCUUCGAAACAAUGAACUUUCGCAAUGGUGCACAGUUAGGGGGAACACUUUCUUGAAAUUACUUUGAGGGAUCAUCUUAUUUACUACCAUCCUUCUAAGCAAAUAAGAUGCAUAAACAUGAUAAACAUCACAUGCAAUCAAAAAGUGACAUAAUAUGGCCAAUAUCAUUUUGCUCCUUCUGAUCUCCAUCUUCGGGGCUCCAUGAUCAUCAUCGUCACCGGCAUGACACCAUGAUCUCCACCAUCGUGUCUCCAUGAAGUUGUCUCGCCAACUAUUACUUCUACUACUAUGGCUAAUGGUUUAGCAAUGAAGUAAAGUAAUUACAUGGCGUUAUUGAGUGACACGCAGGUCAUACAAUAAAUAAAGACAACUCCUAUGGCUCCUGCCGGUUGUCAUACUCAUCAACAUGGAAGUCAUGAUUCCUAUUACAAGAACAUGAUCAAUCUCAUACAUCACAUGUCAUUCAUCACAUUCUUUUGGCCAUAUCACAUCACAUAGCAUACCCUGCAAAAACAAGUUAGACGUCCUCUAAUUGUUGUUUGCAUGUUUAUGUGGCUGCUAUGGGUUUCUAGCAAGAAUGUUUCUUACCUACGCAAAAGCCACAACGUGAUAUGCCAAUUGCUAUUUACCCUUCAUAAGGACCCUUUUCAUCGAAUCCGAUCUGACUAAAGUGGGAGAGACUGGCACCCGCUAGCCACCUUAUGCAACAAGUGCAUGUCAGUUGGUGGAACCUGUCUCAUGUAAGUGUACGUGUAAGGUCGGUCUGGGCCGCUUCAUCCCACAAUACCGUCGAAACAAGAUAGGACUAGUAACGGUAAGCAUAUUGAACAAAAUCAACGCCCACAACAACUUGUGUUCUACUCGUGCAUAGAAUCUACGCAAUAGACCUAGCUCAUGAUGCCACUGUUGGGGAACGUAACAUAAAUUCAAAAUUUUCCUACGAGUCACCAAGAUCUAUCUAUGGAGAGACUAGCAACGAGAGAGAGGAGUGCAUCUACACACCCUUGUAGAUCGCGAGUGGAAGCGUUCAAGAGAACGGGGUUGAGGGAGUCGUACUCAUCGUGAUCCAAAUCACCGAAGAUCCUAGUGCCGAAUGGACGUCACCUCCGCGUUCAACACACGUGCAGCCCGGUGAUGUCUCCCGUGCCUUGAUCCAGCAAGGAGAGAGGGAGAGGUUGGGGAAGACUCUGUCUAGCAGCAGCACAACGGCGUGGUGGUGAUGGAGGAGCGUGGCAUUCCAGCAGGGCUUCGCCAAGCACCGCAAGAGACGAGGAGGGAGAGAGGUAGGGCUGCGCCUUGGGAGAGUUCAUCUCAUGUCUUUUUGCAGCCCCCAAUACCUCAAGUAUAUAUAGGGGAAGGGGAGGCACUACUAGGAAAAGGCCUACUAAUGGCGCACCGGUUUUGCCUACUAAUGGCGCACUACCGGUGCGCCAUUAGUAGCACACCACUAGUAUUUUUUACUAAUGGCACACCACUAGUGCGCCAUUAGUAUCUGGUGUACUAAUGGCGCACCAGGCAGUGCGCCAUUAGUAUGUAAGACCAUGCGCCAUUAGUAUGCCUCCCGGGGGCCCAUAUGUAACCAUGUGCUUUGUCAUACUAAUGGCGCACUCUGCCUUGAUGCGCCAUUAGUAUCCUUUGGCAUACUAAUGGCGCACCUUGUGGUGAUGCGCCAUUAGUAUGAAUAUUUGGUUUUUUUUGCUUUUCUGAUUUUUGCACAGGUUAAAAAAUAUAUUAUUGGACAGAAUAUAGACAGCAGCACACAGCAACAGUAGAUUCAUCGAAUACAAUAGAAGAUUAGUCUCCGAAUACAAUUCAUCAUAUUAGUCUCCGAAUUCAAAAGACCGAACAAAGAUAAAACAUUACAAGUCUCAAGACCGUGAGUAUCGAGUUGGUCUUCACAUUACAAGUCGAUAUCGAUCAUCUAAACUACCAUCACAUAAAAGAAAGCUGUGGUAAUCACGAUGAGCAUCAUCGCGAUCAAACUGGUCUUCAUCCGGUUCCUCCAACGCUCCCUCCUCUCUCCCGCUAGAUAGCGGGCGUAUCUAGAUUCGGACUCCGCCCUAGUGGUGUACCCUUUGUAACUGUUACCGCUGAAACAGUGAACCUGUCUCCGACACUCCUCCCAGUCGUCGUAGACUCCGGGAACCUUACCCUUGUACACGACAUACGACGACAUCUCUAUGCACAAGUCAAACAAUAGACAAUACAUAAGCAAUAUGUAAGUAUGCAACAAAAGGAUCGGAAGAGAAAAGCAAGACAUUAAUAGCACGAUUCAUGGUCCUACUAAUAAAUAGCAUCGAUUACAUCUAAGUUGAACGACUGUCCAAACCAAAGAGACAUACGAAUUCAUUAAAGUUUAAUUACAACAUGAGCCAAUCAAUGUUUCAGAACUACACAUCACUACUUUCGACUCGACUCAUCGGACAGGAGCGUGGAUGAAGCCGUCGUCUGUCAUGAUGGUCAUGAAAUCGCGGUCGUUGUCACCCUGCAUUUGUAGCGUUCCAUCUAUCUCAUUGUUGGACGGUUGAUAUCUGAGGUAGAACUGCCCUGAGGUAUGAAGGACAUCUUGAUGGAUGAUGUCCGCAAACUCCGACUAGAUGCGAAAGAAUUCUUGUCUGAGGUCCGCGUCCUGGGUUGCCGACAACCUCGCGGCCCAAUCUUUGAGACUAUCUGGUAGAAGAAGGUGAUGAUGGUCCCUUACGAUCGCCCGCAUGUGAUGGAGGGCGUAGUAGGCAUCCUUCUGACCGCCAGGCGGCUGCUUGACGCAGCAGAAAUUCGUAUUGUGUGAGAAGGUGUGCUUGUCGUACUUACGAACUGCCCUGGUGAAGGUGCCUCCAGAUUUGGCAUAGCCGAGGAGAACAUCAUCAAGAACUUUCUUGACAUUUGUGUAGUCUAUCUUGGAGUUACGGUUCGGGUCGAAAUACGUGGCCAUGGAAUAUUUCGGGCUUAAGAGGAUGAGUGUGCAAUGUGUGUCACUGCACAGAACACGGAAUGUUAGAAAGAAAAAGAACGAUCGAAAUCUAAGAAAUCAUAUGUUACGGGGCGGUUAAGGGAUGACUUACUCGGGAAAGUAAGCCACAAGGAAGUUAUCCUUAUCUGGGUUUGCCAGAAUGACGCCUUCGAGGUGUGAACUCGCAACUUGGUGGUCCCCAGCGCUGCUCAAGUGCUUGGCACGCAUGUAGAAGGGGUCGACUAUCACGAUGUCCGGGGUCUUAUCUCUAAUGAUCCGCAUCUCCAUAUUCAGCGAAAACAGCCGAACGAAGGUGUAGUGCAGCGGAUGAAGGUUAAACAUAGCAAAGAUGUCAUCAAACCGCAGGAUGAUCGUACCCCCGAUGUCGCCAUCCACAAAGCCCUUCCCUCUGGCACCUUGGCCACGAAAACCGGGUAUGCCACACCAUUCUCUCUGAGACGCCGCUUCUCCAAAGAAAGAACACUGUCAUGCAGACUCCGCAUAGCGCUGGUUGCAGCAUUGAGCAUAUUUGGUGGUAGCAUCGCCCAUCCCGCCACAUGCACCCUCCUCGAGAUAUCCUUAGGUGAAGGUGGCCCGUCCUGAGCACGGAUCGAACUCGGUGCCGGCUGGCUCACACCGGCGCCCUUGUUAGUCUUUCGUUUCCGUCCCUUCUUCUUGAUCUCCUGUAGUGGCACCAUGUUCUGCUCACAGACCGCCUUCUUGAGCGUGUUGGGGCUGAUAAUAUUUCGCACCUCAGCUAUCUGAUGCUCGGUGAAGGCGGGAGCUGGAGGCAUCUCCUGAGAACUGAACGCCAAACGACGCCUGUUGCAAUUGGAUUUCUCCGCCGUACCAGCUAGAUUGCGGUCGUCUUGGUUGGGUUCUUGAGAAAGAGGCCCGUAGAACUCGUCAGUGUACCCAUGUUCGGCAAAGUACUUAUCGACUUUGGUAAAUGUACCGUCGUCAUUGUCGUCAUCUCCAGAUCCUGUGCCAUAGGGAUGUCCGUAUCCUGUGCCAUAGUGUCACAUCCCUAGUCUGGUAUGACCUAGACUAGCUAGUCAUUUGUGCAUCAUGUUUAAAUUUUCAUUUAAAUUUGAAAUGAGGAUUGGUGGAAUCCUCAGAAUCAUUUUUGAAAAUGACUCAAAUAAAAAUUUCUCCAAAAGGGUCCAAGAAAAUGCUCAUGUUGCUCUCUGAAAAUAUUGGACAGAGAUAAAAAUCAAACCAAUAUUUUUAAGAGCUCAUAGGUAUUUAUUUUGGGCAUUUGGAAUUAAUGCAUAAAUAUUUGCAUUGGAAAUAUAUUAGUUAUAUAUAUUAAUAUAUGUCCAAAAAUUAUGCCAUUUAUAAAGGAGCUCUGGAAUAAUAUAGUUAGCCCCUGCAAAAAUUGGCAUAGGUAAAUAAAUUGAUUUAGUAUUAUUAUUAAAUCAGAACAAAUGUCAGAAGAUUUAGAAAAAGAAAUAAAACAGGAAGAACCUUACCUGGGCUUCUGCCUGGCGCCUCUGGCCCAGCAGCAGUAGGCCGGCCCAGCCAGCAGGCGGCCCAGCCGCCUCCUCCUCUGUCGUCUUCGUCCUCGACAGAGGGAGGGGAGCGUGCCCGGCGCGCGCGCGCGCCACCGCGCCACGCCACCUCCCUCUCUGCCUACCUGCCCUCUCCCCUCCUCAUCUGGAUGCCCCGGAGACGCCACGCAGCAACCCCGACCUCUCUCGCACUCUCCCUCGCCCUCCUCCUCUCCCCCUGCUCUCUCCCUCGCACACCCGAGUGCCAUCGCCGCCGCCGCUCGCUGUUGCCGUGGCCACCGGCCUCCCCUCGCCUUCCCGACACGCUUCCCAGCUCCGCCGCGACCCCCUCUCCCUCCUCACCGAGCAAGCAACCCGGGCGAGCUCCGCUUCAUCGCAAUCGCCGUCGUCUUCAAGCUUCGGCCGACGAGAUCGCCGUCGUCGCUCUGGCUGCCCCAAGCCUUCCCCGAGCUCGCCGACAACGCCGUUGGAUCCGCGGUGAGCUCCGCCACCGUUUGCCCCUCUCCGCUUAGUCACCCGCUCGCCAUAAGCCCUUUCCCCACCAUGGCCGAACCUCCGCCACCGCCGAGCUCGCCGUCGACGCAGCUCCGGUGACCAUUUGGUCACCCCGGCGAGUCCAACACGUUCGUAAGGCCCCGUAGAGCAUCCUUAGCGCGUUGUUUCUCUCGUCCUCGAGCUCCAAACGGGUUCUCGUGCACGACCGAACUCCGGCAGCCGCAGCCAAGCUCGCCGCCGUCGACUCCGGCCACCCCAGGCCCAGCCACGGCCACCGCCCGACGCGGCAUCGUGCUAGCUCUCCAACGCGCCUAGCCGCGCGCCAUUUGGAGCACCACAGAGGAAACCCGGGGCACAUGUACGCCGCGGACCUCGCCGGCGGCUAACCGCCGGCGGGUUUGACUUGUUUGACCUGGGGUUUGACCCCCCCAGGGUCGCUGACUAGUGGGGCCAGGCCCUGCUAAUUUUAGUUAAAAAAAUAACUAAACCUAAUUAGCCACUAACACUGACCAGUGGGCCCGACCCCCUAAUCUGUUAAUUAACUUAAUCUAACCCUGUUUAACCCCCUGUCACUGACGUGUGGACCCCACACGUUAGGUUUGACCCCAGGCAGCCGCAGUUGACUGCUGGCGUCGUGCUGACGUCAUGCUGGCGCAAUAAUAUAAUUUCUGGAUUUAAAUUAAAUCAGGAAAUUCCAGAAAUUGUUUUAAACUUCAAAAAUUCAUAUCAAUUCAACCGUAGCUCAGAUUAAAAUAAUUUAUAUAUGACAAAUUAUCAGAAAAAUGUAAUCUUUCCAUCUGUACUAGUUUCAUGCAUGACAAACCAACUUAUACAUGCUGAAUAUGGGAAAACACAUUAUGGCACAUUAAGAGACUUAAUUUAGAAUUACAUUUGAGCUUAUGGUUCAAAUGGACUUCAAACCAAAUGAAUACUAGUUGCAUUAGCUCAAACAACAUCACAUCUUCAUGCCAUGUUCAUGCAUCAUAUUGUUGCAUAUGUUUGUGUAUUGAUUGCCGACACUGUUCCUUCUCGAUAGGUCCUGCUCCGGAGUCCGUUCCAGAGUACCUGUCUGUGAAGUAGUGCCUCCUCUGUUGAUUUACCAGGCAAGCAAACCCCCUUGUUCAUUUCGAUAGAACCCUACUCUCUCGCUCCUGCUCUCAGUUAUUGCAUUAGGACAACAACGAUUCUACUGCUACUUUGUGCUGCGGUAGUUGAACCCAUUCCUCUGCAUGACCUGUCAUUGCCACAGUAAAUAGUUGAAACCCACUAGCAUGUGUAGGAGUUGAUUGAGCCAUGUUGUGUUCCUACCAUGCUAUGCCUGCUAUUGCUUAGAGUUGUGCCAGGUCUGAUUCAUUGGGAAUGAAUUGGAGUGUUACGAUAUGUUCUGGUGCUGAGAGUUAAGUGUGUGAACACGAUUUGGUAAAGGUAGCGGUGAGAGGCCAUGUAGGAGUACAUGGUGGGUUGUCUCACUGGAACCGUCCUUAAGCCCUGAGUUCUAUGUAUGUUGUCCAAUGACUCGAUACUACCACACAUUGGGCUCCGGGCGCUCCAAGCCCUCUCAACUUAUUAACCAACUUGAUCUCUAUCCAGGAGUCGCAACUAGUUUCUGGUGUUUAUAGGUAGUGCUAUUUUUCUACCAAGUGGCACCCGGCAGGGUGGGCUUGGGACAGACUAGGCACGCACGGUGUACCAAGUGGCACCCAGAUGGUGGGCUUGGGAACCCUGCUCACAUCGUUUGGGGCCGUGAGCGACACCCCGGCCGGAUCUCCUUGCGGAUGGAACCCGAAUAGGCGAUAAACCUGGACUAGAGUCUUGUGUGGUUAGUCAGGUCGUGGCCGACACCCUCGCCAGGCUUCCGCUUGAAGGUUGCCGAGAUACAUGACGUGUACAUGGCGGUAAGUGGCGAGAGCGUGUGUGAAGGAGUACACCCCUGCAGGGUUAACAUGAUCUAUUCGAAUAGCCGGGUCCGCGGUUAUGGACUUCUUGGAUGCUUACAUGGUACAUAGACAACUUGAAGUGGAUACUAUAAAAAGCUCAAGACAAGUGUGAGUGCUAUGGAUGGCCUUCUCGUAGGGAGACGGGGAUGAAUCCAUAGUAGUGUAUUGUGUGGUGAUUAGUGGACUCGUGUACGUUGUCUCACCUCAAGAGUUUCUGGUAGUCGUAGAACAGGAUAGCCACAGAGUCAAAGCUGGCUUGCUGCAACUAAACCCCACAGUACCCUCUUGAUACAAAUGCAUGUAUGCUAGGAUCUGAUGUAAGUCUUGCUGAGUACCUUUGUACUCAUGUUGCUUCAUUUAUGUUUUUGCAGCGGAGACUUCGGUCUUACUAGUGUUCUCGUGGACUUCGACUAGUAGCUAGUACCUCAGCUACGAUCUUGAUCGGAUGUUGUAGAUAGUCAGGCUCUUCAGCCUUUUUCAUUUGUAGAUGUCUGUACCCAGACAUGUAAUGCUUCCGCUUGUUGCUUGUAUGCUCUGUAUGAUGGGUCUUGUGACCCCUGUUUGCAAUAAUUGCUAUGAUGGCUCUUCUGAGCCUUUAUCUAUUUGAGUUGUUGAGUUAUGCUGUGAUGCCAUGUUGUACAGCACAUACUUGCAUGUUAUGCGUACGUGUAAUGUGUAUUGCUAUGUGUGGGAUCUGACUAUCUAGUUGUUUAUCCUUAGUAGCCUCUCUUACCGGGAAAUGUCUCCUAGUGCUUCCGCUGAGCCCUGGUAGCUUGCUACUGCUCCGGAACACUUAGGCUGGCCGGCAUGUGUCCUUCUUCGAUCCUGUGUCUGUCCCUUCGGCGAAAUGUCACGCGAUGAAUACCGGAGUCCUGUUAGCCUGCUACAGCCCGGUUCACCGAAGUCCUGUUAGCCCAGUGCUACAGCCUGGAUUCACUCGCUGAUGACCGACACGUUCGAUGCUGGGUCAUGGAUGCCUGUCCCUGUAAGUUAGUGCCACUUUGGGUUUACGACUAGCCAUGUCAGCCCGGGCUCUUUAUCAUAUGGAUGCUAGCGACACCAUCAUAUACGUGUGCCAAAAGGCGCAAACGGUCCCGGGCAAAGGUAAGGCGACACCCGUGGGGAUACCGUGCGUGAGGCCGCAAAGUGAUAUGAGGUGUUACAUGCUGGAUCGAUGUGGCAUUGAGUCGGGGUCCCGACAGCGUUGGUAUCAAAGCCUGACUUCCUGUAGGAUUACCAAGCCAAACUGGUCGAAGUUGAGUCUAGAAAUUCUUUAGUUAUAUAAGGGUAUUGAUUGUGGGAAGGAACGUAAGGCUCUUUUUACUCCUUAUACCUCAUGGCCUUCUGAUCUGAGUCAUCCUAUCUUUCCUACGGGGUUAAGGAACUAGGCUUUCUCUUUCGUCUAUCAGGAUCACAUAAUUCCUAUUUGCAAUAAUAAGAACAUCAUUAAUUCUUCCCAUAGGUUUCUUAAUGGUGGAAUCCGCAAGGUGCAAGUUUAAAGAACAAUCAUCAAAUUCACGGAAACCUAGCAAAUCACACAAAGUUUUUGGGGUCGUGGAAACACUAACACCCAAAUCACACAAAGCAUAGUAUUCAUGAUCUUUAAUUUUAAUUUUAAUUGUAAGUUCCCAUUCAUCAUAAAGUUUUCUAGGGAUAGACUUCCAACUCAAGUUUUUCUUCAGAAGAUUUCAUCAAAGCAUCAACGAUAUGUUUAGUAAAAGCUUUAUUUUGACUAUAAGCAUGAGGAGAAUUUAGCACGGAUUACAACAAGGAAAUACAAUCUAUCAAAGAGCAAUUAUCAUAAUUAAAUUCCUUGAAAUCCAAGAUAGUGGGUUCAUUGCUAUCUAAGGUUUUAACCUCUUCAAUCCCACUUUUACUAAUUUUAGCGUCAAGAUCUAAAAACUCCGAAUUUUUGGGACGCCUUCUAACUAAAGUCGACUCAUCUCCAGUCCCAUCAUUAUCAAGAUUCAUAUUGCAAAACAAGGAUUUAAUAGGGGACACAUCAAUUACUUUUAGAUCUUCAUCCUUAUUAUCAUGAAAACUAGAAGAACACGCCUUCACAAAGCAAUCUUUCUUAGCACGCAUCCUAGCGGUUCUUUCCUUGCAUUCAUCAAUGGAAAUUCUCAUGAGUUUGAGAGACUCAUUGAUAUCAUGAUUAGGUGGAAUACAUCUAAGUUUCUAAGAAUCAACAUCAAGAGAAAUUCUAUCCACGUUCCGAGCCAAUUCAUCAAUCUUAUGCAAUUUUUCUUCAAGCAAAGCAUUGAAAUUCUUUUGAGAAAUCAUAAAUUCUUUAACACUAGUCUCAAAAUCAGAGGGCAUCUUAUUUAAAUUUCCAUAAGAGUUGUUGUAGGAAUUACCAUAAUUAUUAGAGGAAUUACUAGGGUAUGUCCUAGGAUUAAAGUUUCCUCUAUACGCAUUAUUACCAAAAUUAUUCCUACCAACAAAAUUCACAUCCAUAGAUUCAUUAUUAUUCUUAAUCAAAGUAGACAAAGGCAUAUCAUUAGGAUCAGAAGGAACACUCUUAUUAGCAAACAAUUUCAUAAGUUCAUCCAUCUUUCCACUCAAAACAUUAAUUUCUUCAAUCGCAUGAACCUUUUUACUAGUAGAUCUUUCAGUGUGCCAUUGAGAAUAAUUAAACAUAAUAUUAUCUAGGAGUUUAGUAGCUUCUCCUAAAGUGAUUUCCAUAAAAGUGCCUCCCGCGGCCGAAUCUAGCUAAAAGAUUCCUAGAAGCAAAAUUCAAUCCGGCAUAAAAAAUUUGUAUAAUCAUCCAUAAAAAAACAUGAGUAGGGCAAUUAUGUAUCAUUAAUUUCAUUCUCCCCCAAGCUUGUGCACACAUGUUCAUGAUCAAGUUGCUUAAAAUUCAUAAUAUCGUUUCUAAGAAAGAUGAUCGUAGUGGGAGGAAAAUACUUAGAGAUAAAAGCAUCUUUGCACUUAUCCCAAGAAUCAAUACUGUUUUUAGGCAAAGAUGAAAACCAAGUUUUAGCGAGAUCUCUAAGAGAAAAUAGAAAUAGCUUCAAUUUAACAAUAUCAUUAUCCAUAUCUUUCUUCUAUUGCAUAUCACACAAAUCAACAAAGCUAUUUAGAUGGGUAGCGGUAUCUUCACCAGGAAGGCCGGCGAAUUGAUCUUUCAUGACUAGAUUCAACAAAGCAACAUUAAUUUCACAAGAUUCAGCUUCGGUAAGAGGAGCAAUUGGAGUGCUAAGAAAAUCAUUGUUGUUGGUAUUGGCAAAGUCACACAAUUUAGUAUUAUCUAGAGCCAUCAUGAUGAGCAAGUAAUCCAACACACAAGCAAACAAGAAGCAAGCGAAAAAGAGGCGAAUGCAAAGAGAAGGCGAAUAAAACAGCAAGGGUGAAGUGGAGGUGAGGAAAACGAGAGGCAAAUGGCAAAUAAUGUAAUGCGAGGGAUAAGAGUUUAUGAUGGGUACUUGGUAUGUCUUGACUUGUGCGUGGACUCCCUGACAACGGCGCCAGAAAUCGCUCGUUGACGGGAGAUCAAAUCUUGACUUGACUUGGUGUAAGCCUCCCCGGCAACGGCGCUAGAAAUCCUUCUUGCUACCUCUUAAGCAUGCAUUGGCUUUUCCCUUGAAGAGGAAAGGGUGAUGCAGCAAAGUAGCGUAAGUAUUUCCCUCAGUUUUUGAGAACCAAGGUAUCAAUCCAGUAGGAGGCCAUGCUCAAGUCCCUCGUACCUAUACAAACAAAUAAGAACCUUGCAACCAACACGAUAAAAGGGGUUGGCAAUCCCUUCACGGCCACUUGCAAAAGUGAGAUCUGAUAGAGAUGAUAAGAUAAUAUUUUUGGUAUUUUUAUGAUAAAGAUUAAAAGUAAAGAUUGCAAAGUAAACAAUGAUAGAAAUAGCUUGUUGAUGGAAGAUUAAUAUGAUGGAAAAUAGUCCUGGGGGCCAUAGGUUUCACUAGUGGCUUCUCUCAAGAUAGCAUAAGUAUUACGGUGGGUAAACAAAUUACUGCCAAACAAUUGAUAGAAUUGAGCAUAGUUAUGAGAAUAUCUAGGUAUGAUCAUGUAUAUAGGCAUCACGUCCGUGACAAGUAAAUCGACUCCUGCCUGCAUCUACUACUAUUACUCCACACAUCGACCACUAUCCAUCAUGCAUCUAGAGUAUUAAGUUCAUAAGAACGGAGUAACGCUUUAAGCAAGAUGACAUGAUGUAGAGGGAUAAACUCAUGCAAUAGGAUAAACCCCAUCUUUUUAUCAUCGAUGGCAACAAUACAAUACGUGCCGUUUCCCCUACUGUCACUGGGAUCGAGUGCCGCAAGAUUGAACCCAAAGCUAAGCACUUCUCCCAUUGCAAGAAAGAUCAAUCUAGUAGGCCAAACCAAACUGAUAAUUCGAAGAGACUUGCAAAGAUAACCAAUCAUACAUAAAACAAUUCAGAGAAGAUUCAAAUAUUGUUCAUAGAUAAUCUUGAUCAUAAACCCACAAUUCAUUGUAUCUCGACAAACACACCGCAAAAUAAGAUUACAUCUAAUAGAUCUCCAAGAGAAUCAAGGAGAACUUUGUAUUGAGAUCCAAAGAGAGAGAAGAAGCCAUCUAGCUAAUAACUAUGGACCCGAAGGUCUGAGGUAAACUACUCACACAUCAUCGGAGAGGCUAUGGUGUUGAUGUAGAAGCCCUCCGUGAUCAAUGCCCCCUCUGGCGGAGCACCAGAAAAGGCCCCAAGAUGGGAUCUCAUGGGUACAGAAGGUCGCGGCGGUGGAAUUAGGUUUUUGUGGUGCUCUUCGAUGGUUUGGGGGUACGUAGGUAUAUAUGGAAGGACGAAAUAGGUCGGUGGAGCCACGAGGGGCCCACGAGGGUGGAGGGUGCGCCCCCCUGCCUCGUGGCCUCCUCGUUGGUUGCUUGACAUCCAGUCCAAGUCCUUUGGAUCACGUUUGUUCCAAAAAUCACGCUCCCGAAGGUUUCAUUCCGUUUGGACUCCAUUUGAUAUAUUUUUUUGCGAAACACUGAAAUAGGAAAAAAAACAGCAAUUUGGGCUGGGCAUGCGGUUAAUAGGUUAGUCCCAAAAAUAAUAUAAAAGUGUAUAAAUAAGCCGAUUGAACAUCCAAAAUAGAAUAUAUAAUAGCAUGGAACAAUCAAAAAUUAUAGAUACGUUGGAGACGUAUCACCAAUUUAAUGUGAAUGCGGUUGUCUCUAAUGCAUAACCCCAAAAUGAUAGUGGUAAAUCGGCAAGAGACAUCAUAGAAUGCACCAUAUCGUACGGUUAUAAUGUUCGGACACACCAUUAUGCCGUGGUGUUCUAGGUGGCGUGAGUUGUGAAACUAUUCCGCAUUGUUUUAAAUGAAGGCCAAACUCGUAACUCAAAUAUUGGCCUCUGCGAUCAGAUCGUAACUUUAUUUUCUUGUUACGGUGAUUCUCCACUUCACUCUGAAAUUCUUUGAUCUUUUCAAAUGUUUCAGACUUGGGUUUCAUUAAGUAGAUAUACACAUAUCUGCUCAAAUCAUCUGUGAAGGUCAGAAAAUAACGAUACCCGUUGCGUGCCUCAACACUAAUCGGACCGCAUACAUCAAUAUGUAUUAUAUCAAAUAAGUCAUCAGCUCGCUCCAUUGUUCCGGAGAACGGAGUUUUAGUCAUCUUGCCCAUGAGGCAUGGUUCGCAAUUAUCAAAUGAUUCAUAAUCAAGUGAUUCCGCAAGUCCAUCUGCAUGGUGUUUCUUUAUGCGCUUUACACCAAUAUGACCAAAACGACAGUGCCACAAGUAUGUUGCACUAUCAUUAUCAACUUUGCAUCUUUUGGCAUCAAUAUUAUGAAUAUGUGUAUUACUAAGAUCCAGAUUCAAUAAACCAUUUACAUUGGGUGUAUGACCAUAUAAGGUUUUAUUCAUGUAAAGAGAACAAAAAUUAUUCUCCGACUUAAAUGAAUAACCGUAUUGCAAUAAACAUGAUUCAAUCAAAUUCAUGCUCAACGCAAACACCAAAUAACAUUUAUUUAAGUUCAACACUAAUCCCGAAGGUUGAGGUAGUAUGGGAUGGUGAUCUUAUCAACCUUGGAAUCACUUCCAACACACAUCGUCACCUCGCCAUUAACUACUCUCUGUUCAUUUUGCAACUCCUAUUUCGAGUUACUAAUCUUAGCAACUGAACUGGUAUCAAAUACCCAUGGGCUACUAUGAACACUAGUAAAGUACACAUCAAUAACAUGUAUAUCAAAUAUACCUUUGUUCACUUUGCCAUCCUUCUUAUCUGCCAAGUAUUUGGGGCAGUUCCACUUUCAGUGACCAUUCCCUUUGCAGUAGAAGCACUCAGUUUCAGGCUUAGUUCCAGCUUUGAGAUUCUUCACGGGAGUGGCAACUUGCUUGCCAUUCUUCUUGAAGUUCCCUUUCUUCCCUUGCCCUUUUUCUUGAAACUAGUGGUCUUGUUAACCAUCAACACUUGAUCCUCUUUCUUGAUUUCUACCUUCACUAAUUUCAGCAUCGCGAAGAGCUCGGGAAUCAUUUUUGUCAUCCCUUGCAUAUUAUAGUUCAUCACGAAGUUCUAGUAGUUUGGUGAUAGUGACUAGAGAAUUCUGUCAAUCACUAUCUUAUCUGAAAGAUUAACUCUCACUUGAUUCAAGCAAUUGUAGUACUGAUAACCCACAAGUAUAGGGGAUUGCAACAGUUUUCGAGGGUAGAGUAUUCAACCCAAAUUUAUAGAUUUGACACAAAGGGAGCCAAAGAAUAUUUGUAAGUAUUAGCAGCUGAGUUUUCAAUUCAACCACACCUGGAGACUAAUUAUCUAUAGCAAAGUGAUCAGUAGAAAAGUAGUAUGAUAGUUUUGAUAGUAGUGAUAGCAGCAAUAGUAACAGUAACAGUGAUAGCAGUAUUUUUUGUAGCAAGUGCAAUAGUAAUGAUAGCAGUAGUAACUUAGCAAGAACAAUGUAGGAUAAAUUCGUAGGCAUUGGAUCGGUAAUUUCUUGGAUGAUAUACAUCAUGUGACAAUCAUAACCUAGGGCAAUUCGGCACUAGCUCUAGUUCAUAAAUAUAAUGUAGGCAUGUAUUUCAUAAAUAGUCAUACGUGCUUUUGGAAAGAACUUACAUGACAUCUUUUGUCCUACCCUCCGGUGGCAGCAGGGUCCAAUUGGAAACUAAGGAAUAUUAAGGCCUCCUUUUAAUAGAGAACUAGAACAAAGCAUUAACACACGAUGAAUACAUGAACUCCUCAAACUACGGUCAUUACCGGGAGUGGUCCCGACUAUUAUCACUCCGAGGUUGCCGGAUCAUAACACGUAGUAGGUGACUAUAACUUGCAAGAUCGGAUCUAGAACAUGGAUAUAAUGGUGAGAACUUAAAUGGUUCAGAUCUGAAAUCAUGGUACCCGGGCCCAAAGUGACAAGCAUUAAGCAUGGCAAAGUCAUAGCAAGAUCAAUCUCAGAACAUAGUGGAUACUAGGGAUCAAGUCCUAACAAAACUAACUCGAUUACAUAAUGAAUCUCAUCCAACUCCUCACCGACCAGCAAGCCUGCGAAGGAAUAACUCACUCCCGGUUGCGAGCAUCAUGAAAUUGGCGAUGGAGAAGGGUUGGUGAUGACGAACAACGAAGAUCCCCCUCUCUGGAGCCCCAAACAGACUCCAGACCUGGCCUCCCUGUGAAGAACAGGAGGUGACAACGGCUCCAUCUCGUGGAUCACGAUAAUUCUUUCUCGCUGUUUUUUCUGGAAAUAUAGGAUUUUAUAGCGUCGGUUUCAGGGUCUGCNNNNNNNNNNNNNNNNNNNNNNNNNNNNNNNNNNNNNNNNGUUGGAGACGUAUCAACUCCCCCAAGCUUAAACCUUUGCUUGUCCUCAACAAUUCAGUUGGUAAACUGAAAGUGAGAAAGAAAAACUUUUAUGAACUCUUUUGCUCUUGUUUGCAUAAACAAGCUUAAACAGCAGUCGGGUUUUCAACCAACAUUAUAAGUAACCAUGCCGACAAUAACUCUUAAAAAAUUUAUUAACUCAUAUCAAUGACAUAAUCAGCUAGCAAGCAAUAAUAAGACAUCUCAAAUAGCAACACGUUGUCAAAACAAUCAUGAUAUAAUAUGACAAUAGUGGUAUCUCGCUAGCCCUUUCUGAGACCGUAAAACAUAAAUGCAGAGCACCUCCAAAGUCCGAGUAGCGACUAAACAUUGUAAUUCAUGGUAGAAAAGAUCCAGUCAUGAUGCAUCCAACAUUAGCUACACACAAUGCAUCAGCAUGACAGCAGUGCUCUCAGGUUCUAGCGCUUAUUUUAGAUGGUGAUGACACAACAUAAAAGUAAAUAGAUAGUCCCUUCGCAGAGAGAAGCAGUGAUUUGCAGAGAUUCCAGAGCUCAAGUUUUUAAAAUAGAGGUAAAUGAUAUUUUGAGACAUGCACCAUUCUUGUUUACUUCACGACCAUCAGUUAUCAAUUCCUUCCAUGCUGAGCACCCUAGUGGCGGUUCCCAAGCGAUAAAAGUAAAGGUUUACUCCCCCUCCACCAAGAAUCACACUCCACGGCUUGUCCGAAACAACGGGUGCCGUCCAUACCAACAACAGUCUCGUGGGAUUUUUGUUUAAUUAUUUGCAUUUUGAGUUCGGGACUGGGAAUCCCUAUUACCACCCUUUUCUCGUGCGAUGGCGAGUGAAUAAACACUCGACCUGAGAAUAACCCGCUUAGCAAGGAAGAUACUGACUACCUCAUGUCGUUCCAUGAACGAUCCAGGGACACAAAAAGGAUGUUUAUUUGAUGUUUUUAGAGGUGGCACAUGCAAAUUUACUUAUGAUGGCAGGGUAAUACCGCAUAUAGGUUGGUAUGGUGGACAUUAUGCGUAAGUAACAUUGGACACUAGCAUGAGUAGGAUAUGAAUACCAUGAACAUAAAUAUCAUAGAGGCUCUGUUGGUUUUGAUUCAACCACAUGCAUGAACAUGUGCCAAGUCAAGCCACUUCAACAUUCAGAGGAGGAUACCAUAUCAUCAUACUACAUCCCAAUCAUUUUAACGCAAUGUUGAUAUCCAAGAUAUAUCAUUAUCCACUCCUGGCUACUUAUGCAUGGCAUGAGAAGCUAUAAUCUCUAAUUGUCAUUGCAAACAUGUUUAAUCAUAAUGGCUGAAUCAUGGAUACUAGGUUAAACAUAUUUACACAAACACAACAAGUCGAGUACAUACCCGUUUCUCUCUGCCAUGGCCAAUUCAUCGAAUAUCAUCAUUAUUGCCUUUUACUUGCAUGAUCGAACGAUGUGAAAAUAAUAAUAGUGCAAGAGUGUCAUGGACUAAGCUGGAAUCUGCAAACAUUUUAUUCAACAGGAGAAGACAAGGUAAUAUGGGUUUAUUUAUUAUUAUUAGAUCAACAAUUAUUCAUAUGAGAACCACUCAACAUUUUCAUCGUGGUCUUCUCCUCGGUAAGACUCGAAUAAAAAGAAAAGAAGUUCAGAGAAACAUAGUGAAAUAUUUUUUGAGUUUUUGGUUUUCUUGAACAAGCAAAUAAAAGUGAAAAGCAAAUAGAAGAAAAAUUAUUUACAUGGGAAAGCUCCCAACAAGCAGAAGAAGAACAAGGAAAUCUUUUUGAGUUUUCUUUUUAGUACAACAACUAAGCAUCCAUAGAAAGUAAACUAACUACAACUAUUUUUUUUUGUUUUUCUAAGGUUUUUCAAACACACGAGAAAAAAGCGAGAAAAUAAAACUAAGCAUGGAUGAUACAAUGAAAAAGUGUGAACACCGACAAUUGGAAUGAGAUGUGUAAAUAUGAAUGUAAUGUCGGUGAGAAACACGUAGUCCCCCAAGAUUAGGCUUUUGGCCUAACUUGGCAAGCAGUCAUUAGCCUGGAUAGUAGUCGGGGUGCUGAGGAGCGGGCAUCCACACAUCCCACUGCUGAGGUUCCUCCUUUGCUGCAGCCUGGUCGUUCCGGUAAGCGAUGAUGUCCGCAGGCAUAAUCCUAUAUCCGCCCCUGGCAACAGGAUCAAACAAUGCUGGAGAAGACAAUGGAAUAAUAUCACGAGUUUUCACACUAAAAACCACGUUAUAUGGAGUAGGGAUGUUAGGAGAAUCAAUAUCAGUAAACUGGUGGUGAUCCAUGGCAGCACGGUCUAAAUAGACCUUGGUCAGAGGGUAAUCAUGAAGGCGUAUUUCAACAUUAAAGUGAGUCGUCAAACGAGUAGCGUAAAUACCAACAUGUAUUUUUCCCUUGGACUUAUUAAGGUGAAGGCGAUGAGCCAUGAUAUCUCCUAGGCUAUAAGUGUUGUCGCCGUGAAGUGCGCAACGUAAGGCAGCAAAGUCUUGUGCGCUGAGCGCACCUACUUUUUCUCUAGCAAGCAAACACUUAGCGAUGAAUAAAGCAAAAUAAUACAAGGCAUGAAAAUGUAUGCUAGUGGCAGUGACAUCAGACACCCCUCUCUCAACUCCCACUGUAAGAGUGCAGUAAAAGGCAUCAAACUCCGCAGGUCUAGGCUCAACCAAACUCCCGUCAAAAGGGAUCAUGCAUAUGGUACAAAAUUCAAUAAAUGGUAUCUGGCGGGUUUCAGCAUAUAAAUUAAACCGCACCUCGGGAGGAUUAUUCCUAGGAAGGAAGUUAAAACUUUGAACAAAGGUGUUUGUGAGAAGAUGAUAUUGUUCACAUUCAGCUGCGAUGAAGUCGGUGAGGCCGGCAUUAGCAACAUAUUGUGUAAACUCCUGAAGGACUCCAACCUCUUCCAUGAACGGGGUAUGCGGCCAUUCGCACGGUCGUACUUCCGCCAACCUCCGGGGGUGGAGAUCACUGUCAGACAACUCCCCAAUAACUCCCUUGGAGUUCUUCUUAGAGGCAAACUUCCUAAAGAUAUUCAUCCUUUUCCUGUGAACAAAAAUUCUGAAAUUUUUAGUCCACAAUUUUUUCCGAACAAAACUUCACAGAAUUGAUAGCAACUACUCGUGGGGAUACAUAGAAGCCAUAGCAAGCAUUCAAACUACUUAGAACUCUAAUAAUUCAACAUGCAAGCUCAUCUACAACAACACCAAGAGUAGCUAAUUAUUCAAAAUAUAAACCGCUAAAGCAAAAACUAAUUGGACAAACUGUGGAGUCACAUACCAAGCAACAAUCCCCCAAAACAGUUUCAGAAAAGGAGCUUCGAGCAAAGAGAUCGAAAUACGUGGGUUUGAGAGCAACAACACGAGAGAUAGAUAGAUAGAUAGAUAGAUAGAUAGAUAGAUAGAUAGAUAGAUAGAUAGAGAGAGAGAGAGAGCGAGCGAGAGAGAGAGAGAGAGAGAGAGACAGAGACAGAGAGACAGAGACAGAGAGAGAGAGAGAGCGCAAUAGGGAAUUUUUUCUGGAAGUAGGUGAUGAUGUGGUGUGGAGAGAUAAGUGAGGGGAUCCAUGUGGGGAACACAACCCACCAGGGCACACCUAGGGGUCCUGGGGCGCCCAGGUGGGUUGUGUCCACGUGGUGCACCUCCCUUUGAUAUAAUUUGCACCAAAAAUUCUUAAAUAUUCAGAAAAAAUCGUAUUAAAUUUUCAGAGCAUUCUGAUAACUUUUAUUUUUGGUCAUUUUUUAUUGCACAGGAAAUUUAGAAAACAAACAAAGCAUGGCAUUUUAUUUUAUUUAACUAAUAAAAACAGAAAACAAAAAGUAGGACAGAAGGUAGUGCUUACUACAUUCAUCAACUUCAUACCUCUCAAAAAUGAUCCAUUAAUAAGGUUGAUCAAGUCUUAUUAACAACCACUUUCGAUUAGUAUGAAAUCGAAGAACUUUCGUAAAUCACAAAGUUACCUCAACGGGGAUAUGAAUGUCCCCAACAAUAAGCAUCUCAUAUUUCUUUUUAACAGUAGGUAGAGGUAUUUGAAAACUUCCAAUAGUGAUUGUCGGAGAUUUUUCAAUAACAUUAAUACCAUUCACUUGGAACUGUUUCUUCGGAAAGUGCACCGUAUGCUUACCAUUGAUAUGAAAAGUGACCUCGCUUUUAUUGCAAUCAAUAACAGCCCCUGCAGUAUUCAAGAAGGGUCUACCAAGGAAAAUCAACAUGUUGUCAUCCUCAGGCAUCUCAAGUAUAACAAAGUCAGUUAAAAUAGUAACAUUAGCAACAACAACGAGCACAUCCUCACAAAUACCGAUAGGUAUGGUAGUUGAUUUAUCAUCCAUUUGCAAAGAUAUUUUAGUAGGUAUGAGUUUAUUCAAAUCAAGUCUUUUAUAUAAAGAGAAAGGCAUACCACUAACUCCAGCUACCAAAUCACAUAAAGCAGUUUCCACAUAAUUCUUUUUGAUGGAACAAGGUAUAGUUGGUAUUCCCGGAUCUCUAAGUUUUUUAGAUACACCAUCUUUAAAAGUAUAAUUAGCAAGCAUGGUGGAGAGUUCAGCUUUCGGUAUUUUUCUCUUAUUGGUGAUGAUGUCUUUCAUGUAGUUUGCAUAAGGAGACAUUUUAAAGAUGUCAGUCAAGCGAGUAGAAAAAAGACUGGCCUCAGCAUUUCAGCAAAGCGUUCAAAUUCUUCAUCAUCUUUCUUUUAGUUGACUUGGGUGGAAAGGGCAUAGGCUUUUGAACCCACGGUUCUCUUUCUUUACCAUUUUUUCUUAUAACAAAGUCCCUUUUAUCGUAUCGUGUAUUCUUAGGUUGUGGGUUAUCAAGAUCAACUGGUGGUUCUAUCUCAACAUAAUUAUCUGGUUCCUUUUCAUUUGUUUGAGUGUUUUCAUGAACCUCAUCAUUAUCUUUUUGAUUAUCGGAAGGUGAGUGUUCACUACCAGAUUGAGUUUCAGCAACAGAGAUAGAAGUUUCAUUAUGAUUAUCAGAAGGUUUUUCUAUUUCAGGUUCACUUGAGGCAUGCAAAGUCCUAUCAUUUUUCUUCUUCUUUUUUUAGUAGGACUAUGUGCAUCUGCGUUAGCUCUUUGAGAGUCUUGUUCAAUUCUUUUUGGGUGUCCCUCGGGAUAAAGUGGUUCCUAAGUCAUUUUACCUCCUCUAGUUACUACUCUAACAGCAAAGUCAUGUAUGUUAUUAUUCAUUUCAUCAAGAAACUCUCUUUGAGAUUUAGCAACUUGUUCUAACUGAUUUUGGAGCAUAGAAGCAUGCUUUCCCACACCUCUAACAUCAUUUGAGAUUCUAAAUAACAAGUCACUCAAGCGAGCAAUCAUAUCAGAAUUGUAUUUCAAUUGUUUCAUAACAUUUGCAUUGAAGUGAUCUUGCUUUCUAAUAUAAUUCUCAAACUCAUAAAGACAUUGACUAGGAUGCAUAUUGUGAGGGUUAUCAUUAUCAUUGAAUUUCAUUAGAGAAUUUAAUCUACCACCUUAGGUAGUGGCGGUGUAUUCAACCUAUUUAUUUCUUCAAUAGGAGGUAAAUUUUUAACAUCUUCCUUCAUAGAUUUCUUUGCCUCUUGCAUAUCUUCAGGACUGAGAUAUAAUAUACCCUUCUUCUUCGGAGUGGGUUUAGGCGGUGGUUCAGGAAGAGUCCAAUCAUCAUAAUUUUUUAAUAUGUUAUUCAAUAAUUCUUCAGCUUGCCCAACAGUUUGUUCCCUGAAAACACAACCAGCGUAACUAUCUAGGAAGUCCCUAGAAGCAUCAGUUAGUCCAUUAUAGAAGAUAUCGAGUAUUUCAUUUUUCUUAACAGGAUGAUCAGGCAAAGCACUAAGUAAUUGGCAAAGCCUCCUCCAAGCUUGUCACCUCUCCUAGGCUGUCACGCUACAAGAUAUUGUGUUUAACACAUAGUGGCUGCAUGCUGAAAGGAGGGAGAUGUAAUUAAGUUACAUGGUCAGGUUGCAGAUCAUCAGGAAUCAUCUCACCAAAUAACUUAAAUGCCAUUUUUGAAUUGCCGUAAUUGCCAUAUCACCCUAUCAUGGAAUUCCAACACUUCAAAUCUCGCUUUGGUAUGGUGCAGAACACCAAAUGGGCACCAUGGAGAGCACCAUUUUUAGCAUACCUAUCAAGCAGGCUUUCGGAGGCACAAAUAUUCCCUUCAUAACCACUUUUUACCACCACUACUAGAAUCUGGCACUUUGCCAUCUACCAUGGCAGAUGGCAAAGGCUUUGCCAUCCGCCAGCAGAUGGCAAACAGUUUGUCUGAAACCCUGCCGGCAAAGGCUUCUUUGCCGUCUACUGGCUGAUGGCAAAGAGCCUGUGCCUUUGCCAUCAGGUGGCUGAUGGCAAAGCCUCUUAACGGGGUUAGCCCCAUUAGAAGGCUAACAACAUACUUUGCCAUCUGCCAGCAGAUGGCAAAGGUUGCAGGCUCUUUGCCGUCUGCCAGCAGAUGGCAAAGGCUACAUGCUUUGCCGUCUGCCAGCAGAUGGCAAAGAGCUUUGCCAUCUGCUGGCAGAUGGCAAAGAGCCCAAAUAGGCCAGCCCAAAUUUUACAUGUAGAUGACAUGUUAGUUGUGAAACAAUUUCCACAAUGUCUCAAUUGUGUACCAAACACGCAACUCAGAUAUUCAUCUCUAUGAUCAUAUCAUAGACAUUUUAUCCUCUUGUCACGAAGAUCUUCAACUUCACUCUGAAAUUACUUGAACCUUUAAACAAUUCAGACUUGUGUUUCAUCAAGUAAAUAUACUCAGCAUCUACUCAAAUCAUCUAUGAAGUAAGAACAUAACGAUAUCCACUUCGUGCCUCAGCACUCAUUGGACUGCACACAUCAAAAUGUGUUACUUCCAACAAGUUACUUUCUUGUUCCAUCUUACUGAAAACGAGGCUUUUCAGUCAUCUUGCCCAUGUGGUGUGAUUUGCAAGUCUCAAAUGAUUCAAAAUCAAGUGAGUCCAAACGAUCCAUAUGCAUGGAGUUUCUUCAUGCAUACAUACUAAUAGACAAGGUUCGCACGUCUCAAACUUUUCAAAAACGAGUGAGUCCAAAAAUCCAUCAACAUGGAGCUUCUUCAUGCAUUUUAUACCAAUAUGACUCAAAUGGAGUGCCACAAGUAUGUGGUAUUAUCAUUACUAUCUUAUAUCUUUUGGCAUGAACAUGUGUAUCACUACGAUCGUGAUUCAAUAAACCACUCAUUUUAGGUGCAAGACCAUUGAAAGUAUUAUUCAAAUAAACAGAGUAACCAUUAUUCUCCUUAAAUGAAUAACCAUAUUGCGAUAGACAUAAUCUAAUCAUGUAUAUGCUCAACGCAAAAACAAAAUAACAAUUAUUUAGGUUUAACACCAAUCUCGAUGGUAGAGGGAGUAUGCGAUGCUUGAUCACAUCAAGCUUGGAAACACUUCCAACACAUAUCGUCAUCUCACCUUUAGCUAGUCUCCAUUUAUUCCGUAGCUCUUUUAUUUCUAGUUACUAACACUUAGCAACCAAACCGGUAUCUUAAUACCCUGGUGCUACUAGGAGUACUAGUAAAGUACACAUUUAAUAAAAUGUAUAUCCAAUAUAAUUCUAUCAACUUCGCCAGCCUUCUCAUCUACCAAGUAUCUAGGAUAGUUUUGCUUCAGUGACCGUUCCCUCAUUACAGAAGCACUUAGUCUUGGGUUUGGGUUCAACUCCGGGUUUCUUCACUGGAGCAGCAACUGAUUUGCCGUUUCAUGAAGUACCCCUUCUUGCCCUUGCCCUUCUUGAAACUAGUGGUUUCACUAACCAUCAACAAUUGAUGCUCCUUCUUGAUUUCUAGUUUCGCGGUGUCAAACAUCACGAAUAUUUAAAGGAUCAUCAUAUCUAUCCCUAAUAUGUUAUAGUUCAUCACGAAGCUCUAGUAGCUUGGUGGCAAUGACUUUGGAGAAACAUCACUAUCUCAUCUGGAAGAUUAACUCCCACUCGAUUCAAGCGAUUGUAGUACUCAGACAAUCUGAGCACAUGCUCAACGAUUGACCUUUUCUCCCUUAGUUUACAGGCUUAGAAACUUGCCAGAGGUCUUACACCUCUUGACGUGGGCACGAGCCUGAAAUCCCAAUUUCAGCUCUUGGAACAUCUCAUAUGUUCUGCGACGUUUUAAAAAUGUCUUCGGUGCCUCAAUUCUAAACUGUUUAACAUUACGCACUGAACUAUCACGUAGUCAUCAAAAUGUGUAUGUCAGAUGUUCGCAACACCCUCAAACGAUGCUCGAGGUUCAGCACACCGAGCGGUGCAUUAAGGACAUAAGCCUUCUGUGCAGCAAUGAGGACAAUCCUCAGUUUACGGACCCAGUCCGCAUAAUUGCGACUAUCAACUUUCAACUAAAUUUUCUCUAGGAACAUAUCUAAAACAGUAGAACUAAAACGCGAGCUACGACAUAAUUUGCAAAGACCUUUUGACUAUGUUUAGGAUAAUUAAGUUCAUCUAAUGAACUCCCACUCAGAUAGACAUCCCUCUAGUCAUCUGAAGUGAUACAUGAUCCGAGUCAACUAGGCCGUGUCCGAUCAUCACGUGAGACGGACUAGUCAUCAUCGGUGAACAUCUUCAUGUUGAUCGUAUCUACUAUACGAUUCAUGCUCGACCUUUCGGUCUCUUGUGUUCCGAGGCCAUGUCUGUACAUGCUAGGCUCGUCAAGUCAACCUAAGUGUUUUGCGUGUGUAAAUCUGGCUUACACCCGUUGUAUGUGAACGUUAAAAUCUAUCACACCCGAUCAUCACGUGGUGCUUCGAAAUAAUGAACUUUCGCAACGGUGCACAGUUAGGGGGAACACUUUCUUGAAAUUACUUUGAGGGAUCAUCUUAUUUACUACCAUCCUUCUAAGCAAAUAAGAUGCAUAAACAUGAUAAACAUCACAUGCAAUCAAAAAGUGACAUAAUAUGGCCAAUAUCAUUUUGCUCCUUCUGAUCUCCAUCUUCGGGGCUCCAUGAUCAUCAUCGUCACCGGCAUGACACCAUGAUCUCCACCAUCGUGUCUCCAUGAAGUUGUCUCGCCAACUAUUACUUCUACUACUAUGGCUAACGGUUUAGCAAUGAAGUAAAGUAAUUACAUGGCGUUAUUGAGUGACACGCAGGUCAUACCAUAAAUAAAGACAACUCCUAUGGCUCCUGCCGGUUGUCAUACUCAUCAACAUGGAAGUCAUGAUUCCUAUUACAAGAACAUGAUCAAUCUCAUACAUCACAUGUCAUUCAUCACAUUCUUUUGGCCAUAUCACAUCACAUAGCAUACCCUGCAAAAACAAGUUAGACGUCCUCUAAUUGUUGUUUGCAUGUUUACGUGGCUGCUAUGGGUUUCUAGCAAGAAUGUUUCUUACCUACGCAAAAGCCACGACGUGAUAUGCCAAUUGCUAUUUACCCUUCAUAAGGACCCUUUUCAUCGAAUCCGAUCUGACUAAAGUGGGAGAGACUGGCACCCGCUAGCCACCUUAUGCAACAAGUGCAUGUCAGUUGGUGGAACCUGUCUCAUGUAAGUGUACGUGUAAGGUCGGUCUGGGCCGCUUCAUCCCACAAUACCGUCGAAACAAGAUAGGACUAGUAACGGUAAGCAUAUUGAACAAAAUCAACGCCCACAACAACUUGUGUUCUACUCGUGCAUAGAAUCUACGCAAUAGACCUAGCUCAUGAUGCCACUGUUGGGGAACGUAGCAUAAAUUCAAAAUUUUCCUACGAGUCACCAAGAUCUAUCUAUGGAGAGACUAGCAACGAGAGAGAGGAGUGCAUCUACACACCCUUGUAGAUCGCGAGCGCAAGCGUUCAAGAGAACGGGGUUGAGGGAGUCGUACUCAUCGUGAUCCAAAUCACCGAAGAUCCUAGUGCCGAAUGGACGUCACCUCCGCGUUCAACACACGUGCAGCCCGGUGAUGUCUCCCGUGCCUUGAUCCAGCAAGGAGAGAGGGAGAGGUUGGGGAAGACUCCGUCUAGCAGCAGCACAACGGCGUGGUGGUGAUGGAGGAGCGUGGCAUUCCAGCAGGGCUUCGCCAAGCACCCCAAGAGACGAGGAGGGAGAGAGGUAGGGCUGCGCCUUGGGAGAGUUCAUCUCAUGUCUUUUUGCAGCCCCCAAUACCUCAAGUAUAUAUAUAGGGGAAGGGGAGGCACUACUAGGAAAAGGCCUACUAAUGGCGCACCGGUUUUGCCUACUAAUGGCGCACUACCGGUGCGCCAUUAGUAGCACACCACUAGUAUUUUUUACUAAUGGCACACCACUAGUGCGCCAUUAGUAUCUGGUGUACUAAUGGCGCACCAGGCAGUGCGCCAUUAGUAUGUAAGACCAUGCGCCAUUAGUAUGCCUCCCGGGGGCCCAUAUGUAACCAUGUGCUUUGUCAUACUAAUGGCGCACUCUGCCUUGAUGUGCCAUUAGUAUCCUUUGGCAUACUAAUGGCGCACCUUGUGGUGAUGCGCCAUUAGUAUGAAUAUUUGGUUUUUUUUGCUUUUCUGAUUUUUGCACAGGUUAAAAAAUAUAUUAUUGGACAGAAUAUAGACAGCAGCACACAGCAACAGUAGAUUCAUCGAAUACAAUAGAAGAUUAGUCUCCGAAUACAAUUCAUCAUAUUAGUCUCCGAAUUCAAAAGACCGAACAAAGAUAAAACAUUACAAGUCUCAAGACCGUGAGUAUCGAGUUGGUCUUCACAUUACAAGUCGAUAUCAAUCAUCUAAACUACCAUCACAUAAAAGAAAGCUGUGGUAAUCACGAUGAGCAUCAUCGCGAUCAAACUGGUCUUCAUCCGGUUCCUCCAAUGCUCCCUCCUCUCUCCCGCUAGAUAGCGGGCGUAUCUAGAUUCGGACUCCGCCCUAGUGGUGUACCCUUUGUAACUGUUACCGCUGAAACAGUGAACCUGUCUCCGACACUCCUCCCAGUCGUCGUAGACUCCGGGAACCUUACCCUUGUACACGACAUACGACGACAUCUCUAUGCACAAGUCAAACAAAUAGACAAUACAUAAGCAAUAUGUAAGUAUGCAACAAAAGGAUCGGAAGAGAAAAGCAAGACAUUAAUAGCACGAUUCAUGGUCCUACUAAUAAAUAGCAUCGAUUACAUCUAAGUUGAACGACUGUCCAAACCAAAGAGACAUACGAAUUCAUUAAAGUUUACUUACAACAUGAGCCAAUCAAUGUUUCAGAACUACACAUCACUACUUUCGACUCGACUCAUCGGACAGGAGCGUGGAUGAAGCCGUCGUCUGUCAUGAUGGUCAUGAAAUCGCGGUCGUUGUCACCCUGCAUUUGUAGCGUUCCAUCUAUCUCAUUGUUGGACGGUUGAUAUCUGAGGUAGAACUGCCCCGAGGUAUGAAGGACAUCUUGAUGGAUGAUGUCCGCAAACUCCGACUAGAUGCGAAAGAAUUCUUGUCUGAGGUCCGCGUCCUGGGUUGCCGACAACCUCGCGGCCCAAUCUUUGAGACUAUCUGGUAGCAGAAGGUGAUGAUGGUCCCUUACGAUCGCCCGCAUGUGAUGGAGGGCGUAGUAGGCAUCCUUCUGACCGCCAGGCGGCUGCUUGAUGCAGCAGAAAUUCGUAUUGUGUGAGAAGGUGUGCUUGUCGUACUUACGAACUGCCCUGGUGAAGGUGCCUCCAGAUUUGGCGUAGCCGGGGAGAACAUCAUCAAGAACUUUCUUGACAUUUGUGUAGUCUAUCUUGGAGUUACGGUUCGGGCUUAAGAGGAUGAGUGUGCAAUGUGUGUCACUGCACAGAACACGGAAUGUUAGAAAGAAAAAGAACGAUCGAAAUCUAAGAAAUCAUAUGUUACGGGGCGGUUAAGGGAUGACUUACUCGGGAAAGUAAGCCACAAGGAAGUUAUCCUUAUCUGGGUUUGCCAGAAUGACGCCUUCGAGGUGUGAACUCGCAACUUGGUGGUCCCCAGCGCUGCUCAAGUGCUUGGCACGCAUGUAGAAGGGGUAGACUAUCACGAUGUCCGGGGUCUUGUCUCUAAUGAUCCGCAUCUCCAUAUUCAGCGAAAACAGCCGAACGAAGGUGUAGUGCAGCGGAUUAAGGUUAAACAUAGCAAAGAUGUCAUCAAACCGCAGGAUGAUCGUACCCCCGAUGUCGCCAUCCACAAAGCCCUUCCCUCUGGCACCUUGGCCACGAAAACCGGGUAUGCCACAUCAUUCUCUCUGAGACUUCGCUUCUCCAAAGAAAGAACACUGUCAUGCAGACUCCGCAUAGCGCUGGUUGCAACAUUGAGCAUAUUUGGUGGUAGCAUCGCCCAUCCCGCCACAUGCACCCUCCUCGAGAUAUCCUUAGGUGAAGGUGGCCCGUCCUGAGCACGGAUCGAACUCGGUGCCGGCUGGCUCACACCAGCGCCCUUGUUAGUCUUUCGUUUCCGUCCCUUCUUCUUGAUCUCCUGUAAUGGCACCAAGUUCUGCUCACAGACCGCCUUCUUGAGCGUGUUGGGGCUGAUAAUAUUUCGCACCUCAGCUAUCUGAUGCUCGGUGAAGGCGGGAGCUGGAGGCAUCUCCUGAGAACUGAACGCCAAACGACGCCUGUUGCAAUUGGAUUUCUCCGCCGUAUCAGCUAGAUUGCGGUCGUCUUGGUUGGGUUCUUGAGAAAGAGGCCCGUAGAACUCGUCAGUGUACCCAUGUUCGGCAAAGUACUUAUCGACUUUGGUAAAUGUACCGUCGUCAUUGUCGUCAUCGUCCAGAUCCUGUGCCAUAGGGAUGUCCGUAUCCUGUGCCAUAGUGUCACAUCCCUAGUCUGGUAUGACCUAGACUAGCUAGUCAUUUGUGCAUCAUGUUUAAAUUUUCAUUUAAAUUUGAAAUGAGGAUUGGUGGAACCCUCAGAAUCAUUUUUGAAAAUGACUCAAAUAAAAAUUUCUCCAAAAGGGUCCAAGAAAAUGCUCAUGUUGCUCUCUGAAAAUAUUGGACAGAGAUAAAAAUCAAACCAAUAUUUUUAAGAGCUCAUAGGUAUUUAUUUUGGGCAUUUGGAAUUAAUGCAUAAAUAUUUGCAUUGGAAAUAUAUUAGUUAUAUAUAUUAAUAUAUGUCCAAAAAUUAUGCCAUUUAUAAAGGAGCUCUGGAAUAAUAUAGUUAGCCCCUGCAAAAAUUGGCAUAGGUAAAUAAAUUGAUUUAGUAUUAUUAUUAAAUCAGAACAAAUGUCAGAAGAUUUAGAAAAAGAAAUAAAACAGGAAGAACCUUACUUGGGCUUCUGCCUGGCGCCUCUGGCCCAGCAGCAGUAGGCCGGCCCAGCCAGCAGGCGGCCCAGCCGCCUCCUCCUCUGUCGUCUUCGUCCUCGACAGAGGGAGGGGAGCGUGCCCGGCGCGCGCGCGCGCCACCGCGCCACGCCACCUCCCUCUCUGCCUACCUGCCCUCUCCCCUCCUCGUCUGGAUGCCCCGGAGACGCCACGCAGCAACCCCGACCUCUCUCGCACUCUCCCUCGCCCUCCUCCUCUCCCCCUGCUCUCUCCCUCGCACACCCGAGCGCCAUCGCCGCCGCCGCUCGCUGUUGCCGUGGCCACCGGCCUCCCCUCGCCUUCCCGACACGCUUCCCAGCUCCGCCGCGACCCCCUCUCCCUCCUCACCGAGCAAGCAACCCGGGCGAGCUCCGCUUCAUCGCAAUCGCCGUCGUCUUCAAGCUUCGGCCGACGAGAUCGCCGUCGUCGCUCCGGCUGCCCCAAGCCUUCCCCGAGCUCGCCGACGACGCCGUUGGAUCCGCGGUGAGCACCGCCACCGUUUGCCCCUCUCCGCUUAGUCACCCGCUCGCCGUAAGCCCUUUCCCCACCAUGGCCGAACCUCCGCCGCCGCCGAGCUCGCCGUCGACGCAGCUCCGGUGACCAUUUGGUCACCCCGGCGAGUCCAACACGUUCGUAAGGCCCCGUAGAGCAUCCUUAGCGCGUUGUUUCUCUCGUCCUCGAGCUCCAAACGGGUUCUCGUGCACGACCGAACUCCGGCAGCCGCAGCCAAGCUCGCCGCCGUCGACUCCGGCCACCCCAGGCCCAGCCACGGCCACCGCCCGACGCGCCAUCGUGCUAGCUCUCCAACGCGCCUAGCCGCGCGCCAUUUGGAGCACCACAGAGGAAACCCGGGGCACAUGUACGCCGCGGACCUCGCCGGCGGCUAACCGCCGGCGGGUUUGACUUGUUUGACCUGGGGUUUGACCCCCCCAGGGUCGCUGACUAGUGGGGCCAGGCCCUGCUAAUUUUAGUUUAAAAAAUAACUAAACCUAAUUAGCCACUAACACUGACCAGUGGGCCCGACCCCCUAAUCUGUUAAUUAAGUUAAUCUAACCCUGUUUAACCCCCUGUCACUGACGUGUGGACCCCACACGUCAGGUUUGACCCCAGGCAGCCGCAGUUGACUGCUGACGUCGUGCUGACGUCAUGCUGGCGCAAUAAUAUAAUUUCUGGAUUUAAAUUAAAUCAGGAAAUUCCAGAAAUUGUUUUAAACUUCAAAAAUUCAUAUCAAUUCAACCGUAGCUCAGAUUAAAAUAAUUUAUAUAUGACAAAUUAUCAGAAAAAUAUAAUCUUUCCAUCUGUACUAGUUUCAUGCAUGACAAACCAACUUAUACAUGCUGAAUAUGGGAAAACACAUUAUGGCACAUUAAGAGACUUAAUUUAGAAUUGCAUUUGAGCUUAUGGUUCAAAUGGACUUCAAACCAAAUGAAUACUAGUUGCAUUAGCUCAAACAACAUCACAUCUUCAUGCCAUGUUCAUGCAUCAUAUUGUUGCAUAUGUUUGUGUAUUGAUUGCCGACACUGUUCCUUCUCGAUAGGUCCUGCUCCGGAGUCCGUUCCAGAGUACCUGUCUGUGAAGCAGUGCCUCCUCUGUUGAUUUACCAGGCAAGCAAACCCCCUUGUUCAUUUCGAUAGAACCGUACUCUCUCGCUCCUGCUCUCAGUUAUUGCAUUAGGACAACAACGAUUCAUCUGCUACUUUGUGCUGCGGUAGUUGAACCCAUUCCUCUGCAUGACCUGUCAUUGCCACAGUAAGUAGUUGAAACCCACUAGCAUGUGUAGGAGUUGAUUGAGCCAUGUUGUGUUCCUACCAUGCUAUGCCUGCUAUUGCUUAGAGUUGUGCCAGGUCUGAUUCAUUGGGAAUGAAUUGGAGUGUUACGAUAUGUUCUGGUGCUGAGAGUUAAGUGUGUGAACACGAUUUGGUAAAGGUAGCGGUGAGAGGCCAUGUAGGAGUACAUGGUGGGUUGUCUCACUGGAACCGUCCUUAAGCCCUGAGUUCUAUGUAUGUUGUCCAAUGACUCGAUACUACCACACAUUGGGCUCCGGGCGCUCCAAGCCCUCUCGACUUAUUAACCAACUUGAUCUCUGUCCAGGAGUCGCAACUAGUUUCUGGUGUUUAUAGGUAGUGCUAUUUUUCUACCAAGUGGCACCCGGCAGGGUGGGCUUGGGACAGACUAGGCACACAUGGCACGGUGUACCAAGUGGCACCCGGAUGGUGGGCUUGGGAACCCUGCUCACAUCGUUUGGGGCCGUGAGCGACACCCCGGCCGGAUCUCCUUGCGGAUGGAACCCGAAUAGGCGAUAAACCUGGACUAGAGUCUUGUGUGGUUAGUCAGGUCGUGGCCGACACCCUCGCCAGGCUUCCGCUUGAAGGUUGCCGAGAUACAUGACGUGUACAUGGCGGUAAGUGGCGAGAGCAUGUGUGAAGGAGUACACCCCUGCAGGGUUAACAUGAUCUAUUCGAAUAGCCGGGUCCGCGGUUAUGGACUUCUUGGAUGCUUACAUGGUACAUAGACAACUUGAAGUGGAUACUAUAAAAAGCUCAAGACAAGUGUGAGUGCUAUGGAUGGCCUUCUCGUAGGGAGACGGGGAUGAAUCCAUAGUAGUGUGUUGUGUGGUGAUUAGUGGACUCGUGUACGUUGUCUCACCUCAAGAGUUUCUGGUAGUCGUAGAACAGGAUAGCCACAGAGUCAAAGCUGGCUUGCUGCAACUAAACCCCACAGUACCCUCUUGAUACAAAUGCAUGUAUGCUAGGAUCUGAUGUAAGUCUUGCUGAGUACCUUUGUACUCAUGUUGCUUCAUUUAUGUUUUUGCAACGGAGACUUUGGUCUUACUAGUGUUCUCGUGGACUUCGACUAGUAGCUAGUACCUCAGCUACGAUCUUGAUCGGAUGUUGUAGAUAGUCAGGCUCUUCAGCCUUUUUCAUUUGUAGAUGUCUGUACCCAGACAUGUAAUGCUUCCGCUUGUUGCUUGUAUGCUCUGUAUGAUGGGUCUUGUGACCCCUGUUUGCAAUAAUUGCUAUGAUGGCUCUUCUGAGCCUUUAUCUAUUUGAGUUGUCGAGUUAUGCUGUGAUGCCAUGUUGUACAGCACAUACUUGCAUGUUAUGCGUACGUGUAAUGUGUAUUGCUAUGUGUGGGAUCUGACUAUCUAGUUGUUUAUCCUUAGUAGCCUCUCUUACCGGGAAAUGUCUCCUAGUGCUUCCGCUGAGCCCUGGUAGCUUGCUACUGCUCCGGAACACUUAGGCUGGCCGGCAUGUGUCCUUCUUCGAUCCUGUGUCUGUCCCUUCGGCGAAAUGUCACGCGAUGAAUACCGGAGUCCUGUUAGCCUGCUACAGCCCGGUUCACCGAAGUCCUGUUAGCCCAGUGCUACAGCCUGGAUUCACUCGCUGAUGACCGACACGUUCGAUGCUGGGUCAUGGAUGCCUGUCCCUGUAAGUUAGUGCCACUUUGGGUUUACGACUAGCCAUGUCAGCCGGGGCUCUUUAUCAUAUGGAUGCUAGCGACACCAUCAUAUACGUGUGCCAAAAGGCGCAAACGGUCCCGGGCAAAGGUAAGGCGACACCCGUGGGGAUACCGUGCGUGAGGCCGCAAAGUGAUAUGAGGUGUUACAUGCUGGAUCGAUGUGGCAUUGAGUCGGGGUCCCGACAGCGUUGGUAUCAGAGCCUGACUGCCUGUAGGAUUACCAAGCCAAACUGGUCGAAGUUGAGUCUAGAAAUUAUUUAGUUAUAUAAGGGAAUUGAUUGUGGGAAGGAACGUAAGGCUCUUUUUACUCCUUAUACCUCAUGGCCUUCUGAUCUGAGUCAUCCUAUCUUUCCUACGGGGUUAAGGAACUAGGCUUUCUCUUCCGUCUAUCAGGAUCAUGUGUUACUACUCCGUAGUCCCAUAGGAUUGGUUGACAGAGUCAUACCCCAGUUUUGAGUAUUUCCGGUGUAGUCUGUUUAGUAAGAUCUCAGAACCUUGAGUAAUGCUGAUGAGUAUGUUACUACCCCAUUUUUAGUAGGAUGUCUCAUUCUGAGCAUUUUACUGUCGUUAUGCUGCCGGAAUUUCCCUAGGAGUUCGAGAGAUACUAAUUCCUUGUCCUACAUUCUACAGUCGAUAAUUGAUGCUGAUUCCGUCCUUGGUUUCGUUUCACAGGAUGUCAUCUAGUUCUAUUGUUCGUAGCCAGAACCACGGAGAUGGUAGGGACGAGGAUCCUCCCGACCCGCCUUCGUUGACAGAGUUCAUGUUAGAAAUGGAGAGGAACAAGCGUGAGUCUAACCGUUUGUUGGCACGCAUCGAGGAGAACACCGCACAUCAGUUCAAAGGGUCUGCUAUCAUUCAUGAUUUCAUUCGCUUGCACCCACCUACCUUUCAUCAUUCCAUCGAGCCACUCGAUGCAGAUGACUGGCUCUGUAGCAUCACUCAUAAGCUGCGUUCCGCGAACGUAGCUGAAGAUGACAAGGUCACCUAUGCCACAUACCACCUGGAAGGUCCUGCUAGUCUUUGGUGGCAGAACUAUGAGGCUAUGCUUCCAGCUGGCUAGAUUCCUACCUGGAGAGAUUUCACUGAGGCUUUUCGCGAACAUCACAUUCCUGAAGCCCUCAUCGAUCGCAAGAGAGAAGAGUUCUGUAGUCUCACCCAGAAUAAGAUGGCUGUUGAUGCUUAUAGCAGAGAGUUCAAGAACCUUGCUCGCUAUGCUACAGAAGAAGUGUCCACGGACGCCAAGAAGCAGGCUAGGUUCCGGAAAGGUCUCAACCCCAAGUUGCGUCGUGAUCUCCACCUGCAUCAUUGUGAUACAUUCCAAGCCCUUGUGAACAAGGCCAUCAAUGCAGAGACAGCUCAGCUCACUUACGAGGAGUCUCGUAAGCACACCCGUGAUUUGGGAUCUUCCUCUGGUUCUAGUUCUCAAAAGCGCCGGAUUUGGGUUCCAAACUCCGCUCUUCCUUCCGGUUAUACACCGAGGUCAUCCCAUGUGGUGCCUCCCCCAGCUCAGCCAUAUGUCCCACCCAGGCCUACUGGUAGACCGUUUGUCAGUGCGGGUCCACGUCCAACCUCAGGGACUUGCUUCACAUGCGGGAAGCCAGGACACUAUGCACGUGACUGCUCUCAGACUAGUUAUGCUCCACCCCAGCCCGAGAAGACUGUUGGCUAUGUUAAGCCAUCACGCAAGAUGAUCAGUGUCAAGUCAGCCCCCAUUGAACGUGGAUGUGUGCAUCACGUCUCAGGUAAAGACGCUCAUGAUGAUCUGGAUGUCGUUCUUGGUACACUCCUUGUCAAUUGUCACCCAGCAUCAGUUCUAUUCGAUACUGGAGCAUCUCACUCCUUCAUUUCCGAGAGCUAUGCUAACUUGCACAAUAUGUCAUUUUGUGAUAUGCCAACUCCGCUAGUCAUCCAAACUCCUGGAUCCAAAUGGCAAACCUCUAGGGUAAGCCAUGGUAACGAAAUCCUUGUUGAUAGACUUGUAUUUCUGGCAUCACUUGUAGCCCUCAAGCCCUCAGAUAUUAAUAUCAUCUUGGGUAUGGACUGGAUGACAGCUCAUCAUGCCAAGAUUGAUUGUUACACAAGAUCUGUUCAGCUUACACACCCAUUUGGCAAGAUAGUCACUGUCUCCACUAGAGUUGCAAAGCGUCAGCUCUAUUCUCUUAAUGCCAGCCCUCUUCCAGACCUUGAAGAUAUUCCGGUAGUCUGUGACUUUCCGGAUGUUUUUCCAGAGGAACUGCCAGGUGUUCCACCUGACAGAGAUGUAGAGUUCGUCAUAGAUCUUAUCCCAGGAACAGCUCCAAUCUCUAGGAGACCUUACAAGAUGGCACCCUUAGAACUAACCGAGCUUAAGAAACAACUUGAUGAGUCCUUGCAAAAGGGUUUCAUCCGUCCUAGUUCUUCUCCUUGGGCUUGCCCCGUCCUCUUUGUUAAGAAGAAGGAUGGUACGGACCGGAUGGUUGUAGAUUAUCGUCCUGUUAAUUUGGUCACGAUAAAGAACAAGUAUCCGCUCCCCAGGAUCAACGACCUGUAUGAUCAGCUCGCUGGUUCCUCAAUCUUCUCCAAGAUGGAUUUGAGGUUAGGAUACCACCAAAUUAAGAUCAGAAAUGGGGACAUUCCCAAGACAGCCUUUGUUACUCGUUAUGGUCAGUACGAGUACACCGUCAUGUCCUUUGGUCUAACCAACGCCCCAGCUACAUUCUCCCGCUUGAUGGACUCGAUCUUCAUGGAGUACUUAGAUAAGUUCGUCGUGGUUUACCUCGAUGAUAUUCUUAUUUACUCGAAGAACGAGGAAGAGCAUGCCGAACAUCUUAGACUUGUGUUAGAAAAACUCAGAGAGCACUGCCUUUAUGCCAAGUUCUCCAAGUGUGAAUUUUGGUUGCCAGAAGUGACCUACCUAGGCCACGUAAUCUCUGGUAAGGGCAUUGCUAUCAAUCCCGAGAGAGUCAAGGCCGUUCUCGAUUGGACUCCACCUGAAACCGUUAAACAAGUUAGGAGCUUCCUUGGUCUAGCCAGCUAUUGUCGCCGCUUUGUUGAAAACUUCUCCAAAGUAGCCAAACCCCUCACGGAACUUCUCAAGAAGGAUAAAAAGUUCGAGUGGUCCCCACAGUGUGAGUACAGUUUUCAGGAACUGAAAAGACACCUGACUUCUGCUCCCAUACUUGUGCCACCGGAUUUCACUAAACACUUUAUUAUCUACUGCGACGCCUCACGACAGGGACUAGGUUGCAUUCUUAUGCAGGAUCGUCAUGUGAUUGCCUAUGCAUCUCGACAGUUGCAUCCACAUGAGGAUAAUUAUCCUACACAUGAUCUAGAGCUUGCAGCCGUAGUCUAUGCACUCAAGACCUGGCGACAUUACCUUCUUGGUAAACGUUGCGAGAUCUACACUGAUCACCAGAGUCUCAAGUAUAUCUUCACCCAACCGGAUCUGAACCUUAGGCAAAGACGUUGGCUGUAGUUGAUCACAAAUUAUGAUCUAGGAAUUACCUACACCCCACGCAAAGCCAAUGUCAUGGCUGAUGCUCUAAGCCGUAAAUCCUAUUGCAACAAUCUCAUGCUGCAGCAAGGCCAACCACUUCUCCAUGAGGAAUUCUGUAAGCUUAAUCUUCACAUUGCUCCUCACGGAUUCCUUUCUACCCUGGUGGCGAAACCUAAUUUUAAGGAUCAGAUUAUCGCAGCUCAAAAGCAAGACACAGGAAUUUCCCGGAUCAAGAGAAACAUUAAGAAGGGAGUUGGUGGAUGUUUCUCUAUGGAUGAUCGUGUUAUUGUUUUCUUUGAGAAUCGCUUGGUGGUUCCCAAGAAUCAACAUCUUCGACAACUGAUUCUUAAGGAGGCGCAUGAAUCUCCUCUCACGAUUCAUCCCGGUAGUACUAAGAUGUAUCAGGACCUACGCUAGAGGUUCUGGUGGACUAGGAUGAAGAGAGAAAUCGCUGAGUUCAUUGCUAAAUGUGACGUUUGUCAUCGCGUUAAAGCAGAGCAUCAAAGACCUGCUGGCACCCUUCAGCCUUUAGCUAUUCCUGAAUGGAAAUGGGAUAAAGUUGGUAUGGACUUCAUCACCGGCUUUCCCAGGACCAAGAGAGGGAAUAACGCUAUCUUCGUAGUCAUUGAUCGUCUUUCCAAAGUGGCUCACUUCCUUCCUGUUCGAGAGAGUAUCACUGCUAGUCAGCUUGCUGACUUAUACAUUUCUCGAAUAGUGUCACUUCAUGGUGUUCCACUAGAGAUCAAUUCAGACCGUGGCAGUCUUUUCACUUCUCAUUUCUGGGAGAGUUUCCAAACUGCCAUGGGCACCCAUCUCUCCUUCAGUACCGCUUUCCACCCUCAGUCGAUUGUCAGGUGGAAUGGGUCAAUCAAAUUCUCGAAGACAUGCUCAGAGCUUGCGUUAUCUCAUUCGGUAUGGAUUGGGAGAAAUGUCUUCCUUUCGCCGAGUUUGCCUAUAGCAAUAGCUACCAAUCCAGCCUCAAGAAAGCUCCUUUUGAGGUUCUCUAUGGACGAAGAUGUCGAACACCUUUGAACUGGUCAGAAACCGGUGAAAGACAAUUCUUUGGACCGGAUAUGAUCCAGGAGGCAGAAGAGCAAGUUCGCAUCAUUCGUGAGAAUUUGAAAACAGCCCAGUCUCGUCAGAAGAGCCAGUACGAUCGUCAUCAUAAGGAUAUGACUUAUGAAAUUGGCGACCAAGCUUACCUUCGGGUUACUCCUUUGAAGGGUACCCAUCGUUUCGGUAUCAAGGGCAAGUUGGCUCCUCGUUACAUUGGUCCUUUUUGUAUUCUCGCUAAACGAGGAGAGGUUGCCUAGCAGUUGGAACUACCCCCACAUCUUUCUCGAGUUCAUGAUGUCUUCCACAUCUCUCAACUCAGGCGUUGCUUCUCGGAUCCUAUCCGCGGAGUGGACCACGAAACGCUUGAUCUCCAAGAUAACCUCACAUACCGAGAGUACCCGGUUCGCAUUCUUGAUCAAGCCGAGCGUGUUACCCGACGUCAGAACAUCAAGUUUCUCAAAGUUCAGUGGUCUCAUCAUUCCGAGAGAGAAGCUACUUGGGAGCGAGAAGAUCGUCUUCGACUAGAGUACCCCGCUUUCUUUCCGUCGACCCCUGAAUCUCGGGACGAGAUUCUUUCAAGUGGGGGCGAGUUGUCACAUCCCUAGUCUGGUAUGACCUAGACUAGCUAGUCAUUUGUGCAUCAUGUUUAAAUUUUCAUUUAAAUUUGAAAUGAGGAUUGGUGGAACCCUCUGAAUCAUUUUUGAAAAUGACCCAAAUAAAAAUUUCUCCAAAAGGGUCCAAGAAAAUGCUCAUGUUGCUCUCUGAAAAUAUUGGACAGAGAUAAAAAGCAAACCAAUAUUUUUAAGAGCUCAUAGGUAUUUAUUUUGGGCAUUUGGAAUUAAUGCAUAAAUAUUUGCAUUGGAAAUAUAUUAGUUAUAUAUAUUAAUAUAUGUCCAAAAAUUAUGCCAUUUAUAAAGGAGCUCUGGAAUAAUAUAGUUAGCCCCUACAAAAAUUGGCAUAGGUAAAUAAAUUGACUUAGUAUUAUUAUUAAAUCAGAACAAAUGUCAGCAAAUUUAGAAAAAGAAAUAAAACAGGAAAAACCUUACCUGGGCUUCUGCCUGGCACCUCUGGCCCAGCAGCAGCAGGCCCGCCCAGCUAGCAGGCGGCCCAGCCGCCUCCUCCUCUGUCGUCUUCGUCCUCGACAGAGGGAGGGGAGCGUGCCCGGCGCGCGCGCGCGCCACCGCGCCACGCCACCUCCCUCUCUGCCUUCCUGCCCUCUCCCCUCCUCGUCUGGAUGCCUCGGAGACGCCACGCAGCCACCCCGACCUCUCUCGCACUCUCCCUCGCCCUCCUCCUCUCCCCCUGCUAUCUCCCUCGCACACCCGAGCGCCAUCGCCGCAGCUGCUCGCCGUUGCCGUGGCCACCGGCCUCCCCUCGCCUCCCCGACAUGCUUCCCAGCUCCGCCGCGACCCCCUCUCCCUCCUCACCGAGCAAGCAACCCGGGCGAGCUCCGCUUCAUCGCAAUCGCCAUCGUAUUCAAGCUUCGGCCGACGAGAUCGCCGUCGUCGCUCCGGCUGCCCCAAGCCUUCCCCGAGCUCGCCGACGACGCCGUUGGAUCCGCGGUGAGCUCCGCCACCGUUUCCCCCUCUCCGCUUGGUCACCCGCUCGCCGUAAGCCCUUUCCCCACCAUGGCCGAACCUCCGCCGCCGCCGAGCUCGCCGUCGACGCAGCUCCGGUGACCAUUUGGUCACCCCGGCGAGUCCAACACGUUCGUAAGGCCCCGUAGAGCAUCCUUAGCGCGUUGUUUCUCUCGUCCUCAAGCUCCAAACGGGUUCUCAUGCACGACCGAACUCCGGCAGCCGCAGCCGAGCUCGCCGCCGUCGACUCCGGCCACCCCAGGCCCAGCCACGGCCACCGCCCGACGCGCCAUCGUGCUAGCUCUCCAACGCGCCUAGCCGCGCGCCAUUUGGAGCACCACAGAGGAAACCCGGGGCACAUGUACGCCGCGGACCUCGCCGGCGGCUAACCGCCGGCGGGUUUGACUUGUUUGACCUGGGGUUUGACCCUCCCAGGGUCGCUGACUAGUGGGGCCAGGCCCUGCUAAUUUUAGUUAAAAAAAUAACUAAACCUAAUUAGCCACUAACACUGACCAGUGGGCCCGACCCCCUAAUUUGUUAAUUAAGUUAAUCUAGCCCUGUUUAACCCCCUGUCACUGACGUGUGGACCCCACACGUCAGGUUUGACCCCAGCCAGCCGCAGUUGACUGCUGACGUCGUGCUGACGUCAUGUUGGCGCAAUAAUAUAAUUUCUGGAUUUAAAUUAAAUCAGGAAAUUCCAGAAAUUGUUUUAAACUUCAAAAAUUCAUAUCAAUUCAACCGUAGCUCAGAUUAAAAUAAUUUAUAUAUGACAAAUUAUCAGAAAAAUGUAAUCUUUCCAUCUGUACUAGUUUAAUGCAUCACGAACCAACUUAUACAUGCUGAAUAUGGGAAAACACAUUAUGGCACAUUAAGAGACUUAAUUUAGAAUUGCAUUUGAGCUUAUGGUUCAAAUGGACUUCAAACCAAAUGAAUACUAGUUGCAUUAGCUCAAACAACAUCACAUCUUCAUGCCAUGUUCAUGCAUCAUAUUGUUGCAUAUGUUUGUGUAUUGAUUGCCGACACUGUUCCUUCUCGAUAGGUCCUGCUCCGGAGUCCGUUCCAGAGUACCUGUCUGUGAAGCAGUGCCUCCUCUGUUGAUUUACCAGGCAAGCAAACCCCCUUGUUCAUUUCGAUAGAACCCUACUCUCUCGCUCCUGCUCUCAGUUAUUGCAUUAGGACAACAACGAUUCAUCUGCUACUUUGUGCUGCGGUAGUUGAACCCAUUCCUCUGCAUGACCUGUCAUUGCCACAGUAAAUAGUUGAAACCCACUAGCAUGUGUAGGAGUUGAUUGAGCCAUGUUGUGUUCCUACCAUGCUAUGCCUGCUAUUGCUUAGAGUUGUGUCAGGUCUGAUUCAUUGGGAAUGAAUUGGAGUGUUAUGAUAUGUUCUGGUGCUGAGAGUUAAGUGUGUGAACACGAUUUGGUAAAGGUAGCGCUGAGAGGCCAUGUAGGAGUACAUGGUGGGUUGUCUCACUGGAACCGUCCUCAAGCCCUGAGUUCUAUGUAUGUUGUCCAAUGACUCGAUACUACCACACAUUGGGAUCCGGGCGCUCCAAGCCCUCUCGACUUAUUAACCAACUUGAUCUCUGUCCAGGAGUCGCAACUAGUUUCUGGUGUUUGUAGGUAGUGCUAUUUUUCUACCAAGUGGCACCCGGCAGGGUGGGCUUGGGACAGACUAGGCACACAUGGCACGGUGUACCAAGUGGCACCCGGAUGGUGGGCUUGGGAACCCUGCUCACAUCGUUUGGGGCCGUGAGUGACACCCCGGCCGGAUCUCCUUGCGGAUGGAACCCGAAUAGGCGAUAAACCUGGACUAGAGUCUUGUGUGGUUAGUCAGGUCAUGGCCGACACCAUCGCCAGGCUUCCGCUUGAAGGUUGCCGAGAUACAUGACGUGUACAUGGCGGUAAGUGGCGAGAGCGUGUGUGAAGAAGUACACCCCUGCAGGGUUAACAUGAUCUAUUCGAAUAGCCGGGUCCGCGGUUAUGGACUUCUUGGAUGCUUACAUGGUACAUAGACAACUUGAAGUGGAUACUAUAAAAAGCUCAAGACAAGUGUGAGUGCUAUGGAUGGCCUUCUCGUAGGGAGACGGGGAUGAAUCCAUAGUAGUGUAUUGUGUGGUGAUUAGUGGACUCGUGUACGUUGUCUCACCUCAAGAGUUUCUGGUAGUCGUAGAACAGGAUAGCCACAGAGUCAAAGCUGGCUUGCUGCAACUAAACCCCACAGUACCCUCUUGAUACAAAUGCAUGUAUGCUAGGAUCUGAUGUAAGUCUUGCUGAGUAACUUUGUACUCAUGUUGCUUCAUUUAUGUUUUUGCAGCGGAGACUUCGGUCUUACUAGUGUUCUCGUGGACUUCGACUAGUAGCUAGUACCUCAGCUACGAUCUUGAUUGGAUGUUGUAGAUAGUCAGGCUCUUCAGCCUUUUUCAUUUGUAGAUGUCUGUACCCAGACAUGUAAUGCUUCCGCUUGUUGCUUGUAUGCUCUGUAUGAUGGGUCUUGUGACCCCUGUUUGCAAUAAUUGCUAUGAUGGCUCUUCUGAGCCUUUAUCUAUUUGAGUUGUUGAGUUAUGCUGUGAUGCCAUGUUGCACAGCACAUACUUGCAUGUUAUGCGUACGUGUAAUGUGUAUUGCUAUGUGUGGGAUCUGACUAUCUAGUUGUUUAUCCUUAGUAGCCUCUCUUAUCGAGAAAUGUCUCCUAGUGCUUCCGCUGAGCCCUGGUAGCUUGCUACUGCUCCGGAACACUUAGGCUGGCCGGCAUGUGUCCUUCUUCGAUCCUGUGUCUGUCCCUUCGGGGAAAUGUCACGCGAUGAAUACCGGAGUCCUGUUAGCCUGCUAUAGCCCGAUUCACCGGAGUCCUGUUAGCCCAGUGCUACAGCCUGGAUUCACUCGCUGAUGACCGACACGUUCGAUGCUGGGUCAUGGAUGCCUGUCCCUGUAAGUUAGUGCCACUUUGGGUUUACGACUAGCCAUGUCAGACCCGGCUCUUUAUCAUAUGGAUGCUAGCGACACCAUCAUAUACGUGUGCCAAAAGGCGCAAACGGUCCCGGGCAAAGGUAAGGCGACACCCGUGGGGAUACCGUGCGUGAGGCCGCAAAGUGAUAUGAGGUGUUACAUGCUGGAUCGAUGUGGCAUUGAGUCGGGGUCCCGACACAUACGGAUGUCCGGCAGGUCCGGUAGCGUUGCAGCGUUCUUGCCAUGGCUUGGCGCCGGCACGACUGGCGGUCUUGUCUGUGGGGUGGUGUCCCCCGCCCCCAAACGAAUCUGGCUCUUCGGCCAAAGCAGGGGCCAGUUUACGCAGGCGCUGAGGGUCAUCUCAUCUUCUUCGUCGGCCCCAGCGGGUCGAGUCGGAGGUAAUAGCUCGUCGCAGCCUGGGAGCACCCGAACCACUUCAACCCUAUACACUGUGGGUGCCAUCGGAUUACCGUGGAACAUGCGGUUGCCCGGUUGAACGAUUCUUCCCUUGGCGACAUCGACCAACUCGCUGCCCACGAAGUGCAGAAGACUGCAAGGAACGUCGGUGGGCCCUGCGAAAACAUGUAGGGCGUAAGGGAUGCCCAGUCAAAGGCAAGGAGAUGAAGUCAUCGGCCGAGAGGCUUAGUUAUCGUGAUGCUGUCGAGCUCGGCUAAUGUCGAGGCACCGCCAACGGCGGGCGUGCAACUGACGGAGGGGGCGCUUGCUGGCGAGGUGCCGCCGGCGUACACCCGGGUGCGUUAAGCUCCAAUGCCCGUGCCGGCACCGGAGACAUGAAUACCGCCUCCGCCGGAGACACCAAUGGCGCCGCCGCCGGAGACACCAAUGGCGCCGCCGGAGACACCAAUGGCGCCGCCUGCGCACUGUGCGAGUUGCUGGCCGUGAAGCUGGGAACCGGGGGAGGCCCCUGUUGGCCGCCCGCAAUCCACAUCGUCAGCCCAUGAAUCAACGUAGGCACCAUGGCGUUGAGCUUCGUUCCUAGUUGUUGUUCCACUUGCUCUUGGACAAGCUCCGGAAUACGCGCCACUUGUGCCUUGAGUGCUUCAACCUCGCGCGUCUGGCUUUCCGAGCUGGUCUUUUUCUCCUUCCGCACACCAGCGGUAUAGUAUGACCCCCAUUUUGUGGACAACCUUUGCCGGCCACACGACCAGCUGACGUCAGCUUAGUGAGCUUAUCCUUCUUUUUCAUUACGUUCAACGCCCUAUUUAAAGGGGUGUCGAAAGGGGAGCUCUGAGACGACCCCGCGCUACUGCUUUCAGUUUCCUGCGGAAGGAACAUGAACCAUUUAGAAAUAUUGGGGAUUAAUUAGAGUGCAACCAUAUGGAGCUAAUUACGCGGGGGUGUAUUCCUUACCAAAACAAGCUCAAGCGCGAAUCCGUGGUAAGCUCCUUUGUUAUCGGGUCCUCCUUGUACCGGGCCCUGAAAAAGUUCCUGGUCUGCUUGUCACCGCUGUAUUUCUCGAAGCGGGGCGGUAGGCCUUGCUCGGCACGCUCCGCGUCCUCCUUGUCCCAUAUAGGCUCCGCCACUCUGUAACCGCCGGGACCAAGUUUGUGUUCCCCUAAGUUCAACUCCCGCAUUUCUUCCGCCCACUGACUUGAUUCGGAGGUUGCGCUGCUCUCGCACUUGAUCUUGAACUCCUUGUAGUCAUCUUCGCUGAUCGAAGGAUUUUUCUGCCUUGAUCUUCUCAUAACUAUCACCUUUAUCAAUCAUUCUAUUCAUCACGCUUCUCCAAGUAGACAGGGCCGUGCUCAUCCUCGUGAGGGCGGCACUGUUCACUUUAUUCCCUGAGAGGCGUGUGUUUUCAAAUUCGGUGGGGAACUUGUAUCGUUCGUGCAGCUUCGUGAAGAGGAGGUUGCGCAAAUUCCCGUGGUCCUUAUGCCUAAGGUUCUCGGUGUUGAUCGAGACGGUGCUCCAGAGAAUGCACCCGAGCUGAACCGAGUACCCCUUGACUAUAUGUUUGGGCUCCGUUGGAUGCCCGUCGGAGUCCACUUGAGUAAAUUCCUCCUUGAGGGUGCGGAGCGCAUUCGGGCGCCGGUCCUUCCUUUGCUUCUUCGGUUGGCUGCCAUCUGUGUGUGCGCCGCCAUCAUCAGUGGUGGCAUCCUCGGCGGCACCAUCAGUGGUGUCAUCUCUGACGCCACUAGGGGUUGUGUAGUCAGAAUCGGUGUCUUCCGCGGCAUCCUCAUAGCGGUGAGGUUAUUCCUCCAUCUCCUGGGACAGCUCCCAGAAUUGCUUGCCGCCCGAACCACCGGCCUCAUUGUUGUGGGCCAUGUUUCGCUCUAAAUAGGAAAAAAGUUUGGUCAAAAAGUUGGUUAUUGUCAAGGAACAAGAUCAUGGUCUCAUCAUUUAGGGUUUGUCGACGCCGAGGCACCCUAAAAGCCUAAGCUUUCAUCAUUUAGGGUUUGUCGACGCCGAGGCACCCUAAAAGCCUAAGCGUACAUCAUUUAGGUUCUCAUCUAAUAUUUUUUAGAAAAUGACAAAUCAAAUCUGAAAACAUUUAUGAAUGUCAAAAAAUAUCAUCAAAUUUCUUAUUUGAAAUUAUUUAUGAAUAUUAAAAAAUAUCAUCAAAUUUGUUAUUUGAAAAUAUUUGAGAAAAUAUCAUCAAAAUUUAAAAAUAUUAAUGAGUUCACAAAAUAUUAACAAAUUCAAUACUUUUUGUGAGUUAGAAAUUCAAUACCAUAAUAAACAUAAUUCAAUAUUCAUGAGGACUAGAACAGAAGGGGCAGGGCUCGGGGGGAGGCGGCGCUCGAGGGGGAGGAAGGGGAGAGGGAGGCGGCGGGGGCGCGUGGGCAGCUGCGGCACAGUGGGUCGGGGCAGCGGCGGCGGCGGCGGCAUGGUGGAGGGAGGGACAAGGGAGGGAGCGGCAUGGUGGAGGGAGAGGGACGAAUCGAAGUAGUCUGGCGAGAGCGAGGGGGGAAGGAGCAGCGCGGUGGUGUAUGGAUGGGGAAGAUUACUAAUGGCGCACCCCCAGGCGGUGCCCCAUUAGAAUGUUUUAUUUUUCAUAGCAAUGGCGCACCAGCACCACAGUGCGCCAUAAGUAUUCUUUUUUUAGAUAGCAAUGGCGCACCAGCCACCCAUGCGCCAUAAGUAAGAAUUUUUAUUAUUAUUUUUUAAAAAAUGAAUAUGAAUAUGAAACAGUAAUAUUUUUUUUAUAAAAACAGUAAUAAUUGUUGUUUAACAACAAUUGUAGUCUACACUUUAUUAUUAUUAUUUUUUUUAAAAAUGAAUAUGAAUAUGAAAUAGUAAUAUUUUUUUUAUAAAAACUGUAAUAUUUUUUUAAAAAAUAUCAUCAAAUUUGUUANNNNNNNNNNNNNNNNNNNNNNNNNNNNNNNNNNNNNNNNNNNNNNNNNNNNNNNNNNNNNNNNNNNNNNNNNNNNNNNNNNNNNNNNNNNNNNNNNNNNNNNNNNNNNNNNNNNNNNNNNNNNNNNNNNNNNNNNNNNNNNNNNNNNNNNNNNNNNNNNNNNNNNNNNNNNNNNNNNNNNNNNNNNNNNNNNNNNNNNNNNNNNNNNNNNNNNNNNNNNNNNNNNNNNNNNNNNNNNNNNNNNNNNNNNNNNNNNNNNNNNNNNNNNNNNNNNNNNNNNNNNNNNNNNNNNNNNNNNNNNNNNNNNNNNNNNNNNNNNNNNNNNNNNNNNNNNNNNNNNNNNNNNNNNNNNNNNNNNNNNNNNNNNNNNNNNNNNNNNNNNNNNNNNNNNNNNNNNNNNNNNNNNNNNNNNNNNNNNNNNNNNNNNNNNNNNNNNNNNNNNNNNNNNNNNNNNNNNNNNNGGCGGUGGAGCGGGGGAGGGUGCGGGGGGUGCUCGUCGGCGGCGGUAGAGCGGGGGCGGGUGCGGGGGGUGCUCGUCGGCGGCGGUGGAGCGAGGGAGGGAUCGAGAUCGAGAUGGAGGACGAUAGCGAUCGAGAUGGAGUGGGAUCGAGAUCGAGUUGGAGGGGGAAUCCAGAUCAAGAUGGAGGGGGUCGAGAUCGAGUGUCCUCAUGAAUUCAAAAAGUGCUCAUGAAAUUUAAAUUAUUCAUGAUAUCAAAAAGUGCCCAUGAAAUACAAUUGAGAAAUGAAGGCUACAAUUUAAAUACAAUCGAUCUUAGCUAGCUAUCUGUUCACAAUCUUCUUGCCCUUCUUUUUCGCAAAUGGAGUUCUUCUGUGGAACGAACGUCCUUUAGGUAGGGUGGUCCUGCUUCUUCUUGUGGUGUGUGCUGCUACUUAAUCGUCGUCGUCAUGUUCGAUCUUCGGGUUACCGUACUUGUCGAAGUCUUGCUCAUUGGCUACUCCAUCCAUUCCGAUGAUCUUCCUUUUGCCUCUCCUCACGACAACACGACUGGGCUUUGGCGGGUCGGUAAUGAAGAAGCAUUGGUCCACUUAGGAAGCCAGUCCCCAUGGCUCAUAUUUAGCGGUGACGUUUGCGCCCGCGGUCUUGGAUUUGGCUUCGGGUAUAACCAUGGUGGUGAAAUACCGGUCUUAUUUUAGGACGCUCUUGGCCCAUCUGACACGGAACAUCGGGACCUUCUCUCCAGUGUAACUCAGCUCCCAGAUCUCCUCGAUCCUUCCGUAGUAUCUGUCCUUGUCGUUGCUGGUGUAGGAUUCCAUCGUUACCCCGGAGUUCUGAUAACCAUCGCUCUUCAUGUCCUUGUUCUCGGUGUAGAAUGUGUAGCCGUUGAUAUCGUAUGCCUCAUAGGUCAUCAGGUUGUGCUCAGCGCCCUAUGACAAGGCGAAUAUGAGUUGUUCUUCCAUGGAAGAACCCUCAUGUAAAGGGUACGGCAGAAGAUUCUGCUUGAACCAACACGUGAAACAUGAGUUGUGCUCUUUGAUUAUAUCUCCCUCCAUCCGCUGUUGGCCUCGGUCAUUGUACGUCUUAUCAAUAAAGGUUUUGUGCUCUACCACCCAAGGAUCGACCACGUCUAUGUGUUGUAGCGCGACUAGGUUUGCUCUUUCAAAGUCGGCGAGUCGACCCUCGAAGUCGACAUGCAUUUCGCGGCGACCCUCACGGUGACCCCAUCCAGCGAGCCUGCCGAGGUGCCUGUUGACGGGCAGACCAACGGGGUUCUCGAUGCCUAGAUAAUUCUUGCAGUAGGAGAUGCACUCUUCGGUCAGAAAGCCCCUGGGUAUACUUCCCUCUGGACGUGACAUGUUACGAACGUAUCCUUUGAUGACACCAUUCAUCCUUUCGAACGGCAUCAUGCUGUGCAGGAACGUCGGCCCGAGUUGGAUGAUAUGCUCCACGAUAUGGACCAGCAGAUGCACCAUAACGUCGAAGAAUGCGGGCGAGAAGUACAUCUCAAGAUCGCAUAGUAUCACCACGAUCUCUUCCUGUAGCCUUCUGAGUUGCCUCACGCCAAUGGACUUCCGAGAGAUGACGUCGAAAAAGUUGCAUAGGCCAAAUAGCAUUUCACGGACGUGUGCGUCCAUGAUCCCACGGAUUGCAACUGGAAGUAUCUGCGUCAUCAGCACGUGAGAGUCGUGAGACUUCAUCCCGCUGAACUUCUGCUUCGCUGGGUCUAGGUAUCUGCUUAUAUUCCCCGCGUAACCGUAAGUAAGUUUUACUCCUAGGAGGCAGGUGAAAAACUGCUCGAUCUCCUCCUGACUUAGAGUGAAGCACGCAGGAGGGUAGUCAUUUCCGGUCUUCUUGGCCUUUUUGCCUUUGCGACGACUUUCUGUGUCCUGCUUCGCCUCAUCAUCAUCAUCAUCAUCAUCAUCAUCAUCAUCAUUAGCGUGAAGCUCCUGCCUGAUGCCCAUUAAUUUCAAGUCUGCCCUUGCUUUUGGCCCAUAUUUGGUCCUCUCUGGCAUGUUGAGCAGGGUACCAAGCAGACUCUCCACACGUUCUUUGUGAUAUGCAUGACAUCAAGGCUGUGAGGCACACGGUGGAUCUUCCAGUACGGCAAGUCCCAGAAAACAGACCUCGUUUUACAUACCUUCAGCAGCGGCUCUGGCGCCUUUUGCUUCUUUCCCGGCUGGCGCCUUUUGCUUCUUUCCCGGCAGUGGGCAGUCUUUCCAAUUUUUCAACAGCUCGUCUAUUUCCUCGCCGCUCCUCGUACACGGGCGUUUUCGGGGUUCGGUUUCACCAUCGAACAGAUCCUUGCGUUUCCUCCACGGGUCAUCAUCGCGGAGCCACCUUCGAUGUCCCAUGAACACGGUUUUCAAAGACCCGGGAUCUCUAUCUAGCUGGCGAUACGUUGUGUCAUCCAUGCACCUUACGCAUUCAGAAAAUCCGUGGACUACCUGCCCCGCGAGAUAUCCGUAACCGAGAUAUUCUAGCACCGUCGUGAGCAGUGCGGCUCUCAUAGGGAAAUAUUCUUUAUAUGCGGCAUCCCACGUAUUGGCUCGCAUUUUCCACAACGUGUCUAGCUCCUCCUUCAGCAGCCCCUGAUACAGAUUGAUGUUGUUCCCUGGUUGUUUCGGCCUUUCAAUUAGCAUACUCAUGUGAAUGUACUUCCUCUUCAUGCACAACCAGGGGGGAAGGUUGUACAUCCACACAAACACGGGCCAGGUGCUAUGUGUGCUUCUCUGGCUGCCAAACGGAUUGACUCCAUCGGUGCUUGCGCCCAGCACGAUGUUCCUUGGAUCCUUCCCAAAUUCUGGGUAUUCGAAGUUCAACGCUUGCCACUGGCUCGCAUCCUUAGGGUGACUCAGCAUCUUGUCUUUUCUAUUUAUCUCCGGAUCAUUUCCGUCAUCUUCCCCCUUCUUCUCCUCCCUAUCCGCGUGCCAACGCAAGAGCUUUGCUACCUUAGGGUCCGUGAAAUACCGCUGCAGACGAGGAGUGAUCAGAAAGUACCACACUGAUUUUCGAGGAGCUUUCUUCCUCUUCUUGUAUCGAGUGACGCCGCACACCGGACAUAUGGUAGACUCCGCGUGCUCGUCCAAAUAAAUGAUGCAAUUGUUCAUGCACACAUGGUAUUUCAAGUGCGGUAAAUCCAGAGGACACACGAUUUUCUUCGCCUCCUCGAAACUGGUCGGGCACUUGUUCCCCUUGGGAAGACGUUCGUGCCAGAAUGACAUGUUCUUGUCGAAGCAUGCGUCGGUCAUUUUGUGUUUUAUCUUCAUCUCCAGAGCCAUGAGCGUUACUUUCAGGCGGGUAUCCUCGGGCCUGCAUCCUUCAUACAAUGGAGUAACCGCGUCUAUCUCCAGUUGAUCCAGCUUGGCUUUCUCUCGGGCGGCAGCUCUUGCGUUAUCCGUCUGCUUGAGAAGCAGCUCUUGAAUAUGAGGGUCCUGCACCCAGCCUCCAUCAUCGUCUGCUCCGGCAUCUUCAUCUUCAUGAUCAUGCCCUUCGUCUUGAUCUUCCACAUCAUCAUGUACGACAUCUUCUACAUGAUGACUGUGUACAGCAUCACCACCGUGAUCAUGUCCUGGAGAUUCUUCGUCUUCUCGCCCGCCCUCACCGUGGUGGUACUUGUCUUGUUGCCCUUCCUCAUUUCUUGCCCGGCCCCCAUGGACGACUUCAUAGUCAUCUUCAUCACCUUGCCACCGAUAGCCAUCCAUGAAACCACGCAAGAGCAGGUGGUCCCGCACCUGCCCGGAAUCCGGAUCCGCAAUAAGGCUCUUCAGCUUGCAUCUUCGACACAGACAUCUUAUCUCCAUCUCGUUCUUUUGAAGCAUAUCGGCCUUCGCGGAGCUCGAAAACCUAUUCACGAUGCCUUCGGUCAUCGUGCGGACCAUGGUGGCCUGCAGGGUAGAGCAAAACGAUAUUUUAGAACCAAGAAAAAAUUUGGCAUGACCUUCCCUAAAAAUAGGACCAAAAAGAAUGCAUAGUGCCAAAAUUCUCGCCGAAACGGAAAUGAAUCAACAUUCCGGCAAAAUAUUGGCAACUAUCGCAUUUCAAAUACCGGUACCUGCAAACACAAACAUAUAUGCAACACCACAAACACAUGCAACACCACAAACAUACAUAGAUCUAGCUAGGACACAAAAAGUGCAUGUGCACGUUGUUGGAGCGAGCUAGGGAGAAAAAAAGUAGAUCUACGUCAUGAAGAUAGCUUUCCCCUUACUUACCUAUCAAAAAAGGUAAUUUCACCACACAAUUUUGAUGAAUCUAUGGUGCAAAUGAGGUGAGGAGGAGGAGGCAGCCGAGACAAGGUUGGAGGAGGAGGUGGAGAGAAUGAAGUGGGGAAAGUGAGUGGGUAGGUGGGCUGUCCAAAAUAUCUUGUUGGUCCCAGGUUACUAAUGGCGCACCACCAGCAAAUGCGCCAUUAGUAACCCUGGUUACUAAUGGCGCACCUGCAGGCGGUGCGCCAUUAGUAGUUUUGCAGAAAAUUAAUAUAUAUAUAUAUAUAUAUAUACUAAUGGCGCACUGUGGAAAAGUGCGCCAUUAGUAGUUUAAAGUAGUAAUGGCGCACUUUGACACGGUGCGCCAUUAGUAGUUUUGCAAAAAAGUAAAAUACACAUAUAUAUAUACUAAUGGCGCACUGUCUGCACGGUGCGCCAUUACUAGUUAGAACUAGUAAUGGCGCACUUCGACCUCAUGCGCCAUUAGUAUGUAUGGGAAAAUGGAAACAAAAUUAAUACUAGUGGCGCACCGUGUGUCCGGUGCGCCAUUAGUGUCUUCCAUACUAAUGGCGCAUCACCGACCGGUGCGCCAUUAGUAUAUAGUAGUGGCGCACUACUUACCUGGUGCGCCAUUAGUAGCAAUCCUAUCUAUAGCCCUUUUCCUAGUAGUGAGGGGCUGCGCCCCCAUCUAGGUUUCCCUCCCUAGGGGUGGCGGCAGCCCCCAAAACCCAUCUAGGGUGCGGCCAAGGGGGGAAAGAGAGGGGGGCGCCCUCGGGUGGGCCUUAAGGCCCAUCUGGACCUAGGGUUUGCCCCCUCCCACUCUCCCUGCGCCUUGGGCCUUGGUGGGGGGGAGCACCAGCCCACCUAGGGCUGGUCCCCUCCCACACUUGGCCUACACAGCCCUCUGGGGCCGUUGGCCCCACCUGGUGGUCCCCUGGGACCCUCCCGGUGGUCCCGGUACGUUACCGAUAGCACCCGAAACUUUUCCGGUGACCAAAACAGGACUUCCCAUAUAUAAAUCUUUACCUCCAGACCAUUCCAGAACUCCUCGUGACGUACGGGAUCUCAUCCGGGACUCCGAACAACAUUAGGUAACCACAUAUAUCUAUUUCCUAUAACCCCAGCAUCAUCGAACCUUAAGUGUGUAGAACCUACGGGUUCGGGAACCAAGUAGACAUGACCGAGACAACUCUCCGGCCAAUAACCAACAUCGGGAUCUGGAUACCCAUGUUGGCUCCCACAUGUUCCACGAUGAUCUCAUUGGAUGAACCACGAUGUCAAGGAUUCAAUCAAUCCCGUAUACAAUUCCCUUUGUCUACCGGUAUAGUACUUGCCCGAGAUUCGAUCGUCGGUAUGCUGAUACCUUGUUCAAUCUCAUUACCGGCAAGUCUCUUUACUCAUUCCGUAACACAUCAUCCCGUGAUCAACUCCUUGAUCACAUUGUGCACAUUAUGAUGAUGUCCUACCGAGUGGGCCUAGAGAUACCUCUCCGUCACACAGAGUGACAAAUCCCAGUCUCGAUUCGUGCCAAUCCAACAGACACUUUCGGAGAUACCCGUAGUGCACCUUUAUAGCCACCCAGUUUUGUUCUGACGUUUGGUACACCCAAAGCAUUCCUACGGUAUUCGGGAGUGGCACAAUCUCAUGGUCUAAGGAAAAGAUACUUGACAUUUAGAAAAGCUUUAGCAUACGAACUAGACGAUCUUGUGCUAGGCUAAGGAUUGGAUCUUGUCCAUCACAUCAUUCUCCUAAUGAUGUGAUCCCGUUAUCAAUGACAUCCAAUGUCCAUGGUCAGGAAACCAUGACCAUCUGUUGAUCAAUGAGCCAGUCAACUAGAGGCUCACUAGGGACAUGUUGUGGUCUAUGUAUUCACACAUGUAUUGCGGUUUCCGGUCAAUACAAUUAUAGCAUGAUUAAUAGACAAUUAUCAUGAACAAGGAAAUACAAUAAUAACCAUUUUAUUAUUGCCUCUAGGGCAUAUUUCCAACAGUCUCCCACUUGCACUAGAGUCAAUAAUCUAGUUCACAUCACUAUGUGAUUGUAAUGAAUCGACACCCAGGGGGUUUGAUCAUAUCUUGCUUGUGAGAGAGGUUAUUAGUCAACGGAUCUGAACCUUUCAGAUCCGUGUGUGUUUUGCAAAUCUCUAUGUCAUCUCCUAGAUGCAGCUACCACGCUCUAUUUGGAACUAUUCCAAAUAACUAUUCUACUAUAAGAAUCUGGUUUACUACUCAAAAUAAUCCGGAUUAGUGUCAAAGUUUGCAUCGGCGUAACCCUUUACGAUGAACAGUUUUACCACCUCCAUAAUCCAGAAAAUUCCUUAGUCCACUAGUUACUAAGGAUAAGUUUGACCGCUGUCCUGUGAUCCAUUCCUGGAUCACUCUUGUACCCCUUAACUGACUCAUGGCAAGGCACACUUCUGGUGCGGUACACAGCAUAGCAUACUAUAGAGCCUACGUCUGAAGCAUAGGGGACGACCUUCGUCCUUUCUCUCUCUUCUGCCGUGGUCAUGUCUUGAGUCUUACUCAAUACUCAUACCAUAUAACACAGCCCAGAACUCCUUCUUUGCUGAUCUAUUCUGAACUCCUUCAAAAUCUUGUCACGGUAUGUAUUCAUUUGAAAGUACUAUUAAGCGUUUUGAUCUAUCCUUAUAGAUCUUGAUGCUCAAUGUUCAAGUAGCUUAAUCCAGGUUUUCCAUUGGAAAACACUUUUCAAAUAACCCUAUAUGCUUUCCAGAAAUUCUACAUCAUUUCCGAUCAACAAUAUGUCAACAACAUAUACUCAUCAGAAAUGCUAUAGUGCUCCCACUCACUUCUUUGGAAAUACAAGUUUCUCAUAAACUUUGUAUAAACCCAAAAUCUUUGAUCAUCGCAUGAAAGCGUAUAUUCCAACUCCGAGAUGCUUACUCCAGUCCCUAGAAGGAUUGCUGGGGCUUUGCACACUUGUUAGCAUCUUUCAGGAUUGAAAAAACCUUCUGGUUGUAUCACAUACAACCUUUCCUCAAGAAUAUCGUCGAGGAAACAAUGUUUUUUGACAUCCUAUCUGCAAGAUUUCAUAAAUCAUGCAGUAAUUGCUAAUAUAAUUCCAAUAGACUCUUAGCAUCGCUACGAAUGAGAAAGUCUCAUAGCAGUCAACUCCUUGAACUUGUCGGAAAACAUCUUAGCGACAAGUCGAGCUUUGUUAAUGGUGACACUUACCAUCAUUGUCUGUCUUCCUUUUAAAAUCCAUCUGUACCCAACAGCCUUAUGACCAUCAAGUAGUUCUUCCAAAGUCCACACUUUGUUUUCAUACAUGGAUCCUCUCUCGGAUUUUAUGGCCUCUAGCUAUUUGUCAGAAUCCGGGCCCACCAUUGCUUCUCCAUAGCUCAUAGGUUCAUUGUUGUCUAGCAGCAUGACCUUCAAGACAUGAUUAAUAUACCAUUCUGAAGUAGUACGCAUCCUUGUCACCCUACGAGGUUCGGUAGUGACUUGAUCCGAAGUUUCAUGAUCACUAUCAUCAACUUCCACUUCAAUUGGUGUAGGUGCCACAGGAACAACUUCCUGUGCCCUGCUACACACUGGUUGAAGUGAUGGUUCAAUAACCUCAUCAAGUCUCCACCAUCCUCCCAGUCAAUUCUUUCGAGAGAAACUUUUCCUCGAGAAAGGACCCAUUUCUAGAAACAAUUACUUUUGCUUCCGGGUCUGAGAUAAGAGGUAUACCCAACCAUUUUGGGUAUCCUAUGAAGAUGCAUUUAUCCGUUUUGGGUUCGAGCUUAUCACGAUGAAACUUUUUCACAUAAGCGUCGCAACCCCAAACUUUCAAGAAACGACAGCUUAGGUUUCUCUAAACCAUAGUUCAUACGGUGUCAUCUCAACGGAAUUACGUGGUGCCCUAUUUAAAGUGAAUGCGGUUGUCUCUAAUGCCUAACCCAUGAACGAUAGUGGUAAUUCGAUAAGAGACAUCAUGGUAUGCACCAUAUCCAAUAGGGUGCAGCUAUGAUGUUCAGACACACCAUCACACUAUGGUGUUCCAGGCGGUGUUAGUUGUGAAACAAUUUCCACAAGGCGGUGUUAGUUGUGAAACAAUUUCCACAAUGUCUCAAUUGUGUACCAAACUCGCAACUCAGAUAUUCAUCUCUAUGAUCAUAUCAUAGACAUUUUAUCCUCUUGUCACGAAGAUCUUCAACUUCACUCUGAAAUUACUUGAACCUUUAAACAAUUCAGACUUGUGUUUCAUCAAGUAAAUAUACUCAGCAUCUACUCAAAUCAUCUAUGAAGUAAGAACAUAACGAUAUCCACUUCGUGCCUCAGCACUCAUUGGACUGCACACAUCAAAAUGUGUUACUUCCAACAAGUUACUUUCUUGUUCCAUCUUACUGAAAACGAGGCUUUUCAGUCAUCUUGCCCAUGUGGUGUGAUUUGCAAGUCUCAAAUGAUUCAAAAUCAAGUGAGUCCAAACGAUCCAUAUGCAUGGAGUUUCUUCAUGCAUACAUACUAAUAGACAAGGUUCGCACGUCUCAAACUUUUCAAAAACGAGUGAGUCCAAAAAUCCAUCAACAUGGAGCUUCUUCAUGCAUUUUAUACCAAUAUGACUCAAAUGGAGUGCCACAAGUAUGUGGUAUUAUCAUUACUAUCUUAUAUCUUUUGGCAUGAACAUGUGUAUCACUACGAUCGUGAUUCAAUAAACCACUCAUUUUAGGUGCAAGACCAUUGAAAGUAUUAUUCAAAUAAACAGAGUAACCAUUAUUCUCCUUAAAUGAAUAACCAUAUUGCGAUAGACAUAAUCUAAUCAUGUAUAUGCUCAACGCAAAAACAAAAUAACAAUUAUUUAGGUUUAACACCAAUCUCGAUGGUAGAGGGAGUAUGCGAUGCUUGAUCACAUCAAGCUUGGAAACACUUCCAACACAUAUCGUCAUCUCACCUUUAGCUAGUCUCCAUUUAUUCCGUAGCUCUUUUAUUUCUAGUUACUAACACUUAGCAACCAAACCGGUAUCUUAAUACCCUGGUGCUACUAGGAGUACUAGUAAAGUACACAUUUAAUAAAAUGUAUAUCCAAUAUAAUUCUAUCAACUUCGCCAGCCUUCUCAUCUACCAAGUAUCUAGGAUAGUUUUGCUUCAGUGACCGUUCCCUCAUUACAUACCUAUCAAGCAGGCUUUCGGAGGCACAAAUAUUCCCUUCAUAACCACUUUUUACCACCACUACUAGAAUCUGGCACUUUGCCAUCUACCAUGGCAGAUGGCAAAGGCUUUGCCAUCCGCCAGCAGAUGGCAAACAGUUUGUCUGAAACCCUGCCGGCAAAGGCUUCUUUGCCGUCUACUGGCUGAUGGCAAAGAGCCUGUGCCUUUGCCAUCAGGUGGCUGAUGGCAAAGCCUCUUAACGGGGUUAGCCCCAUUAGAAGGCUAACAGCAUACUUUGCCGUCUGCCAGCAGAUGGCAAAGGUUGCAGGCUCUUUGCCGUCUGCCAGCAGAUGGCAAAGGCUACAUGCUUUGCCGUCUGCCAGCAGAUGGCAAAGAGCUUUGCCAUCUGCUGGCAGAUGGCAAAGAGCCCAAAUAGGCCAGCCCAAAUUUUACAUGUAGAUGACAUGUUAGUUGUGAAACAAUUUCCACAAUGUCUCAAUUGUGUACCAAACUCGCAACUCAGAUAUUCAUCUCUAUGAUCAUAUCAUAGACAUUUUAUCCUGUUGUCACGAAGAUCUUCAACUUCACUCUGAAAUUACUUGAACCUUUAAAUAAUUUAGACUUGUGUUUCAUCAAGGAAAUAUACUCAGCAUCUACUCAAAUCAUCUAUGAAGUAAGAACAUAACGAUAUCCACUGCGUGCCUCAGCACUCAUUGGACUGCACACAUCAAAAUGUGUUACUUCCAACAAGUUGCUUUCUUGUUCCAUCUUACUGAAAACGAGGCUUUUCAUUCAUCUUGCCCAUGUGGUAUGAUUUGCAUGUCUCAAGUGAUUCAAAAUCAAGUGAGUCCAAACGAUCCAUAUGCAUGGAGUUUCUUCAUGCGUACAUACUAAUAGACAUGGUUCGCACGUCUCAAACUUUUCAAAAACGAGUGAGUCCAAAAAUCCAUCAACAUGGAGCUUCUUCAUGCGUUUUAUACCAAUAUGACUCCAAUGGCAGUGCCACAAGUAUGUGGUAUUAUCAUUACUAUCUUAUAUCUUUUGGCAUGGACAUGUGUAUCACUACGAUCGAGAUUCAAUAAACCACUCAUUUUAGGUGCAAGACCAUUGAAGGUAUUAUUCAAAUAAACAGAGUAAGCAUUAUUCUCCUUAAAUGAAUAACUGUAUUGCGAUAGACAUAAUCCAAUCAUGUCUAUGCUCAACGUAAACACCAAAUAACAAUUAUUUAGGUUUAACACCAAUCUCGAUGGUAGAGGGAGUAUGCGAUGCUUGAUCACAUCAAGCUUGGAAACACUUCCAACACAUAUCGUCACCUCACCUUUAGCUAGUCUCCGUUUAUUCCGUAGCUCUUUUAUUUCGAGUUACUAACACUUAGCAACCGAACCGGUAUCUUAAUACCCUGGUGCUACUAGGAGUACUAGUAAAGUACACAUUUAAUACAAUGUAUAUCUAAUAUACUUCUGUCAACUUCGCCAGCCUUCUCAUGUACCAAGUAUCUAGGAUAGUUCUGCUUCAGUGACCGUUCCCUCAUUACAGAAGCACUUAGUCUCGGGUUUGGGUUCAACCCCGGGUUUCUUCACUGGAGCAGCAACUGAUUUGCCGUUUCAUGAAGUACCCCUUCUUGCCCUUGCCCUUCUUGAAACUAGUGGUUUCACUAACCAUCAACAAUUGAUGCUCCUUCUUGAUUUCUAUUUUCGCGGUCUCAAACAUCGCGAAUAUUUCAAGGAUCAUCAUAUCUAUCCAUGAUAUGUUAUAGUUCAUCACGAAGCUCUAGUAGCUUGGUGGCAAUGACUUUGGAGAAACAUCACUAUAUCAUCUGGAAGAUUAACUCCCACUCGAUUCAAGCGAUUGUAGUACUCAGACAAUCUGAGCACAUGCUCAACGAUUGAGCUUUUCUCCCUUAGUUUACAGGCUUAGAAACUUGCCGGAGGUCUUACACCUCUUGACAUGGGCACGAGCCUGAAAUCCCAAUUUCAGCUCUUGGAACAUCUCAUAUGUUCUGCGACAUUUCAAAAAUGUCUUCGGUGCCUCAAUUCUAAACUGUUUAACAUUACGCACUGAACUAUCACGUAGUCAUCAAAACGUGUACGUCAGAUGUUCGCAACAUCCACAAACGACGCUCGAGGUUCAGCACACCGAGCGGUGCAUUAAGGACAUAAGCCUUCUGUGCAGCAAUGAGAACAAUCCUCAAUUUACGGACCUAGUCCGCAUAAUUGCUACUAUCAACUUUCAACUAAAUUUUCUCUAGGAACAUAUCUAAAACAGUAGAACUAAAAUGCGAGCUACGACAUAAUUUGCAAAGACCUUUUGACUAUGUUCAGGAUAAUUAAGUUCAUCUAAUGAACUCCCACUCAGAUAGACAUCCCUCUAGUCAUCUUAAGUGAUACAUGAUCCGAGUCAACUAGGCCGUGUCCGAACAUCACGUGAGACGGACUAGUCAUCAUCGGUGAACAUCUUCAUGUUGAUCAUAUCUACUAUACGACUCAUGCUCGACCUUUCGGUCUCUUGUGUUUUGAGGCCAUGUCUGUACAUGCUAGGCUCGUCAAGUCAACCUAAGUGUUUUGCGUGUGUAAAUCUGGCUUACACCCGUUGUAUGUGAACGUUAGAAUCUAUCACACCCGAUCAUCACGUGGUGCUUCGAAACAACGAACUUUCACAACGGUGCACAGUUAGGGGGAAGAAUUUCUUGAAAUUAUUUCGAGGGAUCAUCUUAUUUACUACCGUCCUUCUAAGCAAAUAAGAUGCAUAAACAUGAUAAACAUCACAUGCAAUCAAAAAGUGACAUGAUAUGGCCAAUAUCAUUUUUCUCCUUCUGAUCUCCAUCUUCGGGGCUCCAUGAUCAUCAUCGUCACCGGCAUGACACAAUGAUCUACAUCAUCAUGAUCUCCAUCAUCGUAUCUCCAUGAAGUUGUCUCGCCAACUAUUACUUCUACUACUAUGGCUAACGGUUUAGCAAUGAAGUAAAGUAAUUACAUGGCGUUAUUCAGUGACAUGCAGGUCAUAAAUAAAGACAACUCCUAUGGCUCCCGCCGGUUGUCAUACUCAUCGACAUGCAAGUCGUGAUUCCUAUUACAAGAACAUGAUCAAUCUCAUACAUCACAUAUCAUUCAUCACAUUUUUUGGCCAUAUCACAUCACAUAGCAUACCCUGCAAAAACAAGUUAGACGUCCUCUAAUUGUUGUUUGCAUGUUUUACGUGGCUGCUAUGGGUUUCUAGCAAGAACGUUUCUUACCUAUGCAAAAGCCACAACGUGAUAUGCCAAUUGCUAUUUACCCUUCAUAAGGACCCUUUUCAUCAAAUCCGAUCCGACUAAAGUGGGAGAGAAUGGCACCCGCUAGCCACCUUAUGCAACAAGUGCAUGUCAGUCGGUGGAACCUGUCUCACGUAAGUGUAUGUGUAAGCUCGGUCUGGGCCGCUUCAUCCCACAAUACCGUCGAAACAAGAUAGGACUAGUAACGGUAAGCAUAUUGAACAAAAUCAACGCCCACAACAACUUGUGUUCUACUCGUGCAUAGAAUCUACGCAAUAGACCUAGCUCAUGAUGCCACUGUUGGGGAACGUAGCAGAAAUUCAAAAUUUUCCUACGAGUCACCAAGAUCUAUCUAUGGAGAGACUAGCAACGAGAGAGAGGAGUGCAUCUACAUACCCUUGUAGAUCGUGAGCGGAAGCGUUCAAGAGAAUGGGGUUGAGGGAGUCGUACUCGGCGUGAUCCAAAUCACCAAAGAUCCUAGUGCCGAACGGACGGCACCUCCGCGUUCAACACACGUGCAGCCCGGUAACGUCUCACGUGCCUUGAUCCAGCAAGGAGAGAGGGAGAGGUUGGGGAACACUCCGUCCAGCAGCAGCACAACGGCGUGGUUGUGAUGGAGGAGUGUGGCAUUCCAGCGGGGCUUCGCCAAGCACCGCAAGAGACGAGGAGGGAGAGAGGUAGGGUUGCGCCUUGGGAGAGUUCAUCUCUUGUCUUUUUGCAGCGCCCAAUACCUCAAGUAUAUAUAGGGGAAGGGGAGGGGCUGCGCCCCCAUCUAGGGUUCCCUCCCUAGGGGUGGCGGCAGCCCCCAAAACCCAUCUAGGGUGCGGCCAAGGGGGGAAAGAGAGGGGGGCGCCCUAGGGUGGGCCUUAAGGCCCAUCUGGACCUAGGGUUUGCCCCCUCCCACUCUCCCUGGUGGAGGGGCGCACCAGCCCACCUGGGGCUGGUCCCCUCCCACACUUGGCCUACGCAGCCCUCUGGGGCCGUUGGCCCCACCUGGUGGACCCCCGAGACCCUCCCGGUGGUCCCGGUACAUUACCGAUAGCACCCGAAACUUUUCCAGUGACCAAAACAGGACUUCCUAUAUAUAAAUCUUUACCUCCGGAUCAUUUCGGAACUCCUCGUGACAUCCGGGAUCUCAUCCGGGACUCCGAACAACAUUUGGUAACCACGUAUAUCUAUUCCCUAUAACCCUAGCGUCAUUGAACCUUGAGUGUGUAGACCCUACGGGUUCGGGAACCAAGUAGACAUGACCGACACAACUCUCCGGCCAAUAACCAACAGCGGGAUCUGGAUACCCAUGUUGGCUCCCACAUGUUCCAUGAUGAUCUCAUCGGAUGAACCACGAUGUCAAGGAUUCAAUCAAUCCCGUAUAAAAUUCCCUUUGUCUACCGGUAUAGUACUUGCCCUAGAUUCGAUCGUCGGUAUGCUGAUACCUUGUUCAAUCUCGUUACCGGCAAGUCUCUUUACUCGUUCUGUAACACAUCAUCCCGUGAUCAACUCCUUGAUCACAUUGUGCACAUUAUGAUGAUGUCCUACCGAGUGGGCCCAGAGAUACCUCUCCGUCACACGGAGUGACAAAUCCCAGUCUCAUUUCAUGCCAACCCAACAGACACUUUCAGAGAUACCCGUAGUGCACCUUUAUAGCCACCCAGUUACGUUCUGACGUUUGGUACACCCAAAGCAUUCCUACGGUAUCCGGGAGUUGCACAAUCUCAUGGUCUAAGGAAAAGAUACUUGACAUUUAGAAAAGCUUUAGCAUACGAACUACACGAUCUUGUGCUAGGCUUAGGAUUGGGUCUUGUCCAUCACAUCAUUUCCUAAUGAUGUGACCCCGUUAUCAAUGACAUCCAAUGUCCAUUGUCAGGAAACCAUGACCAUCUGUUGAUCAAUGAGCCAGUCAACUAGAGGCUCACUAGGGAGAUGUUGUGGUCUAUGUAUUCGCCCAUGUAUUGUGGUUUCUGGUCAAUACAAUUAUAGCAUGAAUAAUAGACAAUUAUCAUGAACAAGGAAUUACAAUAAUAACCAUUUUAUUAUUGCCUCUAGGGCAUAUUUCCAACAAUAAGAGGACGUGAGGAGCUCACCGGAGGGGGUUCUAGCCUAGGUCGAGCUUCAUCACCAUGGAUGCGGCUAGGGGAAUCAGACGAGUCUACCAUCAUAGGAGCAGCAGCACCACCACCGCCAAACUGGAAUGGCCGGAGCUAAUUGCCAUCAUAUGGGUCACCACCACCGAAUGAUCUUGCAAGGUGUAAAGUCUCCACAUUUCAGUAUAAACUAGUGGUGUCAAGAAACAAGCAGUAGCAGGCAGAAGGUAAAAUCUAGUAACUAAUGAUUAGUAGACAAAAACAGGAAAUAGAUCGCACCAGUAGCAAAGUCCACUGCCGCAAGUCCUAAACAUUUCAUUCAGAUCAUAUAUGAAACUCACUAGUUUCUCCAUUCUGAAAGCUGGGAUGAUAGAUGCCUUCAAGUCCGCGAGUGCAAAGAGCGAGGUGGGGAUCAGUAAAUAUCAAGGAUGUUGUUGUUCUGGGUUAAGCUAAGUAAAAAAAAUCAAGGGCAUAACAGAUUCAAUUCAACAAAAAUUAACAUGUGUACAUCUUGCGUAGACUAUCAUCAUUUAUAAAAUAAAUACAAAACAAAAUAUGCAAAAGUUGUACAAUGGUUAAGUGCUCACAUUUAAAUGCUCAAGAUGCAGAACGCUUAUUUACAAUAGUUUAGGUUUUUAAAUUUGUCAUCUUGAAGCAUCACACUAGCAAAUGACAUGAAAGAUCACAGGAAAUAACACUAGCCCCUGAUCAAGUAUACUCUAAGCAUCAAAAAAGUCAAACAAGCUCAUUGUGCAUUUUCUUUUUCAGCAUGAGACACAAUAAAAUGUCUAGAAAAUCUAUUGAAUGGCAUCAGUCCCAAAUUCUAUCUGGUGUGCUAGUAAAUCUGGACGAUCGAUGAACAUCAAACAUAUCAAGAAAAACAGUACACAAGGCAUCAACCUAAUUUCAGCAAGCAAAUUAACUCAAUUUGAAGAGAUAGAUGACAGCUAAAAACUAACACUGAAUCUAUAAGGUUCAGUACAAUAGAGUUGGGGCAGAGCCACUGUACAAUACUGUAUCGAGGCAGCAACCGAAUUUCAGUAAGCAAAUUAACUGAAUUGAAAGAGAUAAAUCUUGUUUGCUUCUUGGCACCCCACACUCUACUCCACUACAGAUGUACCCGAACUAAUUUGCAAUCAACCAUGAAUAGUAAGUAGAGUAGAUUUCCGGAAUCUGGAACUAAACUAACCAAAUUAAUCAUAACAAGGUGGCAUGGAUAGAAAUCUGGAACUAAACUAAGAACUUCGAAUUAAAAGAGGAGAAGCAAAGGUUGAGGAAUUAGUUGCUCCCCUGCCGGUGCAUUGGUUGUCGAGGUUGAGGAGGUUGUGUCCAUGGCCGCACCAUCGACCUGAGCUGCAACCCAGCAUCCACCGCAGACCCAUCUUUGCGCUCGAAAGAGACGACCGCUUCAGACCCCUCCUAGCUCCCCUCCGACGGUGGUCUCCUCCUUGUUCAUCCGCCUUGCUAUGGCUUCAGGGUGGCAGGCCAGGCCGUCCCUUGUCACUGGGUGUCGUUGUCCAUGGCCAGAUCUAGCCACUCCAUGGUGUCCGCGCAGGGGAGGAAGUGGCCAUCCUGUCCAUGGCGUCCCGGUGCUUGAGCGACGAUGGAUCAGAGAGUUAAGAGGGGACGUGGUAAAGAAGAUAAGGAAGGAGGGAUGUGGCAAGGGAAGAGAGGGGAUCUGACUCAGCGGAGCAACGCUAGUGCCACACCAGCUACGUGGUAGCCCAAACCCUAGUGAAUCGGUGUUUUUCGAAUGUAACUCAUCCCUUGGCAGAAUAUUGCUGUCAUAUUCACAACGGAAGAAUUCCUGUCCAGCUGACAAUGCAGAUGAUGGAGAUGUUGAUAAGCAAAUCAGCAGUAUUCUGCAUUUUUUUACCUGGCUCGUAUCAAUUCAUGUUAAUUGCAUUCAGCUAGAAAGUAGAGUACAAUCCUGAUAAUUACAUUCAGCUACUGAAAUAAGGUAAGACAAUAUUCUGCCAAUCAUCACCCACUGGUAAACGAUGAUCUCAACAAGGUAAGACUGCAGACAAUGACCUCAGAGAGAUGUAUGUAACUAGCAGCUGUGCAUUCACCUGCCAUUCCAUGAAUAACCUGCAACUACUCUCACCCACUGGUCAAUAUUCCAACUAAUACUAUGAAGCCUUAGCUUACAAGAACACAUUUGAGUUUAAGGUGAUUGGUUAUAUCUCCGUGAUCAUGUUCAUUCUGAAAAGCUUUAUUCCAUAGCAUGACCCAAUAAACAAAUGUAUGUCAGUUUAAGGAAUAUAGAGGUCCUAUAUCAUGGGAAAACAUAGCAUGUGAGCGUCAGCAUACACACUGCCUACAAGCACAUGCCCGCAGCCUCGUGGCAACAAUCGUUCAGUUUGCUCUAGUGCAACCAAAGAGGCAAAGAGCACCAAAUACAGUUUACGGUGAAAAAAUUUAUCUAUCAUCUCCAGUUUCAUAUCACAAACACACAUACUAGAUCAACUAAUCUGGAUCAUGAACUUACUUUUGCAGCUUAUUUCAAAAAUUCUGUAGCAAAUGGCCAGUAACUUCACCUUUACUUCUCCAAUUGUGUUGUCACACAACAGGCUUGGUUCUGUCCUCCUUGAGAAUGAAUAGGGAGUCACGCGAAGAGGGAGCCCCACUCGUCUGCGGGGACAAGUGCAGAGGUGGCCCUGGCUGUGGCGAUGGCAGGGGUCGGGACGGAUGAGGCCUGCGCCGGGCCCCGCUGGACUAUCCCGCCGUCAUCGUCAGAGUAGAAUGAGGAGGUGGCCUUGGAUGAGGCGAGGAGGGCGGCGAGCGGGGAGGAGGCCGUUGCGCCCUAAGUGCGGCCGUGGCGGCGGACGUGGCGGCGGCGAGUGUGCGCGAGCUGGAGAGGAUGGAGUGGCGCCGAGAUUGCAUCUGGAGGCGGCGAUGAUGGAGUGGGCUGGGAUAGGGUUCGGGGGGUUGGGCUGCCCAGAGGGUGGGGGUUCUUUUUCUUUCUUUCUCUUUUUUUGUUUAGAUAAAUGGGAUGGAUGGAUGGAUAGAUGGAUGGUGGAUGGAUGGAUGCCAUGUCAUCAAUCCAUGACACAAACAUUUCAACCAAUGAGAACAAAAAUAACCCCACAUUUUUUUACCUGGAAAAAAAUAACCCUAUCUCUUUGCCAUCUGCCAGCAGAUGGCAAAGAAUCUUUGUCGUCUGCUGGCAGAUGGCAAAGAGGUGGGGCUGGUACGCCGUUACACUCUUGACGGCCACAGGAUUUGCCAACCUCUUGGCCAUCUGCUGGCAGAUGGCAAAGAUUAUUUUCCAUCCACUAGUAGAUGGCAAAGAAUUGGCUGAUGGCAACCAUGUUCUUUGUCGUCUGUUAGUUCUUUGCCAUCUGUUUUUUAUAAGCAGAUGGCAAAGACGUUCUUUGCCAUCAGCUGGCAGAUGGCAAAGAGCUGGCUGAUGGCAAAUUCUCUGUUUCAGUAGUGCACUUGAGCAUGGAGCAUCUCUCCUUUAAAAAUUAGUUAUUUCAUUCGUCUGUAUAUUUAUGCACACAAAUAUUCAAACUUUAUUUUUGUACUGAUAUUAUAAUUUACAUUUUGUUUUGAGGGAAGAGAUUAUAAUUUACAUACUUUCUACAAAUAAAAUAGAAAGAAAAGGAACUGGUGUAAAAUGGAUCGCAGUAUCUGCAGCCCAAAUUCCACAUGUUUUGUGUUUAAAUACAUGUAACUAUGUUAUCAUUGUGUACCCAGGAACGUGAAUGAUGGAGUGGUUUAGCCGGCUUCUGCCUGAAAUCUUAAAAGUGGGUACGCUCUCGUUGGAGAGAACAAGCGGCCGCUCUGCCACAUGCAUGUGUACCUUUUUCUUGUCUACUAGUGCAUGUGGUCAUCCGUAUUAAAUGUGAAUCAGACUGGUCAUAUCUAAAGGAAAAAACAGAUCCAUGUUCGCUUAUUUUGGGUUUUCAAAUUUUUAAGAAGUCAUAUCUUUCAAACCGCGUGUCGAAAUUCAGAUUUGUCUUCAUUGUUGGAUUCUUCGCGACGAGAUCUUUGAAACUAGAUCCCACAUGAGUAUGUUUCGAAAAAAAAAUUGAUGCCAACUUUGGUGUUAUAUGGUGCAACUUUAGUACUGUCACUGGUAGAAAAAGAGGCUUCCAUCCAGCCCCAUUAGUUGCGAAACUGUAGGAACCGCGACUAAUGAAGUCUUUAGUCGCGGUUCGGCAGACGAACCGCGACCAAAGGCUUGGGCCAGGGCGCUCGGUGGCCAGCUGGUGCACGUGAGGGGCUUUAGUCGCGGUUGGCCAGGCCAACCGUGANNNNNNNNNNNNNNNNNNNNNNNNNNNNNNNNNNNNNNNNNNNNNNNNNNNNNNNNNNNNNNNNNNNNNNNNNNNNNNNNNNNNNNNNNNNNNNNNNNNNNNNNNNNNNNNNNNNNNNNNNNNNNNNNNNNNNNNNNNNNNNNNNNNNNNNNNNNNNNNNNNNNNNNNNNNNNNNNNNNNNNNNNNNNNNNNNNNNNNNNNNNNNNNNNNNNNNNNNNNNNNNNNNNNNNNNNNNNNNNNNNNNNNNCGACUAAAGGUGCCCAAAGGCCUUUAGUCGCGGUUGGCCUGGCCAACCGCGACUAAAGCUCCUCCCCUAUAUAUACCAGUUCAGCGCACUCACUUAGCCAUUUGGUGCCACUUCUCUUCACAAGGGGGUGUAGGUUUGCUUUUGGUUCCUCUUAUGCACACAAGGUGUUUGAUGAAAUGCCCAACAGCGUGAAACAAACAUGAUAUGAAGUGUUGGAGCCACACUUGAGGUUCCUCCUCGAUCGCGGUUAGCAACUUGAACCUUUCAUGCAUGUGUGUCAUUGAUAAAAUAUGCAUGUGUGUUGUUCAUUGUUUAAUUUCUAUUGUUUAUAGCUUGUUAGUUUAACAAAUGCAUGAUGGUUAAUUAUAUAUUUUAUAUUAUAAUAAUGCAGAUGAAUCGGCAAUGGAUGUACGGUAACCGACUCUCCCGCGAGUUCACUACGGGUUUGAAAGAUUUCCUCGUAGUGGCUAAUGCGAACAAGCAGAAGGGUUUUGUUAUCUGUCCAUGUGUUGACUGUAAGAAUCAGAAGGGUUACUCUUCCUCAAGAGAAGUUCACCUGCACCUGCUUCGGCACGGUUUCAUGCCAAGCUAUAAUUGUUGGACCAAGCAUGGAGAAAGAGGGGUUAUAAUGGAAGAAGAUGAAGAAGGGGAUGAUUUCAUCGAUGAAAGCUAUCUUGCUCAUUUCGGUGAUACUUUCAUGGAGGAUGCUGAAGGUGAAGGGGAAGGUGAAGGGGAAGGUGAAGGGGAAGGUGAAGGUGAAGGUGAAGAAGAGGCACGUGAUGAGACCGUUGAUGAUCUUGGUCGGACCAUUGCUGAUGCACGGAGACGCUGCGAAACUGAAAAGGAGAGGGAGAAUUUGGAUCGCAUGUUAGAGGAUCACAGAAAGUCGUUGUACCCCGGAUGCGAUGAUGGUCUGAAAAAGCUGGGCUGCACACUGGAUUUGCUGAAAUGGAAGGCACAGGCAGGUGUAGCUGACUCGGCAUUUGAAAACUUGCUGAAAAUGUUGAAGAAUAUGUUUCCAAAGAAUAACGAGUUGCCCGCCAGUACGUACGAAGCAAAGAAGGUUGUCUGCCCUCUAGGUUUAGAGGUUCUGAAGAUACAUGCAUGCAUCAACGACUGCAUCCUCUACCGCGGUGAAUACGAGAAUUUGAAUGAAUGUCCGGUAUGCACUGCAUUGCGUUAUAAGAUCAGAGGCGAUGACCCUGGUGACGAUGUUGAGGGCGAGAAACCCAGGAAGAGGGUUCCCGCCAAGGUGAUAUGGUAUGCUCCUAUAAUACCACAGUUGAAACGUUUGUUCAGGAACAAAGAGCAUGCCAAGUUGUUGCGAUGGCACAAAGAGGACCGUAAGUCGGACGAUGAGUUGAGACACACCGCAGAUGGAACGCAAUGGAGAAAGAUCGACAGAGAGUUCAAAGAUUUUGCAGCUGAUGCAAGGAACAUAAGAUUUGGUCUAAGUACAGAUGGCAUGAAUCCUUUUGGCGAGCAGAGCUCCAGCCAUAGCACCUGGCCCGUGACUCUAUGCAUCUACAACCUUCCUCCUUGGUUGUGCAUGAAGCGGAAGUUCAUUAUGAUGCCAGUGCUCAUCCAAGGUCCGAAGAAACCCGGCAACGACAUCGAUGUGUACCUAAGGCCAUUAGUUGAUGAACUUUUACAGCUGUGGGGCAGACCUGGUGUCCGUGUGUGGGAUGAGCACAAAAAAGAGGAAUUUAACCUACGAGCGUUGCUUUUCGUAACCAUCUACGAUUGGCCUGCUCUUAGUAACCUUUCGGGACUGUCAAAUAAGGGAUACAAUGCAUGCACGCACUGCUUACAUGAGACUGAAAGUGUACAUUUGCCAAAUUGUAAGAAGAACGUGUACCUUGGGCAUCGUCGAUUUCUUCCGAAAAUUCAUCCAGUAAGAAAGAAAGGCAAGCAUUACAACGGCAAGGCAGAUCACCGGCCGAAGCCUGCGGAACGCACUGGUGCUGAGGUAUUUGAUAUGGUCAAGGAUUUGAAAGCCAUCUUUGGAAAGGGUCCUGGCGGACAAUCAGUUCCGAAGGGAGCUGACGGGCACGCAGCCAUGUGGAAGAAGAAAUCUAUAUUCUGGGAGCUAGAAUAUUGGAAAGUCCUAGAAGUCCGCUCUGCAAUCGACGUGAUGCACGUUACGAAGAAUAUUUGCGUGAACCUCCUAAGCUUCUUGGGCGUGUAUGGGAAGACAAAUGAUACAAAGGAAGCACGGCAGGACCAGCAACGUUUGAAAGACCCUGAUGAUCGACAUCCGGAAUGGUUUCAAGGUCGUGCCAGCUACGCUCUGACCAAAGAAGAGAAGGUCAUCUUUUUUGAAUGCCUGAGCAGUAUGAAGGUCCCGUCUGGAUUCUCGUCCAAUAUAAAGGGAAUAAUAAACAUGGAGGAGAAAAAGUUCCAAAACCUGAAGUCUCACGACUGCCACGUGAUUAUGACGCAAUUGCUUCCGAUUGCUUUGAGGGGGCUCCUGCCGGAAAAUGUUCGAGUAGCCAUUGUGAAGCUAUGUGCAUUCCUCAAUGCAAUCUCUCAAAAGGUAAUCAAUCCAGAAGAUCUACCACGGUUACAGAACGAUGUGAUCCAAUGUCUUGUCAGUUUCGAGUUGGUGUUCCCGCCAUCCUUCUUCAAUAUUAUGACGCACCUCUUGGUUCACCUAGUCGAAGAGAUUUUCAUUCUCGGUCCUGUAUUUCUACACAAUAUGUUCCCCUUCGAGAGGUUCAUGGGAGUAUUAAAGAAAUAUGUUCGUAACCGUGCUAGGCCAGAAGGAAGCAUCGCCAAGGGCUAUGGAAAUGAGGAGGUAAUUGAGUUUUGUGUUGACUUUGUUCCUGACCUUAAGCCGAUUGGUCUUCCUCGAUCGCGGCACGAGGGGAGACUAAGUGGAAAAGGCACGAUCGGAAGGAAAUCAACGACAUGUAUGGACGGCCAUUCUCUGACUGAAGCACACCACACUAUACUGACCAAUUCCAGCUUGGUGGCUCCGUACUUUGAGAAACACAAGAAUAUUUUACGCUCGAACAACCCGGGGAAGCCUGAAUCCUGGAUUAGGAAGGCCCACAUGGAGACUUUCGGCAGUUGGUUGAGAAAACAUUUAAUGAAUGACAAUGAUGUUGUAGAUCAGCUGUACAUGUUGGCCAAGACACCAUCUUCGACUAUAACGACUUUCCAAGGGUACGAGAUAAAUGGGAAUAUAUUUUACACGAUCGCCCAAGAUAAAAAGAGCACCAACCAAAACAGUGGUGUCCGCUUUGAUGCAGCAACCGAGAAUGGGCAAAAAGUCACAUAUUAUGGUUACAUAGAGGAGAUAUGGGAACUUGACUAUGGACCCUCCUUUAAGGUCCCUUUGUUCCGGUGCAAAUGGUUCAAGCUAACAGGAGGUGGGGUAAAGGUGGACCAGCAAUACGGAAUGAUAAUGGUGGAUUUCAACAAUCUUGGUUACCUUGACGAACCAUUCGUCCUAGCGAAAGAUGUCGCUCAGGUUUUCUAUGUGAAGGACAUGAGUAGCAAACCGAGGAAAGGGAAAGAUAAGAAAACGAUCAGUACAUCAUGCGAUGAUCCAAAGCGCCACAUUGUUCUUUCAGGGAAAAGAAACAUCGUGGGAGUGGAGGACAAGACAGACAUGUCAGAAGAUUAUAAUAUGUUUGCUGAAAUUCCGCCCUUCAAAGUGAACACUGACCCAAGCAUUAAGUUAAAUGAUGAGGAUGCUCCAUGGAUAUGGCACAAUCGUAAGCAAGCAGGGACACAAGGGAAGAAAUGAUGUGUAAUAAUUUAUUGUACCAAACUUUGUUGAAUGGAUCAUGUGAAUUAUAUUACCCGUGAUGUGUUUGGUGUCCAUUUUCGAAUGAUUCGAGAUACCACUGAUGAUACAUGAAAUUUGGAGUGAUUUAGUCAUACUCCUGCCUAGGCGUAUAAUAUGCAUACUCGUAGUCUUCAUAGCCGCCGCCGUUGUACUGGUAGUCGUCGCCUUCUAAGUUGCCGUCGUCGUCGUCGCUGCUGUCGUCGCUGUCGUACUCCUGCCUAGGCGUAUAAAAUUUUGAAUUGAAUUAGUUUUAUUUUUUUGAAUUUUUUGAUAUAUUAUUUGUAUUUUUAACAUUUUGAAUUGAAUUAGUUUUAUUUUUCUUAAUUUUUUGAUAUAUUAUUUGUAUUUUUAGAAUUUUGAAUUGAAUUAGUUUUAUUUUUCUGAAUUUUUUGAUNNNNNNNNNNCGGCCGGCCUCCCUCGCCCACCGCGCCGCCUCUCGCCCGCCCUCAACGCCGCCGCCCGCCGUUGCCCGCCGCCCCCUCUCGCCCACGUACAGAGAGCUAGCGAGAUCGUGGAGAGAGAGAGAGAACUUUUUUUGUUCUUUUUAAUUUUAACUAGUUAAUUAGUUUAAUAAAAACGGUAAAAUAACUUAACAAAAAACGUAUAACCGUAAAAUUUGAUAACCGUAUAACCGUAAAAUAACUUAACAAAAACGGUAAAAUAACUUAACAAAAAACGUAUAACCGUAAAAUAACUUAAUUAACAAAAAACGUAUAACUUAACAAAUAACCGUAAAAUUUGAUAAUUAACAAAAAAAAUGUAUAUACGGAGAGGGGGCGGCGAGGGGGGCGGCGAUGCGUGCGGUGUUUUUUUUAGGGAUCGAAAGGGGGCGGCGAGGGUUAUACAUGUGUGUUGUCCUCGCCUCCCUCUCCGUGACGCCGUCGUCUGCCGCCCCGUCUCGCGCUCUACCGCGACACCCUCUCCCACCCCUUCCUCGCCCCCUCCUUUUGCCACCGCCCUUUCGCCACCGCCACCGCCACCGCCCCCCUUCUUCACUUAAUUAAUUUGUUUUUACUACAUGUUUUCAGGACUGACAUAAUGGCGGACGAUAGAGCUGACCCGAUUAUGGACAACUAUGAUCCGGACGGUGAAGCACAUAUGUUCGGCAUCAUAAACGGCGAUAUUCUAUAUGUGCCGACCGGACAAGAAGAAGAUGAUAUCUCUUCUUAUAUGAACCUUGACAGUGAAGAUGAAGGGCGCCGUCAGCAAGAUGAUGCCGAACAAACGUCGAUAAACGACGAUCUUCAAAUGGAAGUAGCAACCACCUCCGGCGCCGAGGUAUAUAUAUACAUUGAGCCUCUGGUGAUACAAACUAACUGAUUUGAAUAAAUAUGUGUGGACUAACGCGCGCGACUCUCUUUCUUAUUUUAGCCCUCGGCCGGAUCGUCGAAACAAUCGAGUACGUCGUCAAAGCGUGGCGCAACCAAGACGAUGAAACAAGGAGAAACAUGCACCAUCGAGGUUGUCGACAGUGCAACCGGCAGGCCGCUGGAGCCCCGCAAGAACGCCACCAAGUUUGUCAACCAAUGCGGAGCCAUUGUUAGAGACAACGUCUCGAUCACCGUCCAGGAGUGGAAUAAGCCAAAGAAGGCACGAAUUGCUGGUUUCACUUUUGUCGAUAAGAGAACAAAAAAAGAUUGCUUCAAGAAGCUUAUGGAACAUUUCGUUCUACCUCUGGAAUACAACAAAUUCGAUGAGGAGGGUAACAAGAUUGAGGAAAACAAGGAGAGGAGGAGGCUAGUCAAACAGUUCGCUCUUCAUAAGAUGGCCGACGCAUUCCGGAAAUUCAAGCAAAAUCUAGCCCAUGACUUUGUCAAGCAGAACAAGACUCCGGAUUUCAAAGGACAAUAUGAGAAACUGAAACAUGAUUGGCUAGAAUUUGUGAAGCAAAAGAAAUCGGAGCAGUUCAUUCAAAUAUCAAAAAAAAUAAGGAAAAUGCGGCUAAGAAGGAGUACAAUCAUAUUAUGGGGCCAGGAGGGUAUCGCCUUUGGGAGCCUAGGUGGGAGAAGAUGGAGAACGAGCUGAGGGCGCGAGGAAUCCGUCCAGGUACGGAGGGAUGGGACCCAAGGGCCAAAAGCUGGUGGUACGGGCAUGGGGGAACGCUGAACCCGGAGACAGGGGAGUGUGUUUACCGGGGCAAAAUAAUUAAACCCACCCAAGCCCUUAUUGACGCAAUGAGGGAUGCUCAAGAGGGGAAGAUCAAGUUCAACAGAGAGAACGACGCGCUGACAAAAGCCCUCGGGAAUCCUGAACACGGAGGACGUGUACGAGGCAUGGGGCACAUUCCGUGGAAAAUAGGGUUCCCCCAGAACGAUGACCCGUACGGUUACAGAAGCCAGAAGAGAAAGAUGGAUCGGGAAGCAGAUGUUGUGGCGCGGUUGGCAUCGGAAAUGGAUGUGAUGAAGAAAACCGUGAGUGUACUAGUAGCCGAAAGAGAUGCAGCUCGGGCGCAGCAUGAAGAUCAUCCAGCGGAUCUCAGAAGCCAGCAGCGGAGAAGUAGUGUGGCUUCCACGGAGGCCCCACCGGCUGGUGCAGAUGCACCGACGAUCGAAAUUACUGCACCGGAGCCUCUGGUGGUCGAAAUUACUGCACCGGAGCCUCUGGUGGUCGAAAUUACUGCACCGGAGCCUCCUCGCUACCCCGUGGACGAUAUAAAGGAGAUGAAAGAAUGUCAUCUGUAUUAUCCUAUCGGGAACAUGUCCAUGAAGGUAGCCAUCGGCAGUGCUUUACCAUGUUUACCUGGAGCACUCCACCACAACAACCCCAUUCAAGAUGGCUAUGCUCGUGUCACGGUGGAGGACAUAGUCCAAGGGUUUGAGGACCUGGAGAUUGACAUUGCUACACCUGAAGGGGAGAAAAGACUUGGAGAUGUCAAGCGCCAUUUCAUUCUAUGGCAAAAGAAGUUUAUCAAGUUUCCAGGCGAGGCGCCAAGGACAACAAGUCCACCCCCCUACGGUGGUGGCGGUUCACCUACACCUCCGUCACGUCAGCCGACGCCCCCCAGUCCACAACGUCCGGUGGGUGAUCAGACGCCGCCCCCCAGUCCUCGUCCGGCGGGUGAUUAGACGCUGCCCCCCAAUCCACCUCCGGUAAAGAAGCAGAAGAAGUCUUGGAUUAUUAACCCGGACCCUUAUGUACCUAAGACCACAAAGGUACCGGAGCCAUCACUGAAGCCUCUCCCCACAAGGCCUUGGGAACGUAGUGCCGAGGAAACUGCCGCGGCCGCGGCUGCUGAUCAUAAGAAAUGGAAGGCGGACUACAAGAAGAAAAGAGAGCCCGAGCCCAAGCCAGUAUUUUCUGAUGAGCAAAACAAGUGGGCUAAGUCAUUUUUGAGCACACCGUCCCAAGCCGCAAAGAAUCUGCCUGACGACUAUGCACGUGAACUUCGUAGGCAGGCACUCAUGUUGAAGGAGAAGAAAGAGCGGGCGGAGAACCAUGAGAACAAAGCCUUGGAGGAGGCCGAGAAAACGGAAUUAGAAAGUAAAAAAAGCGGGAAACAAGUUGCCCAGCUCGGGGAACAAAGUAAACAAUCGAUUGCCCCGCUUAUAGUGAAAGCCGCCGGUCCGGAUGACCCCGAUAUCAUAGCAGCUGCAGCAGCACAUGGAUUGACUGUAACGAGUGCCAGAGAACAAGCGGCCAACUUAGGUAUUACUCUUCGUGAACUGUUAGGCCUUGAUGAGGCGCCAGUGAAGGAGGUAGUAAUUACAUAUGUGAAGAAUGGGCCUCUCGUCGAGCCUGCGCAGGAAGAGGAUCUACCUCCACAAAUGAAAGGUCUGCUGAAAUGGUACAAGGGUUACAUAAAAAAUAAAAACGCCAAAGAAUAUAUUUAUGCGGAAGUUAGAUAUGAGCAUCACUUCAAACAUUACUAUGUACAAAUUCAUCUGAGUGAAUUGUUCCAGCUUUUCAAUCUGCGCGAGCUCGACAAAUCUAUCAUCAGUUACUAUGUUCUGUAAGUGAUUUAUUUCUACCCCAUCUCGUUCAUAUUGCCUGCACUAUAUAUAUGUCCUAACUAUAUUGUUGUGUCCGCUAUUAUACAUGCAGAAUGAAGAUUAAGGAAUGCAGAGUAAGGAACAUCCAUGAUGUUGGGUUCAUUGACCCACACAUCGUUAAUGGAUAUGUGUUGGAGCAUCACCCCGCCGACAUGGAGGCAGACCUGUGGCAGUUUCUUACAAAGUAGGAACUCAAAAGUGAUAUUCUAUUUCCUUACCAUUUUGGGUGAGUGUUUCUGUCUUGAGCACAUUCUCUUUUAUUUACUCCAUGCAUGGUAUGUGGCCGGCUAAUCGAUGAGUUAUGCAUGACGUACUGUGCAUGCAUCGUGUCCGCAGGUUCCACUGGAUUCUGCUAGUAAUUAAAGUUGACACCUCAGAAUGUCUCGUCCACGACUCUCUGAAUAAGGAUCCAAAGCUUUGGGGCGACAUGAGAAGAAUGUUGCAGAAGUAAUUAUUUUCAUUCAUUUGCGCUCUAUAUCGAUCGGCCUAUUUUGUUCAUUUCCUAAUAUCAAGUAACUAAUAACUCUCUUGUUCAUUUAAUUUUCUUUGCCUCUUAGGGUUUGGAGACGGUUCGUAGAUACAAAGGUCGGUGAAUUCAAAAAAGAGCUAGAAUUCAAAAGGUCAAAGGCUAAGAAUGGUGAGGAUAUUCAGCCAGCGGGGACCAAUCUAUGUGCAUACUAUGUCUGUGAGAUGAUCCGGAGAUACACCUCUGAGCGGGUUCCGAGUGAUACCAAUGCUCAGAGGAAUAACCUUCGGAUGAUGCUUAGUCCAGAAGCUCGCUUCCGACCACUUCAAGAGGAACUAGCUGGAUGGUUCAGGAGGGAAGUCCUCCAUCCUAAAGGAGAACACCAUUACGAGGACGUAGAACUUUAUAUGCAUUAAAUUAUGUAUGGAAACUUGUUCAAAAUUGUAUAUGGUCAUCCGAUGAUAUUGAAUAUAUAUUGUAUAUUCCUCUUGAAUUCUUUUUGGUUCUAAUUUCAAAUUUGUUUGAAAUUGUACAUUCAUAUGCAUGUAUGUAGUACCGUAGAAUAUGUGAAACUCCUUCAAAAUUAAAAUAAAGCACAAAAGAAAUAAAACAAUACAAAGUAAACAGAAAACAGGUUUACGGGGGGCUAAAACCCUAAACCUGCGGCGGCCUUUAGUCACGGUUGGCUAGAAGAACCGCGACUAAAGGUCCUCCGCCCCGACGGCCGCCUGGCGCCCACGUGGACGGGCCUUUAGUCGCGGUUCUUAAGCAACCGCGACUAAAGGGUGGGGCCUUUAGUCGCGCCCGUUCGGUCGCGGUUGCGCAACCGCGACUAAUGGCAGUUGCGAACCGCGACCAAAGGCCCUUUUUCCACCAGUGUGUAUUGUGCAACUUUAAUACUGAAUGAUGCAAAAAAAUUCAAAACUAAUUUUUAGAGUUGCAUGAUCCAACUUUCUAUGAGGUUGCAACCUAACAACCAUGGCAACCUAUUGUGCAAUUAGUCUACUGCCGGGGCCAACUACCUAGUAGUCGAUGUGCAAAACCUCAUCCCUACCAGUGGAUAUGUAGUUUUUCAAUCUUGGCACACCCUUCCCAGUUCCCCUACCAGUGGUAUGUGCAACUUAGUUUGUUGUUCACGCCAACUGCCUAUUAGUCGAUAUGCAACUCCUUCCCCUCCCUACUUGUGGAUACGUAUUAGUUUUAGUUGGCGGGGGCAACAGACGGAGUUGCACAUAGUCUGCUAGGCAGUUGGCCGGGGCAACAUACGAAGUUGCACAUCUCACAUGCCAGGAUAGAUGGAUGGUGAAAACUCCACAUUAAUGAGGGGAGUGAAAAGUUGCAUAUAGACAGGGUGCUAAAGUUGCACAUCCCACUAGUAGCGGAUGGUGUGGAUCGGGUGCUAGCUAGGAAACUACACAUCCACGAGGGAUACAAGAGAAAGUUGCACAUCACUGUUAGAUAGUUGGCCAUCGCAGCAUAUGAAGUCGCACAUCUACUGCUAGGCAGUUGGCCGAUGCCGUAAAUAGUGAAAGCACAUCCACAGGUAGGAGGAAAGUUGCACAUCAACUACUAGACAGUUGGCCUCGGUAAGAGAUGAAGUUGCACAUCUCACUCAAGUGGGUAGUUUGGGGGUGGAGGUGCCAUCCGUAAAAACUGCACGUCCACAGGAUAGGUGCAAAGUUGCACAUCCACUGCUAGAUGGUUACACAAAACAGGUACUGAAAUUGCACAAUUUUUUUUAUCGAAACUACCAAUGCGAGAUCUAGUUUCGAAGAGCACAUCACAAGGAUUUUAACGGUGGAAAUGGACCUUAAUUCGGAUUCGUGGUUUAAAAGUUAUGGCUUUUCAAAAUUCAUAAAUUGUGAAUUAAAUGCUAGAUAGUCAUCCACGCCAUGAAGAAAAAAAGCCACAACCGAAUGCAUGCGGAUCAUUUAAUACACUAUUGGUAAGUUGUUUCCAUUUAGCCAAUUGGGACCCCCAUAAAAAUAUUUCCUAAUCAGAUGGGGGAGUCAAAUACUUUUCAAAAAGGUCCGGCUGCUGGGAAGCGCUAGCAAGCCAACAACUGUUCGCUAGACGCGUCCAAGUUUCUGUUGUGUGUUCGAGACCUAGAAUCUGCACGUUUUGUUUAAUUUUCACUCUCACCUGACAGGUGGAACCCACUAUUCAUAGAGGUGAAGAAAAUCGCACCUCUCCCACGCCAAGAGGGUUUCUUUGUGAAAAAAUAUAUUUUGAGGGUGUUUCUAGAAAAAACAAGUCACACCCCCCUUCUCUUAGUCCAGUAGCUGACAGCGGGUCCCACGCGCCUAGUCAGCGCCGAUUAUGUACGCAAAAAUGAGAUAAGCAUUAUAGUUGCACAUCAAAGCCAAGUUUUUGCACCACUUUGAUGUAUGCCAUAAUUUCUAGCACGAAAAUGACCGUUUGCGCCAAGUUCUAGCACCACCAAUGUAAUUGACUCUUAUGUCUAACUACGAGCACCUCAAGGGCUUGCGGGUGCAUGGGUGCCUUGACGGUAGCGACAUGUGAUGUGAGCCUUGCAGAUGUAAUAUGCCUCCAAAUGAGUGCUCUGUUCUUCGAGAUGGUCGGUUAUUUUAAUUCAAAUCUUUUUAGGUUUCUGAAAAUCUCACAAAAAAGGGGAAGUCGCUUGUCAAGGAAUGACCCUGACGCCUAGCAGAUUUCUUAAUCGAACCAUUUUCUUGAAACGUGGCCACAUAUGUUGGAGCAUGGCAACAAGUUUUUGUGGCAUCCAAAUCGAUUCAACAGCGCAACCUAUGUAUUUAGUGUUGUCCUUGCUUGAUUUGAUAGAGUGGAACAAAACAUAGCAUUGUUAGUUGGUCAAUUACAAGCUUAUAUGUAUGCCGACAAUUAUAUCCGCAAAGGGAAAAUAGUGGCUGAACGCGGGUGCACGAAAACAUAUCAAAACAUUUUGAAAAAAUCUGAAACUUUGUGAGAAUGAUUGUGAACAAAUGUUAUAGAUGCUUGCAAAGAUUGGUGGUCAAAUGACAUCCUGGAGCUCUGUAAUUUUUUUACUCAAACACUGCACAUAUAUUUUGAGUAAUUUUGUAUUUUUUUUUGUACAGAGCUCCUCGAAUAUCAUUUGACCACCAAACUGUGCAAGCACCUCUAAAAUUUGUUCAUGAUCUUUCCCACAAAGUUUCAGAUUUUUUUCGAAAUGUGUUGUUGUACUUUCGUGCGGGGGUACACCAAAACUACUCUCAUCGGCAAAAACAAAAUUCUAACCAGAAGUAUGCAAUGAUGAUGAUGCAUAGACCCCUUACUUGAUACUCCCUCCGAUUUAUAUUAAUUGUCACUGAUUUAGUACAACUCGUCAAAAAAUAUGGUUUGGAGGGAGUAGUUAUGUUUCAGUUUCCUUACUGGUAGUAGAUAAUGUCGCUUUAGAUUAUAUAGGUUAUGUUUUAGAUUUGUUAAGAACUGCACGGGAAUUGUUGGAUGCCAUAAAACAUACAUGUCUACUGUAGUAAUAAAUGAGAUCUGUACUACAUUUAGUUAAAUGGUAUACAUGAACCCGUAAGUUAGUCCCUAGCCACAUAAAUCACAUUGUUUUGUCAUGUUCUAAAACAAAAUAGAACAAGAGUUACAUUACUUGAGUUUGAAACAAAAUUAGAUUGGCACUCCUCGUCGCUUUCUCCCUGGCAAAGAACUACCUUCAUGUGUGUCCUGGACACAACUUCUAACAAAAUGAGCAAAUGAGUUAUGAGGUGGUAUCCUUGAUUCCCAUGAAAUUAGAAUAAAAUCUUUUUUGGGUAUAACACUAGGAUCUGCUAGAAGUUCCCCUAGUGUCACACUUGGUGAUUCUUCCUUGAUAGAAACAUUAGCAGUAUAACUUGUCAUGGUAAGUGGAUGUGAAGCAAAAUCUGUUAUGUCCACUGGAUGGCCUUGUUCUAUAAGCUUGCUUGGGUGCGCACCAUACAUGGAGAGGUUUCUUCUAAUGUGUCUUAGCCCCUUGUCCAGUAUGCAACGCCAAAAGUGAACAUUGAGGUUCCUUCUCAACACAUCGGCAAACAUAUUUGCUGCAAGGAGUGAACUAUGUGUAUUGUGCAACUCCUUGGCAAACUCAUCAGCUAGCUGUACUAGCCGUGGAUGUUCAGUGUGGUAUACACUCCCGAAUGCCAGUGUGUUGAAAAGGUAGCUCAACUCGUCAUAGGACAGAGCACUUAGGAAAAUAGGCUGCACCGAUCCAAGCCGGGAUAAUCUUUUAAGUUUACUUAUGAUUAUGAUCUUGCUUCCUCUGCUGAUUCUUAUGAGAAAUGAAUGAAACUUUUUCCAAUCAUCAUCACCUACAUUAGAAGUUAACUCAAUAACUACCAACAUCGUCCCAAACAUGUUCCCUCCAUGGUUAAGUAUGGUCAGAGGUUGUCUCCAUUUAAGUUCAAAAUAGAGGAGAAGCGUGAGCGAACCCUUUCUUCGCCACAAGCAUGAGCAAGCAAUGUUUUCUUUCCAACUCCAACACCACCUAUGACCAGAAGAACUGCUAGUGCAUGAUCACCAGGAGGGCUGUUCUGCUCCAACAAGAAGCUCAAGAGCUUUUGCUUUUCAGCGUGUCGGCCAAACAUGAAGUUGCUAGUGUAAAGAUAAACAUCAUAUACCCUAUGAGACAGGCGCUCGCAUCCAGCCAGAAGCACAACAUAUUCUGCCAUGUUAGCAACAACAAUUUCUAAGCCUUCCAAAGCACCAUCUGACUCGAGGCGCAUGGCCCUGUCAUCCUUCUUACUUCUUGUUCGAGAACGCUUGAAAGGAAUGGAUAGAUACGAGCUGCUACUAGAUGAGUCGUUGAUGCUAACCUCAUCAAAGCCUGCACUGUCUUGGAGUGUUUGGUACCUCAAGGUGUCCAGCACGCGGUAUCCUUUGUACAUGGCCUCCGAGAGCAUCUUUAGCUGCAACAACAUCCCAGAAUUUGUUAUGUACCGCGCAUCUGCCUCCUCGACGAUGAUGCUGACUCUCAUCAGGAGGUGUUGCAAUCUCCCCACCAGCUUUUCCUCUGAUUGUGCAUCGCUCAAGGGUGAGUAGUACUUGUUCUUCAGGAAGGAGAUGAAACGGCUCACUAGUUCACCCGUGACUACAAAUAUGGCAACCUCCAUGGCAAGCAAGAAGAGCAACCGAUGAGGGGAGCUACUGGUCUAUCUCUGUGGAGUCUGGACAAAUUAACUAGCAUUUGUCUAGUCUUUCAUAGUUUCACACACAAUAGAAAACUCCCUAAACUAAUAAUUGCAAUGAGUUCAAGGGUGGGUGGCAAAAGACUGCUAACAUGUACCCUUAAACUACCCCAUGUAAUACACAAGUUGGGCUCCUAGUAAAAACAUGUGAGAAUGACAAGCCUACUGCCCAAGUGACAUCGAAACAUUGACUUGUAUUUUUAAUAUUCACAGUAGGUAGGUCCAAAUUAAUAUGGUGCCAUACUAACCUGUUUUUGCAAUUGGAGAUCACGACAUCAUUAUUUCUUUAAUCAUAUUCCUGGAAGAUGUUUGAAUCCAGGUUGAGAAGACAGAGGCUACCGUUGUGUACAAUAUUCUCAUACAAUCAAUAUACAUAUCACUGAUUUUACACAACAGCAAAAUACUUGAAGUUACUUCUUGAGUAAUCAAUUUUUGAGAAGAUAUGCUACCAAUUUGUUGGAUAAAUUCCCUCCUUUUGGUUCUGCAGAACCCAAUCCGUAUGUCUGCAUGUGGUUUACUUCUUGAGUAAUCAAAUCUUUUACUUCAUGGCUCGAAACUGUUGCACCAUCGGCGUUCUUCAUGGCGCGAUCCGGCAUCUAUUGAUGGACAAACCUGAUGUUGCUCUCCACAAUGGUAAACCUGUUGUGGUUCUGAAUAACUAAUAAUUUACUAAAUGUGUUCGAACUACAACAUGGAUUUCUUUCCAGUUCAAAAGUAGGACUUACCUUUCUAACCGAAAUUGCUUUGCAACUGUUGUAUAUCUGCUCCCAUAACAAAUUUGAACAAGUCAGAUGAUGAUUCGUAGACCUUUUCUUGUUAAUUUAAUUUAUAUUUCAUUAGUUAGCCACCUUAUUAAUACUAGCUAGAUCUAUUGACUAUUAGUACCAACUACCAACUACCACUUUAGAUGAUGUUAUCUAUGGCCGUGUGAACAUACCUGUUGCUCAUGUAUCAGCAAAUACAACAAGAGUUUGUAUUACACGAGUUCCCAAACAAUAUUAGAUUGGCACUCACUGGUAGAAAAAACGACCUUACGUUCACCUCGUUAGUCCUGGUUCAAUUACGGCCCGGUACUAAUGUGACCAUUAGUCCCGGUUUCAACGGCUAGGCAUUAGUCCCGGUUCGUGGUGUACCUAUAGUCCCGAUUUGUGUCACAAACUGGCACUAAAGGGGUGGUGGCAGGCUGGCGUCAGGCCAGGGCCCCAUGAGCCCCUUUAGUCCCGGUUUGUGACACGAACCGGGACUAUAGGUUAUACCUUCAGUCCCGGUUGUAGCCCCCCACCGGGACUAAAGGGGUCUAACCUUUUAGUCCCGGUUGGUGGCUCCAACCCGGACUAAAGGGGUUCUGCAAUUUUCAAACUCUACCCCCCCCCCCUAUUGCCUUUUCAGUUUUGAAAAAAUAACAAAAGAAAAUGAUAAAACUUCAAAACUUUAAAUGUUUCAAGAUGUAGUUAUGUUACUACAUCUACUAGUUAGGGAAAUUUAAAAACAUAAAUUUUGACAUGUUUUGCAAAAAAGUGUUAUGAAAAAAUAAAACGACUAUAACUUUUGCAUAUGAUGUCGGAAAAAACGUAUAAUAUAUCAAAAUGUUCAGCACGAAAAGCCGGUUCCGAUUUCGAUGGCCGUAGGCCGUUUUGAAAAUUUGAAGAAUCCUCAAAUUCAGAAAGGAAAAAAAAUCUAUGCUCAAAUUUCAUUUUUUUUAAUUUUGGUCAAAUCUGGUCAAACUACUUAUUCAAGAAAUAUUAGUGUUACUAAAUAAUUAUUUCAGUUUUUUUGAAUCUUGGUCAAACUUUGGUCAAACUACUUAUUCAAGAAAUAUUAGUGUUACUAAAUAAUUAUUGUUUUUUAGAAUAAUAGUUUCAAACUCAAACAGUGAAACGUGUGAAUUCAUGCUCAAGCUAAACUCCUAAGGGUUAAUAGGAUUGACAGGUUACUAUUGUCAGGAAAACAACAAGUGCAGACUUGGAAACUAGGGGGAAUACAAUUCAGAAGUUAAGAGUGCUCAGGCUGGAGUAGUGAGAGGAUUGGUGAUCGGCCGGGAAGUUAGACGUUUGGAAUGAGUGCUCCACACUUGAGCAGUGAUGAUGGGUGAUUAGAGAUCAAAUAAUUCAGAAAUUUGAAAAUUGGAAGAAAAAAAUCAUUUAUUUUUUUGAAAAAUAUCAAAAAAAUCAAAAAGAUUCCUUUAGUCCCGGUUGGUGACGGUGAUGGUGAAGUGAUCUCCGCAGGGCUUCGCCUAAGCACUAUGAAAAUAUGACCAGGGGUGUAAACGGUGGAGGGGGCGCCGCACACGGCUAGGCAAUUGUCUGGUGUGUGCUAGGCGCCCCCCUCCCACAUAUAUAUAGGUGGGAGGGAGGGAGGAGCAGCCAUAGGAGGCACCCAAGUAGGAGGAAUCCUACUUGGAGUCCCUCCCAAGCCACGUGCCGCCCUGCCAUAUAUAAGUGAGAGGGAAGGAAAGAGGGGGGAGGGAAGGAAGUGGGAAUCCUAAUCCACACUUUCCUUUCCCUUCUCCCCUUUCCUUCUCUUCCUUAGGCCGGCCCAUAUGGGGGGCGCACCAGCCCCUUGUGGCUAGCGUGUUUCCCCUCUUGGCCCAUAAGGCCCAUAUCUUUUGCCGGGGGUGCCCGGAACACCUUUCGGUGACCCGAUAAGUACUUGGUACUGCCCGAAACAAUUCUGGUGUCCGAAUACCAUCGUCCUAUAUAUCAAUAUUUACCUCUCGGUCAUUUUGAGAAUCCUCGUCAUGUAUGUGAUCUCAUCCAGGACUCCGAACAACAUUCGGUCACCAAAUCACCUAACUCAUAUAAUACUAUAUCAUCAUCGAAUGUUAAGCUGCGGAGCCUACGGGUUCGAGAACUAUGUAGAAAUGACCGAGACACCUCUCCGGUCAAUAACCAAUAGCGGAACCUGGAUGCCCAUAUUGGCUCCUACAUAUUCUACGAAGAUAUUUAUCGGUCGAACCGUUAUGACAACAUAUGUAAUUCCCUUUGUCCAUCGGUAUGUUACUUGCCCGAGAUUCGAUCGUCCGUAUCUUCACCUAGUUCAAUCUUGUUACCAGGAAGUGUAUUUACUCAUUACAUAAUACAUCAUCUCGUGACUAACUCCUUAGUCGUUUGCUUGCAAGCUUAUCAUGUGUAUUACUGAGAGGGCCCAAAGAUACCUCUCCGAUACUUGGAGUGACAAAUCCUAAUCUCGAUCUAUGCCAACUCAACAAACACCUUCGGAGAUACCUGUAGAUCAUCUUUAUAAUCACCUAGUUAAGUUGUGACUUUGAUAGCACACAAGGUAUUCCUCCGGUAUCUGGGAGUUGCAUAAUCUCAUAGUCGAAGGAAUAUGUAUUUGACAUGAAGAAAGCAAUAGCAAUAAAACUGAACGAUCAUUAUGCUAAGCUAACAGAUGGUCUUGUCCAUCACAUCAUUCUCCUAAUGUUUUGAUCCCAUUAUCAAAUGACAACACAUGUCUAUGGUAAGGAAACCUUAACCAUCUUUGAUCAACGAGCUAGUCUAGUAGAGGCAUACUAGGGACACGGUAUUUGUUUAUGUAUUCGCACAUGUAUUUAAGUUUUCAAUCAAUACAAUUCUAGCAUGAAUAAUAAACCUUUAUCAUGAAUAAGGAAAUAUAAAAUAACAACUUUAUUAUUGCCUCUAGGGCAUAUUUCCUUCAGUCUCCCACUUGCACUAGAGUCAAUAAUCUAGAUUACAUUGUAAUGAUUCUAACACCCAUGGAGUCUUGGUGCUGAUCAUGUUUUGCUCGCGGAAGAGGCUUAUUCAAUGGGUUUGGUACAUGCAGAUUCAUAUGUAUCUUGCAAAUUUAUGUGUCUCCAUCCUUGACUUGUUCACGAAUGGAGUUGAAGCAUCUCUUGAUGUGUUUGGUUCUCUUGUGAAACAUAGAUUCCUUUGCCAAGGCAGUUGCUCUAGUGUUGUUAGAAAAGAUUUUCAUUGGACCCGAUGCACUAGGUAUUACGCCCAGAUCGGAUAUGAAUUCCUUCAUCCAAACUCCUUCAUUUGAUGCUUCCGAAGCAUCUAUGUACUCCGCUUCACACGUAGAUCCCGCCACGACGCUCUGCUUGGAACUGCACCAACUGACAGCUCCACCAUUCAAUAUAAAUACAUAUCCGGUUUGUGACUUAGAGUCAUCCGGGUCAGUGUCAAAGCUAGCGUCGACGUAACCAUUUACGCCGAGCUCUUUAUCACCUCCAUAAAUGAGAAACAUACCCUUGGUCCUUUUCGGUUACUUUAGGAUGUUCUUGACCGCUAUCUAUUGAUCUACUCCUAGAUUACUUUGGUACCUCCCUACCAAACCUAUGGCAAGGCACACAUCAGGUCUGGUACACAACAUAGCAUACAUGAUAGAACCUAUGGUUGAGGCAUAGGGAAUGACUUUCAUUUUCUCUGUAUUUUCUGCAGUGGUCGGGAAUUGAGUCUAACUCAACUUCACGCCUUGUAACACAGGCAAGAACCCUUUCUUUGAGUGAUCCAUUUUGAACUUCUUCAAAACUUUAUCAAGGUAUGUGCUUUGUGAAAGUCCUAUUAAGCGUCUCGAUCUAUCCUUAUAGAUCUUGAUGCCCAAUAUAUAAGUAGCUUCGCUGAGGUCUUUCAUUGGAAAAUUCUUAUUCACGUAUCCUUUUAUGCUAUCCAGAAAUUCUAUAUCAUUUCCAAUCAACAAUUUGUCAUCCACAUAUAAUAUUAGAAAAGCUACAGAGCUCCCACUCACUUUCUUGUAAAUAUAGGCUUCACCGUAAGUCUGUAUAAAACCAUAUGCUUUGAUCACCUCAUCAAAGCGUAUAUUCCAACUCCGAGAUGCUUGCACCAGUCCAUAGAUGGAUCGCUGGAGCUUGCACACUUUAUCAGCACCUUUAGGAUCGACAAAACCUUCUGGUUGCAUCAUAUACAACUCUUCUUUAAGAAAUCCAUUAAGGAAUGCAGUUUUGACGUCCAUUUGCCAGAUUUCGUAAUCAUAAAAUGUGGCAAUUGGUAACAUUAUUCGGACAGACUUAAGCAUCGCUACGGGUGAGAAAGUCUCAUCGUAGUCAACCCCUUGAAAUUAUUGAAAACCUUUUGCCACAAGUCGAUCUUUGUAGAUAGUAACAUUACCAUCAGUGUUAGUCUUCUUCUUGUAGAUCCAUUUAUUCUCAAUGGCUUGCCGAUCAUCGGGCAAAUCCACCAAAGUCCAUACUUUGUUCUCGUACAUGGAUCCUAUCUCAGAUUUCUUGGCCUCAAGCCAUCUGUUGGAAUCUGGGCUCAUCAUAGCUUCUUCAUAGUUUGUAGGUUCUCCAUGGUCUAGUAACAUGACUUCCAGGACAGGAUUAUCGUACCACUCUGGUGCAGAUCAUGCUUUGGUCGACCUACAAGGUUCAGUGGUAACUUGAUCUGAAGUUUCAUGAUCAUUAUCAUUUGCUUCCUCUCUAGUUGGUGUAGGCAUCACGGGGACGAUUUUCUGUGAUAUGCUAAUUUCCAAUUUGAGAGAAGGUACAAUUACCUCAUCAAGUUCUACCUUCCUCCCACUCACUUCUUUCAAGAGAAACUCCUUCUCUAGAAAUGACCCAUUCUUAGCAACAAAGAUCUUGCCUUCGGAUCUGUGGUAGAAGGUGUACCCAAUAGUUUCCUUAGGAUAUUCUAUGAAGAUGCACUUCUCCGAUUUGGGUUCGAACUUAUCAGGUUGAAGCCUUUUGAAAUAAGUGUCGCAACCCCAAACUUUAAGAAAUGACAGCUUAGGUUUCUUGCAAAACCAUGGUUCAUACGGUGUCGUCUCAACGGAUUUAGACGGUGACCUAUUUAAUGUGAAUGCAGUUGUCUCUAAUGCAUAAGCCCAAAAUGAUAGUGGUAAAUCGGUAAGAGACAUCAUAGAACGCACCAUAUCCAAUAAAGUACGAUUAUGACGUUCGGACACAUCAUUACGCUGUGGUGUUCUAGGUGGCGUGAGUUGUGAAACUAUUCCACAUUGUUUUAAAUGAAGGACAAACUCGUAACUCAAAUAUUCGCCUCUACGAUCAGAUCGUAACUUUAUUUUCUUGUUACGAUGAUUCUCCACUUCGCUCUAAAAUUCUUUGAACUUUUCAAAUGUUUUAGACUUGUGUUUCAUUAAGUAGAUAUACCCAUAUCUGCUCAAAUCAUCUGUGAAGGUCAGAAAAUAAUGAUACCCACUGCGUGCCUCAACACUCAUCGGACCACAUACAUCAAUAUGUAUUAUAUCCAAUAAGUCAUCAGCUCGCUACAUUGUUCCGGAGAACGGAGUUUUAGUCAUCUUGCCCAUGAGGCAUGGUUUGCAAGUAUCAAAUGAUUCAUAAUCAAGUGAUUCCAAAAGUCCAUCUGCAUGGAGUUUCUUCAUGCGCUUCACACCAAUAUGACCAAAACGGCAGUGCCACAAGUAUGUUGCACUACUAAUAUCGAGAUUCAAUAAACCAUUUGCAUUGGGUGUAUGACCAUAGAAGGUUUUAUUCAUGUAAACAGAACAACAAUUAUUCUCCGACUUAAAUGAAUAACCGUAUUGCAAUAAACAUGAUCCAAUCAUAUUAAUGCUCAACGCAAACAUCAAAUAACAUUUACUUAAGUUUAACACUAAUCCCGAAGGUUGACGGAGUAUGUGAUGGUGAUCUUAUCAACCUUGGAAUCACUUCCAACACACAUCGUCACCUCGCCCUUAACUACUCUCUGUUCAUUUUGCAACUCAUGUUUCGAGUUACUAAUCUUAGCAACUGAACCUGUAACAAAUACCCAUGGGCUACUAUGAACACUAGUAAAGUACACAUCAAUAACAUGUAUAUCAAAUAUACCUUUGUUCCCUUUGCCAUCUUUCUUAUCCGCCAAGUAUUUGGGGCAGUUCCGCUAUUAGUGACCAUUCCCUUUGCAGUAGAAGCACUCAGUUUCAGGCUUAGUUCCAGCUUUGAGCUUCUUCACGGUAGUGCCAACUUGCUUGCCAUUCUUCUUGCAGUUCCCUUUCUUUCCAUUGCCCUUUUUCUUGAAACUAGUGGUCUUGUUAACAAUCAACACUUGAUGCUUUUUCUUGAUUUCUACCUUCGCUGAUUUCAGCAUCGCGAAGAGCUCAGGAUUCAUGUUCAUCAUCCCUUGCAUAUUAUAGUUCAUCACGAAGUUCUAGUAGCUUGGUGAUAGUGACUAGAGAAUUCUGUCAAUCACUAUAUUAUCUAGAAGAUUUACUUCCACUUGAUUCAAGCAAUUGUAGUACUGAUAACCCACAAGUAUAGGGGAUCGCAACAGUUUUCGAGGGUAGAGUGUUCAACCCAAAUUUAUAGAUUCGACACAAGGGGAGCCAAAGAAUAUAUGUAAGUAUUAGAAGCUGAGUUGUCAUUUCAACCACACCUGGAGAUUAAUUAUCUGUAGCAAAGUGAUCAGCAGCAAAGUAGUAUGAUAGUUUUAAUAGUAGUGACAGCAGCAAUAGUAACGGUAAUAGUGAUAGCAGUAUUUUUGUAGCAAGUGCAAUAGUAAUGAUAGCAGUAGUAACUUAGCAAUAACAAUAUAGGAUAAAUUCGUAGGCAUUGGAUCGGUGAUUUGUUGGAUGAUAUUCAUCAUGUGACAGUCAUAACCUAGGACAAUUCGGCACUAGCUCAAGUUCAUAAAUAUAAUGUAGGCAUGUAUUUCGUAAAUAGUCAUACGUGCUUAUGAAAAGAACUUACAUGACAUCUUUUGUCCUACCCUCCCAUGGCAGCGGAGUCCAAUUGGAAACUAAGGUAUAUUAAGGCCUCCUUUUAAUAGAGAACCGGAACAAAGCAUUAACACACGGUGAAUACAUGAACUCCUCAAACUACGGUCAUUGCCGGGAGUGGUCCCCACUAUUAUCACUCCGAGGUUGCCGGAUCAUAACAUGUAGUAGGUGACUAUAACUUGCAAGAUCGGAUCUAGAACAUGGAUAUAAUAGUGAUAACUUAAAAGGUUCAGAUCUGAAAUCAUGGCACAAGAUCAAUCUCAGAACAUAGUGGAUACUAGGGAUCAAGCCCUAACAAAACUAACUCGAUUACAUGAUGAAUCUCACCCAACUCCUCACCGACCAGCGAUCCUAUGAAGGAUUACUCACUCCCGAUGGGGAGCAUCAUGGAAUUGGCGAUGGAGAAGGGCUGGUGAUGACGAACAACGAAGAUCCCCCUCUCUAGAGCCUCGAACGGACUCCAUAUCUGGCCUCCCUAUGAAGAACGGGAGGUGACGACGGCUUCGUCUCAUGGAUAGCGAUAAUUCUUUCUCACUAUUUUUUUGAAAAAUAGGAUUCUAUAGCGUCAGUUUCAGGGUCUGCGGGGCCACCGGGUGGGGACAACCCACCUGGGCGCGCCUGGGGGGGCUGGCGCGCCCUGGUGGGUUGUGCCCACCCAGGUGCCCCCCUCAGGUGUCUCCUGGCUCCAGAAAUUCUGAUUUAUUGAAUAAAAAAUCCUCGCAAAGUUUUGUUCCAUUCUGAGAACUUUUAUUUCUGCAGAAAAACAACACCAUGGUAGUUUUGCUGAAAAAAGCGUCAUUCCGGGGUUAGUUUCAUUCAUAUCAGCAAAUUAGAUUCCAAAACAAGAGGAAAAGCGUUAGGAAAAGUAGAUACAUUGGAGACGUAUCAACUCCCCAAGCGUAAUCCUUUGCUUGUCCUCAAGCCAUUCAGUUGAUAAACUGAAAGUGAGAAAGAAAAACUUUUAUGAACUCUUUUGUUCUUGUUUGCAUAAACAAGCUUAAACAACACCCAGGUUUUCAACCAACAUUAUAACUAACCAUGCCGACAAUAACUCCUAAAAAAAUAUUAACUCAUAUCCAUGACAUAAUCAGCUAGCGAGCAAUAAUAAGACAUCUCAAACACCAACAUGUUGUCAAAACAAUCAUGAUAUAAUAUGACAAUAGUGGUAUCUCGCUAGCCCUUUCUGAGACCGCAAAACAUAAAUGCAGAGCACCUCCAAAGUCCGAGCAGCGACUAAACAUUGUAAAUCAUGGUAGAAAAGAUCCCGUAAUGAUGCACCCAACAUUAGCUACACACAAUGCAUCAGCAUGACAGUAGUGCUCUCAGGUUCUGCACUUAUUUUAGAAGGUGAUGACACAACAUAAAAGUAAAUAGAUAGUCCCUUCGCACAGGGAAGCAGUGAUUUGCAGAGGUUCCAGAGCUCAAGUUUUUAAAACAGAGGUAAAUGAUAUUUUGAGACAUAUGCACCCUUCUUGUUUACUUCACGACCAUCAGUUAUCAAUAUCUUCCACGCUAAGCACGCUAGUGGCGGUUCCCAAACGAUAAAAGUAAAGGUUUACUCCUCCUCCACCAAGAAUCACACUCCACGACUUGUCCGAAACAACGGGUGUUGUCCAUACCAACAACAGUCCCGGGGGAGUUUUGUUUAAUUAUUUGCAUUUUGAGUUUGGGACUGGGAAUCCCUAUUACCGCCCUUUUCUCGUGCGAUGGCGAGUGAAUAAACACUCGACCUGAGAAUAACCCACUUAGCAUGGAAGAUACUGACUACCUCAUGUCAUUCCAUGAACGAUCCAGGCACACAAAAAGGAUGUUUUUUGAAGUUUUUAGAGGUGGCACAUGUAAAUUUACUUAGGACGGCAGGGUAAUACCGCAUAUAGGUAGGUAUGGUGGACAUUAUGCGUAAGUAAGAUUGGACACUAGCAUGAGUAUGAUAUGAACACCAUGAACAUAAAUAUCAUAGAGGCUAUGUUGGUUUUGAUUCAACUACAUGCAUGAACAUGUGCCAAGUCAAGCCACUCGAACAUUUAGAGGAGCAUACCAUAUCAUCAUACUACAUCCCAAUCAUUUUAACGCAAUGUUGAUAUCCAAGAUAAUCAUUAUCCACUCCUAGCUACUUAUGCAUGACAUGAGAAACUAUAAUCUCUAAUUGUCAUUGCAAACAUGUUUAAUCAUAAUGGGCUGAAUCAUGGAUACUAGGUUAAACAUAUUUACACAAAUAGAACAAGUCGAGUACAUACCCGUUUCUCUUUGCCACGGCCAGUUCAUCGAAUAUUGUCAUUAUUGCCUUUCACUUGCACGAUCGAACGAUGUGAAAAUAAUAAUAGUGCAAGAGUGCCGUGGACUAAGCUGGAAUCUGCAAAUAUUUUAUUCAACAGGAGAAGACAAGGUAAUAUGGGUUUAAUUAUUAUUAUUAGAUCAACAAUUAUUCAUAUGAGAACCACUCAACAUUUUCAUCAUUGUCUUCUCCUCGGUAAGACUCGAAUAAAAAGAAAAGAAGUUCAGAGAAACACAUUGAAAUAUUUUUAGAGUUUUUGGUUUUCUUGAACAAGCAAAUAAAAGGGAAAAGCAAAAACAAAAAAAAUUAUUUACACGGGAAAGCUCCCAACAAGCAGAAGAAUAACAAGGAAAUCUUUUUGGGUUUUCUUUUUAGUACUACAACUAAGCAUGCAUAGAAAGUAAACUAACUACAACUAUUUUUUUUGUUUUUCUAAGGUUUUUCAAACACAUGAGAAAAAAGCGAGAAAAUAAAAUUAAGCAUGGAUGAUACAAUGAAAAAGUGUGAACACCGACAAAUGGAAUGAGAUGUGUAAACAUGAAUGUAAUGUCGGUGGGAAACACGUACUCUGCCAAGCUUAGGCUUUUGGCCUAACUUGGCAAGCAGUCAGUAGCCUGGAUAGAAGUCGGGGUGCUGAGGAGCAGGCAUCCACGCAUACCACUGCUGAGGUUCCUCCUCUGCUGCAUCCUGGUCGUUCCUAUAAGCAAUGAUGUCCGCAUGCAUAAUCCUAUAUCCGCCCCUGGCAACAGGAUCGAACAAAGCAAGAGUAGACAAUCGAAUAAUAUCACGAGUUUUCACACUAAAAACCAGGUUAUAUGGAGUAGGGCUUUUAGGAGAAUCAAUAUCAGUAAACUGGUGGUGAUCCAUGGCAGCACGGUCUAAAUAGACCCUGGUCAGAGGGUAAUCAUGAAGGCGUAUCUCAACAUUAAAGUGGGUCGUCGAACGAGUAGCGUAAAUACCGCCAUGUAUUUUGCACUUGGACUUAUUAAGGUGAAGGCGACGAGCCAUGAUAACUCCUAGGCUAUAAGUGUUGUCGUCGUGAAGUGCGCGACGGAAGACAGCAAAGUCUGGUGCGCUGAGCGCACCUACUUUUUCUCUAGCAAGCAAACACUUAGCGAUGAAUAAAGCAAAAUAAUACAAGGCAGGAAAAUGUAUGCUAGUGGCAGUGACACCAGACGGGGAUAUGAAUGUCCCCAACAAUAAGCAUCUCAUAUUUCUUUUUAACAAUAGGUGGAGGUAUUUGAAACUUCCAAUAGUGAUUGUUGUAGACUUUUCAAUAACAUUAAUACCAUUCACUUGGAAUUGUUUCUUCGGAAAGUGCACCAUAUGCUCAUUACCAUUGAUAUGAAAAGUGACCUAGCUUUUAUAGCAAUCAAUAACAUCCCCUGCAGUAUUCAAGAAGGGUCUACCAAGGAAAAUCAACAUGUUGUCGUCCUCGGUAGGGAUGUAAAUGGAUUGGAUCGGAUCGGAUAAUGCCUUUACCAUAUCAUUUACCAUAUUUUUUUGUCAGAUUCGGAGCGGAGCGGAUAUUGAUCGGAUUUGGAUUUGAAUGCGUAUUAUAUCGGACUACGGAUUUGGGGCGGAUUCAGAACGGACUCGGACCGGAAAUGGACAAAAAUAUCGGGUGAUAUGUGCAAAUAAACAUGAACUUAUUUCUACUUUGCAAACAAUAUGAAAACAUGUUUUUAUCCAACCACAUUACACUAGAGAGUGGCCAUACCAAUAUCGUAGCAAUAAACAGUACUGGUCGUACUUAAGAAAUACUUAAUCCAAAGGUUUGUUGAAGUUCUUAUUUAUUAUAAAAGGAAAUUAGUCGAUCAAGUAGAAGUCCAUAACACAUCCUUGACUUCUCAACGUGGUGUUUCAACCAAUCCGCUUGCAACAUCGUGUGAGAGUGAUAGAAGAUAUUUAGAUGCCGCACUUGACAAUCAAAAAAAUAAUUUAUAAUUAGUUGUGUUCAACUAAGUAGUUCAAACACACGCACAUUAAUUCCGAGGUAGUGAGGUGUAUGUGUCCACAUGAUUUAAUAUGCAAAUUUUUAGUGCGUAUAUAUAUAGAGAGAAGAGAAACAUGAGGCAUCACAUAUUAUAUGCACAUACUAUAUGCAUGUAUUGAUGUAUGCGCACAACAUGCAUGUACUUAUGGCUUUUAUAUCUUGUUUGCUUUCUCACGUGCAACAAACACUAGCAUGAGAGUAUGCAUGAAUAAUUAAAUUAUAUUAGUAAAAUCUGAUCGGUAACUAGCAACGCACAUAUUCAAGGAACAAGUAGGUCAUAUAUUAGUAAAAUUAAUCUAUAUGUGCAGAAAACAUAGAAGCUAGGUAAGUAUAUACUAAUAUACAUUAGCGAAUUGCUGGUAUAACUGCAUACCUAAAGUUCUUGCUCCUGAAGUAGUUGAUCAGCCACUUAUUCAAUAUCCAUUCCUUGAUUGUCCUAUGUCCCAGCAGCAUGGAAAUUUGUGAACAAAAAUGUCGCUUUACACAAAUAUAAUACCAAUAAUGAUCAAGAGGUAAUUAGACAUACCUGCUAUUUCUCUAUGCAUCUUAAUAUGGUUCAAGAAGACUGAUGUCCCAUUCUUGCUAUUUCUCUUUGUUUCAUAAGUGCAGUACUUGCAUUUGGCCCAUGCUUUCUUAAUUUUCUGUCCAUUUGUCACCACCGUCUUGUAAGUUUUAACAAAAUGGUCCCAACAUUCAGAUGUGAUCUUCUUUGGUUUCUUCCUUGCAGGCUCAUCUACUAUUGCAUCCUCAUUCUCACCCUCCAGAUCAAUCACUUCAUUGCAACUUGAUUGUCGCUGCCCAAAUUCAGAGGCUCUUCAUUUUGACUUCCAGCAGGGGGUGAUACAACCAUACUUUGGACUACAUUUGCACUUGUUCUUGUAGAUGUAGACCUUUUCCCCGAUAUCUUUCUCACAAAAUCUAAAAAGAAUACAAUGCAUAAGUAAUCAGUCACUUUUUACUGAUCAAAGGAAUGAAUAUAUUAGAAGCUGCAGCAAGUAAGACAUUAAACAACAUAUAUUCAUAGUGUUUAAGUUUGCCUACAACUCAAGCCAACUUGCACAUAUGCCAGAAUGUUUUUCGAUCCUGCUGAGUUGAACCAGCUGGGUGCGGUUGUGGACCCAGCUGUCGGCCUCUCCACGUACACUCCCCUUCAGAUGCAUGUCGGUCAUUGACCAUGUUGAUCAGGCCACGCCGAGAGCACCAGGGCGGUGGACGACGGCGAGGCCUAGGAAGGGAACGACCCGGAGGCAGGGAAGACUCGGCAGUUGUUUCCCACACGAAGGGUUGUACGACUGUACGAGGGUUUACUGGUUCGUCUGCCGUUGUCGGAGAAUAACAGCAGGUGUGGGUGAGUAGAGGGAUGGCUAGGCCAGCGAUGGGAGUACGGUGGGGCGGUGAGGCCUGCGCGGCAGCACAGCCGGCCGCGGGGAGGAGGGAGCAGGCAGUCCCGCCGGCGCUUGUUUGAGCGGCUGGAGCAGGAAGAGCAGAGAUGGAAGAAGCACGACGGUCGUUGGAUGGACAUCCAACAGUCACUGCUUGUGUGUCAACCUUUUUUUAGGAAAGCCUCAAAUCUGUGGAAAAUAGCAUACAGCCCAUCUGUCAUUAUUUCUAAUAAUUUACAGCCCAUUUGCUAAUUCUUAAGAUUUUUUUUGGAGCCCAUAUUUUUUUGUUAGCAUUACAGCCCACAUUGUGGCCACGGUUAAAAAAUUAUACGAAAUUUUGCAUAUUUCGCUGCGGUCCGAACUGUUUUUAAUCCCGAAAUUUUGACUCACAUUCAAACUGAUUUUAAAAAUAAAUGUAUAUCAAUAUAAAAUCCAACAAAUUCUCCACGCAUAAAAAUUAAUGUAAUUUAAAAUCCCGAAAUUAAAAAAAGAUAUUUGAAACUAAUUGCCGGUUUGAUGUGUUUUAAAAACGUACAGCCCAUUUCUCAUUACUGAUGGGCCAUUUUCUCGGCCAGCUGAAUGAAAGCUCUCCUCGUCUUGAAAGAUUUGCAGCCCAACAGGACAAACAAAGCGACUUACUUGGCAAAUCACAAAAAAACUGGGUUGUGGCCGUGGACAGCUGUCAGCCUCUCCAUGUACAGUACUGUUCCGAUGGAAGUCGUUCCUUGACCACGGUGACCACGCCGCGCGGAGAGCACCACGGCGGUGGACGAUGGCGAGUCCUAGGAAGGGGACGACGCGGAGCCGGGGAAGACGCGGCAGUGGAAGCCCGCGCGGAGAGGAGUACGAAGGUUCACUGGUUCGCAGUGUUGCUGGUUCGGCUGCGGUGUGAGGCUGCCGUCGCCGCAGGGCCUGGACGGCGGUGGGAAUAGUAGGGGGCGGUGAGGCCUCCGCGGCAACACAGCCGGCCACGGGAGGGUGGAGCAUGCGGCACGACCGCCGCUGCUUUGGGCGGCUGGAGCAAGAAGACCAGAGGUUGAAGAAGCACUACGGCCGUUGGAUGGACAUCGUACGGCCACUAUAGCUAGAAUUGUUCAUAUUGACUAAUUUGACAAAGCCCUUCGUCCCCGUCAACUUAGUAGGCCCACAAGUCAGCCUCCCACCAAGGUGGGUCCCAGCUAGCCGGGGGAGUAUUCAUUUUUUUGUGCAUAAUAAGGAGGCACUUGCGGUGGGUCCGAGCUGACAGCGGGGGAACGUUUUUUCCAAGAAAUACGGUGGCCCAUCCGGUGGGUUCCAGCAGUCAGGGGGAAAUGUUUUUUCGCAAAUACUGGUGGCCCGUCUAGUGGGUCCCCGCUGUUAGGUGGAGGAAUAAUUAUUUUCCGCGUAAUAAGGAGGCACUUCCUUGCAGCUGCCGUGGACCCAGCUGUCAGCCUCUCCACGUACAGUACUCUUCCGAUGGAAUUCGGUCGUUGACCACAUUGACCACACCGCGUCGAAAUCACCACGGCGGUGGAUGAUGGCAAGGCCUAGGAAGGGGACGAUGCGGAGCCGGGGAAGACGCGGCAGUGGAUGCCCACGCAUAGAGGAGUAUGAGGGUUCACUCGUUCGGCUGCGGUGUGAGAUUGCCAUCGCCGCAGAAUAACAGGGGUUGUGGGUGAGUGGAGGGAUGGCCUGGCUAGCGGCAGGAGUAGUGGGGGCGGUGAGGCCUCCGCCGCAUCACAGCCGGCCACGGGAGGCAGGAGCAGGCGGCACGAUCGGCGCUGCUUUGGGCGGCUGGAGCAAGAAGACCAGAGGUUGAAGAAGCACGAUGGCCGUUGGAUGGACAUCGUACGGUCACUGCAGCUAGAAUCGUUCAUAUUGACUAAGUUGACAAAGCCCUGCGUCCCUUUCAACUUAGUGGGCCCACAAGUCAGCCUCCCACCAAGGUGGGUCCCAGCUAGCAAGGGGAGUAUUCAUUUUUUUUCUACCUAAUAAAGAGGCACUUCCGGUGGGUACGAGCUGACAGCGGGGUGAACGUUUUUUCACGAAAUACGGUGGCCCGUCAGGUGGGUCCCAGUAGUUAGGGGCAAACUUUUUUUGCAAAAUAUGGUGGCCCGUCCAGUGGGUCCCUGCUGUCAGUUGGAGGAAUCAUUAUUUUUCGCGUAAUAAGGAGGCACUUACUUGCUGCGACCGUGGACCCAGCUGUCAGACUCUCCACGUAUAGUAUACUUCUGAUGGAAGUCGUUCCUUGACCAUGUUGACCACGCCGCAUUCCGUUGCAUGCAUGCGUCCAUGUGCAUGGUGCGUCCCCACUGUCAGCCUCUCACGUACAUUCAUCUUCUGAUGACUCACGCUUGUUGACCACGUUGACCACACCGUGCCGAGCGCACCCAAACUGGAACGACCCGGAGAUGGGGAAGACGGGGCAGUGGAGUCGCAGAUGGAGAGGAGUGGGAAACUUCACUGGUUCGGGUGCGCGGCAGCACAGCCGCGGUGCCGCCCACGGGAGACGGGAGCAAGAACAGAGGUUGAAGAAGGAGCACGGCUGUUCGAUUAACAUCCACCGGUCCAGCUGCUAGAAUCAUUUGUUGAUUAAGUUCACAAAGCCGUGCGUACACGUCCUCUUAGUAGGCCCACAAGUCAGCCACCAAAUCUGAUGGGUCCCAGCUGUCAACGGGAUGAAUAAUUUUUUUCCGCAAAACAAGGAGGCACUUCCUUCCGUGCAAAGAUACAGCCGGUGGGUCCCAGCUGUCAGGUGGAGGAAACAUUUUUUUAGCUUAAUAAGUAGGAACUUUCCUUGCGUGUGACCAUGGACCUCGUGGGUCUCAGCCGUCAGGCUCUCCACGUACAGUCCUCUUCCGAUGACUCUCAUUUGUUGACCAUGUCGCACAAAGCGCAGCGAGGCAAUGGGCGACGGCGAGGCCCCGGACGGGAACGACUCGGAGAUGGGAAGACGAGGCAGUGGAGUCGCAGAUUGAGAGGAGAAGAAGGGUUAUAACGGGUUCUGUUGCGGUGUGGGGUUGUAGUCUGUGGAGAAUAACAAGAGAUAUCGAGGGGUGGAGGGAUAGCCUGGCCGGCGGUAGGGUACCGUUUCGCAGCUAUGUGUGCUAAGCAGAGCCGCUAGCCACCGGAGGCCGGACCAGGCGGUCCCGGCGACACUGGAGGAAGAAGACGAGAGAUUGAAGGUGCAUGUCGGCCAUUGGAUAUAAAUCCAAUGGAUGUGGAUGACACAAUCAUUUGUUGACCAAGUUGAUGACGCCCUGCGAAGGCUUCGACCUAUUGGCCCACAUGUCAGCCUGCAAAAAUGUGGCAUAUAUUUAACCCAUGUUUUCUAGAAUGUACGGUCCAUUUGCUGGGCUGGGUGAACAAAUAAUUUCGCGUCAAUCAGGCCCAUUUAUAUUUUCUAAGAAAUCCCAGCCCAUUUGCACUUCCUUGAAAUACACGUAUUAGGUGGGCUCGUUAUAUAUAUAAUGUUAUGUUAGAAGGAGCAAUUAAUAUGAAAGAAUAAACCGGAGAGGAACAUUUUUAUAUAUAUAAUUAACAAAUUAGUGAGUUAUUGCUCAAAAUAAAAAUGAGCGUGUUAUUAUUAAAUUGGUCCUUAAAAUCUUUACAAGCUUUUGUACGCAAUAACCAGGUUUUUCCUUGCCUGUGAGUCAAAAACAACCAGGAUUUUCCUUGCCAACUUUCGUUAAACAUUUACUUUUAUAAGUUAAUAACACAUGGGAUGUUUUUAUAAUGUAUAUAUAAGUCUCUAUAAAAUAUAUGAUAAUAGUAAUAAUAUAAAUAUAUAUAAUGUGGUUAGAAGGGAAAACAUAAAUUGGACACAGCAUUAUUAUUCUUAGAUAUAGAUAAAUAGAACAUAGACAUGCGUUUUAUACCCCACAGUAGGCAUACUAACAAGUUCACACACAAAUACAACAGAAAAGGUAAACAUUCGUAUCAAACUCAGGUUCACAGGACACGUUCAUAUUCAUAGCCAACAUUCACUAUCAACAACUCAAAAGAUUCAUAUAUGCACAAGCUCAGCAUAUCUAUCCAUCCAAAUGAUUGAUAGAUCACACGACAAUAUUCAUACAUAAUUCACAAAAAGAUUCAGAUAUACACAUGUUCAGUAUGUUUAUGCAUCCAAAUGGUUGAGAUCACAGCCAAUAUGAUCCAUGGAUGAACUUUAAUUACCUAGGGUACAGACUGGUAAAUGGUGUUCAAUCGGAGGUACUUCUUGCUAAAAUUAGUUCUUGUACGAGUAAACUUUCGAGUACAUAAGAGGCAGCACAGACAAUCUGAACUUUACUUUGUAGGUUUAUCCUCAAAUAGUGGCCUCAUGCCGAGGGAGGUUUGAGCAACUUAGCCACUACUUUCAUCCAAUUAGUUUACUGGCUCAUCUUGGUCCUGUAUCUCGCCAAAAUUCUACAUUGCAGACGAGAAAGGAGGCGGUUGAGAAAAUGAACCACCCAAAUUUUUUGUGCAGUUCAACUGAAAUGGAGCAUCCUUGGCGUGCAGACUGAUUAAGUGUCAAUUGAAUAUAUGCGUCAACCAACUUGUCUGGAAUCUUUAGACUCCAUGCCAUAUAGUUCGCUACCAUAUGUGCUGAUAACCAAAAGGCACAAGUUGGGACCAAAGACUGGACUGCGUUUUUCUGGGCUAUGCACCAAGCAAUAUUUUUGGCGUUCACUCUCCUAAUACUUGGAGCUUGACAAUUGGUUGACGCCGGUUGAUACUCAAAUGAAUAUAGGCACUUCUUCUUGUCAACAUCGAUGCUUGUCUGAGUGAACUUUGGAGUACAUAGCAAUAGCAUAAGUACCUGUCCAUCUGAUCAUUUUGUGCAGUUCUACUGAAAUCAUCCGAUGUAAUGAUUUGCCUGUGAGUUCAGGCUCCAAAUUACUCCUUUAUGAAAUCAUCAAACAGUAGCACAAUACCAAAUUACCAAUACAUAUGACAGGCACAAUAAUCAGGAUAAAGACCAGGACCAACCUGUGUGAGGUAGCAUAUCAAUUACUAUUUCCUUUGACUGGAAGCCGAGAUAAGCCAAGCGACUGACUGCAAAGGAUGAAAGCAAGCCGAGAUUAGCGACUGACAGGAAAGGACGGAAGGUGUCAAGGCAAUGAAGCACCCAAAGUUUUUGUGCAGUUCCACCAAAAUUGAGCAUCCAUGUUGGCAAAUAUAUUGAGAGAGUGAGAUUACUGUAAUAGUGGGACUAGUUGAUGAAACAUACACUAACAAAUAGAAGCACCCUCAUUAUCUCAAUGGAUAAACUUAGCAACAUAGUAGUCUUGCUUAAAGAGAGGUAUUAGUUUAUUUAAUCAGUGCCAAUUAGCUCAACACUCAAAGCAUUGCCAUUUAUCAUAGGUUGCAAAACUUUAACAUGCAAAGAUAAAGGAGUUUCUCAUGACAGUAGCACGAUACAAAUAGAGAUGACAGCAAACUAAUAUGGAUGAAGGCCUUAGGCCCGUACCAACCUGAGAAAAAAAGCUUAUUCAUGUAGUCCCAUAGGAGAUGAUAAAGCACUCACUAGACUCACACAAUAGUAUAUAUUUUUGUGCACUUCAAACGUAUGCUUGAAAUCACUCUUGUUUACCAGUGCUGAGAUUAUAUCGAAAGAUUAUCAAGAACUUCCAGCAGAGUUAAAGCACUAGCUGGGAUACAGUUCAUUGUAUUGUCUUGUGUAGUUCCACUAAAAUGUAUGAUUGGCACAACAUGAUCCUUGUUUGCACAAGUAGGAACAAGGAGAAACCUUCAUUAGCUUAGUGAGAAAGGAUAGGAAGACAUUAGCAUAUUACUCAAACAGUAGCACCAAAUUCAUGAUGGACAAUACGCAAAACAUUGUCUCAUUGAACCAAUGGCAAUAAAUUGACAUGCAAAACAAUAGCACUAUUAUGCCAUGACACUAAUAAUAUUCCCUCCCUGCUCCACCACAUGGUUCACCUCCAUAGACAAACAUACACACAUACAUGAUUCAGCAUAGGGUCCUACUAAGGAUUUGUUUAACUACAACAGGAAAAUUAGGCAGUAAUAAAUUAGUGGUACUUAAGUACUCCUAAUUAAUUAAGUGAGACAGCAGAAGUGGAAGGGCUCCCAGGAGGAUCGUCUCACAUGUAAGGUAGUCGUUGCCGGAGCCCUUGAAUGGCCUCGACUGAGGCCUCUGGCUUCAGCAAGAUCGCCUUGGCAGUGUCUAUUCUUCUUCUUCUUCCUCUUCAUGCUAUGUUUCUCUUUCUCCUCACCAGUUGGUGAAACCAAGUACAUGAUUGGCCUUCUAAUUCAAAAUUGGUUUUGUCAGUGAGGGAGUACAAGUGUACUAGUAAAAAAUAGCAUUAUUUUCUCAUGGCAGUCGGAAAAUAGAGAUGAAUACCUGCAUUAAAUAUCAUUCUUACCUAAAGGAAGGUUAUGGCGCCAAUAUGGAUGAUGAGGAUUGGAACACAGAUCUCCCUUUAUGCAGUUCCACCGAAAUGAACCAACUGUUCCAUUCUAACAUUCCAGUUAAACAGCACAAAAGUCACUUCUUUUAAGAAGAGUUUUGUGCAGUGCACCAAAAGGUCACAACAGCAACCAGGUGAAUUGGAUAUCCCUGUUUGCACAAAAAGGUACAGAGGAAACAAUCGGAGUCUCAAACAAUUACAGGCAAAAACAUUUGGCUAAACUUGUCACGGCUUAUAACAGUGGCAUGGCUUCAUUUUUACCAGGGACAUUAGAUUAAGAACAGCUAAAUAUUUGGUAUAAGGGCAUGGGACAGUGGGUGCACCAGCAGUCCAGCACCAUGUACGUAAACAGGGGCAUAAAGUGGUGAUUCAUAGUUUGUUGCCCCGAGAAACAAACAUCCAAGAAACAUAUCUGGGUUGGUCCCAUUUUUGUUCACUCUAGCCACCUACUCCUAUGUGUGGAUAGCAAAUCUAGUCCUGGUCAUACCACUGUGUACAGCGUUACACCUAUAUUUCCCUUUUCGACCAAGAGACUGGUUGGAUGACCAGUCUGUACUACUUUCACCCCCUUUCCUUCUUGUUUGUACCAUGUCCGAUGUACAUACUAAAUUCCCUCACCCCCACUUUAUUUCUUGUUUGAACCAAGUACUCCCUCCAUCCGGAAUUACUUGUCAUCAAAAUGGAUGUGUCUAGAACUAAAAUACAUCUGGAUACAUCCAUUUCAAUGACAAGUAUUUUCGGACGGAGGGAGUACAAGAUUCGACUCCAUGAAGUAGCUUUACCUCUAACAAUAGAAGAAAAAAAUAGGUGACGUUGGACCAUCCGAUCGAGAGGGGCUGAGAGGUAGAAAAUGAUGCACAUGCAGCGACGUAGCGAGCUGGGGAAGUAGAGCUAAGGUGGUUUCAAACGAAGAUAUACCUGAAGGUCGUCGGGAUGUGGAUAGGUGGGCGGCAGGAGGCCGGAUCCGCCCACAAGCAAUGACGAAGGGAUCGGAGGACCUCCCGCGCCGGCGCUCGGCCAGAGAUAACGGUGCGGCCGGCAGUGGGUCUCCUCCCUCGCUGUCGACGACAGCCUAAAUGUUGACCCUCCUCCCCUUCACCGGCGGAGGGGGAUACGUCCGGAUCUGUAACCAAUGGUGAGGAUAGAAAGCUAGCAUUUUUUAAGGGAGAAAGACAGUGUUACUACCCCUAUCUUGUUUAGAUCUGGAGAGGAUGAGAGUCUGUGAAGAGAGCAACCCUAGCAAGCAAGCACAGAGGCUCCGGCCUAUAUAUACGUAGUGGGGUAGUUUUCAUUUUUCACUCCAUCAAAACAAUCAUUUAAAAUUGUGUACUACUACAUGCCAGGUCGCGGUUUUUUUUAGUUGUUGAUUGUUUUUUGAGAUAGCUACCCGCUUGUUCCAAGUGGCGUUACGGUGUGCCAGGUCGCACUUUGUAUCGUUCAAAUCUGGUACUACAAGUCCCUCCAUUAAAUGAACAACAACCCCCUCAUAAAAAAUUUCAACAAGCCCACGGCUAAAAUUAGCAGAAACGUGGGUUGCCCCAACAUGCAUUAUUAUUUAUAUUUUCUACUCCCUCCAUUCCUAAAUAUAAGUCUUUUUUAUUAGCCACACCUAAGACAAGUAUUUUUUUUAUUAGCAGUGAACCCCACAUGUCAUAGACACAAAAAUUGUGGCAAGAUUCCCUUAGGCAAGCCAAAGUGUGUCUAACAAUUUGAGCAAAUCAGGUUAGGCAAGUGUGGCAAGUGUGGGAAAAAUAAUGUGGCAACAUAAGACAAACAUAGUCACAAUCCAAACAGCCCCGUAAUUUUUUGUGACAUGCAUCAAAAUUUGGUUAGUUAAAUUUGUAGUCAAAAUUUGGCAAGGUGCAUUAAAUCAACACAUGCAAGUAUUAAAAGGAAAGUCACGGCAUGCAUGCAUGCGUUGUACUCCCUCCACUUCCAAAUAUAAGUCUUUUUAGAGAUUGCAACAAGUGACUGCAUAUGAAGCAGAAUAUGUCUACAUACGAAGUAGUCCAUUUGAAAUGUGUAAAAAGACUUAUAUCGAGUGCAGUGCUUUGAUGUGUCGCGUCAACUCAUACAAGACCGAGAAAUUUGAUUACUACAACGCCCUCUCCCUCGCGGACUGAGCUCUGGUGCCUUCACUGCACCUGCCUUUGGCUGCAUGACAGGAGGGCCAACCACCUGUUGGGCCCACCUGUCAUAGACGCAAAGGCAGGAGCAGUAAGUAGAAGCUUUUGCUACACGCUAUCCCUCCCGCACGAGGUGGACGGACAUGCAGCAGUGGAUUCGAAACUGUAGAAGUAGGAGUAACAUCAUUGUUCGUCUUCUCGAAGAGGCGAAGAGCCAAGCGCAACCCGAACGCGGCAGUUGCGAACGCUCGCGUGGUGCGGUGCCUUGCAGCACGCAUAUACUAGCCAGGCUCUUGCAUGAGACAAAAUUGCUAUUGUUUAACAAUUAAACUCCACCAUCCAUUGGUUCAUACUCAUUCUGCAUAGGUCCACGCGCUUAGCACCAUUUCCUCCUGGGGUCACCAAUGUUUAUUUGCUAAUUAAUAGCAUUGCUUGCAAUGAACUAGCCAUUGCAAUUCAUCAAAAGCAUGCACACCUCUCAUCUCUUAUUGGUUGAUAUGUCAAGAAACAAGAAACAAGGUAGAAGUUAAUGCACCGCGCCUAAGUGUUUUGGGACUAUUUGGUUUUUGUAAGAUGACUUACACACCUAGACGGUGGGAGUAGUAUAGCCCUGUAAACCGAAAAGGAGUAUUUGCCUUUCUAGAGAUUUUGACAAGUGACUAGACUACACCGCAUGCAGCCGUGCAGUACUCCCUCCCUUCCGGUUUAUAGGGCUCAAAUCUCAAAUCUCAUGAACCAAGGCAUUUUGCGAUUGGAAACUACUAAUUAAACUCAUGCAUUAAUUACGUAGUUCUCUCGUUUUCCUCUCCGCCUUAGUCGCAGUGCACAAUAUUGAGCACUCCUAUAUGACUAGUCGCUCUAUCUACAUGCGGGACAUUUCAAAGCAUCCGGGCCCGCGUGCCAUCCACCAAAUCGCAGCGAGGUGCUAUAGUCGAGACUCACCUGUCACCCCGGUGUGUCCGUCAUGACCCGUCAUAUCACAAAACCCACAUCUUUACCAGUAGUGGUAAGGUGGCCUCCAAGUUGGACUGGACGAAGCAACCAUCAUUUCACUGGAACGGUCGGUCAAGCCCUUUCUUCCCUUUCUUGAAGAAAACCUCACUCUAGGCUACUCAGUUCUGCCAUUUUUCUUCUGUACCUAUGAAGGAAAGGUGGGGGAAUCAGUUAUGCUGCUAUAUUUUCAUUCCAAGAAUCUUCUUUUUGCGAAGCACCGACUGAUUCUCAAAUCCUAUUCUUUUCCCGUUUUCAUUGCGAUUGUGGUUUCCUUUCGAUUGCUUUUUGUUUGUCAGUUCAUUGAUGGACCCUAGAGCACUAGGAAAAGAGUUGCCGACAGACAACCCACUGGAGACAACGAUCUCCAAGAAGCGAGCACCGACCAACGAGUUGACCAUGUUGGCGGUCCAACCCAUGGAGACGAAGAACUCCAAGAACAAGCACUGGCCAAAGAGUUGACGACGUUGGCGGACGAACACCUCAAAGAAAGUUGGAAGAACAACAAGGACCCCAUCGUGCCUACCCUAGGAACUCGGAUUGCCACCUAUGUUAGGCUCAAGACCGAGUUUGAGGAGAUAGUCGCCGUUGAGAAGCAGUAUUCCCCUGGCAAGGUGAUGGCCCCCAUCAAGGACGAGGAGAUGGCCCCCGGAGAGAUGAGAUCCCCCGGUGAGAUGCACAAGGUAAAAAAUAGUGGCUUAUUACCAUAGUUGUGGUUUUUUAUUAUUUGCAAUGUGCUUGCUAAUAUGUUAGGGUUGUGCAGGUGCCGGUGGACAUCCUUGAUGAUUCUGAUGCCGUGGCCCGUCCUGUUGGCAUCGCCCCGGAGAUUGAUUCUGAUGCCGCUCUCCAUCCUGUGGACAUCGCCCCAGAGAUCGAUUCUGAUGUCGUGGUCAGUCAUGUUGACAUCGCCCCAGAAAUCGAUUCCCAUGCCGCUGUUCAUGCUGUGGUCAUUGCCCGAGAGAUCGAUGACAAGAAAUAGUUGGUCGCACUAAUCCUUCAGGGUAGUUUGCAUUGCCCUGUGUUUAAUUAGCAGAACGAUGCGUGUUAUCAAACCAUCUUCGGGCUAGUGCACUAUCUUGUGUGGGCGGAUCUUGCUACUUUUGUUUGAUAGUGAAUCAAGCGAUGAAUCAUGCGAACCCUCUCCGAGUUAUAGAAACAGAUGUAUCCUCACCAGCUUUUGAUGUAAUAUAUGGCAUGCUUAGAUGUAAGUUUGAACUGUUUAUCAUAUCAGCAGCGCUUGUUUGAUGAUUCUUGGUGUUAGUAGGCUAGCUACUGUGUGAGCUAUAGUACUUGCAAAACACUAACCGAAGAGAAACGUUGGGGCUGAUGAACUCGUGGUAUGCUUAUACUUAUCCCCCGUCAAUCGACCAAUAGCCCUAGCUCCUAAAAUUGUAGGCUUAGCGAUCGAUCAGACAAUAGUCGACACGGAUACAUUCAGGCCUCAUUUGGUUCAUAGGGUAGGAAAAUCAUAGCAAACGUACAGAGAACGUGCAACACAAAAUCAUAGAAGUGCAGAGACGUACUCCCACCGUUCCAAAAUAGAUGACCUAGGAGGGCUAGUUUGGCCUAGUGGGUUUCAAUGAUAUGACGUGGUAUAGUGUCGUCCAGUCUUCGCAAGUGCACAGGUUUGUAGGACAGUAGCAAAUUUCCCUCAAGUGGAUGACCUAAGGUUUAUCAAUCCGUAGGAGGUGUAGGAUGAAGAUGGUCUCUCUCAAACAACCCUGCAACCAAAUAACAAAGAGUCUCUUGUGUCCCCAACACACCCAAUACAAUGGUAAAUUGUAUAGGUGCACUAGUUCGGUGAAGACAUGAAGAUACAAGUGCAAAAUAGAUAGUAGAUAUAGGUUUUUGUAAUCUAAAAUAAUAAAAACAGCAAGGUAACGAGCGAUAAAAGUGAGCGUAAACGGUAUUGCAAUGAUAGGAAACAAGGCAUAGGGUUCAUACUUUCACUAGUGCAAGUUCUCUCAACAAUAAUAACAUAGAUAGAUCAUAUUACAAGCCCUCAACAUGCAACAAAGAGUCACUCCAAAGCCACUAAUAGCGGAGAACAAACGUAGAGAUUAUGGUAGGGUACGAAACCACCUCAAAGUUAUUCUUUCGAAUCGAUCUAUUAAAGAGUUCGUACUAGAAUAACACCUUAAGACACAAAUAAACCAAAAUCCUAAUGUCACCUAGAUACUCCAUUGUCACUUCAAGUAUCCGUGGGCAUGAUUAUACGAUAUGCAUCACACAAUCCCAGAUUCAUCUAUUCAGCCAACACAAAGUACUUCAAAGAGUUCCCCAAAGUUUCUACCGGAGAGUCAAGAACAUGUGCCAACCCCUAUGCAUAGGUUCAUGGGCGGAAUCAGCAAGUUGGUCACCAAAAAAUACAUCAAGAGGCACAUGAUAUCCCAUUGUCACCACACAUAGCACGGCAAGACAUACAUCAAGUGUUCUCAUAAAAGACUCCAUCCGAUAAGAUAACUUCAAAGGGAAAACUCAAUUCAUCACAAGAGAGUAGAGGGGGAGAAACAUCAUAAGAUCCAACUACAAUAGCAAAGCUCGGGAUACAUCAAGAUCGUGCCAUAGAGGGAACUCGGGAGAGAGAGAGAGAUCAAACACAUAGCUACUGGUACAUACCCUCAGCCCCGAGGGUGAACUACUCCCUCCUCGUCAUGGAUAGCACCGGGAUGAUGAAGAUAGCCACCGGUGAUGGAUCCCCCCUCCGGCAGGGUGCCGAUAAGGGCUCCCGAGAGGUUUUUGGUGGCUACCGAGGCUUGCGGCAGCGGAACUCCUGAUCUAUCUUGAUCCUCGAUGGUUUUAGGGUACGUAGGGUUAUAUAGGCGAAAGAAGUCGGUCGGGAGGUGCUCGAGGGGUCCACGAGAUAGGGUGUCGCGCCCUAUAGGGGGGGCGUGCCCCCUAUCUCCUGGGCUCCUUGAGUAUCUUCUGACUUGAUCUCCAAGCCUCCAGGGAUAUAUUCUUCCAAAAAAUCACUAUGCCGAAGGUUUCGUUCUGUUUGGACUCCGUUUGAUAUUCCUUUUCUUCGAAAUACUGAAACAGGCAAUAAAACAGCAAUAUGGGCUCGGCCUCCCGUUAAUAGGUUAGUCCCAAAAGUAAUAUAAAAGUGUAUAAUAAAGCCCAUAAUCAUUCAAAACAAGUAAUAUAAUAGCAUGGAACAAUCAAAAAUUAUAGAUACGUUGGAGACGUAUGAAGCAUCCCCAAGCUUAAUUCCUGCUCGUCCUCGAGUAGGUGAAUGAUAAAAACAGAAUUUUUGAUGUGGAAUGCUACCUAGCAUGAUUCUCAAUAUAAUUUCUCUUUAUUGUAGCAUGAAUGUUCAGAUCCAAAUGAUUCAAAAUAAAAUCUUAUAAAACAUAAAAAUAAUAAUGCUUCAAAGCAUACUAACAAAUAAUCAUGUCCUAUCAAAAUAGCAUAGCCAAAGAAAGCUUAUCGCUACAAAAUCAUAUAGUUAGGCCAUGCUUUAUUUUCAUUACACAAAAUACUCCCAUCAUGCACAACCCCGAUGACGAGCCGAGCAAUUGUUUCAUACUUUUUAACGCGCUUCAGCUUUUCAACUCUUACGCAAUACAUGAGCACAAGCCAUGGACAUAGCACUAUGGUGGUGGUUGUAAGGACAAAAAGGGAGAAGAUAGUCUCACAUCGACUAGGCGUAUCAACGGGCUAUGGAGAUGCCCAUCAAUAGAUAUCAAUGUGAGUGAGUAGGGAUUGCCAUGCAACGGAUGCACUAGAGCUAUAAAUAUAUGAAAGCUCAACUGAAAGAACUAAGUGGGUGUGCAUCCAACUCGCUUGCUCACGAAGACCUAGGGCAUUUUAAGGAAGCCCAUCAUUGGAAUAUACAAGCCAAGUUCUAUAAUCAAAAAUUCCCACUAGUAUAUGAAAGUGACAACAUAUGAGACUCUCUAUUAUGAAGAUCAUGGUGUUAUUUUGAAGCACAAGUGUGGAAAAAGAAAUAGUAGCAAUUGUCCCUUCUCUCUUUUUCUCUCAUUUUAUUUUUUUUCUUUUCCUUUUUUUUAUUUUUUUUUCUUUUUCCCCUUUUUUAUUUUUUUUUCUUUUUGGUGGGCUUCUUUGGCCUCUUUUAUUUUUAUAAAGUCCGAAGUCUCAUCCCGACUUGUGGGGGAAUCAUAGUCUUCAUCAUCCUUUACUCACUAGGACAAUGCUCUAAUAAUGAAGAUCAUCACACUUUUAUGGAUUUACAACUCAAAAAUUACAACUCAAAGCUAGAACAAGAUAUGACUCUAUAUGAAUGCCUCCGGCGGUGUACCGGGAUAUGCAAUGAAUCAAGAGAGACAUGUAUGAAAAUUAUGAAGGUGACCUUGCCACAAAUACGAUCUCAACUACAUGAUCAUGCAAAGAGCAAUAUGACAAUGAUGAAACGUGUCAUAAUAAACAUAACGGUGGAAAGUUGCAUGGCAAUAUAUCUCGGAAUGGCUAUGGAAAUGCCAUAAUAGGUAGGUAUGGUGGCUGUUUUGAGGAACGUAAAUAAUGGGUUCAUGAUACCGGCGAAAGUUGCGCGGUAUAAGAGAGGCUAGAAAAGUGGAAGGAUGAGUGUGCGUAUAUCCAUGGACUCACAUUAGUCAUAAAGAACUCAUAUACUUAUUGCAAAAGUCUACUUAGCCCUCGAAGCAAAAUACUACUACGCAUGCCCCAAGGGGGAUAGAUUGGUAGGAAAAGACCAUCGCUCGUCCCCGACUACCACUCAUAAGGAAGACAAUCAAAAGAGCACCUCAUGCAACAAAUUUGUCACACAACUUUUACCAUACGUGCAUGCUACGGGACUUGCCAACUUCAACAAAAGUAUUUCUCAAUUUCAUAAUUACCCACUAGCAUGACUCUAACAUUACUACCUUUAUAUCUCAAAACAAUUAUCAAGCAACAUAUUGAUCAUAGCAUCCAAUUCACUUCCUAUGAUAGUUUUCAUUCAAAUUACCAUGUUGUUUAAGACUCUCAAAAUAAUAAAAGUGAAGCAUGAGAGUCUAGCAAUUUCUUCAAAAUAUAACCACCGACGUGCUCUAAAAGAUAUAAGUGAACCACUAGAGCAUACGACAAACUACUCUGAAAGAUAUAAGCGAAGUUCAAUGAGUAGUCAAAUAAUUGUGCAACUAUGUGAAGACUCUCUCUCAUUAAAUAAUUUCAGAUCUUGGUAUUGUAUUCAAGCAGAAAGCAAAUAAAAACAAAAAUGACAUUGCAAGGAUAGCACAACUCAUGUGAAGAAGCAAAAACUUAGGCUCAACCGAUACUAACCGAUAGUUGUUGAAGGAGAAAGGUGGGAUGCCUACCGGGGCAUCCCCAAGCUUAGAUGCUUGAGACUUCUUGAAAUAUUAUCUUGGGGUGCCUUGGGCAUCCCCAAGGUUGAGAUUUUGUGUCUCCUUAAUUCCUUUCAUGUCACGGUUUCUCUUUUUAUCAAAAGCUUCAUUCACAACAAACUCAACAAGAACUCGUGAGAUAGGUUAGUAUAAACCAAUGCAAAACCUUGUCAUUUUAUACUGUAACAAAUCACUAACAUUAUUAUUUAACAUUGAAUACUAAAUAUCUCUGCUUAUUUAAUACUCCUAUCCUCAAAUAGAAUCAUUAAACAAGCAAACAUAUGCAAACAAUGCAACCAUAACAGCCAUCUUUCAAAACAGUACAGUCUGUAAAGAAUGCAAGAGUAACAAUACUUCCCUGACUCCAAAAAUUAUGAAAUAAAAUUCCCACUGUAAUAAAUUUAUCAGAGCUUAAUAUGAAAAAAGAUUCAACAUUAUACCAUUCUCUUACUUUUCUAGGGAAUUUUUGCAACAGCGGUAAACUUUCUGUUUUCAAACAGCAACAUGUAUACUUGCAAAACAAGCAUGGUAAAGGCUAUCCUUGACAUUUUUAUUGAAAAUAAAGAUGCAAAACAUUAUUCUAACUAACAGAAAGAAAAUACUAACAAAAUAAAAUGACGCUCCAAGCAAAACACAUAUCAUGUGGCGAAUAAAAAUAUAGCUCCAAGUAAAGUUACCGAUGAACGAAGACGAAAGAGGGGAUGCCAUCCGGGGCAUCCCCAAGCUUAGGCUCUUGGUUGUCCUUGAAUGUUACCUUUGGGUGCCUUGGGCAUCCCCAAGCUUAGGCUCUUGCCACUCCUUAUUCCAUAGUCCAUCGAAUCUUUUACCCAAAACUUGAAAACUUCAACCACACAAAACUCAAAACAAAACUCGUAAGCUCCGUUAGUAUAAGAAAAUAAAACCACCACUUAGGUACUGUAAUGAACUCAUUCUAAAUUCAUAUUGAUGUAAUAUCUACUGUAUUCUAACUUCUCCAUGGUUCAUACCAUUUAAUACUAGCCAUAGAUUCAUCAAAAUAAGCAAAAACCCAAUGAAAACAGAAUCUGUCAAAAACAGAACAGUCUGUAGUAAUCUGUAUCAAACGUAUACUUAUGGAACCCCAAAAUUAUGAAAUAAAUUUCUGGACCUGAGUAAUUUGUCUAUUAAUAACCUGCAAAAAGAAUCAACCUAAAAUCACUCUCCAGUAAACAAUGGCAGCCAUUCUCGUGAGCACAAAAGUUUCUGUUUUUUACAGCAAGAUCACAUAAACUUCACCCAAGUCUUCCCAAAGGUUCUACUUGGCACUUUAUUGAAACAAAAGCUAUAAAACAUGAUUACGACAGUAGAAUAAUCAUGUGAACACAAAAAAACAGUAAGGAUAAAUAUUGGGUUGUCUCCCAACAAGCGCUUUUCUUUAAUGCCUUUCUAGCUAGGCAUGAUGAUGGCAAUGAUGCUCACAUAAAAGAUAAGAACUGAAACAUAAUGGGAGCAUCAUGAAGCAUAUGACUAGCACCUUUAAGUCUAACCCACUUCCUAUGCAUAGGGAUUUUGUGAGCAAACAACUUAUGGGAACAAUAAUCAACUACCAUAGGAAGAUAAAACAAGCAUAGCUUCAAGAAUUGAAGCACAUAGAGAGGAAACUUGACAUUAUUGCAACUCCUACAAGCAUAUGUUCCUCCCUCAUAAUAAUUUUCAGUAGCAUCAUGAAUGAAUUAAACAAUAUAACCAGCACCUAAAGCAUUCUUUUCAUGAUCUACUAGCAUAGAAGAGUUACUACUCUCCACAUAAGCAAAAUUCUUCUCAUGAAUAAUAGUGGGAGCAAACUCAACAAAAUAAUUAUCAUGUGAGGCAUAAUCCAAUUGAAAACUAAAAUCAUGAUGGCAAGUUUCAUGGUUAUCAUUAUUCCUAAUAGCAUACAAGUCAUCACAAUAAUCAUCAUAGAUAGCAACUUUGUUCUCAUAAUCAAUUGGAACCUCUUCCGAAAUAGUGGAAUCAUCACUAAAUAAAGUUGACACUCUUCCAAAUCCACUUUCAUAUUCAUCACAAUAAGAUUCAACAUCCUCCAAAAUAGUGGGAUCACUACUUCCUAAAGUUUACACUCUUCCAAACCCACUUUCAUCAAUAUAAUCAUCAUAAAUAGGAGGCAUUCUUUCAUCAUAAUAAAUAUUCUCAUCAAAACUUGGGGGACAAAAAAUAUCAUAUUCAUCAAACAUAGCUUCUCCAAGCUUGUGGCUUUGUAUAUCAUUAGCAUCAUGGAUAUUCAAGGAAUUCAUACUAACAACAUUGCAAUCAUGCUCAUCAUUCAAAUAUUUAUUGCCAAACAUUAUAAUGCAUUCUUCUUCUAGCACUUGAACACAAUUUUCCUUACCAUCAUACUCACGAAAGAUAUUAAAAAGACGAAGCUUACGAGACAAACUUAACUCCAUUUUUUUGUAGUUUUCUUUUAUAAACUAAACUAGUGAUAAAACAAGAAACAAAAAGAUUCAAUUUCAAGAUCUAAAGAUAUACCUUCAAGCACUCACCUCCCCGGCAACGGCGCCAGAAAAGAGCUUGAUGUCUACUACACAACCUUCUUCUUGUAGACGUUGGUGGGCCUGCAAGUGCACAGGUUUGUAGGACAGUAGCAAAUUUCCCUCAAGUGGAUGACCUAAGGUUUAUCAAUCCGUAGGAGGCAUAGGAUGAAGAUGGUCUCUCUCAAACAACCCUGUGACCAAGUAACAAAGAGUCUCUUGUGUCUCCAACACACCCAAUACAAUGGUAAAUUGAAUAGGUGCACUAGUUCGGCGAAGAGAUGAAGAUACAAGUGCAAAAUAGAUAGUAGAUAUAGGUUUUUGUAAUCUGAAAUAAUAAAAACAGCAAGGUAACAAGCGAUAAAAGUGAGCGUAAACGGUAUUGCAAUGAUAGGAAACAAGGCAUAGGGUUCAUACUUUCACUAGUACAAGUUCUCUCAACAAUAAUAACAUAGAUAGAUCAUAUUACAAGCCCUCAAUGUGCAACAAAGAGUCACUCCAAAGACACUAAUAGCGGAGAACAAACAUAGAGAUUAUGGUAGGGUACGAAACCACCUCAAAGUUAUUCUUUCGAAUCGAUCUAUUAAAGAGUUCAUACUAGAAUAACACCUUAAGACACAAAUCAACCAAAAUCCUAAUGUCACCUAGAUACUCCAUUGUCACCUCAAGAAUCCGUGGGCAUGAUUAUACGACAUGCAUCACACAAUCCCAGAUUCAUCUAUUCAACCAACACAAAGUACUUCAAAGAGUUCCCCAAAGUUUCUACCGGAGAGUCAAGAACGUGUGCCAACCCCUAUGCAUAGGUUCAUGGGCAGAACCCGCAAGUUGGUCACCAAAACAUACAUCAAGAGGCACAUGAUAUCCCAUUGUCACCACAGAUAGCACGGCAAGACAUACAUCAAGUGUUCUCAUAAAAGACUCAAUCCGAUAAGAUAACUUCAAAGGGAAAAUUCAAUUCAUCACAAGAGAGUAGAGGGGGAGAAACAUCAUAAGAUCCAACUACAAUAGCAAAGCUCAUGAUACAUCAAGAUCAUGCCAUAGAGGGAACACGAGAGAGAGAGAGAGAUCAAACACAUAGCUACUGGUACAUACCCUCAGCCCCGAGGGUGAACUACUCCCUCCUCAUCAUGGAUAGCGCCGGGAUGAUGAAGAUAGCCACCGGUGAUGGAUCCCCCCUCCGGCAGGGUGCCGGGAAGGGCUCCCGAGAGGUUUUUGGUGGCUACCAAGUCUUGCGGUGGCGGAACUCAUUAUCUAUCUUGAUCCUCAAUGGUUUUAGGGUACGUAGGGUUAUAUAGGCGAAAGAAGUCGGUCGGGAGGUGCUCGAGGGGUCCAUGAGACAGGGGGUCGCGCCCUGUAGGGGGGUUCGUGCCCCCCUAUCUCCUGGGCUCCUCGAGUAUCUUCUGACUUGAUCUCCAAGCCUCCAGGAUGAUAUUCUUCCAAAAAAUCACGAUGCCGAAGGUUUCAUUCCAUUUGGACUCCAUUUGAUAUUCCUUUUCUUUGAAAUACUGAAACAGGCAAUAAAACAGCAAUAUGGGUUGGGCCUCCGAUUAAUAGGUUAGUCCCAAAAGUAAUAUAAAAGUGUAUAAUAAAGCCCAUAAUCAUUCAAAACAAGUAAUAUAAUAGCAUGCAACAAUCAAAAAUUAUAGAUACGUUGGAGAUGUAUCAGGUAGAAGUAUUGCGAGUACAGUAAGUUUUCUUGAAGAAGCGGAAUUCAACGAAGUCAUGAUGGUUCCUUCGUCCGCACAACUUACAGUGGGAAAGGUUGGGCCUGCGAUACGACCGGGGUAGACUAGGAUAAUUUUGUGCAUGGCAGGUGGACCAGGAUGGUCAACAUCCCACAUGUCGGCGAAUGAAAGUAUUCUUUCCAAUAUAGAGGACGAGCAACGAGUAUUCAUUGUUUAUUUUUGAUGAAAGCUAUUGUCUCCACUGUUACGACGGAGGAGUGUGAAACACGGCAGCCCAGUGAACUUGGCAUGUGCACCACUCCCUCCUUCCUCAUGUAAUGCCCAGGUUACAGCUUUUUCUCACUUUCUCUCUAUCUACUUCCUCUCAAAUGUUUUUAACCUUUCUUUUUUUAAGACAUAAUUGUUUUUAUGCCUUUUUUAGAAUUAUUUUUUAUACCUAGGUGCACGUGUAGAGACGAUCUCUUCCAGAGCCCACUCCUUGACUUUGUCAAUGCCUCUCUCUCCUCCACAUAAGGAGUACUACUUGCUAUGCAUGCAUGCGGCGGGCAGCUGGCGUCUUGAGGGCCAGGGCAGUGAGAGCGGGCUCCGAAAGCGGUCCAGACUCCAGCAUGGCCCACCUCACAUUAUCACCAUAUAUUUCUUGGAGUCCGUGCGCGGCGGGCGGGCGAUCUCUUCUCCCUCCCCCGUUUCUCUCUUCUCAGCCGACGCCCGCCGAGUGAUUAGAUUUCGGCUAUCGAUGGUUUAUUCAAUUACGGUCCCACAUGUCAGUGAAACUGCAAGAUAACGCAUGUACCCUCUGGUGAGCGGCGUGCGAGCCGGAAUGUCGGGGGUGCGACGCGUAUGAGUCGUAAGUGUGUCGCCUUUUCCUUUAGAACUUGCGAAGCGUAACAUUUUCGCGCAAUCGAUCGAUAGAAAUUCAGAACAAAAUGACGAGGGCGAUGCUUUCCCGCUUGUUCGGCGGGCUAGUUCGAGUGAUAUGACGUGCUACAGUGCCAUCCACUUGCUCCAUUUUUAUGUAAGCAAGAGCUUACACUCUUACGCGGGAGGAGUGCGAAACACCGUGGAUCUGAAUUUGAUCGAGGGAUAACUAUUCCCUGCCAAAUAAUGGAGGACUGUUAGCGAUUAUAGCAUGAUAGUUAGGGCAUCUCCAGCGCUGGCCCACAAAUUUACACCGGCAUCUGUCCAAGGACACUGAUGGAUGUCGUCCGAUGUUGCCCGCAUACCUUUCGACAACUAUAUAAACUAACCAGACGAAGUUCAUGCAAACAAAGCAAAUUUCAAAUUAACCGGAUGAAAUUCAUUACAUUUCGAAAACUUUUCCUGCAAAUUGGACGAAAUUAAUUACAUAUUUCGCACAAACCGUACUAAAACCUACUGUAAACCUAAUCUAAACAAUCGCCGGCGCCCGACCACCAUGUCCAGCCAUGAACCCGAGGGUAUCCGGCUUGGAGGGAUCGGGAAUCCAGACAUAACUAGUCCUUAAGAUAGAUGAAGCCUUGCCGCAUUGUUCCUCCACCACUGCGACGUGGUGGGUGACCUGGGGAGAGUUAAUCUCUCUCGGAUCAGGUUUAGGCCCAAUCUGAUCAUAGUCUGUAGCGACUCCCAGGGCGGCGAUGCGAUCCAAGAGCUCGUUUAAAGAAGAGAGCUCCAUCGGAUCUAACUGCUCGGCGAGUUCCGAGUUGACGUGGAGAUUGCUUUCGAUGACCCGAGAAGUCAUCGUCGGUGCGGCGGCCGAACAGGCGGUCAUAAGAAAACCGCCUAGCCAGAGAGUUUGGCCGAUAGCCAAAGCUCCUUUAGCAACAGCGCCGUCUUUAAAGACGGGAUGAGGCAUCCUUCCUGAUGGCGACAGCGCAGCAGAACUCUCAAUGAAAGCACCAAUGUCGGUGUCAAAAUCGGCGGAUCUCGGGUAGGGGGUCCCGAACUAUGCUAUGAUUGUUGUUUGUCCUAUGGACUAAGACCCUCCGGUUUUUAUAGACACCGGAGAGGGCUAGGGUUACACAGAGUCGGUUACAAUGGGAGGAGAUCUACAUAUCCAUGUCGCCAAGCUUGCUUUCCACGCCAAGGAAAGUCCCAUCCGGACACGGGACGAAGUCUUCAAUCUUGUAUCUUCAUAGUCCAGGAGUCCAGCCAAAGGUUAUAGUCCGGCUAUCUGGACACCCCCUAAUCCGUGACUCCCUCAGUAAACCCCGAACCGGGCUUCAAUGACGAUGAGUCCGGCGCACAGAUUUGUCUUCGGCAUUGCAAGGCGGGUUCUUCUCCAAAUUCCAUAUACAUGUUGAAUAGUGUCCAGCUUCUGGUGAAUGUUGCGCCCCUUGGCUUCUACGCCCAAUAAUGGGCAUCUUCCAUGUGUCAAACGAAUGCGAAAAGCCAGGGUGUUUUUUUCAUUUACCCCCCUAGCUGCGCAAAUGAGCUGCCUAUAAAAGAGACGGGGAUUUAGAUCCGAAUCACACCAUCUUCCCUUCGUGAGCAUUCAUCUGAGCGCAUUCGACAGAGAUCCAUUCCAUCAUGGCCAGUCGACGCAGUUCCUCCUCUCGCCCUCCCAGCCCUCAGCCUGGAGAUUGGGAGAGAUGCUCCGUCCCACACAGCGAGUUAGUGGCGCUCCAAGCCAAGGGGUUUCUCCCCCCAGCCUACAUGGUCCCGGUUCGAGCCGGGCUUGCCGCCUAUAAUGGUGGAGAGCAAGCGGAGAGCGUCCCCAAUCCUUCCAAAGGAGAGUGGGUAUGCCUUGUCCCUUAUUUGAUAAGAGGGCUCGGAUUUCCAAUUCAUCCGUUUCUCUGGGGGCUCCUGGAGUUCUACGGCCUCCAGUUGCACAACCUUACGCCUGCCUCCAUAUUGCAUAUUGCGGGCUUCGUAGCCCUUUGCGAGCUGUUUUUGGGCAUCGAGGCUCAUUUCGCGCUGUGGAAGAAGUUGUUCUGCCUUGUGCCCCGUUCUCAGGAGGGGUCGAUAUAUCAAGUGGGCGGAGCCGAACUAUGGCACAUCGCCGGGAUCGGAUAUCUAUCCGGAACCCCAAAGAAGGCGUCCGAAGACUGGCCUUCAGAAUGGUUUUAUAUAGAAGAUGUCCCCCUGUCGGACCCUGUUCGGAUCGGCCUCCCUGAGUUCGAUAAUGCUCCUUUGAAGAAGCGCCUAAGCUGGCAUCCACGGAGCCCUUAGAAGGAAAAUGACAAGGAUGCCCUUUACCUGAUGAGCCGGAUAAGGUUGUUAGCUCAUUCCGGACUGACCAUGAUCGAGGUCAUGGCCACAUGCAUUAUGCGGGGGGUGCAGCCGCUUCAGUAUAGAGGCCACCCCAUGUGGGAUUUCAACGGGGAGGACGACGCCACCCGGGGCGGCCAUAAGGGGCCGGAAUCGGCUGCCGCUCUAAUAAAGAUCUUGUCCGCUUUGUACAAGGGAGAAGAGGAGGAAUUCCUCCACGUCAACCCACGGGGCGGAUUUUCUAUGUACAAUCCUCCAAGAUGGGUAAGUGGACACUUUCACUCGCCCAUCUGUUUCAUAUUCCCAUAGUUACGUAUUCAGUCUAGCAAUUUCAACGCAGGAGCUACACCAGGUUCUAAAGGAGAUAAACAGCCCUCCUCCACAACCCGAGGACCCGGAACGGCCCUUCAACCCGGACUCCCAAGAGGACCCGGACUUAUCUGUGGAGCUGAUCGAUGGGGUGUUUCAUCAAUUGAGCAAGGACAACACCUUAGUGGCCAUUACGGCCGAUUAUCCCAGACUACUUUCAGCCUCAUGAGUAACCGAGACCGAAGUCCCAGUACUUUUUAAGGUGACCCAUUCGUGCUUAUUUUUUAUCACCGUAUACCAAUGGCGUUUUUGCAGGGGAAGUCCUUGAGGCGGAGGGCCGAGCCUGCGGUGGCUAGCCAACAAGGGGCAGCAAGGCCCAGCAGGCUGAAAAGAAGUGCGGUCCGGAUUGAGACGCCGGCGCAACGGUAUGGCGCGCCAUUUUAUUCCCAGGUUUUAUUUCCUCAAGGCAUACUAACGCUCGUGCCCUCUUCAGGAAAAAGAGCGCUCUCGGACUAUAACCGGAGAGGUUGCCAAUCACGCCUCCACCAGCUAGGCUUCAAGGCCAGGUCCGGAAGCGAAGGCGAACACGAGGCACGCACCGGACGCUCCUCCGAUAGAGGAUGCGGCCGGCUGUCUGCCACCCAUUCCGAGGUGGAGAAUGCCAUGAACCACAGGCGUCGCCGGACAGUUCUUCGUGACGCUUGUUUUUUCCAAGAGGCAUUGGAUGCCUUCAAUACGGGAGAUGCAUACCUCCGUGCCGCUCAAAAUGGUCAAGCCAGAGCCACAGAGCAGUAUGUAAAAGACAUAUGGGUGAGAAAAUUUGAUGGUUAUAUAUGUCAGUAGCCCCGAGACUUGAAACAGUUAGAAUAACUGAUUUAAGGAUCAUUUGUUAUGCAGGAUCUUACAGAAAAGAAUACCCAACUGUCCCAGGAGCUGGAAGAGUGCAAAGCCCAACUUGAGGCCGCACUAGCCGCGGUGGGGGAUGCCAAGGAGACCCCCUCUGGUAAUAUAUGCUUCGAAAGAUAAGUAUGUUGUGAAGUGCGGCAUGCGUGGGAAUCUGACAAUAACAUUGCAGAUGGCGCCGGAGUGGAUCCGGACAAGCAACAACUCUUGCGCCGGUUAAAGGCCGGCGAGAGCGUUCUUACGAGGGUGAGGCAAGAGAAGAAUAAUCUCCAAGAUGCCAACACCCAGCUGGGCGAGGAACUAAAGGAUGUUUGUGCUCAGCUAUCGGACUCCGUGAAGGAGAAUCGGCGGCUUCGAUGCGGCAUUUUUAGUAAGUGCUUGAAUGAACUUCGAAAAAGAGUUCGGCGAGGAAGUCGAUUGACAGAGUUAUGUCUGUAGGUAUGCUGACAGGUCAGCCUACAGAGGAAAUGCCCGGUUCUAUGGGUGAUCUUCUUCCCGAGCUCUCACAACUACAUGAACGAGUUCGGCGGGUAAUGCAAGGCUUCUCCCAGGCCUUGUGGCCAUCCAUCUCCAUGCCCAAAGGCCUUGGAGAGCUUGCAGAGAAGCUGAAGGGAGCGCGAAGGCGCUUCCGAUUAUGGAAGAUAUCGGCCUGCCGUCAAGGCGCCAGGGAGGCCUGGGCCAUGGUGAAGACGCGGUACACGAAGGCUGACCCAAACCACAUGGCCGAGGUCGGACCUGUGGGGCCCGAUAGGAAGGAGAUCCCUGUGAGUUUAGUGUACGGCCAGGUAGAGUUGGCCGCCAAAUAUUCCCAACAGGACUAUAAACUAGACAGCCUGUUGGAUGGUAUUGAAGAGGAAUAUACCCAGUCAAAUUGACUAUGUAACUGAAGAUGACAUGUAAAAUGCCUUCUAGCCGGAUUGUAGAUCGUUUGUCAUGGCGGACCUUUUCGCUUCAACCUCGGGACCCGAUAGUCCGGAGUGUGUCCGAAUACCCUCUCGGUUAUGUAAGAACCGGGGCAUGCGUGGAGACCAGGCGUAGGGGUCAUUAGUGCUUGAACAGACAAGUGCCCAACUAGUUAUGUUAUAUUACAUGGUUAGUGAGAAACAUCUUCCAGGGAGAAUAGUUCCGUUAGGGGUUCCUUUCCCUGGGAGGCAUGCCCAAAAGUGCAUGUCUGGACUGCGAAAAAAGCAGAAAAGCAUCUGGGGGUGGAUAAAUAAACAAGUGAGAAAUCAUCUUCUAGUUCAUCGACUGAAUAUUCCCUUAAGAACGCUAGCUUUCGGCUUCACCCAGUCUGAGGUACACAUCCGGCUAACCCGGCAGUAACAAUCGCAGAGGUGCUCCCUUUACCGCCUAGCCGAACAAUCGGGAACGUAGGGGUAAGCACAGGAGCCAGGCAACCCAGCUUGGCCAAAACUUAAGUCAUAUCGAUGCAUAUAAUGGUGAAUAAAAGGUACAUGCGGAAGUGUGACACAUGUGUUGGGCAUGAGGCCCGUAUAAACAAGCUUCUGUUAAAGAAGCCCCCAGGUAUAAUGAGCGCGGAUAGCGCGUCAAUUGUGUGCGAACAAGGCACGAACGAUCCCUUAAAGGUUGUAAGAGAAAGGGAGGGAGAAGGAGAGAAAUAUAAGACAGCUAAUGUGUAAAAAACAGACAGAGGAAGGAGACAAACACAAAGUCCGGCGCUAGGCGUAGAAUCUUCGGAGACGGGCUGCGUUCCAUGGGUUCGGCUCGAGUCGGUUAUCCGAUGCAUCUCGCAGACGGUACGCUCCACUAGUCAGGACUUGGUCAAUGAUGAAGGGACCUUCCCAUUUGGGCUUGAGUUUGUCCUUUUUCUUGUCCGACGGGCCUAUAACUAACUCGCCAACAUUGUAAGUUUUGGCCCGUACUUCUCUGCUUUGAUAUCUUUGAGUCUGCUGUUGAUAGAAUGCGGAACGAGCUUUUUCCACAUCACGCUCCUCCUCUAAGGCGUCCAAACUUUCCUGCCGAUCGAGUUCGGCUUCUCUUUCUUCGUACAUGCGCACGCGAGGUGAUUCAUGAAUUAUGUCGCUGGGCAGAACUGCCUCUGCGUCGUAUACCAUAAAGAAUGGUGUGAAUCCGGUGGUGCGAUUCGGCAUGGUCCGCAGCCCCCAGAGUACGGAGUCGAGCUCCUCUACCCAGUGCGUGUUAGAUUCCUUGAGGGACCUCACUAUUCUGGGUUUGAUGCCGCUCAUGAUUAGACCAUUUGCUCGCUCGACUUGACCGUUAGUUUGUGGGUGAUAGACUGAAGCGUAGUUCGUAAAGUUCGUAAAGUUCGUGCCGUUAUCAGUGAUGAUGCUAUGGGGGACGCCAUAAUGGUGUACGACCCCUGAUAUGAAGUCUAUCACCGGUCCGGAUUCGGCCGUCUUAACAGGCUUGGCCUCUAUCCAUUUGGUGAAUUUAUCCACCAUGACCAGUAGGUAUUUUUGCUUGUGGGUUCCUCCUUUAAGGGGUCCAACCAUGUCAAGCCCCCAUACUGCGAAGGGCCAGGUGAUGGGUAUAGUUUGGAGGGCGGUGGGUGGCAUAUGGCUUUGCUUAGCAAACAGCUAGCAACCGACGCAUCGUUGGACUAAGUCCUGAGCAUCUGCCCGGGCCGUCGGCCAAUAAACUCCUGUACGGAAGGCCUUGCUUACAAGGGCCCGGGCUGCGGCGUGGUGCCCGCCUAGUCCGGCAUGAAUUUCAGCCAGAAGGUUCCACCCUUCCUCUUCGGAGAUAGACCUUUGAAGGACUCCGGUGGUGCUUUUCUUAUAAAGCUCUCCUUCGUGGACUUUAUAGGCUUUAGAUCGCCGCACUAUUCAGCGUGCCUCGUUUUGGUCCUCGGGAAGUUCCUGCCUGGUUAGGUAGGCUAGGAAUGGUUCUGUCCACGGGGCAAUGACUACCAUUAUUACGUGGGCUGAGGAUGUUACUUCGUUGGCAGAGCCUCCCGUUGUGUCAGAAUGUUCGGUGUCGGGCGGUGCGGUUGGGUCCGGGCUGUUAUUUCUGGAUUCCCCUUCCCAUAAUACAGCUGGCUUGAAUAGCCUCUCCAAGAAAAUGUUGGGCGGGACUGCAUCGCGCUUUGCGCCGAUGCGUGCCAAGACGUCUGCCGCCUGAUUGUUUUCCCGGGCUAUAUGGUGAAAUUCGAGCCCCUUGAACUGAGCUGACAUUUUUAGGACGGCGUUGUGAUAAGUUGCCAUUUUCGGAUCCUUGGCAUCAAAGUCUUCAUUUAUUUGGGAUAUCGCGAGGUUCGAAUCCCCACGCACCUCUAGGCGUUGGAUGCCCAUGGAGACUGCCAUCCGGAGACCAUGUAGAAGGGCCUCGUAUUAGGGUGCGUUGUUGGAGUCCGUAUACAUUAUGUGGAGUAUGUAUUGGACUGUAUCUCCUGUUGGGGACAUCAAAACGACGCCAGCCCCCAGACCAGCUAACAUUUUGGAGCCGUCGAAGUGCAUGAUCCAGUUGGAAUAUGUGUCGUACUCUUUAGGGAGUUCAGCUUCAGUCCAUUCGGCGACGAAGUCGGCCAAAACUUGCGACUUAAUAGCUCGUUGUGGCUUAUAGGUUAUGCCGAAUGGGAGGAGCUCAAUGGCCCAUUUGGCAAUCCGUCCCGUUGCAUCGUGGUUGUUUAUAAUAUCCUUAAGAGGUACUUUGGAGGCUACUGUUAUCGAACACUCUUGAAAGUAGUGUCGCAGCUUCCGGGAUGCCAUAAAAACUGCGUACGCUAUCUUUUGAUAAUGCGGGUACUAUGACUUGCAUGGAGUGAAGACAGUGGACACGUAGUAAACUGGUUUUUGAAGCGGGAAUUUGUGUCCGUCCGUUUCUCGUUCGACGACGAGCACCGCGCUUACAACUUGAUAAGUUGCCGCAAUGUAUAAUAGCAUUGGUUCGCCGAUGUUAGGUGCGGCCAGGACCGGGUUUGUUGCCAAUAUGGCUUUUAUUUCUUCGAGUCCGGCCGUGGCGGCAUUCGUCCACUCAAAGUGUUCGGUGCGCCGGAGGUGGCGAUAAAGGGGUAAUGCCUUUUCUCCCAAGAGCGAGAUAAAGCGGCUUAGAGCCGCCAUGCAUCCAGUCAAUUUUUGUAUUUGUUUGAGGUCCUUUGGAAUAUCUAAUUGUGACAGAGCUCGGAUCUUGGCUAGGGUUGCUUCAAUUCCUCUACCGGAUACAAUGAAGCCCAAGUGCUUUCCGGCUGGUACGCCGAAAACGCAUUUUUCCGGGUUAAGCUUGAUGUCAUAUGCUCGGAGGUUAUCGAAUGUGAGCCUCAAGUCGUCUACUAGAGUUUCGACAUGCUUGGUUUUGACGACCACGUCAUCUAUGUAUGCUUCCACUGUUUUGCUGAUCUGGUUUGCCAGACAUGUCUGAAUCAUGCGCUGAUAUGUUGCGCCGGCGUUUUUGAGCCCGAAGGGCAUUGUGUUGAAGCAGAAUGGGCCGUAUGGGGUGAUGAAUGCCGUUGCGGCUUGGUCUGUCUCUGCCAUCUUAAUUUGAUGGUAGCCGGAGUAUGCAUCGAGGAAACACAAUGAAUCGUGUCCUGCGGUAGCGUCAAUAAUUUGAUCGAUGCGGGGGAGGGGGAAGGGAUCCUUUUGGGGAAGCCUUGUUGAGGUCCUUGAAAUCGACGCAUAGGCGCCAGGAUUUGUCCUUCUUUGGUACCAUCACCAGGUUUGCUAGCCAGUCCAGAUGUUUUAUAUCUCUGAUGAAUCUGGCCUCCAGUAGUUUGGCUAGAUCCUCUCCCAUGGCUUGUCUCUUAGGUUCGGAGAAACGCCGAAGAGCCUGCUUGACAGGCUUGAAUCCUUUUAGGAUGUUUAGGCUGUGUUGGGCCAGCCUGCGUGGGAUUCCUGGCAUGUCUGAAGGGUGCCAGGCAAAAAUGUCCCAAUUUUCGCGUAGGAAUUCUCGUAGUGCGGCGUCUACAUCAGGGUUUAAUUGCGCCCCGAUGGAGGCCGUUUUUGUAGGGUCCGUUGGAUGGACUUGGAAUUUGACUAUUUCGUCUGCCGGUUUAAAGGAGGUGGACUUGGAUCUUUUAUCGAGUAUCACGUCGUCCCUAUUCACCGUGGAGCGCAGCGCAGUCAGUUCCUCGGUCGCUAGGGCUUCGGAUGAAUCUGGCCUCAAGGGCCAGUGCGGCUGUCUUAUUUUCGGCGCAGAGUGCUAUGUCCGGGUCACUAGCAAGAGUGAUGAUUCUGUUGGGUCUGAGCAUUUUGAGCUUCAUGUACCCGUAAUGGGCUAUGGCUUGAAAAAUUGUGAAUGCCUCUCGCCCUAAUAGAGUGUGGUAUCCGCUACUGAACGGGGCCACUUGAAACAUGACCUCCUCGGACCUGUAAUUAUCCGGCGUGCCGAACAUCACAUCCAGUGUGAUUUUUCCUACACAGCAUGCUUCCCGACUGGGGAUUAUUCCUCUAAAGGUUGUGUUUCUUCGCUCAAUGCGGCUCUAGUCUAUUUCCAUUUUUCGAAGGGUUUCCUCAUAAAUGAGGUUCAAUCCGCUGCCACUGUCCAUGAGUACCUUGGUAAGGCGAAAGUCGUCCACUAUUGGACUGAGGACCAAUACGGCUGGUGCUUGGGCUGUUCGGAAUUUAGGUUCAUCACUGGCAUUAAAGGUAAUAGUCGUGUCACUCCAUGGGUUUAUUGUUGCUACUUGGUAGACUUCGGCAAGGCUGCGGAAUGUUCGCUUCCGCAUAUUAUUUGAUGUGAAAGUCUCGAAGACUGUUAAUACCGUACUGGUAUCCCUGGCUGGUUCUCUGUGAAUUCUGGAGUUAGAAGCUCCUCGCCACUUCUGGCCACCUGCCGGAGUAUCCAACAUGCUCUAAGGCUAUGAGUUGGUGUGGCGCCCUCUGUACUAUGAAUUUUACAGGGUCCAUUAAGCCAUCCCUCCAGUACGGUUCCAUGCCCUAUAGAGGGUUUUUGCUUUUUGGUGUUUAACCCAGGUACCUGGGGAUAAUGCACCCUUUUAUUUCAGAUUGGGGUUGUAUUCAGGGUCGGAUUGUCCCAAAAAUUUAUUUCGGUUUUCCAGGCGCUUUCCAUCGCACAGUACUUUUGUACUAUGGAUGCCAAGUCGGCAAAGCGUGUAAUUUCACGGGACUUAUGGCGUUGAGGAUUCCGUUGUCUGUGCAAUUAUUGCAGAAGAAUAAAAUUGCAUCCUCCUUGUGGCAGUCCUCUAUCCUGUUCAUAACCAGGAGGAAUCUGGCCCAGUAAUGGUGUACUGUUUCUGCGGGCUCUUGCCGAAUUUGGGAUAGAUCCCUUAUAUUUGGGUGGGCCGGUGGAAUUAAAUCUGGAACCUCGCCCAAUCUGAGACUCAGGGGCCAAGGAGUUUCCGAACUCGGAAGCUUGGGUUCUGGGAUGUUGUCCAAUGAAUCAAGCCCGCUGCCUGACUUUAGGUUCAGGGCUUGAGUGACAUCCUCCCCUCCGCGGGUAUCCGGCUUGGAGGGAUCGGGAAUCCGGACAUAACUAGCCCUUAAGAUAGAUGAAGGCUUGCCGCAUUGUUCCUCCACCACUGCGACGUGGUGGGUGACCUGGGGAGAGUUAAUGUCUCUCGGAUCGGGUUUAGGCCCAAUCUGAUCGUAGUCUGUAGCGACUCCUAGGGCGGCGAUGCGAUCCAAGAGCUCGUUUAAGGAAGAGAGCUCCAUCGGAUCUAACUGCUCGGCGAGUUCCGAGUUGACGUGGAGAUUGCUUUCGAUGACCCGAGAAGUCAUCGUCGGCGCGGCGGCCGAACAGACGGUCAUAAGAAAACCGCCUAGCCGGAGAGUUUGGACUCUAGCCAAAGCUUCUUUAGCAAAAGCGCCGUCUUUGAAGACGGGAUGAGGCAUCCAUCCUGAUGGCGACGGCGCAGCGGAACUCUCAAUGAAAGCACCAAUGUUGGUGUCAAAACCGGCGGAUCUCGGGUAGGGGGUCCCGAACUGUGCGUCUAGGCGGAUGCUAACAGGAGACAAGGGACACGAUGUUUUUACCCAGGUUCGGGCCCUCUCGAUGGAGGUAAAACCCUACUCCUACUUGAUUAAUAUUGAUGAUAUGGGUUGUACAAGAGUAGAUCUACCACGAGAUCAGAGAGGCUAAACCCUAGAAGCUAGCCUAUGGUAUGAUUGUUCUUUGUCCUACGGACUAAAACCCUCCGAUUUAUAUAGACACCGGAGAGGGCUAGGGUUACACAGAGUCGGUUACAAUGGGAGGAGAUCUACAUAUCCGUAUCGCCAAUCUUGCCUUCCACGCUAAGGAAAGUCCCAUCCGGACACGGGACGAAGUCUUCAAUCUUGUAUCUUCAUAGUCCAGGAGUCCGGCCAAAGGUUAUAGUCUGGCUAUCCGGACACCCCCUAAUCCGGGACUCCCUCAGCCGGCGAUCUCCUUCGUUUGCUCCUGCGACAGUACGUCGAAGAGAGCUUUGGAGCACGCCCGGAGCAAAGCCGCCGAUGUCCCUCGUAUGCUCCUGCGUCAGUACGUCCAAGAGAGCUUCGGAGCGCCAGGAGGCCAUGGUUGGAGUGGUGCCGACAGAAGGAAGGGACCGGAGGAGAAUAAGUGUGGGUCUUUGGCUAUGGCUGGGAGCUGGGGCUCAAGUUAAUAUAGCGGGCGAAUGGCAAUGAGCCACGGCAGACGGAUGGACAACUUGCGACGGAGUAGGUUCGUCAGGCGUGAAUGUGGACGCUGCUUCAGUGACUUAACUGCAGAUGCGUUGGGUUACUGACAUGUGGGCCCAAUGGGCAUCUGGCCCCCAUGUCAGUGACACACCAAUUGCACCUGCAGUUAAGUCCGGUGAAUGCGGCAUUGACAUUCUGGAGAGACGGUGACCAUUUCAGGCGGGAAGCGCGCGCUAGCGAUGGAAGGGGUUUCGGUGUGCAGUGGCACUAAGAUCGGUCGCUCACGAUAGUACAUACUCUGUACCAUACUACCAUAGUACCCUCUCUAGCUAGGUUGUUUUAUAGAUUGUCGUCGUGAUGGACGAUAUACAUGAGCAAGGCGGUCCGAGUAUGAUCGUUGGUGUUGAGCCAGGUGAAUACAUGCUCGGCGUUCGGGUAGGCCUCCAUCAAACGUCUAAACAGUAAUGUCAGCACCACCGGGGCGCGCAGGUGAUGGGCUUGCCAUUUGCGUUGCAUCAUGAGCAGGACUUUGAUUUAGAGGGCGACGUGCAUGCAUUAGCAUGCUUUGACAGCGUGAGCGUUAGUGUCUGACACGAACUAAUUCAUUUUCAUUUGGCUGACGAGGGUGCAUUGCAGUGAUGAGUUCGUGGUUGGAUUCCCCACAUACGCAUAAUUUUGGUUUUUACAGUAUUUCUUUCUCCAUUGACAGGUAGGCCCGCGUAGAUAGAUAAAGAACACGAGCUGAUGAGGCGCAUGCGGACUGUUUGACUGGUCAACUAGAAAAAUACGGAACUAUACGCUGAGCCAGUGACCGUAUAAUCACCAUAUCUCAUAUACAAUGAUCAAAGUGAGCUAUCAAGACAAGUUCGAUGACCGCCAAUGCAUUUUACUCGGUAAUAAAUGACCAGGAUUGAAGGGGAAUCCAAAUUUGCUUUGUCUUCUGUCCUUGAGCUCUUGACGAACCAAUGCACUAUACGGUUGUCCGGCCACUCCACCCCAGAGCUCUCACCAAGCGUCGUUCAUGCCACCGCGCCGCACACUAACCGGUAAGGCAGCGAUGGCAUCCCGCCGCGCUGAGUUCCUCGUCGCCCACGACCGCACACAAAAUGGUAGGGAAGCGAUGGCAUCCCGUCGUGCUGAGUUCAUCGCCGCUCGCGACCUCACAACUAUGUGGGAGGAAUUUGAAGAUGCCAAGGCCGAAUGGGCGGUAGAGCAAGAGGCGGCCAAAGCCGCACAGAGGGAGCGGAAAAGUCAGAAAGCACUCAAGAAAAGAGAGGCCUGCCGUCGUAAGAAAGAAAAGGACGCACGCGCUGCUGCGGAGAGGUCGAUGGAGCAGAAUGGGCAUUGUGUUGAAGCAGAAUGGGCCGUAUGGGGUGAUGAAUGCCGUUGCGGCUUGGUCUGUCUCUGCCAUCUUAAUUUGAUGGUAGCCGGAGUAUGCAUCGAGGAAACACAAUGAAUCGUGUCCUGCGGUAGCGUCAAUAAUUUGAUCGAUGCGGGGGAGGGGGAAGGGAUCCUUUUGGGGAAGCCUUGUUGAGGUCCUUGAAAUCGACGCAUAGGCGCCAGGAUUUGUCCUUCUUUGGUACCAUCACCAGGUUUGCUAGCCAGUCCAGAUGUUUUAUAUCUCUGAUGAAUCUGGCCUCCAGUAGUUUGGCUAGAUCCUCUCCCAUGGCUUGUCUCUUAGGUUCGGAGAAACGCCGAAGAGCCUGCUUGACAGGCUUGAAUCCUUUUAGGAUGUUUAGGCUGUGUUGGGCCAGCCUGCGUGGGAUUCCUGGCAUGUCUGAAGGGUGCCAGGCAAAAAUGUCCCAAUUUUCGCGUAGGAAUUCUCGUAGUGCGGCGUCUACAUCAGGGUUUAAUUGCGCCCCGAUGGAGGCCGUUUUUGUAGGGUCCGUUGGAUGGACUUGGAAUUUGACUAUUUCGUCCGCCGGUUUAAAGGAGGUGGACUUGGAUCUUUUAUCGAGUAUCACGUCGUCCCUAUUCACCGUGGAGCGCAGCGCAGUCAGUUCCUCGGUCGCUAGGGCUUCGGAUGAAUCUGGCCUCAAGGGCCAGUGCGGCUGUCUUAUUUUCGGCGCAGAGUGCUAUGUCCGGGUCACUAGCAAGAGUGAUGAUUCUGUUGGGUCUGAGCAUUUUGAGCUUCAUGUACCCGUAAUGGGCUAUGGCUUGAAAAAUUGUGAAUGCCUCUCGCCCUAAUAGAGUGUGGUAUCCGCUACUGAACGGGGCCACUUGAAACAUGACCUCCUCGGACCUGUAAUUAUCCGGCGUGCCGAACAUCACAUCCAGUGUGAUUUUUCCUACACAGCAUGCUUCCCGACUGGGGAUUAUUCCUCUAAAGGUUGUGUUUCUUCGCUCAAUGCGGCUCUAGUCUAUUUCCAUUUUUCGAAGGGUUUCCUCAUAAAUGAGGUUCAAUCCGCUGCCACUGUCCAUGAGUACCUUGGUAAGGCGAAAGUCGUCCACUAUUGGACUGAGGACCAAUACGGCUGGUGCUUGGGCUGUUCGGAAUUUAGGUUCAUCACUGGCAUUAAAGGUAAUAGUCGUGUCACUCCAUGGGUUUAUUGUUGCUACUUGGUAGACUUCGGCAAGGCUGCGGAAUGUUCGCUUCCGCAUAUUAUUUGAUGUGAAAGUCUCGAAGACUGUUAAUACCGUACUGGUAUCCCUGGCUGGUUCUCUGUGAAUUCUGGAGUUAGAAGCUCCUCGCCACUUCUGGCCACCUGCCGGAGUAUCCAACAUGCUCUAAGGCUAUGAGUUGGUGUGGCGCCCUCUGUACUAUGAAUUUUACAGGGUCCAUUAAGCCAUCCCUCCAGUACGGUUCCAUGCCCUAUAGAGGGUUUUUGCUUUUUGGUGUUUAACCCAGGUACCUGGGGAUAAUGCACCCUUUUAUUUCAGAUUGGGGUUGUAUUCAGGGUCGGAUUGUCCCAAAAAUUUAUUUCGGUUUUCCAGGCGCUUUCCAUCGCACAGUACUUUUGUACUAUGGAUGCCAAGUCGGCAAAGCGUGUAAUUUCACGGGACUUAUGGCGUUGAGGAUUCCGUUGUCUGUGCAAUUAUUGCAGAAGAAUAAAAUUGCAUCCUCCUUGUGGCAGUCCUCUAUCCUGUUCAUAACCAGGAGGAAUCUGGCCCAGUAAUGGUGUACUGUUUCUGCGGGCUCUUGCCGAAUUUGGGAUAGAUCCCUUAUAUUUGGGUGGGCCGGUGGAAUUAAAUCUGGAACCUCGCCCAAUCUGAGACUCAGGGGCCAAGGAGUUUCCGAACUCGGAAGCUUGGGUUCUGGGAUGUUGUCCAAUGAAUCAAGCCCGCUGCCUGACUUUAGGUUCAGGGCUUGAGUGACAUCCUCCCCUCCGCGGGUAUCCGGCUUGGAGGGAUCGGGAAUCCGGACAUAACUAGCCCUUAAGAUAGAUGAAGGCUUGCCGCAUUGUUCCUCCACCACUGCGACGUGGUGGGUGACCUGGGGAGAGUUAAUGUCUCUCGGAUCGGGUUUAGGCCCAAUCUGAUCGUAGUCUGUAGCGACUCCUAGGGCGGCGAUGCGAUCCAAGAGCUCGUUUAAGGAAGAGAGCUCCAUCGGAUCUAACUGCUCGGCGAGUUCCGAGUUGACGUGGAGAUUGCUUUCGAUGACCCGAGAAGUCAUCGUCGGCGCGGCGGCCGAACAGACGGUCAUAAGAAAACCGCCUAGCCGGAGAGUUUGGACUCUAGCCAAAGCUUCUUUAGCAAAAGCGCCGUCUUUGAAGACGGGAUGAGGCAUCCAUCCUGAUGGCGACGGCGCAGCGGAACUCUCAAUGAAAGCACCAAUGUUGGUGUCAAAACCGGCGGAUCUCGGGUAGGGGGUCCCGAACUGUGCGUCUAGGCGGAUGCUAACAGGAGACAAGGGACACGAUGUUUUUACCCAGGUUCGGGCCCUCUCGAUGGAGGUAAAACCCUACUCCUACUUGAUUAAUAUUGAUGAUAUGGGUUGUACAAGAGUAGAUCUACCACGAGAUCAGAGAGGCUAAACCCUAGAAGCUAGCCUAUGGUAUGAUUGUUCUUUGUCCUACGGACUAAAACCCUCCGAUUUAUAUAGACACCGGAGAGGGCUAGGGUUACACAGAGUCGGUUACAAUGGGAGGAGAUCUACAUAUCCGUAUCGCCAAUCUUGCCUUCCACGCUAAGGAAAGUCCCAUCCGGACACGGGACGAAGUCUUCAAUCUUGUAUCUUCAUAGUCCAGGAGUCCGGCCAAAGGUUAUAGUCUGGCUAUCCGGACACCCCCUAAUCCGGGACUCCCUCAGCCGGCGAUCUCCUUCGUUUGCUCCUGCGACAGUACGUCGAAGAGAGCUUUGGAGCACGCCCGGAGCAAAGCCGCCGAUGUCCCUCGUAUGCUCCUGCGUCAGUACGUCCAAGAGAGCUUCGGAGCGCCAGGAGGCCAUGGUUGGAGUGGUGCCGACAGAAGGAAGGGACCGGAGGAGAAUAAGUGUGGGUCUUUGGCUAUGGCUGGGAGCUGGGGCUCAAGUUAAUAUAGCGGGCGAAUGGCAAUGAGCCACGACAGACGGAUGGACAACUUGCGACGGAGUAGGUUCGUCAGGCGUGAAUGUGGACGCUGCUUCAGUGACUUAACUGCAGAUGCGUUGGGUUACUGACAUGUGGGCCCAAUGGGCAUCUGGCCCCCAUGUCAGUGACACACCAAUUGCACCUGCAGUUAAGUCCGGUGAAUGCGGCAUUGACAUUCUGGAGAGACGGUGACCAUUUCAGGCGGGAAGCGCGCGCUAGCGAUGGAAGGGGUUUCGGUGUGCAGUGGCACUAAGAUCGGUCGCUCACGAUAGUACAUACUCUGUACCAUACUACCAUAGUACCCUCUCUAGCUAGGUUGUUUUAUAGAUUGUCGUCGUGAUGGACGAUAUACAUGAGCAAGGCGGUCCGAGUAUGACCGUUGGUGUUGAGCCAGGUGAAUACAUGCUCGGCGUUCGGGUAGGCCUCCAUCAAACGUCUAAACAGUAAUGUCAGCACCACCGGGGCGCGCAGGUGAUGGGCUUGCCAUUUGCGUUGCAUCAUGAGCAGGACUUUGAUUUAGAGGGCGACGUGCAUGCAUUAGCAUGCUUUGACAGCGUGAGCGUUAGUGUCUGACACGAACUAAUUCAUUUUCAUUUGGCUGACGAGGGUGCAUUGCAGUGAUGAGUUCGUGGUUGGAUUCCCCACAUACGCAUAAUUUUGGUUUUUACAGUAUUUCUUUCUCCAUUGACAGGUAGGCCCGCGUAGAUAGAUAAAGAACACGAGCUGAUGAGGCGCAUGCGGACUGUUUGACUGGUCAACUAGAAAAAUACGGAACUAUACGCUGAGCCAGUGACCGUAUAAUCACCAUAUCUCAUAUACAAUGAUCAAAGUGAGCUAUCAAGACAAGUUCGAUGACCGCCAAUGCAUUUUACUCGGUAAUAAAUGACCAGGAUUGAAGGGGAAUCCAAAUUUGCUUUGUCUUCUGUCCUUGAGCUCUUGACGAACCAAUGCACUAUACGGUUGUCCGGCCACUCCACCCCAGAGCUCUCACCAAGCGUCGUUCAUGCCACCGCGCCGCACACUAACCGGUAAGGCAGCGAUGGCAUCCCGCCGCGCUGAGUUCCUCGUCGCCCACGACCGCACACAAAAUGGUAGGGAAGCGAUGGCAUCCCGUCGUGCUGAGUUCAUCGCCGCUCGCGACCUCACAACUAUGUGGGAGGAAUUUGAAGAUGCCAAGGCCGAAUGGGCGGUAGAGCAAGAGGCGGCCAAAGCCGCACAGAGGGAGCGGAAAAGUCAGAAAGCACUCAAGAAAAGAGAGGCCUGCCGUCGUAAGAAAGAAAAGGACGCACGCGCUGCUGCGGAGAGGUCGAUGGAGAUCCAAGCACGGUGGGGUGUCGCCGACAAAGCCGGGAAGGAGAACGACGGCGUCUGGCCAGCAUGUGAGAAGUAGUAGUACUAGUAGUUAGUGUGUGUGUGUCUAUGUCUGAGUACGAGCAUGUACUAGUACUACUAGUUACUACUAUAGUUUUUAGAGCAAAUUACCAGUACAUUAGCCUAGACUAAAUGGAAAAAUUCCUAUCCUAUGCAUCAAAUGGCAUCUCUUUCUCUAUAGGAAUUGAGAUGCAUGUCAUCUCACUUCCUAUAAUUUUCAUAUUCCUAUAAAAUUCCUAUCCUAUGAACGAAAGGAGGCCUCUGUUGGAGUAACUACUGUAGCUAGCAGUACUGCUGGUACAGUAGUUUUCUUCAAGAAGCGGAAUUCAACGAAGUCACGAUGGUUCCUUCGUCCGAGCAACUUCAAAGUGGGAAGUGGGCCUGUGAUUUGACGGCUAUUUAGUCAUUGUUACUGCAGCGCGAUGACCUGGGUGACUCUCCCUUGGAGUUCUGCGUGUAUGGCAAGUGGACCAGGAUGGUCGACGUCCCACAUGUUGGCGAACGAAAGUAUUCUUUCCGAUAUCGAGGAGCAAGGAAACCGCAUGGUAUAGUAUCACUAUUGAUUGGUUCGCAAAAAAAUAGCAUCACUGCUGAUUUAUAAUUAUUUUUUAUUUCUAAUGAAUGCUAGCGUUUCAACUCUUACGAUGAAGGGUGCCAAACACGGCACGUGCUGGAUGUCCCACACGUCAGUGAAAGGAGUUGGACAUGAACAGAAUGGUAGAGCCCAGCGUAAAAACAACAGUGUGGUAGAGCGUCUCCACUUCUUCCACUUCUGGGUCUGAGACCACACGUAACAGUACUUAGUGGUAUGAAUGAUACAAAGUGCGACCUGGAGAGAAAGACACGUCUAGUUGGAAGGUCUCGGGGCAUACACGUAAACAAAUAUAAAAGUUAAUAUGUUCCUCCAACUAAUACAGUAGUAGUAGAGUACUUAGGCACGUACUCCAUAACAUCACCGUGCAUUGCACGUACAACAUUUAGUGGUAGUACGUAGUAAGAGACAAAUGCCGCCCAAGAGUUCCCUUCUCGGCCUACUUUUGGGUGUUUGGUAGAGUAAAUGGAGGGUGCAUGAGUCCACACUAGUUUAGCACAAAUACACUAGAAGCAUGCAUGAAGAGGGGUGUUGAUUUGAGCAUGCAUGAAGAGGGAACAACUAUGAUGAGACGAGAACGCAACCAAACACACCCUAUAUGCCACGCAUGUUCAUACCAUUUGUGCCUUUCUACUUCACUUACUACGCUACAUUACGCAGGUUCGUACGUCCACUCCUGGGCACAUGUCCGUCUCGUAGUUCCAGUCCCGCGUGUUCUUCAUAUAGAUGGAACGAUCCUUGCAUAACACGUGCACGCGUGUUGGCAAAAGGAUGAACAAAGCUCACGUAAAAAAAUAGAGUGGAAGAACAUAGAUUUCGGACGACCGAGAGGGAGCAAGAAACCUCAUGGUGGAGCGUAUGCACUCAUAAUAUUUCAUAUUAUAAAGCGAUAUAAAAUUAACCAAUCAUCUCCACAGUGGACUCGAAGAGUACGAAACACGGCAGCCCAGUGUAGUUACAUCAUACUAGUACAUGGCUAACCCACGCUAUCACCAUAUUUCUUGGCUUCCUUGCGACACCUAUCUCUAGUAAUCCAGUAGCCUGUAUCGCUUCUCCCUCCUUGUCUCUAUCAAAGUGCGGCGGGCUGGCGUUUUUGCCGUCUAUUGAGGUCGGUUAACUCAUCACAUGUUAGCGACAUGCCAAGAACAUUCUAAAAAAAUUCCUUUCACGUUCCGUUUACAAAAAGAAAAAAAUCCUUUCACGUACGAAUUUGCAUGUAUGCUUUGAGCAACUUGCAUGUCCUAUACUGCUCCUGUUUGAUACUCUAACUUAGCUAGAGGUUAGACUAACUCAUGACUAACCCUGAACUAACUGUAGCCAAAGAGGUGUUCGGGUGACAGGGUUAGAUUGACAAUGAAUGCACUUGAUGGAGAGAGAAAAGUGAUUUCUCAGUGGUCCCAAUGAGAACUAUCUCCAGUUAGCACCUCUUGGGUGGGAUAGUUUUUUUGGUGGGUUCGGUGCAACUUGCUCCAAUUUAAACCCUCAUGCUUGGAUACUUUAGGGCUAUUUGAGCCCGAACUAGCUCAAACUAACUCUAACCCAUGGAUCCAAACAGGGCCUAUGGCCAGUCUCGACGCGGAGCAGUCGCGUGCACCGAGAAACGGCACUCUCUCGGUCGUCGCACCAAUUCAAAGCCGGCGCCAGUGAGAGGUGGCCUCCGCUCUGGCUGGGCAUUAAUGCGGCACUGACGCUCCAGGGCGACGCUGACCGUUUCACGCGGGAAGAGCACGCUGGCAAGGGAGUAUAGGUUUUGAACCGUUUCAGGUGUAGUACUGGUAGUUUGCAAAACUACUCAAUUAUUGCACUCGAUUUCCUAAGAAAUUGUGGUAAAAAACGUUACUCCACAGCCUGCUUCCCUUCUCCUUCCUCUUCCACUGCCCGCGCACGUCCGUGGGAAGCGACCGGUAAACCCUUAUAUAGGAGUGCUAGCACAAAAAGAUGCAUGCAUGACCACUAAAAUUUCCAUAUUAAAGCGCCGCUCCGGCGGGAGUAUGGCGUAUGUUGUUACCUUCGGCCGGGCCAUCGCUACCGGGCGACGGCGACCAGAGAAGAGGCGGCGGGAGGGGAAUGAAUGCAGCUACUGUUUGGGUUUGCCUUCCGGCUUUAAUAAAUGCGCAGCAUCACGUGUACCCGCGGGUGCACAAAUUGUAACAUACAUGUAUGCUUAAGUGGGCAUCACAUAACUGGUGUGUGUGUGAGAGAGAGAGAUUCUGAGAGAUAGAGUGCGUGUGUGCGACUCAACUCUUCGGACAUGUACUCAACCUUUUGCAUCGGGAUAUAAGUAUAAUGGUAUUUACUUUAGCUAGUGAUUUACGUGGCCAUGUUAACGUGGUUGUGUAAAAAAAUGUCACUUCCUGCUCGUGAUUUGCGUUAUAUAAUUACAAGCAAGAUUCUCGUGCAUUGCACGGAACAUCAAUAUGCAUUUUUUUACAAAACACCUAUUGUGAUUGACCCAUGCAGGAGUAAUUCCAUGUGUAAAAACUAAUGAUAUCUCGAGAAUUUUAUCAGAAAACUGGUAUCUUGAGAAUGUCAUCGAAAAACUGAAAGAUGAGAGAUAAGGCGAGGAGGAGUGGAGCGUGGUGGUGACUGGUGGUCGGAAUGGGCGGAGGCAUGGGGAUGGAUGGCGCCGGCAGGCGGCAGUGGCCACCAUGCAUGCUAGAUUGUUCCAAAGACUUAUUCCUUUUUUAAUUGCUGAGCAAUGAGGUUGUGGGAGAUAAUGAUGUGGAGAGAUGUGCGGGUAUAUUUUGUAAAAUUAUCAUAGUUUGCUUUCUAUCCGUCAGAUAUAGAUCAUACGGUAUGUAUUACAAGAUGGCAGGCACACCAUCAUCGCCAACUCAUUUUUAUAAGGGUAUAGAUGAUAAGUUUGCUGACUACUAAAGUAAAGUAGAAUUUGUCCAUGUUAUGCAAGUAAAUAAAGGUGAUUGUUUAUCAUACGGGUAAGGUUGGAUGAAGGGUGGUAGGAACAAAUGCUCCACCUAGAGCAUGUGUGUGUGAGAUGGAGUCUUAGUGUGUGUGUGGGGGGGGUGAGAGNNNNNNNNNNNNNNNNNNNNNNNNNNNNNNNNNNNNNNNNNNNNNNNNNNNNNNNNNNNNNNNNNNNNNNNNNNNNNNNNNNNNNNNNNNNNNNNNNNNNNNNNNNNNNNNNNNNNNNNNNNNNNNNNNNNNNNNNNNNNNNNNNNNNNNNNNNNNNNNNNNNNNNNNNNNNNNNNNNNNNNNNNNNNNNNNNNNNNNNNNNNNNNNNNNNNNNNNNNNNNNNNNNNNNNNNNNNNNNNNNNNNNNNNNNNNNNNNNUCUUAGUGUGUGUGGGGGGGUGCAUGCGUGUGUGCUUGUGUGUGUGUGUGUGUGUGUGAGAGAGAGAGAGAGAGAGAGAGAUGGAGUCUUAGUGUGUGGGUGUGUGUGUGUGUGUGUGCGUGCGUGCACGCGUGUGUGUGUGUGUGUCGCGGGGUCCUCUGUGGCGGAUGUAAUUUAAGUGUGCAUGGCUUCAUCAUAGAGAGGUGAUGUGUAUGGCAGACGCCACCAAUGAUGGGGUGCGAGAGAGGGAAGAGAAGGUGUGUGUGCGUGAGAGGAGUCGGCAUCCAGAGAACGUGUUUGUUCGAGAGACACCGAGGAAGACUACUAUAUAUUGAUGGUGCAUGUAGGCGGGAAUUAAACAAAGGGAUGGUCUUAUUGGUUUCGGGGAUAUAGGGGAAGAGUGAGAGUCGGGGGAGCAUCUAGAAGGAGAUUGUUAAGUGUGAGUGUGUGUUUUACCCAUCCAGGCAGAAGUUAUGUGCACAAAAGAGGAGAAUGAUUCGAUGUGGCAUUAGGAUUGAGGGUAAUUAACUACGUAUGGAGACAUAGAGACCUUGAACGUGCAUGUGUGACAGGUAUACAUGUAUAUGUGGGAUGUGUGUGUGUGCUUCGCGCAUGAUCGAGAUAAAAGAAAGAAGACAUAAGUCAUAAGAUCAACGACAUGGGAGAGACGGAUCGGUAUGACAAUAUGCAUGCAUGUGAGAAUGCAGGGAAGAAGGCCCGACAAUUGAGCAUGUGUUGUUGUCUUUAAGAGAUAGUGGCGUGGGUUGGAGCAUGCAUCUAUGGCGAGCAGCGGGAGUGAGGCACAACGAUUAUGCAAAAGAGAUCAACCUAUAAAUGCAUAUGUAUGGAGAGACAUAUAUAGUGUGGGUGAUAGGAAGCAAGACUCCGUGCGAGAAAGAAAUGUUGACGGAGAAACUAUAGAUAGAUACAGAGAUGGAGAUGCUAGCUAGAGGGACAUCCGCUAGUUUGGGUGUUGGAGAUGACCGCCGGGUGGUUCAGAGGGUGAAGUUAUAUAUGUGUGUGAGAGGACACUUGACUGCAUGUAGAUAGAAACAUAUGUAGUGUGCGUGAUAGGAAUCAAGAGUGAGGGCGAGAAAGAAGGUUGAUGGAGAAACAGAUAAAUAGAAAGAUAAAGAUGCUAGCUAGUGUGCAUUAGAGAUAGGAGUCGAGUGGAUCAGAAGGUUGAGUUAUGUGUGUGGGUGUGAGAGAGAUAGAGAGAGGGUGCAUGUGAGUCACAUACAAACAGAUAUCAGAGAGAAAUGAGAUCCCGAGAGACGAAGUUUUGUGUCUGCGUGAAAGAAAGAUAUUUCACAACGAGAGUGAUAGCUACAGAGACAUAUGAGGGAAUGCAAGAUAACUCUAGGGAGAGAGAGAGAGAGAGUGUGUGUGUGUGUGUGUGUGAGCGACAUACAAGAGAACAAUGGAGAAAUAUGAGACCCUGGGAGACAGAGUUUGUGUUUGUGUGUGAGAAAGAGAUAUUUAAGAGGAAGAGUCGUAGGUUCUCAUAUCUAAGGAGCGAAAGACAUCUCUGUAUGAGGGGUGUGCGAGUGGCACACAUGAAAAUAGUAAAGAGAAAUGAGACCCUAGGAGACAAAGUUUUGUGUUUGCGUGAGAGAAAGAAAUUCCACAUGGAGAAUCAUAGUUAGAGACACAUAGCAGGGAGCGAGAUAUACUUAGAGAGAGAUAGAGUGAUGAAGGUCGAGGGAGAGAGUACCGUCAGUGUGUUACGAAGAUAAAAGAUCAUUGUCGACAUACAGGUAGCACGAGAGAUACCUGAGAGACGAUGAACGCGUAUAGGUCUAGAGAGAUAGUCCUAUAUAACCAUGAGUGGUAGCUAUAUGAGACGAAUAUCUGGAUUAAAGGGGAUUCAAAUAUUUAAACUGGAGAUCACGACAUCGAUAAUAUCAUAACGCAAAUUGGUGUGUCAAACAUGCAUAUUCAUUUGAAUUUGGGCACACGUGUAAUGUUAUAUAGUUUAUCAAUAUUGGUGAUCCUUAGAUUCUUUAAUUACAAACAAUGCAUGGUUUAUAUGCAAUUAAUGUCUAAACGGGAUUACAAAGGAUGCAUGGUUUAUUUGCAAUUAAAAAACCCCGCAUGAAACACACAUUAAUUGGAGACAGUUAGCGAGGAAUGCAUACAUUGGAUUUCAACAUAAAGUGGUUUCAAAUAUUUGAAAAUCCAAAUUGAUGGAUACAACAUUAUGAAGCUAAGAUCAUGCCAUUUGUAAACCAUAUUUAUGUAUAAAUGGUGUUGUGCUUUUGAAAGUAUAUAUAAAAAAAUGAUGUAUAUAGAAUGUAAUUCCAAUUGAAAAUGGAUCUCGCCCAAAAAAAUAGAAUACAAACGGGAUUUGAAUUGAGUUGCCACGGUAAACAUGCACUCUGCAAAAUUUGAACAAAGCGGGGAAAGUCGCAGUAACCGCCCGAAACCAAAAUCUGCGAGAUGGAAAUUACUACUGCCUAUUCCUGCCACGCAAAGCCUAUCUGCUGGAUUUCUAUAGGUUUCGAUAGGGGUAGGUUUGUAAUUUCACCCAAAUGUGACGUAACCGCCUCUCACCCGGAUUCAUACACGGUGGGCGCCAAAACACAGUGUGUCCUUGGCCGAAAUCAACUCCCUCCCCAAUUCAUAUUCAUACACGGUGGGUGCCAAAAACAAACUCUCGUCGGCAAAUAUUCGGUGUAUGCGAGAUUACCGUCCUAUCCCCAACCGACUAAUAUUGCUGUGAUGUAGUAGAAAUUUGAAAUGGGGGCUAAGUUUGUAAAUUUCCUCGCAUUUGAGACAAGCGUGCCCUGAAUACAUGGUUCCCCCCUUCCUCUCUACCUCCAUUUUCCCCAUUCGUACUCCGUGGGCGCCAAAACACCCUCUCCACCCCACCCUCCUCCGUCCGCCACCCCAUCCACCGUCGUCCUCCUCCACCAUGUCGGAGCUGAUACCCCGACGCCGACGUCCAUUAGAAGAGAUCGACCUCUCUCAUCCACGGCUUCGGACCGGGAUCCUUGCAUCCCGUCCUCUCGCUUCAUCCCCGCCGUCGUCCACCUUGCCGGCGCCACUCCUACGACUGUCUCGUCCACCGCGCCCCGCCGCCACCGUCUACACUCCUAGAUCUGCUUCCAUGCCACUGACAGCCAUCGCUACCGCAGCACCAUCAAAUUCUUAGAAGAUGCGUACACGGCGCCGCACCAGAGGCGGUACUCUUUCGUAUCUGCUCGACUUAUUUAUCGCAGCAAGAAAAUAGGUCGCCACUGCUUUACUCUGAUUUCUUGUCUUGGUUGCGAAGUUGCCUUUGUCCGGUUUGCACCUUCAGAUCCUCCAUGGCACGCUCAACACUAUACUCCCAAUGCUUAUGGUUUUCCCCUUUUAUAUUCCACACUAGUUAAAUCACAGUAGACUAAAUUUCAAAAUUGGGUGAGUCGAUUUUUCAGAGCUCGCCGGAGUUCGCCGGUGUGAAUGAAGGGGCUCAGGUGGUUGUGGGGCCUCGCCGAACGAAGAAAACUCGACGCGGGUGGGGGUUGGGGCUGGGGUGGGGGUGGGGGUGGCGGAGGAACACAGGUGGCGGGGGCCGGUGGUCCGGCCGGCGGCCCGUGCGGUGUUCUGUAUGGGAAGAAUCAGAGAUGAGGAAGAAGAUGGGUUAGGAGAUGUAGGAUCUUCAUCCAACCGCCUGAAAUGGUCGAGAGACAGCUGGGAGUUGCAUUCUUAAUGCGCUCUGGUUCAUCAUGUGUGGGCACUGCGCAACCAACAUUUUAUUAUCCAAAAUCUGCUUGCUCUUCUUUACCAUGUUCCUCUUCCAUUCUUCUUUAAUAUGUACUCUCUCCGUUCCUAAAUACAAAUCUUUGUAUAGAUUCCACCAUGGACUACAUAUGGAGCAAAAUGAGUGAAUCUACACUCUAAAAUGUAUCUGGAUACAUUUGUAUGUGAUCCAUAGUGGAAAUCUCUACUAAGACUUAUAUUUUGGAACAGAGGGAGUAUGAUAGUAGUACAGUAUGUUCCUUGUACUGAAGAUGAGCAGGGACAUUUGCAGUAUAGAGGUAUAUACGGUCUGUUGUGAUGGACACUUUGAGCGUCUUUGAUUCGUAGGAUCUUGUAAAUAUAGGAAUAGGAUUUGUAGUCACCUGCCCACUUGAAUCCUAUAAGAAUAGCAAGGAAAUGUGUGGUGCUAUGUCGCCUUUGAGAGUAACACUGAUAUUAACACUACCGCACCUUCACUUGAAGAGAGUUGGUAUCCGAAGCCUUUCUAGCCGUACCGGCAAACUACCACAUAUAUUCCAGCAAGUUCCACUUUGCUGAUUUUACUUUGAUGCUUAAGGUUUUCCCGUUAUAUCUACACUAUGAUCUGUGUAGCUGCUUUGUGUCGCACUAGCAGCAGUCCAGUCUUGAAGCUAAACACUGCAAUGACUUACAAAAUUUGCACCAAGGCAUUGAGUGCCAUUCUGGAUGCAAUGAAACUCAUACGCUCCCCACCUGUUGAUUCUUGUUCAGAAUAUGAUCCUAAUGACUCUUGUUCAAAAUUGCCACAUAUAGAGAGACAUCAUGGAAUUGCAUUUCUUUGGGCGCUGUGAUUCAUCACGAGUGGGCAACCAACAUUGUAUGCAAUGAAGUGGAAUCUCAAGAAUAUGCUUCCUCUUCUAUUCUUUAACAUGUUCCUCUUUGUUUAUUCUGUAUUUAGUACGUACAGUAUGUUCCUUCUCAGGAAGGGGCGCAGGGACAUCUGCAGUCAACAGCUGAUAGAGCUGGCCUGUACGUGAUCGAUAGGCUUUCAAUUAAUAGCGGCAAUACAACACCGUAUUUUCAAGCUAGUUCCACUUUCCCGAUUUAUAUAUCGUGGUUAUGGUGUGCCCCUGUUAUGUACACUAUGAUCUGCCUAGUUGUUGUGUGCUCUUGUUAUCAUGGUUUAGCAAUAAACUCUCUAUACAGUAUAUUAUGAACCUAUCAUCUGCCAGCUAUCCUUACUUCUGGAGCCUAUUUUUUUGUGCACUUGUGCUAGAUUAUAUAAAUGCACGCACCAUAUUAUAGCACACAUGAGCUCUCUCAUCAGAAUCCAGUGAUAGCACACAAGUGUUUACAGGGGCGCCCCUAUAUUAGAAUAUCAUCUGCAUUACAAAGAUAAUCUCACAACUAUUUAUGUUUUCAUGGUUCUCAGAUAUUAUACGCAAUUGCAGUGAAUAUCAGAAUCCGCGCAUCAGAAGAAUAUUGUGGAACACUGCAAUGACUUACAAAAUUGGCACCAAGGCAUUGAGUGCCAUUCUGGAAGCAAUGAAACUCAUACGCUCCCCACAUGUUGAUUCUUGUUCAGAAUAUCAUCCUAAUGACUAUUCUAACCUCGAGGAGUCAAAGGCAGAUGGCCUGUCCUGUUCACCCAUCAAGGUGCCUGUUCUAAUUUGUCAAGGUUUUAUUGAUUGCGUGUAUCUUGCAUAUGUUGUCUUGCAUUUCUUCUACUUUGUUGCACCGCCAUCUACUUAGUUUACUCAUCAUAUAACUCGAGAUGCCAUGCCCAUCCAUUAUCAAUACAUAUUACAUCUGUCAUCAUACCAUGUUUUUUCACUCAAAUGUUGUUCUUGUGCAUCAGACAUCAAAAAGGAAGAGGGUGAUUGCCGAACCUAAAGGAGCACCAGCAAAGUUCUUGAAAAACGUGGUGGUGCCGGAGAAAUCAGACAGUGCCCCACUUAUAUUGGUUGUACAACCAGUGACACAAAACAUAGGACCGACUCCAGCAGUCUGUACUCAUACUUCACUGGCCACACCACUAGCCCCACCACACAGGACCUGCACUCCAUCAAAAGGUAUACCGAUUUCAUUUUCCAUAGCACCCGCUGUACCACAGAAAAAUCCCACUCCAGCAAAAAGUACAGCAAGUCCACCGGCCGAAGACCUAUCCCAACUGCAGAGACGGCCAAUUCCUGCAGAUUGGAACCGCAUUCCAUUUAUACCAGUUUAAAAGACAAUGCUUUCAAUGUUGUUAGGAACUACGUGCAUAUAUUCCCAUCAUGGGAAGAUUAUAGUGAAGACAAACACCAUUUUCACAUCUUCUUGUCCAACUUACAUGUAAGUGCUAUUAUUCAUGGUUAUUAUUUUCCUGUUUUUUGCUUAUCAAACACAUCAAUGAUUUACAUUACAUUGUUGUAACUAGGCGAGGGUCAAUUUGGAUAGUCAUGACGAGCAAAUCUUUCUUGUGCUUUUCAAGGAAGCAUUGCAGCAGUAUCAGUGUUACCUGAGGAAAUCACACUUUGAUGGCAAGUCUAUAAACGAAUUUCCGGUGAAGUCUCUUGUGCUAAAUUUAGAACACAUUGAAUGGAAAAACCUUGUUAUGCACUGGUCUCAUUCCCAGGAUGAGGUACUGUCUAUGAAAUCACAUGACAAUUUGAACUUCUACUUUUCUGCAUGUGCCUUACGGAUCUUUUUUGCAAGAAAUUUGCUCUAAGAAGAAUUCCGGUUUGAAAAGAACGACAGGAUAUCGCAAAUAUGCUGCCCGCUGCUUUGCUCUUGUUAGUGCUUGUUGUCCUGUAUCACUAUACUUGCAUACAUACCUGGUUCAUUAUGUGACCGCAGUAUGCAUGAUAGCUUGCUUAUCAAUUAUUCGCUCCAAAUUAUCUGAUAUGUAUGAAUGGUUACAUUAGUGUAGAAUAUAUCCAAUGCCAAUGAAUUUUUUUAGCUCUGCAUUGUUCUUGUAAGUACAUGCUAUCCUUUAUCAGUGUACUUAUAUUUACAGGUAGUUGUUCAUGUACCAUCACUCUGCAUCUUAUUUUCCUUUGCCCUCCAUUUUCUACACAUCAGAUCUACAUUUACUCUUACCAUAAGGUUGGUACUGAAGAAGUUUAGCUUUGCAUUGCUCUUGGUUGUGCCUUUUGCCUGUAUCGCUGCACAUAUAUUUAUAGCUACUUGGUUAUGUAGCAUCAUUCUUCAUCUUAUUUUAAAUUUUCUCCAUUUUUUCGUAUAUUAUCACAUCUAUAUUUACUCUUAACAAAAUGUAGAAUAAAGGCAAUGCUUAUGAAGAAGAUUCUGUGGUAAACUUCUUGAAUUGCCCCCCCCCCCAUUAGCAUGGACAAGAGCUUUAUAGAGCCUGUCUUCACCAGUAAUGUAAGUUUGUCCUUCUCAAGCCUUCAAACUUUGUUGUGUAUAUUUGGUUAGGCAUGACUGCAACAGCUAUUUAUUUUUGGUGUUUGCAUCAAAUUGCAUGUUUAAAGUUUAUUAUGUAGUUCAUAAACAAAAGUUUGUCCUUCUCAAUUUAAGUUUUCAGUUGUACAACCAAGUUCCUUCUUCAUACCAUGUAAAUUAAACUAUACAGAGCAAGUGAUCUUCUUUUGCACUGCAUGUAUGCUUCUGUUCUUCAUCCGUAAUGCAGUGGUGUGGUGAACCUACCCACUACAGCACAAUGUCAUAUUCUGCAAUUUCUUAACUAUGAACAAUGUCAUAUCAUUCUACUAUUAUUUAAACCAUCUCUUUAUUUGCCAAUCUGAAAUGGGAUAAAUUGACAGCACACUAACCAUUGAUACUUAUGAGUUCUUGAUCUGUAAUUCAGUGGUGUCGUGAAGUUGCCAACUCCUUCACAAUGUCAUUUCCUACCAUUUCUUGACAUGAACAAUACCAUAUUGUGUUAAUGCAAUUUUAAACUGUGUCACUUUAUUCGUCAGUAAGAAAUGUGAUGAAUUGUCAGCACUGAUACUUUUAUGUGCAAAACCUGUCAUUUGUCUGCUUGUUUAUCUUUCAGAGUGGGGAAGAUAUAAGUGUUGAACAAGCGCAGUCUCAUCAUCUUGCUCAGGUGCUUGCACUAUAGCUCGCCAGCAGGGCUAACCUUUCUUGAACUCUAUUGAAGUGUUGUCGGUUUUAUAUAUUAUUUUGUCGGCGUGUUUAUUUGCACUGGUGGCGAUCUUUGAUGCCCAGUGUAUGUAAUAUGUUGUCUGCUUGUGCUUUAUUAUCAUAAUGGCAAACUUUGAUGCCCAGUGGAUGUAACAUGUUGUAAUUUCUUUAUUGUAUAGUCUAGGUUUUUUCUUAUUCACGAUGUUGCAGUUAUUUUAUUGUAUAUAUAUAUAUAUAUAUAUCAUGUCUUCGGAGUAAACGGGCCAAACCGUAAAAUUACGGUACUUAAUCGGGCCGUCAUGCAAUCAUGAUGUAUGAUCCACAUCAUGGGCCCCGUCAAACUGGCCCACUAGUAGAUUCAGGCCUUUAAUAGGCCGAGUAACCCCGGGCCCUCUUUUCGCAAGAAAACUCAUUGGGCUUUUAGGAGGCUGAGAAGUAGGUUGGGCCUGAAACGUGCCGAACAGCUCAUGGGCCAGCAGCAGCCCGAAAUGGACCCCGGCCCAUGAUUGUGUGAAUCAAAUCACGGGCUUUUAACAGGCCAAAAUUGUCUCGAUCCUUGUUUGGCCCAAUCAGAUAUUGGUUGCGAGCAGGCUGGAUGCAAACAGGGUCGUAGUUAGGCCCACCUUAUAUGAAAGGCUUUUAACGGGCCGAAAUUAAUAUAGGGCCGAAAUGUUAAAUAGGCCCUUAAUAGGCCGAAACUAAUAUCAGGCCGAAUUACUAAAUGGGCCUUUAGCAAGUGGGCCCAAAAGCAUAGCGUCCAGUUAACGGGACGAAUCUGAUAUGGGCCAUAAUUGAGGCCAAAGCCUCUUAAAGGGCUGGACCUUUAUCUGGGUCGUGAUUUGGCCCAGAACGUGGGAGGCUUUUAAUGGGCUGGAUCUCAUAUGGGCCAUUAUUAGGCCCGGAAUGUGGCAGGCCAUUAAUGGACCGGAUCAAAUAUGGGCCGGCAUUUGGCCCAAAACAUGGCAGCCAGUUAAUGGGCCGGCCUACUAGGGUCCUCAAAAUCUUGUGGGCCUACAGCUGGGCCGGCCCAUUAGUGUCGGCGAAAUCUCGUGGGCCUUUAGCUGGGCCGGCCCAUUAUGAUCCGCAAGAAUUUUGUGGUCCUUUACCUGGGCCGGCCCAUUAUGGCACACAAAAAUCUUGUGGGCCUUUACUUGGACCAGCCCAUUAUGGCCCGCCAAAUCUUGUGGGCCUUUAGCUGGGCCAGCCCAUUAUGGUCCGCAAAAUCUCGUGGGCCUUUAGCUGGGUCGGCCCAUUAUGUUCUGCAAAAUCUUGUGGGCCUUUAGUUGGGUCGGCCCAUUUAAACUUGAUGGGCCGUGCCACGUGUCGACGUAUCAUAGGCGCCUUCUGUCCAAUGAGUGGAUGACAUAUGUGCCAACGAUGAGCCAACACGUGUUUCCUCCAGCCAACAAUGAUUUUACACGUGGAAAAUCCCCAUUGGUCGGGGCUGUUAACGGGUUAUCGGAUCCAAAACCCGACCCGAUAGCUUAACGGCGUUCCGUUACGGUGGAUGCCACUGUCAGCCACCCUUGACGAAAGCACUUCUGUGACGCGUGAUUUAUCGUCAUGGAAGUGGACACUUCCGUGAUGAUAAUUUUGGUAAUGUCAUGGAAUACUUCUACGACAGCACAGGUAUGACUAUCUUGGUACUAUCAUAAAAUCGUCAUGGAUGUACAUGCGUGACAAAAAACGCGACUAAGGGAAUUCCGGACUAGGGGGUGUCCGGAUAGCCGAACUAUCAUCAUCGGCCGGACUCCAAGACUAUGAAGAUAGAAGAUUGAAGACUUCGUCCCGUGUCCGGAUGGGACUUUCCUUGGCGUGGAAGGCAAGCUUGGCGAUACGGAUAUGUAGAUCUCCUACCAUUGUAACCAACUCUGUGUAACCCUAGCCCUCUCCGGUGUCUAUAUAAACUGGAUGGCUUUAGUCCAUAGGACGAACAACAAUCAUACCAUAGGCUAGCUUCUAGGGUUUAGCCUCCUUGAUCUCGUGGUAGAUCCACUCUUGUAACACACAUCAUCAAUAUUAAUCAAGCAGGACGUAGGGUUUUACCUCCAUCAAGAGGGCCCGAACCUGGGUACAACAUCGUGUCCCUUGUCUCCUGUUACCAUCCGCCUAGACGCACAGUUCAGGACCCCCUACCCGAGAUCCGCCGGUUUUGACACCGACAUUGGUGCUUUCAUUGAGAGUUCCUCUAUGUCAUCACCGAUAGGCUCGAUGGCUUCUUCGAUCAUCACCAACGACGCAGUCCAGGGUGAGACUUUUUUCCUCGGACAGAUCUCCGUAUUCGGUGGCUUUGCACUGCGGGCUAAUUCGCUUGGCCAUCUGGAGCAGAUCGAAAGCUAUGCCCUUGGCCGUCAGGUCAGAUUUGGAAGUUUAAACUUCACGGCUUACAUCCGCGGGGACUUGAUCUUCGACGGAUCCGAGCCACAGCCGAGCGUGCCGCACUGUCACGGCGAGCAUGAUUUAGCUCUGCAGCCGGACAAUACCCUGGAGGCCGCACUAGAACCCGCUCCGAUCUUCAAUUUGGAGCCGGCUGCGCAGAUCGAGGACGGAUGGUAGACACCGCCUCGGGGGCUGCAACCUCUAUGGCGAUAGAGCCAAAUAGUGACCUUGUCCCUCAUGAAGCUUGUGACUCCGAGGCGCCGGACUCCGAACCUCCCGCGCCCCCUCCGAUCGAAUCCGAUCGGGCGCCGAUCAUGGAGUUCACCGCAGCGGACAUCUUUCAACACUCACCUUUUGGCGACAUCUUGAGUUCGCUAAAGUAUCUCUCGUUAUCAGGAGAGCCCUGGCCGAGCUACGGUCAGGACGGUUGGGAUGCGGACGACGAAGAAAUUCAAAACCCACCCACCACCCACUUGGUAGCCGCUGUCGACGAUCUAACCAACAUGCUAGACUACGACUCCAAAUACAUCGACCGUAUGGACGACGAUGCCGGAGACGACCAACAACCAGCGCCCACCGGGCACUGGAAAGCCACCCCUACUCACGACGUAUACAUGGUGGAUACACCAAAAGGAAGCGACAAUGAGGAAAAACGGGACGUGGCGAAGGACAACUCCCCCAACAAACAACCAAAACGGCGACGCAAGCGCCGCCCGAAGACCGGCCUCGAUAAAAACGGCACCCAUACGGACAAGGCCCUAGAGCAGGGCGAAGCAGUGGACGACGCACAGUCACCAAGCAGCCAGCCGAACAUGAACUGGACAAGGAACCCAUCCCCGGCGAAGAUGAUCUCACAUCACCAGAGCACACGAAUCUUCAUAAAAGGCUCGUCGCCACGGCAAGAAGUUUGAAGAAGCAAAAGCAGAAGCUCAAAACAGCGGAGGACGCACUCAGAAUGAGAUGGAGCAAAGUACUCAACAGCGCAGAUAAACAUGGCGCUAGUCACCAGACAAAGAGCUACCCGAAGCGCAAGCUGUUGCCCGAAUUUGACGAGGAGGCCUUAGAGCCCCCACAGUCAAAAAAGAAAGAGGCCGCCUGGCCGGAUAGACGACCAGAUGACAGUCCAAGAGCAACAAGGGGCGCCGCACACAAGCCGGCACACGAUCAGCAUAAAGAUCCUCAGAAAAAAGACUACCCAGUCAGAUCUAUUUAUGGACCAAAAAAUAAGACUCCAAGAAGCAACAUAACCCGCCGAACAUUUGAAGACAAUGGCACACCCAAAUAUAGGGGCGCCGCACACCCACUAUGUUUCACCGACGAGGUGCUGGAUCAUGGAUUUCCAGCGGGAUUCCAACCCGUAAACAUAGAGGCAUAUGACGGAACAACAGACCCCGGAGUCUGGAUUGAGGAUUAUAUCCUACACAUACAUAUGGCCAGAGGAGACGAUCUACAUGCCAUUAAAUACCUACCCCUCAAGCUCAAAGGGCCAGCUCGGCAUUGGCUUAAAAGCCUCCCAGAAAAUACCAUCGGAAGUUGGGAAGAGCUUGAGGAUGCGUUUCGAGCAAAUUUUCAGGGGACUUAUGUCCGGCCUCCGGAUGCAGACGAUUUAAGUCACAUAACUCAACAGCCCGGAGAGUCAGCACGCAAAUUCUGGAACAGGUUCCUCACUAAAAAGAACCAGAUAGUCGACUGUCCAGACGCUGAAGCCUUAGCAGCCUUUAAACACAACGUCUGAGACGAAUGGCUCGCCAGACACCUCGGCCAAGAAAAACCAAGAACAAUGGCCGCACUAACAAACCUCAUGACCCGCUUUUGUGCAGGGGAGGACAGCUGGCUGGCUAGAUGUAGCACCAGCGACUCGAGUACAUCCGAAGUCAGGGAUGGAAAUGGGAAAUCACGAUGCAGAAAAGAUCAGCGCCGGAACAAGGAAAAUGGCCCAAAUAGUACGGCGGUCAACGCCAGAUUCAAAAGCUCUCGGUCGAAUAACAAAACACUGCCCCUCAAGGACAACAGUGACGAGCUAUCGAACCUAAAUAAGAUUCUGGACAGGCUAUGUCAAAUACACGGUACCUCCGGAAAGCCUGCAAACCAUACCCACAGAGAUUGUUGGGUCUUCAAGCAGUCCGGCCGACUUAAUGCCGAACACAAGGGGCUCGACACACCAAGUGGAAGUUACGAACCCCAAAAGCAGCACUCCGGACAACAGAAGACUUUCCCACUAGAAGUCAAAACAGUGAACUCACUUCAUGUGAUAACACGAAAACAGAGUGCGGCACCUGCCAUACCAGGAGACCGUCCGCAGAAUGGGGAUAGACCAUACCAACAUUCAACAUAACAGCACUUCCUUUAAAGGAGUGAUGCCAGGCCUUUAAGCCAAUCAUACGAGGUCGUGUUCGGUUCAUCCAACAACCUUCGUCGCGAAAGGCCCAUUCUUCGCAGCACCCCAUUUCACAAUGGCCAUCAAGCACUACUAGGGCACAAAGCUUUCACCCGCUUUAACGCCAUACCACACUACACGCCUCUUAUUCUUACAAUGCCCGGUCCACGCGGCAUAAUCUCAUUUAAGAGCAACUACGAGUGUCCCUCGACAACAGAGAGCGUGGGGCUGCCUUGACAGCCACUCCGACCUUGCAGGUCAAGGCCCCUAACCACAGGUCAUUCCGACCCCGGACACGGCUAGGCGAGUCCGGCUUAACUAAACAAGGGGCUUCCAGCCGCCUAUCCCCUUUACAAGGGGCUGCGCGUAUAAAUGAUGAGAGCCAAUAAAGCUCAACUUUCUUCAUCUUCCAAAUUAUACUUUAUUUCAUACAAUUUUUUGCACGAUAUUUCUUAGAAACUAAGUCCUUCUCUUUUACAGAUGAAGCACGUACUACACCCGUCCAGGAUACAGCACAACAGAGACACAGGCGCAGACAUGCAGCAGGGACCCGUUGCAAGUAUUCUUUUCAGAUUAAGACCCUGCGUAAACCUUUCUUACUGUCUCUUGUUGAUACACAUCCCCCGGUUUCCCACCAUAGCCGAGGAGGAGGCUGGCGUUUUGGCGUCGGCCGUGCCAGAAGUUCCCGCCCGUACCUGGACACUAGGGGCUUAGGGCAUUGUUCUGCCCAAUAUCAUAAAGACCGAACACCUCAGGGAGUGUUCGGCGUCUUGAGUUAGGCCUUAUAUGCGUCAGCUCUGAAUCAUGUCUUUGGUCAAAUGUUGGGUUUGCCCGGCUCCUGUAUUUUGCUGCCUUACGUUCCGUAUCAUCGGCUAACGCGGCACCAGGAGAACUACUGCGAUUGUGCCCCGGUUCGGCCGGGCGAGCACCUCAGUAGAGAAAGCCGAAAACUGACUGUCAUGAUAUAGCGAGAGACUGGUCAACCACUCGAUUGACCAUUGGAAUGUUUAGAAUUCCUCCACUUUGAUGAAGGACCGCUUCUCGGUCAGGCACAUACGCGCCCCGAAGUUUGGAGAGGAGCGGUGCCGCUAGGGGCUAUAUAGUAGCCCCACAUUCGAGCUCCUAUGGCUAAGUGAAAGUGAUAAAGCAUUAUAGUCCGGUUGCCUAGUUUGCUACGCUAUCACCUCCCUAAAAGGACCAAGACGUUGGAUUAAGUGUGAAAAAGCGCUUUUUUAUUUGCAAACACCCCCGCACCAUGUGCGUGGGGGCUGAAGCCAAAGACUGCAACUUUCAGGUUAUUCAUACAUAUACGGCCGCACAAGAGAUAGUUCAAUACUUGAGCACACAAGUAUAAAAAGUUAUUGCAUUAUAAACAUGAUCUCAGAAAUCAUACAUAUCAUUCAAACAUCACAUCUUUCGAGCAUUGUGCCUCUAUUAUACGAGCGCCCUGCAGGACUUCCUCAAAAUAGUGCUCGGUGGGGAAUCGAUUUUUGUCCGAACCCCGGGAUGCAACAGUGGUGGCAUCCAUCUCUGCCCAGUAUGUCUUACCACGGGCGAGAGCCAUCCGUGCACCUUCUAUGCAUGCCGACCGCUUCAUCGCCCCAAUACGCGGCACCGCCCCAAGGAAUUGCUGCAACAAGCCAAAAUAACUCUUCGGCUUGGGCCUUUUCGGCCAAACAUGAGCGACCACAUCCAUCAUGGCAAGUCCGGACAAUCUAUUCAGCUCAGCCCACUCAACCAGCCGAUCACUCAACGGAAGUGGAUGCUCCAGACUAUGGAAUUGAGACCAGAAAAGCUCUUCCAUUUCAUGAUCCUCCUGGCUUCGGAAGUGCACGACUGCGUCCGCUGCACUCGCCGCCAAGUCCAGAUAAGGAUCCUCCGCACCGUACAAUCGGCCCAGCUGAGCAUACUUCAGAUCCGUGAACUUCCUACGCAGCAUAAAGGGCUUUCCAGCCACAAUGUCUCCAAUCUGACGAAGUUCCUCCUUCAUAGCCCGCAUCGCACUAUGGGCAUCCUUGGCUUCGGUGUCAGCCUUCUUUAGGUCCUCUUGCUCCGCUCGGCGUUCUCCUUCAAGAACCUCCAGGCGGUCGGUAGCAACUUUUAAUUUCGUGGCCAUUCCGGCCAUCUCCUCCCUGCUUCGGCAGUGAGCAGCCUUCUCGGCUUCUAGCUCUUCCGCUGCCUUCGAGGCAGCCGCCUCGCUUUUUCUGGCUUGCUCCUUGGCCCGAGCAAGUUUUGCUCGAAGGCCUUCCACAGCGGCAGCACUAUCUGCAUCAGGCAUACAAAUUGUAAGGAAUGGGUGUCAGCUCCCUUACUAGGCGACCAUAGAGCAACCACGCACCUUGUGACUCAUCGAGUCAUUUAUUGACCAGCAAGAUGUCCGCAUCCGCAAUGUCGAGUUGCUUCUUAAGCUUGGCAACUCCAUCAGUCCGGCUAGCCACCGAACGUUUCGCCACCUACAUAGGAAAGGCGACAUUAUAUAACUGAGAUUAUGAUCCUCGGCAUGCUGCCGCUUUCGACAGCAUACCAAGUCUCAGGGGCUACUAUCUAUACAGGCCGCACUUCAAGUGCAAAAACUGUCAAAAGGUAUAUCAUUUUUUGCGUACCUCAAAUCCCGUCAGUAAACUUCUGACAGCCUCACACAACCCGCUUUCGGCGGACGAGAUCCUCUCAAUCACCAUACUCAUUAAUGUGCGGUGAUCUUCUGAGAUGGAUGCCCUCUUAAGCAAAUCCUGCAGCUCCACCGGCCGUACUCCAAUGGGUGUCGAACUCUCUGGCCCCGCCAGACUCGGGGAGACCCUCCGCGACGACACCUCAGGGUCGUCCGCCCCGCAUGAUGGGGCGGCAGAUGGAGGCGUUUCGCUCUCCAUCAUAUCUGGACGAAGGUCUCCCGAAGAUGAGCUAUGCUGAGAUGGGCUGAGAUCCGAACUACAAGGUGAAAACUUCGGUUACCCUUAGAAAUUAAACAGGGAUGUUCACUAUUAAAAAAUUCCCCCUUUUACUUACGGCUCGCUAGAGGGUUGAUUCCUCCGAGGAGACAGUUCGGCCGGGGCUCUUCCCGGCACGGGACCUUCCGGUACAGAUUUCUUCCCCCGCUUUGAGGCCUUGACCUCCGGGUCUUCGGAAGCGGUCCUCUUCUCUCCUUGGAAGGAGGGACUCUCGAUUCCUCCCUUACUGAAAGCCUCCGUGGCUGAGGUGGUAGAUCCCUUGUGUCCUCCUUCGCCCUCCUCCGAAGGUACAACCUCUAACAUUUUGAUUAACACGGGAUCCUGCGUGGUCUCAGGGAGGGGGGCUGGACACCGUAUCAGUUUUGCUUGCGCUAUCCACUCCUGUCCAAGGGAUAGCUGGUUAAAAGGCAAACACAUAGUAAAUAAAUGGACAAUGUGUCCGGACGCAGGGCUACUUACUUGAGUAUCCGGGCGAUUGCAGCUUAGGCCAGCAUCCUCGGUCAAUUCCGGACACAUUUCUUGCGAUCCGAAGAACAGUUUGUACAUCUCCACGGGUGUCGAACCCAUGAAGUGUUGGAGAGCUCGUGGCCCCUCCGGAUUAAAUUCCCAUAGACGGAGGGGGCGACGUUUGCAGGGCAGUAAGCGCCGGAUCAACAUAACCUGGACCACUACGGCCAGAUUGAUCUCCCUUUCUUGGAGACCUCGAAUCCGGUCCUGCAACAGGGGAACAUCCUUGGAUGGCCCCCAGUCACGCCCCUUGUUGACCCAUGACGUCAGCCGCUGUGGGGGGCCCAAGCGGAAGACGGGCGGCAGCCUCUGCCUGCUGCCCCUGGGAGCGGUGAUAUAGAACCACUCCUGUUGCCACAAGCCGAGCUCCUCCUGAAAAGAGCCUUCGGGCCAUGGAGCAUCGGCCCUCUUACUUAUAACCGCCCCUUCGCACUCUACCUGACGCCCCUCAAUCACCUUCGGCUCGUUGAAGGUUUUGAGCCACAAACUGAAGUGAGGGGUAGUGCGGAGGAAGGCCUCGCAGACGACAAUGAAUGAUGAGAUGUGGAGGAUAGACUCCGGAGCCAAGUCAUGGAGUUCCAGCCCAUAGUAAAACAUGAGCCCCCUCACGAAGGGAUCCGUCGGGAAGCCUAAACCCCGACGGAGGUGAGACACAAACACGACGCUCUCGCCGCGCUCGGGAGUAGGAAUAACUUGCCCUCGGGCAGGCAGCCUAUGCGAAAUCUCGUAGGUUAAGUACUUGGCGUCUCUUAGCUUUAGCACGUCCUCCUCCGUGACGGGGGAGGGCAUCCACCGGCCUCGUAGGUCGGGGACGGACAUUGUUGAAGAUCGAAGAUACCCGAAUAUGGAGCCUUGGGUGUUGGAACUCGGGGCGAGGGGCGGAUUCGAUAGAGGAUUGAGGAAGAAGAAUGGGCCUUGGUCUCAUUAUAAAGAGGAAGAAUACCAAGAGCCAUCCCCGUGACCGUUUGGAACCCGCCUUCGAUGGAGGGGGCGUGGCAACGGGCGCGGUUGGGUUACCCACAUCCGUGUUGAUGGGAAUCCCGGAAUAAGGGGAACACGAUCUCUGCUUCUACAAGACGUGCCGAGGAAACCGCCUCGCUAAACGCGCUGAGGUGGAACAAUAAAAACAAUUCGAAGGCUUGGUAGUGGUGUGACGUUACGCCACAAAUUACAUCAGCAGAUUGAACGUGUGUAAUAUUAUUCUCUCUACGGGGGUACGUGGAAUUUAUUUUUGCAGAGCCGGACACUAUCCUGGUGUUCACAAUCUUCUACAAAUUAUUCGGAGGAAAAACCCGCCUUGCAAUGCCGAAGACAACAUGCGCGCCGGACUCGUCAUCAUUGAAGCCUGGUUCAGGGGCUACUGAGGGAGUUCCGGACUAGGGGGUGUCCAGAUAGCCGAACUAUCAUCAUCGGCCGGACUCCAAGACUAUGAAGAUAGAAGAUUGAAGACUUCGUCCCGUGUCCGGAUGGGACUUUCCUUGGCAUGGAAGGCAAGCUUGGCGAUACGGAUAUGUAGAUCUCCUACCAUUGUAACCGACUCUGUGUAACCCUAGCCCUCUCCGGUGUCUAUAUAAACCGGAUGGCUUUAGUCCAUAGGAAGAACAACAAUCAUACCAUAGGCUAGCUUCUAGGGUUUAGCCUCCUUGAUCUCGUGGUAGAUCCACUCUUGUAACACACAUCAUCAAUAUUAAUCAAGCAGGACGUAGGGUUUUACCUCCAUCAAGAGGGCCCGAACCUGGGUAAAACAUCGUGUCCCUUGUCUCCUGUUACCAUCCGCCUAGACGCACAGUUCAGGACCCCCUACCCGAGAUCCGCCGGUGUUGACACCGACAGCGACCUACUGUGACAAACACGUAUCAUCACUGAAGUGUAUUUUUUUUGUAGUGCAUGCUGCAUAGCAAUCGAUGUGUGGAGUAAUAGUAGUAGGUGCAGGUAGGAGUCGGUCUACUAAUCUUGGAUGUGAUGCCUAUAUAAUGAUCAUUGUCUGGAUAUCGUCAUGAUUAUUUGAAGUUCUAUCAAUUGCCCAACAGUAAUUUGUCCACCCACCGUUUGCUAUUUUUCUCGAGAGAAGCCACUAGUGAAACCUACGCCCCCUGGGUCCCUUCUUUAUUAUAUUUGCUUUUGUGAUCUAUUUUUAUUUGCUUUUAUUUUCUGAUCUAUUAAACCAAAAAUACAAAAAUACCUUGUUGCACUUUAUUUUAUUUGAGGAUCCAUCUAUCAAUUUAUUACAACUUUCUCACGUCCUUUUGCCAAUUUCUGGCGCCGUUCCCGAAAGGGAUUGCCAACCCCUAUAAUACUUCGGGUUUUGAGUAUUUGUUAUUUAUGUGCAGGUGUUGUUCAUGUAGUGUUGCGUGGUUCUCCUACUGGUUCAGUAAUCUUGUUCUCAUCACUGAGGGAAAUACCUACCGUUGUUGUGCUCCAUCAUCCCUUCCUCUUUGGGGAAAUGCCGACGUAGUUCUAGCAGACAUCAGUGGUAAGCAGUAUGACUAUCACUGCCCACAACUCUUUGUGUUCUACUCGUGCAUAUCAUCUAUGCAUAGACCUAGCUCAGAUGCCAUUGUUGGGAAACGUUGCAUGGAAAACAAAAAAAAUACGCACACGCAAUGAUCUAUCCAUGGAGAUGCAUAGCAACAAGGGGGGAGUAUGUCUAUGUACCCUCGUAGACCAUAAGCGGAAGCGUUUAUUCAACGUGGUUGAUAUAGUCGUACACCUUUGCGAUCCCCCGAUCAAGUACCGAACACACGGCACCUCCGCGUUCUGCACACGUUCAACUCGGUGUCGUCCUUGCCAUCUUGAUCCAGCAAGCGGGGUGAGGUAGUAGAUGAGUUCCGUCAGCAUAACAGCAUGGUGACGGUGAUGGUGAAGCAAUCCCGCAGGGCUUCGCCUAAGCACUGCGACGAUCUAGAGCGGAGGAGUAAACUAGAGGCGAGGGGUGCCGACACACGGCAUGGAAUAAGUUGUGUAUUGUGUGGCACCCCUCCCCACAUAUAUAUAGGUGUGGGAGGGGAGGAGGCAGCCCCUAGGGUGCCCCAAGUGGUGCGGGAGCAGCCCUAGGGCUCCUCCCUUUGGUGCCCCCCCCCCUCCCCCGCCGCCAAAAUUGGCACAAGGGAGAAGGAAAGGGAGGAGGCGCCCCCUUCUUUCCUUCCUCCCCUCUCUGGGAUAUGGUAAGAGGAGGUGGUGCCUCCCCCUUCCAUCUAAUUGGGUGUGGCUACCAUAAGGAGGGCGCACCAACCCAUGUGGGCUGAUGUGUUCCCCUCUACUUGGCCACUAAGGCCCAAUACUCUUCCGAUGCCUCCGGAACCCCUUCCGAAAUUCCGAUAACUUUCCCGUGCAUUCCGAAACUAUUCUGGAGACCAAAUAGCAUCAUCCUAUAUAUCAAUCUUUACCUCCGGACCAUUCGGGAGCUCCUCGUCAUGUCCGUGGUCGCAUCCAGGACUCCGAACAACAUUCGGUCACCAAAGCACAUAACUCAUAUAUUACCAAAUCAACAUCGAAUGUUAAGCGUGUGGACCCUACGGGUUCGAGAACUAUGUAGACAUGACCGAGACACCUCUCCGGUCAAUAACCAAUAGCGGAACCCUGAUGCCCAUAUUGGCUCCUACAUAUUCUACGAAGAUCUUUGUCGGUCGAACCGUUAUGCCAACAUACGUAAUUCUCUUUGUCCAUCGAUAUGUUACUUGCCCGAGAUUCGAUCGUCGGUAUCUUCAUACCUAGUUCAAUCUCGUUACCGGCAAAUCUCUUUACUCAUAAUACAUCACCUCGUGACUAACUCCUUAGUUGUUUUGCUUGCAAGCUUAUGAUGUGUAUUACCGAGAGGGCCCAGAGAUACCUCUUCGAUACUCGGAGUGACAAAUCCUAAUCUCGAUCUAUACCAACUCAACAAACACCUUCGGAGAUACCUGUGGAGCAUCUUUAUAAUCACCCAUUACGUUGUGACGUUUGAUAGAACAAAAGGCAUUCCUCCAGUAUCCGGGAGUCUCAUAGUUGAAGGAAUAUGUAUUUGACAUGAAGAAAGCAAUAGCAAUAAAACUGAACGAUCAUUAUGGUAAGCUAACGGAUGGGUCUUGUCCAUCACAUCAUUCUCCUAAUGAUGUGAUCCCAUUAUCAAAUGACAACACAUGUCCAUGGUUAGGAAACCUUAAUCAUCUUUGAUAAAUGAGCUAGUCAAAUAGAGGCUCACUAGGGACACGGUUUUUGUUUAUGUAUUCACACAUGUAUUUAGGUUUCCAAUCAAUACAAUUUUAGCAUAAAUAAUAAACCUUUAUCAUGAAUAAGGAAAUAUAAAAUAACAACUUUAUUUUUGCCUCUAGGGCAUAUUUCCUUCAGCCACCGUCGCCACCACGGAGCUUGUCGGAAAGCCAACCAUGGAGCCCGCCAUCCAGGACCGCCGCCCCGGCGCCCAUGCCCCUAGGCACCUCCAACCAUUCACAUCACCGUCACCCAACCAUAGGUGAAAAUGUGCCUCCUUUCACUCCUAGACCGGCAUCAACCACCAGGCCUAGGUCGGCACCCCGUAGGAAGCACCCACCCUGCAUCCCAAGCCGGUCCCGAUGGACUGGGGGAGAUACAAACCAAUGACUAUGGACGGCCACUGCCAAGCACGCUUGAAUGUCGCCAAAUCCAUGGUCCUUGACGAUAAUCCGUCUGAUGACAUAGCAGUGCCCAAAGAGCGCACCUCGGACCAACGCCACGAACAGAAAACAAGCAAGUGGACCAUAACGUGUGUUGGAAUAUAAUGUCCAGCCCUCUCUCAUAGUUACCAUGUAGAAGUGCAUGCUCUAGCCAAUCUAUAUAUAUACCUACUAUUAAAGGGAAUAGGUAUUCUUGGUUUGGUUUAGUCAUUUUUGUUUGGUUUACACACGCUAAGCGAUCUGGGCCAGGUACCUGUAUGUUGAUGGGCCUUUUAUGGGCUUUCACAGAGACCGCGAAAAAUAAUUGGGGCAAAAUAAAUCAACAUUGUGGGAAUUGAACACAGGACCUCGUGUCUAGCUCUUCAAUGUAUCAACCAACGACCUGUGCACCUUUCACAUUUACUAAUCCCAACUCAUUGUAAAUAUACGAGUGGCAGUCAUCAUGUUUAGGGCAAGCUAAUUAAGCGAAUGAGCUAAUAAAGGAAGGAUUGUGGGCUUAAAUAGAAUAUUUAAAUAGAUGUGACUAAUUAAAGAAAGGAUUAUGGGUAAACCAGUGGAAUACUAAAAGAAAGAUCAUGGUCUUAAUAAAUUCUACAUGAAGGAUUUGAGAUAAAAAGGUAGGAUAAUUAAAAGGAAGGAUCCGUAGGCUUCAAUGUGUUGGGGCUACUAUAUUAGAAAAGGAAUGACUUGAUUCUCGACUAAAACGGGUGAGGACAUCAUGGUAAUUAAUGAAAAGAUUAUACAUAAAUGCCAUUAAAACAGAUUAUACUUAAAUGGAAUUAGUGGGAGAUUAUGCCCGGCAAAGAAAAUAUGAACAUGGCUAAAUUGCAACGUACUUUAUGUUCAUUUUGCAGAAGGAUGCUGCGUUGUAGCAUGUUCUUCAUAGUGAAUAUGGUGUUGUGGGACAUUAUGCUUGCACAAAACAUCAAUUUUUCCCGUUGCAACGCACGGGUAUAUGUGCUAGUGCAACCAAAAGUCCAAACCAUGGGAGAGGGUUGGACACUAUACUCCAACUCCCGCCCCCUCACUUCUAUGCUCCUUUGGAGUCUAUGAAGUGAGGAACAAAAGUAGGGGCAGACUACAAUCAAUUAUUGCAUUUAUUGGGUUUUGAACCCUGAACCUCUUGGUUGCAAACUUAUGCACUUAACCAGUUCACCCACCAUUCCAAAAUUUUAGUUGCGUUUGCUAGUGCAUGAAGCUUAACAUGGUAUUAGAGUUAAGAUCUUGAGUUCAAGUCCUGGCUUUGGCAAUUUAUCUAAAAAUUGUUGUUCCCCCCUUUGUGUCCACGUAUAGGGCUCUAGAGUCAUACCUCUGAAUCUAUCCAUGUGUUGACUUUCCGCGUUAGACGUGGGAGGGGGUGUUUAAGUGUAUAUGUGAAUUGCCUAGAUGGGGUGUUGACGUGUGAAUCUAUCCAUGUGUUGACUUUCCGCAUCAGACGUCAGACAGACGUGAGAGGGGGUGUUGAAUUGCCUAGCUCUUUUCAUCAAUUCAAAUUGUUGCUUGCAUUGGCUAGUGCAUGUAGCUUAAAAAGGCUUGCGCAAACGCGGACCAAGUCAGCCCCCAAUACAUGCACACUGCCAAACAUCGUCCACCACCACGGACCAACAACCCCGCCGCCAUCCCUACACUGACGUCAUAACAUGUGGACGUCCCCCAAACAACCCAUGGACCCCAACCAGACAUUGUCAGAAAUGGCCAAGCGUCGAUUAGCGCCACCGGCCAACUGCGGGAUGACCCCACCAGGAGGAGCCCAAGGUAGCCGGCAACUCCGGCCGCCGGGGCAGCCGCAAUAGGCCAUUCUUUCCCUCCACACACCACCUCCUCUAACUCUUGUCGGUCCCGCCAAACAUCCGCCAGUCUCGCCUCCACAUGCUAGCAACCAGGGAAGCAACUAGCCGGAACGAUGCACACAAAACAACCCCACACGCGCGCCCAUUGCCCAGAUCGAUGGCCACACCGGGCCGUCACCAGUCCCUCUCUCCCGCGACGCACCCAACCACCCAACCUGCCACCACCACCACCAAGCCACACUCCGGGCGCACCCACAGUAGGCACCCCAGAGAUGGACGAUGAAGGCCCGCCAGAUCCACCCCGUCGCUGCCACGCAGCACCACCCCAUGUAGAGCCACACCAUUGUAGCAGGGCCACACCGCCACCUCCCUGCGCUGUAGCCGCCGGGAACCUCGAGGAAUCUCGUGCCCCCACAUCGGGCAGCAACUCCGCGCUGCCAUGCAGCACCACCCUGCGUAGAGCCACACCGCUGUAGCAGGGCCACAUCGCCACCUCCCUGCGCUGUAGCCGUCGGGAACCUUGACGAAUCUCGUGCCCCCACAUUGCGUAGCAACUCCGCGCAGCCAAGAUCCCGAGUAGGGGAGGGAGGAGAGAAGCCCUGCCACCGCAAGCGCCGCACAGACUUCGCCCGGAGGUGGCGGCGAGGAGGGGUGGAGAGGCGAGGAGGACGGAUGUCAGCGGCGGGACAAGGUCUCCCAUGAUGCGCGCAGGGCGUGUCGCGGGACCAAGGGGUGUUUUUGGUCGCAAUCACCACAAUGACAGUUAUUAUGGCAAGGAGGGAGUAUAUGCAUCCACACGCAUUCGAGGAGGAAAAACGACAAAGAUGUGACUUUCGUAUCCUCCCUAUCGUUUAGGGUCCCGAUAACUGCCACACGCGUGGUGUAUCAGGUAGUUGUGCCACACGCCUCAUGUGGCAUGGACAGCAACCAGCCCACACGACCACGUCUGCGCGCGCAAAGGCACGGCCCGCACGUCCGAUGUGUGGCAACCCCGCCCGGACGUGCGGGCCAGAGGACCCAGUAGCCCGCACGAACCAGCCGUCCCGGCCUCUUCUCCCACCUCCCGAAUCCCGACUGCUGUCAUCUUCUCCCACCUCUCGAACCCCUACCUCCAUCGUCGGCCUUCUCUGGUUGCCAUGGCAACCAGAGCAGAUCCGUAGGGCCUUCCCACCGCAAACCACACCCCCACCCUCCCCCCGCACCCCUCCCUCCCACCCCCAAUCCAACAACGCCCUCCAAAGAUGACCAGCUAAAAGCAGGUGAAUCUCCCGAUCUCCCUACUGCUUCUCAUCCUUCUAUGUGGCACGGAAAAUUGCAAAAUUACCGACGAGGUUGGCAACUAGAUCCGUCCUACAGGGGUAAUACACUACAUGGGUUGUGUGUCUUUGUAGUUGCCAAGCAGAAUACACUAGAUCUGCCAUGUACUACGUUAGAGAUAACCGUAAGUUCUCACUAGAUUGAUGCACGUAGUUGGUAAAUGAAUGGAUGUGUAGGAAUCCAUAAAAAGGUAGAGAAAAUUGAGAAAUUUGGAAUAAUGGGGGGUGUGAAAAUUAAUUGCCACUGGUGUCUAACGUCAGUUGCCACCUAUCAUUGUCGUCAACUGCCACCAUGUCAACUUAUUGCUUGCCAUCCUAUUGUAGUGGCUGAUGCUAUCGAAUUGAACGGAUAGCUAGCACCCAGAUUUUAGAAAAGAUAACGGAUGUACAUGUCCUACUAGCCAUGAUAUGCUGGUUGCCUACGCAUGACAAUGUGAUAACACUGACGCGUUAACUUCUACAUGCAAGCAGCACAAGGAUACAUUUUUUGUGGAUUGUUGAUGUGUUCUUGUUCAUGCAGUGAUUGAUAGCACACUACUAGGAAAAGGCCUACUAAUGGCGCACCAGUUUUGCCUACUAAUGGCGCACUAGUAUUUUUUACUAAUGGCGCACCACUGGUGCGCCAUUAGUAUCUGGUAUACUAAUGGCGCACCAUGUAGUGCGCCAUUAGUUUUGCCCACAGUGCACCACUAGUGUCUUCUAUACUAAUGGCACACCACAUGGUAGUGCGCCAUUAGUAACAAUUUUUUUAAUUUUUUUUCUUAAUCUCAGGUCACUAUUUCACCUAUGAGAUAUCCAACACAUAUAUAUACAACAAGCAUCCAUAUAACAAUCAUAGCCAACACACAAGUUCCAUCAUAUAUACAUACAUAGCCAACACACAAGUUCCAUCAUAUAUACAUACAUAGCCAACACAUAGUUCCAUCAUUACAUAUUACAAAAGUUUCACAUUGUUCAUCCAACACCGUUAUCCAUCAAUUCACAAAAGUUUCACAUUGAUACAAAAUAAAAACACAAAUGGAAAAGAAGCACUCCAUCCAUGCAAGCUUCCGUGAAUUAAAUCAAAUCUGCAAAAUGAUAAACAAGAAGUUAGAAGAAGAAAAAGAAGAAGACUAGAAGAAUACUAGAAGAAGAAGAACACUAGAAGAAGAAUAAGAAGAAUUUUGGAAAAGAAGAAGAAUAAGAAGAAGACUAUAAUCUUAUUAUGUAAACUUGAUCAUUUUGUGCUAACAUAAGUUAUUUUGGAGCUAACCUAUAGGAAACUAAGCAUAUAAGCUCUAAGUUAGUAUAUUAGAGCCAACUUAGGUAAAAUGAAGCUAACCUAUGUCAUUUUGGAAAAGAAGAAGAAUAAGAAAAAGACUAUAAGCUUAUUAUGUAAACUUGAUCAUUUUGUGCUAACAUAAGUUAUUUUGGAGCUAACCUAUAGGAAACUAAGCAUAUAAGCUCUAAGUUAGCAUAUUAGAGCCAACUUAGGUAAAAAUGAAGCUAACCUAUAGGAAACUAAGCAUAUUAGAGAUAACAUAGGUAANNNNNNNNNNAAACUUGAUCAUUUUGUGCUAACAUAAGUUAUUUUGGAGCUAACCUAUAGGAAACUAAGCAUAUAAGCUCUAAGUUAGCAUAUUAGAGACAACUUAGGUAAAAAUGAAGCUAACCUAUAGGAAACUAAGCAUAUUAGAGAUAACAUAGGUAACUAAGUAUAUAUAUAUAUAUAUAUAUAUAUAUAUAUAUAUCAUUUUGGAGAUCUGACAUACCUGACAAAGUUCAGUUCUCAUGCAUUGUUCUUCUCCUUCUCCUUCUCCUUCCUCAGCCUGAUGCGCCAAGAGUGGCGAGGCGGUGGAGGCAGUGGAGGCAGUGGGAUGUAGUCUUCUACCACAAUUGGCGUGGUCAUGUCGCCCAGCUGUGGGAUCGCCGGCGCCACCACCGGUGCGUGGUCAUUGUCAGGCACCACCACCAUCGCGAGGCCACCUUCAGGCACGACCAUCACUAGGUCAUCCUCAGCCACCUCCAUCUCUUGCCCAUGGUCAGCCACCACCAUCUCUUGCCCUUGGUCAGCCACCACCAGCGCUAGGUCAUCCUGGGCGUGAUGCCCAUCGUCAUCCUGCAGCUCCUCAUCCCCACUCUGCUCCUCUUCUCCCGCACUCCAAUCCGGAUCAUCCUUCUUGUUGUCUAUGCUGCUGCCAGAAUCGCUGCUGCUUUCGCUAUAGCCAGAAUCGCUGCUGCUUUCGCUACAGCCAUAGUCGCUGCUACUUUGGCUGUAGCCAGUGUCGCUGCUGCUGCUCCCAUUACCUGUCCAAAAUGUAACAAUGACCAUUAACAAUCGAUGUGAGACAAAGCCAAAUGUAGAGGAAUAAGAAGAGGCAGAACGUACCGGCAUCAUCAUCGUUAGCAUAGUGCAUGCGACACAUAGUCGUGUUGAACACCUUCACGAUGAGCAUGGUGGCGUCGUCGUCGUACCUGAAGAGAAGGAAGUACCCCAGCCGCAGGUCGUAGGCACGGUAGAACUUCUCCCACCCACGAGACAAGUACAUGUGGCCCUCCUUGAUCACCAACUCCACAUCCCACUGCCUGCGAAACCCGCUGCCGGCCUGUCGCGGCUUCACAUUAUUUGGCGGAUCUUCACCCAUCAGCAUGUUCAUAAAACUGUCAGGCAGCCUCUACAAUUUGGGACAAUGAGUGAUGUAGCAAACAACAGAUAUCAUAAUGAGAUGGGUGAAGGGGAGAUCUCUUGUUUUAUAUACCUGCGUCAUGGAUGAUACUGAAGUCUCAAGUAUGAUAGUGAAGAACUCAGAAGCAUCCAACUCGUACUGUGGUGUCGCAGAGCGGCGGUGGCUGCUUCCCGCCAUCUCUGAUAAGCAGCAGAAGAGACCAAUUAGUACCCUUACAAUAGAUCAUAAAACAUGCAUGAUAACAGGCAUUAGUCGCAAGUACCCCAUAUGUCCUAUUUUUAGCAAAGUCAUGCUAAAAUUCAUGGAAAAUUUCAGCAUUACCUUUGCUGAAAAUAGGACAUAUGGAGUACCCGAAUUUGCCGGAACGGAAGUUAAUCGACAUUCCGGCAAACUCAAGGGCCUCUUGGGGUACCUGCAAAUUCAUCACGACACAAUUGUCGGAGACAAAACCCAGCAAACUAGCAACACAAUGUGCCUCUACUUUCAUAUGGAUGAAAAGGCCACGGACCAUAUGGUCCUCUGCUUUCAUAUGGACAAAAAUCAGCUCAACUUAUGUGAGCUUCCGUUCCAGAUCUUUUUUAAUCCAGCUAAUUAACUGAAACUUGCACUAAACUAAUGUUGUCCCGCACUACUGCAAGUGCCAUACUACUGUAAGUGCCAUACUACUUCAAGUGCUAUACUACUGCAGAGAAUUAUGCCCACUUGAGUUGGAGUUAAUGACCUCAAUAGACUGUCACUGGCAGUAAGAGAGUAGCACUACUAGUACUAGCCUUGUACUACUUGUAAUGGAAGAAUAUGACACAGUGCUAGUACACAGGUACAAAUUAUAAUCAGUAGGAAAAUAUCAUCAUAAUAAUAUCAUCAUUCAGUAGGAAAACAACCUUAGCUAGGUCAGUUCUGAACUACAUAUGGCAAUCUCACUUUUAGGAAAGGAGGAUCAUCAUACACAUAUAUAGCUCACUUCAUUUGGGGUAGGGGCUAUGCCAGAGGAUUUCACUCAAAACUGAAGCAGUAUAUACCUGACUGAUGUGAAGCGUUGUCCCAGAUGUAUUCACAAGAGGCUAGAAGAUGUGCUCAACCAACUGUCACAAAAACAAAUAAAUUAUUAUUUGCCUAAGUUGACAGGUACCAAAAUCUCAUCACACUAGCUAAAAGACGACAAACAUGUUGAGUGCUGCUUUGUAACUUAUUUCACUCUUCUACCAAUGAAAGAUACGCAAGCUUUGCAUAUUCACAAAAAAAUGCAGCAAUGUGACUGAACUACCCCAGAACAUAAAGUAAAACAAGGCCUAAAGAAAGUGUGCUGUCUAGAAACAGCCUAAGCACUGAGGCAGAAAAGAAACACCUGACUUGGUAGUGGCAGUUGGGUUCACUUUGGGCAAACAGAGUGCCAAUCAUCCUAUAAUGCGACUACGAUGAAUGCUCUCCCCAGAUCAUCGCUGAAUGCAAAGCAUACAACCGACUGGCAGUGGCAAUUCGAUUCAUUUGGAGCAAACCAUUGUUUUAAACUUUUAUUAGUACCUACAACAAUCAUACGUAUGAAACAAUGUGACUGCACUUCCCUUGAACAAAAAUGAAGAGGGCCAAGCCCAAACUGUAAAACAAGGCCUGAACCAAUUGUGCCUCCUACUAGAAGCAGCCUACAGAUUUGGGGCAGGAAAGUAACACCUGACAUGGCUGUGGCAACUGGGUUCAUUUCAGGCAAAAAACUGUUUGGAACAACUAGUACGGACCAAUCCUAUGCAACAAUGUGACUGCUUUGUCCGUAUGGGGAGGGAGGGAAUGGGGAGGAAGGGUGGAGAGGGAGGAAGGAGGAAGGAGGAGAGGUACCUGGGCGGGCGCGGCCGGUCGCAGGAAGGGUCGGGGUUGGGGUCGGGGUCGGCGGCGCAGGCGAUGGUGCGGGGGCGCGGGGGCUCGGGCGAUGGCACUAGGGCNNNNNNNNNNNNNNNNNNNNNNNNNNNNNNNNNNNNNNNNNNNNNNNNNNNNNNNNNNNNNNNNNNNNNNNNNNNNNNNNNNNNNNNNNNNNNNNNNNNNNNNNNNNNNNNNNNNNNNNNNNNNNNNNNNNNNNNNNNNNNNNNNNNNNNNNNNNNNNNNNNNNNNNNNNNNNNNNNNNNNNNNNNNNNNNNNNNNNNNNNNNNNNNNNNNNNNNNNNNNNNNNNNNNNNNNNNNNNNNNNNNNNNNNNNNNNNNNNNNNNNNNNNNNNNNNNNNNNNNNNNNNNNNNNNNNNNNNNNNNNNNNNNNNNNNNNNNNNNNNNNNNNNNNNNNNNNNNNNNNNNNNNNNNNNNNNNNNNNNNNNNNNNNNNNNNNNNNNNNNNNNNNNNNNNNNNNNNNNNNNNNNNNNNNNNNNNNNNNNNNNNNNNNNNNNNNNNNNNNNNNNNNNNNNNNNNNNNNNNNNNNNNNNNNNNNNNNNNNNNNNNNNNNNNNNNNNNNNNNNNNNNNNNNNNNNNNNNNNNNNNNNNNNNNNNNNNNNNNNNNNNNNNNNNNNNNNNNNNNNNNNNNNNNNNNNNNNNNNNNNNNNNNNNNNNNNNNNNNNNNNNNNNNNNNNNNNNNNNNNNNNNNNNNNNNNNNNNNNNNNNNNNNNNNNNNNNNNNNNNNNNNNNNNNNNNNNNNNNNNNNNNNNNNNNNNNNNNNNNNNNNNNNNNNNNNNNNNNNNNNNNNNNNNNNNNNNNNNNNNNNNNNNNNNNNNNNNNNNNNNNNNNNNNNNNNNNNNNNNNNNNNNNNNNNNNNNNNNNNNNNNNNNNNNNNNNNNNNNNNNNNNNNNNNNNNNNNNNNNNNNNGGUGCGGGGGGUGCUCGGCGGCGGUGGAGCACGGGCCGGGAAGGGCGCCAUUAGUAGUUUCGCAAAAAAGUAAAAUAUAUAUAUAUAUAUAUAUAUAUAUAUAUAUAUAUACUAAUGGCGCACUGGGUCAUAGUGCGCCAUUAGUAGUUUUGCAAAAAAAGAAAUAAAAAAAUACAGUAAUGGCGCACUGUCUGCCUGGUGCGCCAUUACUAGUUAGAACUAGUAAUGGCACACUUCGACCUGAUGCGCCAUUAGUAUGUAUGGAAAAAUGGAAAAAAAUAAUACUAGUAGCGCACCUUGUGUCUGGUGUGCCAUUAGUGUCUUCCACACUAAUGGCGCAUUGCCCACCGGUGCGCCAUUAGUAUAUAGUAGUGGCGCACUACUUACGUGGUGCGCCAUUAGUAUCAAUCCUAUCUAUAGCCCUUUUCCUAGUAGUGGCACAUUGGCAGAAAUGAGACGCAGAAAAGAAUGAGUCACGGAGAUGGCGCUAAUCUUUUCGGUUCUCAAAGGCCAGAAACGCCCCUUGGGAUGCAUCAGAGUACAGUCAACUCAUUUCUGCAGGGCCGUUGCUGCCACUACUAGAACAGUGCGCAGGCAUUGGUAUGAUGCAUGAUAACAAAGAAAAAGAACAUUUGCCAUGUUCGCGACGAUGAAGAUGAAAUUCUACUUAUGUCCUACACUGUUAUUUUUUCGCAGGUUCUUAUGACCAAAACACACUCAGGGGGGCACCAUGGCAAGUACAGUCACAGGGCGCUAACACUAACAAAUGUAUGGGCAGCCAACUUCAAGUAGCUAAUGUGGCAAAUCAAGGUAACGCAUACGAAAAAGAAACAUACUGGUCUGGACAUGAAAAAUAAACUUGCAAAGGAUGGCAAAAGACUCACGAGUUAUGUCGGAAAAAAUGCAGAGCCUUCGUGCAGCACGUGGCAUCAGGCGGCACCCAUCUACCUACCAUCGACGUCAUACACAGGUGAGUCCAUAAAAAGUGAAGUUGCGGACGAUGAAUUAGCAGAAGGAGCACUACUAGGAAAAGGGCUAUAGAUGGGAUGGACACUAAUGGCGCACUGUACAUGUGGUGCGUCAUUACUAAAUACUAAUGGCGCACCAUGUGUUGGUGCGCCAUUAGUGUGCAAAUACUAAUGGCGCACCACAUCCCACGGUGCGCCAUUAGUAAAAAAAUUAUUUUUUUCAAAACUACUAAUGGCGUACCGUGGGAGUGGUGCGCCAUUACUAGUUGACAUAGUAAUGGCGCACCACACCCACCGUGCGCCAUUAGUAGUUUCGAAAAAAAAUUUAAAAAAAAUUGUUAGUAAUGGCGCACCACCCNNNNNNNNNNNNNNNNNNNNNNNNNNNNNNNNNNNNNNNNNNNNNNNNNNNNNNNNNNNNNNNNNNNNNNNNNNNNNNNNNNNNNNNNNNNNNNNNNNNNNNNNNNNNNNNNNNNNNNNNNNNNNNNNNNNNNNNNNNNNNNNNNNNNNNNNNNNNNNNNNNNNNNNNNNNNNNNNNNNNNNNNNNNNNNNNNNNNNNNNNNNNNNNNNNNNNNNNNNNNNNNNNNNNNNNNNNNNNNNNNNNNNNNNNNNNNNNNNNNNNNNNNNNNNNNNNNNNNNNNNNNNNNNNNNNNNNNNNNNNNNNNNNNNNNNNNNNNNNNNNNNNNNNNNNNNNNNNNNNNNNNNNNUGCAAAAUCUCUCUGGAAAUUUUUUAAAUGGGCAUAACUUUUGCAUACGAACUCGGAUUAAAAAGUUUUAUAUAUGAAAAAUCAUCUACUCGAAAAGUUAAACAUUUUCAAAAUCCCCAAAAACCUAACAGAAAAAAGUUACGGGGAUUUCAAGAUCUAGAGGCAAAAAAAUUCAAAAAAAAUUGAUUUCGAAAAAAAAAUGAAUUGUUUUUCAAAAAAUGAUACGUAAUAUGACCAGGAAGUUUGAAAUAUUUUUCAAAAUUUCAUCAUAGUCAUGAACAUGAACAAAGUCCUAGACAUCAACAAGGUAUAAUAGGAUUGAUAUGCUAGAUAUAUCAACAAGUGCCUGUGAAGUGAGCUGUUGCUGGGGUUGGAUAGAAUUCUGAAGUUAAGCGUGCUUGGGCUGGAGUAGUGUGAGGAUGGGUGACCUUUCGGGAAGUUUGACCACGGAGUGCGAUUUGACUUGAGUUUAAGCAUAUUGACCCGAGAUUAACCCAUAGUGACCUGAGAUUAAGAAAAAAAUUGAAAAAAAAAAAUUUGAAAAAAAAAUAAAAAAAAUUCUGAAAAAAAUUCUGCGUGGUGCGCCAUUAGUAUACCAGAUACUAAUGGCGCACCAGUGAUGCGCCAUUAGUAAAAAAUACUAGUGGCGUGAUAGUAAUGGCGCACCGGUAGUGCGCCAUUAGUAGGCAAAACCGGUGCGCCAUUAGUAGGCCUUUUCCUAGUAGUGGAGUAUAGUUGACAACUGCAGUUGCCAUGAUUGAACAACUGCAGUUCCCAUGAAUAAACAAAAUGCAGUUGCCAUGAUUGAACAACUGCAGUUCCCAUCCCUGGACAACUGCAGUUGCCAUCCCUGGACAACUGCAGUUGCCAUGACUGAACAACUGCAGUUUCCAUGCCAGGACAACUGCAAUUGCCAUGCCAGGACAAAAUGCAGUCGCCAUGUAUUGACCAACAACUACCAUUCUUACAGGUUAUUAUAGUGGUGCUGCCCCAGCAAACGUCACAUGGCAAGCUUCACAUAUUGCAGAUAGAGCACGUCUUUUUGGUGUGACAGACCACACAAGAUGGGCACAUGCAGCACAACAAGGUAAGGAAAAUUUGAACCGCAAAAAUAGCGCUGCAUUUGUUUUUGUGGGAAUAGCACGUGACAAAAAAGAAGGUUUGUAGCGGUGAUGGUGGAAAAAAUCAAACAGAAAACGCUAACAAGUGGUUUGUGCAAUGAUUCAUAUAUUGUCUUCGGGAUUUGCCAACUGCUAAAAGCAUGUGUGCAGCACUAAUGGUUGAUCACAUUUGCCUAGUAAGCUCAAGCCUAGAAUACAAAAGUUUUGAUGCUAGAACACACUGGUUGCCAUGUAUUGGCAGCAGUAUUUGCCAUGUAUGUAGGACUACAGCUACCAUGCAUAUAGAAUCCAAAUUUUUGUACUGAAAUGACCUGGUUGCCAUGCAUUGGCAACAGUAGUUGCCAUGUUUGUUGGACUGUAGUUGCCAUGACUGGACAACUACAGUUGCCAUGCAUGUCCACAGGCAGACUCACGGCUUGAUGUUUGAAUGAUGUCAUGCCAGAUCACUUGAAGUUGAUGUGAUCCGUUACGAUAAACAUGUUAUUCAUGGCAAAAUCUUACGCUCGUACCUGUUCUUUCUAUUACAGGGCCUACAACUACAUUGAACAGCAGCGCAGGGACAUCUACUGCGGGGAGCUCUGAGCGCACAGAAGACGCGUUCCACCAGCCUGCCGACAAUCAUGACGCAAACAAUGCCGAGUCAGAGUCGGAAAUGGCAAUCAUUCCAGCAAUGCCGACAGGCACCCCUUUGAACACAAGCAAUGGCAACACUCAAGUAGAUGAAACUGUCGCCGAUACUGAAGUGAAUGAUGAAACUGAUGACGAAGCACAAGGGGAUGAAGAUGAUGGGCAAUCAGAGAUCGUGGUACCUCAGCCACCGUACGUUGGGCAGAGAUUUGAAUUGUUUGCAGAAGCAAAGGAAUUCUACCAGACAUAUGCAAAGUUCCAUGGGUUUGCGGUCAACACCGAAUACCAUAGGAUACUAUCACUCAUCCACAGCAAAAAUGGGACUCUGAGUAGCAUGCCCUACAUACCAGCUGACAUCACAAACCUAGAGGCAAAAUACUGUAGAGAGAGCAAGUUGGCUGACAUAGAAGCCACGAUGGCCUGCUUCGAUGAGAAAGCGAAGGAAGAUCCAGAUUUCUUCUAUAGGAUAAGGUUGGACGAUGAGGACCGUGUCAGGAACAUGUAUUGGGUGGAUGGUGCUGCAAGAAAAGCCUACAAACAUUUCUGAGAUUGCAUUUCAUUCGACGCGACGUAUCUCACUAAUAUGUACAAGAUGUCGUGCGCUCCAUUCAUAGGAAUAAAUAACCACAAUCAAUCGUUGCAGUUCGGGUGUGGGCUCGUUCGGAACGAAGACACAGAUGGGUACGUUUGGUUGUUCAAGACCUUCUUGGAGUGCAUGGAUGGACUUGCUCCAAUGAACAUAAUAACAGACCAGGAUUUUAGUAUGCGUGCAGGCAUAGAGGAGGUCUUUCCGUUGGCAGUGCACAGGCACUGCAGGUGGCACAUUAUAAAGAAGGCUGAGGAGACGCUAGGACCGUUCUUUGCUGACCGUCCGGAGCUGCACAAGGCAUUCAAGCUGUGCGUGGACCACAGCUUGACGGUGGAGGAGUUUGAAAGGAGCUGGAUGGCCAUGAUUGAAACAUAUCAAGUCCAAGACAACGAGACUCUUGCUAGCUUGUGGGAGAAGCGAAUGUAUUGGGUGCCGGCCUACUUCAUGCAGUGCUUCUUCCCUUUUCUGCAGAUUACACAGCACAGCAAGGGGUUCAAUGCUGUUUUGAAGCGGUACGUGAGCCCUGGCAACUCAUUGCUACAGUUUGCCAAGCAGUACACAGCUUUGCAACAAAAAAUACUGGGAUCUGAGCAACAGCAAGAAGCGAACACCGUGCUAAAGCAGCCAAAAUUGCUAACGUAUUUACCGAUGGAGAGGCAGAUGAGCAAGAUAUACACCAACAAGAUCUUUAACAAGUAAGUCAGUUGCGUUACAGUCUUAUUUACACAAAGCACGAAGGCAGUAGGUCCCAUAUAGAAUGCAAUGCAGUUGACAUGUUUAAUGAAAUACUGUUUGCCAUUCUUACUCAGCUGAAGUUGCCAUGUUCAAUGAAAAUACUGUUUGCCAUGCUUACUCACAUGCAGUUGACAUGUUCAAUGAAAUACAGCUACCAUGUUUAAUGCACUGUACUUCCAUUGGGCAUGUUGGUAUGCAAAUGCCAAUGUCAACAGAAAAUGUUAUGUUGUUGCCAUUUCUACUGAAAUGCAAUUGCCAUGUUUACUAAAAUGCAACUGCCAUGUUUGCUGAAAUGCAAUUGUCAUGUUUACUCAACUGUAGUUGCCAUGUUUAAUAAAAUGCAGUUGCCAUGUUUUAUGCAAUGUGCUUCCAUUAGGAAUGUUGGUGUGGAAAUAACGAUGGCCAGUUGAAAAUGUAAUGCAGUUGCCAUGUCUAAUGUACUACAGUUGCCAUGUGUAAUGUACUAUAGUUGUCAUGUCUAAUGUACUACAGUUGCCAUGUUCAAGCUACUAUAUUUGCCAUGUUCAAUGUACUAUAUUUUCCAUGUUCAGACAAAAUAUAUUUCUAUUUACAUGACAACAUAAGGUGCUACAAAAAAGAUCGCACGAUAGUUUAACAGAAAACACACAAAACUUGCAGAUUCCAGGAACAAAUAAAGUGUGCCGGCAUGUUCACGGCUUUCUAGGUGGACGAACAUACGUUCAAGGUGUGUUCUAUUUUGGUCAUGUCAGAUUCAGAACCUGAAGACUCGGACAAAGGAAGGAACUACUUCGUGAAAGCCUCGAUCGGAUAAGGCGAAUACUACUGCCAAUGUUGCAAUUUUGAAUGGGACGGCAUUGUGUGCUAUCACAUACUAAAAGUAAUGGACAUGAACAUUGUGACACGGAUGCCCCGCCAUUUCAUAAGGCGGCGAUGGACUUGGAACGCUGACGACACGUUGGCGCCGCAGACAACAAACACAGUUCUGGCUGUGCAUGACGAGAGACCUGAGUCAACCAUGGAAGCCGUGAGGCACGUUGUGCUGACAAAGAACUAUGCUGACUUAAUUGAUGAAGCAUGUAAGAGUGAUGAGACAGCGAGAGUCACAGAAAAACACAGGAAGGCCCUGAAAAGAGAGCUUGAUGAGAUCAAGAAGAGGAAAGCUGAGGAAGCCUUACACAGGUUCCCCCGCACAUCAAGUGUGCCUUUGUCCACGGGGCCAUCAUCUGAAAACUCGGAGAUAGGAUCUGGAAUAGCGAGCAAACAAACCCAGGUCAGGAACCCGCCCCGUUCCGUCACAAAGGGGCGUCCAAAAGAGAUAAGGUACAAAUCGGGAUUGGAGAUUCAAGCAAAACACAAGAAAACGAAGAAAGGGACGGGCAAUCCGUAAGCAAAAUUGGGGCGGUGUGACAUGGUCCUUGUGGACAUUUUGUUUUGUAGCCUAGAUGUUGUGAAUUUUUUUAAAAUUGGGAGAAUGACUCUUGAGGGGCAUCAGAAGUAGAAGGAAAAAUACAUUGAAUGGAUAACUGAAGUUGCCAUGUUGUGGGUACUUAAUCUGCCAUGUUAUGUGUAGUUAAUCUGCCAUGCUAUUUUAUACUAAAUAUGCCAUGCUAUUUUAUUCUAAAUAUGUCAUGAUAUUUUAUAUUGGAUCUGCCAUGUUAAUUAUACUGGAUAUGCCAUGUUAAUUGUACUGGAUCUGCCAUGUAGUUUAUGCUGAAUCUGUCGUCUUGUUUGUACUGAAUCUGCCAUGUUAGCUGUACUGAAAUAUGCCAUGUUAUUUGUAAUGACUCUGCAUCGCAUAUAUUUCCAUGUUAAUUCGACACGGUUUAGUCACACAUAGUGUGUUGUGUGCAAAUGUAUGGGAAACAAGUUGAAAAAAGCGUAACGUGCAUCAACCACGGGAAAGGUUACGGCUACAUGAUCAAACUACCAUGCUAGCCGGUGUAGUUAGCAAUGAAAAAGAAAGAAGCAAAACAGCCAAAUGAAAAACGACGAUGACUUUCACUAACCAUAUCUGAUGAACUACAUUUGCCAUGUUUUAAAACAUCGUAGACGCAUUCGAAGCAGCAAACUGGUGCUACAAACGAUGAAACCAUAAUAAUAAUGAUAAACAUAAAACGUAUAUGCUGUCACGCCUAAAUAGGUUCACAUCCACACAUAUAUUACAGAAAAUAUUCAAAUGUCGCUCACACACCACCACUACAUACUAGGCUACGCAGGGUUGCAGUCAUAACAUAGCACACGGACAUAGUUUUGACAAGAACAAAGAUAGUACCUUACAUUCCUCGGCAACAUAAUGUAAGGUAUGUGUCCGGUGUAUAACGCCACGUGAUCACUUGUACUUCUUGAUGACUUUCUUGACAGCUUCCUCCACAAACUCGCGUGCUCCGGACCGCUUGUUGAAAUCUUCAUUUGUCAAGUAGCUCCAUGUGUAAAUUUUCCGGAGGUCAACAACCGUUGCAGCUGUGACAGUGGGAACAAGUCUACCUUCCCACUUUGCAAAGUAUUCCAACGUGUGAAAGCCAAAGUCCAUCCUGCACAAGAAAAAGAGUGAGGUGAACUCGCAAAAAGGACAGACAUAGCAAUGUUAAACUUCAAUUCAGAUGUAACAACAAAGAGGGGUGGGAUUGAUGUAAAUGGCACAUGAAGGAGGGGGUAGGAAAUUACGUGUUCCCUUGAUUCGUAGUCGCCACAUACUCAAUCGGGGAAUGUCUGAUCUGGACCUUUGAGUUUUCGUAGUGACGGUUCCAUGUCUCUUUGACGUUGUUGAUGAAGAAUUCAGCAUGCGAAGUAAGGUCGGCAUCAGCUGUCGAACGCAUUGAAUCAAGCACCUCAAAGCGUUGGUUUUUCAGGUCAAGACAGAUCGCAUAGUGGUGACCACACUUGUCAUGUGGGUCGUAUGGUGCAAGCUCCUGGAACAUGGGGAACAGGACCUGCAAGUAAAAAUGAAGGAAAUGAGAAGCAGAGUUCACAUGAAGAACAGCAGAGGGACAAAAAAAGUAGAAUCGCGUAGAAUGUUUAGUUAUAGUGGGUAGUUGAAAGAAAGUUGCUGUCCAUGUAUGAACAAAAUUUGCCGUGUAUUUUACUUUGAAGUUGCCACAUAGUUUGCACGGUAUGAAAAAAUCAGAAAGUCAGUUUGCAUGGUAGCUGAUGCCACAUGAAACAUUUGCCACAUAAACAGAGUGCAGAUAAUGGCAAAAAACCAUACCAUGUGAAAAAAAGUGCAAACAGGGAAGGAGUACUCACAUAUUUCUUCACUGUGAGCUUGAAUUCACCGUGUUGAGCAAAAUUCUUCCUCGGGAUUUUGUGGUGGAAGUCACCAUCCCAUAUUUUGCAGGUCACAUUGUAAUGCAUGAUUGUUUUGUCGGGAAACAUAUCCGUAUACUUGUUGAUGUAGUCAAUCCCGCAUGCAACUACAUUUGUUGACAUUUUACCGUUUGGCCUCACAGACUCACAAGAUCACCCAGGUCGACGUACGUCGCUUCGCAUUGAAUGACCUUGGUUCUGUCCAAACAUGAGCUAUAUGAAAAUGAUAUAACAUGAAAGAAUCAUGUCUACUAAGUAAAAAAGGAAGAACUAAAACGUAAGCAGAUCAUAUCUAGAAAGUAGAAAAAAAAUAUGAAUGGUAGAAAGAGCAAAGCAAAAAUGUUGUCAUUACGCUUUCAGCUCCUUCAUGUGCUUGCUGCUGGCCCUCGCAUUAUCAAAUCGCUUGACAAUAUCGUAUAGCUGGGUUUGUUCCUUUGUGGCCCUGACUUCGGGCUCGUAGUCUUCCGGGGGAGGUGGGUGAACUACCCUCUGCUGCCUCACAAAACCAGGGGUGGCACUCCUAAUGGUAUCUUCAGAUACCGUAUCUGCAGGCACAUUGGAACUUGAUUGCCCCUGACCUCGUGAGGACCUCCUCUGCAAUGCUGCCUCCUCGAUCCUGUGGUAAGCUUCAUCAAGUGAUGAUGAAAUCUCAUCAGGGGUGCCUACAAGGAUCAAAAAAGUGGGUUAGGGUACCUGGAAAAACAAAACAAAUGGAAUGUGAAAAGAUAGGGUGCAUGAUGUGAAAUGUAGGUACAAAAAGUAGGGAGUUGCCAUGUGGGGGCAAAUCCAGUUGCCAUGUUUAGUGCACUGUAGUUGCCAUGUGACAGCAACUACAGUUGCCAUAUUGUGUCAACUCCAGUUGCCAUGUGCUUGCCGAACGAAAAAUGCAGCAUGGAAACAAAAAUACAGGUGACAUGGUGCAGCAAAUCCAGUUGCCAUGUGUAUUGCACUGUAGUUGCCAUGUGACAACAACUAUAGUUUCCAUGUUGAAUCAACUUCAGUUGCCAUGUGAUUGCCGAAUGUAAAAUGCACCAUGGCAACAAAAUUGUAGGUGACAUGGUGCAGCAAAUCCAGUUGCCAUGUCAUCACAUAACAGUUGCCAUCACAAGUGAGAACCCCAAAAAGAAUGCUUGGUACAAAAGUCAGACUACACAGAUGUAUACAAGAAAAUGAUAAGCACAUAAGAAAUGUACCUUGGACGAUCGGCUCUGCGAACUUGAUAGCCUUCCUGCCCUCGACCAUUGGUUGCGCCAUCAUUGCGGGCAUGCCUCCCGGGAAAGCAAAGGCAACUGGCAUAGGAUCUGGCACCACUGGUUGAUCUUGACUGAUGCCAAGGCUGAAGCUCGGUGGGGUGAAGGCCAUUGGGUGCCUCUCAUGCCUACUGGCCGGACCGCGAACAACUUGUCGGGCAGAAUCCAAGGGUGAAAGAUCAACAAACAUAUCUGAAUCAGCCGCUACAGAAUGAUCGGGCUUAUUUGUAGGGCGGGUUGUGUUGUCAGCGGUAUCAGCCGCAGCUUUCUUGACAAUCUUCUUGUUUGGGCUGUAGGGGACACCAACAUUGACUGGGAGCCUGGAAGUGCGUAGAUUUAAGCUGGGGAUUUCCACUGCGGGUAAAGGUGCAGUCUGCUUCGGAUGUUCACCUACGUCACUCAUGCCCGGCUUGACACCUGCAUCAGUUGUGCUCCGGUCUUCCAGUUUCUCCAUCGCAUUGCUUUUGGCAGGUGGCGGGAACAGUGUGGACGCAGGAACAUAACCAGACUCAUCUUUGCUGCUCCUAGCUACAGCUGGUGCGUUGGGUAUGUAUGUUGAUUGCUUGCGGGGGCUACGACGCCUAGGUGGAAGACCAGCACGCGAAACAGUUGCCUUAGCAGUAUCUGCACCAACAGGAGCUGGAGCUGUUGUGCCAAGACUCUCACCUGUAGAUGGCAUAUCAUUAUGAACUGCCGCCUCAGCCACUUUUGUCAUGGACACAGGAGUGCCACCACGCACACGCUUGGAAUGAGUGUCAGAUGAGCAGGAAUCUUCCUUGCUUAGGUUGGUCUCAGGAGCGUCCACUUCAACGCUUGCUGAUGGGGUGGCAUGGCUCACAACAACAUCCUUCAUUGCCAGAAGAGUUGGCAAUAUUUUAGCUGUCCUGACAGAUACCGACUCGUCACUCCCUGAUGUACUGAUGCUUGUUGUUCUAACCUGCACAUCUGCAACCGGCGGAGAUGGUCGGCCACUUGCGUCAUAGUUAGUGGGAACAGUUGACGGUUCAGCAGCAGUUUUGUCGACUGGCGCCUCAUGAACAUCUGAGUUGCCCCCUGUUGACAACUUUGAAUGAAGGCGUUCGAGUGGGUCCCUAAUGAUAUGCUUGGCCCCACGUGCAGUAGUCUUCUUCACCCUCAAAAAAAAAGCACAUGAAAAAGGUAUUAAAAAGGAACAAACAAUAUUUGCCAUGGUAGAAAUCUAAAAAAAUGAAAAAAUAGGUGGAAAAGCUGGUAGUUGCCAUGUAAGGGGAAUAUGAGUUGCCAUGUGGCCUAGUUAGCAGUUGCCAUGCAAAUCCAGCAAGAGUUGCCAUGGUAGCCAACUUGAAGAAUGAUAAAAAUGUCUGAUGUACCAGGAAUGCAAUUUCAAAACUAGGUAUGGGAUGAGCACACAAGCCAAUGGAAAGAUGGCACUUGCCAUGUAGGUACAAUAAGAGUUGCCAUUUGGCCUAGAUAGCAGUUGCCAUGUAAAAGCAAGCAGGAGUUUGCCAUGUAGUUAAAAAGGAAGAAAAUCAUUUGAAAAAUAGCAGUUGCCAUGUGGGGAUGAUGACAGAAGCCCAUGUGACAAGCUGAAGGAUGUAUUGAAAAAACAAAAAUAUAGCACUAUGUCAAUGAAAGCACAUGGCAAACCUACUUCUUGACUGGCUUUCUCAGGUCUGGCAACACGACAGGAUCCCCAGUGUUGAACGUCGUCGUACGAGGAGAUGACUUGGUGGAAGGGGUGUCACCAACAAUGGGGGCACCUUUGUUCAACCGAGCCAAAACACGGGUUGGCAUUGGUGCCUGUUUCUUCGUAAUUGCUCGUCCACCAGUUGUCGCCUCACUGCACGUAUAAGAUGGAGGAAAAAAAGGGUGGCAAUUGUAACACAGCAAACUCAGUGCCGUGCUUAGCAAAAACAAAUGCAGAAAGGGAUCAGUCUGUUCCAAAAAUAUAGACAAAAUAAAAAACUAAAAUUAAAGUCGAACCUCCUCCUAGAAGCUACGGGAUCGGUCCUAGACCUCUUGCGAGGAGAACCCUGCCCAACAUCCUCUGGAGCCCUCCCCCUCUUUGAUGGCAACGCGCCAUCGCCUCUCGCCGUCGUAUGUUCUUUGACUUUCUCCGAUGGAGGGACAUCUGGUGCAUCCUUUCCCUUCUUACCACCUGCACAAACUUCAACAUGUUCAUCAUCAUCGGUGUCUUGUUUCACGUUCUCCAUGUCAUCGUCGUCAUCCUUGUCAAGACCAACGUCUCCAUCUAGGUCAUCUUGUGUGUCAGCAAGCUCUUGGGAACUGUUGUAGUCAUACCGGCCACGGCAACCAGUUGGCCGAUGUGUCCGUUCUGGGACAAAUGUAGUGAACUGCCUCGCAACCGCAUCGCUGUCAGAGCCAUAAAGGGACGUCCACCCCUCAACCAACUUCCCGAGCAAACCGGUCAUUUCGGAUGCAAACUGCCCAAUUAGAUGCUCAACAGGUGCCCUCGCCUGUGCACAAAACAAGAAGCAGCAAUAACCAAUCAUAUUACAGUCACUUGCAUGAGAUCAAAAAAUAAUCCAAGGCAACCAUAGAUAUGUAUCUUUGAUUACCUCAGUAGGGCAAGGAGGAGCUGAGUGCACGUCCAUCCACUUUCCAAAGUUUUGAGGCCCCCCAAACACGUUGUAGUCUAUAGCAUGCUUGGCCAUCAGCUGGAAAAAACCAAAAAACAAUAGCUAGGAUGUAAGAGAGAGAAUGAUGAACACUGAUAGCAGUUCAUGUGUUGUAAAAUGCAACAAAGAAAGAAGACGCGAAUAUAAGUUUUAGCACGAAUGACAAAGUUGCCAUGUGGAGUGAGUCAUGGAUACCGUACGCAGACAGCCAUGGCUAACAAAGGUAGUCAUCUCUUGUUAACCACAGACGGUUGCCACAUGGCGAUUUUUCAUAUGUUAUGUCGCAAAAAUUUGUAAGAAUGUCGUGUAGAGAUAGAAACCAGGACUAACGUGCAGUUUUCAAUAUUUGGUAUCAGUUACCCUGUCUGCAGCAAGCACAACCUUGACAGCAUCGAUAGUCCACGCAGAAACAGCAAACUUGUGCAUAGGCGGCGGGCCUCCUAUCCCAGUGAAAUCCACGGUAGACAGAUCAAGACAGUCGACAUACAUGAGUUGAUGUACGACAAUUUUAAAAAGAAAGAAAUAUCAGUUGCCAUCAUGGUAUUUUGCGAAAAAACAGGAUAAUAUAUGUUCCUACAAUCAUCAAGUUAAAGUGCAUGAAAAAAGAGAAAAAGAAGAAGUUGUCAUCUGUAUGUGCUAAUUGCCAUCAUAGUGUGAUGGCAGUUGCCAUAUUGUCAUGAUGGCAGUUGCCAUCAUAGUAUGAUGGCAGUUACCAUAUUGUCAUGAUGGCAGUUGCCAUCUUGUUAUGAUCAGGUUGCAAUGCAUGAAAAUAAAAGGUGUUAAAAAAGAGUGUUCACAGAAAAGGACUGGUGAAAAAAAUACCAUUAAAUGCAGUCGACAACCCUUCUGGUACAUCUUGCUUGAGAAUGCAUCAUGCAGGAAGUCAGCAAUGAACUUACACCAAUUCAUGUUCUUCACAUCUUUCAGAUUCGCCUGCACCGCACAAUUUUCAGGACAACGAGUUGCCGCAUCAAAAACCAAAUGGAAAAAACAUCAAAGAACACUGGCAGUGACUACCUUGCACAUGACAUUGGAAGCCAAAAGAUUGGAGGAAAAUAAUGUAGUAAAGAUAGAUCAUUCACCAGGAUGGGGAAGCAUUUGUUGCUUUGGCGAAGAGAAGUGGUCGGCGCGAAAACAGCUGAGAUGAGGUACAUGAGUAGUUUCAUCUUAAAAACCUCGCCAUGGGUUGUCAUGGCCUGCAGCGAAUCUGCCAGUAUAGACGUGUUCGGCAUGGAUUCCAAACCAGGAAACAAACGGGGGAACAACGCUUCCUCGAUCUUGUUAUUGACCUCAUACGGGACUUUGAUAUGUCCACGGGGCACACCCAAAGUGCAGAAAACAGAUUCCUCGUUCAACGGCAGUCUUCCACGUCCUGGAAUCACAAAUUCCCUGGAGGCGGGGUCGUAAAUCUCACCAAGGCAGUCGCAUACAGGGUUGACUAGAUUCGUGCACCGGACAUUCAUUAGAGCCUGCAUACCCAUCUCAGCAGCAGCUCCCUUCUGAUCGUCGGUAAAUCUGUCAGUCAAUGAAGUCAGUCGUUCCUGGGAGGCCCUGUUACGAGUAUGUUUCUUCUUCUACAAAAAACAAACAAAUGCUCAGUUGUUGCCGUGUUUUCACUGUCAUGAAAUGUUAGUUCAUGACAGACGACUGCAAAGCUCAAGGUGGCAACCAAUAACAUAUGCAGGAGGAGGAGGGUGUGUGGACAGUUACCUCGUCGCCCUCUUUUUCCGUCCAGUUGCCUGAUUCUGCAUUGGUGGAUCCAUGAAAUCAUCAUCAUCAUUUUGAUGAUCACCGCGAGCCAUUCUGUUGAGGUAAGAACAGACCAAAUUAUCACGGUGGAAAUGAAAAUGCAGGGAGUAGGCAGUUGCCACCUAACAGAAUGUCCUUGCCGCAUGAGCUCGAGUGAAAAUGUCAACUAGUGAAUGCAAAAUAUCACAUGAACACGCACGCACCCCCCCUAUGAUUGUCGAAAACAUAAAUGUGGCAAUUAAUCACAUUGGUUACAUUUGAAAAAAAAUGUACAAAUCGUAAAUGCACUUAAAAACAAAAUGUUGAAGUUGCCAUGUUAGCACAAGAUAGUACGAAAGAAAGUCAAAAAAUCCUCCACUGCACAAACCUGAGAUGUGGCAGCUCACACCCUGUCCUCAUGCAACAAUGACUUGACAUGUGUUCAAUGGCAAAAAAUGUGCUAGGUUGAAAUUUCCAUGUUAAAAUGCAACACAGAAUUCAAAAAAGCAAUGAAAAACAUCUAAUGAACAACCUGAAAUUGCCACAGUGUGUUCAGAUAUCAGUGUUGGGAUCUACGGUAGGGUGCGUCGACUGCAAAUUAAAAUUUCCUACGCGUAGAACAACCAAGAACAUGCUACGGGAGAUGGAUCAUAGUUCGUUACCACUAAAAACGUAGUGCCGUGCAGCGGAAGAAGUGUUGGGGCAGCGCUUCCGCGUGGAUCAUCUCCUCCUCAUCCGAUCUCCCUCGAACAGCCGGUCGUCCGAUCCCACGUACAAGUUCGCCGGAGCGGCGCAAGUGCACCGCCUCUAACGGUAUCCGCGCGCGCACGAGGAACACCGUGUGGCGGACUGCUAGGUCCGAUCACACAGUCGGCAGCGAGUGGAGGUGUCUAUUCGCAACACAUGCAAACCCUAGUCGCAGCGCCGAAGCGAUCAACCACAUAAGUGCGCUGCACCUCCACCUUAUAUAGGCGUCCGUCGCGGGCUCAACACUUGGGCCUCGCACGGACCCUAAAGCCCACAAGUCUACUCAGCCACAAUCCGAAUACAGCUCGGAUCACAUCCGACCAGUGUCUUCGGAUCCGACCUCGUAGGUUCCUUCCCUUAAGCGCGCGACCCCUUAGGUUCAAGUCAGCUUGGUCGCAGUUCGGAUCACCUCCGACCUACACGGUUGGUAGCGGCCUCUAGCAAGGCGUGCCGACCACUAAGCAGACUAUGAAGCUGGUUAGGCGAACUUGUACAACAUGUCACACUUCUGUUCCCUUUGCCUCACGAUAUAUGUUGUCGAGCUCAAGGCGAGACUGUCAUCCUUGUGCUAGCCCGACCUCUUUCUCGUUCCAGUGAUCCCGACCACUACCCGGAUAUCUCAUAAUCCUUGUUGCAUGGCCAUGCUUAUCCUGGUCGGAUCACACGAGGGGCCCAGAGUAUAUCUCUCCUGAUCGGAGGGGCAAAUCCCAUCUUGUUCGACCAUGUCUCGCAGCAUGGGACUGACAUACCCGAAACCUACCUUUGUAACUACCCAGUCACGGAGUAGCGUUUGGUCGGCCCAAAGCAAGUUUGUCACCAUCUCGAGUACAUGCGCCAGCUCAGGUCUUAGGACAUAGAACGUAUGUUCUACUAGAGACUCACAUAUGACAUAUCGCUGCGUCUCAUAGUUGGGUCUGUCCGAUUCGGACCUUAUCUCGACUCGGAUCUGACUACGUUGAAUCCGACCAGACCUUUCCAAGUCCAUAUUAUCCGGUUAGCAUCCAAUGCCCCAUGGCUAGUGAGACCAAGCCAUCGACCGUGUCAUAUGUUAGUCUAGUCGGCUGCGCGUCCACACAACCCUUUCGACUAGGGGCCUUUUAGGACAGUCAUCAUACAAUGCAUAGUCCCACAAACAAGUCACGUACUUGCUGAUACACAUUAUUGAUAAUGUCCAAGGACUAUCUUUAUUCAUAAAUACAUAGGAAAUAUCAUCAUACAUGAUUGCCUCUAGGGCAUAUCUCCAACAGUCAUCAUGGCAAAACACAAAAAAUUGAGUCUGUCGUACAAUGAAUUUGCCACAUUAUAUGACUAUAACAUGGCAACAGACAUGCUGUGUUCAGACAAAUACUUGCCACAUGGAAAGCAUGUAUAUGGCAUCUGACAGAAUUGAUGUGAAAGUUAGUUGCCAUGUUAUGCAGCCAAUUUGCCACAUUAUCCUGUCUACAACAUGGCAACAGCCAUAGUAUGUUCACGGUCUAUUUGCCACAAGAAUAUACUAUCCAUGUGGCGACAGAUACAGUUGAUGUGCAGAUUAGAUGCCAUCCAGUGCAAUUGGUUGCUGAAACUGCAGUGACUACCGAUUUACUACACUUUAUCAUUCCUACAGUGUGGCAACUAUCACAAUCAUUCAAGAAAAUUAGUUGCUACGCGGAAAAGAAUGUUUGUGGCAACUACCAUAGUCAUUCAAGAAAUUAGUUGCCACAUGGAAAAGCAUGUUUGUGGCAACUAUCAUAGUCAUUCAAGAAAUUAGUUGCCACAUGGAAAAGCAUGUUUGUCGCAACUAACAAAGUCAUUCAGGAAAUUAGUUGCCACAUGGAAAAAGCAUGUUUUUGGCAACUAUCACAGCCAUUCAGGAAAUUAGUUGCCAUACAGUCGUGACAGUUACUCAAACUACCACGUUUGCCUUCAUACUGCAGUUUGAAAAACAACUAACUAGAUCUAGGGUUCAAUGGCAACUAUAGUGACUUGAAAUUCAUCCCCAAAAUUCUCCCCGAACUGAUCACAAACACCAAUUCGAAGCAAUGCGCAACUAUCAGACCGGAAAACAACGGCCCAAUCCCAAGGCACAACCAGUGUGUGUCUCCGGACAGGCAGAGCCACACCGGCGAGACCGCCACCACGGCAGCGAUGAAACUGCCCAGUGCCAUCGAAAACGACAAGCACAGGACUCCGCCGACGACGAGAACGCCGGCGCAUCACCAAAUCGCCUGAAUCUCUAUGAAUCUCGAGCGAAGCAUCGAACACGGAGGGAAGGGGAGAAAAUGCAGGCAAGGAUUGUGAGAGUGAGAGCGAGCAUUACCUUCAACCUAUAGGCGCUCCGGCGAAGCCGCUCCGGUCCGGCGAGCACCACCGACGGCCGCGAAAGCCGUCGACUCUUCCGCCUCCGCCGUCGCCUUCUCCCCUUGUCUUCUCCUUCAAUCGUCUGAAAUGCGAAGUGGGUUGUGCGGGUAACUGUGGGGAUGAGUAAAUGGAACCAUGAGGGGGAGGGGGGCGAAGUGCGCGACGUGUUUGAUGUCAACCACGGUCGGCGCGCGCGCGUGCGGGAGCAUAGCAGUUCCCACCGCACGCCCCCGAGUGGCAACCACUGACCGCGUGUGGCAACUAACGUGCGGGCGAACUAUGUCACACACCGCACACACGCAUUGUCCUACGUGGCACAGAAAAUCGGCCAGAUUGUGCCAAGAUCCGUGCAUAAAGUACUGGACAGUGAUGGAUGCGUGUGGUCGAGAUGGUCAGCGCCCACACGUGUGGGCGUUAACAUCUCUGAUCGUUUAUGCGCCCGUCCAAACACGCAAAGUAAACAUCACGUCGAGAAGAAGCCGUGACAAAUGGGACAUCUGCCUGACAAGUGACAACCAUCGAUGGUGAAGUGCGCUCAGUAAUACUUUUUUUUUGCGAGGAUCAGUAAUACUCCUACUUUUCUCCUAGGUGAACAAGCGACCGGGCCAGGUCAUCGUCUCUUAUGUUCUCUAGUCAGGACGUAAGGAGAAACCCUGGCUUUCUCACUUCAUUCAACAUAAAAUAUUUGUAUUCGAUGGAAAUAAGACUUGACUAGUAGUACAUAUGCAGCGAUUCUACCCUUGAAUCAAAUAAACUGGCGACAGCAUACUUGGGUGAUACCACAAUUCACCUCUACAGAUACACUCAUCUUCUUAGACUGCAUACAUAGUCUAAGGAGGCACUCCAGUUCCACACAUCUUCAUUUAGUUAUAAAGUUAUGGAGCAUCUAGCCUUCCACUUAACCUUCCUCCUCUGGAUGACCAUAUUCCUUUCAUCCUCCGCCACCGCGAGUGAAGAUGACCAGUUCGUCUACUCUGGCUUCUCCGGCAGCAAUCUUAUCCUCGAUGGUGCAGCCAUGGUUACACCAGAUGGGGUCCUUGAGCUGACCAAUGGGACGCUUGGCUCUAUCCAUCUCCAUGGCAGUUCCGCAGGUCGCCUGGUGGGGCAGUGCAGUCCUUCUCAAUAUCCUUUGUCUUCGGCAUGGCCUCUGUCAACUUUAAUGGUUGUCCCAACUCCCAACAGCAUGAACUUUUCUGUCCAUCAGGGUCUCACAAAUAAGAGCAUAUUUGCAGUCGUGCUUGAAGCUUGCCGCCAAGAUAACAACUUCCAGGAAAACAAUGAUAACGAUGUCAGCAUCUCCAUCGGAGGUAAAACCUCGGCGAAAUCUCCUGCUGGUUUCUAUGAUGGCAAGAGUGGUAUUUUCAACAUCUUGCUCCUAGUUAGUCACGACAUCAUGCAAAUGUGGGUGGAGUAUGAUGCCGCGGCCACACGGAUCAACGUGGCCUUGGCUCCCCUCGAGGUAGUUAAACCGUCGAGGCCAUUGCUAUCACUUUCCCACAACAUCUCAACAGUGCUGGGGGAUCCAGCAUAUAUUGGCUUCUCGGCUUCAACUAGUAUAAUCAGCUUGAGAUAUAGUGUGCUUGGCUGGAGCUUUGGUAUGAACCGUCCUGCUCCAAGCCUCCAACCAUAGACAUCGCCAAGUUGCCGAAGUUGCCUCGGGUUGACCCAAAAGCUCAAUCCAAACUGUUGAAGAUCAUACUGCCGAUAGCCAUGGUCACACUUGUCCUGCUUGUGGGAACAACAGUUAUUCUAUUUGUGAGGAGGAGAAUAAGGUACGCUGAACUAUAUGAAGAUUGGGAGCAUGAGUUUGGGCCACACCGCUUCUCCUACAAGGAUCUGUUCCAGGCUAGCUACAGAAGGAUUUCAUAAUAAGAAUCUGCUUGGCCGUGGAGGAUUCGGGAAGGUGUAUAAAAGUGUGCUUCCAGUCUCUAAGCUGCAGGUUGCUGUGAAGAGGGUGUCCCACGAGUCGAAGCAAGGAAUCAAGGAGUUCAUCGCCGAGGUUGUCAGCAUAGGCCGCCUCCGACACCGCAACCUUGUCCAGUUGCUCGGUUAUUGCAGGAGGAAAGAUGAACUCUCGUUGGUGUAUGAAUAUAUGCCAAACGGUAGUCUUGAAAAGUAUUUGUAUGUUGAAGCAGACAAGACCACACUGGAUUGGGCGCAGAGGCUUCAGAUCAUCAAAGGUGUUGCAUCUGCCAUAUUCUACCUCCAUGAGAAAUGGGAGAAAGUUGUCAUCCACCGAGACAUCAAAGCAAGCAAUGUUCUUCUUAACGAUGAAAUGAAUGGACAUCUAGGUGACUUUGGCCUUGCAAGAUUGUAUGACCGUGGCACCAACCUACAAACAACACGUGUGGCUUUGGUACCUUUGGAUAUAUAGCCCCAGAGCUAGCACGCACCGGUAAAGCAUCCCCUCUAACAGAUGUGUACGCAUUUGGCAUUUUCGUUCUUGAGGUAACCUGUGGGAAAAGGCCAAUCAACAAUUGUUCACAGGAUGGUCCAAAGCUGCUAGACGACUGGGUUGUCGAGCAUUGGCAGAGAGGAUCACUAACAGACACAACGGACAGGAGGAUACAAGGAGAGUAUGAUGCUGAUGAGGUACAUCUCGUGUUACAGCUAGGACUGUUGUGUGCACAUCCAUUUUGCAGCACAAGGCCCAGCAUGCGGCAGGUCAUGCAAUACCUUGACGGUGACAUGCCGCUCCCCGAGCUGCCACCCACAAACUUAAGUUAUAGCAUGUUGGCCCUAACGCAGAAUGAAGGUUUCGAUCAAUACACGGCAUUGCCUUGCACAGUCGGCAGCAAUGGCAUGACGUUUAGCCUCUUCAGUGGAAGAUGGUCCACUUAGGUAAAUGGGAUUCGCAGAGUCAAACCAAGCUUCGGUUUUAUCUUGUUCUUGUGUUGGGAGUAGACUCCAAGCUGUGUAACGUGUUUUUCUAUUUUCUUUUGAAAUCAAUGUGUCUGUAACAAAUUGCUUUCUUCUUAAUGAAUAAGUAGAGCUCCUGCCGGUUUCCCGAGAAGGGCCAAGCCAAACAAGCAUUUUAUAUUUAAUAGAGCUUUGUAACCUGAGUUAGUGAAGCACGCUGCAUUUUUUUGUUUAUACUACACAAAUAUGUACUUAUAUGCAAGAUAACUCUUGUAUCAUUAAUAAGAUUUUUUUUUCGAAAUGGAGGUUUACCCCAGCCUCUGCAUCAGAAAGAUGCAUACGGCUCAUAUUAUUAAAAAUAAAGUCCAGCAACAAAGUCGUCAAGUAUCGAGUUGCGAAGAUAAACAAAAGGCUCGAAAGAGCUCAAACCCAAACCCACAACCGGCUGGCAAACACAAAGGAGCACUACAUGCCUAUCCUAUUACAUGACCGCCAUUCAAACCGGUUGAAAAUAUCCCGCGCUACCAUCUCCCAUCGGGUAGACGCAGUAACCAAACGCUCACUGGCCUCCGUCGGAGUGAGUAGCGACCACAUACGGAUGAAUGCCGUGGCCCUGAAGAUAACCUGCAAAAAGUGAAUGUUUGUUGAUCUGUUAAAUACUAAAUCAUUUUUGCAAUUCCAUACUGCCCAAAGUAAAGCACAAACGCCAACACGAAUGUGUCUUGCAGUAUCGGAAUCAACCCCAUCAAGCCAUGUUCCAAAUAACAUGUUGAUAGAGGUGGGCUGAUUGAUAUUGAACGCAAUAUGAAUCGACCGUCACAGAAUCUUAGCCAACGGACAAUCGAGAAAGAGGUGUUUGAUGCUUUCGUUAUGAUCGCAAAAGCUACACCUAGAUGAGCCCACCCAGUUGCGUUUUGCCAGGUUAUCCUUAGUCAAAAUGACUUAUUUAUGCACAAACCACAUAAACACUUUAAUACGGAAGGGAGCCUUUACUUUCCACACGUGAAUCAGGAAAGGGACAGCGCUAGAGUUAAUGACAUCCAGAUACAUAGAUUUAACCGAGAACACACCGUUCUUAGUAAGUUUCCAAUACAGCUGAUCUGGUUGCUGGGUCAGCCGGACCUCCAUUAAACAUCUAACGAGGUGUAGCCAGGCCUCCCAACGAUUUCUAACUAGCGUUCUCCGAAAACUAAUAUUGAGGGGAGUGGAUUGUAGAACAGUUGCAACGUAGGCUUCUCUACGUCGCACAAUGUUGUACAAAGUAGGAUAUUGAAGUGCAACGGGAGUCUCCCCAAGCCACGUAUCCUCCCAAAACCUCGUAGUGGCACCAUUCCCAACAAUAAAUUUUGACUUGUUGAAAAAAAAUUGUUUGACUCUCAUCAAACCCUUCCAAAAAGGUGAGUCAGAAGGCCUCACAUUUACCUGAGCCAAGGUUUUAGCAGAUACUUAUUACGCAAAAUCUGUGCCCAAGUAGCUUCCGUCUCAGGAUAUGUGAACUCUUGUAUCAUUAGUUAGAUGUGUGAUGCCUCUGUUUCUUCUCAGUUCUAUAUACCUUUUAUGCAAGAGUCUGUUGUUACCGAAAAAGGCUUUCGCCCCCCGCUUUAUAUAUAAAGCAAAGAUCCACAGUGCCCGGUACAACUGCACUCACCCACCACCAACACAUACACACCCAAGGCAGGAUACAUAGGCGCUGAACGCAGCAACACACACCCUAGCACUACAAGAGCCACCGGAGGCUUCAUCCGAAGAAGUGACGCUGCAUAUGACGAACCAUGGGCUUGAAGGCGGUGCCUUCAGGAAGGAAACGACACCGGAGCGUCGCCAUCGCCCGAUUCGAGGAUCAGAGUUUCCCCUCGAGCACCACGACGGGCAGUGAUAGCCGCGAUGACGCCUUCAAGAAGGGAGCGAUCUUCGUCGUCGCCAGCCCGUCCAAAGAUAGAGUAGGUUUUCACCCCGACCAACAUUCACCGCCACCGAACGCCGCACCCCGGCUACCACGCCGCCCACACGGCCGUGGCAGCCGGGCAGCACCGAGACACGAGCUCUGCCCAUGAGCACCGCGCCACCACCACCAGGGCCGCCGCCCCGGAUUCCAAGACCUUGACACCAAGUCCCCCGAGCCCCACCGCUACCCCCACCGCAGAGACGGGCGGAAAGGAUCCGCCUUUCACACCCCUGGCCGGUCCCAACGCCGAGACCCAGUAGGUCAGCCACAACAAGCCUCCAUCGAGCCGUCCUGCUACACCGGGCGCGAGACGAGCGCAGUCUUGCCGUCGGGCGCGAGACGGGCCGGUCCUGCUGCCGGGUGCGAGACCAGCUCGGUCCUGCGGCACCGGGUGCGAGACGGGUUGGUCCUGCUGCCGGGCGCGAGACCAGCUCGGUCCUGCUGCACCGGGUGCGAGACGGAUGAUGGACCACGACCGGGAGAAGGCCAGCCCUCCAGAGAGAGAAGCGAACGGACAUCGAGGAGAGGGGUCGAAGGCCGAACAAGAAGCCUAAAAACGGCUGACGCCAGGAAAAUCUGGCCGCCGCCGCAAUGAACCUGCCACCACCACAGCAGCCGCCGGGCACGCACCCCCGCAGCCACCGCCACUACGCCGCCACCCCGACCAGUCGAGGGGGCCUCGGUCAGGGCCGCCGCCCGCAGCCCUAGCCUUCGCGGCCUGCGGCCCCGAGAGGUCAAAUCCGAAAGAGCCGCCGCAACCGUUGUCUCCAACCUUCGGCCCGCCACCGCCACCACCACGCCGCUGUUACCUCCGUCGAGACGCACGAAGCCCCAGCCGACCGCAGCCCAAGCCAACCGGAGCCCGCGGCACCGAGGCGCAGCAGGAUGCAUCACGAGAUGCGACUAACCGCCCCCCACAGUCCGCACCACCACCGCCGCCACCACGCCCGCCCCCUAGCCCAGCAAGCAGCCGGUAGGAGAAGGUCGUGGGCCAAGCUGUCCGCAGCCCCGGCCAGCCGACGGGCCGCCGGUGCCAGACCCGGCCAGAUCUGGGCACAAGCGACCCCCACGCCACCGCCCGAAGGACGCCGCCCCGCAGCCACCGCGCAUCGACGGAGCCUCAAAACGCCGCCACCCACCUCCAGGCAGAAGACCGCCCGCUCCGCAAGCCCGCCACCGCGCCGCCAGGCCCCACGGCAUCCCGACGCCCCCGCGCGCCGUUCGGACCCGCGUCCUUAGCCGCACGCGCCGGGAGGGAAGAGCGCCCCGCCGCCACCUACGCCGGCCGGGCUUUGCUCGGUGGCGCCUCGCGGCGGCGGCGGGGGAGGGAGAUCGGGAGGGGAGGGCCUGAGUCGGGGCUAGGGUUUGCCCCUGGAGUCGCUCGCGGGAGCGGCUCAGGGGGAGGGGGGUCAGUCUGGACGCGUUCGUUCUUCAAGAGUCUGUUGUUAGAUCCUGUAAACAGUUGUACAGUUUCUACUUAUUUGAAAUUCAGGGACCACCAUACAAUAACUUUGUAAUGUUGAGGUUCAGAUUACUGCACAACAUUCAGUGCGCUGCCUCGGCACUACAACAAGGUACAUUAAACGCUAGAGUAGCUAAUUGUUCAGUAACAAAGGAUAGCCCAUUAGCCCAACCAUGAAGGGAGUAUUGCACCUGGAUUCUUUGAUCCUCCAGCAGGGUCAUGGCGUCAUGCAUGCCUUAACCGCUCGAUGAUGCUCAAAGGCCAGAACAGAUGAGCAUUCAGAUGCUGCCAAUGAAGAGAAUUGAUCAGCUUUUGUUAUAACAAAAGAAAAAUAAGCAGUUUACUUUAUGACACUAGAUCAGUUACCUGUAUCAUAACUUCAUAAGGUGAAGUUAAUUAAUUCCAUGCUUCCAUGGGACAAUGACAAGUGCUCCACCGGCCACUUCACCGUUCAUGCCAUACGAGGUCCCCAUAUUUUGUCAAAAGGAAACCCAAACAUCAGGUGAGCCACACUCACAGAUUGUGGCCUUACAAACAAGCUCCAGUACUCAUAGAUUGAUUUAUCAUUUUUCAUAUAUAUCUUUAUUUAUUUUGUAACCUACAAUACUUGGUUUACCUUUGCCCUCCUCCACUGUUCAUCUGAUGGAAUAUCACACCAAUCGCUAGAGCUCACAUGUUUAAAUUUGAGAGUUCACAUCAGUCGCUAGAGAUGUAAAAUCUGCUCGUUUCUUUCAAUUUGCUGGUUCUGUUUUGUGUUUUGUUCACUUUGCAUCAGACGGCAAUGACUGGCCUGCCUGGCUUUCAAUUUUUACCGCCCCAUUCGUGGGCUGCUGGUCCGGCCGAAGGAGCCACUGCAGCUGUGACGUGCCUCACAGCACGUCAGAGGAGCGAAUCCAGGUUAAUCCAGAAUAGUUGUGUGAUGAAGAAUACCUGUCAAGAGGCUCAACUGAGAUAUGGCUGUCUCCUGCCCAGCUCAGCUAAUUACUUUGCUACAAGCUUUGCAACCAGAUCCAUCAGCUAGUGAUUAACCCGUGAUUCAUAGCUAGAUUAUGAUUCCUUGGUGCAACAUGAGCACAACCAAACUAUGCAUACUGCAACCAGCACACCUGGAAAAUGCUUAACCUGUAAACUCAAGAAGCCCUUGUCAAAACAAUAUACUCGACAAGCAAACAUUUAUUUCUCUGAAACGCAAAAAAAUGACAACACUGGGCAUUCAGCUACCUCUGUUCUAUAUAGAAAGAAAACUAAUGCUCAAAACUCUGUUGUUGGUCCCAGACAGACUGAAACAGAACCAAACAGAUACAGUGAUGCAAGAGACACGAUUGCAUUGUCCCAAACUUCUCUCUCCCAUUCUAUAAGCAGGCUCAAGGAAUUGCCAGCUGGGACCAAAAGCCUUGCUAAAAAAAUAAUGAGGUAACAUUAAAAAAUGCUAGGAUUGGCCAAGACAACAGUCACAAACAGAGUAAAGCAAAGCUUACACAAUUUUCUAUACAGAGAAAAAAAUCAGGUGUUUCUUGGAGCCACUGACGCCAACCAGAAAUAGUAAAGAGAGAAAGUGGAAAGUGAGAUUUCAGGAGGGAAAACCCGAAAACAGAACUGAAAAAUGCUCAAACAAACUGAGACAGGGGAUAGCAGAUUUUAUUGCUCCACACAGCGACCAGUUUUCAGAUUAACAUCCAACAUACAGUUCUUAAAUUUUAAUGUAUCAACACAUAUCACAAACAAUGUUGUCCACAACAUGAAGGGAAACUAAAAAUCUAACCACAGGGAGAUCUGCUAAAUCAAACAAAGCUAGUGACACCUGAAGCGGAAGCAAGGACCAAGGAAGAAACCGUAAACAGAAAAGGAAACAGCACAUGAAGUAAAGAACAUCUGCACAAAACACUUUCUUUAAGGAUGAACUUUAUACUCCCCUUCUCUUCUGAGCUUGUUCACCUUCACCACUGUCAUGACAUAAAUCAUAUCAAAGAACCUAUCAAUCGUCAGAAAAUAUGCAACCCUCCAAGCCCUUAUGAAGAACAGUACGUUCCAGACAAUCAAAAGCCCAAAAGCGAACCCCACUUCCCCGGGGAUGUAUGUCAUCACAGUCAUUGUAGUAUCCAUACCACGAUGCUGUUCAUUUCCUGUUUCCACAAAUGGAGCCUCUUCAGUGCAGGAGGCAUUCCGAAGAAUGCAGAGUGCAGAAUUGCCCACAAAAUCCGCAUUCGCGAAUGUGGAAAAUUGCCCUCCUGUUGGUAUAUCUCCAGCCAAGUUGUUGUAAGAGACAUCAAACUUGGACAGAAAUGUCAACAUCGUUAGAGAUGCUGGUAUGCUCCCACUGAGAUCAUUAUGGGACAAAUUUAGCGCUUCCAAGCUCGACAUGUUUGACAACUCAUCAGGAAUGCCCCCUGAGAAGUUGUUCCAGCUCAAGUCCAGUACAUGAAGAUUCACAAGAUGGCCAAGCCCACGCAACACAGGCCCAACAAGCAAGUUACUGGAGAGGAUCAGCGAUGGCGGGAAGCUGCUGACAUGUUUGUACUGCAAACCUUUGUCAGCUGAAUUCUUCUUGAAUAAUAACGGGAAGUCCUCUAUUGAUGCAUGCUCACUCGAACUAUUACUUGAAAUUAAACUCUUUAUCUGUGUAAAGCUCUCAGGAAGCUCCCCACUAAAUGAGUUGUUUGACAGAUCGACAAAGAAGAGAUUAUUCAGAUUGCCCAACCAUAGCGGGAUCUUUCCAUUCAACUUGUUCCAUGAAAGAUCUAGAACUCUGAGACUCUCCAAGCUUUCCAGCCCAGGCGGAAUCAUUCCGGAGAGCGCACAGUUUGCCAAGACAAGCACCUGGAUGCUCUUGAACCCACUGAUGCCAUCCAUUGGCAAGGUCUCACCACCACGUAAAUUCUUGGUGAGCACCAAGCUCGUAAGUUUGGGCAGGUAUUGCAAGACUUGUAAUGCCGAUGACAAGUUGGUGAAGCCAUUGUCAACAAGCGAGAGGUGUGACAGGCACCGCAAAUUCUUAUAACUCUCUGGUAUCUUCCCCUCAAGCUUGUUCGAUCCAAGGUUCAGCGUCUUCAACUCAGUGCACCACAUGAGACUGGGAGGUACAACACCACUCAGCAUGUUAAUCGCUACAUCCAGAAUGUUCAGCCUUGACAGUAAGUUAAAGUCAAUGGCAAUCUCCCCCGACAGCGAGUUGUUCCUUAGGUUGAUAACCCUCAGCGUUGGGCAGCUCGACAGGGAAGCAGGCAAUGUGCCACUGAACGAAUUUGAGGCCAAGUUUAAGAACUCCAGCCUCCUCAAACCCCCAAACACAUCAGGAAUGACUCCAGUGAACAAGUUAUAUGACAGGUCAAUAUGCAUAAGCUGAGAGAAGUUACCCAGGUACUCGCUAAGACCACCAGAGAGCUGAUUUUCCCGUAAGCUCAGCCUCCUCAACUCUGAUAAAGUGUACAGGUCACUGAGGAGAUUCCCAGUGAGGCCACUGCCAUCAAUAGAGAGCUCAGUGAGCAUCCUGCACCGGCCAAAGCCUGCAAGGAUCUCACUGUUGAACCCAUUCCUGGAAAAUCGCAGGGCCUUGACCGGCGCAACACAGAGUGCCGUGGUGUUGAUGCUACCAGAGAACGCAUUGCUCGAGAUAUCAAGAACCAUCAGAUUCAUCGCGACGGGGAACACAGGGUGCGGUCCCUUGAAUUGGUUGAAGGAUACAUUCACCACCUCAAUCGCCGGGAAGCCAUGUUCACUCGUCGGGAACGCGCCGGAGAGCACGUUCAUGCUGAGGUCGAGAAUCCACAUCCUUGCUAACUGGCCAAGAUCCUCCGGUGGCUGGCCACCGAGAGAGUUGUGGGAGAGGUUUAGAGUAACAAGGCCAUCAAGCAAGGAGAUCGCGGAGGAGAUGCCGCCAUGAAGGUUCUUGUUGGAGAGAUCCAGCCCAACAACCCUCCCAAGAUCACAAGAGACGCCGGUCCAGGAACAGCACGCUGCAUCGUUGGGAGCCCAUCCAACAAGCCUGCUGCCUUUCCUAUCCAAGCCACUGGAAAAGGCGAGAAGCGCCUCCAGGUCAGUGGAGUUGCAUGUCUGGUUCAGGGAGUGGCUGCCAUGUGUGUGGAGCAGAAAGCAGAUGAGCAAGCAGGGGAACAAGCAGUAGCAGCCUCCCAUCUUUAGGGAGAGGUGGUGACGAAACUAGAAAAUGAUUCUGAUUUCUGAGUGGCAUGAACAAUUUGGAAAGGACUUGUAGAAGAAUUUCAGGCUAAAGUACCACCUUUCUUGCAAAGCUGCAUGAAUUCAAGCAUCAAGAACUCGCGAAGAUGACAAAUAGCAAUUGUGAGAGCACUCCAAAAGAAGGAAAGGAAAAACGUUUUACCUUGGCGGCAUCCUUGUCCAGAAAGCCUGAUGAAAGGACAUAAACCAAGAAGGUGGUCUGGUCCUCUGGGAGCUCUAACUGGAACAAAAGUGAUGGCCGAAAAUAGUUCAGUUUGAAGCUUAACCACAAACUUUCUCGGUUGCUGUUCUCGAAGUCAAUGGCAAUGGACAGUGUGUUCUUCACAUAAAGACAGCUUCAGUUCUCUGUCCCCGUGUCAUAAAAAAUUUAUGAAUAGCACCACCACCCCAAAGAAAACUGACUUAGCCAAACAACAUUAUUUUUAAUACAAAUCACUCCUUCCUAGUACUUUCCAUGAGUUUCCCCAACAAUUAACUCAGCGACCCAAUGCAAGUCCUACAGCACUUUGGGAGGGUCUGCCUAUCGUCACUACAUGGAGCAUGAAGUCCCAUAUUUGGCAGGGGGCUGCGGCAGAAGUAGAAAAUGUUUCUGAAGGGCAUGAACAAUUUCGAAGGACUUCAGAAAAGAGUUCUGGGCAGAACUCACACCUCUCUUGCAAAGAUGCGUGAAUUAAAGCACCAAGAACACGCGGAGAUGAUAAAUAGUAAUCGCAAGAGAACUCCAAAAAAAGGAAAACAGAUCAAUCUUUGCUUGACACCAACCUUUUUGAUUUCUGUUCUCGAAGUCAAUGGCCUGGGCUACGUAUUAUUUACUUAAUGACAGCUUCAGGCCCCUGUUUUCAUUUGAUUAACAAAUAUGAUACCCCACCCCCUCUUAAAAACACUUAGUCAAACUAGAUUAUUUUAAUAUAAGUCAUCCCUUUGUAGUAAUUUCAAUGUGUUUCCCUAACAAUUGGCUCAGCUACCCAGUUUAAGUCUUGCAGCAUUUUAGGAGGCACUGAAUACUUACUACUUUAGGUACUGUAACAGUAGGCCUGGAUUAUUUGGGCCAAACAGUAAAAUGAAUAGUGUAAGUUAAAUAUCACCAUUAGCUAGCUAAUUUAAACAGUGAACAGAGUGUCGAAGUUAAAUUUAGAGAAUUUAGCAUUGUCAUGUAAACAAGUAUAUUCUGCUGCUUUAAUGCAGGUCAUAUCAGAUUUCUAAGUUCCUGUAUAUAGCUACUGGAUACAAGGAUGGGGCUAAAGUAUUAUGUAAGAUCCAUAUGAUACAAGAACAAGAACCGUAUACUUACCACCUCACUUUUUUAAGCAAUCCAUCAUCUACCAAUGAAACCAUGAUUCAUAGCGAAUUAUGAUCCUUUGGUGGAACAUGAGCAUGAGCAAAGUAAGCAAUCUGUAUUAAGAGAGCAACGAUGAAUCGAGAGGGUUAGCCAAUUAGACGAACUCACUAAGUUAGAACUUCAGAUUUAUUUAGUUGACUGCUUACAUCACUUUAUUAACUCACUAAGUUAGAACUUCAGGUUUAUUAAGUUCUUUGCUGGUUGCUUCCACCCACAAAGGAAUAUUCAGACAUCAGUCAGCUUACAUGAUUGGGGACAGGUAACUCUGCAACAUAAUGCCCUUAGUUAAAUCAGACCAUUCCCUGUAAUCUUCAAUAUUCAUCAGCUCAUAUCUUUCGUAGAAGCAACCAGCACACCUGGAAAAUGCUAGCCUGCAACUCAAGAAGCCAUUGUCAAAAUAAUAGCAUUCGACAAGCAAAUAUAUAUUCCUAUGAUAUAUACACUAAAAAAAUGGCAACACGGGGCAUUCAGCUGUCUCUGUUCCAUAGAGAGAAAAAACUAUAGCUAAAAAUUCUAUUUUUAUCACAGACAGACUGAAACAGAAUCAAACAGAUACAUUGAUGCAAGACACACGAUAGCAUUGGCUAAAAUACAAUGAGGUAACCUUCAAAAAUGAUAGGAUUAGCCAAGACAACAGUCAAAAACAGAGUAAAUCAAGGCUUGUACAAUUUUACAGAGAGAAAAAAAGAUUCAUGUGUUUCUUGGAGCCAUCGAAGCCGAUCAUUCCAGAAAUAGUAAAGAGAAAGUGGAAAGAGGGAUUUUGAGGGGGAAAAACAGUGCGAGAAUCAUCUUUGAUCGGUGCCCAAACAAACUGAGAAAGGGGAAAGCAGAUUUUACUGCUCCACACAGCGACCAGUCUUCAGAUAGCAUACAACAUACAGUUCUUAAAUUUUAAUAUAUCACACAUAUCACAAACAAUAUUGUCCGCGGCAUUAAGGGAAACUAAAAAUCUAAUCACAUGGAGCCCUGCUGCUAAAUCAAACAAGCUAGUGACACCUGAAGCAGAAGCAAGGACCAAGGAAGAAACGUAAACUGAGAAAAGGAAACAGCAUAUAAAGUAAAUAACAUCUGCACACAGCCGUGUCUGACUUUCUUUAAGGAUGAACUUUAUACUCCCAUUUUCUUCUGAGCUUGUUCACCUUCACCACUGUCAUGACAUGAAUCAUAUCAAAGAACCUAUCAAUCGUCAGAAAAUAUGCAACCCUCCACGCCCUUAUGAAGAACAGUGUGUUCCAGACCAUCAAAAGCCCAAAAGCAAAUCCCACCUCCACGGUGAUGUAUGUCAUUGCAGGCAUGGAAGUAUCCAUACCACGAUGCUGCUCAUUUCCUGUUUUCAACAAAGGAGCCUCUUAAGUGCAGGAAGCAUUCUGAGGAAGGCAGAGUGCAGAAUUGCCGACAAAAUCCUCAUUCGCGAAUGUGGAAAAUUGCCCCCCUGUUGGUAUAUCUCCAGCCAAGUUGUAAGAGACAUCAAACUUGGACAGAAAUGACAACUCUGUUGGAGAUGCUGGUAUGCUCCCACUGAGAUCAUUAUGGGAUAAAUUUAGCGCUUCCAAGCUCGACAUGUUUGACAACUCAUCAGGAAUGCCCCCUGAGAAGUUGUUCCAGCUCAAGUCCAGUACAUGAAGAUUCACAAGAUGGCCAAGCCCACACAACACAGGCCCAACAAGCAAGUUAUUGGAGAGGAUCAGCGACGGCGGAAGCUGCUGACAUGUUUGUACUGCAAACCUUUGUCAGCUGAAUUCUUCUUGAAUAAUAACGGGAAGUCCUCUAUUGAUGCAGGCUCACUCGAAAUAUUACUUGAAAUUAAACUCCUUAUCUGUGUAAAGCUCUCAGGAAGCUCCCCACUAAAUGAGUUGUUUGACAGAUCGACAUAGAAGAGAUUAUUCAUAUUGCCCAACCAUAGCGGGAUCUUUCCGUUCAACUUGUUCCAUGAAAGGUCUAGAACUCUGAGGCUCUCCAAGCUUUGCAGCCAAGGCGGAAUCAUGCCGGAGAGCGCACAGUUUGCCAAGACAAGCACCUGGAUGCUCUUGAACCCACUGAUGCCAUCCAUUGGCAAGGUCUCACCACCACGUAAGUUUUUGGUGAGCACCAAGCUCGUCAGUUUGGACAGGUACUGCAAGACCCGUAAUGCCGAUGACAAGUUGGUGAAGCCAUUGUCAACAAGCGAGAGGUGCGACAGGGACCACAAAUUCUUAUAACUCUCUGGUAUCUUCCCCUCAAGCUUGUUCGUUGCAAAGUUCAGCGUCUUCAACUCAGUGCACCACAUGAGACUGGGAGGUACAACACCACUCAGCAUGUUGCUCCCUACAUCCAGAAUGUUCAGCCUUGGCAGUAAGUUAAAGUCAAUGGCAAUCUUACCCGACAGCGAGUUGUUCCUUAGGUUGAUAACCCUCAGCACUGGGCAGCUCGACAGGGAAGCAGGUAAUGUGCCGCUGAACAAAUUUGAGGCCAAGUUUAAGAACUCCAGCCUCCUCAAACCCCCAAACACAUCAGGAAUGACUCCAGUGAACAAGUUAUAUGACAGGUCAAUAUGCAUAAGCUGAGAGAAGUUACCCAGGUACUCGUUGAGAUCACCAGAGAGCUGAUUUUCCUGUAAGCUCAGGCUCCUUAACUCUGAUAAUGUGUACAGGUCGCUGGGGAGAUUCCCAGUGAGGCCACUGCCAUCAAUAGAAAGCUCAGUGAGCAUCCUGCACCGGCCAAAGCCUGCAAGGGUCUCACUGUUGAACCCAUUCCUGGAAAAUCGCAGGGCCUUCAUCGGCGCAACACAGAGCGCCGUGUUGAAUCCACCAGAGAAGGCAUUGCUAGAGAUAUCAAGAACUGUUAGGUUCAUUGCGCUGGGAAACAUUGAGCCUUGUAAGUUGUAAAGAAUGCACUGUCCAUUGAGCCUUGUAAUGGACAGUGUAUUCUUUACUAAGACAGCUCCAGUGACUUGGUAAAACUAGAUUAUUUCAAUAUAAGCGGUCCCAUCCUAGUACUUUCCCCGAGUUUCCCUAACAAUUGACUCAAGUGUCCCAGUGUAUAGACCUAUGCCACUCUAGGAAGGGUUGACUAUUUCUACUACUUUAGGUACCGUAAGACUAUGACUGGAUUAUUUGGGCAACAAUAAACUGAAUAGUGCAAGUUACAAAUCAGCAUUGACUAACUAUGUUCAGUAGUAAAACUAAUGUUGAAAACCAUUUAGAGAAUAAUAGCCAUGUAAAUAGGUAUAUCCUGCUACUUCAAUGCGGAUCAUAUCAAAUUCAUAAUUCUUCCACCUUGCGAAUAUAUAGCUAAUGAUACAUCAAUGAGGGUCUGUGCAAAUUCUAACUGGCAACAAGAUUCCUUGAAGUUUACUUAUCACCUUCCUAUUUUUAAGCAAUCCAUUAGCUAGCGAUUAGCCCAAUUAGUCAUAGCUAAACUGUGAUUCCUUGGUGCAGCAUGAGCACAACCAAACUAUGCAUAUUGCAUUAAGAGAGCAAAGAUGCAUAGAUACGGUAACCCAAUUACCAAUUAGAAGAAUUCACUAACUAAAACUAAAGAAUUAUUAGUUGCCCUGGUGAGGACAUGUAAAAUCAUAUGUAAUAAGAUCUGAAACUAAAGGAAAUUACUUAAUGAAUCAAAGUCUAAAUGGCAUGCUUUCAUCAACAAAGGAAGAAAUAUUCAGGCCACAGGCAGCUUACAUGAUUGGAACGGCUUGACUUGGACAGGUAGCCGGGACAGAGGAAGCAGUCAAAUCCGCUUUUAACUGGAAUUUGUCCAUUGCAACUUAGCCACUUAGCAGCAAGUCAUUUUCACAACUACACUUUCAACCAUUGGGGUCCUUUCCAACCACCAGCACUGCAGGCAUCAACCAUAUUUUAUAUCUGAAUACAGCUCACUGCGGGAUCCUUAUCAAGUAUCAAUCCCCAAUGGAAAGCAGCUCAAAUGCUCUUUAACUGAAAUCUAUUCAUGGCAACUUAACCAUUUGACAGCAAUUCAUUUUCAGAACUAUAUGACAAUUCCAUGUUUCCCUUAAGUCUAAGAAACUCACAACGACAACCAUCUAUGCGAGAGUGGCAAUCAUCAUCUGCAGACAACAAAUGAAUUGCAUUUUUAAUCUCAAUCCAGCUCAAACCUAGGUUCAUUGUCUUCCAUCACCCCUCUGCCCUCUAGCUGCUUUCUUAGUUUCAGAUGCAACGGCCUAUUUUCCUGCAGAAGCAUAAAGGUUUUAACGCAAUGUUUGUGUCUACGUAUUUUUUUCCUGCAGAAUUUCACAGAACAUUUUCUUCUCUUUCGCCUCCUCGUGAGGACCAAAAGCCUUGCUAAAUGUAAUUGGUUAACCUUCCAAAAGCUAGAACAACCAUAAACAACAGUCGCACACAGGGUAGAACAAACCAAAAUACCAGAAGUAGCCAAGAGAAAUCGGAAAAAGGGAUGUAAGGGGAAGAAACCGAAAUCUUGUACAUGCACCAUCUUUGAUUAGCAAAACAGAUAGAGAAAGGGGCAGCAGAUUGUACUGCUGCACACAGAGAACAACAAAGUCCUCAGAUUAUCCAUCAUACAGUUCAUAAAUUUUAUUGUACCAAUAUUCACUUCUCAACAUGGAGGGAAACUCAAAAUCUAACCACACAACCCACACUGCUAACUCUAUCCAGGUAAUGACACCUGAGGCGGCAGCAAAGAAGAUAACAUAAGGUGAGAAAAAGGGAGACAGCAUAUUAAACAACAUUUGCACAUAAACUCCCUGGUUAGAACCUGUGAAGAGCCAUGGGUG